UGGUUUCAAGAUUAAAUUAGGUUUAUUUGACGACAUCGAUAUCUUAUCUAGCUCUGCUUGAAAAUGAAAAUGUUUUACUAGCAAUCAUAGACUUUGUUUAUUCAGUUGAUAUUUUAAUUAUACGUAUAAGAAUGAAGGUUUAUUUGGGAAAAAAAGAAAUAAAGAAAUAGGCUCUGUUGAAGCUAAUUAAUACUUCAUUCUUUCUAUACGUGCGACCUGUGGUGGAAACAUGAUAUGAGAAUGUGUUACUGGUGAGGUUGCUGCUUGAGAUGAGAAUGAUGAGAAUGCCUUCUAUUCGGAAAUCCUUGGUAGGUAUUAUAUAAUUAUAUUUGAUGGAAUAUUAAAUAGCUAAAGAACCUGUGAUAAUGUCUUUGUUCAAUGGUUACUGUAGUAGUGUUUGUUGGUCUUUUUCUGGUUGGCGUUUGGAUGUUAAUGUCAUCAUCAGUUGUACUGGUGUGGGAUCCAGGAUGUUGUCCUCUUAAGAGCCUAUAAGCAAAGUGAAACAGAGAGGAUCUGAGAUUUUUCUGGGCCUUUCGUAGAAAAUCAAGGUGAUGAAUGACAGGAUUCAACAAAUGGGGAUGGGGAUGAUGUUCCUGUUGAAAAGUUAGAGAAUAGAGUGGAGGAUAAUCACGAAGAGAUGAAUAUGUAUGAGGGUGAUGGUGAGACGAGUGAAUCUAAGAAUAUGGUUAAUCAAAACCAGGAAGAGAAUUUAGUGAAGGAGAGUUUUGAUGAGAAUACUGAGUCUGAAGAGGAAUCUAAGGCGGUGUCUAAAAAUUACAAUGUUAGAAAAAGGGAAGAUAAGGAAUCUAAAAGUGAAGGUGGAGAUUCAAAUUCAGAAGCUGGAGAAACAGAAGGCGGCGAAUUGAAUAAAAUUGAGCAAAUUGAAUCAGAGAAUAGCUUGGAUGAAAAUAAAUGGAUGAGGCUAAUCAGAUUGAAAAGGAGAAGGAUUCUCAAGAUCAAGAUAAUGACACUGAGAGCCGUUGAAAGGAUCAGGCUUCAACUGAGAUUUUUCCUUUUGGUGACUAGUCAGAAAUUCUGAAGGAAACUAAUGCUCAGAAUGGGGCUUGCUCAACUCAACCUAUUGAGUCAUAGAAUCAGAAAAUAUCACAACAAUCUUCUAUAUCUAAGGACCAGUAUGGUCAUCGUUGGAAAGUGUGUAAUGCCACUGCUAGGCCAGAUUGCAUCCCUUACCUGGACAAUUUGCAAGCAAUUAGAAUGCUUUCCAGCACAAAAGCAUUAUGAACAUCGAGAGAGGUAUUGCCCUGAAGAAACUUGUACCUGUAUUGCUCCUUUACCGGAAGGAUACAAACACUCAAUUAAGUGGCCCCAAAGCAGGGAUAGGGUAUGAUCUUAUAUUAUGCAUUAUAAAAUAUAUACUUGACUACUUUUAAUUCACUUGGGCUAAGAUUUGUUCUCAUGCUGUGUGGGAUAGAUUUGGUAUUAUAAUUUUCCCCACACAAAGCUUGCAGAAGUUAAGGGUUAGCAAAAUGGGGUUAAAGUUACUGGUGAAUACCACAUUUUUCCAGGUGGCAGAAUUGAAUUUGAGAAUGGUGCUCUUCAUUACAUUGACUUCAUUCUGAAGGUGAGCAUUUUUCAUUUAUCAUUUUAUGUCUGUUGUUAGCUUCAAUUAAUAUGUGGCUUAUUCUUUUCUUUGUAUGAACCAUGGGCGGUCCAUUUCAUUUUAUAAGCUAUUUCUUGGGUUUUAGCAAGACAAAUAAUAAGAUUUGUGCUGUUUUUGUUUUAUGCGUCUAUAUAAAUUGUGUGCGCGCAUAUCAUACUAGGGGAGUAUUGCUUUAAUGCUAUAUACAGUCAAGGACACACGGUGGGUCACAUUCUGACUCGUUUCAAUGCUUCUUUUAUAAAUAUUUACUUGUAUAUAUUUUGUAGUACUUUUAGAGAUGUACUCUGCACUGGAUUUUUUAAGUGCUUUUAAUGUAGCCUACUGUCUUUGUCUUUAUCUCUCUUUUUGUGAAACUGAAAGGUUCAUAUAAUUUUUUAGAAACCAGUAAUCUUACAAAAAAUUUUAACCUGUUAAUUAAUGCGGUUUCAUUAUCUUGAAAAAUUUUCAAGCGUGCUUGCUUUUUUCUUUUUCUUUCUUUUGAAAUAAUUGUUGAUAUUCCCCUUCUCUUCUAUCAAGUUUCUGAUUCUCUAAAGCCCACAUUAUUUUUGUCUUUCUUUAUACAGGCCUUUAUCAUUUAUUGGCCAGCACCCUUUCCUCGGUUUUAUAUAAGAAUGUAAUUUCGCCCGAAUCUGCCAAAAACCGUGUACUAUUGUCAACAACAAAUCAGAAUUCCAUCUCCACCUCCUGACAAACCAUGCGUCACCACCUGCUUAGGAAUCCGAAGCCUUUGCUGGUGUUGAUAGUAUGUUCUCUCUCUAUCUCUGUUUUUCCUCAGUUGAGCAUUUAAAACAACAUCAUACUCAUCAUAUACCCUGUUUGGAUUCCUUGAAAUAAUAUUUUUUUAAUUUUUAUUGUUAUUUUGAAUUGUUUCUACAUAUUUUGAAUCAGAGUUGUUUGAGUAAAAUUUAAAUAUCAAUAUUACCGAUACGUGCCUAAUCUCAACUUCUUACCUUAAUAGCUUACUCACCUGUGCUUUUUUUUCUCCCCCCUUUUAAGAAUUCAAAAGCUAUAUUAUGGAUUUUGUUUUUGUUGUUUAUUGUCAUGAAGUAGGAGUGGGCAGAAAAUUGAAGAACUGUAUCAGAUUCCGUUUGAUAUUUGAUUCGGUUGUGCAAUAACCUAAAUUGGACAGUUUCAUUUCGGUUGGGAUGAAUGAAAACCGAAACCGAACCAAUAAUAAAAUUAACAAGCAAACCAAAUGAAAGUCCCAAAACAGUAACAAAACAAACACGUUGUGGUUUCUUAUCAAAUUUCACAGCACGACAUGGUCAUUCUCUUUGGUAAAAAAAUAGAAAAAAGAAUAAUGGGUCUCGAAAAUUUUUUAGAGCAUUUCUGUCGCUUACAUUUUUUUCCAUCGAUUAAUGUUAGUUGUAGGUGAAUGAUUGUUGCAAAUGCAUGUUAGCUUGUGAUUGAUUGAAAAUGGCUUGUGAUUUGUUAUGCUGCCGUGUGACAGAUUGAAAAUGGCUCUGAAAUUUUUUUAUUUGUUUAAGGUAUUACUGCUGAUUAUUGAACAGAGAUUCAUGCUAGAUUUUGUUAAAUUGAAGAUGAGAUUUUUUUUAGGAGAUCUGCAAAACCUUCUCUACUAUAGAUUUGGCUUCUAGCAUACCUGGUUGGCUGGAAAUAAUUGUUUAUACAGUCAUUGCUGCCUAUAUUAAUCAGGAAUAUUGAUUAGCAAUGUACUGGGUUAGAGAUUGGUAUAAUUUUGGAAAAUUAGUUGUAGAUGCAACUAGGGGUGGCAAUAUGGGUCAGGAUUUGUUUAUUCGAUUCGAUUUGAUGCGAAUUAAAUGGGUUUGGGUUUGAAAAAAUUGAUUCGUUUAAUAAAUGGGUGAAUUCGAUUUGAUUCGCUAAUUAAACGAAUCGAAUGCGGGUUUGAAGAUUUUGAUUCGUUUAUUCGUUUAGGAUUCGUUUAAUAAACGGGUCAUAAACGAAUCGAAUAUAGGUCGAUUCGUUUAAAAUUUAUUUAUUAUUUGUUUAAUUAAAUUACUUUUUUAUCCUUAAAUUUAUUUAAAAACUUUUUAAAAUAUCAAGGUUAAUAUUGUAAUUUUAAGCAUAACUCAUAAAGCCAAAAGAUCAACCCUAAUUUUACACUUCAUUUCCAUCUCCAAAUCCUUUUCUUUUUCUUUUUAAUUUUUGCAUCCAGCAAGUGCUACGUUUUGCCACUGCUCCAAAUCCUUGGAUUUGUGUGAGUGUGAUAAGUAAAAUUUUAUCUUGUUUAAUUAUUAUUUCCUUUAAAAUAUUACAAAUUUACUAUAUAUUUGAUAUUUUGAAAUUUUACAAUGAUUAUUAUCAAUAUUGCAGUAUGUUAGAUUGUUAAUAACAUUUUAUUUACUUUUUGGUGUAGGAUUUUUGUUUUCAAGGUGAAAAAGACAAAUGAAGAGAAUUAAAGAAAUUACCUUACUUUAUAAUUUGAAUUUGAAUUAUUAUUAUUUGUAUUAUUAGGGAUUUAUAAUUUGGUAUUUAGAUGACUGCAUAAUAUGGUUUGAGUUAUUUGUAUUUUGUUGUGGGAUGUUAAACUUGUGAUUUUUUUAUAUUUUAUUUUGCUUAAUUUUAUUUAUUAAUUAUAUUUUUCUAAACGAAUUGUAAACGAAUCCUGAUUCGGUUCGAUUCGUUAAGGAUAAACGAAUAAUAAACAAAUCCAGACUCGAUUCGAUUCGAUUCGUUUAUCAAUUAUUUUAAACGAAUUAAACGAAUCGAACCGAAUAUUCGUUUAAUAAACGAAUCGAAUCCGAAUCCUGAAAUUUCAAUUCGUUUAAUAAACGAAUCGAAUCCAAAUCCUCAUAAUUUUGACCCAAUUAGUUUACGAUUCGAUUCGUUUAUUCGUUUUGCCACCCCUAGAUGCAACCUGAUUAUGGUCUCAAAUAGUGUGAUCUGUCAAUUUUGUUUGCUCUGGCCUAAUAACCUUGAAUAUGAGCUAUGCCACUAUACAAAGUCUUGACCUAAUCACACUUGUUAGCCAAUGUCCAAAAUUGCAGUGUCUUUAGAUAAGUCCUGUCUUUUUUGUUUGAGUUAUAAAUGAAAAUUGCAGUGUCUUUGGAAAAUCACGCUGAAUGUUCAAGUUAUUGACGAGAGGAGACCCCCAGAUUCAAGGGCGGAGCUCCCUGUUAAGAAGCUUUACAUAUAUAGGAUUGUCGCCUGGCAGAGGAUUGAUAUGCCUGGUUUUGUUGUUUGGAAUAUGGAUGAAGAUUUUGCAUUGAGGCUUUUUUGAUAGAUCAUUUGGCAAAUCAAGCUCCAUGUAUCUAUCUUCAGACUCUUGGAUAUUUAUAAAGCAGGUGCAUGCUCCAUAUGUUACUUAAUGUAUCACGAUUAUUUUUCUAUUGCUUAAUAUAUUUGCAGUCCUUGAUGAAGUUGAGGACAACUUAUGGAGGGUAUACAGAGGCUCAAGAGCUCGAUCGCCAUUCAUUUUACACUGGGCUGGGCUAUAGCAUACCAACUAGUGAUUAAUAAAGAGAAGGUAUGAAGGUCAUGUUGCUGGUGGUAGUAUCAAUCAGAAUUGUUAUUUUACUUAGUCAUACUUACCAUGUAUACUAAUCGUAGGCUUUUUUCAUUUUCAUGCAUUCGCAUCAUCUUCUGGUUAAGCUACAGAUGGUUGAUUUGUGUACUCAUUUGUAUCACUUGUAGCUCUUGAGGAAUAAAAUUUAAAAUUAUGUUGCAUCUCUUGUACUAAAUAGUAAUUUUGUUGGCUUUAUGUAUGGGAAAUGGUUUGUUGUCUUAUUUCUUUGAUGUGUAUGGUGUUACAUUGUCUAAAGUUAAGAAGUAUUUCUAUCACUUGUGUAAAAAACAACCUACUUUUUUCAUUCUUCUUAUAUUGAAUAAAAGAGGGACACCAAGAUUGAACGAAAUUUGAUUCAGAAAGCAUAGCAAUUAGGCCAGUGCAAAACAGCUUCCUUCUGAUUCUUUGAUAUUUGACUUAAAUCUUUUGUUUAUUUCAUUUAUCAAAGUCAUUUUGGAAAGUAACGGGGGUGAUUUGAUAUUUUAAUUGCAUUCACAUCCCUUGGCACCAAAACAAACAUGCUGGUACUAACCAAUAAUUUUUUAUUUUCAGUAUACAAAUUAUUUUUUUCUAAAUUAGGGGUAUUAAGAAAAGGUAUAUUAGCACCAGGGGAGGUAUUUGAGAAUACACAAAUAUAAUCUAUUAAACUAAGGUGGCAUUUGUUUUUUAAUUUAAUGACUUAAAGUGACUUAAUUAAUUAAGUUAAUUAGAGGUGUUUGUUUUAUAACUUAAUGAGAUUUUUUAGAUAAUUUAGACUUAAUAAAAUAAGUUAAUUUUUUUUGGCUUUUUACUUAAUAGAGACAUUUGAAUUAAGUCAAUAACUUUCUAAUGUCAAAAAUAUCCUUGUUUUUUAAUUUAUUCUUCAUGCCUAUUCCAAAAUUCACCCAUAGACAUUUACUCCACAUAAUAAUCUCAUCAUUAUUUUUUUAGCCGUCAUGAAAUCCCUCCUCACUUUGAUAUCAACUCCUCGAGUAUUGAAGAUCAAAAUUACAUGCGAGAAUUUUGAGAUGAAAUGGCAAAUCAACUGUUUCAAGCAUUUUAUUAGUUUUUUUUCUUAUAUUAUAUACGAUAAAAUUUGAAAUUUAUGAUAUUUUAUAUAUUAAAAUUUCAAAAUCAUUAUGUAUUCACUUGAAUAUAAUUUUACUUAUAAACGUUAAAAUAUUGUGGUAUUUAAUAUAUUAUUUAUUUGACAUUCAAAUUUAGUAAGGAUACAAAUGUAAAAGUACAUAUUUUCAGUUUUUUAAGUUGAAAAAAAAUAAUUAUAUAAUUAUUUUUCAAGAUUCAAACGAAAAAACAAACAUAUUAUUCUGAUUCAGACAUUCAGAUCUAUUCAGAAUUCAGACUAAUUCAGGUCUAUUCAGAUUUUAAACAAAAAAAUCAAACACCACCUAAGAAUAUGCCAAACUUCAGGGGAGGUUUCUGAUAAAUCUCUUUUUCUUUUUCCUCCAUUCACCAUAGGUUCAAUUUAGAAACUGUUGACCAAACGGAAGGUUUAGGUUGGUAAACGCACUAAGUGCCUGUUUGGUAUGGCUUAUUCAAGAGCCAUAAAUGCUUAUUUAAUCGCAUAAGCACUUUUUUUAAAUUUUUAUGGUGUUUGGUUAUUUUUUUAGUAGAGUUUUUUAGCUUAAAUAAGCUAAUUUACCUCUACUAGUAAAAGCCCAAAAUUUAAGCUUUUGGGAGUAGAGGUUAGAGAGCUUUUAAAAAAUAUAUAUAAUAUAAAAAAUAUCACACAUUUUAAUGGUUCAAAAGUGUUUUUUUUAUUGACAACCAAACACCUAAUGACUUUUUAUCCAAAAGCUCUAUUGGUAUAAGCUCUACUGCUAUAAACUCUACUGUUAUAAGCUCUAUUUAAUAAGCUGUACCAAACGGAGCCUAAGUGUUAAUGUCAACAACCCAAGGGGCUUCAUGGUCCUCUGGGCCGAAAUAAUUAUUAAUUCUCCUCUAGUGAAAAUCUUCAUCUUGGGACAAAUAAUUACAAAUUGACAUUAUAGCUGUGGAAAUUUGGAGGUGUAAUUACCGGAAAUUACAUCUAUUUCAAUUUGCUAAAAGUAAUGGUAUCAUUUCUUGUAUGGAAAAUGGAUGAUUAGAUUUUCUUUUUUGUUAUCCGACGAAGGAUAUUCAGUUGUUCUUUAUUUGUUCAUAGGCAAGAGCAUGAGCAUAUGCAUAUUUAAUAUAUGCUUCUUGCAUUUUCUAAUUAAGUGCUCUCUUUCCUUGCCUUCUUAGUUUUGAAAGAAAGUUGUGAAGCAAAGCAAACCCAGUGAAAUACACAGAGCAACAGAACCAUCAGAGGAAAAACUAAAUAACAGAACUACAAUUGAACCAAACAAAAUCAAAUAAACCGAGGCAACAGAUGCCCUGAAUCAGGCAUCCCUUUUUCUCCAAAGAAAAUAUGUUUGCAUGGGUGGGAACCUAGUAAUUGUUGGGGAAAAAUUAGGUUUUUAAAUUUUUAUAAAACCUUUUGAAGAUCGCUCUCAUAUAAUAUAUAAGAAUUUGUAUUCUAGAAAUCGUACCUUGAAAAUUUGAGUUUGCUUUUUCCGCUGAAGUGAUUUAGGCUCCUAGAUCACGAUCCGCCACCACCACUCCUGUUAGAUCACGAUCCGUCACCACCACGCUUGUUAGAUCACGAACUGUCUCCAAUGAUUUUCCAGAUUAUGACUCAGGUUCGAUCUGCACUUGACGUGUGGGCGCCUUUAUCACUACCAAAGCAACUAGCACGAUAAAAUUUUUCUCUCAACAAUAGAGAGAAAAAUCUUAUUCUCCGAUUUGUAUAAAGUGGCUUCUCUUAUUCUUUAGAGAAAAUAAGCCUUUUAUAUCACCCUUUAGUGAAAACCUUAGGCUCCAAAUAAUGCCCUAAAUAAAACUCACGUUACUUUCUUUUUCAAUAGGGGACCCACCUUGUAAAAUAACAUAAGGCCCCUUAUACAAAAGCUAAUUAAAUGGAGCCUCCCACUAAAUGAUAUAUUUAGGCUUUUGACCCAAAUAGCUAGUUAUCUUACUUAUUAGUCCAGUAGUGGUGCAGUCAAUUAAAUGAGCUAACCCGGGGAUCAUUUGGGAACAUACAAUAGUGGCUACAAUAAUUAGGCCUGUAAUUAAACUAGCCCAAAUAUUUAAUUCCAAAUCUACUCCACUAAAAGAUUGGAACUGACUUCCAUAAUUGUAUGCUCGAAUAAUAAUUCGUCCCAAGCCACAUUGAUUUCUUUACUGCACAAUCCUUUGUACCACAUCGUUAAUUAAAUUGAUAUCUCAACUGUCCAAUCAAUUUAAUAACAUCUUAUUCCUUGAUCCUUACUGGUUUUCUCUAAUGAUCAUUUUCAACAUACUAAAUAUGUUGACACACUCUGGCCAGAGAAUUCUAUGAUCAAGUGCCGAAAACCCAUCAAGAGAUGUGUUGUACAAAUUCUAUAUUGUUAAUCCAUAACUCCAAUACUCAUAAUUGCUCCCACCAAGAUACCGGGUACUCUUGACCACAAUGAUGUGUCGUGCCCAUUGGUAACUCAAAUGGAAUAACAAUUACAAUCAUGAAAUCAUAAUUAACUCAAGAUUAAGAUUACAGUAAAAUCAACGCCUAUGAGAUUUAAUAAGUCUGACAGUUAUUACAAAGUUAAUUAAAUCUCAUAUGUGAUCCUGUUCAAUGUAGUCGUACUACAUCAAUAAAUUCAUACAUGAUUAAGACAAAUCAUUCAAUGAAUUUAUUACAGUCUAUACCUAAAUAAAGUGCCCAACUUUAUUUAUCAACUGCGAACUAAAUUUAUUUAAUCAUAAGAUAACUUGUAUUUAUGUCUUCUGUGAAUCCACAUGGUGAUCACAUAAAUACAUAUAAUAUGAUUAAAUGAACUUUUAAUACAAGUAUUAAUGCAAUUAAGAUAUUUGAAUAAAAUACCUCAUUUAUUUUAUUAAUCAGAAAAAUUGUUUAUUACAAUUAAAUAAACACAUAUGCUUUUAAAGAGCAUAUUUUCCCAACAAUCUCCCACUAGCUCUCAAAGCAUAUCUAGCAUAUUGCUCAUGCUCUAGGGCUCUAAGUGCAGGUUAUAAAGGUUUCCCACUAAUGGCCAUUGUAAUAAGAUCUGCCAUUUAGCAUCUAAUGCCAUUUGGGGUACUGUCAAGUGACCCUUCUGUCCACAUUUGUAACACUUGCCUUUUGGCUUGCCACUUCUUUUAAUGGACAGUUUGCCGAUCCCAACUCUUGCUUGCUCAUUCUUGUCUUUCGACUUAAGCCUUGAAGAGAAUCCUUUUUCAGGAAGUUUUCUGCUAUUAUAAAAUUCUUCUAUAGCAUGUAGUUCGUGCAUUAAUUCAAUUAAGGUCAUAUCUUUAUUGUUUAAGAUAUAGCUGACCUUAAACUCUUUGAAUGUAUCAGGUAAAGAUUCAAUCACCAUGUUAAUCUUUGAUUUAUCAUUGAUUUGAACACCAUGAAUCUCUACCUCAUUCAAAUAGUCCAUCAUUUUGAGGACAUGAUCACGAACUUUUGUGCCCUCUUCCAUCUUAGUAUCCAUAAUACGUUUUAAUGCUGCUUCUCUGGCAAAAUGGGUAUUUUGCCCAAACAUCUGAUGAAGACUAGCCAUUAUUUCAGUGGCUGUUUCCAUGCUCCGAUGUUUCUUAUGCAGUUCCAUAGAAAUCGAAGCCAAUAUAUAGCGCUUAGCCAUUUUGUUAGCUUCGCACCAUUUCUCAUAAGGCUCCCUCUGAUUUCUAUAAUCGUAUAACGAUGGUUCAGGAGGGCAAGGCUGGGUCAACACAUAUUUGCUUCCUUUAGCAGUGAGGAUAUUAAAUAGAUUGCGUUUCCAAUCUAAAUAAUUUUCGCCAGUGAGUUCAUUUUUAACAAGGAUAAAUAAUAAUGGGUUGAUGGAAGACAUUUUCUGAAAAAAAUAAAAUACACAUGCAUAAAUACUUUGAAACAAUAUUCACAAUAAAUGACAAAAAUGCAAAAAACCAUAAAUGCAUUUUAAUUUAUUGUAACGAUAAUCUAGUACCGCUUCGACAAGCUAUUCGUUGGGGAAGUCAUGUCUACACUUACUAGACCCAAUUAUCCAUUGGAUUAUUUACUUUCAUGUAGAGACAUGAUAAAUAAUUAUCGUUAUCCCUUUGGACCUAAAUUUGUUAACAGAGCUUCGUUGGGAAGGUUAAUAACAAACUUUAGUUGAGUGUAUAACCAUUGUUUCAAUCUACGUAUUUUUCAUAUCAAUAGUCACCGUUGGGGUGAACAAUCGAUUGAAAAAUAUUUCAAUUUUAUCUUUGAAGAAGUUCAUCAAAUAAAAUAUCUAAUAUAUAUACCCUCCGAAGGGAGCAUCACCGUAUCAUGAAGUCGAGGUAUAUAUAUAAUUUUAUUAUUGAACUAACAAUGGAGCCCGUGGGAAAAUUAUCUUGAAUUUUCCCUCUCCCACUCAAUAUUUUAAAAUUGGUUUUUCCUUUUUAAAACAUACAUAUUGUUAAUUGCAUGCUUCCUAUAAUAUUAUCUAGAUGAUAUCAAAUAUUAUUAAGCAUACGCAAAUUUCAAACAAUAUAAUGAAAUUCAUUAUUAAUGAAUGACAUGUAUCAUUAUGCAUAGAGUGGCACUACCUAUUCUAUAUGACAUGUUAUCAUGGCAUGUAAUCAUCCAAAACAUAACAUAUAGAAAAAAUAAUUAAAUAAUCUUAAUUCAUGGCUUUCCUAAUAAUGAAAAAUACAUUAACCCUAAGCCUAAUCUUCAUUGGGCUUCUUGUCAAUAUCCAUCUUCCAUAGCUUGUCUUUGUUGAUGGACUAGGGGAAAUUGAGCUUUUAAAUUUAUAAUUGGUCCAAUUUUAAUUUGGAAAGAAAAUAAAUAAUUAAAAUUAAAAUUUAUUAAAAUAAAACUUUUGGACCAAAAAUAAAUUUAAUAUAUUCAAUUUUAUCUAUGCAUUUUAAUCCAUUAAGCCCAAUUGAAAUUGGGCCUAAAACUAGGAUUCAUUAAGCCCAAAACUAUUUUUGGAUUUAAACGCAAAAAAUUAAAAAUGUUUCUGCCCAACUGAAAAAAUAUGAAACUAUAGGGACCUCCACGAUAAAAACCAUGAAACCCUAAAAUCACAUUUUUCUUUUCCUCCUCUUCCCUAGCCGCCACCAGCACAAAAACCCAGCCGUUGUUUACUGUUUCCACACCGGACAGCCGUCAUCAACGCCGGAAAGACGCCAACCAAAACGCUCCGCGCCUUCAGCCCACGUUCACGCUGUUGCUUGGGUGCUGCAGCUGCUGCUCGCGCGCUGCGGUUGCUGCUUGUGCAGCGCGCGCUGCAGCUGCUGCGUGUGUAGCUCGCGCUGCUAGCAGCGUGGCUGCUGGCCGCUGCGCGUGCAGCGCGCGCUGCUGGCAGCAUGUGCUACUGGCCGCGCGCUGCUCGCACAGCAGCUUGUGCUGCUGGCCGCUCGCUGCUGCGUGUGCUGGUUCGUUGCUGCAGUUUCCGGCCUCGAUUGUUUGCGCUCGUUUUCCAGUGAUGAUGCUUCGGUGAUUUACAAAUUUUCAACGCAAAUUUUUGCUUACAAAAUUUCAAUUACAGUAAAAUAAAUCAAGAGAGAAUUAUGGUGAUAAAAAACCACCCCUCUUGUUACAGAUCCAAACGAAAAAUACAAUAGAAAAUCUAACAAUGAAUUAACUGCGUUUACUUUUUGGAUUGGAGUGGGAAUCCUGAGGAAUGGGAAUCCUUGGAUUAGGAGUGUGGAGUGGGAGUGGGAGUAGGGUGUUUACUUAGACUAAAUGAAAGUAUGGAUUGUCAAUUAGAAUUCCAAUUAUUUGUUUACUUUGUCUUGGAUUGGGAGUAAAUUGUUUUAAAUUACAAUUUUAUCCUUAUGUACAGAAUUAUAAUUUGUAAUUAAAAAAUUAAUAAAAAAUAUAUUUGGAAAAUAAAAUAAAUAUUUUAUUAUAUUUAUAAAUUAUUAAUAAUUACUAAUAUUCUUAAUUAUGUAAAUCAUAAUUUUUUAUUAAUUUUAAUUUAAAUUAUGUGAAUAAAAAUUAUUAAUAAUAGCAACACAAAUGGAAUAUUAUUAUUGAUAAUAUAGUACAAAAUUAAUAUUUUUUAGAAUAAAAUAUUUAUUAUUAUUAAUUAAAUAAAUAAUUAAUUAAUAUUUAUUAAAAUUAAUGUUUUAUAUUAUUAAUUUAAAUAUAAUAUUUAUUUAUUUUUAUUUUAUUAAUUUUAAUAAAAUAAAUAUGAUAUAAUUAUUAUUUUUAAUAAAUAUGAUAUUAUUUAUUUUAUGAAAUAUUAUUUAUUUUAUUAAAUAUUAUUUAUUUUAUUAAAUAUUAUUUAUUUAUUUUAAUUUUAUAAGGAUAAAAUGGGAAGAGGGGGGAGUGGAUUCCCACUCCCACCUCCCCCAAUGGGAGUGGGAAUCCCACUCCCCACUCCAAAUUUAGGUGGGACCCACGGAUUCCCACUCCCACUCUCCCUAUUUUUAAAGUAAGUAAACACUGGAGUGGGAGGAAUCCACACUCCACACUCCCACUCCAGAAAGUAAACACUACCUUAAGACAAACCAUAAACAUGCUUUAUUCAUAUAUUAAACAAAUAAUAUAUAUCUGAAUAAAUUGUGCCACUCUAAUACAUAAAUUUCAAGAUUAAUUUCAUACGAAAUUCUUAUUUAUUAAUAUGAGAUGGCUCUGACACCAAUUGUUAGGGAAAAAUUAGGUUUUUAAAUUUUUAUAAAACCUUUUGAAGAUCGCUCUCAUAUAAUAUAUAAGAAUUUGUAUUCUAGAAAUCGUACCUUGAAAAUCUGAGUUUGCUUUUUCCGCUGAAGUGAUUUAGGCUCCUAGAUCACGAUCUGCCACCACCACUCCUGUUAGAUCACGAUCCGUCACCACCACGCUUGUUAGAUCACGAACUGUCUCCAAUGAUCUUCCAGGUUAUGACUCAGGUUCGAUCUGCACUUGACGUGUGGGCGCCUUUAUCACUACCAAAGCAACUAGCACGAGAAAAUUUUUCUCUCAACAAUAGAGAAAAAAAUCUUAUUCUCCGAUUUGUAUAAAAUGGUUUCUCUUAUUCUUUAGAGAAAAUAAGCCUUUUAUAUCACCCUUUAGUGAAAACCUUAGGCUCCAAAUAAUGCCCUAAAUAAAACUCACGUUACUUUCUUUUUCAAUAGGGGACCCACCUUGUAAAAUAACAUAAGGCCCCUUAUACAAAAGCUAAUUAAAUGGAGCCUCCCACUAAAUGAUAUAUUUAGGCUUUUGACCCAAAUAGCUAGUUAUCUUACUUAUUAGUCCAGUAGUGGUGCAGUCAAUUAAAUGAGCUAACCCGGGGAUCAUUUGGGAACAUACAAUAGUGGCUACAAUAAUUAGGCCUGUAAUUAAACUAGCCCAAAUAUUUAAUUCCAAAUCUACUCCACUAAAAGAUUGGAACUGACUUCCAUAAUUGUAUGCUCGAAUAAUAAUUCGUCCCAAGCCACAUUGAUUUCUUUACUGCACAAUCCUUUGUACCACAUCGUUAAUUAAAUUGACAUCUCAACUGUCCAAUCAAUUUAAUAACAUCUUAUUCCUUGAUCCUUACUGGUUUUCUCUAAUGAUCAUUUUCAACAUACUAAAUAUGUUGACACACUCUGGCCAGAGAAUUCUAUGAUCAAGUGCCGAAAACCCAUCAAGAGAUGUGUUGUACAAAUUCUAUAUUGUUAAUCCAUAACUCCAAUAUAUAAAGUACUAGAUGUUUUACUGAGAAAAUGACUAGAUCAUUUACCAAAUUUCUUGCGCAUAUAUACGUAUGUAUACGAGAAAUGGGAAUCAAUGAUUAUAAGACCUUGCAAUGAGACAAUAAUACAUCAUCAAAUCUAAAAAUACACAAGAAAUUCGGGACAUAUAUAUAACAAAAGACCUCUCAUUGAGUCAUACAUAUUGAGAAUAAAAUGUCAAAAUGCAUACAAAGAGCUUAUACAGAAAAUGAAUUUACACAUAUUUAGAAUAAAUUGUCUUUGAACUUUUGAUGGUCAAAUAAAGGAAACAGACAGGAUAUAACACACACUAUCAUAGAUGUAGCGACACGGUGAAGUAAAUCACAUGAAGAUGGAAACGGAAACCCUUCACAAUAUAAAAUUUGAAUAGAGGGGGGAAAAAAGGCUUCAUUUGGAAUGUUGCACAGAAGAAGAGUGACUUGAAUCUCCAUCAGUAUCCAGACAUUCUACAAACACAGUGCUGAGAAUUUUAACAAGAAUAACAGACAAAAUAUUGUGCUUCUAUACUUGUCACAAAACUAGACCAAAUUAGUUCCCUUUUUGGUUUGUGAAAACUUGAUAUUUUUGAAAAUUCUAUCCAAUGCUUUUAAACAAUAUUUCCAUAAUAUAGUUGUUCAUAGCUAACCUUUGAUGGUUUAAGCAUUUGUUGUAGGCAUGACGGGCUGAUUAGAUUAUUAUUUUUUUUUAUCCGAUGAAUGAUAUUCAGCUGUUCUUAAUUAUGUGUUAAUAGGCAAGAGCAUUUUCUUAAGUACUUUCGUUGCCUUCCAAGUUUCCAAUGAACAAACAGAGCACAAACAAAUUUAACGAAACAAACAGAGCAUUUUCUUCAGUGUGCUUUCUUGAGACAUUUUGAUUUAGUCUCAUUAUGAUUAAAAAGGAAGCUCGCUUCUCGAGACAUUUUGCUAUAGUCUCAUUAUGGUUAUAAAGAAGCGAUGGUCUAGGAGACAUAUUGUUUUCGUCUCAUUUUGCUAGACAUCUGGACUUUAUGGAAAUGAGCAUGUUGAUCACAUUGUCAUGUUAUUUCCAUAAUUAUACUUGUAUACUACUACAUGGUCACGUGUUUAUAAGUGUCUUGUUAUAUGGAGCAUCCUGUCGGUGCACAUAUGAUUUGAUAUUUAUGGCACAUUUUGGACUUGUUUAUGUUCUGGGUGAUUGCUUGUAUUUGACCUUUUGUUAUAGUCACAUAUUGAUUAAUUCGGUUGUUUUCAAAAUAUUAUUUUAUUUUAAAUUUAUCAUUGGAGUGAUUUCUGUCGUCCAAGUGGGAGAUUGUUAGAUUUAUUUCUCAUAUUAUGUGGACUGACAUAAAUCAUUCUAAUUGUUUUCUAUAUUUUACCGAAUUAAUACGUGACUAUUGUCAAAUAUUAUGGAGCAAUUUUGACAUACCUUGUACAGUAGUAUAUUAUGGACAAGUAUAUCCUUAAUUGUGUUAUUUUCGCCCAUAAUGGGAUGGGCAAUUUUGUACUAACACAUGAGGGGUCCCUGCGCUCAACCACUGUAUUUAAGUAACUUCAGCCCAUUGGAAGUUAACUGUUCAAGAAAUCUGUGGCAUGAGUGCAGUGCAUCUCUCUCUCCCGUUUGUCUCCCGUGUGUGUGCACAGUAAAUUUUGAAGCAAGCCGAUCCUUGAGCUAAGGAAAAGAAAGCGGAAUUCAGAAGCUAAACCGAAGCAGCAGCAACUCUGUUGAAGCUCCAUAACAAGCUGCAAGCUUGGAUUCAUGGGAGAUCGUGGUAAAUUUCGAAAUUUACUACAAUAUGUGUUUAAUUUGGAAAUGCACGAUUAAAGGGCAUAAAGUGUGUUUUUGUUUCAUCAAUUGGUAUCAGAGCCCAUGGUUAUGCGUUUCCUUGUAAACCAUAGUUGUUUUGUUGAAGAAAUCUCACUCAUGGAAUUUUUUUUUUUAUUUUCGGAUUUUUCGAAUUCUUCGAAUUUGGACAUAUUUCCUCAAACGGUUGUUAAAUAAUGCAUGAGUGAUGAUUUUGGAGCAAAGAUAUAAUUUUUUCGUGUUUUUUGGUGGCCAAAAUCGGGUUGGUAUGGAUGUGGAUGCUGUAAAUGUACUGUACAAUACUGUAGCAACAGCCCGAGGUUGAAGAUGAUGGGACAAUUUCAUUUGGAUCCCUAAAUUUUGUGAAUUGUCACUAUGGCCCAAAAUCUUUGCAAACUUUUCGAAAAGGUCCUUGACCGAGGGUCAACUAUGUAAAAGAUAAGUUGGUCCCUUGAAUUUUGGGAAAUUAUAGUAUGGCCCAACAGUUUAUUUUAUUUUAUUUACAGUUUGGGCCAAAAGUUUUAAUAGUUAAAACAGUAAACAUAAUUCUGAAAAUUUUUCAUUUUAGUCCAAAAUCCUUUCAAUUUUGGCGAUUUUUCAGAAUUUUAAAUUUUAAAAUAAUCCAUCAGUUAUUGAAUCUUAUGGGCAUAUCAUUUAUAUAUUUUAUUGAGGCAUGUAGAUAUUUUAUUUGAUUUAAUAUCUUGUUAAUUUCAUUUGACAAAAUUUAUUUAGCCUCAAUUUUGUUAAUAUACGAAAUAUAUAUAUGAUGCAAAACUACAAUUUAGAGUGAUUGUGUAUCUGCUUAUCGUAGGACCAAUCAUGAUAAAUUAUUUGGUGGUUUGCAAUUGAUUGUCCAUUUACAAUUAUGAAUUAUGGAUUAUGUGAUGGAUUGUUAUUGUUUUGACCAAGAUCCAUACGGGUGAUGAUACUGCCCUGUCGGCAAAUCACUACUUGGUACUUGGUAGGAUGCUUGGGAAGAUAAAGAGAUUUGUUGAGUAUUUUCUACUGAGUGGCUUAAUUACCCUGUCGGUAAUAGGUCAAUGUUGGUGUUAUAUUCAACUUGUCUGCUUUAUCUUUAGGUUAGUGCAUUCCUAUAUUGUUAAAGGAUGCCUAACAUAUUGUGUUGCUAUUGGAGAAACUUAGAAUGAGGAGCAAUUGAUUAUAGCAUGAUUUUAAUUUUUGCAUGCUUGAUAAUUCUUUUGUUAUUGCUUCCUCAGCUCUAGAUAUUCUCUCCUUUCUCCAAGUAGCCUCCCUCAAGAAUUUAACUGGGACAAAUUUUGAGGACUGGCGUGAGUCCAUUUUGUUUUAUUUGUCUACACUGAAUAGAGACUUGGCAUUAAGAGUUGAUGAACCAGCCAAGCCCACAGAUAAGAGCACUGCUGCUGAAAAAGCAGAGUGGGCAGCUUGGGAUGAAUCCAAUAGACACUGUCUGGAUACAAUGAAAUACACCAUUGAUAGAACCACUAGAGAUAGCAUCCCUGCAUGUGAUAAGGCCAAAGAUUACUUGGCAGCUGUGGGAAGAACCUUUAAGAAGGUAGAUAAGGCAGAAAAGGGUAACUAUCUGAGGCUGCUUGCUAAUACCCAGUAUGAUGGUGUUUCUGGGGUCAGAGAACACAUCCUUAAGAUGACUAGUUACCAUAAGAAGCUGAAGGACAUGGAUGUCACUUUGCCUGAUGACUACCUGGUCUUCCAAAUCCUUGAAUCUCUUCCACCACAAUUUGGCAAUUUGAGAAGCCAAUACAAUACUCAGAGAGACACUUGGAAUAUCACUGAGUUGACUGCUUAUGUGGUUCAGGAAGAGGAAUCAUUGAAGAAGGGGAAAUCUCACACUGUCAUGGUGGCAACUACUCAAGAGAGUGGAAGUGUGAAGAAAGGCUCUUCAAAGGGCAGCAAUAAGUUUUUUAAGAAGAAAAAGUUUGGCAAGAAAACUUCACGUGGUACUUCUUCUACCACUUCUGGUUCCACUUCUGAGAGCUUUAAGGGAAAGUGCCACUUUUGUAAGAAACCUGGGCACAAGAGAGCUGACUGCAGGGGAUUCAAAGCAUGGUUGGAAAAGAAAGGUAUUCCUGUAGCCUUUGUAGGCUUUGAAUCUAAUCUUAUUGAUGUUCCUUCUGAUACUUGGUGGUUGGAUACUGGUGCAACCAUUAAUAUAACGAAUUCCUUACAGGAAUUCAGAAGCAGGAGGGAGCCCAAUGAAGGGGAGUUGAUAGUUCACAUGGGCAAUGGAGUGACAGCCAAAGUUGAAAGCAUAGGAGUUGUCAGACUACAUCUAGCCACAGGCCAUGUUUUGGAUCUAUUAGAUACAGCUUAUAUUCCUUCUAUUAGGAGAAACUUGAUAUCUGUAUCUAUUUUGGAUAGAUGUGGCUAUACUUUUCAUUUUGGUGAUAGAAAAGUUUACUUAUUCCGCAAUUCAGAGUUAGUUGGUUCUGGCACUCUAUAUGAUGGCUUGUAUAUGAUUGAUUUAUUUUCUCGUGCUGUUGAAUCAUCAUCCAAUGCUCAUGUUAUGCAUGUUGUUAGCUCUAAUCGUGUUAGGGUUGAUGAAAAUUCCUCUAUGUUGUGGCAUAAACGGUUAGGUCACAUUUCUAAACAGAGGAUGGAGAGGCUUAUUAAAGAUAGCAUUCUACAUAAGUUGGAUUUCUCUGAUUUUGGCACUUGUGUUGAUUGUGUCAAAGGCAAACUUACUGCCAAAACCAGAAAAGAGAGAACUCAGAGGAGUCAACAGGUGCUGGAGUUGGUACAUACAGACAUUUGUGGGCCAUUUACUCCUAUUGCCAUUGGAGGUUAUAAGUACUUCAUCACGUUCAACGAUGACUUUUCUCGUUAUGGUCAUGUUGAACUUCUUGCUGAAAAGUCUAAAUCCUUAUCUGUGUUUCAAGCCUUUAAGGCUAAUGUUGAGCUCCAAAAGGGCAAGCAAAUUAAAGCAGUAAGGUCAGACAGAGGUGGUGAGUACUAUGGGCGAUAUGAUGAAACUGGGCGUAAUCCUGGACCUUUUGCUAAAUUUCUUCAGGAAUGUGGAAUAGAAGCCCAGUAUACAAUGCUCGGGACUCCUGAACAUAAUGGAAUUGCAGAAAGGAGAAAUCGUACCCUUCUUGACAUGGUGCGGUGUAUGCUGAGUAACUCCACCUUACCAGAUUUUCUGUGGGGUGAAGCCUUAAGAACUGCAGCUUACAUUUUGAAUCAGGUACCUAGUAAAUCGGUGCCCAAAAGUCCUUAUGAGUUGUGGUCAGGAAAGAGACCGAGUCUUCGUCAUUUUCAUGUAUGGGGAUGCAGAGCAGAAGUGAGGCCCUAUAAUCCACAAUCAAGGAAACUUGAUCCGAAAACAAUUAGUGGUCAUUUUAUUGGCUAUUGUAUCGGCUCAAGGGGUUCUAGAUUUUAUUGACCUUCCCACACUACUAGAAUCAUUGAGUCUGAUCGUGCCAUUUAUUUUGAGGAUGAUCACAAUGGUGGGAGUUCUGAGCCUCGCAGUCUGACAUUGAGAGAAGAACGUGUGGUUUUGCCUAUUCCAUCUUUUCCGACUUCUGCGAUGGGAUUACCACAUAUUGAUGAUUCUUCUGUUGAUCCUAAACUUCAUCAUAAUAUGGAGCCUAUGAUUGUAGAGGAUGAUGGUACUGAUGUGCCAUUGAGGAGAUCAGAGAGGAUCAGGAGACCUGCAAUUUCUGAUGAUUAUGUUGUUUACUUGCAGGAGCAUGAUUUUGAUGCUGACUCUUCAUCUGAUCCUAUUACCUUUCAAGAGGCCAUCAGUUGUUCAGAAUCAUCAUCUUGGAUACAUGCGAUGCAUGAUGAGAUGGCAUCUAUGUAUCAUAAUGAGGUUUGGGAUUUAGUUGAGUUACCAGAUGGAUGCAGACCAAUUGGUUGCAAAUGGGUUUUCAAAACCAAAAGAGAUGCCAGAGGUCAGGUAGAGAGGUAUAAGGCCAGGCUUGUGGCUAAGGGUUUCAGUCAAAGAGAAGGCAUUGAUUACACUGAAACCUACUCUCCUGUUUCUACCAAAGACUCUUUUCGUAUUAUCAUGGCAUUGGUAGCUCAUUUCAAUUUAGAAUUGCAUCAGAUGGAUGUGAAGACAGCUUUUCUUAAUGGGAGCUUGUCUGAAGAUGUAUACAUGGUGCAACCUGAUGGUUUUGUUGAGUCUGGUAUAGAAAACAUGGUGUGUAAGCUUAAAAGGUCCAUUUAUGGACUUAAGCAAGCAUCCAGACAGUGGUAUUUGAAAUUUCACGAUAUUGUCACCUCUUAUGGGUUCCAGGAGAAUGCCGUUGAUCAGUGUAUAUACUUGAGAGUCAGUGGGAGCAAGUAUAUCAUUUUGGUGCUUUAUGUGGAUGAUAUCUUGCUCGCUGCUAAUGACAGUAAUUUGUUACUUGAGACAAAGCAAAUGUUGUCAUGCAGCUUUGAUAUGAAGGAUCUUGGUGAAGCCCAUUAUGUAUUAGGGAUAGAGAUUCUUCAUGAUAGAUCUAGAGGAAUUCUAGGUUUGUCUCAAAAGACUUACAUUGAUCGCAUUUUGAAAAGGUUCAAUUUGCAGUCUUGUGCUCCUGGGAAAGCUCCAAUUUCGAAAGGUGACAAAAUUUCCAAGUCUCAAUGUCCCGAUAAUGAUGUAGACAAAGCUAGAAUACAAACAGUCCCGUAUGCAUCCGUUGUGGGUAGCUUGAUGUAUGCUCAAGUCUGUACUCGCCCUGAUAUUGCUUUUCCAGUGGGAGUACUUGGAAGAUACCUGAGCAAUCCUGGAUUUGAACACUGGAAGGCUGCAAAGAAAGUACUCAGAUAUUUGCGAGCCACUAAAGAUUUUGUAUUGACAUAUCAGCAAUCUGACUAUUUGAAUAUAGUUGGAUAUUCUGAUGCUGAUUUCGCAGGGUGCUUGGAAGACAAGAAAUCCACAUCUGGUUACAUCUUUAUGAUGGCAGGAGGAGCUAUAUCAUGGAAAAGUGUCAAGCAGACACUUAUAGCUUCUUCAACAAUGGAAGCAGAAUAUGUAGCAUGCUUUGAGGCUACACGUCAUGCUUUAUGGAUGCAAAAUUUUAUCACAGGGCUAGAUUGUAUAGUGGCCGUACCGAGGCCAUUAAAGAUAUACUGUGAUAAUUCUGCUGCUGUUUCUUUUUCUCACAAUACAGGGAGUUCCUCACGUUCCAAGCACAUUGAUAUUAAAUACUUGUUUGUGAGAGAGAAAAUUGCUCUAUCUUGUGUAUCAGUAGAGUAUAUCCCUACAGAACUCAUGUUAGCCGAUCCACUUAUUAAAGCUUUAGCUCCAAAAGUAUUUAGGGAGCAUGUAACGCAUAUGGGAUUAUUUGAAUCCACUUAUAUAUGCUGAGUCAGUGGGAGUUCUGGUUUGUAUUAUGAGUUGCAACUUAAAUGAGCUUAUGUAUUACUCAUUUUGUUAUCAUGCAUGCAUGUUGUUAUGUGAUAUUGAUAUGCCAUAUAUUGUGUACACAUUUGGCUGCGUAUGGCAUUAUGUAUAGAAUGAGGAUACGAUGGUCCGAGACAUUUUGCUCAGUCUCAAUAUGGACAUUAAAGACUGAAGCAUUAUGAUUUUCUUCAGUGUGCUUUCUUGAGACAUUUUGAUUUAGUCUCAUUAUGAUUAAAAAGGAAGCUCGCUUCUCGAGACAUUUUGCUAUAGUCUCAUUAUGGUUAUAAAGAAGCGAUGGUCUAGGAGACAUAUUGUUUUCGUCUCAUUUUGCUAGACAUCUGGACUUUAUGGAAAUGAGCAUGUUGAUCACAUUGUCAUGUUAUUUCCAUAAUUAUACUUGUAUACUACUACAUGGUCACGUGUUUAUAAGUGUCUUGUUAUAUGGAGCAUCCUGUCGGUGCACAUAUGAUUUGAUAUUUAUGGCACAUUUUGGACUUGUUUAUGUUCUGGGUGAUUGCUUGUAUUUGACCUUUUGUUAUAGUCACAUAUUGAUUAAUUCGGUUGUUUUCAAAAUAUUAUUUUAUUUUAAAUUUAUCAUUGGAGUGAUUUCUGUCGUCCAAGUGGGAGAUUGUUAGAUUUAUUUCUCAUAUUAUGUGGACUGACAUAAAUCAUUCUAAUUGUUUUCUAUAUUUUACCGAAUUAAUACGUGACUAUUGUCAAAUAUUAUGGAGCAAUUUUGACAUACCUUGUACAGUAGUAUAUUAUGGACAAGUAUAUCCUUAAUUGUGUUAUUUUCGCCCAUAAUGGGAUGGGCAAUUUUGUACUAACACAUGAGGGGUCCCUGCGCUCAACCACUGUAUUUAAGUAACUUCAGCCCAUUGGAAGUUAACUGUUCAAGAAAUCUGUGGCAUGAGUGCAGUGCAUCUCUCUCUCCCGUUUGUCUCCCGUGUGUGUGCACAGUAAAUUUUGAAGCAAGCCGAUCCUUGAGCUAAGGAAAAGAAAGCGGAAUUCAGAAGCUAAACCGAAGCAGCAGCAACUCUGUUGAAGCUCCAUAACAAGCUGCAAGCUUGGAUUCAUGGGAGAUCGUGGUAAAUUUCGAAAUUUACUACAAUAUGUGUUUAAUUUGGAAAUGCACGAUUAAAGGGCAUAAAGUGUGUUUUUGUUUCAUCAGGGAACUCUCAAAACAAAAUACUCAAAUUAAAUUAAAUUAGACCAAAAGACGCUCAAUGACGCAAAAUCUGCCCAUAAAAGCCUGAACGAAUCAUGAAAAGUGCAUUCCAUAUUGACAGUAAACCAAGUGACCCAUUCUAAACAAUUGAGAUGAAAUUGUGAAACAACCCACGAGAUCAAAUAAAUAAAAUAAGAAUUAAUUACCAGCUGGGACUUUCUUCUUCAAAUUCGUAACUCCAAGUCAUAAGAAGCCAAUGAAAUUAGUCGUAAUCCACAGAGUAUGACGACGACCCCGCCAACAGCUGAAAAUAAAAUUCUUAUUCAUCAAUUUAAACUAACUUUAUAACAAAUAUCUUAUCGAUAUUUUAUUUAAAAAGAAAAAGCAAAUUUUGUAAAAUUUUUCCAUGGGAGAUAGAGAGUAACACGUAUAUCCGUACCUUCUCAGCAUGUAAUUGUUGUAUGGUCGUGUUAAGAUCAUUACUAGCCCAACGCCGUUGAUUCGAUGUCUCUCCAUACCAGACGUUUACUCUUGGAGGCGUGCUUGAUUCUCCUCUAGUGAAAAUCUUCAAUUUGGGACAACCAAUCACAGAUAGAUCUUGCAAAGAUGGGAAUUUGAAGGUGUAAUUGGCAGAGCAGAAACUUGUGAGGCUGUCUAAAUCACGCAGUUCCAACCUCUUCAAUUUGCGGAAAACAAUCUCUUCUUUUUCAACCCCGUCUUUGUCAUUUAUUACCACCUCUGUCAUUGCUCUGCAUCCGUAUACACAAAGUGAUACGAGUCGCACUAGAGUUUUUGCUGUGGAGGAUGUUACUAAGUGUAUCAAUUUCUUGCAAUCGAAAGCUACAAGUUUUGUUAGGUUCCCAAAAGAUACCGAUGAUGUUGGCAAUAGAAUUAACAGACUUUGACAAUGAUAUACUCUUAGAAUUUCAAGAUACUGAAAAAUGGGGCCAAAUUUGGAGUCUUGUUUGCACAGCUGCUUCAGAUGAUAGUGCCGGUACAGCUCUAAUUCUUUUAUCAUUGCCAACUUCCCCACAUGUUUCUCUAAGCAUCCUUCCAUCGAAAAUACCUCUUCGUGGAAUGAAAAAUAACACAGUACGAGCAUUUCGAGAUUGUGAAAUCUCUCCAGUACAUUCCAGAUUGGAAAACAAGCUGAGUCAUCAGCAGCAAUCCCUAGAUCUCUAAGACUGCCAAAAAGGUGUUGUGGGAAAUCGGCCUGCAAAAUCAUCUUCACGUCUUUUCCGCAUAGUGAUAGUUCCGUCAAGUUGGGUAAGAUCUGAUCAUCAUCAAUCAUAAUAACUAAUAAGGUCAAUUGAUGUUUUCUCAAAUGAUUUUGAGUAAUCCAAUCAUAAGCAGUGAGUUUAUAGUAUUUGUUUUAUAUUAUAUUUUAAAAAAAAUUGUAUUAUUGAUAAAAUUUAUUAAAUGAUUUUUUAUAUGUUAAUUUUAGAGGUAAAAAAGAAAUUAGGGAAAAAAGGUUGAUUUAUACUGACUCGAAAUUAUUUUAUUGCACAAUAAUAAAUUACUAAUUUAUUUUGUAAGUUCUUCUAUAUGGAAAGACUCAAGAUUCUUUUACAAAUGCUAUACCUAAAAAAGUUUAUAUAAUCAUUAAUCUACCACAUUGAUCCCUUAGUCUAGACUAGCAAAGAUUAUUGUAUAAUAAAAGUUUUCAAUUUAUUGAGCAUUAAUUUAUCAAAGUUAAAAAUAAGCUAUAGAUAAAAAAUCUAGAAAAUGGCUUCAUACCUUUUCCAACGGCAAUAGGGGCUGUUGUGCAGGAAUACCAAGUUGAUCAUUCCCAUUAUUCUGCGAUAAAUCUGCCGUGAAUAUCUUUAAUCUGUCACAACGAUACACUAAAAGAAUUUCUAGGGCGGGCCAUUCCGAAGUAUGCAUUCCAGGGUACAAACAUCUAAGUUUUGGUAGAUCAUGGAGUAUCAAAGUGGUGAGCUGUGGAAAGACAAAAUAAGGGAUCACUUGAUCUGCUCUGUUUUCAGAAAUGAUCUCCUGUAAAUCCUCACAGGAGCGUAUUUCUAGGCGUUGGAGCUGCUUAAGGCUUCCGAUCAUAGACGCUGAAAAUAUGUAUUUUAAUUUGUGACAACCCCACACAAUCAAUCGUGUUAAACUUUGAAAGUGAGGAAACACUGCAGCUGGAAUUUGAUUGUAGUGCCAAAUCUUGUCGACAUUAAUUUCAGAUAUCUCCAAAGCCUCCAAGUUAGGCAACGCAACCUAAAAAGAUAAGAAUUUCUUGUUGAAAAUUUCUCUUUGAUUACAAAUUAAUGCAAGUCAGAAUCAAUUUCCAACUGACAGCUGAGUAUGCAUUCUAAUUCAUACUACUUGUUAAGAGCUCAAUUAGUGAGUGCGUGAGAUUAUUUUUUUCCCCAUUGUUUUCAUUUUCUUUCAAUUCUCUAAAUGAUUUAAUUAUUUUCCACGUUUGACAUAAGAGAACGCAUGAUAGAAUAAACUCUGUUAUAUAUAUAUAUGAAUAAAAUGUUAGCCUACGCACCUUCUCAUUGAAAAGCAAAGUUGAAAUAUCCAAAGUGAUUUCGCUGGAGCAAUACAUAGUCGUCGAUUCCUCUUGCGACACUUGUCUGUUCGGUGAUGCUGAAGGAGUCUCCACCUCACGGCAAAAACUUGUAACCUCUGGAAGAUUCCCCAGACUCAAAGAUCUUAAUUGAGCAAACUCUAUCUUCUCAAUUGCAUUAUCAACUUCUUUCCCAAUUGCAAAAAUCUCUUUCAUCUUGCUGCAAUUAAUAACUGCAAUUCUCUCAAGUCUUGGAAGGCAUUUUGUAGUAGAGAGCCAAAAGAUAUUACUCAACUUAUCACAAUUAUAUACUUCUAUGUUUUUGAGUUCGUUGAAAGACUCUACUUUGAGCCGAUCAAUACAUAUCCUCUCCAUGUUGAUCAAAUUGUGAAGGGCAAGUGACUCCAAAAGAGGAAAGGCAUCACAAGCGACCAUCUCCCUUGAAUCGACGAUACAAAAGAAGUCAGGAUUAUUUUGAACCCAGAGGACCUUCAAUUGUGAAAAGCCCUCCGUGUCCAAAUUGAAAAGAACAUUCUCGAUGCCUUGCAGCUUGUCCAACCGUAAGUAUUGAACGUUAUUGAUGCCUUGCAAUUUCAUGGAGCAAAUGUCCAUAAAAUCAAGCUUGAGCUUCAAUGCUCUUGAAAUCUUGCGAUUACUGUCGAUCAAAAAGUGCAGCUGACUUUUAAACCAAUGUUGUCCAAAAAGCAUGGGAUGCAUGAAUAACCCAUUUCCAAUAUGUAUUUUGAACCUUUCGAGCUUUCUGGCCAAAAAGCCUUCUGGUAACAUACUCUCAUUUUUAACAUCAAUUUCUAGAGUAGUUAGCCGAGGUAAAUGCAUCAAUUCGUCAAGGCUAGCAUUACUUCUUUUGCUGUUGGCUCUUUCAACCUCCCAUUCAAUGAAGCAAUUACCCAUAUACAAUUCUUCUAAUCGGAUUAAGCUUGAUAUGACAUUUGGGGCAAUAACUUUCAGACGGAAACAGUGUUAAAUCUAACAGCCUUAGCUUAGUCAGUUGACCCAGUGCUUUAGGCAACUCUACAAUAUCAGAUUGCAAAAAGCUAAGGAUUUCUAGAUUUUCCAACUUUCCAAUAAUGGCUAUGUCUAUGCCUCCGAAAAUGCUUUGAUUAAGACAAAGUGUCUGAAGAUUUACUAGAAGACCAAUUGAAGAUGGCAAUGACAAUAACCGCAUUCUAGUCAAAUCCAAAACCCGAAGCUUUUUCGUCCUUUUGAAGAAGUUCUCGGGAAUAUUAGGCACAGCAAAAGAGUUCUUGGGAGACAUGAAUAGAAGUUCAAGUUGUAGAGAUUCCGACCCUUCAGGAAUGUCAUUAACAAUACUAUCUUUAAAAGAAAUUGCAAAAUAUUUUUUAAUUCAUCUGCAUUUGGCCAUUUCCAAUCAUCCUCAUUUCUCACCACAAAUGCAUUCAUGUCACGAAAUGCAAUUGAAAUGGCAACAUCGCGAACAACAUCGUGCAUAGAAAUGUAUUUACUGCCACCAUCCUCAAGCAACAAACAAGAGUCUCUUAGUUGAUGGACCCAUGCAUGUAAUUUGUUAUGUGCAUCUUCUAGCUUAUGGACACUUUUAAAUACACCCAAGCCCAUGCUGUAUUUGAACAAAUCCAUAAUUGGUGCUGGCGUAAUAAGACUACACAGUAAAAAAGUUUUCUUGAGUUGCUCACCUCUUAAGUACUUGUAACUCAGCUCAAUUGUUGAGUAUGCCUCUGCUGGUACUCCUUCGUCGAAGCUUGCCUCUGAAGGCGUUUGGAGUUCUUGCAAGGCAUUCUUCCACACAGGCAGCUCUUUUUUUCUCAGUGCCUUUGCUACUGUGGUUAGGGCAAUAGGCAAACCUCCGCAUGCCUUGGCUACACUUGUUGCUGUAGAUUUUAACUCACGAUUUUCAACAUAAUCACCAGCCAUUAUCUUGAACAAUCUCCAGGCUUCUUGUUCAUUUAAAAUGCCAAUCGAGAAGUUUUUUUCAGAUCCCAUCCUUAACAGCACAUCAAGAUCUCUUGUUGUGAAUAAUAAUUUACAUCCUCUGUGCUCAACUCCAAAAGGAAUGCCAAUAGUCCCCAAAUCAAGAGGAUUCCAGAUGUUAUCGAGAAUCACAAGGAUCUUCUUCUCAUUCUUCAAUCUUUCAUAUAGUCUACUAGCUCUUCUAGACUCAGCUUCCUCGGACAACUCUAGGCCUAACGUUUCCGCAAUUUCCUCUUGGAUCUUUCUUAUGUCUGGACAUUGGGUAACCUCCGAAAAAACCACCAUAUCGUAAAGCUUGUCUUCAAUGGCUCGCCUUGCAAACUCCUUCACCAGUGUCGUCUUUCCAAUGCCGCCCAUGCCGUACACCCCAAUGAUGCUGACAUCAACAUCGAUCAAUGCAUUUUGUAUGGCCUUCAAAGUAGAAAGUCUUGAUUCGAAGGCUUCGUAGCCUUUGUGAGACUUGAGCCAUAUAUCCUCCGGAAUGGUACGGUAGGAAAUUCCAUCAACAAAUCUCCCAGCUUCUUCUCGGAGUUUAACAAUGGCCUUCACCUUUGUUUCUGCUUUCUUGCUAAGCUGAUAGCGGGUCUUCAAAUUAGGACACAAGCCCAUGAGACAUCGUUUAUUUGUUGUCUUCUCAUCAUCAAUGAAUUUGGCUGCCUGCUCAAUGAUGAUGUUCGCACUAACCAGCCACUUCUCAACCUUCUCUUCAAUAUUUUCCCCUUUUCUUUCAGCCUCAGAAACCCUGUGCUGAAUGCUUCUCCUUUCAUCCUUGAGCUUGUCUAUUUCUGCCUUGAGUUUCUCAACGUUGGCUUUAUAGUUACGCAAAUAACCAAGUCGGCGUUCUGUUGGAGGAGCCAAGCAUUUCACAAAUUCUAAAACAAUAGUAACAAUGCUUUCCACCAUCCUGGAUCCCUUUUCUUUUUUUCGAAGUUUCUGACAAGAAAAUAAACAAUGAGCGAAACACAGAGAGAGUGAGGAGAAAAAGAAAAAGAAACGCAAAGAUGGACAGUUUAUCUGGUUGUGGAAGCGGAGAAAUGAAAGAAAUCGUAAUAGCUGUUAUGGAUCUGCUGAGAAGAUGGAAACAAGGAAAAGGUUUCUAGUUCAACAACUGGAUUGCGAGCGGAGAGACUAAUUAACAAAGACUGGAGAUUACAACAAAGCAGAUGCCAAGAGAAAAGUUGAUCCAGUGAAAUUCAAGAGAGUUGACAGCAAAAGGGAGCAAAGAUUAAUAACAAAACAGCAGUGACUACAAUGAACAAAAGCAUAUGCGUUUCUUGAUUGAGAAUGAGUGCAAAGAAUGAUCCUUAAUCAAUAAAAUAUCUAACAAUAUCUUCACCGAAAGUUUGAGACAUGUGAUCCUUAUUCCACUUCGUCAAUUACACUCCAGACCAAUGCUGCCGUCAUUAUCGAACGGUCGAUAUCCAACACUUGCACGAAGAUUCCAAGAAGUUGCGUGGCUGCCGACUUUUAGAUGCAAAGCCUCAUUGUGUCGAUGUUACACGAAAGAGAGCAGUCCGGGUAAUUGCCAAAACUUAGAACUAAACAGUAGCUUAGUCAGAAAAUCAAACGCCAGUACCGGUAAAAUGACCGAUAAAAAUAUAAAAAAACAAAAAUUUUAAAGUUUUACUUCAUUGCUUUUUUAAUCUUAUUACUAUUUCUCCUUGCACUUCUAAAGAAACCAAAGCUUUAAAAGAAAUCAGCCAAAUCACGAAGAUUGAAAACUAAAUCUAUGGUUUUAGAUUUUUAUUUUAUUUUUUUAGAUAAUAGAUAUUGUUGAGUAAUGAAAAGUACCAGCUCAGCUAUCCCCGCUUCCCUCACCUUGGGGCGAAUCUCCCCAGAUGAAUGGCACAAGCAGAUUCCUGGUAAUACAUCCUGUACGGGGCAUAUGCCAACUAGAAACGAGUACCGACCAGAUGUACAUACCGACCAAGUACUCAUUAUUCAAAGAAAGAGGACACGAACUCACAAACUCACGACAAUUUUGUUAUGCCCCAAACCGUUGGGGAGAACAUGACGCCCCACGUUUACCCACGAUUCGGUGGUUGGAGACCCAUGAAGGUUUGUCAUCACCCGAAAAUGAGGGGCAUGAAUAAGACUCAGAAAACAGGGGAUGAUUGCCUAUAAAAGGCCAAGAAAUCGAUGAAAAAUGGGAGACACAAAUUGAGAGUAAAGGGGAAACUCUGUCAAAUUAUAAUCAGAAAUUCAUAUAUCCAAAUCCUUGAUACAUUUGGUAUUGAGAAUAUUGCAACUAAUAUGUACAACACAAAUCAUUCACUUUUCUCGUAAACACCUUGUACUAACUUAAGUAUCGAAGGGUUUAUGCCCAAAAAACCAUCGGCGUCUCUGAUUUGUUUCUGUGAACGCAGGCCUGGAAGGAAGAAGACGGGUGAUUUGGGUCCCAGAAGCUCGGGAAAUUGCUGAAGCUAAUGGAUCGCAGCCUCUGUUCCUUUGCCAAUACAAGCGUUGGUGAACCAAUCUGGUCGGUCCAAAGGCGACUAGAUUUCAGCAUCAACAGAUAUUAUUUUGAUGAAUUUUUUAAUAUUAGAAUAAUGUUAGGAAUUCCAAUAAUAAAAUUCUAACUUGAGACCCAAUUGUUAUGUGUUAUUUUUUUAUUGAAUAAUGAAUUUCACAACUAAUAAAAUUUAUAUUUCCAUCAUCUAAUAAAUGACUACCAUAUCAGUUGGGACUCAAUUAUUAGGAUCCUUAACAUUGCUCUUAGUAUUAAAUUGGACAUCUUAGCUAAAUCAGAUUAAAAAUCAAAUUAGUUUUUAGGCUUUUAUUCAACAUCUCUUUUUUUUUUUUUUUUGUCUAUUGGAAGUGAACGAAAUAAAAAUACAACAGGGUCAACGACUGGGCAAUUGGUAGUCAAGUAGAAGCAAAUCAAGGCUAAAUGGGAAAGAGAAAUGAUAUUUGUGCAAAAUAAGGAGAAAAUCAGUGUAACAGAAGAGAAUCAAAGUGCUUUUGAGAUAAAAAAUUGAAACAAGAAAAGGGUCGCUUGAUCCAAUGAAAAUGCAAAGAGCUGAUGGCAAAAGGGAACAAAGUUAAAUAAGAAAACAGCUAGCGCUAGCAGCGACCACAAUAAACAGAAAAUUUGAGAUGGAUUUACAAUAUUUCUGCCUUUCUUUAUGCUUUAAAAAAUAUUGCUCUAUCAAAAAAAAUAUUGAACAUUUUUAUUAUUGGAGUCACAAAUGACCUACACAAUAUAGCAAGUGACUAGGAAUAAAUAAGAAUAUAUAACUCUCUCUAAUUCUCACUCUGGCUUUUAAUUGUCACUCAAAACCCAGAAUUCAUCCUUAAAGUGUAGGCAAAUCAAGGAUGACACCGUUUGGUUGUCAUACGUGCCUUUUAGUUUUCGGAUGACAUGGCGUACACUUCUUCUGUAAACCCAACAAGACAUGUCGUACUCUUUUGUUUUGAGAUUCUAUUUCAAACUUUUCAUGCUAUGAAUGAAAGAUAAACUCCAAUCAUCAAAAUAUUUAGUGUUUGUUUGGUAAUGUAAUGUCAUAGUUGUGAAUUGAAAUUAUUUCUAUAAAAUAAAAGGAUUUGGGUCAUUGUUUGUUAUUUUCUGACAACAUUUAUUAAAUAUUAAAAAAUAAAUUUAUAUUUAUUAGGUAUUAAAAAUAAAUAAACAAACAAAAAUAAAAGUAAAAGUUUAUACAUUACGUAAAAUAAUGACAAUAUCAAUAUUUCGCACUCUAUAAUUGAGUGAUGUGUUGUCCAACUGGCAUACAUUGGUCCCAAACGGAGACUUAAAUAUCAAAGUCCAAAGUUAUUAUGAUGAUGACUUAUAAUCGCCAAACUUGACAUACGGGUAAUCAUGCAUUAUAAGGUGCUAAUUUCUUCCGAUCGGAACCUUAUUUUUCAUUUACAAAUAAAUAAAUGAUGUGACUUCACGGUUGGCGGGGUCCUUUGUGUCAUUUGGGCAUUUCACUAAAUGAUUGAUUGUAGCAGGAAGAUUCCUGGAAGUUGCCAUUUGCCAAUGCUACUAACAUUUUCAAACUUGGAAAACCCUUCAAUCAAUCUUUUAGUGGUAGGCUCUGGUAACUUGGUUUGAUUAUGACGUAUAAUUAUUUGAUAAUAAAGUUAGAGGAUGUAUUAAUAUAAAAUUUGUUUAUUGGUGUUGAAGUUAAUUAUCUCAUUAAUAAUAGUAUAAAAAGUUAAUUACUAAGAAACACAUAGCAAUAGUUAAUUGGUGUCAUAUUAUUGGGAUUCUGGGAUACAAUUUUAUAUCAUAACUUUGUAAGUGUAUACUUACUCAUCAAACUAAUAAAAUUAUUUAAAAAUUUCAGUUGGAAAAAAUAAAUUAUAUUAUUUUCAUUUCAAAUAAUCUAUAAGUUAACUCAAAACAUAAUCAAGCUGAGAAUUAAAAUAAUGCUACUGUAUGAGAGGAUUUUUAUUUUUUCCCGAAGUUUCACUAGGAAAUUAUUGAUACAUAGCUUUAUUCGGAUCAUCUCAGUUCAAACGACAAAUAAUUGAAAGACUAAGCUAAAUAGACCAGCCAACAACUUUGUACAAGAGAGUUCAAAAAUUAAGGUCAUGGUAUUAAGGUGUUCUAUCUUGAAAAGUAUAGAGUAGUAAUAAAAUAAAAACUAAUAGUUUUUGGUAAGAUAUGACAUUUAAAUAAUAAUUUUCACAAAAAUACAAGGAAUAUUUAUAAAUUACUUUUAUAGUGAGGGGACCCUCACUCUGUUAAAGUGAAAAUAUCAAUAAUAUACAAAAGACAUAUAUUUUAACACAUUAAAAAUUGUAUUUUUUUUAUCUAUUGGUGUAUUGAAAUAUGUGUUAUUUAGUUUGUUAGUGAUAUCAUUACUUUGUUAAAAUGAGAAUGUCGUUACUAGAGAAUCAUUAUGUAUACAUAUAUAAAGUGCUUCUGUCCAAGACCUAGACUUUAUUAAAAUUUGAGAAAGCAAAUAUAUUUUAUAUGGUAUAAUAGUGUAAUAACAUCACACUAUUAUAUCAUAUAGAGUAAUAGUUUUUCGAACUUUAAUAAAAUUCAAGAUUAUAGAAUGAAUGAUUUUUAUAUAUUAUAAAUUUUUUUAUCAUAAAUGGAGGACAAAAUUAACAUAUUUUCAAAUUAUAAUAAGCAUUUAUCAAAUAAUUUAACAUUGCAAUUUCUCCUAACUAGUAUAGUAAAUAAUACGACCUAGGAGAUACAUUCAAAGCAUUUCAUAAGUUAGUUGUUAAUAAUAAAUUAUAUAUGCAGCUCCAAUCAUCAUUGUACGGUGAGUAAUUUCCAGUUAUAAAUAGAUAUUACUCCCUUCCCAGCAAUUUUUGAUGACUUAAUUUAGUGGGAUCAAAAUCAACAUUGAAUUUUUGACCAGCUGCCAACAACUUGUGAGCAGUUCACAGUGGGUACUGCACAUGAUGCCUGUUUCUCCUUUUGCAUCUAUUUUUGUUGUUAACAUUAAUUUCAAUAGCAGCUCGUUAAUCCCAUUUGUUGAUUUGGGACUAGAUAAGAAUUUAUCUUGGAACUCCAAUUCUCCAAUUAUUUUAGUUGACAAUAUAUUUAACAUUAUUAAUUGCAUAUUAUUUAAUUAUCAGUAUAUAAUAUUCUUUAAUUUUCUAAUUUUAUAGGAUUAGACACAAAAUUGAUUAUGCCUUUUGAAAUUUAAGGGUUAUGUCAAUUGAAUAGAAAACUUGGAGGUAAACUUGUGGAUGUUUUUGUUGAUUAUCAAUUUAUGCAUGAAUUUUUGUACGUUUACUUUGGUUUAUAAUUAUUACUUUUAAACAUUUUUAUUGGUUUGAUUUAGGGUCAAUUUGGUAAUCCUGUAGCUUUUAAAAUAAUUACAAUUAGCUAUGCUGUAGAAAUUGAUCAAUCGUCAAGAGAAUCAGCUGAGCAUUUAGUAAAAUUUAUUUUUAAAAGUACUUUUAGUUUUAAAAGCGUUGUAUGAAUAAAACUGUUACACUAAAAAUUAAAUGUAUUGCCCACUUGGGUAAAUAAAGCUAUAUAUUACAACUGUUACACUAAAAAUUAAAUGUAUCUUAAACCCAAACUUCUUCUUCUUCUUUUUUUGACUAACAAAAUUAAAAACAAUAGUGAACACAUUCUUUAAUAAACAAUAAGUAAUAAAUAAAAUCGUGUUAAAUUUCUUAAAAACUUUCUUUCACGGUUUGCUAAAUAUUUUUAUUAGUAUUUUAAAUAAAUAAAAAUAGUUGAUUUAAUUUUUUUAAAUAAACUUAUUAGGUUCAUGUAAAGAUGUUUUUGUUAUUUUAAAAAGUGUAGAAAGUACUCCUAAAAAAAAGCGUAGAAAGUAAAACUUAAUUUUUUAAAUUUAUUAGCUGAGUGCAUAAAUAAUUGAGUGUUCAUAAUGAUUUUUAAAGUAUAGAUAGUCGGACCCUAAUAUUUUUAAUAAAUGGAAAUUUUGCUAAUAUGUUAAUGAGAAUUAAAAAGAUAAUUAAGGGAGGCAAUCGAGACAUUCAGGAUAGUUAGGAUGGGACAUGAUUGUGAGCGGUUAGAUAUUGGUCCUAAUUUUGAUCACAAAUAUAUAAACAGGACGAGUUUAUCUCUACUUACAUUCCAUUUGAUAAUUAAGAUGAGAGUGGAAUUGUCAAAUCCCAAAUCAUCCCGGACCACUGCCACCAAGGGUACUCUCACUAAUAAUAUCUAAAGAAAAAUCUACAUCUAUUUCAUACUUUUUUUUAAUGGAAAGAGCCCUCAUGGGGCUUGAAAUGGUAUCCUAAAUAAUAUUGAGAAUAUCAGGUCAUGAUUGGGUUUGUGACAAACAAAUACUACAUAGUUGGGAUACGUAGUUAUAAUGUCCCAAUUUAUGUAGUAUCUAUCAUUUAGCGCACAUAUAAAAUAUUAAUCAGCUUAAUUAAUUUAUAAAAUUUAAAUCUAAUUAAUAAGUGAUACAUAAAUGCCAAGUGCAAUACUGUAUAUGCAAAUCAUGUUUGUGGAUCAUUACAAAAUUGGCUCUUGAAAACAAGCAAGAAAGCUUAAUUAAGAACUUAAAACAAAAGAAUUAGAUUGAGAACAGUCAAGCCUUAUUUUUUCAAGGAUGGAGCUUAUAAAUCUUCAAGUACCAACAUACGCUUGGCCCAAUUGUUGUUAUUAAAAUUUCAAUAUACAUAUAUAAGUAUGAUAUAGCAAAAAUUUGAUGGUACAUAUGUCGGAAUAUACUAGUUCAUGGGUGCAUUUGAUUAUUGUUUCCAUAAAUUUGAACCAGGAAGGACGACACGAUAAAAUUUGAUUUUAUGGUAUGGUUGAUUUCAUAGCUCAUGCACUCAUUUCUUAAGAUAAUCAAAUUUUCUCUGACAUCUUUUUCAACUGUCGAAAUAUCAAUUAUGAUCAAUCAAAACGAUUUCAAAACCUUUCAACGAGACAUAUUUCUAAUACAAUAUUGUGAAAAUUACACUAAAAAAUUAAUUUAUUAUAUAUUAUUAUCCAACGAGCACACAAAAAUGAUUUCGUACAAAUCUAAAAUACUAAGCAAUUUUCAAAUAGAAUUUACCAUGUACUACAAGAAAAUAGGGUAUAUGUGACCCCUACUGUGAAUGCAAAAGCAGCCAUUACGCAUAACCCCGAGUUGCUUUUGUUACCCUUUAUGUGACGGCCACACUGCUGUCACAUAUGUUACGAACCGCGUGACGGUGAAGAGCCGUUCGGUAUACUAAUAUUUUAGAAUUUUAAAUUUAUUUCCAGUUAGAAAACUAUUCGCUGGACUCCGUGUUGCUGGCCACCAUCGUAAACAUAACUGGUUGCCAGCGAACGGCGUAAAACGCCGGCCAUCUUCUUCUUCAACGUAUUCUCCCUUCAUCUUUUGAGGUAAGCUUGUGAUUAUGAGUUUCUUCUCUUACUUAGCUUGUAAUUAUAGAUUUUGAUUUUUUUUAAUUCGUAUUGUAGCCGUUAUUGUCAAUUUUUGUCCCGCCAGCAAUAUUUUUUUAUUCCUACAAGUUGAACCCCUGUGUUCUUGUUCCAUUGGUGAGUUUGCUCACUCAAAUUAAUUUUGUUCUGCGGAAUUUACAAAGUUCAAAUGGAUUCAUUUGAAUUACUAUUGAAUUUAGCUUUAAUUCCAACAUCCAUUCUAAUGUUUUGCAAUUAGAUUUAAUUUAAUUUUAUGUUUAAAGCUUCUACAAUGAAUAGCGGAGCUUGGGUUUUAGUUUCAUUUUCUGGAUAACUUGUUUUAGUUUAUCUUGUAUGCUCACCAAAUGCUUGUUAUAUUGUCUGAUAAGUUAUAUACAUUGCUGAUUCUACAUUAAUAAUGUUACGUUGUAUUUUCAGAAAUUAUAAUACAAAAGUUUUUGCAAUGGCGUGCAUCUACAAACUGAAUUGACUUGUAGAAUAAGAGCUCGGAGUAGUGUUAUGUUCUUGAAUAAUUGAAAGUUCAUAUUGUGUAAGAGCAUGUAGAUGUAAAGCAUCAUUACCAUUUCUACAAAGUGCUUUCAUUCUGUUCAUAUGCUCUUCUUGAACUUUGAAAGGUGCCUCGUUCAAGUCCUAGCUAUAACUACUAGCUUUGAUUAAUUAAGUUCCUAUACUAGCUGAAACAGAUUUAUUUAAUUAAUUAAUUGUGUAUGUACUAAUUAUAUUGAAAGUAUAUGAAUUUUUUUUUUAACAUGAAUGACUUCUAAAUGACUUAAAAACCUAAAGGAUGUGUGAAACAAUGCUCAUUUCAUUUGAAUGAGCCCAUUAAUACUUUUAUGUCUAUGAUUUUCAAUAUUGGCUAAAGCAUUUCAGUUAAGUGGUUUACCUAACAGAGAAAAAAAUUUAAUAGAAAACUUCAGAGUUCUAACAGAAAUAUAGUUCACUAUGCAGAUAUAGUUAUUUUACGGUAUACAAAUCAAGUUGUCCUAAUCUCAAUGUCCUAUGACCGAUUUUAUUUUAUAUAGUCAUUAAUUUUUUCCUUGGUUUUUUGUGUUUAUGAGUAUGAAAUAGUGGGAUUUGGUGUACCUUAGCAUCUUUUGAAAAUUCUCUUUCAGUGUGGCCAACAGAAAUAUACAUAUAAUCAAGUUUCUUAAUCGUGUAUAUUAGUUUUGGGUAUGAAUGUUCCUAUUCUAGUUCGAGGCAAAGCUUCUUCGUUUUGGUCUUCAGAUUUCCAGUAGGUUAAGUUAAUCAACUAUCAUAACUGGCUAGCUAGUUAUUGUCUGCCUUGGCGCCAUUACCCAGGCCAUUAUAUUGCAUAGCAUAAGGAAUAGUGAUUAGGGGAUUAUUAGUGAUUUGUUGAGCUUAUUAUCGACCAAACAAACAUAUUCGCCUUUGCCCACAACUUAGUUUGAUUAGUUAUUAGACCAUAAAGAGCCUUGAUCUAUUCAUUGGCUUUAUUAUUUUUAUUUGGUUUUUCUUUCAACAAUAUUGUUGAUUUCUUAUAAAAAUAUUCAUUGGUUUUUAAACACCUAAUCAUUGGCUAUAUGAAGCUAAUUAAAACUGAGGCUUUGGAUCAAUUUCUUCUAACAAGAUACAAAUGAGCAUUAACCUAUCUCCUAUGAGUAAAUUUUUUUAAUAUCCUUGAUUUGUAAGGAUCUGGAGGCCUGAAAUCCUCUAGAUUUUUUUUAACACUGUCAAUGUUCUUUUUAUUCUGAGAAGGAAAUAAAAGGUUUUAUCUUUCAUACCCAAAUAGUAAGCUGGCCUUGUCUUAACAUGGCCUCCCGAGGACUUGCAAGAUUCAUAGUGCCCCCCACCCCAAAAAAUAAAAAUAAAAAACACAAAUAGGAAGAUUUUGCAAGAUUCACCACCAGGUUUUUUUUAAUUUGUUAAUUGUGUGUACGUGCUAGUUAUAUGUUGAAAGAAUAGGAAGAAGUAUUUCAACAUGAAUGACUUAAAACUUAUUGCUCAGUAAACAUAAUCUGCAUGUAUUUAUCGUUUGUAUUUUUUAUGGUUUUGCUAAAGAAAUGAUAUGUGAAAUAAUGCUACAUUGCAUCAGGAAUAAAUUGAAGAGAUUUAUGAUAUUUAUGUGUUAUUCAAAUUUCAGAUUCAAUUUUAAACUUUUGAUACGUGCAUUGAAAGCUUAGACUUGUUUAAGAAAUUAUUAAUAGACACAUGUUUUUAUUAGUGUCAUCUUUGGAUGAUAGUGAGGAUCAUAUGUCUAUUAAUAAUUCUUGAAUUGUCCAGGCUUGGACAGUUUGGGAAUGCAUAGUUCACUCUGGUAGCUAGUAGCUGAAGUUUUUUCCCACGUAAAAAUGGGUUUUUCAGUAGCUGCUCCUCGUGUUCUCUGGGUACGUACUAGGUGAAUGGGUGUCAUGUGUUGUUUUGGCAUAACGCAUAAACACUUAUAUAGCUAUGUCGUGUGCUUGGAGAAUUAUAGGGAGAUGGUGCCGAAAUUUUUAUAAACGUGGAAGAAAACUUUAGGUACUUGAGAUUGAAGAAACUUAUGCAUUCUUGAGUGGGAUAUGUAGGAUUACUUACCUUUUGUAAAUAUGAAGGGAAUGUUGGAUAUAUUGGGGAUAGUGUAGGAGCUGAGUUGGAUGAAUGUAAUUGGUGAUGAUUUUGCUGAGCUGACCUUGGUUUUGAGCUUGUAAUUUUGUUUGUAAAUGGAGUGCUAUCUCCAAUGUUGGUUUAUAAAUAUGUUUCAGGACUUGCUGACCUAAUUUUUUGUUUCUAGGUUACAGGCUUUAUAUAUCUGUAAUUGAUGGCGAAGUGAAGUUCCCAGAACUUGGCGAGGAUGUUUCUUUACAGAAGGUAUUGGAAACUGUUUUUUACAUUAAUUAUUGUUGUAUAUAUACUUUGAUUUUCACAUCUUUUUCUCUGAUUCUUGUGGCUUUGCUUGCUUUCAUAUAUGUAAAUUCUAAUGAAAUUAACCAUAAAAUUGUAAAAUGAUCUUUUUAUUAUAUUGCAAAACUGUGCACACACGAAAAUAUAUUGUUUAGUAGUAGAAAUGAAGAACUAAAAUGAUUUACUUAACUAAUUUUUGUAGCGCAUUAAAAGGAGAUAGUCAUGGACAUGUGUUGGGUUGGUUUGCCAAAUAGAUAUCCAAGUCAUAUACUGAUGGGGAUGAAAAAUUUAUAGAUUUUGCAUUUGAGAAUGUUGUUGGUGGUACAAGAAUUUAAUGUCCUUUUAAGAAGUGUUGUAAUCUAUAUUUCGUUAUAAGGAAAGUGGCUGAUGAUGAUAUGGUUGGAAUGAUACAAUGCAUCACGUAAUCAAAUGUUCAAGUUACACGGAGCAUUGUUAUGGACUAUCAGUGACUUUCUAGCAUUGCCAACUUGUCUGGGUGGAGUAUUAAAGGUAAAUAAGCAUGUCUUGUUUGCCAACAAAACACUAGAUCUAAUUGGUUGAUACAUAGUAGAAAAUUUUGUCACGUGGGUCACCGUCGAUUUUUACCAACAAAUCAUAGGUUUCGAAAAUAUAGUGUCUUUUGAUAAAACUAGAGAGUAGGGACCAGCACAUUCUCGGUUGUCUGGAUCUGAAGUGAAAAAGCAGUUUAAUAUACUUACUGAGUAUAAGAUUGAAGACUUGAAAAUAGGAGAAUGAAUAAAAUGAGAGAAAUGAUAAGAUUACUUGGAAGAAGAAAAGCAUAUUUUAUGAACUACCGUGUUGGGAGUUCAAUUUGAUUCAUCAUAAUCUUGAUCUCAUGGGCUGUUUUGAUUUUUGUUAUGAACUCAGAUCAAAAGUUUAAUGUGAUCAAAAUUUCUUAAAAAUAGUGAAAACGACUCCUAAUAAUAUGGAAGAUGGCUAUAAAAGAUAAAAGGAAAGGCUUAAAAAGAAAAGCCAUGCCUGUCCAAAAAAAAAAAAAAUCAACAAAAAUCAAAACGGUGCGUUUGAGAGUGUAUAAAAUACAUUUAGAGUGGGAGUUGUGUUGUUGCUUGAAGGCAGAAAGAUAUUUGUCGACGAAGCCAAAACCAAAGAUGAAGCCCAUAAAGCUCAAAACUCCACCGGAGCAAAUUCAGACAAUUACGAGGGUUAUGUUUGACAUAGUCAAGGAAGACGGUCCUCUCACCGUUGCCGAAACUUGGGAACGCGUCAAGGUGUGUGUAUCUGUUAAAUUGAAUUUCAACCGUUUGAUCUGUAAUUAUAAUUAAUCCAAUCGAUCUGACAGUGAUCACUGACCAUAAUACUAGUAGUUGUUUUACAUUUUCAGCAGGCUAGAGCGGGUGGAUUGACGGGCAAAAGCUCAGGCUCGUCUGCAAUCACAUGGGCCCUCAUAAGCAAAUCCUGUACACAACUUGGUUCACUAAACCCAACAACUUGAAGCAGCCAAAAUCAGGGAAUGAUCCUUCUCCGUCACAACCCUAGCUGCCUUAACCUUGUAGUGACACGGUGAAGAUGGAAGCCCCUCAGCAUGUAAACUUUUCAACAGCGACAGAGCUCUUAUUCCAGAGGCUGCACAGAAGAGCGACCUGAAUCCUCUUCAAAACUUUCAAAUUUUUAUCAAGUAAAGCUUUCAAAAUUUCUCAACAAACUGAUUAUUUGGUGUGGUUGCCACAUUUUGUGCAACUGCUAUUCGUCUUCAAGUACAAAUUCCUUGCCUUCUAAGUUAGGGAACAUAGAUGUGGAGCAAACAGGGAAAUAGAUGUGGAGCAAACAGGGAAACAGCAAUGAUGGCAAUUAACAAACUAAUAGCAGUAUUACAUUUGAUUCUUUAGCCCAAUUUUGUUCCUUCUGUCAGCCAUUCUUCAAAAGUUUUUGAAAAUUAGAUGUGAAGCAAAAAAAAAACAAAUUUAGACAACAGAAGCCCUGUGCUCAACAUCAUAUAUAUACCUUGAAUACCUAAUAUACUAAAUUUCACAUAUAAAAUACUAGAGAUUUCAAACAGUACCAGCAAUAGAAUAAUGACAACGACAACAAUAACAGAAAAUUACAAGAUUGCUGACAAAAUUUAUGUGAUUUACUGUGCCUUUAUGCAUGCAAAAUGAAACUGAAGAUAAAAAAUUUAGGGAAAAGGACACAGAGACCCCCAACGUUUGAAUAAGGGACACAAAAUCCCUUAAUGUUUCAAAAAAGACACUCAGACCCCCAUUUGUUAACAUUAAAUUAUAAUUUUACCAUUGUACCCUUAUAGCAUAUUAAAAAAUAAUUAUUCAUUAUCCAAUUUAUUUCUAUAUUAUUAAUAAAAUUACGAAUAUAACUUCAUUACUCAAUUUUUCCAUUUAAUUUUUAUCAAAUUUUAUCUUCAAACUAAAUAAAUUUAAUCCAUUGCUCAAAAAUAAAAAUAAAUUAAAUUGAUUAUUAAUAUAAUAAAAAUAACAAUUCUCCAUAUGUUAUUUCUUAUAAUUUCUUAUAUAUAAAUUAAAUUGAUAAUUUCUUAAAAAUAACAAUUCUCCAUAUAUAAAUUAAAUUUAUUUUAAUUUAAUAUAUGUUAUUUUUAUAUUAAAUAUAUGUUAUUUUUAUUAUAUUAGUAAUCAAUUUAAUUUAUUUUUAUUCUUGAGUAAUGGAUUAAAUUUAUUUAGUUUGAAGAGAAAAUUUGACAAAAAUUAAAUGGAAAAAUUGGAUAAUGAAGUUAUAUUCGUAAUUUUAUUAAUAAUAUAGGAAUAAAUUGAACAAUGAACAAUUAUUUUUUAAUAUGCUAUGAGGGUAUAAUGGUAAAAUUAUAAUUUACUGUUAACAAAUGGGGGUCUCAGUGUUUUUUUUGAAACAUUAGGGGUUUUGUGUCCCUUAUUCAAACGUUGGGGGUCUCUGUGUCCUUUUCCCAAAAAUUUAUAAACUAGAAAUUUAUAAUAAUCUAACUUAUUCUCGUUACUAUUAAAAAAUAAGUAAACAUAUCAAUAACAAUAUAGUUUAUUAUGAUUAUAAUUCAUUCAAUUAAAAUAAAUAAUUUAUUCUUAUUUCUAUUCUCUAUUCUAAUUUCAGUAAAUUUUGAUUUUAGUUUAUUUUAAUUAUUGAUUAGUUGUAAACUUAACUGGAAAUUUAUUGCAUAUAUUACGAGAAGCAGUACACACCAAUGGUAAAUUGAUACAUCGUUUUUGAGCUUAAGAUAGUCAAAUGAAAGAAACACAACGUAGGGUUCAUGAAACACUUUCAAAGCUGCUGAUGACUUAAAGUGAAUAACCUCAGCAUGUAAACUUAACUUCAAAGGACGGAGCACAAGUUUCACAGAAAAACAGCUCUUAUUUCUGAUGCUGCGAACACAGAGGAGUGACCUCAAUCUUCUUCAUCACUUGGGAAUUCUGCAAUUAUAGAGCACGACAUUGAGCAUGAACUAGAAAAAAUAUUUAUUUUCUACAAUUUUCAUAUAACCUCACUAACCAAGAUUAAUUUUGUGGUAAUGUAUUGGGUCAUUAAUUCAUAUGUUUUUACUGUCAUCACUUUAGAAAAAACUAAUUUCUCAAUGUGAAAUGGCCCAUAAAAGGUAUUCUCAUUUAAAAACUAAAUUUGACAAACCCCUCGAUUAAAGCAGGGGAGAGAAAAGAAAAAAAAAAAGAUCUGAAGGCUUUCCACAUGAAAAUGUUGUCACUUUGGAUGAUAUUUUCAAGGGAUUUCAUUCUAAAAAUAAAAUACCUGGGACCUUAUUCUUCAAAUUGACAGCUCGCCCAGUACUAAACGCGUAUGAGAUCAGUACUGGGACAAGUAACGAGACGACCCCUCCAACAGCUGAAAAUAAAAUUCGCAUUCAUCAAUUUAAAUUGAAAUUCAUAUUAUGAAAUUAAAACUAAUGAUUAAUGAAUUUUCAAGGAAUUUAAUAAGAUUCUCAUAUAUAAACGUGAUAAAAAAUUCACUCAUCAAUAACAAAUAUUCUAACAUUUUGUUGAUGUAAUUGUUGUAUGGUUGUGUUAAGGUCAUUAUUAGACCAACGCAGUUUGUCAUCACUCAUUCCGUACCAGACGUUUACUCUCGGAGGCGUGAUUGAUUCUCCUUUGGUGAAAUCUUCAUCUUCGGACAACCAAUCACAGUAAGAUAUUCCAAAGAUGGGAAUUUGAAGGCGUAAUUGCCAGAGGAGAAGCUUGUGAGACUAUCUAAAUCAAACAGGGACAACGUAGUCAGUUUGCUGAAAACAAUCUCUUCUUUUAAAUAUGCUGUUUCAUUUCAAGACUGGCAAAAUUCAUUGUGUAAUCAAAGUUUUCAAUGAUCCAACUAAUAUAUAUAUAUAUGUAUGUAUAUUCCUUCUCUAGUGCAGACAUUCUCAUUUUUUUUUUUCAUGUGGACCAGUUUUUAGAUCCCCUGGUUUAAAAGAGUUAGUUUUUAACUCUUUAAAACCGCAUGGCUUCAUAAUUUAUUUAAAAACUAACUCUCUUAAACCGCACGGUUUAAAAGCGUGUCCACAUUAAAAAAAAAAUACGGACCCCCACACCUGAGAAUGAUUAUAUAUAUAUAUAUAUAUAUAUAUAGACACACGCUCUUAAACCGUGGGAUUUGAAAGCUUCUCCGCAUGAAGAAAGUAAAAAAUAAGGGCAUUCCCACUAGAAACAAACUCCAUAUAGGUAUUUAUUAAACCUCCUGAUCUGUGAGUGAGGAACAACAAAUAUAAUUGAUAAAAAAAAUCUAAAAUUUGGUUUCAUACCUUCUUGAACGAGAACAGGGUUGUUGUGCCGGAAUACCAAAUUGAUCAUUCUCGUUAUUCUGGGACAACGUUAUUUUAUCACAAUUACAGGCCUCCAAUGUUUUUUAGUGCUGGCCAUUCUGAAGUAUGCAUUCCAGGGUAUAAACAUCCGAGUUCUGGUAGACCUUCGAGAUUCAGAGUGGUCACUUGUGGAAAGACAAAAUAUGGGGUCACUUGAUCUGCUCUGUCUUUGGAGAUGAUCUCUUGUAAACCCAUACAUAUCCGUAUCUCCAGGUGUUGGAGGUGCUCAAGGCUUUGGAUCAUAGAAGCUGAAAAUAUGUAUUUUAAUUUGUCACAGCCCCACACUAUCAAUCGUGUCAAACUUUGAAAGCCGCAAGUUGAUUGUCAUGCAAAAUCUCGUCGACAUUAAUAGCAUUCAGCUCCAAAGCCUCCAAAUUUGGCAACACUACCUGAAGAUAAUUUUCUCUUUAGAUCCAAUAUCCGUAUGGAAAGCACUUGUUUUGACACAAUAUCCAUAUAAGAAGCACUUAAUUAAGAGCUUAAUUAGCGAGUGUAUGAGACUUUUUUUUUUUCAAAUGCCAGUGCAUGAUAGAACUAAAAAAAAAAAAGAAGCAUUAGCCUACGUACCUUCUCGUUGAAAAGCAGAGUUGACGUUUCCGAACUGAUCUCGUUGGAACUGGCUGUCAAUUCCUCUUGCGACUCUUGUCUGUUUGGUGAUGUGGAAGAAGUCUUCACUUCACCGCAAAACCUUGUAACCUUUGGAAGCUUUCCCAGACUCAAAGAUCUUAAUUGACCAAACUCUAUCUUCCCAUCAACAUCAACAUCAGCUUCUCCUCCAGUUGCAAAAAUCUCUUCCAUGCUGCUGCAAUUGAUAACUGCAAUCCUCUCCAGUCUUGGAAGGCAUUUUGUACUACUAGAGAGCCAGAAGAUAUUACUCAACUCAUCACAAUUUUCUACUUUUAUGGUUUUGAGUUCAUUGAAGGACUCUAUUUGAGUCGAUCAAUACAUAUCCUCUCCAUAUUGAUCAAAUUUUGAAGAGUAUGGGACUCCAAAAGAGGAAAGGCGACACAUGGUUCUCUCUCCAUUGAAUCGACGAUACACAGGAAGUCUGGAUUAUUUUGAACAUGGAGAUGCUUCAAUUGUGAAAAGCCCUCAGUGUCCAAUUCUAAAACAACAUUCUUGAUUCCUUGCAACUUAUCCAAACAUAAGUAUUCAACGUUAUUGAUGCGCUGCAACUUCUCGGAGCAAAUGGCCAUAGAAUCAAGCUUGAGCUUCAAUGUUCUUAAACUCUCAUGAUUACUGAUCAUAAAGUGCUGCCGACUUCAAACCAAUCAUUCUCAAUAACCAGGGUAGAGUCGAAUGAUGCAUCUCCUAUUGAUAUAUCAAACCUUUCCAGCUUUUUGGAAAAAAAGCCAUCCGGUAAAAUGCUAUCAUUUUUAACAUCUAUCUAAGGUGGUCAAUCGCCUCAUAUGCAUCAAUUCGUCGAGGGUGGCAUUACUUCUUUCACUAUUGGCCUUUUCAACUUCCCAUUCAAUAGGGGAAUUACCCAUAUACAGUUCUUCCAAUCGAGUGAAGCUUGAUAAGACGUUGGGCACAAUAAAUUUUAGUUGCAAAACAAUCUGUUAAAUCUAACAGCCUUAACUUAGUCAGUUGACCUAGUUCGCCAGGCAACCGUACAAUAUCAGAAUUUAAAAAGCUAAGGAUUUCUAGAUUCUUCAACUUUCCAAUUAUGGCUAUGUCUCCCAACAUGCUUUGAUCUAGACAGAGUGUUUGAAGAUUGCUAGAAGACCGAUUGAAGAUGGCAAUGAAAAUAAUCGCAUUCGUGUCAAAUCUACAACUCGAAGCUUUUUCAGCCUUUGAAAAUGUUGUCAGGAAUAUUGACCUCAACAAAAAGUGUUUGGGAAAUAUGUAAAAAUUCAAGUUGCAGACAUUCAAAUUCCUCAGAAACUUCAUGAAUGCUACUAUUUAGUAAAAGAGAUUGCAUAGCAUUUUUUAAGUGCAUCCUCAUCUGGCCACUCCCACACAGCCUCAUUUCUCACCAAUAAAGCAUGUUGGUCUCGAUUUAAACUUUAACUCAAUUUGAAAAACUGAGCAAGUAUGCGUUACAGGAAAUCAAAAAAGCUCCACAUACCCAGAUCAUGAUCUCACGUUGAAUCCAGGUGGGAGAUAUAUUUAUGAUCAAGCCCAACAAUCGAAGGGGGCAAAAAAAAAAAAAAAAAAAAAAAUCUACCAGACAUAUGAUCAUAUUGACCACGAGCUUCAUACGCCGUGGAUUUAUUAACAAAAGUGGAAUUAAUUAAUCAUGAGCAUGUGUUCUAGUUAAGUCAAAAGAGAACUUAAUUAAGAACGCAUAUAUAAUUCAUAAUCAGCACAUAAAAAAUCACUAGUGCUUGCCCCUCCUGCCCUUGCCGUGCUUGCCGUGCUUGCCCCUGCCCUUGCUCUUUCCAUGCUGGUAGUAGCCGCCGUGCUUGCCGUGUGUGUAUGCACCGUGAGCUCCAGGAUAUGCGUUAUUAUCUGCAACAAAAUAAGAAAUUAAAUCAUAAGGCUUAUAAUUAGCUCGCUCGCUAAGAGUGAUUAAAAUAAUACCGUGCGGAACGGAUGGGCCAGGAUAUCCCGUUGGUGUGUAACCACUGGCGAGUGCUGCUCCUGUAGGCGGGUAGCCGGCACCGGCUGGGCAGCAUGAUCAGCACCUUCCAUGAUUUUGAUGAUCACCUAAUAAAUAAUAACUUGGUCCAAAAUAAACAACAAUAAAUAAUUGUGAUUAAUAAAAAGUAAUAUAUUCUCUAAUUAAAAACAUUAAUGAUCAUUGGAGAGCAAGCGAGAAAUACUUACUGAAUGCGAUGGGACAGACAACAUCAUGCAUAGAGAAUUGUUCAUCUUCAACGAAUUUGGCUGCCCGGUCAAUGAUGCCGUUAGCACUAACCAGCCACUUCUCAACCUUCUCUUCAAUCUCUUCCCCUUUUUCUUUUGCCUCUGAAACUCUGCGCCGAAUGCUCGUACGUUCAACCUUCAACUUCUCCAUUUCCGUCUUGAGAUUCUCAAGGUGGCAUUGUAGUUCCGCUUGCGCAAAUAAACAAGUUGGCGUUCUGUUGAGGAGCCAAGCAUUUACAAGUUCCAAAACGAGAGUAACAAUGAUUUCCAGCAUCUUGAAUCCUGACAACAAUGUAGAAGUGAAGAAGGCCAAAGGACAGUCAAAACAGAGAGACAGCGUUACGACAACAGUUAUGAGCUAAAAAUAAAUAACAAACAAACAGAAGCAAAGUGUUUUUCGAAUGAGAAGAAGGAAGCAAGAAAAACUUAAAACUAGUAUAAUAAAUUUAUACUAAAACUAGUAUAGUAAAACAAGAAGUCAAGAACCAGCAACUUUUACACACAAAAUAAAACCUUAAAACUAGUAUAAUAAAUUUAUCAUCAAGUUGCAGCCUUCUUAUUCAACAAUUACAGCAUUAUCUUGAGCUCUGUGUUUCUUUUUUUAAAAAUUAUUCAAAAAAAUCUGCAUUUUUUUUCAACGAUAAAAAUUAUAUUUUUGUCUCAUAUAAUAUAAAAUUAAAAAAAAAACAAACAUAUAUUAAAGGUCUGUUUGGGAUUAUUUUUAGAGGCUCAAAAGUAAUUUUUUAAAAAGUUAAAUGCUAAUUUUGGUAUUUAAUAAAAUUUUUAGAAGUCACCUUUGGUAAAAUCAUCAAUCCUACAACAAAUUUUGAAAGCAAAUAGUUUUUCAAAUUUUUAUUUUGAUAAUUAAUUUUAUACUUAAUAUAAUUCCAUAUACAUCCCUACAUAUAUUAAUUAUCCUUAUUAAUUAGAAAAUAAAAUUAUUAACUUUAAAGAUAUUAUCAACAAUUACAUUGAGAUAACAAACUAAAAAUAAAAUUAAUAAUAUAAAAUAUUUAUUUUAGUAAUCAAUUAUUAUACUUACAAGAUAAAAAAUAUUUUAUUUAAAUGUUUAUAAAUGUACAAAUAAAUUUUAUUUAAUAUUAUAUUCAAUUUAGUCAUUUACAUUGUCAAUAGGACUUCUAAAAAUAAAUUUUCCUAAAUGUUUAACUAAUUCUCUUCAUAGUGAUUAUUUNUUUUAUUAUAUUAGUAAUCAAUUUAAUUUAUUUUUAUUCUUGAGUAAUGGAUUAAAUUUAUUUAGUUUGAAGAGAAAAUUUGACAAAAAUUAAAUGGAAAAAUUGGAUAAUGAAGUUAUAUUCGUAAUUUUAUUAAUAAUAUAGGAAUAAAUUGAACAAUGAACAAUUAUUUUUUAAUAUGCUAUGAGGGUAUAAUGGUAAAAUUAUAAUUUACUGUUAACAAAUGGGGGUCUCAGUGUUUUUUUUGAAACAUUAGGGGGUUUUGUGUCCCUUAUUCAAACGUUGGGGGUCUCUGUGUCCUUUUCCCAAAAAUUUAUAAACUAGAAAUUUAUAAUAAUCUAACUUAUUCUCGUUACUAUUAAAAAAUAAGUAAACAUAUCAAUAACAAUAUAGUUUAUUAUGAUUAUAAUUCAUUCAAUUAAAAUAAAUAAUUAUUCUUAUUUCUAUUCUCUAUUCUAAUUUCAGUAAAUUUUGAUUUUAGUUUAUUUUAAUUAUUGAUUAGUUGUAAACUUAACUGGAAAUUUAUUGCAUAUAUUACGAGAAGCAGUACACACCAAUGGUAAAUUGAUACAUCGUUUUUGAGCUUAAGAUAGUCAAAUGAAAGAAACACAACGUAGGGUUCAUGAAACACUUUCAAAGCUGCUGAUGACUUAAAGUGAAUAACCUCAGCAUGUAAACUUAACUUCAAAGGACGGAGCACAAGUUUCACAGAAAAACAGCUCUUAUUUCUGAUGCUGCGAACACAGAGGAGUGACCUCAAUCUUCUUCAUCACUUGGGAAUUCUGCAAUUAUAGAGCACGACAUUGAGCAUGAACUAGAAAAAAUAUUUAUUUUCUACAAUUUUCAUAUAACCUCACUAACCAAGAUUAAUUUUUGUGGUAAUGUAUUGGGUCAUUAAUUCAUAUGUUUUUACUGUCAUCACUUUAGAAAAAACUAAUUUCUCAAUGUGAAAUGGCCCAUAAAAGGUAUUCUCAUUUAAAAACUAAAUUUGACAAACCCCUCGAUUAAAGCAGGGAGAGAAAAGAAAAAAAAAAGAUCUGAAGGCUUUCCACAUGAAAAUGUUGUCACUUUGGAUGAUAUUUUCAAGGGAUUUCAUCUAAAAAAUAAAUACCUGGGACCUUAUUCUUCAAAUUGACAGCUCGCCCAGUACUAAACGCGUAUGAGAUCAGUACUGGGAAAGUAACGAGACGACCCUCCAACAGCUGAAAAUAAAAUUCGCAUUCAUCAAUUUAAAUUGAAAUUCAUAUUAUGAAAUUAAAACUAAUGAUUAAUGAAUUUUCAAGGAAUUUAAUAAGAUUCUCAUAUAUAAACGUGAUAAAAAAUUCACUCAUCAAUAACAAAUAUUCUAACAUUUUGUUGAUGUAAUUGUUGUAUGGUUGUGUUAAGGUCAUUAUUAGACCAACGCAGUUUGUCAUCACUCAUUCCGUACCAGACGUUUACUCUCGGAGGCGUGAUUGAUUCUCCUUUGGUGAAAUCUUCAUCUUCGGACAACCAAUCACAGUAAGAUAUUCCAAAGAUGGGAAUUUGAAGGCGUAAUUGCCAGAGGAGAAGCUUGUGAGACUAUCUAAAUCAAACAGGGACAACGUAGUCAGUUUGCUGAAAACAAUCUCUUCUUUUAAAUAUGCUGUUUCAUUUCAAGACUGGCAAAAUUCAUUGUGUAAUCAAAGUUUUCAAUGAUCCAACUAAUAUAUAUAUAUAUGUAUGUAUAUAUUCCUUCUCUAGUGCAGACAUUCUCAUUUUUUUUUUUUCAUGUGGACCAGUUUUUAGAUCCCCUGGUUUAAAAGAGUUAGUUUUUAAACUCUUUAAAACCGCAUGGCUUCAUAAUUUAUUUAAAAACUAACUCUCUUAAACCGCACGGUUUAAAAGCGUGUCCACAUUAAAAAAAAAUACGGACCCCACACCUGAGAAUGAUUAUAUAUAUAUAUAUAUAUAUAUAGACACACGCUCUUAAACCGUGGGAUUUGAAAGCUUCUCCAUGAAGAAAGUAAAAAAUAAGGGCAUUCCCACUAGAAACAAACUCCAUAUAGGUAUUUAUUAAACCUCCUGAUCUGUGAGUGAGGAACAACAAAUAUAAUUGAUAAAAAAAAUCUAAAAUUUGGUUUCAUACCUUCUUGAACGAGAACAGGGGUUGUUGUGCCGGAAUACCAAAUUGAUCAUUCUCGUUAUUCUGGGACAACGUUAUUUUAUCACAAUUACAGGCCUCCAAUGUUUUUUAGUGCUGGCCAUUCUGAAGUAUGCAUUCCAGGGUAUAAACAUCCGAGUUCUGGUAGACCUUCGAGAUUCAGAGUGGUCACUUGUGGAAAGACAAAAUAUGGGGUCACUUGAUCUGCUCUGUCUUUGGAGAUGAUCUCUUGUAAACCCAUACAUAUCCGUAUCUCCAGGUGUUGGAGGUGCUCAAGGCUUUGGAUCAUAGAAGCUGAAAAUAUGUAUUUUAAUUUGUCACAGCCCCACACUAUCAAUCGUGUCAAACUUUGAAAGCCGCAAGUUGAUUGUCAUGCAAAAUCUCGUCGACAUUAAUAGCAUUCAGCUCCAAAGCCUCCAAAUUUGGCAACUACCUGAAGAUAAUUUUCUCUUUAGAUCCAAUAUCCGUAUGGAAAGCACUUGUUUUGACACAAUAUCCAUAUAAGAAGCACUUAAUUAAGAGCUUAAUUAGCGAGUGUAUGAGACUUUUUUUUUUUUCAAAUGCCAGUGCAUGAUAGAACUAAAAAAAAAAAAGAAGCAUUAGCCUACGUACCUUCUCGUUGAAAAGCAGAGUUGACGUUUCCGAACUGAUCUCGUUGGAACUGGCUGUCAAUUCCUCUUGCGACUCUUGUCUGUUUGGUGAUGUGGAAGAAGUCUUCACUUCACCGCAAAACCUUGUAACCUUUGGAAGCUUUCCCAGACUCAAAGAUCUUAAUUGACCAAACUCUAUCUUCCCAUCAACAUCAACAUCAGCUUCUCCUCCAGUUGCAAAAAUCUCUUCCAUGCUGCUGCAAUUGAUAACUGCAAUCCUCUCCAGUCUUGGAAGGCAUUUUGUACUACUAGAGAGCCAGAAGAUAUUACUCAACUCAUCACAAUUUUCUACUUUUAUGGUUUUGAGUUCAUUGAAGGACUCUAUUUUGAGUCGGAUCAAUACAUAUCCUCUCCAUAUUGAUCAAAUUUUGAAGAGUAUGGGACUCCAAAAGAGGAAAGGCGACACAUGGUUCUCUCUCCAUUGAAUCGACGAUACACAGGAAGUCUGGAUUAUUUUGAACAUGGAGAUGCUUCAAUUGUGAAAAGCCCUCAGUGUCCAAUUCUAAAACAACAUUCUUGAUUCCUUGCAACUUAUCCAAACAUAAGUAUUCAACGUUAUUGAUGCGCUGCAACUUCUCGGAGCAAAUGGCCAUAGAAUCAAGCUUGAGCUUCAAUGUUCUUAAACUCUCAUGAUUACUGAUCAUAAAGUGCUGCCGACUUUCAAACCAAUCAUUCUCAAUAACCAGGGUAGAGUCGAAUGAUGCAUCUCCUAUUGAUAUAUCAAACCUUUCCAGCUUUUUGGAAAAAAAGCCAUCCGGUAAAAUUGCUAUCAUUUUUAACAUCUAUCUAAGGUGGUCAAUCGCCUCAUAUGCAUCAAUUCGUCGAGGGUGGCAUUACUUCUUUCACUAUUGGCCUUUUCAACUUCCCAUUCAAUAGGGAAUUACCCAUAUACAGUUCUUCCAAUCGAGUGAAGCUUGAUAAGACGUUGGGCACAAUAAAUUUUAGUUGCAAACAAUCUGUUAAAUCUAACAGCCUUAACUUAGUCAGUUGACCUAGUUCGCCAGGCAACCGUACAAUAUCAGAAUUUAAAAAGCUAAGGAUUUCUAGAUUCUUCAAACUUUCCAAUUAUGGCUAUGUCUCCCAACAUGCUUUGAUCUAGACAGAGUGUUUGAAGAUUUGCUAGAAGACCGAUUGAAGAUGGCAAUGAAAAUAAUCGCAUUCGUGUCAAAUCUACAACUCGAAGCUUUUUCAGCCCUUUGAAAAUGUUGUCAGGAAUAUUGACCUCAACAAAAGUGUUUUGGGAAAUAUGUAAAAAUUCAAGUUGCAGACAUUCAAAUUCCUCAGAAACUUCAUGAAUGCUACUAUUUAGUAAAGAGAUUGCAUAGCAUUUUUUUAAGUGCAUCCUCAUCUGGCCACUCCCACACAGCCUCAUUUCUCACCAAUAAAGCAUGUUGGUCUCGAUUUAAACUUUAACUCAAUUUGAAAAACUGAGCAAGUAUGCGUUACAGGAAAUCAAAAAAGCUCCACAUACCCAGAUCAUGAUCUCACGUUGAAUCCAGGUGGGAGAUAUAUUUAUGAUCAAGCCCAACAUCGAAGGGGGCAAAAAAAAAAAAAAAAAAAAAUCUACCAGACAUAUGAUCAUAUUGACCACGAGCUUCAUACGCCGUGGAUUUAUUAACAAAAAGUGGGAAUUAAUUAAUCAUGAGCAUGUGUUCUAGUUAAGUCAAAAGAGAGACUUAAUUAAGAACGCAUAUAUAAUUCAUAAUCAGCACAUAAAAAGAUCACUAGUGCUUGCCCCUCCUGCCCUUGCCGUGCUUGCCGUGCUUGCCCCUGCCCUUGCUCUUUCCAUGCUGGUAGUAGCCGCCGUGCUUGCCGUGUGUGUAUGCACCGUGAGCUCCAGGAUAUGCGUUAUUAUCUGCAACAAAAUAAGAAAUUAAAUCAUAAGCUUAUAAUUAGCUCGCUCGCUAAGAGUGAUUAAAAUAAUACCGUGCGGAACGGAUGGGCCAGGAUAUCCCGUUGGUGUGUAACCACUGGCGAGUGCUGCUCCUGUAGGCGGGUAGCCGGCACCGGCUGGGGCAGCAUGAUCAGCACCUUCCAUGAUUUUGAUGAUCACCUAAUAAAUAAUAACUUGGUCCAAAAUAAACAACAAUAAAUAAUUGUGAUUAAUAAAAAGUAAUAUAUUCUCUAAUUAAAACAUUAAUGAUCAUUGGAGAGCAAGCGAGAAAUACUUACUGAAUGCGAUGGGACAGACAACAUCAUGCAUAGAGAAUUGUUCAUCUUCAACGAAUUUGGCUGCCCGGUCAAUGAUGCCGUUAGCACUAACCAGCCACUUCUCAACCUUCUCUUCAAUCUCUUCCCCUUUUUCUUUUGCCUCUGAAACUCUGCGCCGAAUGCUCGUACGUUCAACCUUCAACUUCUCCAUUUCCGUCUUGAGAUUCUCAAGGUUGGCAUUGUAGUUCCGCUUGCGCAAAUAAACAAGUUGGCGUUCUGUUGGAGGAGCCAAGCAUUUUACAAGUUCCAAAACGAGAGUAACAAUGAUUUCCAGCAUCUUGAAUCCUGACAACAAUGUAGAAGUGAAGAAGGCCAAAGGACAGUCAAAACAGAGAGACAGCGUUACGACAAGCAGUUAUGGAGCUAAAAAUAAAUAACAAACAAACAGAAGCAAAGUGUUUUUCGAAUGAGAAGAAGGAAGCAAGAAAAACUUAAAACUAGUAUAAUAAAUUUAUACUAAAACUAGUAUAGUAAAACAAGAAGUCAAGAACCAGCAACUUUUACACACAAAAUAAAACCUUAAAACUAGUAUAAUAAAUUUAUCAUCAAGUUGCAGCCUUCUUAUUCAACAAUUACAGCAUUAUCUUGAGCUCUGUGUUUCUUUUUUUAAAAAUUAUUCAAAAAAAUCUGCAUUUGUUUUUCAACGAUAAAAAUUAUAUUUUUGUCUCAUAUAAUAUAAAAUUAAAAAAAAAAACAAACAUAUAUUAAAGGUCUGUUUGGGAUUAUUUUUAGAGGCUCAAAAGUAAUUUUAAAAAGUUAAAUGCUAAUUUUGGUAUUUAAUAAAAUUUUUAGAAGUCACCUUUGGUAAAAUCAUCAAUCCUACAACAAAUUUUGAAAGCAAAUAGUUUUUCAAAUUUUUAUUUUGAUAAUUAAUUUUAUACUUAAUAUAAUUCCAUAUACAUCCCUACAUAUAUUAAUUAUCCUUAUUAAUUAGAAAAUAAAAUUAUUAACUUUAAAGAUAUUAUCAACAAUUACAUUGAGAUAACAAACUAAAAAUAAAAUUAAUAAUAUAAAAUAUUUAUUUUAGUAAUCAAUUAUUAUACUUACAAGAUAAAAAAUAUUUUAUUUAAAUGUUUAUAAAUGUACAAAUAAAUUUUAUUUAAUAUUAUAUUCAAUUUAGUCAUUUACAUUGUCAAUAGGACUUCUAAAAAUAAAUUUUCCUAAAUGUUUAACUAAUUCUCUUCAUAGUGAUUAUUUCCAAACAUAACUACCAAAAAUUACUAUAAUAGAUACAACAUUACCAAAAAAAUAUUGAGAUAGAUUUUAAUUAGGUAAUUGACUUAAUUAUGAAUCAAUUUAUUAUUUCCAUAUGUGUUAUCAAAACCAGCUCAAUAAUGAGAUCACUCUUUUUCUUAAAUAAAAAUAUUUGUGCCAAACAAUUGUUGCAAAAUUUCAAAUAUAAAUUACAAACAACAAAAUUUUCUAAAAUCAUAACAAUAAUUUAUGUUGUGAAUACAUGUAACUAAACCACAUUGAAAUUUUAUUGUUAGUAAAAUUGUUUUUCACGCAAAUGCAGUGACGGAUUCAGUUUCAUGUUUCACCCUCAAUAACUUAAUUUUCAUAUCUAACAAAUCAUCCAUAUUAUUAACAAUAUCAUCACCAAACAUAAUCUACCUAAACAUAAACUAAACAUAACACAUACAUAUAACUAUAUACAUACCGAAUCAGGAAAACAAUGAAAGCUACACGUAUCCGGCUCUACAAUUCCUUCUUGAUACCCUUGUGCUUCUGAAAUAAUCAACCAAUUAUAAAAAUUAGCUUAGGCGCAACUUUACCCCUUUUUUGGAAAACUUAACGAUAAAUAAAGUAUACAAAUCUCUAAAUUAACUUCGUCCCCAUGAAAUUCAGCAUAAAUAGAAAUAGAAUUAUAGAAACCUUACUACCUUUUAUGAGAAAUCCAACUUAUAUAUUUGAGACCUCUCUCUCUAAACACGCGCUUCCUCUCUCUGUACACUUUCCACCUUUGAAUUUUCCUUCACUAAGUCUACCUAAAUGAAUUUAGCAUUCUUCCAGUUUCUUUAGCAUUUUUUCUCCGUGAAAAUAGGUGAAAAAGAGAAAGUGGUUUGAUUAUUUUAAUGUAUGACAGAUCUGGUUUCCAUCUCUGUAAUUUAAGUUUGUCAAAACGAGAUAAUCAACUCUUUGUCGAGUCAGUCAAAUAUAAAAGACAAAUUACUAAACCAAGCAGAGCCCAAAAAAAAAUAUUUCCAAUUAAAUAAUCAUCAAGUCUUUUUCAAUUAAAUUAGGGAGUGCAGAACAACUGUCGAGAGAUAAUCAUUGUUUAUGGAGCCAUAUUAUAUUUUCGAUUAAAAUAGUUGCGCGUGAACAAUUGGCAGAAUUCGUAUAAAUUGUUGUCAGGUCUAUUAUAAUUAACAAGCGGAAUGGCCAAUGGAUGAAGAACCACUGUAAUUUCGUUUAUGAAUUCAAAAUGCUAAAGAAACUGGACAUCAACGCUAAAUGUCAGCCUGCGGCCCUUGCCUCAGUGUCUUUCAGGCGUUACUCUGGGUAGUUGAUAUACUGACCGUCCCUUUAUCAAUUAAUAAUCGAAAUAGGUUAAAAUAUGAAUGGAUUGGAAUGGUAUGACUUGGAAUUAAAAUAUGGAAUGACGAUUAGAUUAAUUAAUUUAUUUAAAUUGAGAAAUUAGAAUCAUAAUAAAUUAUAUUGUUAUUGAUGUAUUUGUUUUAUCUUAAAAUUGCGAUGAGUUGUUACAAAUUACUAAUAUGCCUUUGAUUUUGUAUUAUGAUAAUUAUUAUUUAUUAUAACAUUUGUCAUAUAAUAAUAAUAAUAAUAACAACAACAACAAUUAAUAUUGAAAAAUUUUUAUUGUUAAUAAUAAAUAGGCAAUUAUCCACCGAUCAUGUGAUCUUUUGGACGUUUUAAAAAAUAUACAAACACUUUUUUCUUUGCAGAAAUCCACCUGAAAUUUACAAAGUGUUUCAAUUGUUCACUGUCAUCUAAAUUUUGUUAGAAUUUUCUUGACGUUGUAAGGAUAAAAUUGUUAUUUUUACCUUGACUUCCAAAGAGGAUGUCUUUCAAACAUGAUGAAAAUAAAAAAAAGGAUAAAAAAUUAUCUGUAAACUAUCUGAUCUUUUAGCCAUUAUACAAAAUAUUAAAAAAAUAUACGAACAUUUUUUAUUUUUUUCAACAAUCCAUCUGAUAGUUAUGAAGUGCAUUAGUGCUCCACUACUAUCAUAACCCUUUAAAAAUAUCGCUUAAACACGAGAACCUAUUGCCUAAAAUUAUUUUUCAAGAAAAUGUAACUACAGAUUUGGUUUUGAUCUUCAUGACUUUUAAGUGUACAAGAACAAGAUGAACGAACCUUUGUCGAGUUGAUGAAUUAAGAUAAAUCAAUUACAAAUCGAGAACAAACUUACGGGUGACAUUUUAGUAUUAAGCAAACUAUAAUUGAUCAUCCAAUGAUAGGCUUAUUUUCAAUUAAAUUAGAGUAAAGAUAGACAUUCCAAAUUUUUUCUCUCAAAUUUAAUCCUAGAUAAUGUGUUAUUAAUUGAGUGCUUGGUAAUUCUUUCAAGAUCUAAGUGAAUUAAUUAUAUUAUCUCUCCAACCAAUUGAUGAAUAUUAUAUUAUUUGAGAUAAUUUUUUUUUAUCUCAAAUCCCAGCAAAGAAAACAGAACAAACGGAGCAAAAAUAUUUUUAGAAACCUAAAAUAACAAAAAAAAACUUUUUCUUGUUUUUCUUAUUUUCCACUGUUAAACUUCAAAAUGAACAACUUUAUUCUACCAUCUCUCAAAUAAUAAUAAUAACAACAAUGUCAUCAUCAUCAAUAAUAAUAAUAAUAUAUUAACUUUGUAGGAUGGAGCUCUCGCAAAUCUUCAAGACACAAAAUGUGCUUGACCCCAUUGUUGUUAUUAUAAUUUCAAAAUCAUCUGUAUUAUAUAAUAUUAGGGAAUAUGACAUAGCAAAAUUGAUGGUACAUAUGUUGCAAUAUACUUGUUCAUGUGGCGACACAUUGAAGUAAAGCACAAGCAAAACAACGAAAAAUGUAACGGGAGAGCUCUCAUUAUGUAGAUUUUCAAUAGAAGUAAUGCAAAUUUCACAAGGGCAAUGGCCUUAUUUCGAAUGCUGCACCUGAGGAAUGACUUGAAUCUUCUUUAGAACUCAAGCAUUCUGUAAUCAUAGGGUAUAACAUUUCAACAAAAAUAUUAUAUAGGUCGUUCCUUUAUAUAUUUUCUGGGUACACAUACAGAAAUAUUAUUUUAGGUACAUUUCUCACAAUAAAGCCUGCCCAAUCUAGCAUUUUCGUAAGUUGGGUUUCUUAUUUACAUGUUUUUUCCAUUGGUUAAUUAUCACAAACCUCCACUGAGAUUUAGCAUGUUUUUAGUUUGAUAGAUUGUAUUCGCGUAUUCUCAAAUACCUUUUAGUUUACCACUUCGUAUAAAUUAAGUUGGUGAGGAUAAAAUCAUAAAAGUACACAUUAAUGAUAAAAAAAUUCAAGUAAACUUGAAAUUUUCAAGGGGUAAUUUUUCGGGACCUCCCCUGAGGUUCGGUGUAUUAAAAGUCUCAUAGAAAGUAUUCAUGUAAUUAUAAGAACCUCCCCUGACGUUAGUACACAGUUAACUUGACUGUUAGUGGACUGAUAAAAAGUCAAAAAUGCCAUUGGCUACAAAAAUGAGUGCAACAAUUUGGAGUUAAAUAGUAAACACCACAUUGGAGCACUAAAAAGUCUAUAAUAAUCAUGGAAAAAAAUCAUUGACAUUUACAUAAUAUAAAAAAAAAAAGUAAAAUAUAAAUUAAGAAAAUCAACAAAAUUGUCAACGUAUAGAAUAUUUACAGCAGCAGUGGCUAUAAAUACAACCGUCGUCAAAUUAAAAUAUCACCAUUAGUAAACUACUUCAAUAAGACAAUAAACCAUGAUUCACUCUUCAAAGCAUUCAAAAUACACAACCCGCACAAUAGAAUCACAUACGCACACCUGCUAAUGAAAUAUAAGAACAAACAGGAAAUUGAACUGACAUGGCUAAGAUACUCCUUCCCCAUAGCUAUUAGAAAGAUAAUGAGCGAUUUAUGAAUCAUGAUGCUUGCUUUACUUUCUGGCAGUGUUAGCUUCAAAUUCAAUGAUAGUAAAUGAACAAUGGUUCAUUCAUUAUGAAAGUAAGUGUAAAGCUAGGAAUUUAUAAUAUUCAGAUGUUGGAAUUGGAAAAAUAUUCCUUAAUCGUUUCAAUUGAAGCCAAGGAAGAAAAGAAAUGAGUCUUCUUUUUUCAGGAGACAAGCCAUAUGAAGAAGGCAGACCAGAGCAUAAGAACGAAUGCUACUGCCACAGUAAAAGCCUGGAUCAAUGGGUAAUGGUACCUGCCAUGUCAAUUUCAAGACAAACAAAAAUCAAUUAUCAUCCCCAGACCACAACACCACCAAACCAACCUUUUGAAUCUAAAAUAACAAGUUAAUAAAUCAAAGAUUUCAAUUCAUUUAAGUUUGAAAUCAACUAAAAUAGAAAAAAAAAACCCAAUUUCUUUUUUGUUCAAUAUAACUCAUUCAGCAUCUUCUUCAACACAUUUUUAUCAUUCUUCAUCAUCACAACAAUAAAAAGAAAAAAAAAACAUUGAGUCCAACAUGCAAGUUUUUUUUUUGGGAAACUAACCGUUUUUAGGUUCCAAUUCUAGUAGUCUUAAACAGUAGCCGCCGACGAAAUUCGCUUGGCGACACCCUUUUGCCACCAUUGCAGCUUGUCAUGUUCAUACUCAGCUUAAAAUUACUUGAAGGCAGCAGGGAUUUUAUAGUUACAAAAGUUUCUUCAGAGCUUUUCAAGCUUGAAAAUGGCUGAGAGUUUCAUUUCAUGAGAGAGAAAAUGGAGUUUUCAUUCAUCUUAGAUAAAUUGAAGAUAAUUUGCAUUGUGGGUAAUAAAUUGAUUGUCAGUGCCUAAAUUUGGGUCAUCGACACAACUUUGGAAUUUUUUUUAUUUUUCUUUGAUUUUUAUUAUGAAACUACUAAUUUACCCUCAUAUACUAACAUAUAUGAAAUGGCAUACUAACGUCAGUUAUGUCAAGCAGCUCCCUGUAAUUACGUGAAUAUUUUUCAUGAGACUGUCAAUACACAAAAUCUCAGGGGAAAUCCCUAAACAUUACCUAAUUUUUAAGUUGUGUUCUGAAAUUGGUCUCAACUUUGUAAUGUGUAAUGCCCACAAAAAAAGAAAAGGAAAAAUGGUCAUCUCUUUCCUCCAUUCGAACUGAAGCCAUGAAACGCAAUAUCCCUUUCAUCUUCUCUCUAAUGCUUUGAUUAAAAAACUUGCUUACGAACGGGAGACCAUGACACUGAAUCCGAAGACAGAAAUACCUGAGAUGACUGAUUCACGCCGGCGAUGUGGAAGAAUACCGACCAGUGACUUUCGCCGUCGACCCACAAACAAUCCCAGUGUUUUCGAGCCGCGAAUGAGGUAUGAAUAAGAUUAUUUCCGUGCGUGUCAGUUUUGUAAGGAGAUUUGAUUAAAAAAAAGAAUAAUGGGUCUCGAAAAUUUUUUGAGUAUUUCUGUUGCUUAAAUUUUUUUCCAUCGAUUAAUGUUAGUUGUAGGUGAAUGAUUGUUGCAAACGCAUGUUCGCUUGUGAUUGAUUGAAAAUGACUUGUUAUUUGUUAUGCUGCCAUGUGACUCAUUGAAAAUGCCUCUGAAAUUUUUUUAUUUGUUUAAGGUACUGAUUCUGAUUAUUGAACAGGGAUUCAUGCUAGUUUUUAUUAAAUUAAAGAUGAGAUUAUUUUUUAAGAGAUCUACCAAACCUUCUCUACUAUAGAUUUGGCUUCUGACAUACCUGGUUCGCUGGAGAUAAUUGUUUAUAUAGUCAUUGCUGCUCGUAUUAAUCAGGAACAUUGAUUAGCAAUGUACUGGAAUAGAGAUUGGUAUAAUUUUGGAAAAUUAGUCGUAGAUGCAACCUGAUUAUGGUCUCAAAUAGUGUGAUCUGUCAAUUCCGUUUGCUCUAGCCUAACAACCUUGAAUCUGAGCUAUGCCACUAUACAAAGUCCUGACCUAAUCAAGCUUGUUAGCCAAUGUCCAAAAUUGCAGUGUCUUUAGAUAAGCCCUGUCUUACUUGUUUGAGUUAUAAAUGAAAAUUGAAGUGUCUUUGGAUAAUCACGCUGAAUGUUCAAGUUAUUGAAGAGAAGGGACCCCCAGAUUCAAGGCCGGAGCUCCCUGUUGAGAAGCUUUACAUAUAUGGGAUUGUCGCUGGGCGGAGGAUCGAUAUGCCCGGUUUUGUUUGGAAUAGGGAUGAAGAUUUUGCAUUGAGGCUUUCUUGAUAGAUCAUUCUGCAAAUCAAGCUCCAUGUACCUAUCUUCAGACUCUUGGAUAUGUAUAAAGCAGGUGCAUGCUCUAUAUGUUACUCAUUGUAUCACGAUUAUUUUUCUAUUGCUUAAAAUAAUUGCAGUCCUUGAUGUAGUUGGAGACAACUUAUGGAGGGUAUACAGAGGCUCGAGAGUUUGAUUGCCAUUCAUUUGACACUUGGCUGAGCUACAGCAUACCAACUAGUGAUUAAUAAAGAGAAGGUAUGAAGGUCCUGUUGCUGGUGGUAUUAUCAAUCAGAAUUGUUAUUUUACUUAGUCAUAGUUACCAUGUAUAAGAUUCGUAGACUUUUUGCAUGUUUAUGCAUUCGCAUCAUCUUUUUGUUAAGCUAGAGAUGGUUGAUUUGUGUACUCAUUUGUAUCACUUGUAGCCCUUGAGGAAUAAAAUUUAAAAUUUUGUUGCAUCUCCUGUACUAAAUACUAAUUUUGUUUGCUUUAUGUAUGGGAAAUGGUUCAUUAUCUUAUUUCUUUGAUGUGUAUAGUGUUACACUGUCUAAAGUUGAAAAGUAUUUCUAUCACUUGUGUAAAAAACAAACAAUUUUUUUUUCACUCUUCUUAUAUUGAAUAAAAGAAGGACACCAAGAUCUUCACCAAGAUUGAACGAAAUUUGAUGCAGAAAGCAUAGCAAUUAGGCCAGUGCAAAAUAGCUUCCUUCUGAUUCUCUGAUAUUUGACUUAAAUCUUUUGUUUGUUUCAUUCAUCAAAGUCAUUUUGGAAAGUAGCAGGCGUGAUUUGAUAUUUUCAUUGUAUUCACAUCCGUUGGCACCAAAACAAACAUGCUGGUACUAACCAACAAUUUUUUAUUUUUAGUGUACAAAUUAUUAUUUUUAAGACAAAUAAGCUGGUACUAACCAACAAUAUUUUAUUUUCAGUAUACAAAUUAUUAUUUUUUUUUCUAAAUUAGGGGUAUUAAGAAAAGGUAUGCUAGCACCAGGGGAGGUAUUUGAAAAUAUACAAAUACAAUCUAUCAAACUGAGAAUACACCGAACCGGCAGGUUUCUGAUAAAUCCUUUUUUUCUUUUUCCUCCAUUCACUAUAGGUUCAAUUUAGACGCUGUUGACCAAACAGAAGGUUUGGGUUGGUAAACGCACUGGUGUUAAUGCCAACAACCCAAGGGGCUUCAUGGUCCUCUGGGCCGAAAUAGCGUAAUUAUUAAUUCUCCUCCAGUGAAAAUCUUCAUCUUGGGACAAAUAAUUACGAAUUGACAUUAUAGCUGUGGAAAUUUGGAGGUGUAAUAACCGGAAAAGUAAAAAUCUUAAGAGACUUUUUAAAUAAAAAAGAUACAACACCUUCAAUUUGCUAAAAGUAAUGGUAUCAUUUCUUGUACGGAUAAUGGAUGAUUAGAUUUUGUUUUUUGUUAUCCGACGAAGGAUAUUCAGUUGUUCUUUAUGUGUUCACAGGCAAGAGCAUGAGCAUAUUCAUGGUUUCAUAUAUGCUUCUUGCAUUUUCUAAUUAAGUACUCUCUUUCCUUGCCUUCUUAGUUUUGAAAGAAAGAUGUGAAGCAAAGCAAACCCAGUGAAAUAUACAGAGAAACAGAACCAUCAGAGGAAAAACUAAAUAACAGAACCACAAUUGAACCAAACAAAAUCAAAUAAACCGAGGCAACGGAUACCCUGAAUCAGGCAUCCCUUUUUCUCGAAAGAAAAUAUGUUUGCAUGGGUGGGAACCUAAUAAUUACUCAAGAGUUGGAGUUGGAAAGAUUUGGUAUUCAUAUCUUCACAAUUCAUAAGCUUUAAUGCAGAAUCGACAGCUUUAUAUUAAUUUAUUCAACCAAAAACGAUAAAGUAGGAAAACCACAAUAAUCCACCAACUUUUGCUACUUUUAGGAAUAAUUUUUAGUCAACUUUCAAAAAGUGAGAUGACGAUCUUUGAGUUGAUAAAUCUUGGCCUGCUGCUUAGUACCCUUCCAACAUAUAAAGUACUAGAUGUUUAGCUGAGAAAAUGACGAGAUCAUUUAUCAAAUUUCUUGCGCAUAUAUACAUAUAUAUACAAGAAAUAAGAAUCAGAGUGAUUAUAAGACCUUGCAAUGAGGCAAUAAUACAUCAUCAAAUCUAAAAAUACACAAGAAAUUCGUGACGUAUAUAUAACAAUAGACCUCUCAUUGAGUCAUACAUAUUGAGAAUAAAAUGUCAAAAUGCAUACAAAGAGCUUAUACAGAAAAUGAAUUUACACACAUUUAGAAUAAACUGUCUUUGAACUUCCGAUGGUCAAACAAAGGAAACAGACAGGAAAUGACACACACUAUCAUAUAUGUAGCGACACGAUGAAGUAAAUCACAUGAAGAUGGAAACGGAACCCCUCACAACAUAAAAUUUGAAUAAAGGGGGAAAAAAAGGCUUCAUUUCAAAUGUUGCACAGAAGAAGAGUGACUUGAAUCUCCAUCAAUAUCCAAACAUUCUGCAAACAUAGUGCUGAGAAUUUUAACAAGAAUAACUGUAAUAUCCCAAAUCUCCUAAGGGUAUUUAAGUCUUUUUAAUUUUUAGUGAUCCUUUUUACCCUAGUAUAAAUAGAACAAGAUGUCUUUUUCAUUAUAAGAGAGAGAGAAAAAGAGAGAUCGGUUGAAAAAGAGAGAUGGAGAGACAAGAGAGAAAAGAAAAGAAAAAAAGAGAAGAAGAAAGUCUUCUUCUUCUUCUUAGUUUUUGCCAUAGACAACACAUGGGAUCAAGUUGUUAUUGUUGGGAGAAGUUUUGGAGGUACGUUUUAAUUAUUGGUUUCUAUUAAAUUGUUGUGGAGAAGCAUGAUUGUAAUAGAAGUAGAAAUCAAAGAUUUUACAUAAAUAUGCUGACAGCGAAUUAUUACAGAAAUCAUAGUAAUUUGUACAAAUUGAUUUUGAUUCUGAUUUUUGGGUAUGUUAAACUAGACAUCGUCUAGAAUGUUUUGAAACUUGUUUCAAGUUAAUCGGAUAAGAUUUCAAUUAAUUAUGAUUUUUCAAAUUCAAGUCUGAAAACCUGGAAAUUUAUGAUUUCAGUGAAUAACGUGAAUUACGAAAUUAUUUUUACCAUAGUUAGACUUCUUCAAAAAUUAUGAAAUUUGGACCAAUGCUUUUUAUAUAUGUCUAGUAUGAUUCUGGAAAUUUUCAUGAUUUUAUGAUAAAGCAAUAAAUUGUUUUGUAUUUGUAAAGCAAGUGUGUUCAAAACAGAAAACUGUUUGACAGUAUUGAUGAUGUCUGAAACGUGAAUUAUUUUCAAUAGUUUUUGAAGGAAUUAUGUUAUGAAUUAUGCUAAUCUUCUCUGUAUCGUUCCAAUUUUAUUGGAUGGGAAUUGCUCUGAUACCAUUUGAAACACCCCAGUCCGAAAUCCAAGGGCAAAUAUGUCCACAACUCACAUAUGAUUUAAAUAACUCUUUACAACUGAUAAAAUUCGAGCCUCAAAUACAAAAGCCAGCGGAAUAACUUAAAAACUUAACCAAACCAUCUACUAUCCUCAAUUCAAAACCAUCUUCUCACUCAUCACGAAUCAAUCCUGACUUCUGAAAAUUGAAUCACAAUAAACUAUAAUGAGUACAAAACCCAGUAAGCAAACUAGUUUUUCUUAUACGGAAAAUACAUACAGACUUAUACAUAAUGCAAUGGUUGAUAUGUCAUGAUCUUUUGGAAAUACUGUAAAAUAAAUUCAUAAAAAUCUCUUUCUGUCGCUUUCAAACUUUCUUAUUUUCUUUCGAUGAAAUACGUAUCCUACAAUGUGGCACUUUGUGCUGUACGUGGCACUUUGCGGCGCCCUGGCCCUCAAGAGGUGGCCCCCGCAUAGUCCCAAGAGGUGACCCCCACACAACUUCAAGAGGUGGCCCCCAAUGCAAAAUCUCAUAAAACAUAAAUUCUGUUUGCUAAAAUCCACUUUCUCAUUCGUAGAAAACUCAAUGCAUUUUCGUGCUCAUGCCAAUGAACCAUCACACAUACAUAUGCCCAUGUACAUAAUCACGCUCAACACAUGCCAACACAUCACAUAAACACAUGGGCAAAGACAUCUAAAUCCAUAUCCGUAUAUAUAUCAAAAUAUGCUUUUCACACAAGUCAAACAUAUAUAUUGUUUAGUGUGAUUCGUUUUAAAGUCUAGUUUACUUACCUCUUGGCAUCCUCAUGUAACAAAUGCGUACUGAUACCAUUAACCUAAAAUCAUCAAUAACGCCUCAUAAGAUAUAAUCAAAUCUCAAUCACAAACUGUAAUGUCCUCAAAUAUCUCAAUUUAAACAACUCCUAAGCUCAACCUCAAAUGUCCUCAAUAAUCGGCCCUCAAAACAUAAAUCCUUUACAAAUACUCUUUAUCAGUUGUAAAGAGUUAUUUAAAUUAUAUGUGAGUUGUAGACAUAUUUGCCCUUGGAUUUCAGACUGGGGUGUUUCAAAUGGUAUCAGACCGAUUCCCAUCCGAUAAAAUUGGAACGAUACAGAGAAGAUUAGCAUAAUUCGUAACAUAAUUCCUUCAAAAACUAUUGAAAAUAAUUCACGUUUCAGACAUCAUCAAUACUGUCAAACAGUUUUCUGUUUUGAACACACUUGCUUUACAAAUACAAAACAAUUUAUUGCUUUAUCAUAAAAUCAUGAAAAUUUCCAGAAUCAUACUAGACAUAUAUAAAAAGCAUUGGUCCAAAUUUCAUAAUUUUUGAAGAAGUCUAACUAUGGUAAAAAUAAUUUCGUAAUUCACGUUAUUCACUGAAAUCAUAAAUUUCCAGGUUUUCAGACUUGAAUUUGAAAAAUCAUAAUUAAUUGAAAUCUUAUCCGAUUAACUUGAAACAAGUUUCAAAACAUUCUAGACGAUGUCUAGUUUAACAUACCCAAAAAUCAGAAUCAAAAUCAAUUUGUACAAAUUACUAUGAUUUCUGUAAUAAUUCGCUGUCAGCAUAUUUAUGUAAAAUCUUUGAUUUCUACUUCUAUUACAAUCAUGCUUCUCCACAACAAUUUAAUAGAAACCAAUAAUUAAAACGUACCUCCAAAACUUCUCCCAACAAUAACAACUUGAUCCCAUGUGUUGUCUAUGGCAAAAACUAAGAAGAAGAAGAAGACUUUCUUCUUCUCUUUUUUUCUUUUCUUUUCUCUCUUGUCUCUCCAUCUCUCUUUUUCAACCGAUCUCUCUUUUUCUCUCUCUCUUAUAAUGAAAAAGACAUCUUGUUCUAUUUAUACUAGGGUAAAAAGGAUCACUAAAAAUUAAAAAGACUUAAAUACCCUUAGGAGAUUUGGGAUAUUACAAUAACAGACAAAAUAUUGUGCUUAUAUACUUUUCACAAAACUAGACCAAAUCAGUUCCCUUUUUGGUUUGUGAAAACUUGAUAUUUUUGAAAAUUCUAUCCAAUGCUUUCAAACAAUAUUUCCACAAUAUAGUUGUUCAUAGCUAACCUUUGAUGGUGUAAGGAUUUGUUGUAGGCAUAAUGGGCUAAUUAUAUAUAUAUAUAUAUAUAUUUUACCCGCUGAAUGAUAUUCAGCUUCUUAAUUAUGUGUUCAUAGGCAAGAGCAUUUUCUUAAGUACUUUCGUUGCCUUCCAAGUUUCCAAAGAACAAACAGAGCAGAAACAAAUAUAACGGAACAGCAAUGAUGACAAUAAAUGAUUGGCAAAGAAAGAAAGAAAAAAGUUCGCAUGAUUUCAAGGAAUUAUAAUAUCUGAAGACAUUCAACAUGCAAGUGUUGCCCCUUUUAAUGAAAUUUCAUCAUAAAAUGCUUGCAAGGAAUUAUAAAAUUUUAGAGAACAAGCGAAUUCUCAAACAAAAUACUCAAAUUAAAUUAAAUUAGACCAAAAGACAAUCAAUGACGCAAAAUCUUCCCAUAAAAGCCUGAACGAAUCAUGAAAAGUGCAUUCCAUAUUGACAGUAAACCAAGUGACCCAUUCUAAACAAUUGAGAUGAAAUUGUGAAACAACCCACGAGAUCAAAUAAAUAAAAUAAGAAUUAAUUACCAGCUGGGACUUUCUUCUUCAAAUUCGUAACUCCAAGUCAUAAGAAGCCUAUGAAAUUAGUCGUAAUCCACAGAGUAUGACGACGACCCCGCCAACAGCUGAAAAUAAAAUUCUUAUUCAUUAAUUUAAACUAACUUUAUAACAAAUAUCUUAUCGAUAUUUUAUUUAAAAAGAAAAAGCAAAUUUUGUAAAAUUUUUCCAUGGGAGAUAGAGAGUAACAUGUAUAUCCGUACCUUCUCAGCAUGUAAUUGUUGUAUGGUCCUGUUAAGAUCAUUAUUAGCCCAGCGCCGUUGAAAACCCGCUGUCUCUCCAUACCAGACAUUUACUCUAGGAGGCGUGCUUGAUUCUCCUGUAGUGAAAAUCUUCAAUUUGGGACAACCAAUCACCCACAACGCUUGCAAAGAUGGGAAUUUGAAGGUGUAAUUGGCAGAGGAAAAACUUGUGAGGCUAUCUAAAUCACUCAGUUCCAACGUCUUCAAUUUGCGGAAAACAAUCUCUUUACUGCUCUGCCCCCACAUAAUAAAGUAGCAUUAGAGUACUAGACAAGCUCACCACGUCUAAGCUAAGCGGAGAAUAGACUUCAUCAACAACGCUUUCGUGAAUAUGUGUUGCAUUACAACGCUCCAAUGUGAUCCUCAUCCAAUACCCAUUAUUUGUGAUCCUUAUUCCACUGCGUCAAUUACACUCCAGUCCAAUGCUGCCAUCAUUAUCGAACAGUCGAUAUCCAACACUUGCACGAAGAUUCCAAGAGGUUGCCUGGCUGCUGACUUUUAAAUGCUAAGCCUUAUUGUGUCCAUGAUACACCAAACAGAGCAGUCCCGGGUAAUUGCCAAAACUUAGAACUAAACAGUAGCUCAGGUCAGAAAAUCAAAUGGAGUGAUGAUAAGAAGCUGAGGCACACCAAUCGAUUGCCUAAGCCUAACAGCAGAUUGGAGGAAUAUGCAUGGACACAUGCGGCUCGACGUCCACGCCAUGCAACACGUGCAUGAGUAGUGUAAGGCACGUGAGAAUUGAUUUGCUAUUAAUUGGGAGCUGAAUAAUUGAUGAUUUGGAGCUGACCUUUUCAAAAGUUGUUGCUGAUUUGGAAAGGAUCUCACGCAUGAGUUGUUCUUUUCUUUGAUUUGAUAUUUAUUCCAAAAUAAUAAAAGUUGUUUAAAUCAAUAUUAACAACUCGAUCUUGUAAGCUUUGAUUAAGCCUAACUACACGCUACAAAGCAUAAUAAUUAGUUUUGCAUUACAACUAUAAAUAAGCUCCAUCAGUGAAUAAAAUCAUCAUCAGACUUUUAUCCAAACACUACUAGCAAUUGUGGUAGUUCUCACUCUAAGAAGAACAAAUUAUUCACUUGUUAUUUCUACUAAUUCUGACUGGGACCUAUCAAGAUGAAACCAUAAAAUUUGAUUUUAUUGUAUGGUUGAUUUCAUAUCUCUUGCAGUCAUUUCUUAAGAUAAUCAAAUUUUCUCUGGCAUCUUUUGCAACUGUAGAAAUAUCAAUUAUGAUCAAUCAAAACGAUUUCAAAACCUUUCAAUGAGACAUAUUUAUAAUACAAUAUUGUGAAAAUUACACCAAAAUUUUUAUUUAUUAUAUAUUAUUAUCCAACGAGUACACACAAAUGAAUUCGUACAAAUCUAAAAUACUUAGCAAUUUUCAAAUAGAAUUUACCAUGUACUACAAGAAAAUAUGGUAUAUGUGACCCCUAAUGUGAAUGGAAAAGCAGCCAUUACGUAUAUCACUAACUUUGUAACCCCGAUACCUUUUAUGUGACGGCCACACUGCGGUCGCAUAUGUUACUAACCACGUGACGGUAAAGAGCCGUUCGGUAUGCUACUAUUCGCUGGACUCCGUGUUACUAGCCACCAUCGUAUAAUUUAAUCUCCCUUCAUCUUUUGAGUUAAGCUUGUGAUUAUGAGUUUCUUCUGUUACUUAGCUUGUAAUUAUAGAUUUUGAUUUUUUUUUAAUUCGUAUUGUAGCCGUUAUUGUCAAUUUUUGUCCCGCCAGCAAUUUUUUUUUAUUCCUACAAGUUGAAGCCCCUGUGUUCUUGUUCCAUUGGUGAGUUUGCUCACUCAAAUUAAUUUUGUUCUGCGGAAUUUACAAAGUUCAAAUGGAUUCAUUUGAAUUACUAUUGAAUUUAGCUUUAAUUCCAACAUCCAUUCUAAUGUUUUGCUAUUAGAUUUAGUUUAAUUUUAUGUUUAAAGCAUCUACAAUGAAUAGCGGAGCUUGGGUUUUAGUUUCAUUUUCUGGAUAACUUGUUUUAGUUUAUCUUGUAUGCUCACCAAGUGCUUGUUAUAUUGUCUGAUAAGUUAUAUACAUUGCUGAUUCUAUAUUAAUAAUGUUACGUUCUAUUUUCAGAAAUUAUAAUACAAAAGGUUUUACAAUGGCGUGCAUCUACAAACUGAAUUGACUUGUAGAAUAAGAGCUUGGAGUAAAUGAAAGUUCAUAUUGUGUAAGAGCAUGUAGAUGUAAAGCAUCAUUACCAUAUCUACAAAGUGCUUUCAUUAUGUUCAGAUGCUCUUCUUGAACUUUGAAAGGUGCCUCGUUCAAGUCCUAGCUAUAACUACUAGCUUUGAUUAAUUAAGUUCCUAUAUUAGCUGAAACAGAUUUAUUUAAUUAAUUAAUUAUGUACUAAUUAUAUUGAAAGUAUAUGAUUUUUUUUUUAACAUGAAUGACUUCUAAAUGACUUAAAAACCUAAAGGAUGUGUGAAAUAAUGCUCAUUUCACUUGAAUGAGCCUAUUAAUACUUUUAUGUCUAUGAGAAAAAAAUUUAAUAGAAAACUUCAGAGAUGUUUCCAGAUAUUAUCUAGAAUCACAAGAAUCUUAUUCUCACUCUUCAAUCGUUCAUACAGCUUGCUAGCUCUUCUAUAUUCAGCUUCAUCGGACAACUCCAGACCUAACUUCUCUGCAAUUUCCCCUUGAAUCUUUUUUAUCUCUGGAGUUUAUGAAACCUCUGUAAAACCACCCGAUAAAACAGCUUCUUUUCCCUGGCUUGCCUAGCAAACUCCUUCACCAGUGUGGUCUUUCCAAUGCCGCCUAUGCCGUACACCCCAAUAAUGCUGACAUUCGCCUCCGUCAAUGCAUUUUUUAUAGUAACCAUUGCUAGACUUAAGCCAUAUCUCCUCCGGAAUGGUACGGUGGGAAACAGUAUCAAACUUCUUAACUUCUUCUCCAAGUUCAAUAAUGGCCUUCACCUCCGUCUCUGCUUUCUUGCUAAGCUGAUAGCGACUCUUCCAAUUAGGACUCAAGCCCUUGACACAGCGCUUAUUCGUUGACUCCUCAUCUUCAAUGAAUUUGGCUGCCCGGUCAAUGAUGCCGUUCGCACUUGGCAGUAACCAGCCACUUUUCAACCUUCUCUUCAAUCUCUUCCCCUUUUUCUUUCGCCUCUGAAACCCUGCGCUGAAUGCUCGUAUGUUAAACCUUCAACUUCUCCAUUUCCGCCUUGAUAUUCUCAAAGUUGGCAUUGUAGUUCCGCUUUCGCAAAUAAACAAGUUGGCGUGCAGUUGGAGGAGCCAAGCAUUUUACAAGUUCCAAGACGAUAGUCACAAUGAUUUCCAGCAUCUCGAAUCCUGACAAAAACGUAGAAGCGAAGAAGGCCAAAGGAAAGUAAAAACAAAGAGACAGCGAUAGGACAAGCAAUUGUGUUUUUCAGAUGAGAUGAAGGAAACAAGAAAAGGGUUUCUAUCACGACGUAAAGAGCUAAAAGAGCUGAUGGGUACAGAAUAAGAAAUGAGACUGAGGAGUGAGCAAAGCUAAAUAAUAACAGAACAAGAACAAUGACGAAUAGAAGAAACAGUAGCAAAGAGCCGUUUAGAUGAUUAGAAUGAAAUUAAGCGACUGGAAAGAGUGGAUGGUAGACUAAAGAGAAAGUGAUUGAUUAUUUUUGGAGGCCUAUUAACGUAAUGACAGACCCGGUUUCGAUGUUUGUAAUUUGAGUAUGAGGUAAAUCGAUUCUUUGUCGAGCCAGUCAAAUACAAAGGCAAAUUAGUAAAACAAGAGCCAGCAACUUUUACUCACACAUAAGCCAAUAAUAUAUUGAGAUCACGCAACAUUGCAAUAAAGUUAUCAUCAAGUUGUAGCCUUCUUAUUCAAUCAAUUAUAGCAUUUUCUCUAGCUCUGUAUUUUUCAAAAAAAAAAAAUUAUUCAAAAGAUGUCUGUCAUGAAUUUUUCAAUGAUUAAAAUUAUAAUUUUUGUUUAAUAUAUAUAACGUAAAAUUUUAAAAGAAUCAGACAUGCAUUAGGGUAAAAAUAAAAAAUAUGGAGGUAGCUUUUAACUAGGUAAUUGGCUCAACUAUGGAUUAGUGUGAGAUCGCUAUUUUUCUUAUAAAAAAAUAUUCCAGCCAAAACAAUUUUCGCAAAAUUUUAAUAUAAAUUAUAAAAAAAAAAAUUCUAAAAUCAUAGCAAUAAUUUAUAUUUUGAAUACCUGUAAAUAAACCACUUAGAAAGCUGUCGAAACACGAGAACCUAUUGCAGUAUUGCUAGUAAAAUCAUUUUUCAAGCAAAUGCAGUGACAGAUCUGGUUUUGAUCCUCGUGACUUUUGGGUGUAAGUACGGGUGAACGACUGUCUAGUCCAGAACAACUUGGGCGCGACAUUUUAGUAUUAAGCAAACGGAACUUUUUUUAAUUAAAUUAAUCUCAAAGUGAUAGGCUUCUCAUGAAUCAUGUAAUGUUGUCGUUUUUCAAGACAUGACAAUGCACAUCACUUGUUUGUCACAAUGUCCAAAUAAAUAAUUUUUUUUUUUAAAAAAAGUUAUUUUCAUUCUUUCUUUUCAAGUAUCCUAAUUCCUUUAGCAGUUUGAUUCCUCUUUUCCUGAAAUUUGUUCCUUCCAUUAAACUAAUAAUUUAUUUAAGGGUAAUUAAGCGUCAGCCCCCAAUUGUUUAGUAUUUCAUACAGCACACCCACAUCUUUCGACCAUGCGCACCUCUUCCCUAUUUCUGUCAAAAAAUCAACUAUCAACUAAUUGUAACUAUUUAGACUGUUAUAAAUUUAAAAGACUAUACUACCCUUGUUUUGAAUGAAUUGGGUAUAUAAGCACUAAAAUAUCCUUACAACUUGUAAAAUUUAUAUCAAAAAGCAAAAAUUUAUUAUAAUAUUUUUAAAAUUAUAUGGAGACGAUUUUUUUUUCUGGAUUACGAACCCAAGAUUAUAAACCUAGUAAAUUACAAAAUCAGAGGCAAAACAUGAUUCCAAUGUGAAAGAAGAAAAUCAAACACACAUUCAUCAAUACAUUACAAAAUAAGUCCAAUAAUCCCACCAAAACAAAUAAAACCCAAUAAGAAAGAAACCCGAAACUAAUGAUACCAAAAUCCCUGACAACAAAUUUCAUUGUAAAAUUCUAUUACAAAAUAAAUUCAUACUAAGAAAAUUCAAUAAAAAGAAACCCAAUAAUCAACAAUCCUAAAACUAAAGAUAUCAAACCCUAAAUUAAAUUAUAGAGGCGGCGAAGGAAAAAGGGUUUUUUUUAAUUAUAUAUAUUAUUUUAAUCUUGUAUUAAUUACCAUUCUACCCUUCUUUCUGUUAACGUUAGAUUUGAAAGAAAUGGGGGUGGUGGACAUGGUCAGAAGAUUGGGGGCACAAUGCAAAAUGUCGAAACAAUUGGGGCUAACGCUAAAUUACACAUUAUUUAAAUUAAAUUAUCCUAGUUGUAUUUGACUGUGACUGUGACCGGAACCGUUACAAUCACUUAGUAUUUUUAUUAAUUAAUUAACAAUUUGUUUCAUCAUUAGACGGUACUAUGAUAGUUUUGUCACUAUGUUUGUUACCAUCUCUUAAAUCGUGUAACAAAGAUUUCAUGAAAAAUUAGAAAACAGCACGACAUGAUACAAACUUUUUUUUAAUACAUGUAGACCUUAUUUUUUUAAAAUGAACAUACAAACUCUUUUUUAAUACAUGUAGACCUUUUUUUGUAUUUAAAAAUAGUUACACAGAUCCUGAAUUUGUGUGUCCCUCAAUAAAUUUUCAUGAUCAUUUUUUAAAAUAAGGGAUUUUUGUGAUUAUUUUGCCACGUCCAAGGAUGCCGCUAUUCUUGUCACCAAAAAUUAUUCUCAUUAAGAGUCAUGAUUAAUUGGACGUCAGCAAUGAGGGCAUGUAAUGAAAAAAUUUUGUUUUGCAUGGGAUCCAAUAAUUUUAAUUACCAUGGUGGUGACAGACCCAGCUGGAAAAUCAACUGAUUUUAGAAUUCUGUUGAAAAUUCUUUAAAUGAUCACUAUAUCUCUAGUUCGAUUAUAUCCUUAAGCUCAUUGAUUCUUUUGUAUUGAUUUUGUUACUUCUUUUCUAAGUACUUAUAUUUAAGCAUUGAAAUAGGAUUGAAUAGACAAAGACGAUAACUUGAGCUGAAAAUUUUUCAAGUAUGGCGGAGGGGAAAGUGAGAGAGCCGCUAUUGAAGAAGAAAUAUUAUAAGAACUGCUCAGGCUGUAAGGUUGAUAAGCUUAAAGAGUCGGAACGAGGCUUACCAAUUCGUAAGCUUUUAAUUAUUUAAAUGUUUUAUUUAAAUAUAACUAGCAAUUAUUUAAUUAAGGGUAAAAUAUGUAUAUAUUAUAUGCUCAUCAAAUACCCCCAAACUUAGAUUUUGCUAGUCCUCGAGCAAAACUAAAACUUAAAACAAAAAUAAAAAUAACAAAACAAAAAGUAAAUCCUAACUAAACCACUUUCGCAGGUAAUCACGAUUGCAUUUAGCAUAUGCAACAAGCCUUUAAACCCCUAGGCGGCCCUAGUGGACGAGUUAUAGUCUCGUGAGGGCUUCAGUGAUGAUACCCACAAACAUCAUUUUUAAAAAAUAAAAUAAAGAGAACAAAAAAUUUUUAAAUAAAACAUGAAAAUAGCCUCAAAGAUUGCAUAAAUUAUAUAACUCAAAGAAAAUUUCAAAUAUUGGCAAAGUUCUAACUUUAAUUCAAUAAUCAAUCCCAUCUCUCUUUCGAUUCUUGUAGUGUGUGUGUGAAAUCAAUUCAAUCAAAUCCAUUCGCAAAAUCUUCAAUAUCAACAGCCUUCGCCUCAAACAAAGAAAAGAGUAGGUCAAACUAAUCUUAUCAUCUUAAUCUCCAUUUUUUUUUUCACAUGCUUUUAUGUGCAUUUUCUUUUGAUUUUUUUUUUGUUCAGCACAUGCACUUGGUUUUUUUCUUCUUUUUUUCUCAACCAUAGUCAGGAGCUUUCACUCUACCCCUUAAGGUAACCUUCUUCUCAUGGUAGAUUAUCCUCUACAUACUGGUGGUACAUAGGCCUAAAUUACUCAAGGAUAGCUUCACUCUUAAGGGUUAUAGGUAGCUAUUUCUGACUUUAGCGCCCGUGUAUACUAUUUUGUAUUGUGGAGAUAAGAAUCAAGACAAACAGUCAUUUACUCUAUCUAAAAUUCUCAACUCAGGCUGCGUCAAUCUCAAAUUUCAAGUCAAAAUUAUGAAAGAAUUGAUAUUAGUGCUCAUGGUUUAAAGAAUCUCAAUCAAGAGGAACUAACACAAGAAUCAAGUAUAAACUAAGACAAUAUUCAACCCUUUCUAAGAACCAUAUUCAUUGUCAAUCAAAUUCUUAUCAUUGGCUUUUCACAUAAAAACAAAUAACAAUACAAUUUUUUUAACAAACAAAACACACACUAUUCCCACCCCCAAACUUAUUUGGAACAUUGCCUCAACGUGUCACAAACAAAAGAUAUGCAUGCAAACAAAUGAGAAAAAAAAAAUAGUAAAAUUAAAAUAAAAUAAAAUAAAAACAUAAAUAAUAAAAAAGAAAGUUGGAGAGAACACACCUGGAUGGGCUAGGAAAGCUUAAAAGAAAAUGCCAAAUGAAAGAAGACGUUAGAAGAAAUAUAAAUAAUAAAAUAAAAAAACAAAAUAAAAAAAAUCCUACUAACUAACAAAUUAAUGUAAACAACAAAUCAACCAGGAUCAAUAAGAAUUUGGUGAAAAUCAAAGCAAUUAUACAGAAAAUACCAGAAAGCAUAAUUGAUUAAACACUGGAGCAUUUUAUCCAUAAAAGGAUGAUGGUAAUGAAACUCCUCAAUAUCGCACUGCUUUGAUCUCUUAUGUUCCAAGAUUUCCUGAGAGUUAUCUGAAGUAGUAUAAAAAUCUAAUAAUUUAAGCACUUUAGAUCUUACCACCUUUUUCAUGUCAAAAUGUGACCUAUGUUGCACUGCUUUAGGACGUAGCUCCAAUUUGAAUGGUUCAAUUUUCUCUUCAGGAGGAAGUGGCUCAAUCUUUUCUGUCCACUUAAUUAGAUCUAUGAUAAGAGUCGAAUCAAGUAAAGCAUUAACUUCUUCAAUACCACUAUCAACAUCAACAGAGAAAUCAGAGUCAGUUGUGCAUGGUAUUAAUAGAUUGUCACAGUGGUUAGAAAUAAGUGAAUCAUCAAUUGAUGCUUCUAUCAUAUCUACUUCAACGACUUCAUCAUCUUCUUGCGCCUGCUUGGGAACAUUAAAAAUGUUUAAUUCCGUGGUCAUGUUACCAAAAGACAAUUGCAUGUUUCCAGUCCUGCAACUAAUAUGAGCAUCAGUUGUAGCUAAGAAAGGACGACCUAGAAUAACUGGGGUGUGUUUCUUACGAUCCUGUACAUGCUGAGUAUCAAUAACAAUAAAAUCAACAGGAUAAUAAAAUUUAUCAAUCUGUAUCAACACAUCCUCUAUAAUACCACGAGGUAUUUUCAUUGACCUAUCCGCAAGUUGCAAAAUAAUAGAAGUUGGGUUUAACUCACCUAAUCCAAGUUGCAUGUAAACAGAAUAAGGCAAGAGAUUAAUACUAGCACCCAAAUCCAAUAAUACUUUAUCAAAACAUUGGUUCCCUAUAACACAUGAGAUAGUAGGAGAACCAGGAUCCUUAAAUUUUGGUGGCAUUGUACAUUGAAGUAAAUUGCUAGUUUGUUCAGUUAAAAAUGCCUUUUUAGUAACAUGCAAAUUUAUAUUUUUAGUGCAUAAGUCUUUCAAAAACUUGGCAUAUGAAGGAACUUGCUUAAUAGUAUCGAGUAAAGGGAUGUUUAUACUUACCUGCUUGAAAAUUUCCAUAAUCUCACAUGUUGAAGUCCCUUUCUUUACCUUUGCUAACCUUUGAGGAAAAGGAGCCUUGGGAAUGUAAGCUGGCGGGCCACUCUCUUCUGGAUCAUUUGGUGAUGAGUCUUGUGAUGGAAUUGGAUCUGAAGAAGUAGGCUCAUAUGUCUUUCUUGUUUGAACCUCUACUUUGUUGUCAAACAAUUUUCCUCUUCUUAAGGUCAUAAUAGAUUUUGCUUCUUCAUGCUGAUGACUUGAACUCGAUCCAACUUCAUGCACUCCUUUGGGAUUGGGAAUUGGUUGACUUGGGAAUUUUCCUUUUUCUCUCUCAGCUACAAUAGUUGCUAAUUGACCCAAUUGAUGUUCAAGUUUUAGAAUAGCUUGAGUGUUUAACUGAAAAGCUUGUUGGGUUGACUGAAUGAAACUUUGAAAUGUAUCCUCUAAAGAAGGUUUUCUUUGUUGGGGUGCAACAAAUUGAGACAUAGGCUGUUGGGUAGGAGGAUAUACUUGGUUAGGAGGGACAAAUUGUUGAUUGGGCAAGCUAAAUUGUUGUCCUCCUUGGUUGGACAAAGGUUGAUUUUGUUUCCAAGAAAAAUUAGGGUGAUUCCUCCAAUUAGGAUUAUAUGUGGAUGAAUAUGGAUUAUUGGAGGUUUUCUCAUAUGAUUGUAAGGCAUGUACCUCAUUAGCUACACUAGGAUGAUGAUUCAUGGAUUGGUUCAGAGCUAAGGCAUCUACUUUCCUAGAAAGUGUAGCUAGAGUGGAUUUCACAUCAAAAUCAUCCUUAACUUUAUAUAACCCCUUUCUAGAAACUUGAGAUGAUUUUUCCCUUUGAUUUGAAAAAUUCCACUGUUGAGAAUUUUCAGAAAGUGAAUUAAAGAAAUCCCAUGCAGCCCCUUCAUGUAGGUUAAAAAAUCUCCCACCAUUCAUAGACUCUACCAUAUGACGAUUCGACAUGGUUAAACCGUUAUAAAAGCAUUGUAUAAGUCUCAAUUUCUCAAAACCAUGGUGGGGGCACUUAAGGAGUAAAUCAUUAAAUCUUUCUCAACACUCAUAAAAUUGCUCACCCUCUCUUUGAUAAAAAUCACUUAUUUCUCUCCUAAGGGCAUUUGUUUUAGACAUAGGGAAAAACUUGGUAAGGAACUUAUUACUCAAUUCAUCCCACGUAGUUAUAGACCAAGCAGGAAGCGAAUUCAACCAAGCUUUCGCUUUGUCUUUUAAUGAGAAAGGGAACAUACGAAGCCUAAUUGACUCAUCAUUAAAAUCUUGAAAACGGAAUGUAGAGCAUAUGUCAAGAAAUUCCUUAAUGUGCAAAUAUGGAUCCUCUCUCUCUAACCCAUGGAAAGAUGGUAAAAGUUGAAUGACUGAGGGCUUAAGUUCAAAGUGUGUUGCUGUAGUUUGUGGCAACACAAUACAAGAUGGUUGGUUGGUUGCAAGUGGUGAAAAGUAUUCUCUAAGGGUUUUCUCUGCUUGCACUGGUGGUAGUAUUGGCAAUAAUCUAUUUGGGUCAUCCAUGACUUGAGAAGAACUAGCUUGACUACUAUCAAUUUUCGACUCUCUUUUAACCAAACGAUUUGUUGAAUCACGUUCCCAAACACUCAUAAACUAACUAGACAAGGAAAUAAAAAAAAAAAAAUAGACCAAAAAAUGAGAAUAAACGAAAUUUAAAAAUAAAAGAAAUCAAACAACCAAACAAUGAAUUUAAAGACAAAUAAUUUUUUUUUGUGUUUUUUUUAAUUAAAAAAUAAAAGACAACCUAAAUUAUAACUAGUGGAAGAAUCAAAUCAACCUAGAUUAAACUGACUUUCUAGCACAAUCCUCGGCAACGGCGCCAAAAACUUGUUGUGAAAAUUUUAAUAUACUCGCAAGCGCACGAAUCUAGAAAUUGAAUAGUGGUAACGAGGUCGAUCCCACAGGGAUUGUUAUAAAUUGAAAAGUCUAAUUUAAAUCUAAAAUUAAUAUUAAUUCUAACCUAGUUGAGCAAAUUGAGUUUUAAGAGAAAUUAAACUAAUUAAACUAAGAAAACAAUUAAAGUAAAGGAGAAUUCAAUAGGAUAGAAAUUACCAAGGUUUCAGAAUCCACCACUAUUCAACUAGUAAUUAUCUAAAUAUUCGUUAAUCCCCAAUUUUAGAGUGACAACUCGAAAUCAAUCUGUCAUCUCAUGGAUAUAACAAUUAAGCCCAAAUAAUUAAAUCUAAUAUAGGUUCUUUUUCCGCUUAAUAGUAUGACAUCUAAGUAUCCCAUGUGAACAUAUUGAAUAACAAAGAGUCAAAGUUUUCCUAAACACUCUAUGUAAACAAUUUAAUGAAAGACAUAGAAUCAAAGAUAAUCAUGUAUGAACUUUAUAAAUCCAAGCAUAGAUUUAAUCGAAUAUUAAUCCUAACAAUCAAUAAUACAUGACAUAAUUGAUGAAAAGAUUUUAAUAACAUCAAAUUAAUCAUGUGAAAUAAAAACCAUAAUCAUUAAAGAAUAUAUAUGGGAAUUAAAUAAAUAAAAAGAUAAUUAUUUUAUUGAAUAGGGUUUCAUCCUUAACCUCAAUAUAAGAAAAUUAGCUGGACAUACUUGAAUUAAGAGUAACAAAAGAGAUAAAACCAGCCAUGAAAGUCGAACUACUGCAGAUUUUCUUCUCUUUGUCUCGUGUUUCCCUCCUCUGGCGGCUCUCCCCUUGCAAAAGCCAAAGUUCGGCUUUUAUAUUGUAACACCCUCCAAAAUCCUCAAAUCAAAAGGAUUUAAAACAAGCCAAGCACAACCGACUUUGAGCCCAUGCACGUGAAGCCCACUUGGAAUUUUCAUUCUUUUUGUAAUGCCAUGCAAUUGCUUCUCACGUGCAGGCCACUUUAGCUUUAAAUUUCUUCUUUGUUUGCACUAGCAUGGAGAAUUCAAUUUAUUGGCCUCGGCUUCUUCGGAUUGAAUUUCAUACAUAUUUACUUAACUGCUUCCACAAAUUGACUUGAUCUUCAAUGUUGUCCAGUUGUUAUUCUUUAUGCACUUUUCAUCCAUAAUCUCUAAUUAAUUCCCUAUUCAAUAAAACAAUUCAACUAAUUAAAAAUAACAAAUAAAUAUAACUAGCAAUUAUUUAAUUAAGGGUAAAAUAUGCAUAUAUUAUAUGCUCAUCAGCUUGCAACUAGUAAAUUUUUCAACUUCAACUCGAUAUAAUGAUUUUGGAGAGAACCAUUUACAAUGAUUUUCAAUUCUUUUGUGAUUUUUUUUUUCCGUUUUGCCGGUCGCAUCUUUCUUUCCCUUCCUUUAUUUUAUGGUGAGUGGAUUAUUAUUGCCUUCAGCGUUGUGGUUAUUAGUGAGAAAAUUUAUAUUUUCCCAUCAUGCUUGGUGAUUUUCUGAGAAAUAUAAGAAAAAGACAAGUUUUAUAUGUCAAAUAAUUCAUUGCUUUUUCACAGCAGUCAUUUAUGAUUUCUUUUCAGAUUAGGGAUUUUCACAUUGCAAAAAAGGAGGAAGAUAUUGGAUUCUAUGCUGGUUACGUGGGUGAGUUAUUCUAUGUUUUUUUUUAACGUAUUUAAUAAAUGACACACAGUAUGGAGUCCGUCUUGGGUACGAAUGUCCACACCUUAUAAAGUGCUGACUCACGCCUUUACAACUCUGGGAGGACAUUCUACCGAGACUUUACAUCACUGUAAACGCACUGUACAAGAGCUUUACAAUGCGGACCCGCGUCUUUACAACUUUAAAGGGCCAAGUCCAUGCUUUAAAAAGUACAUAUGUUCGCACCUGGAAACGAUUUACAUAUGUAUGUAUAUAUGUAUAUAUGUGUGUAUGUGUGUAUAUAUAUGUAUGUAUGUAUGUGUGUGUGUGUGUGUAUGUAUGUACGACCAAUAAAACAGUUCAAAUUCCUCAAGAAGUUAUCCUAACAAACAUCUUAAUACCUUGAUGAAAUUGAAGGGUCUUCAUACAUGCUUGGCAGAGCUCUAACAUCUGUUUUGUGGGGAAUGGUGGCUGACCACCGUGGUCGAAAGCCUGUAAUAAUAAUAGGAAGCAUCACAGUGUUAGUGACUUCUAUUUUCAUAUGAUCAAGCUUGAAAUUGAUGAUACUUCGGCAAUUUCUGGAUUUCUUGUCUGUCUUAAAAUGCUCACAGGGUUAUUUUUAACACUCUUUUUGGGCUUAGUGUGAAUUUCUGGAUGGCCAUAGCUACAAGGUUUCUCCUUGGGGCUUUGAAUGGUUUCCUUGGACCAAUAAAGGUAUUGAUUGGGGGUAUUUGUUGAUAAUUCCAAUUUAAUUCCUGCAAAUAAUUGUGCUCAAACUUCUCUUACACCACGAGGCAUAUGCAUGUGAAAUAUUGUGCGAUCAGCACCAAACUUAUUACGAAACUAAAAAUGUUACUUGUUUUCUGUACUUGCUUUCGCAUGCAUCACCCCCACAAAACUGCUUGACGAUUGUCCUCAUUUUGAACUUACUAUAGGUUUCAGUCUCCUUGUUUUUCAACUUACUCUGUACCCUUAAGGAUUAUUGGGCCAAUAAUCAUAACACGAAUUGCAGGGGGUAAAAUUUUGAGCACCUCAUGCGGCAUUUGGACCAUUUGAUAGUUUGUUUGAAACAUAUCUGUUUAUAAAAUACUUUUCUUCAUGGUUUUGGUCCCAUAACUUUCUAUGUAUGUACAGGUUUUAUCGAUACCGCUUUUGACAAGUUACACUUACAUAGCAAUGUUAUCGGGUUCAGCCUUGCCUUUUUGAUAAACUGUGCUUCUGUGAUGAAGAAUGUUUUAUCUGUAAGUGGAUAUCCUAAUCAUUGAUCCAUAUACUUAGGUUAUAUUAUCCACCAGCAAGUAUGUAUAAAUUAUUUUAUGUCUUAUUUAUUAGAAUUGUUGUAAUUCUUUUUUACUUUUCCUAAAUUGUAACAUCAGGUGUCUAUAAUAACUGGAUUGUUCCUUCUGCAAAACAGAGCAGUGGUAAAUAUAUUUUCUUUUGUUUGUUUAGUACAUUUCCAUGCUUUCAGCUUUUUCAAAUUUUGUAUGUGCCAAAGUUUAAAUUAAUUGGUUGGUUUAUGGUAUAAUAACAGGUACGAUAAUUUACUAAUGAAAUUUCUCACUAGUUUGUGAAUUACUUGGUGCUAAUCAGCUUAGUUAGCUGCUUAAACUAAAGUGCAGGUAACCAGGUGAUUUUUUUCAUCCUGAAUUCGGUGGAGGCACUUGGAGUAAUAUUGACAUUCAAACCGUUUCUAACUCAACGUGCCCCGUGAGUGGAGAAAAGAUGCGUCUGUUGAAAUAUUCAAAUAUAUGUCAAGCAAAUUAAAGCUUUCAAAAUCUUUCAACAAUUUGAUUGUUUGAUGUGGUUGCCACUUGCCAUAUUUUGUGUUACUUUUCUAAAGGCUUAAAUAUGAAAAUGGUUGUUGGUGCUCACGCCAAUUGAUUGCUGGUAACAUUAAUUGUGCAGUACUUGUCAGAACUACCACAAUUUAUCUUCACAAUGAUGCUAGCUAGAAAGAAAAUUUCAUGUUAAGUAAAAUAUUGAAGCCAUAAAGAGUCUUAUUCCAGAGCCUUAUUAAGUACUGAGUUUUCUGCCAUGCUUUCAAAGUUACAAAUUCGAAGCUUGGGAUUCUGUAACAAUGGAGGAUAAAAAUUAUAUAAGAAUAUUAUUUUGUACAAUUUUCAUACCCAGACAGAAGCGAGCAUUAUUUUUUGAUCAUAACUCAGAUCAAAAGACCUUCAAUGAUGUAUAAUAUGCACAAAAAGCUAGCUCAGAACCAGACAUUAGAACUUAUGAUGAAAGGGAAACAUAGAUGUUGAGAUUGAAAACAUAGAGAAAUUUUUUUAAAAAGUCUGAAAUUUUAUUACUAGAAGUUUGAAUAACAAAAUUAGGGUAUUGGACCCUUUUUAUACAAAUUCUAAAUAUUAUGUAUUUAUCAAAACAGGCAAACUUGAAAUAUUAUUACAUAAUAACGUUCUCCUAACUGAAAUAAGAAAAAUAAAAUAAAUCAUACUUGAAAUCUUAUAUUUAGAGAAAAACAUAUCGUACUAUGUCGAGAGAGAUGACGACUCCUCCAACAGCAGAAAAUAAAUUCUUUCAUUCAUUAAUUUAAAGUAAAUUUUGUAAAUUUAGGUACUUGCACAUUGAGAUUUGCAAUUUAAUUUGACAGGACUUUUCAUUGAAUAAUGAAAUUAAAAACUAACGAUUAAAGAAUUUUUUAUAAUUCUCUAAACUCUUGUGGAAAUGUCAGCUGUAAAUAGGACAAUUUCAAGAAUCUUUAUCUGAAAGCGUAAUUGGCAGAGCAGAAACUUGUGAGACUAUCUAAAUCACACAGACUCGAUGUCUUCAAUUUGCUGAAAACAAUCUCUUGUUUUGAAUUUAAAUUUGGUGCUCCAUCUUCUUCUCCGUCACCUAUUACCACCUCUGUCAUUGCCCUGCAUCCACCUACCUUCAUUGAUACGAGCCGCACUAGAGUUUCUGCUGUAGUGGACGGAUGUUACAAUUCCUUGCAAUGGAAAACCGACAGUUCUGUCAGAUUCCCAAAAGAUAUAGAUGAUCAUGGGAAUAGACUUAAAUGCUUGUAAAAUAGUCUUAGAAUGUCAAAAUAUUUAAAAUGGAGUCCAGUUUGGAGUUGCUUCAAUGAUUAAGUCUGGACAGGAUUAACCAUUUUAUCAGUGCCUACUUCCCCACUUGUUUCUACCAGUAUCCGGCUUGAUUUAAGAAUUUCUCUUUGUAUGAACUAUAACCCAGUAGGAGAUACUACCAAAAAAAACUUAUUUCAAAUGACGCACAGGAGAAGAGUUACCUGAAUCUUCAUCAGUAUCCAGACAUUCUACAAUCACAGAGUAAAGAGUUCUAACAGGAAAAACUGAGAAAACAACGUUCUUCUAUACUUCUCAUAAAACUAGACCAAAUUAGUCCCUUUCUUGGUAUCCAACAUUUUCAAACAAUAUUUCCACAAUAUAGUUUUUCAUAGCGAAGAGUUUUGCUUUGAUGGUCUAAGGAUUUGUUCUAGGCAUAAUGCUCUGAUUAGAUUUUGUUUAUUUUUAAUUUUUUAUCCGAUGAAUGAUUUUCAGCUGGUCUUAAUUAUGUGUUCAUAGGGAAGAGCAUUUGGAAAGAUCAUCAAAAAAAAAAAAAAAAAAGUUUCCAAACAAAGAUAGGUGUGAAGCAAACCAAACUAAAUGAACAAACUAAAAUAACAGAACAGCAAUGAUGUUUUCAAGGAAUUAUAAAAUAUGAAGACUUUUAAUGAAAUUUUAUCAUACAAAGUAUGCAAGGAAUUAUAAAAUUUUAGAAAACAAGGGGAACUCUCAAAAAAAGAAAAAAAAUACUCAAAUUAAACUAGACUAGAAGACAUUCAAUGAUGCAAAAUCUGUCCACAAAAGUCUGAACGAAUCAUUAAAAUUGCAUUCCAAAUUUAACAGUAAAGCCGAUUGACCCAUUCUAAAUAAUUCAGAUGAAAUUGCGAAACAAGCCACGAGAUCAAAUAAAUGAAAUAAAAAUUAAUUACCAGCUGAGGCUUUCUUCUAAAAAUUCACAACUCCCAAGUCAUAAGAAGCCUAUGAAAUUAGUACUGGGUAGAGAACGACGACGGCACCGCCAACAGCUGAAAAUAAAAUUCUUAUUCAUCAAUUUAAACUUUUACUUUAUAACAAAUAUCUUAUCUAUAUUUUAUUAAAAAAACAAAUUUUGUAAAAUGUUUCCAUGGGAGAUAGAGAGUACUGCGUAUAUCAGUACCUUCUCAGCAUGUAAUUGUUGUAUGGUUGUGUUUAGAUCAUUAUUAGCCCAACGCUGUUGAUUCGAUGUGUGUCCAUACUGGACGUUUACUCUCGGAGGCGUGAUUGAUUCUCCUGUAGUGAAAAUCUUCAUCUUGGGACAACCAAUCACUUCCAGAUAUUCCAAAGAUGGGAAUCUGAAGGUGUAAUUGGCAGAGCAGAAACUUGUGAGACUUUCUAAAUCACACAGAAUCAACGCCUUCAAUUUGCUGAAAACAAUCUCUUCUUUUUCAACUCCUUCUUUGUCAUUUAUUACCACCUCCGUCAUUGCUCUGCAUCCAUAUAUACUCACUUUGACGAGUUGCACUAGAGUUUUUGCUGUGGAGGAUGUUACCAAGUGUAUCAAUCCCUUGCAACCGAAAGCUACAAGUUUUGUUAGGUUCCGAAAAGAUACCGAUGAUGAUGGCAAUAGAAUUAACAGACUUUGACAAUGAUAUACUCCUAGAAUUUCAAGAUACUGAAAAAUGGGGCCAAGUUUGGAGUCUUGUUUGCACAGCUGCUUCAGAUGAUAGUGCCGGUGCAGCUCUAAUGUUUUUAUCAUUGCCAACUUCCCCACAUGUUUCUCUAAGCUUCCUUCCUCCGAAAAUACCUCUUCGUUGAAUGCCAAAAAAGACAGUACGAGUAUUUCGAGAUUGUGAAAUCUCUCCAGUACGUUCCAGAUUGGAAAACAAGCUGAGUCAUCUGCAGUAAUGUCUAGUUGUCUAAGAUUGCCAAAAAGGUGUUGUGGGAAAUCGGCCUGCAAAAUCAUCUUCACAUCUUUUCCACUUAGUGAUAGUUCCUUCAAGUUGGGUACGAUCUGAUCAUCAUCAAUCAUAAUAACUAAUGAGGUCAAUUGAUGUUCUUUCAAAUGAUUUUGAGUAAUCCAAUCACAAGCAGUGACUUUAUAGUAUUUAUUUUAUAUUAAUUUUACCCCUAAAAAAAAUGAAUUAUAUAAAAAAUGAAUUAGUGAUAAAAUUCAUUAUAUGAUUUUUUUAUAUGUUAGUUUUAGAGGUAAUAAAGAGAUUAGGGAAAAAAACGAAAUUAUUUUAUUGCACGAUAGUAAAUUACUAAUUUAUUUUGUAAGUUUUUCUAUAUGGAAAGACUAAGGAUUCUUUUAUAAAUGCUAUACCUAAAAAUGUUCAUAUAAUUAUUAAUUUACCACAUUGAUCCCUUAGUCUGUGGUCCCUUAGUCUAGACUAGCAAAGAUUAUUGUAUAACAAAAGUUUUCAAUUUAUUAAGUAUUAAUUUAACCAUGCUUUGCAUAUUUUUCAAAGUUAAAAAUAAGCUAUUGAAAAAAAAUCUAGAAAAUGGUUUCAUACCUUUUCCAACGGCAUUAGGGGCUGUUGUGCAGGAAUACCAAGUUGAUCAUUCACAUUAUUCUGCGAUAAAUCUGCAGCGAAUAUCUUUAAUUUGUCACAACGAUACACUAAAAGAAUUUCCAGUGCGGGCCAUUCCGAAGUAUGCAUUCCAGGGUACAAACAUCUAAGUUUUGGUAGAUCUUGGAGUUUCAGAGUGGUGAGCUGUGGAAAGACAAAAUAAGGGAUCACUUGAUCUGCUCUGUUUUCAGAAAUGAUCUCCUGUAAAUCCUCACAGAAGCGUAUAUCUAGGUGUUGGAGCUGCUUAAGGCUUCCGAUCAUAGAUGCUGAAAAUAUGUAUUUUAAUUUGUGACAACGCCACACAAUCAAUCGUGUUAAACUCUGAAAGUGAGGAAACACGGCCGCCGGAAUUUGAUUGCAAUGCCAAAUCUUGGCGACAUCAAUUUGAGAUAUCUCCAAAGCCUCCAAGUUAGGCAACGCAACCUUAAAAAAUAAGAAUUUCUCGUUAGAUCCAAUAUCCAUAUGGGAAGCACUUGUUGAAAUUUCCUUCUUUGAUUACAAAUUAAUGCAAGUCAGAAUCAAUUUCCAACUGACAGCUGAGUUUGAUGCAUUCUAAUUCAUACUACUUGUUAAGAGCUCAAUUAGUAAGCGUGUGAGAUUCUUUUUAUCCUUUUUUCCAUUUUCUUGCAAUUCUUUAAAUGAUUUAAUUAUUUUCCACGUAUGACGUCAAAAGAGAACGCAUGAUAGAAUAAAAUCUGUUAUAUAUAUAUAAAGAAAAUGUUAGCCUACGCACCUUCUCGUUGAAAAGCAGAGUUGAAGUAUCCAAAGUGAUUUCGCUGGAGCUAUACGUAGUCGUCGAUUCCUCUUGCGACGCUCGUCUGUUCGGUGAUGCUGAAGGAGUCUUUACUUCACGGCAAAAACUUGUAACCUCUGGAAGAUUCCCCAGACUCAAAGAUCUUAAUUGAGCAAACUCUAUCUUCUCAAUUGCAUUAUCAACUUCUUCCCCAAUUGCAAAAAUCUCUUUCAUCUUGCUGCAAUUAAUAACUGCAAUUCUCUCAAGUCUUGGAAGGCAUUUUGUUGUAGAGAGCCAAAAGAUAUUACUCAAUUUAUCACAAUUAUAUGCUUGUAUGAUUUUGAGUUCGUUGAAGGACUCUACUUUGAGCCGAUCAAUACAUAUCCUCUCCAUGUUGAUCAAAUUGUGAAGGCCAAGUGACUCCAAAAGAGGAAAGGCAUCAGAAGCGACCAUCUCCUUUGAAUCGACGAUGCAAAAGAAGUCAGGAUUAUUUUGAACCCCGAGAAGCUUCAAUUGUGAAAAGCCCUCCGUGUCCAAAUUGAAAAUAACGUUCUUGAUACCUCGCAGCUUGUCCAACAAUAAGUAUUCAACUUUAUUGAUGCCCUGCAAUUUGAUGGAGCAAAUGUCCAUAAAAUCAAGCUUGAGCUUCAAUGCUCUUGAAAACUUGCGAUUACUGUCGAUCAAAAAGUGCGGCCGACUUUCAAACCAAUAUUGUCCAAAAAGCACGGGAUGCCUGAAUGACUCAUUUCCAAUAGAUAUUUUGAACCUUUCGAGCUUUCUGGCCAAAAAACCUUCUGGUAAAAUACUGUCAUUUUUAACGUCAAUUUCUAGAGCGGUUAGCCGAGGUAAAUGCAUCAAUUCGUCAAGGCUAGCAUUACUUCUUUUGCUGUUGGCUCUUUCAACCUCCCAUUCAAUGAAGCAAUUACCCAUAUACAAUUCUUCUAAUCGGAUUAAGCUUGAUAUGACAUUUGGGGCAAUAACUUUCAGAAGGAAACAGUCUGUUAAAUCUAACAGCCUUAGCUUAGACAGUUGACCUAGUUCUUCGGGCAACUUCUUAAUAUCAGACUUCAAAAAGCUAAGGACUUCUAGAUUCUUCAACUUCCCAAUGAUUGCUAUGUCGCCCAACGCACUUUGAUCCAGACAUAGUGUGUGAAGAUUUACUAGAAGAUCAAUUGAAGAUGGAAAUGAAGAAAACUGCAUUCGAGUAAAAUCUAGAACUCUAAGCUUUUUCAUCCCUACAAAAAAGUUCUCAGGAAUAUUGAUUUCAAGAGAAGAAUCUUUGAGAGAGAGAUAUAAAAAUUCAAGGUUUGGGCAUUCUAAUCCUUCAGGAAAUUCACGAUUACUAUUAUUUCUUAAAGAGACAGCAUUGCAUUUUCGAAGUGCAUCCUCAUCUGGCCAGUCCCACACAUCCUCAUUUUCGGCCAAAAAUACAUGUUGGUGGCGGCAUGCAAUUGAUAUGGCGACAUCGCGAACAACAUCAUGCAUUGAAAAUUCUUCAUUGCUAUCACCCUCAAGCAACAAACAAGAGUCUCUAAGUUCAUGGACCAAUGCAUAUAAUUUGUCUCGUGCAUCUUCCAUCUUAUUGACUCCUUUAAAUAUACCCAAACCCAUGGAGUACUUAAACAGGUCCAAAGUAUGAAUACCGUUACCCAUUAGACUACCGAGGAGAAAAAUUUUCUUGAGUUGCUCACCUUUUAAAUGGUUGAAACUCAGCUCAAUACUUGAAUAAGUCUCUGCAGAUACUCCUUCGAAGUUCACCAUUGAAGGCGUUCGGAGUUCGCGCAAGGAAUUCUUCCAUUGAUGCGGACUCUUGCUUCUCAGUGCCUUUGCUACCGUACUCAAGGCAAUGGGCAAACCUCCACAUGCCCUGGCGACGUCUAUUGCUGUAGAUUUCAACUCACGAUUUUCAACAUCAUCACCGGCCAUCAUCUUAAACAAUCUCCAAGCUUCUUCUUCAUUUAAAUUGUUAAUCAAGAAGUUGUCUUUAGAUCCCAUUUUCAAGAGGACACUACGAUCUCUUGCCGUCAGCAGUAGUUUGCAUCCUUUAUGAUCUUCCCCAAAAGGAAUUCCAACGGUCUCCAAAUCAAGGUGUUUCCAGAUGUUAUCCAGAAUCACAAGGAUCUUCUUCUCAUUUCUCAAUCGCUCAUAUAGCCUACUUGCUCUUCUAGAUUCAACUUCCUCGUGCAACUCCAGGCCCAACUUCUCGGCAAUUUCCUGUUGAAUCUUUUUUAUGUCUGGAGUUUGCGAAACCUCUGAAAAGACCACCAUAUCAAAGUGCUUGUCUUCCAGAGCUUGCCUGGCGACCUUCUUCACCAGUGUCGUCUUUCCAAUGCCGCCCAUGCCGUACACCCCAAUGAUGCUGACAUUAACAUCGAUCAAUGCGUUUUUUAUAGCCUCCAAAGUAGAACGUCUUGAUUCGAAGGCCUCGUAGCCUUUGUGAGACUUGAGCCAUAUAUCCUCCGGAACAGUACGGUAGGAAAUUCUAUCAUCAAAUCUCCCAGCUUCUUCUCGGAGUUUAAAAAGGGCCUCCUUCUCUGUUUCUGCUUCCUUUCCAUGCUGAUAGCGAGUAAUCCAAUUAGGAAACAGCCCCAUGAGACAUCGUUCAUUUGCUUUCUCUUCGUCUUGAAUGAAUUUGGCUGCCUGCUCAAUGCUCUUGUUCGCAUUAACUAGCCAUUUCUCAACCUUCUCUUCAAUCUUUUCACUUUUUCUUUCAGCCUCAGAAACUCUGCGCUGAAUGCUUUCUCUUUCAUCCUUGAGCCUAUCGAGUUCUGCCUUGAGAUUCUCAAAGUUGGCAGAGGAGUUAUACCAAUAACUAAAUUCGCGUUGUGCGUGAGGAGACAAGCAGUUUACAACUCCUGGAACAAUGCUUUUCAAAAUGUCCAUUUUUUUUUUCUUUUUUGGGGAAGUGAACGAAAUAGAAAUAGAACAGAGUCAACGACCGCGCAAUUGAUAAUUAAGUAGAAAACAAGGCAAAAUUGAAAAAAGAAAUUAUAUUUGUACAAAACAAGGGGAAAAUCAGUGUAACAGAAGAGAAUCAAAGUGUUUUUGAGAUCAGAAAAUUGAACCAAGAAAAGGGUUGCUUGAUCCAAUGAAAAUGCAAAGAGCAUGGCAAAAGGAAACAAAGCUAAAUAAGAAAACGGUUAGCACGAGCAGUGACCACGAUCAACAGAAGCAAAGUGUGUAUGAGAUCAAAAGACGAAAAUCAGGAGAGGUUUUCUUGAUUGAGAAUUGAAGGCAAAGAGUAGGAGCUGACGAAUACGGGGAUCAAGAGGGAAAAACUGCUUGCUCGUAAAACUGCUUUCAAGCGAAUCUGAUAAAAUUAUUUCAGUACAAGUGGGCGACUCCCUUUUAAACUGCAGAAGGAAAAAAAAAAAAAUUCUGAUUUUCAAUAUAUUAAUCUCGUAAUCAAUGAUUAAUUAGUAGAUAAUCUUUCUAACAAAUAUGUGUUGAAUAGAUAUAUUUCUUGAUUAUUCGUAGGUUCGAUAUACUUUAGUAUAGGAAUGAAAGUACAAAUUGUGUCAUAUUAGAAUAAAAAUUAGACCUAAAAAUAUUGUCAUAAAACAUGUGAUCCUCAUCCAAAGGCCAGGUGAACAAAUAUAAACGACAAAUUCUUUUCAAUUAAAUAAUCAUCAAGUGAUAAUAUUCUAUUUCAGUACAAAUAGCGAGUGCAGAACAACUGUCAAGAGAUAAUCAUUGUUUAUGGAGCCAUAUAUAUUUUCUAUUAAAAUAGUUGCGUGAACAAUAGCCAGAAUCCGAAAAAAUUGUUGAAAGGUCUAUUAUUUUCGUUUAAAAUUGUUGAAAGGUCUAUUAGUUUCGAUUAAAAUAUUUUCGAUAAAAAUAGUUGUGUGAACAAUUACCAUAAAUAGUGUUUACAUUUUGGAUUGGACUGAGAAUCUUGAAGAGUGGAAAUCUUAGAAUUGAGAGUAUGGAGUAGAAGUGGGUGUAAGUUGUUUACUUACACUGAAAUAUAAGCAUGGAAUGAAGAUUAUAAUCCAAUUUAUGUAUUUACUUUAUCUUGGAUUGGGAGUAAAUAGUUUCAAAUUAUAAUUUUAUCUUCAUUUAAAGAAUUAUAGUUUUUAAUUACAAAGUUAAUAAAAAUAUAUAUUUAAUGAAUAAACAUUUAUUUUAUUAUAUUUAUAAAUUUAUAAUAAUUAUUAAUAUUCUUAAUUAUGUACAUCAUAUUUUUUAUUAAUUUUAAUUUUAAAUAUAUAAAUUAAAAAUUAUUGAUAAGAGCAAUGUAAAUGAAACAUUUUUACUAUUAACAUAGUACAAAAUUAAUAUUUUCUUAUAAUUAACUAUUUAUUAUUACUAAUUAUUGAUAUUAAAUAAAUAUAAUACUAUUAUUUUUAAAUAAAUAUAAUAAUAUUAUAUUUUCAAAUAAAGAUAGUAUAUAGUAAUAUUAUUAAUUCUCUAUUAAUAUAAUAAUAUUAUUUUAAGUAAUUUAAACUUAGAAUCAAACCAAAUUAUUAUUUAGUUAAAUAUAAUAUUAUUAUUUAAAUAAAUAAAAUAUUAUUUAUUUUAUUUUAUUAAAAAUAAUUAUAGUAAAUUUAAUAAAAGGGGGUUAAAAAAGGAAGGUAAAUAUAAAAUGAAAUAUUAUUUUAUUUAAUUAUAUUAAAUUUAUUAUUAUAUAAAUAAUAAUAUAAUAUUAUUUAGUAUAAAAUUAAUAUUUUCUUAGAAUAAACUAUUUAUUAUUAUUAAUUAUUAAUAUUAAAUAAAUAUAAUACUAUUAUUUUUAAAUAAAUAUAAUAAUAUGAUAUCUUCAAAUAAAGAUAGCAUAUAAUAAUAUUAUUAAUUCUCUAUUAAUAUAAUAAUGUUAUUUAUUUUAUUUUAUUAAAUAUAAAAUAUUAAAUUUAAUUAAAUAAAGGUAGAAAAGGGAGAGGUGGGAGUGGAUUUCCCAUGGGAGUCCCACUCACACUCCCCACUCCAAAAAUGGGUGGGGUCCACGGAGUGGGAUUUCCAACCCCUCCUUAAAAUGGUGAAGUAAACACUGGAGUGGGAGGAAUGCACACUGCUCACACUCACCCCAGAAAAUAAACACCGAAAAGGCCAGAUGAUGAAGAACCACUAUAAGUUCUUUUAUGAAUUUAAAAUGCUAAAGAAACUUGACACCAACGCUAAGCUAACAAGUGCAUAUUUUUCUGUGGCCCUUGCCUCAAUGUCUUUUGGGCAUUGCUCGGGGGUAGUUGAUAUAUUGAUUAAAAUAUGAAUGAAUUGGAAUGGAAUGAGUUGGAAUUAAAAUAUGGAAUAGUAAUUAAUUAAUUAAUUUAAAUUGUAAAAAUUAAAAUAAAAAUAAAUUAUAUCAUCAUUGAUAUAUUUAUUUUAUUUUAAAAUCACGAUGAGUUGUUACAAAUUACAAAAUAUCUUUAAUUUUUUAUCAUAAUAAUAAUAAUUUAUUAUAAUAUUUUGUUGGCCUAAAUGGUUAUAUAAUCCUUGAUUUUGAUGAUAACAAACUACAUAGAGUACAAUAGUAAAUUUAUUUCUCACAAUCUCACAAGUUUUUGAAGGGCAAAAAUCAUUCAAGUGGGAUCAAGAUCAAGAUACUCAAUAGACAAUGACAAUCAAGGACGAAUACUAAGGGUACUAGUUUAAGCCAUCUUUAUUGUUAAAUUUCUUGUAAAGCCAGUGUAAUUUAACGUGUGCAUGAUGUAACAUUUAAAAGCUCAAGACAUUUUUCAUGACAUUUUCAAAUUAAAUCAUCAUUUUCUAAAAUAUAAAAGUUUUAACGAUUUUAUAAAAUUAGUUGCUUUUUCCAAAUUUAUGAACUAAAUUGAAAAGUUUUGAGAACUUUGAAAUCAACUAAUAAUGUUUUAAAACAUAGAAAUUGACAUAUUUGUAAAUAUUUCAAACGUUUUGGGUCGUAAUAUAAUUUCAAAAAAAUUAGGUCUAAUCUAUAAAUCCUGGAACAAUAGUGGCUAAUCGCUUAACCAAUAGCGACUAACUACUUCAAGUCCAAAAACAUAGCAGCUAACCGCUUAAAUCAAGUGACAAUCCGCUUGAACCAAAGUUUUCAAAUUUGAUUUGCAACUGUAACUUACCAUAUCAACAUAGUGGCUAAUCGCCUCAUUUUAACGGCGAUCCAGCAAGUCCCUAGAAAAGCCAAUAAUUGCUAGUUUGAUUAUUUAAACUAUAAAAUUCAAAUCUAACAAUUUUUUUUUUCAAUCUCAAUUAAGCUAAAACUUAUUCAUAUAUCUUGAGCUUUCAUUUUGCUUAUCUACAUACAUUAAUCAUUAUAGAGCUAUCAUUUGCUUAUACACUCUUAUAGAGUGUAAUCUUUGUAAUCUUCAAUUAAAUAUCAAAAUUGAGUGAGUAUAAGUGUGGGAAACACUUGGGAAAAGAGGUGUGUGUAUACAUAAUUACUUGUAAAGGUUUAUUGACACCUUAGAAGUCAAUUGUAAAAUUUUGGAGCCUUGGAAGGUUUGGAUAGUAGAAUUCUCAAGUUUGGAUUGCUUGGAGGCGUAGUCAUAGGCGGGUUUGCCGAACCACAUAAAAAUUCAUGUGUUUGUUAUCUUCUCCCUUAUCUUUUUAAUUUCACGUAUAGUUAAAUUUACCAUUAUUAAAUUUCUUGAAGUAUUUGUUUAAUUUGUAUUGUGUUUUUGUUAGUAUAAUUUUUAAUACCUAAUUCGCCCCCCUCUUGGGUUGCUUAGCUAGAAUUUCAUUUGGUAUCAAAGGAAGUUCUCUUGUUAGGACUUAACCAUCUAGAGUAAAAGAUCCAUAGUAAUCCAAAAUGAUCCCAGAUUUGGGGAAGGUUAAUCCCUUACUAGAUCACCAUUCUUUGAUGGGAAUGAUUAUCCAUGUUGGAAAAUUAUGAUAAGAAUUUAUUUGCAAGCAUUAUAUUAUGAAAUAUAGGAAGUUGAUUGUGAUGGUCCAUUCAUGCCUACUGCUAAAAAUGAAGAAGGGAAAGAAAUUCUAAAACCUUCACAAGAAUGGAAUGAGUCGGAAAAGAGAAAAGAUUCUCUUAAUUUCAAAGUCAUGAAUGCUUUGUUUUGUGACUUAGAUAAAAAAGAAUUCUAUAGAGUUUAAGGUUGUUCCAAUGCUUAUGAAAAUUGGAAAAAACAUAAAGUCAUUUAUAAAGCUACAAAUCAAGUCAAAUAGUCUAAAAUUAGUAAAUAUACUAGGCAAUACGAAUUGCUAUAAAUGGAACAAAAUGAGAGUGUUAAUCCCAUAUACACUAGAUUAACAGACAUUAUAAACACUUUAGGAGCUCUUAGAAAGACUUUUUCAAACAGCGAAAAGGUAAAAAAAAUCAGUAGGUCUUUACCAAAAGAAUAGAGACCUAAGAAAAUUCCCAUUGAGGAAGCCAAUGAUAUUUUAUCUAUUGAUGAUUUAAUUAGUUCAUUUAUUUCUUAUGAAAAGGAUUUGACAACUGAAAAAUAUAAUGAAGACGAGAAGAAGAAGAGUUUUUCCUUAAAAGCAUCAAGAUCUAAAAGUGACAACGAAAGUGAGAUCGAAAAUGAAGACAUGGCUAUGAUAGCUGGAAAAUUCAAAAUAAUUUUCAAGAAAUCCAUCGAGCGAAGGAAAUUCAAAAAUUAGAAAGAGAAGAAGGAGGCAAUUAUUUUCUUUAAAUGCAGGAAGCCUAGACACAUAAAACUAGCAUGUCCUUUUCUCAAAAAAUUAAAGAAGAUAGCCAUGGUAGCAACACGGGAUGAUAGCGAUAAGGAGACUAUAGAUGAAGAGUAGUCCCAUGAAGUGUCAAAUUUGGCACUUAUGGUUAUAGGAGAUGAACUUGAUGAGGUAAACCUCUUAGGAUGAGUUGUUUGAAGUAUUCUCUAAAUUGCAUAAAGAUGUAAAGAAGAUUGAAAUGUAAAAUGUUUCUCUUGGAAAGAAAAAAGUAGAACUUUUAAAUGAGAAUGACACUUUGAAUAAAAAGAUUAAGUGCCUAGAAGUAUUUGUGAAGAAAUUGCAUCUUUUAAAGAAAAAACAAAAUGUUUCAUCUAAGAAUAAAGGUUUACUUGUAAAUGAUUUGAAAAAGAAAAAUGAAAUAUAUUGCUUUAGAAUUUGCUUAGUAUUAGUCAAUUGUGUGAUAAAUGUUACAAAGUUAUUUUUAUGUGAUAAAGACUAUAGAGUUAUUUUUUAUAAAACAAAAUGUGUUAUUAAAAAUACAUGUGAUGACAAAGUUUUAUUUGUUACAUAAAGAUGUGUUAAUGUAUACACCAUUGAUAUAGAUAGUGUAUCAACUCAUGAUAAAUGUUUUUUUCACAUUACAUGAUGAUAGUUGAUAUGGCAUGGAAGACUAGGUCAUGCGAGCAUGGAUUUGUUUUCAAAAUUUUUUAAAAAUGAUUUGGUUAUAGGUCUUCUAAAAAUUGGUUCUAAAAAAGAUAAAAUUUGUGAAGUUUGCCAAUUUAGAAAACAAAUAAAACGUCCUUUAAAAAAAAUUCAUAUUUCUACUUCAAAACCACUUUAACUUUUUCACAUGGAUUUGUUUGAAUUUUCUAAAUAUGCUAGUUUAAGUGGUAAAUAUUAUGCAUUUAUAAUUAUAGAUGAUUAUUCUAUAUACACAUGGUAUUACUCUCAACUAAUAAAGAUGACACCUUUAAUGCUUUCAAAGUUUCUAUAAAAAGGUUCAAAAUGAAAAAUGAUAUGUUAUUUCUUGCAUUAGAAGUGAUCAUGGUGGAGAAUUUGAAAAUUAUAUUUUGAAAAUUUUUACAAUAACUUUGGCAUUGAGCAUCAAUUCUUGUUACCAAGAACUCCAUAAUAAAAUGGAGUAGUUGAGAGAAAGAAUAGGUCUAUCCAAGAAAUGGCUAGGACCAUGUUAAAUGAAAAUGUUUUACUAAAAUAUUUUUGGGUUGGAACCGUCAACAUUGUUUGUUAUAUUUUAAAUCGUGCAUUGAUUAGACCUUACCUCAAUAAAACUCCUUAUGAGUUUUGGAAAAAUAGAAAAACAUUGACUAUUUCAAAGUUUUUGGUUGCAAAUGUUUUCUAUUGAAUACAAAAGACAAUCUUGGUAAAUUUAAUCUAAAAUCUGAUGUUGAUAUUUUUCUUGGGUAUUCAAAUACAAGCAAAACUUAUAGAGUGUAUAAUAAAAGAUCCUUGGUCGCUAAAGAAUCUAUACAUGUUAUAUUUGAUGAAUCUAACUUUUCUUCUAUGAAGAAAGUUGUUGUUGAUGAUGAUGCAUAUGAAGAGUUACAAAAACAAAAAGUCUUUAAAAGACAAACAAGAUGAUUUACCGGUAAAAAUCAAGAUGAGCAACAAGAAAAACAAGUUAAACAGAUUCAAAAUGAAGGUAAUUCACAAACACUCUCUAAGGAGCUAAGGUAUGUCUCUUCACACCCUAAAGACUUAAUCUUAGGAGAUCCUUCAUGAGGUGUAACUACUAGAUAAUCACUUAGAAAUACAUGUGAACAUACUGUAUUCAUAUCUCAAGUUGAGCCAAAAUCCUUUUCAGAUGUGGAAAAUGAUGAAUCUUGGAUUAUAGCAAUACAAGAAGAGUUAAAUCAAUUUGAAUGAAACAAUGUAUGGAAACUUAUUCAUAAACCAUAACAUCAAUCUGUAAUAGGCAAUAAAUGGGUAUUUAGGAAUAAAAUCGAUGAAUCUGGUGUAGUUGUAAGGAAUAAAGUUAGAUUAGUAGCUCAAUGAUGCAACCAAGAAGAAGAAAUUGAUUUUGAUGAAACCUUUGCACAUGUAUCGAGAUUAGAAUCCAUUACAUGCUUUUAUCAUUUGCAUAUCAUAAUGAUUUUAUUUUAUAUUAAAUGGAUGCUAAAAGCACCUUUCUAAAUAGUUGUAUUAUGAAGGAAGCUUAAGUGAAACAACCCCCUCAUUUUAAAAAUGAAAAAUGUUUUUGGAUCAUGUUUACAAGUUGUCCAAAGUUUUAUAUAGUUUAAAGUAAGCAUCUAGAGCAUGAUAUGAUAGACUUAGUAAAUUUCUUUUAGAAAAUAGUUUUUCAAUGGGUAAAGCGAAUACUACUCUAUUUGUUAAAUACAAGGAUCAAGGUAUACUUGUUCAAAUUUAUAUUGAUGAUAUUAACUUUAGUUCUAUUAAUGAGUUUCUGUGUAAGGAAUUUUCAUCUUGCAUAAGUAGAGAAUUUGAGAUGAGCAUGAUGGGAGAAUUGAAGUACUUUCUUGGACUUCAAAUUUAAAAGAAAAAAAAGAAUUCAUUAAUCAAGCCAAGUAUUUCAGAGAUCUACUCAAAAGAUUUUGCAUUCAGGACUAAGGACACUCCAAUGAGAACUACAAUCAAUCUCGAUAAGGAUAAAAAAAGUAAAGAUGUUGUAUCAAAAGAUAUCGAGGUAUGAUCAUAUUUUUACUUUACUUUACUACUAGUAGACAUUACUUUAGUGUAUGUUUGUGUGCAUGAUUUCAACCAGAUCUCAAAGAAUCUCAUUUGCUUGCGGUUAAAAGAUUUUUUUCAUUAUUUAUGAGGAACAAUUGAUCUUGGUCUAAGGGAACUCAUAUAAAUUAUUAGCUCAAUAAAUUUUUCAAAGAAUCCCAUUCAACAUUCUAGGACCAAACAUAUUGAAAUUAGGCAUUAUUUCUCACGUGAUCAUGUUCAAAUGAGAGAUAUUGCUUUAGAAUUUGUUUCUAUAGAAAAAUAUCUUGCUGAUAUUUUUACAAAUCCUUUUUGUGAAGAAUAGUUUUCAAAGAUUUGGAUUGAGUUUGGAAUGAUGACAUUUUCACAUCAAUAUUUCAUUGCAUGAUAUUGAGACUACAAAUUUGCUUGAUUUUCUAUCUUGAUUUUAAUGUGUUAUAUGCUUGAAUUUACUUCUUUGAAUGUUUAUCAUCAUAUCUUAUGCAUUAAAAAUGGCUUUUGAAAUACUUCGGGAUCACAAAAUGGUCUCAAAAUUAAUUAAAUUUUGGCCAAAAAGCAAAAUCGUGCAAAAUUUAGGGGAACUAGCUAACCGUUAACAACAAGCGACUAGCCAAUUAUGAGGCAGAAACUAGCUGGUCAGUAGGGUUGGCAAUGGGACGGGAUGGGAUGGGAUUUACCAAUCCCAGUCCCAUCCCGUAUAUGCAAAUGGGAUGAAAAAACGUCCCAAUCCCGUCCCUAUAUUUUUUUUGGGACAAAAAUAUGUCCCAAUCCCGUCCCAAAAGAGAUGGGAUCCUGCGGGAUCCCAUCCCAAUUGGAAAAUUUUUCAUUCUUAAUCGGUAAUGAGACGGGAUGGGACGGAAUUUAUCAAUCCCACUCCCGUCCCGCAUAUGUAAUUGGGAUAAAAAAAAUGUCCCAAUCCCAUCCCAAAUUUUUUUAUGGAACAAAAAUAUGUCCUAAUCCCAUCCCAAAUGGGAUGGGAUCCCGCAGGAUCCCAUCCCAUCGGGAAAAAUUGCCAUCCCUACUGGUCAGCCGGCUUAAAGCAAACGGUUAAUUGCUUGGUUUCUAAAAAUGAAACGGUUAACCGCUUUCUUCAAGAGGCUAGCUGGCUUCACGUUUUAAAUGUUGUUCAUCUUCUUUUUCCCACUUUCAGUUGUUACCCUCUCUCUAUCACUGUCAUCUCUCAUUUCUUUUACUCUCUCUCUAAAAUCUUCCGUUUUUACAUCACUUUUGUGUCAAAUUAAACUUUCCAAAUCAUUUCCCAUCAAUUAAUCUUCACUCAUUUGCUUUUAAAACACAAUCUAAUCACUCUUCUCUCAAAAUCUUAAAACCUAAGUCACCAAUUUCAACAUUCUCAAAUUUGAACCAUUAUUUGACCAUUUUUGACCAAAAUAAACCCAUACAUUCCUUAGAUCUUCUCAAAGAACAUUUUAAUCGGUUCAAAAUCAUCUAUUUCUGUAAAAACUUUGUGAACUCGAAUUUGUGCAAUUUUGGACACAUUUUGAUAAUUUCUUAAUGGCUAGUGGUGAGAAGUCUAAGGGUAAGCAUAUGCCUAAAAUGUAAAAAAAAGAUUCAUAAAGACAUUUUCAAAUUCAUUUCCACCCACUUCCCAAAUCCGCCCCAAUGGAAUGAUUCUCUGAUCGAUUUAUGACAAGGUCAGUCCUCCCAUACUAUAUAUGUUAAUCUUGAUUAAUUAGAAAAUUUGUCAAGUUGUAGCAAAACUCUUAGAACUUUACUUGCUGAAUUGGGUUGGACAAAUGUCUUAGUUCUUAAGGAACAUAUUUGUCCUAAUUUGGUACGAGUAUUUUAUUCGAACAUGCUUAUUUCUACAAAUACUGCCAAUAUGAUUAUUACUAAUGUUAUUGGGAUUCCUAUUAAGUUUACUGUAGAAGAUUUAAACAUGAAUCUCAGAUGAUAGGUUGCAUUUGUAUACAUCUAGGACUAAAAUUGAUUAUCCCUGGUAUUUAGUUGUAGAUGAUGUUUGAAACAUAGAUGUUCGAAACAUAUGUAGGUGAUCUGAUCUAUCCAUGGAGCUUUUUAACUCCUCUCUUAGAUCACAAGUGUUGCCUCUUCAAGUUCGGAUCCUACAUAAUGUUCUUUAGCUUGUGAUCAGUCCUCGCAAGGGACAUGGUGCUGAGGUUACACGCUUAGAUGUUACUUUAUUAGAUAGCAUCCUUGAGGGUAAAAGCUAAAUGUGCGAAUAUUAUCAUUCAGCACAUGCUUAAUACACUGAGUAUAGGAAACCAAUCCUUUUCGGUCGGUAGUGUCAUUACCCACAUCCUUCAAUAUUUUUGGGUCCCUAUAGCUGAACCAUCUCAUAAUGAACCCAAGGAGUUAGGGGAUGAGGUCAUUGCUAGCUUAGGAUUUGGGUGGGUAGAUGACCAAUAGGUUAAAAAUUAGAACUUGUUGAGCAAACCCACAAAGCUGGCUCUUUUUUAUCAUUGCAUCUUUAACGAUGUGCUUCCCCUUACUGGGUUCUUGAUCUUAGUUCUUCCAUGAGGUCACAAGCUCUACAUUGGCCUUCUGAUGCUCCACCAUCAUCAUCUUCAGCCAUUCCCAAUAACCCAAUCCAACAGUUGUUGAAUAAAGUGCGUUCCAUAUCCGAACAAUAAAGCAAAUUUAAGAUAUCGUUCGCAGCAUUCCAGGAUCAUUUUCUUUCUGAGCAACAACGUCUCUUUCUUCAACAAUAACAAAUUCUAGACCAUCACUAGCUUAUUUUCAUUGCUCUCAAAUUUUCGCCACCAUCCUUAUUAUCUUGUUUGCUACCUCAUCAGUGAUUUUCUUUUAUCUCUUUUGCUUCAUUGUUUUAUGCACCGACAUUAUUUAUCAUAUGCAUUUUCGUUUUUAGCAUCAUGGAUACUUGAUGGAUGUUAUUUUACUUAUGCAUUAUAGAUACUUGAGUUGAUAUGGAUUAUCUUUAUGCAUUCUAGUUAUUGAUUGUGGUAUCUUUAUUAAUUAUCUUUAUGGAUUAUCUUUAUUGAUUAUGGAUUAUGUAUAUGGAUACUUGAUUAAUGGUUAUGUGUGGAUUUUCGAUUGAUGAUCUUUGUGGGGGAUAAUUAUUGAUAAUAUUUGUAUAAUAGAGGAGUGAUUUUUCAUGAUGAAGGGGGAGAAGAUAUUGACAUGUAUUUUGAAGUGUUUUGACAUGUUUUUGGCUCAUGGGGGUUGAUUGAGUGUUUGUAGUAUUUUAGUUGCUUUCUGAGUCACUCAAGGAGAGUUUACAAAUGUUGUACAAUUAUUGUUAGCCUAUAUGGUUAUAAAUAUUGAUUUUGAUGAUAACAAACCACAUGUAUUGAUUAAGAAAAGAUUUAUUAAUUGUACUUUUAUAAUAAGAAAAUGAUGUUAUGGAAUUAAAGUAUUUUGGACUAAAAUGAAAGUAUUUUAAAAUCUUUGAUAGUGUUUUAAAUUUCGGAUUUGGACCUGUUUGAAACUAUUUAAAUAUUUUUUGAUUAUUCUAUAAUUUCAUAUAGUUUGGGUGAAAUCAUAAUUUCAGAAAGUUUUGGGAUUGACAAAGCAUUAUUUAAAAUUCUGAAAUUGGACCUAUUUGCAAAGUUUCAUAAAGUUUUGAGCCAUAAUAUAGUUUUAUAAAGUUUUGGGGUCAAACUAUAAAUUUAAAAAAUAUUUCACUGUAGCAGUAACUGUAGCAAGCGGCUUACCGGAUAUGGUUAAACGACAAACUGGAUAUUGGGCAGUAAGCGUCUGGAGCAUAAACGGCUUACCGGAUUUUGUAAGCAGCAAGCCGGAUAUUCUGAAAUUCAAAAUUUUGCCAUAACGGUAACAUAAAAGCGGCUUACCAGAUUCCUAAAUGGCAAGCCGGUUAUAACAGAAAAUGUGCAUAACAGCUAGUUUUUUAGCUCAAACUAUAAGAACUCAAAUCCAAAUCAUUUUCAAGCUCUCCAACAAGCAUAAACAAAAAGCACACGAGAUAUCUUGAGCUUUCAAGUUGCAAAACACAAAACAUUUAAUCAUGUCUUGUUUUUCAUUUUUGAAUAUCUGCUUUUUGAGUGAGUUUUAUUGUAACUUUCAUUUCUUCAUCUCAAUUGUAAGAGUUUGAGUGUGUGAGACACUUGAGUGAAGAGAUUGUUAGAUAAUCUCUUUGUUGUAAAGGUUCAUUGACACCUUGAAGUCAAUUGUAAACAGUUAAAACCUUGGAAAGGCUUGGAUAGUGAAAACCUCAAGCUUGGAUCGCUUGGAGGUGUGGACAUAGGCGGAGAUUGCCGAACCACGUAAAAAUUCGUAUGUUUGUUUCUUUUCUCCCUUACUCAUUAGUUAUUGUGUUUUUAUUGAACUUAUUGCUUUUAAUUUUUAUUAAGACAUUUAGAUUGCUUGUUGUGUGGAUUUGCUAAGAAAUUUUUUAAAAUUCCAAUUCACCCCCCUUUUUGGGUUGCACACUUAUAUUUCAUUUGGUAUUAGAGCGAGGUGCUCUUAUUUGGACCUAACCGUUUAGAACUAAAUAUCAAUGGCAACUCAAAAUGAUUCCACAUUUAGGGAAGGACAGUCCACUACUAGACCACCUUACUUUGAUGGAAACGAUUACCCAUAUUAGAAAACUAGGAUGAGAAUUUACUUGCAAGUCUUAGAUUAUGAAAUUUGGGAAAUCGUUAAUGAUGGUUCUUUCAUGCCUUUGACUAAAAAUGAAGUCGGAGAAGAUAUUCCAAAACCUUCACGGGAAUGGAAUGGAUUCGAAAAGAGAAAAGCUUCUCUAAAUUCCAAGGCCAUGAAUGCCUUAUUUUGUGCACUAGAUAAGAAAGAGUUUCAUAGAGUGUCUAGUUGCGAAAGUGCUAAUGAGAUUUGGCACAAACUUGAAGUUGUCUAUGAAGGCACGAACCAAGUGAAAGAAUGUAAAAUAAGUAGGUGCACUCGACAAUAUGAAUUGUUCCAAAUGGAACAAAAUGAAAAUGUGUACUCUAUGUAUACUAGAUUUACAGACAUAGUGAACACUCUAGGAGCCCUAGGAAAGACCUUUUUAAAUAGCGAGAAAGUCAAGAAAAUCAUUAGGUCGCUACCUAAGGAAUGGAGACAAAAAAGGACUGUCAUUGAGGAAGCCAAAGAUUUAAAUGUAUUACCUAUUAAUGAUUUAAUUGGUUCUCUCAUUUCAUAUGAAGAAGAUUUGGCAGCUGAAAAAGGGCAUGAGGAAAAGAAGAAAAACAUUUCUCUCAAGGCUUCAAAAUGUGAGAGUGAUGGGGAAAGCGAAAUGGAUGAUGAGGAGUUGGCAAUGUUGGCUAGAAGAUUUAGAAAAUUUUACAAAAAGAAUAAUGAGCAGAGAAAGUUCAGAGGCUACAAGAAUAAGAAGGAGAAGAAUGAGUCAAUCACUUGUUAUGAAUGCAAGAAACCCGGAUACAUACGACCGAAAUGUCCUCUUUUCAACAAACUCAAGAAGAAAGCUAUGGUGGCCACAUGGGAUGAUAGCGAUGAGGAAACAAGUGAUGAUGAUGAGCAACAGGAAAUGACAAAUUUAGAUCUCAUGGCCAUUGGGGAAGAAUCAUGUGAUGAACUUGAUGAGGUACGUGUUCUUCCUACAUAUGAUGAAUUACAUAAUGCCUUUAAGGAUUUGCAUGAUGAGCUGAUGAAGAUUGGUAAAAAGAAUAUAUGUCUUAAAAAGAAGAUAAUAGAGCUUAAAAAUGAAAAUGAAUCAUUUAGUGCAAAGAUUACAUGCCUAGAAUUAGAAAAUAAAACAUUGCAUGAUAGCAUUGCAUUAUUUGAGAAUUCUAGCACUCCACAUGAGCACUUAGAGUCACACAUGAAUGACUUGAAAAAUGAAAAUGAAAUGCUUAGAAAGAAGAGCAAUGAACUAAAUGAAAUUCUACUAAAAUUCACAAAUGGGAGAAAGAUGUUGGACAAUUUGCUAAACUCACAAAAAUGUGUAUUUGACAAAAGUGGCAUUGGUUAUAAACCAAAUUUGAAACAAAAAUUUUACAAGAGUUGUUUUGUGAAGAAUACAUCUAUUAACAAUCAAAUUGUAUGUCAUUAUUGUAAUCAAAAUGGUUAUAUGAAAAAUAGAUGUGCAGUGAAGAGAAAUGCAUAUUAUGGUGUGAAAUGUGUUUGGGUUCCGAAAGGAACCAUUGUUAACUCUUAAGGACCCAAAAAGGUUUGAGUACCUAAAACUUGAGAUUUUCUCUACAGGGCUUGAAGAAGAAGAAUAAUAAGUGUUACUUGGACAGCGGUUGUUCAAGACACAUGACAGGGAAUUAUUCUUGGUUUUCAAGUUUUACUAAGAUCGAAAAUGGUGGAGAUGUAUCAUUUGGAGAUAAUUCAAAAGGAAAAAUCAUUGGGAUUGGAAAUGUCGGUAAUGCAUCCUCUACUCUCAUUGAAAAUGUGUGUUUGGUUGAAAACUUGAAAACACAACUUGCUUAGUAUUAAUCAAUUAUGUGAUAAAGGAUAUAGAGUUAUCUUUGAUAAAUCAAAAUGUGUUAUUGAGAAUGCAUGUGAUGGGAAAGUUUUGUUUGUAGGAAAUAAAUGUGUUAAUGUCUAUACUAUUAAUAUAGAUUGUGUAUCAACAAAUGAUAAAUGUCUCUCUGCAUUACAUGAUGAUGGUUGACUGUGGCAUAGAAGAUUAGGUCAUGCAAGCAUGGAUUUGAUUUCAAAAAUCGUGAAAAAUGAUUUAGUUAAAGGUCUUACAAAAAUUAGUUUUCAAAAAGAUAGAAUUUGUGAAGCAUGCCUAUUUGGAAAAAAAAUCAAAACUUCCUUCAAAAGCAAGAAUCAUGUCUCUACUUCAAAACCACUUCAAUUACUUCACAUAGAUUUGUUUGGACCUUCUAGAUAUGCUAGUUUAAGUGGCAAAUUUUAUGCAUUUGUAAUUGUGGAUGAUUAUUCUAGAUACACAUAGGCAUUGUUCUUAGCUAAUAAGGAUGAUGCCAUUGAUGCAUUUCAAAUUUUCUCUAAAAAGGUUCAAAAUGAAAAAAGGUUAUUCUAUUACUUGUAUUAGAAGUGAUCAUGGUGAAAAAUUUGAAAAUCAUGCAUUUGAAAAUUUUUGUAAUGACUUUGGCAUUGAACAUCAAUUUUCAUCACCUAAGACUCCACAAUAAAAUGGAGUAGUAGAGAGAAAGAAUAGGUCUAUUCAAGAAAUGACUAGGAGCAUGUUGAAUGAAAACUCUAUGCUUGAGUAUUUUUAGACCGAAACCGUCAACACCGCUUGUUAUGUUUUAAAUCGUGUGUUGAUUAGACCUAAUCUUAAUAAAACUCCAUAUGAGCUUUGGAAAGAUAGAAAACCCAACAUUGGCUAUUUUAAAGUUUUUGGAUGCAAAUGUUUUGUUUUGAUCACAAAAGAUAAUCUUGGUAAAUUUGAUCCAAAAUCUGAUGUUGGUAUUUUUCUUGGUUAUUCAAAUUCAAUCAAAACUUAUAGAGUUUAUAAUAAAAGAACUUUAGUUGUGGAAAAAUCUAUGCAUGUUACAUUGAUGAGUCUAACCCCUCCUCUACGGAGAAAGUCGUUGUUGAUGAUAAUGCAGAAGAAGAACUACAAGAAGAAGCAUCAAAUGACAACCAGAAGAUGCACCACAUGAAAUUCAAGAGGAACAUCAUGAAGAAAACAAAUGUAGAGCAAAAUGAAGUACUUCUCAAACACUCCCAAGGAGUGGAGGUGUGUUUCCUCUCACCCUUAGGAUGUAAUUUUAGGAGAUCCCUCACGAGGUGUUACCACUAGAUCAUCUCUUAGGAACACAUGUGAGCAUGCUGCAUUUAUUUCUCAAAUUGAACCAAAAUCCUUUGCGGAUGCAGAAAAUGAUGAAUCUUGGAUUAUGGAAAUGCAAGAAGAGUUGAAUCAAUUUGAGAGAAACAAUGUGUGGGAGUUAGUUCUAAAUCCAGAACAUCAAUCCAUUAUAGGCACUAAAUAGGUAUUUAAAAACAAAAUGGAUGAAUUUGGUGUGGUUGUAAGAAAUAAAGCUAGAUUAGUGGCUCAAGGUUACAACCAAGAAGAAGGAAUUGAUUUUAAUGAAACUUUUGCACCUGUAGCAAGGUUAGAAUCCAUUAGGAUGUUGUUAGCAUAUGCAUGUCAUAAGGAUUUUAUUUUAUAUCAAAUGGAUGUCAAGAGUGCUUUCUUAAAUGGUUAUAUUAUGGAGGAAGUUUAUGUGAAACAACCUCCUGGUUUUGAAAAUGAAAAUUUUCCAGAUCAUGUGUAUAAGUUAUCUAAGGUUUUGUAUGGUCUAAAACAAGCACCUAGAGUUUGGUAUGAUAGGCUUAAAAACUUCUUGUUGGAUAACGAUUUUUCGAUGGCUUAAAAAUCAGAAUGCCAAAAUAUAAAACAACAGUUAAAUUCCAUUUAAACUCCAAGAAAAGUAAUUCAAAUUCCGGCCACCGAGCCAAGUUCUCCAACAAAAUUUCCAAAGAUUAAUGGAAAUAUUCCAAUAGCAAGACUUCCAGAAGCAAUACCCUCUUCCAGCGGCAAUACAUUGUUUAGAACUACAACACUAAAACAUAAAAGCCAAAUACUAUAUUAAACUCAUAAAAAGCUUAUAAUUUACAGGAGAAACUGAAAGUAUCAAUCAAUUUUGAGGCAACCAAUUUGACAAUUUAAUAUUAAACUCAUAAAAAGCAUUGCCAGUAGUGAGUUUAAAUAUACCUGCAUCUGUGUCCUUGCCAAUUCAAUGGGGUAGCAACUAAUACAUGCUAAUGAACGUGCAACAGACCCAGCAACUAGGGGAACAUAUUGUGCCAACAUUGGAGCAUUGUCAAUAGGGAAUUUUCCAUCAAAUUGCGAAAACUGUCAUAACAAGGAAGGUAAAUUCCCACCUGAAAAGAGUAAUUAACAGAAAAAAAAGAAAAUAAUCAUCAUAAUGCAAAAAAAUUUCAAUGCCACACUGAUGUAUGGGAUGAAAUAUUUGAAGAAACACAAGCAAUUUAUGUACAAGAGAGACUUAUUGUUGGCAUAGACAACGCUAAACUUGCAUAAGUGCCUCUCCAUAGUCGGGCAAAUCCCUCCUGCACAUGUUUAGCUCUUAUGAAACCUUUGAUAUUAAAGAUCAAAAUUUAAGAUUCACUAACAGUAGCACCAAGAAAUCUAUUUAUUGAAGGCACAUUAACUACACAAUACAAAAUCUCUUUCCAUAAUAUAUGUAAUCACACUGCAAGUAUAAUGCAGUACACUAAAAUGCCAUCAGUUGACUUGUUCUAAAAAAUGUCUAUAAGACAUUCUGUACAAAUCCCAGUUCUUACGGAGUUAUUUUGCCCAUGGAUCAAAUCACUUUAGGACUGGAAAAAUGACGUCAUCUAAAUAGGAAAUUAGGAGUAAUAACAUGUAAUUCCAAUUGAAUUUAGUUUUUCUUCUUCAUAAUUUUCCUGUGAACUAUAACAACUGCUUUCUAGGAUCUCUUUCUUCUUUAGAGAUACAAUAGUUUUACAAAGAUCCAAUAUAAAACUCUUUAGGAUAAAAAUAGUCCAAGGAAAGCUUUUCUCAACAGCAUAAACUAUACACUUUUGGAAAACUUCAGUUCUUUUUAUUAGAUAUAUGUGUAAUUUAUUCAUAAAGUCCUUGUAUCCACCAACCUGGCAUACGAAUUUGUAGAAAACAUCCAGUGUUCCUUUAUAUUUAUUACAUUCUGGAGCUGGUUUAGAGCCUGGAACUGCACACGUGCAUGAUGGGGAAUUUCUCAUAUCUGGAAGCAUCUACAGAAACAAUUUGAAAGACAACACUUGUCACAAGAUCAUAUAACAAAGAGCAAUAAGAAUAGUAAUUGUUGAGUGUUAGAAAAUGUAUAUUUAUAAAGGAGAAAAUCGUCAUUUUACAUUUCAAGUCUUACUAACAACCCUUACUUUUAUGUAUUUAAGCCUCUUGUAAUUUAAUUAUGUGUGUUUUAUUUUAAUUAAGUAUUUUAUGUAUUUUAGGGACAUCAUAGUCAUUUCACAAUAAACGAGAGAUCAAAUGGCAAAACGACAUCACUUUUGAACUCAAGACGGUCGAAAACCUUAGGAGGAGCAUAAAAGGAAAAAUGGUAUUGUUCACAUGUACGAUACUAUUCACGUGUACGGUACUGUAUACGUUACUGUUCACGACAUGUUCACAUAGACGGAAGAUGACGUGGCAUUGACCGAUGAUGUGCAUUGACUGAUGAGGUGUCACGAUCCUGUUGGACUAAAAUUCUUAUGUACUGGAGGUAACGUGGCAGCAUAUAGUGGACUAAAAAUCUCGCGUACGGUACAUGCAUACACAUGAUUAUUUUCAACCAAACCGCGUUACUGUUCAAACCCGGUCAAAUCGUGUUACUGUUCAUCCGCGUGGUCAAACCGCGUACUGUUGACUGAUGACGUGGCGCAAUCCUGAGUAUCCAAACUGUUUUUAAUCCGAUGACCAUGAUUUACUCCAUGUAUCUAUAAAAGGGGCCUUCCCCCCUAAUUUGCAUCUUGAAUCUAUUUUUGGGAUCCAUUUUCUGUAAUUCCUUCUCCAUUUUGUAUUUUCUACGUAUUUUAAUAAAUUACCAUUUUGCCCCUAGUUCAAUUAUGAGUAGCUAAUUUUCUUUCAAACUUGGGUUGAAGGUGAAAUCUCAACAUGUGUCAUGGGCUUUAUUUGGGAAAUUUAUUUUCUUUUCCCCUCUAAUUUUUGUGGAUGAUUUGACUUUUUCGUCGACAAAUAAUAAUAAUCUUGUCUAAAUACCGCAUUGGUUACACCGGCUCUCUAGUACAAUGUUAUUAUUAUUUGGCACGAUAAGCCCUUAGCACCAUAUUGAUUAGAGCGUGGUUCAUGAGGUGUGGAUUCCCCCCUCAUGAUUUAAUUGCAUUAAUAUGGAUUAUUUAGCCCAUGUUGCAUGUUGAUACGGAUCCAGAUACCCAAGUACAUCAUUUCAAUAGAUUUCACUUCAAUUUAUUCUCACCAUUUCAAUUCCAAUUUUAGAAUAAUCUAAAGUUACUUUCACCACAAAUCCAACCACCCAUUUACAAAAUUAAUUCUACACACAAUUAAAAUCUACCUCCUCGUGGGAUCGACACUCGUCACCAUUGAUCUAUACUACAAUAGAUUCGUGCGCUUGCGAGUACAUUAAAAUUUGCACAACACUAGCCUCCACUUAUAAAUGACUUAUUCACCUAAUUAGGGCAUGUCGUCAUCUCUUUGCUUCCUUUUCUUCAAUUUUCUCUCUAUCUUUUAAAUCAUCAGUCAUUUCUCCACUUUAGGAGGCCAUUUUUAUUCUCCACCUUUAUCAUAUUCUCUAAGAUAUUAUCAUUCUCAAUAUCUUAUUAACAAUCUUCAUUUUUAUCAAUACCAAACAUCUCUGUAUUGCUAUCUAGCUUGUGUUAUUCAUUUUGAAUAAUGUAAAAUCUUAUAUAACCUCUCAUUUAUAUAAUGGAUUGGUGAUGAUCUGCUCUCAUGGAUGUAGGCCAAAAGGUGAAACAUGUAAAUACUGUGUGUUCUUUAUAUUUAUGUUUUAUUUUGCUAUUUUCAAUUUGAGGUCGAGAUUGUUUUUCAUGUAUGAGCUUAUCAAUAGAUACCCAGUUACACCAAGUAUUCUGUGAGACUAUCUAUACUAUUCCUUGAGUAUAUCUGAGCCAUACCUAAACAUAUAUUAGCCCUCUAUCAAAUCCUACAAGACUCCAUUGAGCUCUCCCUAUUUUUCCUCCCACCUGAACUCACUAUAUCUACUACUUUUGCUCACUAUCUAGGAUAAUUCAGCUAAACUACCUGGCCCAAAUACUAUAAAAAUACACGUAAACCCAAACUUAUCACAAGCUCCCUUCAAAUAUAAGUUUAUUUGUUUGAAUCAAAUUUAAACUGGGUCCAAUGAGAAUCAGCCAAUUGGUACGAAUAAGAUCUUAAUGAAAAUUUGGUGAACACAUAUAUUAAAUUAUAGAGUAUGAUUGCUACAACUAUUUUAUUAUACUUAGAAUAAGAAAAGAUAAAAUAUUGUGUGCAUUAUUUUAAUCCAUAUUCCAAGAUACUCAUUGCCCAAAAGAUACCAAAAUCAGUUUCAAGAUUCCAAUAUGUGAAUAUAUAUAUAUACAUAUUUUUAAAUUUCAUCCGUUAAUGCAUACAUACGCAAGAUUCAAAAUCCCAACUACAUCCAUAUAAUUUUUAUUAAUUUAUGAAAUUAAUAGUACCUAUCGAAAUGAUGAAUGAUACAUGACCCACCAUAUUGUCACUUUUUAUAUUUUCUUUAUACAAACAUUUAUUCAUAUCUCUAAAUACCCACUUUGUCAUAGAGUUCGGUUAUACGGUUCACAGCUUAUACAAAUAUAGUGGUUGAUUUUUUAAUCAAAUUUUAAAUUCAAUUUCCCAAAUUGGUUUAAAUUGAACUUUAAAGAUAAAACAGUUAUUUUAUUUUAUUUUAUUAUCACUGCUACACAAAAAGAUAAAAAAUUGAUACAGUUUAUAAAUUUGGAGUUAAAUCGUUAUUCGUUAAACAAUGUAUAUUUUUUGAUUUUUUAAAACUAGAGAAAGUAAUAACUGGACAAUUAAAAUUAAAAAAAUCCAAACUUACAUAAUGCUUGCACAUUAUACAUUGUUGCAACGGUUGUUCCAUGGUCAAAUUUACAUCUGCAUAAAAAGUAUCAUACUUUAACACAUGUAUAUUAUAUCAUUCAUAUACUGAUCUAAUAAAAUUUUACUGUAUACAUAUUCAAUUUUGAGAUAAAUCAUGAUGUGUGAUAGGGAUUUUAUUAAGAAUAUCUGAGGAUAUGAAAAACAAGGAUUUUUCUAGUUUAGCAAGUCGUGAGAGCAUAUCAGGAAUAAGGUUGUGGUCUCUUUUAUAUGUUUCACUGAGAAAUCAUAUUUUGAAAACCAGUCUUUGAGCCUAAGCAACUUUUACUUUUCUAAAAGCUUGUGGCUUGUAAUUAUGACUUUGCUUUUCAAAAAGUGAUAGGGGUCCUGUCCUAUCCUUUUUCUUGGUUUGCCUCCUAUUUAAGCUCGGCUUCUCUUGGUUCCCAUAUGCCUAAUAAGGAUAUCUUGUUAGGAUUUGAUAUCAUUCACCAGAAUAAAACACCUUCAAAUCAUUCCUAUUGAAAUUCGAGUCAAGUCCAUGUUUAAACCAUACAUAGUAGCUAUGCUUAAAAAUCAUUAAACGUGUAAGGUGUAUUUGACACAUUAUAUUACAAUAUAGUGUAUUGCAUUAACAUGCAUUGCAUUAAGUUGUAAUGCAAUACUAUGUUUGGGUAAUAUGGACUCUAUAUAUAAAAUAAUAUUAUAUUAUAUAAAUGUUAAAAUUAAAUAAUAUUUAUUAAUAUUUAAGAUUUUAUUAUUAAUUUUUUAAAUUAAGUACUUACUAAUUACUUUUAUAUAUUAUUAUUAUAAUACAAAAAUGACCUAAUAAUAACUAUUAUUAAAUAAUAAAUAUUAAAUUGGUAAAGGAAAUUAUGCAAGAAAACGACGAGCUCGAAGAAUUUCUGUUGCUUGUCAUAAGUGUGCCAGAAUGGAGUUGCGAUAGAAACCCAUGUUCUUUAGGAAUGGUGUCUGAUAACAGGGAAGAUAAGAUUCAAUUCAUUAGGGAUGGCUUGAAUAAGGAGUCAUUGGAUGAUAUCCUUUUGUCUCUUGAAACGCAUCCCAGUGGAUAUGUGCAAGGAGCGAUUCUCCGGUUAUGGCCAUUAUUCCAGAAAGAGCAUGCACGAUAUAGUCUCGGGAAUCUGACUAUAAACGACCCUGUUUGCCAGUUUAUAAGAAAACUGGAUGGGAAGCCCAUCCUCGACCUAUAGAGGGCGUUCAAGCCGUUUCUGGACGUAAAACCAGAGGAAGAUGUGAGCCACAGUCGCAACUACGUGUAAAUAUCCUUUUACUUUACUGUUAUUUUAUUUCAUUUCACUGUUGUUUUAUUGUUUGCAUUAUUGUCUUUAAUAAUUUUAUUACUGUUUGUUUUUUCCUUUUUACUAUUUCCUUUUUGACUCGCGAGCCACGUGCUUUACGCGUUAUUUGACACUGACAUGUUACCUCAUUCACAGCUGUGAUCCAUUGUCACCAAGAUUCUUAAAUGUGAUUUAUCUUUUGUCAAGCACUCACAAAUUAUUUUUGAGAAAGUAUCACAAUGGCAGCUACUCCCAAUAGACAAUUCAAGAACAUUUGUGUGCUUUCUGGAUUUACCUAUGGCAAACAUAAAGAGUUCGUGGAGGCAGCCAUAGAUCUUGGUCGAAGCAUAGCAGCGAGAAAAUUACAUUUGGUGUAUGGAGGAGGUAACCGAGGGUUUAUCAAAAAUGGUCUCAGAAGCAGCUUUUAUCAGAGGAAGUCAAGUGUUAGGCAUCAUCCCAAGAGUCCUAAAACCAUUGGGCAGUUCGUCUGACUCAUCAACUGGAGAAGAGUUAGUCGUCUCAGGUAUGCAAGAAAGAAUAACUGAAAUGCUUAAUCAUGCUGAUGCUUUUAUUUUCCUUCCAGGAGAUCUUGCAACACUAGAGGCACUUUAUGACACUAGCAUCUUGGGCCCAUCUGCACAUCCACCAGAAACCCAUCGGUUUGUUAAAUGUCAAUAACUUUUAUGAUGGCUUUAUCGCAUUUCUUAACCAUGCAAUAAAAAACUAUUUCAUUCCUUCUAAUGUGAAAAAACUCUUUAUUUGUGCUCACACUGCUAAUGAGCUACUUGAUAUGUUACAAGCUUAUAAACCGGAGCCAGACCCCUGGACCUUUGUGUUGGAGCGACCAAAUAAUGAUGGUAACAGUAGCCGCAGUAAGAAGUACAAAUUAGAUUUAACUCUCCGCCUGUAAAUAUUUUCUUCUGUGUUGCACCACCCAGGUGAUGUCUUCUAAACUCUACUUCUUUCCUUUAAAACAUUGAGGACAAUGUUUCAUUCUGGUUGGGGGGAGGGAAUAGUCGACAAUUGUGGAAUCUUGGUUAAGUUUUUACUGAUUUUUUGUUGUAGAAACUAACUGUUGCUAACGUUUUGUGUUGAAGAUGGCUGAAUAUGGAGUGUAGUUACUCUAGAAACGCAUUUUUUGUUGUAGAAACUAACUGUUGCUAACGUUUUGUGUUGAAGAUGGCUGAAUAUGGAGUGUAGUUACUCUAGAAACGCAUCUUCAUUGUUUAAAAAAAAAAAAAAAAAACCGUUUUCUUCCUCUUUCUCCUUUAUAAAUAUGCAGUUUCAAAUUUUUUAGUCGAAGAUGGCUGAAUAUGGAGUGUAGUGCCUCUAGAAACGCAUCUUCUUAGUUAAAAAAAAAAAAAAAAAAAAAUUCUUUUUCUAAUUAAUUUUUUCUACAUCAUUUUCACAUUUCUGCAUGCAUAUUUUCCUUUCAUGUUUAGAAUAGGUUGGGGGGUAGAAUGUUGUUUAAAAAAAAAAAAAAAAAAUUUUGUGUUAUUUGUUUUAACAUUGGAUGACAUGAUUAAUUUCAAAUUUUAGUAUUUGUAUUAUCUUUGGUCUUAAGUGAUGUUACGCUAUGUUUGCUACUUUACAUGUUGAUGUCAGAGACAAAUAUGAGUUGCUUGAAGGAAUGAACAUGUCAUAAAUAAGUGCCAAGUGAGUAGUUGAGCCUAUCAUUUUUCUUGGAGAGUAACCAUUUUGCGCAUUCUCUAUACAGCUUAGCAGUUUAUUAUUUUAUACACGAUCUCUAGAUUUCUUUUAAGUUAACCCUUUAAAAAAAAUAUGGUAAAAUUAAAAAAAAAAAGAAAAAAAAAAGAAAAAAGAAAAAAAUGUGUGUUGCUACAUUGGGAGGCCCAUCUAACUAGUAGAUAUGGAUAAUUAUUUAGAGCCCUAAAAGACGAUGGAAAGGCCAUCUUUGAUCCGUUUGAGCCUUUCUAGCCAUCCCUUUUAUUAAAUAUCCAUAGUUACCCCUUUUGAGCCUUUAAAAAAAAAAAAAAAAAGAACAAAAACCUUUUCUUUGUCAACUUAUCAUCUUGACCCACUCCGAUUUGGAGUAUUACCCAAUGUCUUUUAAGUUCCAUCACCUAUUUAUGUUUGAGAAAAUGUAAAUAAUUAUGUUGUUCAGUGAAGUUAUGCCAAAUAAAAGCAAAAAGAAAAAAAAAAACAAAAACAAAAGUUGUUGUUUCAAAAGAAUAAAAAUAACAAUAAUAGGUGAAAUCCACCUUGCAAGUUCCAAAAAAAAAAAAAAAAAUUCUGCAUUUUUCUCAAACAUACACUUUGUUUUCCUUAUUUCCUUUCUUUGUUAGCCAUAUCCCUAGCCUACGUUACGUCCUAAUAAAAGUCCUUCUUGAUUUUAGGGAACUAUAGUUUGAAGUAGAAGCUAGUUAUAUGGGCUAAAAAGAUGUAGUGAUGCAUAAUAAAAAAAAAAAAAAAAGAUAAAUAAAGUGGGUUGACUAACAUUUUAUUUGACUUGAGAUCGUAUUAUUUCUAAGCUGAGGGCAUAUUUAUUUCAUCUUGGUGAGAGCAUGUGAUAUCAUUUCUUUAUUAUUUUCUCUCUCAAUUACCAUUCAUUGGAGUGACUAUGUUUAUUGGGUUUUAAUUUCUUUGUGAGAGUGUCAUUACUUCCAGUGAGAUUUUGGGGUUUGACAUGUCAUUCUUGAAAGUAGCUAUAACAAAGUCUACUGGGCUAAUUCAUGUGGAUGGUUGAUGUGGGUGUGAUGUUGCUUUAGACUGAAGAUAAUGCUUAUACUUUUAUUUGAUUGCUAUCAUUAAUCUGAUUGAAUAAACACGAGUGUUUCCCAUAAAAAAAAAAAAAAAUCAUUUUGAAUUUGAAUUUUGUUUUCGCUUUAUUUGCUAGGGACUAGCAAUAAGCUGGUUGGGGGGUGUAUUGAGUGUUAGAAAAUGCAUAUUUAUAAAGGAGAAAACCGUCAUUUUACAUUUCAAGUCUUAUUAACAACCCUUACUUUUAUGUAUUUAACCUUCUUGUGAUUUAAUUACAUGUCUUUUAUUUUAAUUAAGUAUUUUAUGUAUUUUAGGGGCAUUAUAGUCAUUUCACAAUAAAGGAGAGGUCAGAUGGCAAAACGGACAUCACUUUUGAACUCAGGACGGUCGAAAACCUUAGGAGGAGCAUAAAAGGAAAAAUGGCACUAUUCACAUGUACGGUACUAUUCACGUAUACGGUACUGUCUACGUUACUGUUCACGACACUGUUCACAUAGACGGAUCGAUGACGUGGCAUUGACCGAUGAUGUGGCAUUGACUGAUGAGGUGUCACGAUCCUGUUGGACUAAACUUCUUAUGUACUGUUGAUGGUGACGUGGCAGCAUAUCAGUGGACGAAAAAUCUCGCGUACGGUGCAUGCAUCACACAGGAUUAUUUUCAACCAAACCGCGUUACUGUUCAUCCGGGUCAAACCGUGUUACUGUUCAUCCGCGUGGUCAAACCGUGGACUGUUGACUGAUGACGUGGCGCAAUCCUGAGCGUCCAAACUGUUUUUAAUCCGAUGGCCAUGAUUUACUCCAUGUAUCUAUAAAAAGGGGGCCUCCCCCCCCUAAUUUGAUAUCUCUGAAUCCAUUUUUGGGAUCCAUUUUCUGUAAUUCCCUCUCCAUCUUGUAUUUUCUUUGUAUUUUAAUAAAUUCCCAUUUUGCCCCUAGUUCAAUUAUGAGUAGCUAAUUUCUUUUCAAGCUUGGGUUGAAGGUGAAGUCUCAACAUGUGUCAUGGGCUUUAUUUGGUAAAUUUAUUUUCUUUUCCCCUCUAGUUUUUGUGGAUGAUUUGACUUAUCGUCGACAAAUAAUACUGAUCUUGUCUAGAUACCGCCUUGGUUACACCGGCUCUCUAGUAUAAGGUUAUUAUUAUUUGGCACGAUAAGCCCUUAGCACCAUAUUGAUUAGAGCGUGGUUCAUGAUGUGUGGAUUCCCCCAUCAUGAUUUAAUUGGCAUUAAUACGGAUUAUUUAGCCCAUGAUGCAUGUUGAUACGGAUCCAGAUACCCAAGUACGUCAUUUCAAUAGAUUUCGCUUCAACUUAUUCUCGCCAUUGCAAUUCCAAUUUUAGAAUUUAUUAUCGCAAUUUCAAUUCCAAUUUUAGGAUAAUUUAAAUCACUUCCACCACAAUUCCAACCACCCAUUUUGCAAAAUUAAUUCUAUACACAAUUAAAAUCCACCUCCUCGUGGGAUCGACACUCGUCACCAUUGAUCUACACUACAAUAGAUUCGUGCGCUUGCGAGUUCAUUAAAAUUUGCACAACAGACAAAUAAUAAUAAUUUUGUCUAGAUACCGCUUUGGUUUCACCGGCUCCCUAAUACAAGGUUAUUAUUAUUUGGCACGAUAAGCCCUUAGCACCAUAUUGAUUAGAGUGUGGUUCAUGAGGUGUGGAUUCCCCCCUCAUGAUUUAAUUGACAUUAAUAAGGAAUAUUUAGCCCAUGGUGCAUGUUGAUAUGGAUCCAGAUACCCAAGUGUUUCAUUUCAAUAGAUUUAUCUUCAAUUUAUUCUCGCCAUUUUAAUUUAAGUUUUAGAAUAUUCCAAAUCAAUUUCACCAGAAAUCCAACCACCCAUUUACAAAAUUAAUUCUACACACAAUUAAAAUCCACCUCUUAGUGAGAUCGACACUUGUCACCAUUAGUCUAUUGUACAAUAGAUUCGUGCGCUUGCGAGUUCAAUAAAAUUUGCACAACAGUAAUGUCUAUGCAUAAUGAUCAUAACAGAAAAGAGAAUUCAUCUAUCACAUUUAUCAUUCCAACCCUCUCAAAAUACUAACUGAAGGAAAGGAGGAGACAAAUUUAACAAAAGCAAACCAAGGGGGAAAACUAGAGGAAAGCAAAACAGAUGACAUGCAUUUUUAAAACAUUUGGAUUCAUUCUCUUAACAAGUUAUCUAACACUUAAUACAUUUAGUACCUAUAGAAGUUAGACGAUGGCAAGAGCUUAGACCAUAAUAGCAAUUGAUGAAAUUUCAUUACGUAAAAUACCACUCAGUUUUGGUAAGACUGUUAUGUGUGCUCAAUAUAAGUCAUUUUGAUAUCAGUACACUAAGAUUUUUUUUCUUGAUAUGGCUGUUCAUGUAUAGAGAAGAUACCCCACUUUCUCUAAUAUCAAUGUUUCAAGCAUUUUCUUUCCUCAUAAGAUACCAUUUCGGAUAGUGUACAAUGCAAAGUAAAGAAUCCCAAAAAGGGCAGUUCACAUACCAUGUUACUUUCAAAAGAUGCUGUACAACAUAGACCCUCAUAAGGGACGCCAGCAGCCUGGGCUUGCAACCUUGUCUGAAGAUGAAGGCAGGAAAUCUAUUAGCUUUGUAGCUUCAUCAUGAAAUCUCAAAAGAUGAAGCAAUGUGAAGACUAGGAUUUCUGAAAAAAACUGGAGAAGAGAUAGAGGAUCCAUGCAACAAGCAUCACUCAAAUUUAGAAAAUAAUUGGGUGACUUUAGCCCACGUUUAAAAUAUUUAUAAUAAUUAGUAAAAGAAUAGUGAAAAGUAGCUGAAUAAAGAAAAUUUAAUUUUUCCAUCUUUUUGCUUCCUUUUCUUUCAUUCUCCGAAAGAAUCAUAGCUUCUCAAGGACUGAGAAUAAUGACACAACAUUUGGAUUUUAUUCUUGAGAUAAAGAGAAACAAUAAUUAACAUCUAUCCACAAUACCAUUCUCAAAAGUAGAAAAAAUAAUAAUAAUACUAACAAUAAUAAAAAAUAAUGAAAAUGACAAUUAAAGGGAAGAAAAUUUUUGAUAUAACAGACAAAAUUAGCAAUGAAUAAGUUAAAUAAAGAAAAAAUGAAAUGAAAAUUUAGGUGGAGUAGAGUCAUUAUAAAACCUUAGUGACAUCGAGAGGAUUAAUAAUAACGGCAGAAACAAUAGCAGCGCCGUUAGCAGAGAAAGCCCUUUCUGCAAACCCCAAACUGAAAUCUUUUAUGGCUUCUGAAUGUCGUAAAGCUUCCUCUUUAGACGAAGUCUCUGAUGAUACUGAGAUAGACAAAACGCUUCCCUCCAAAUCAACCCUAGUCGCCGCCAACCUGAAACGGAAUUAAGAAGCGGCAGCGAGCUGACUGAGGAGAUCGAAAAUACGCUUCUGAAAAGUAAAAUAAAUUGAACAAAUCUUGAAAAUUUGAACAAACACCCAUAAAUUUGAACAAUUUUUACAAAACAAGAAUCAUCAAAACCUAACUCUAGCAAAAAUUGAAAAUUAAAAAACAAAACAAACAAGAACAUCGAAAUCACACAAGCUAACCCUGAAUAGCGCGAACAAAUCAAAGCUUGAAAUUAUGAAAACACAAUUGAAAUCAUGGCAUAAUGGAUUCACAUAAGCGACGAGAAACAACAUGCAAAUGAGAAAUUGGACAUGAGGAGUGGCUAAGAGGCCGUUGUUGAAGAAGUGCUUGCUGUACCAGUGCUUCUUGCUGCUGCUGAUGCUGCUUCAACCUCUAGUACUGCAUUUUCCUUCAGAAUCGAAGGAUUUGUAAACUGUUUGUCGAAGGAUUUGUAAACUGUUUGGUUCCCAAGAAAAUUUCGUUAUGGUUUCUCGAGAAAAUGAAAUAAAAGAAAUAAACAAAGAAAACGAGAGACGAGAGAAGCAACGUUUUAUUUUCUAAGUGUGUAUUCGUUUAAUACUUAGGGAAAAAAAAAAGGAAGAAAUAAAGUUUAAAGUACCCAAAACGGUACAGUUUUGCUAGCAUUUUUUCUUAAUUAUUAAAAACCACCUUUUGUUUUUUAAAUAAAAUAAUAUAUAAAAUUUGAGUCAAAUAUAGUCAAAGUAAUUUUUCUAUCAUAAUUUCUUGAUAGAUUAAAUUUCUAUCACGAUUCUAUCAUAAGUUCGUGAUAAAUGAUAAUCAUAUCAUAAAGUCAUCAUAUAUUCAUGAUAGAAAAUAUUUCUAUCACAAGACCAUCAUUAAUUAAUGAUAGAUUGAAAAUUAUGUCAUAAGUUUAUCAUAAUUUUAUGAUAUACCUAGAAUCUGUCAUAAGUUGUUUGUCAUCUAUUAGCAAUUUUCUUGUAGUAUUCAAAAUGAAUAACUUUAUUCUACCAUCUCUCAAAUAAUAAAAACAUCAACAGCACAUCAUCGUCAUCAAUAAUAAUAAUAAUAAUAAUAAUAAUAAUAAUAACAACAACAACAACAACAACAAUAAUAAUAAUUUAACUUUGUAGGAUGGAGCUCUCGCAAAUCUUCAAGACACAAAAUGUGCUUGGCCCCGUUGUUGUUAUUAUAAUUUCAAAAUGACUUGAAUUAUAUAAAAUUUGGGAAUAAGACAUAGCAAAAUUGAUGGUACAUAUGUUGCAAUAUACUUGUUCAUGUAGCGACACAUUAAAGUAAAGCAAAACAAUAUACUUGUUCACUCAUUAUGUAGAUUUUCAAUAGAAGUAAUGCAAAUUUCACAAGGGCAAUGGCCUUAUUUCGAAUGUUGCACUUGUGGAAUGACAUGAACCUUCGAUACGUCACAAAUGUAUCAUGAAAGUGUGAUAAAUUUGUGACAUAUAUAUAUAUGUUCAGAGUUUAUAGCAUAUUCAUGACUUAUAAUUUAACUAACAUAAAUAAAUGAUAGAUAUAAGUGAUGCUCAAGUUUUGUGGAUUUAUAAUAUCUUAAAAUGAUGACUAUUUAAACGACAAGUGUUGAAUAAACCCCUCUCUCGCCGCAACCUAAAAUCAAUGAACUUUGAGCCAUUCUCAACAACAUUGUGUAGAACCCUAGCCCUAACCCUCACUUCCACCACCGAUAAAGCUAAGAAAGUUUUCCGUAUAUCAGAACCAUGGCGAAUUGCCUUCAGCUCGUAGGACCCAUAAUAAAUCUUGUAGUCCCUCGCUUUCACUUUGCUAAUUUUUUGUAUUAUUCCAUCUCUUUCACUUUAAUAACCCAAAAUCUUUCUCUGUUUCAAUUGAAAGAAGACCCUAGCUUAAAUUAAGUUGAAAUUUACGUAUCAAAGCUCUCGCUCAGCUUCCCUCCUUCAAUUGAAACAAAACGAAGCCAUAAGACCCCAAUAUGCCACGCCCUUUUGUCUCAGGCCAACAUUCAUUUAAACCCUACCUUUUGGUUCAAUGCCAUUUAAUGCGAUUGCAGAUGCCGUUUCAACUCAUUAUUUAGUUAACGCCAUUCAGUUCUUUGCGGUAAGCCUUAACCCUAAUAACUAAUCAACUGUGGUAGCACGUUGCUGACUGGGGUGGGAAUACAUUAAUUGAAUAUAUGAAUUGGGUGAUGUCAGUGAUUCAUCCCCCUAUUUGCCGUGAAUUGAGAUUUGUGUAUAAUGUUUGUAAGAUUGUUAAAAAUUUCAUGUUCCAGUCGAAUUUCUUGCUUGUGGAAGAUAAAACAAAAGUUUAAUCUAUAUAUAUAUAUAUAUAUAUAUAUAUAUAUAUUAUCUUCUUUAUAGUCAGGCUCUGGCUUUGCUGCUAUGCUUAGAGCAGUUCAUGGUUUCAAGAUUAAAUUAGGUUUAUUUGACGACAUCGAUAUCUUAUCUAGCUCUGCUUGAAAAUGAAAAUGUUUUACUAGCAAUCAUAGACUUUGUUUAUUCAGUUGAUAUUUUAAUUAUACGUAUAAGAAUGAAGGUUUAUUUGGGAAAAAAAGAAAUAAAGAAAUAGGCUCUGUUGAAGCUAAUUAAUACUUCAUUCUUUCUAUACGUGCGACCUGUGGUGGAAACAUGAUAUGAGAAUGUGUUACUGGUGAGGUUGCUGCUUGAGAUGAGAAUGAUGAGAAUGCCUUCUAUUCGGAAAUCCUUGGUAGGUAUUAUAUAAUUAUAUUUGAUGGAAUAUUAAAUAGCUAAAGAACCUGUGAUAAUGUCUUUGUUCAAUGGUUACUGUAGUAGUGUUUGUUGGUCUUUUUCUGGUUGGCGUUUGGAUGUUAAUGUCAUCAUCAGUUGUACUGGUGUGGGAUCCAGGAUGUUGUCCUCUUAAGAGCCUAUAAGCAAAGUGAAACAGAGAGGAUCUGAGAUUUUUCUGGGCCUUUCGUAGAAAAUCAAGGUGAUGAAUGACAGGAUUCAACAAAUGGGGAUGGGGAUGAUGUUCCUGUUGAAAAGUUAGAGAAUAGAGUGGAGGAUAAUCACGAAGAGAUGAAUAUGUAUGAGGGUGAUGGUGAGACGAGUGAAUCUAAGAAUAUGGUUAAUCAAAACCAGGAAGAGAAUUUAGUGAAGGAGAGUUUUGAUGAGAAUACUGAGUCUGAAGAGGAAUCUAAGGCGGUGUCUAAAAAUUACAAUGUUAGAAAAAGGGAAGAUAAGGAAUCUAAAAGUGAAGGUGGAGAUUCAAAUUCAGAAGCUGGAGAAACAGAAGGCGGCGAAUUGAAUAAAAUUGAGCAAAUUGAAUCAGAGAAUAGCUUGGAUGAAAAUAAAUGGAUGAGGCUAAUCAGAUUGAAAAGGAGAAGGAUUCUCAAGAUCAAGAUAAUGACACUGAGAGCCGUUGAAAGGAUCAGGCUUCAACUGAGAUUUUUCCUUUUGGUGACUAGUCAGAAAUUCUGAAGGAAACUAAUGCUCAGAAUGGGGCUUGCUCAACUCAACCUAUUGAGUCAUAGAAUCAGAAAAUAUCACAACAAUCUUCUAUAUCUAAGGACCAGUAUGGUCAUCGUUGGAAAGUGUGUAAUGCCACUGCUAGGCCAGAUUGCAUCCCUUACCUGGACAAUUUGCAAGCAAUUAGAAUGCUUUCCAGCACAAAAGCAUUAUGAACAUCGAGAGAGGUAUUGCCCUGAAGAAACUUGUACCUGUAUUGCUCCUUUACCGGAAGGAUACAAACACUCAAUUAAGUGGCCCCAAAGCAGGGAUAGGGUAUGAUCUUAUAUUAUGCAUUAUAAAAUAUAUACUUGACUACUUUUAAUUCACUUGGGCUAAGAUUUGUUCUCAUGCUGUGUGGGAUAGAUUUGGUAUUAUAAUUUUCCCCACACAAAGCUUGCAGAAGUUAAGGGUUAGCAAAAUGGGGUUAAAGUUACUGGUGAAUACCACAUUUUUCCAGGUGGCAGAAUUGAAUUUGAGAAUGGUGCUCUUCAUUACAUUGACUUCAUUCUGAAGGUGAGCAUUUUUCAUUUAUCAUUUUAUGUCUGUUGUUAGCUUCAAUUAAUAUGUGGCUUAUUCUUUUCUUUGUAUGAACCAUGGGCGGUCCAUUUCAUUUUAUAAGCUAUUUCUUGGGUUUUAGCAAGACAAAUAAUAAGAUUUGUGCUGUUUUUGUUUUAUGCGUCUAUAUAAAUUGUGUGCGCGCAUAUCAUACUAGGGGAGUAUUGCUUUAAUGCUAUAUACAGUCAAGGACACACGGUGGGUCACAUUCUGACUCGUUUCAAUGCUUCUUUUAUAAAUAUUUACUUGUAUAUAUUUUGUAGUACUUUUAGAGAUGUACUCUGCACUGGAUUUUUUAAGUGCUUUUAAUGUAGCCUACUGUCUUUGUCUUUAUCUCUCUUUUUGUGAAACUGAAAGGUUCAUAUAAUUUUUUAGAAACCAGUAAUCUUACAAAAAAUUUUAACCUGUUAAUUAAUGCGGUUUCAUUAUCUUGAAAAAUUUUCAAGCGUGCUUGCUUUUUUCUUUUCUUUCUUUUGAAAUAAUUGUUGAUAUUCCCCUUCUCUUCUAUCAAGUUUCUGAUUCUCUAAAGCCCACAUUAUUUUUGUCUUUCUUUAUACAGGCCUUUAUCAUUUAUUGGCCAGCACCCUUUCCUCGGUUUUAUAUAAGAAUGUAAUUUCGCCGGAAUCUGCCAAAAACCGUGUACUAUUGUCAACAACAAAUCAGAAUUCCAUCUCCACCUCCUGACAAACCAUGCGUCACCACCUGCUUAGGAAUCCGAAGCCUUUGCUGGUGUUGAUAGUAUGUUCUCUCUCUAUCUCUGUUUUUUCCUCAGUUGAGCAUUUAAAACAACAUCAUACUCAUCAUAUACCCUGUUUGGAUUCCUUGAAAUAAUAUUUUUUUUAAUUUUUAUUGUUAUUUUGAAUUGUUUUCUACAUAUUUUGAAUCAGAGUUGUUUGAGUAAAAUUUAAAUAUCAAUAUUACCGAUACGUGCCUAAUCUCAACUUCUUACCUUAAUAGCUUACUCACCUGUGCUUUUUUUUUCUCCCCCCUUUUAAGAAUUCAAAAGCUAUAUUAUGGAUUUUUGUUUUUGUUGUUUAUUGUCAUGAAGUAGGAGUGGGCAGAAAAUUGAAGAACUGUAUCAGAUUCCGUUUGAUAUUUGAUUCGGUUGUGCAAUAACCUAAAUUGGACAGUUUCAUUUCGGUUGGGAUGAAUGAAAACCGAAACCGAACCAAUAAUAAAAUUAACAAGCAAACCAAAUGAAAGUCCCAAAACAGUAACAAAACAAACACGUUGUGGUUUCUUAUCAAAUUUCACAGCACGACAUGGUCAUUCUCUUUGGUAAAAAAAUAGAAAAAAGAAUAAUGGGUCUCGAAAAUUUUUUAGAGCAUUUCUGUCGCUUACAUUUUUUUUCCAUCGAUUAAUGUUAGUUGUAGGUGAAUGAUUGUUGCAAAUGCAUGUUAGCUUGUGAUUGAUUGAAAAUGGCUUGUGAUUUGUUAUGCUGCCGUGUGACAGAUUGAAAAUGGCUCUGAAAUUUUUUUAUUUGUUUAAGGUAUUACUGCUGAUUAUUGAACAGAGAUUCAUGCUAGAUUUUGUUAAAUUGAAGAUGAGAUUUUUUUUAGGAGAUCUGCAAAACCUUCUCUACUAUAGAUUUGGCUUCUAGCAUACCUGGUUGGCUGGAAAUAAUUGUUUAUACAGUCAUUGCUGCCUAUAUUAAUCAGGAAUAUUGAUUAGCAAUGUACUGGGUUAGAGAUUGGUAUAAUUUUGGAAAAUUAGUUGUAGAUGCAACUAGGGGUGGCAAUAUGGGUCAGGAUUUGUUUAUUCGAUUCGAUUUGAUGCGAAUUAAAUGGGUUUGGGUUUGAAAAAAUUGAUUCGUUUAAUAAAUGGGUGAAUUCGAUUUGAUUCGCUAAUUAAACGAAUCGAAUGCGGGUUUGAAGAUUUUGAUUCGUUUAUUCGUUUAGGAUUCGUUUAAUAAACGGGUCAUAAACGAAUCGAAUAUAGGUCGAUUCGUUUAAAAUUUAUUUAUUAUUUGUUUAAUUAAAUUACUUUUUAUCCUUAAAUUUAUUUAAAAACUUUUUAAAAUAUCAAGGUUAAUAUUGUAAUUUUAAGCAUAACUCAUAAAGCCAAAAGAUCAACCCUAAUUUUACACUUCAUUUCCAUCUCCAAAUCCUUUUCUUUUUCUUUUUAAUUUUUGCAUCCAGCAAGUGCUACGUUUUGCCACUGCUCCAAAUCCUUGGAUUUGUGUGAGUGUGAUAAGUAAAAUUUUAUCUUGUUUAAUUAUUAUUUCCUUUAAAAUAUUACAAAUUUACUAUAUAUUUGAUAUUUUUGAAAUUUUACAAUGAUUAUUAUCAAUAUUGCAGUAUGUUAGAUUGUUAAUAACAUUUUAUUUACUUUUUGGUGUAGGAUUUUGUUUUCAAGGUGAAAAAGACAAAUGAAGAGAAUUAAAGAAAUUACCUUACUUUAUAAUUUGAAUUUGAAUUAUUAUUAUUUGUAUUAUUAGGGAUUUAUAAUUUGGUAUUUAGAUGACUGCAUAAUAUGGUUUGAGUUAUUUGUAUUUUGUUGUGGGAUGUUAAACUUGUGAUUUUUUUAUAUUUUAUUUUGCUUAAUUUUAUUUAUUAAUUAUAUUUUUCUAAACGAAUUGUAAACGAAUCCUGAUUCGGUUCGAUUCGUUAAGGAUAAACGAAUAAUAAACAAAUCCAGACUCGAUUCGAUUCGAUUCGUUUAUCAAUUAUUUUAAACGAAUUAAACGAAUCGAACCGAAUAUUCGUUUAAUAAACGAAUCGAAUCCGAAUCCUGAAAUUUCAAUUCGUUUAAUAAACGAAUCGAAUCCAAAUCCUCAUAAUUUUGACCCAAUUAGUUUACGAUUCGAUUCGUUUAUUCGUUUUGCCACCCCUAGAUGCAACCUGAUUAUGGUCUCAAAUAGUGUGAUCUGUCAAUUUUGUUUGCUCUGGCCUAAUAACCUUGAAUAUGAGCUAUGCCACUAUACAAAGUCUGACCUAAUCACACUUGUUAGCCAAUGUCCAAAAUUGCAGUGUCUUUAGAUAAGUCCUGUCUUUUUUGUUUGAGUUAUAAAUGAAAAUUGCAGUGUCUUUGGAAAAAUCACGCUGAAUGUUCAAGUUAUUGACGAGAGGAGACCCCCAGAUUCAAGGGCGGAGCUCCCUGUUAAGAAGCUUUACAUAUAUAGGAUUGUCGCCUGGCAGAGGAUUGAUAUGCCUGGUUUUGUUGUUUGGAAAUAUGGAUGAAGAUUUUGCAUUGAGGCUUUUUUGAUAGAUCAUUUGGCAAAUCAAGCUCCAUGUAUCUAUCUUCAGACUCUUGGAUAUUUAUAAAGCAGGUGCAUGCUCCAUAUGUUACUUAAUGUAUCACGAUUAUUUUUCUAUUGCUUAAUAUAUUUGCAGUCCUUGAUGAAGUUGAGGACAACUUAUGGAGGGUAUACAGAGGCUCAAGAGCUCGAUCGCCAUUCAUUUUACACUGGGCUGGGCUAUAGCAUACCAACUAGUGAUUAAUAAAGAGAAGGUAUGAAGGUCAUGUUGCUGGUGGUAGUAUCAAUCAGAAUUGUUAUUUUACUUAGUCAUACUUACCAUGUAUACUAAUCGUAGGCUUUUUUCAUUUUCAUGCAUUCGCAUCAUCUUCUGGUUAAGCUACAGAUGGUUGAUUUGUGUACUCAUUUGUAUCACUUGUAGCUCUUGAGGAAUAAAAUUUAAAAAUUAUGUUGCAUCUCUUGUACUAAAUAGUAAUUUUUGUUGGCUUUAUGUAUGGGAAAUGGUUUGUUGUCUUAUUUCUUUGAUGUGUAUGGUGUUACAUUGUCUAAAGUUAAGAAGUAUUUCUAUCACUUGUGUAAAAAACAACCUACUUUUUUCAUUCUUCUUAUAUUGAAUAAAAGAGGGACACCAAGAUUGAACGAAAUUUGAUUCAGAAAGCAUAGCAAUUAGGCCAGUGCAAAACAGCUUCCUUCUGAUUCUUUGAUAUUUGACUUAAAUCUUUUGUUUAUUUCAUUUAUCAAAGUCAUUUUGGAAAGUAACGGGGGUGAUUUGAUAUUUUAAUUGCAUUCACAUCCCUUGGCACCAAAACAAACAUGCUGGUACUAACCAAUAAUUUUUUAUUUUCAGUAUACAAAUUAUUUUUUUCUAAAUUAGGGGUAUUAAGAAAAGGUAUAUUAGCACCAGGGGAGGUAUUUGAGAAUACACAAAUAUAAUCUAUUAAACUAAGGUGGCAUUUGUUUUUUAAUUUAAUGACUUAAAGUGACUUAAUUAAUUAAGUUAAUUAGAGGUGUUUGUUUUAUAACUUAAUGAGAUUUUUUAGAUAAUUUAGACUUAAUAAAAUAAGUUAAUUUUUUUUGGCUUUUUUACUUAAUAGAGACAUUUGAAUUAAGUCAAUAACUUUCUAAUGUCAAAAAUAUCCUUGUUUUUAAUUUAUUCUUCAUGCCUAUUCCAAAAUUCACCCAUAGACAUUUAACUCCACAUAAUAAUCUCAUCAUUAUUUUUUUUAGCCGUCAUGAAAUCCCUCCUCACUUGAUAUCAACUCCUCGAGUAUUGAAGAUCAAAAUUACAUGCGAGAAUUUUGAGAUGAAAUGGCAAAUCAACUGUUUCAAGCAUUUUAUUAGUUUUUUUUUCUUAUAUUAUAUACGAUAAAAUUUGAAAUUUAUGAUAUUUUAUAUAUUAAAAUUUCAAAAUCAAUUAUGUAUUCACUUGAAUAUAAUUUUACUUAUAAACGUUAAAAUAUUGUGGUAUUUAAUAUAUUAUUUAUUUUGACAUUCAAAUUUAGUAAGGAUACAAAUGUAAAAGUACAUAUUUCAGUUUUUUAAGUUGAAAAAAACAUAAUUAUAUAAUUAUUUUUCAAGAUUCAAACGAAAAAACAAACAUAUUAUUCUGAUUCAGACAUUCAGAUCUAUUCAGAAUUCAGACUAAUUCAGGUCUAUUCAGAUUUUAAACAAAAAAUCAAACACCACCUAAGAAUAUGCCAAACUUCAGGGGAGGUUUCUGAUAAAUCUCUUUUUCUUUUUCCUCCAUUCACCAUAGGUUCAAUUUAGAAACUGUUGACCAAACGGAAGGUUUAGGUUGGUAAACGCACUAAGUGCCUGUUUGGUAUGGCUUAUUCAAGAGCCAUAAAUGCUUAUUUAAUCGCAUAAGCACUUUUUUAAAUUUUUAUGGUGUUUGGUUAUUUUUUUUAGUAGAGUUUUUUAGCUUAAAUAAGCUAAUUUACCUCUACUAGUAAAAGCCCAAAAUUUAAGCUUUUGGGAGUAGAGGUUAGAGAGCUUUUAAAAAAAUAUAUAUAAUAUAAAAAAAUAUCACACAUUUUAAUGGUUCAAAAGUGUUUUUUUUAUUGACAACCAAACACCUAAUGACUUUUUAUCCAAAAGCUCUAUGGUAUAAGCUCUACUGCUAUAAACUCUACUGUUAUAAGCUCUAUUUAAUAAGCUGUACAAACGGAGCCUAAGUGUUAAUGUCAACAACCCAAGGGGCUUCAUGGUCCUCUGGGCCGAAAUAAUUAUUAAUUCUCCUCUAGUGAAAAUCUUCAUCUUGGGACAAAUAAUUACAAAUUGACAUUAUAGCUGUGGAAAUUUGGAGGUGUAAUUACCGGAAAUUACAUCUAUUUCAAUUUGCUAAAAGUAAUGGUAUCAUUUCUUGUAUGGAAAAUGGAUGAUUAGAUUUUCUUUUUUGUUAUCCGACGAAGGAUAUUCAGUUGUUCUUUUUUGUUCAUAGGCAAGAGCAUGAGCAUAUGCAUAUUUAAUAUAUGCUUCUUGCAUUUUCUAAUUAAGUGCUCUCUUUCCUUGCCUUCUUAGUUUUGAAAGAAAGUUGUGAAGCAAAGCAAACCCAGUGAAAUACACAGAGCAACAGAACCAUCAGAGGAAAAACUAAAUAACAGAACUACAAUUGAACCAAACAAAAUCAAUAAACCGAGGCAACAGAUGCCCUGAAUCAGGCAUCCCUUUUUCUCCAAAGAAAAUAUUUUGCAUGGGUGGGAACCUAGUAAUUGUUGGGGAAAAAUUAGGUUUUUAAAUUUUUAUAAAACCUUUUGAAGAUCGCUCUCAUAUAAUAUAUAAGAAUUUGUAUUCUAGAAAUCGUACCUUGAAAAUUUGAGUUUGCUUUUUCCGCUGAAGUGAUUUAGGCUCCUAGAUCACGAUCCGCCACCACCACUCCUGUUAGAUCACGAUCCGUCACCACCACGCUUGUUAGAUCACGAACUGUCUCCAAUGAUUUUCCAGAUUAUGACUCAGGUUCGAUCUGCACUUGACGUGUGGGCGCCUUUAUCACUACCAAAGCAACUAGCACGAUAAAAUUUUCUCUCAACAAUAGAGAGAAAAAUCUUAUUCUCCGAUUUGUAUAAAGUGGCUUCUCUUAUUCUUUAGAGAAAAUAGCCUUUUAUAUCACCCUUUAGUGAAAACCUUAGGCUCCAAAUAAUGCCCUAAAUAAAUCACGUUACUUUCUUUUUCAAUAGGGGACCCACCUUGUAAAAUACAUAAGGCCCCUUAUACAAAAGCUAAUUAAAUGGAGCCUCCCACUAAAUGAUAUAUUUAGGCUUUUGACCCAAAUAGCUAGUUAUCUUACUUAUUAGUCCAGUAGUGGUGCAGUCAAUUAAAUGAGCUAACCCGGGGAUCAUUUGGGAACAUACAAUAGUGGCUACAAUAAUUAGGCCUGUAAUUAAACUAGCCCAAAUAUUUAAUUCCAAAUCUACUCCACUAAAAGAUUGGAACUGACUUCCAUAAUUGUAUGCUCGAAUAAUAAUUCGUCCCAAGCCACAUUGAUUUCUUUACUGCACAAUCCUUUGUACCACAUCGUUAAUUAAAUUGAUAUCUCAACUGUCCAAUCAAUUUAAUAACAUCUUAUUCCUUGAUCCUUACUGGUUUUCUAAUGAUCAUUUCAACAUACUAAAUAUGUUGACACACUCUGGCCAGAGAAUUCUAUGAUCAAGUGCCGAAAACCCAUCAAGAGAUGUAGAAACUGUUGACCAAACGGAAGGUUUAGGUUGGUAAACGCACUAAGUGCCUGUUUGGUAUGGCUUAUUCAAGAGCCAUAAAUGCUUAUUUAAUCGCAUAAGCACUUUUUUUAAAUUUUUAUGGUGUUUGGUUAUUUUUUUAGUAGAGUUUUUUAGCUUAAAUAAGCUAAUUUACCUCUACUAGUAAAAGCCCAAAAUUUAAGCUUUUGGGAGUAGAGGUUAGAGCUUUUAAAAAAUAUAUAUAAUAUAAAAAUAUCACACAUUUUUAAUGGUUCAAAAGUGUUUUUUUUAUUGACAACCAAACACCUAAUGACUUUAUCCAAAAGCUCUAUUGGUAUAAGCUCUACUGCUAUAAACUCUACUGUUAUAAGCUCUAUUUAAUAAGCUGUACCAAACGGAGCCUAAGUGUUAAUGUCAACAACCCAAGGGGCUUCAUGGUCCUCUGGGCCGAAAUAAUUAUUAAUCUCCUCUAGUGAAAAUCUUCAUCUUGGGACAAAUAAUUACAAAUUGACAUUAUAGCUGUGGAAAUUUGGAGGUGUAAUUACCGGAAAUUACAUCUAUUUCAAUUUGCUAAAAGUAAUGGUAUCAUUUCUUGUAUGGAAAAUGGAUGAUUAGAUUUUCUUUUUUGUUAUCCGACGAAGGAUAUUCAGUUGUUCUUUAUUUGUUCAUAGGCAAGAGCAUGAGCAUAUGCAUAUUUAAUAUAUGCUUCUUGCAUUUUCUAAUUAAGUGCUCUCUUUCCUUGCCUUCUUAGUUUUGAAAGAAAGUUGUGAAGCAAAGCAAACCCAGUGAAAUACACAGAGCAACAGAACCAUCAGAGGAAAAACUAAAUAACAGAACUACAAUUGAACCAAACAAAAUCAAAUAAACCGAGGCAACAGAUGCCCUGAAUCAGGCAUCCCUUUUUCUCCCAAAGAAAAUAUGUUUGCAUGGGUGGGAACCUAGUAAUUGUUGGGAAAAAUUAGGUUUUUAAAUUUUUAUAAAACCUUUUGAAGAUCGCUCUCAUAUAAUAUAUAAGAAUUUGUAUUCUAGAAAAUCGUACCUUGAAAAUUUGAGUUUGCUUUUCCGCUGAAGUGAUUUAGGCUCCUAGAUCACGAUCCGCCCACCACUCCUGUUAGAUCACGAUCCGUCACCACCACGCUUGUUAGAUCACGAACUGUCUCCAAUGAUUUUCCAGAUUAUGACUCAGGUUCGAUCUGCACUUGACGUGUGGGCGCCUUUAUCACUACCAAAGCAACUAGCACGAUAAAAUUUUUCUCUCAACAAUAGAGAGAAAAAUCUUAUUCUCCGAUUUGUAUAAAGUGGCUUCUCUUAUUCUUUAGAGAAAAUAAGCCUUUUAUAUCACCCUUUAGUGAAAACCUUAGGCUCCAAAUAAUGCCCUAAAUAAAACUCACGUUACUUUCUUUUUCAAUAGGGGACCCACCUUGUAAAAUAACAUAAGGCCCCUUAUACAAAAGCUAAUUAAAUGGAGCCUCCCACUAAAUGAUAUAUUUAGGCUUUUGACCCAAAUAGCUAGUUAUCUUACUUAUUAGUCCAGUAGUGGUGCAGUCAAUUAAAUGAGCUAACCCGGGGAUCAUUUGGGAACAUACAAUAGUGGCUACAAUAAUUAGGCCUGUAAUUAAACUAGCCCAAAUAUUUAAUUCCAAAUCUACUCCACUAAAAGAUUGGAACUGACUUCCAUAAUUGUAUGCUCGAAUAAUAAUUCGUCCCAAGCCACAUUGAUUUCUUUACUGCACAAUCCUUUGUACCACACGUUAAUUAAAUUGAUAUCUCAACUGUCCAAUCAAUUUAAUAACAUCUUAUUCCUUGAUCCUUACUGGUUUUCUCUAAUGAUCAUUUUCAACAUACUAAAUAUGUUGACACACUCUGGCCAGAGAAUUCUAUGAUCAAGUGCCGAAAACCCAUCAAGAGAUGUGUUGUACAAAUUCUAUAUUGUUAAUCCAUAACUCCAAUACUCAUAAUUGCUCCCACCAAGAUACCGGGUACUCUGACCACAAUGAUGUGUCGUGCCCAUUGGUAACUCAAAUGGAAUACAAUUACAAUCAUGAAAUCAUAAUUAACUCAAGAUUAAGAUUACAGUAAAAUCAACGCCUAUGAGAUUUAAUAAGUCUGACAGUUAUUACAAAGUUAAUUAAAUCUCAUAUGUGAUCCUGUUCAAUGUAGUCGUACUACAUCAAUAAAUUCAUACAUGAUUAAGACAAAUCAUUCAAUGAAUUUAUUACAGUCUAUACCUAAAUAAAGUGCCCAACUUUAUUUAUCAACUGCGAACUAAAUUUAUUUAAUCAUAAGAUAACUUGUAUUUAUGUCUUCUGUGAAUCCACAUGGUGAUCACAUAAAUACAUAUAAUAUGAUUAAAUGAACUUUUAAUACAAGUAUUAAUGCAAUUAAGAUAUUUGAAUAAAAUACCUCAUUUAUUUAUUAAUCAGAAAAAUUGUUUAUUACAAUUAAAUAAACACAUAUGCUUUAAAAGAGCAUAUUUUCCAACAAUCUCCCACUAGCUCUCAAAGCAUAUCUAGCAUAUUGCUCAUGCUCUAGGGCUCUAAGUGCAGGUUAUAAAGGUUUCCCACUAAUGGCCAUUGUAAUAAGAUCUGCCAUUUAGCAUCUAAUGCCAUUUGGGGUACUGUCAAGUGACCCUUCUGUCCACAUUUGUAACACUUGCCUUUUGGCUUGCCACUUCUUUUAAUGGACAGUUUGCCGAUCCCAACUCUUGCUUGCUCAUUCUUGUCUUUCGACUUAAGCCUUGAAGAGAAUCCUUUUUCAGGAAGUUUUCUGCUAUUAUAAAAUUCUUCUAUAGCAUGUAGUUCGUGCAUUAAUUCAAUUAAGGUCAUAUCUUUAUUGUUAAGAUAUAGCUGACCUUAAACUCUUUGAAUGUAUCAGGUAAAGAUUCAAUCACCAUGUUAAUCUUUGAUUUAUCAUUGAUUUGAACACCAUGAAUCUCUACCUCAUUCAAAUAGUCCAUCAUUUUGAGGACAUGAUCACGAACUUUUGUGCCCUCUUCCAUCUUAGUAUCCAUAAUACGUUUUAAUGCUGCUUCUCUGGCAAAAUGGGUAUUUUGCCCAAACAUCUGAUGAAGACUAGCCAUUAUUUCAGUGGCUGUUUCCAUGCUCCGAUGUUUCUUAUGCAGUUCCAUAGAAAUCGAAGCCAAUAUAUAGCGCUUAGCCAUUUUGUUAGCUUCGCACCAUUUCUCAUAAGGCUCCCUCUGAUUUCUAUAAUCGUAUAACGAUGGUUCAGGAGGGCAAGGCUGGGUCAACACAUAUUUGCUUCCUUUAGCAGUGAGAUAUUAAAUAGAUUGCGUUUCCAAUCUAAAUAAUUUUCGCCAGUGAGUUCAUUUUUAACAAGGAUAAAUAAUAAUGGGUUGAUGGAAGACAUUUUCUGAAAAAAAUAAAAUACACAUGCAUAAAUACUUUGAAACAAUAUUCACAAUAAAUGACAAAAAUGCAAAAAACCAUAAAUGCAUUUUAAUUUAUUGUAACGAUAAUCUAGUACCGCUUCGACAAGCUAUUCGUUGGGGAAGUCAUGUCUACACUUACUAGACCCAAUUAUCCAUUGGAUUAUUUCAUUUCACAUGAUAAAUAAUUAUCGUUAUCCCUUUGGACCUAAAUUUGUUAACAGAGCUUCGUUGGGAAGGUUAAUAACAAACUUUUAGUUGAGUGUAUAACCAUUGUUUCAAUCUACGUAUUUUUCAUAUCAAUAGUCACCGUUGGGGUGAACAAUCGAUUGAAAAAUAUUUCAAUUUUAUCUUUGAAGAAGUUCAUCAAAUAAAAUAUCUAAUAUAUAUACCCUCGAAGGAGCAUCACCGUAUCAUGAAGUCGAGGUAUAUAUAUAAUUUUAUUAUUGAACUAACAAUGGAGCCCGUGGGAAAAUUAUCUUGAAUUUUCCCUCUCCCACUCAAUAUUUUAAAAUUGGUUUUUCCUUUUUAAAACAUACAUAUUGUUAAUUGCAUGCUUCCUAUAAUAUUAUCUAGAUGAUAUCAAAUUAUUAAGCAUACGCAAAUUUCAAACAAUAUAAUGAAAUUCAUUAUUAAUGAAUGACAUGUAUCAUUAUGCAUAGAGUGGCACUACCUAUUCUAUAUGACAUGUUAUCAUGGCAUGUAAUCAUCCAAAACAUAACAUAUAGAAAAAAUAAUUAAAUAAUCUUAAUUCAUGGCUUUCCUAAUAAUGAAAAAUACAUUAACCCUAAGCCUAAUCUUCAUUGGGCUUCUUGUCAAUAUCCAUCUUCCAUAGCUUGUCUUUGUUGAUGGACUAGGGGAAAUUGAGCUUUUAAAUUUAUAAUUGGUCCAAUUUUAAUUUGGAAAGAAAAUAAAUAAUUAAAAUUAAAAUUUAUUAAAAUAAAACUUUUGGACCAAAAAUAAAUUUAAUAUAUUCAAUUUUAUCUAUGCAUUUUAAUCCAUUAAGCCCAAUUGAAAUUGGGCCUAAAACUAGGAUUCAUUAAGCCCAAAACUAUUUUUGGAUUUAAACGCAAAAAAUUAAAAAUGUUUCUGCCCAACUGAAAAAAUAUGAAACUAUAGGGACCUCCACGAUAAAAACCAUGAAACCCUAAAAUCACAUUUUCUUUUCCUCCUCUUCCCUAGCCGCCACCAGCACAAAAACCCAGCCGUUGUUUACUGUUUCCACACCGGACAGCCGUCAUCAACGCCGGAAAGACGCCAACCAAAACGCUCCGCGCCUUCAGCCCACGUUCACGCUGUUGCUUGGGUGCUGCAGCUGCUGCUCGCGCGCUGCGGUUGCUGCUGUGCAGCGCGCGCUGCAGCUGCUGCGUGUGUAGCUCGCGCUGCUAGCAGCGUGGCUGCUGGCCGCUGCGCGUGCAGCGCGCGCUGCUGGCAGCAUGUGCUACUGGCCGCGCGCUGCUCGCACAGCAGCUUGUGCUGCUGGCCGCUCGCUGCUGCGUGUGCUGGUUCGUUGCUGCAGUUUCCGGCCUCGAUUGUUUGCGCUCGUUUUCCAGUGAUGAUGCUUCGGUGAUUUACAAAUUUUCAACGCAAAUUUUUGCUUACAAAAUUUCAAUUACAGUAAAAUAAAUCAAGAGAGAAUUAUGGUGAUAAAAAACCACCCCUCUUGUUACAGAUCCAAACGAAAAAUACAAUAGAAAAUCUAACAAUGAAUUAACUGCGUUUACUUUUUGGAUUGGAGUGGGAAUCCUGAGGAAUGGGAAUCCUUGGAUUAGGAGUGUGGAGUGGGAGUGGGAGUAGGGUGUUUACUUAGACUAAAUGAAAGUAUGGAUUGUCAAUUAGAAUUCCAAUUAUUUGUUUACUUUGUCUUGGAUUGGGAGUAAAUUGUUUUAAAUUACAAUUUUAUCCUUAUGUACAGAAUUAUAAUUUGUAAUUAAAAAUUAAUAAAAAAUAUAUUUGGAAAAUAAAUAAAUAUUUUAUUAUAUUUAUAAAUUAUUAAUAAUUACUAAUAUUCUUAAUUAUGUAAAUCAUAAUUUUUUAUUAAUUUUAAUUUAAAUUAUGUGAAUAAAAAUUAUUAAUAAUAGCAACACAAAUGGAAUAUUAUUAUUGAUAAUAUAGUACAAAAUUAAUAUUUUUAGAAUAAAAUAUUUAUUAUUAUUAAUAAAUAAAUAAUUAAUUAAUAUUUAUUAAAAUUAAUGUUUUUAUUAUUAAUUUAAAUAUAAUAUUAUUUAUUUUUAUUUAUUAAUUUUAUAAAAAAAAAUAUGAAUAUAUAUUUUUUAAUAAAUAUGAUAUUAUUUAUUUUAUGAAAUUUAUUUAUUUAUUAAAUAUUAUUUAUUUAUUAAAAUAUUAUUUAUUUAUUUUAAUUUUAUAAGGAUAAAAUGGGAAGAGGGGGAGUGGAUUCCCACUCCCUCCCCCAAUGGGAGUGGGAAUCCCACUCCCCACUCCAAAUUUAGGUGGGACCCGGAUUCCCACUCCCACUCUCCCUAUUUUUAAAGUAAGUAAACACUGGAGUGGGAGGAAUCCACACUCCACACUCCCACUCCAGAAAGUAAACACUACCUUAAGACAAACCAUAAACAUGCUUUAUUCAUAUAUUAAACAAAUAAUAUAUAUCUGAAUAAAUUGUGCCACUCUAAUACAUAAAUUUCAAGAUUAAUUUCAUACGAAAUUCUUAUUUAUUAAUAUGAGAUGGCUCUGAUACCAAUUGUUAGGGAAAAAUUAGGUUUUUAAAUUUUUAUAAAACCUUUUGAAGAUCGCUCUCAUAUAAUAUAUAAGAAUUUGUAUUCUAGAAAUCGUACCUUGAAAAUCUGAGUUUGCUUUUUCCGCUGAAGUGAUUUAGGCUCCUAGAUCACGAUCUGCCACCACCACUCCUGUUAGAUCACGAUCCGUCACCACCACGCUUGUUAGAUCACGAACUGUCUCCAAUGAUUCCAGGUUAUGACUCAGGUUCGAUCUGCACUUGACGUGUGGGCGCCUUUAUCACUACCAAAGCAACUAGCACGAGAAAAUUUUUCUCUCAACAAUAGAGAAAAAAAUCUUAUUCUCCGAUUUGUAUAAAAUGGUUUCUCUUAUUCUUUAGAGAAAAUAAGCCUUUUAUAUCACCCUUUAGUGAAAACCUUAGGCUCCAAAUAAUGCCCUAAAUAAACUCACGUUACUUUCUUUUUCAAUAGGGGACCCACCUUGUAAAAUAACAUAAGGCCCCUUAUACAAAAGCUAAUUAAAUGGAGCCUCCCACUAAAUGAUAUAUUUAGGCUUUUGACCCAAAUAGCUAGUUAUCUUACUUAGUCCAGUAGUGGUGCAGUCAAUUAAAUGAGCUAACCCGGGGAUCAUUUGGGAACAUACAAUAGUGGCUACAAUAAUUAGGCCUGUAAUUAAACUAGCCCAAAUAUUUAAUUCCAAAUCUACUCCACUAAAAGAUUGGAACUGACUUCCAUAAUUGUAUGCUCGAAUAAUAAUUCGUCCCAAGCCACAUUGAUUUCUUUACUGCACAAUCCUUUGUACCACAUCGUUAAUUAAAUUGACAUCUCAACUGUCCAAUCAAUUUAAUAACAUCUUAUUCCUUGAUCCUUACUGGUUUUCUCUAAUGAUCAUUUUCAACAUACUAAAUAUGUUGACACACUCUGGCCAGAGAAUUCUAUGAUCAAGUGCCGAAAACCCAUCAAGAGAUGUGUUGUACAAAUUCUAUAUUGUUAAUCCAUAACUCCAAUAUAUAAAGUACUAGAUGUUUUACUGAGAAAAUGACUAGAUCAUUUACCAAAUUUCUUGCGCAUAUAUACGUAUGUAUACAGAAAUGGGAAUCAAUGAUUAUAAGACCUUGCAAUGAGACAAUAAUACAUCAUCAAAUCUAAAAAUACACAAGAAAUUCGGGACAUAUAUAUAACAAAGACCUCUCAUUGAGUCAUACAUAUUGAGAAUAAAAUGUCAAAAUGCAUACAAAGAGCUUAUACAGAAAAUGAAUUUACACAUAUUUAGAAUAAAUUGUCUUUGAACUUUUGAUGGUCAAAUAAAGGAAACAGACAGGAUAUAACACACACUAUCAUAGAUGUAGCGACACGGUGAAGUAAAUCAUGAAGAUGGAAACGGAAACCCUUCACAAUAUAAAAUUUGAAUAGAGGGGGGAAAAAAGGCUUCAUUUGGAAUGUUGCACAGAAGAAGAGUGACUUGAAUCUCCAUCAGUAUCCAGACAUUCUACAACACAGUGCUGAGAAUUUUAACAAGAAUAACAGACAAAAUAUUGUGCUUCUAUACUUGUCACAAAACUAGACCAAAUUAGUUCCCUUUUGGUUUGUGAAAACUUGAUAUUUUUGAAAAUUCUAUCCAAUGCUUUUAAACAAUAUUUCCAUAAUAUAGUUGUUCAUAGCUAACCUUUGAUGGUUUAAGCAUUUGUUGUAGGCAUGACGGGCUGAUUAGAUUAUUAUUUUUUUUAUCCGAUGAAUGAUAUUCAGCUGUUCUUAAUUAUGUGUUAAUAGGCAAGAGCAUUUUCUUAAGUACUUUCGUUGCCUUCCAAGUUUCCAAUGAACAAACAGAGCACAAACAAAUUUAACGAAACAAACAGAGCAUUUUCUUCAGUGUGCUUUCUUGAGACAUUUUGAUUUAGUCUCAUUAUGAUUAAAAAAGGAAGCUCGCUUCUCGAGACAUUUUGCUAUAGUCUCAUUAUGGUUAUAAAGAAGCGAUGGUCUAGGAGACAUAUUGUUUUCGUCUCAUUUUGCUAGACAUCUGGACUUUAUGGAAAUGAGCAUGUUGAUCACAUUGUCAUGUUAUUUCCAUAAUUAUACUUGUAUACUACUACAUGGUCACGUGUUUAUAAGUGUCUUGUUAUAUGGAGCAUCCUGUCGGUGCACAUAUGAUUUGAUAUUUAUGGCACAUUUUGGACUUGUUUAUGUUCUGGGUGAUUGCUUGUAUUUGACCUUUUGUUAUAGUCACAUAUUGAUUAAUUCGGUUGUUUUCAAAAUAUUAUUUUAUUUUAAAUUUAUCAUUGGAGUGAUUUCUGUCGUCCAAGUGGGAGAUUGUUAGAUUUAUUUCUCAUAUUAUGUGGACUGACAUAAAUCAUUCUAAUUGUUUUCUAUAUUUUACCGAAUUAAUACGUGACUAUUGUCAAAUAUUAUGGAGCAAUUUUGACAUACCUUGUACAGUAGUAUAUUAUGGACAAGUAUAUCCUUAAUUGUGUUAUUUUCGCCCAUAAUGGGAUGGGCAAUUUUGUACUAACACAUGAGGGGUCCCUGCGCUCAACCACUGUAUUUAAGUAACUUCAGCCCAUUGGAAGUUAACUGUUCAAGAAAUCUGUGGCAUGAGUGCAGUGCAUCUCUCUCUCCGUUUGUCUCCCGUGUGUGUGCACAGUAAAUUUUGAAGCAAGCCGAUCCUUGAGCUAAGGAAAAGAAAGCGGAAUUCAGAAGCUAAACCGAAGCAGCAGCAACUCUGUUGAAGCUCCAUAACAAGCUGCAAGCUUGGAUUCAUGGGAGAUCGUGGUAAAUUUCGAAAUUUACUACAAUAUGUGUUUAAUUUGGAAAUGCACGAUUAAAGGGCAUAAAGUAUGUUUUUGUUUCAUCAAUUGGUAUCAGAGCCCAUGGUUAUGCGUUUCCUUGUAAACCAUAGUUGUUUUGUUGAAGAAAUCUCACUCAUGGAAUUUUUUUUUUAUUUUCGGAUUUUUCGAAUUCUUCGAAUUUGGACAUAUUUCCUCAAACGGUUGUUAAAUAAUGCAUGAGUGAUGAUUUUGGAGCAAAGAUAUAAUUUUUUCGUGUUUUUUGGUGGCCAAAAUCGGGUUGGUAUGGAUGUGGAUGCUGUAAAUGUACUGUACAAUACUGUAGCAACAGCCCGAGGUUGAAGAUGAUGGGACAAUUUCAUUUGGAUCCCUAAAUUUUGUGAAUUGUCACUAUGGCCCAAAAUCUUUGCAAACUUUUCGAAAAGGUCCUUGACCGAGGGUCAACUAUGUAAAAGAUAAGUUGGUCCCUUGAAUUUUGGGAAAUUAUAGUAUGGCCCAACAGUUUAUUUUAUUUUAUUUACAGUUUGGGCCAAAAGUUUUAAUAGUUAAAACAGUAAAUAAUUCUGAAAAUUUUUCAUUUUAGUCCAAAAUCCUUUCAAUUUUGGCGAUUUUUCAGAAUUUAAAUUUUAAAAUAAUCCAUCAGUUAUUGAAUCUUAUGGGCAUAUCAUUUAUAUAUUUUAUUGAGGCAUGUAGAUAUUUUAUUUGAUUUAAUAUCUUGUUAAUUUCAUUUGACAAAAUUUAUUUAGCCUCAAUUUUGUUAAUAUACGAAAUAUAUAUAUGAUGCAAAACUACAAUUUAGAGUGAUUGUGUAUCUACUUAUCGUAGGACCAAUCAUGAUAAAUUAUUUGGUGGUUUGCAAUUGAUUGUCCAUUUACAAUUAUGAAUUAUGGAUUAUGUGAUGGAUUGUUAUUGUUUGACCAAGAUCCAUACGGGUGAUGAUACUGCCCUGUCGGCAAAUCACUACUUGGUACUUGGUAGGAUGCUUGGGAAGAUAAAGAGAUUUGUUGAGUAUUUUCUACUGAGUGGCUUAAUUACCCUGUCGGUAAUAGGUCAAUGUUGGUGUUAUAUUCAACUUGUCUGCUUUAUCUUUAGGUUAGUGCAUUCCUAUAUUGUUAAAGGAUGCCUAACAUAUUGUGUUGCUAUUGGAGAAACUUAGAAUGAGGAGCAAUUGAUUAUAGCAUGAUUUUAAUUUUUGCAUGCUUGAUAUUCUUUUGUUAUUGCUUCCUCAGCUCUAGAUAUUCUCUCCUUUCUCCAAGUAGCCUCCCUCAAGAAUUUAACUGGGACAAAUUUUGAGGACUGGCGUGAGUCCAUUUUGUUUUAUUUGUCUACACUGAAUAGAGACUUGGCAUUAAGAGUUGAUGAACCAGCCAAGCCCACAGAUAAGAGCACUGCUGCUGAAAAAGCAGAGUGGGCAGCUUGGGAUGAAUCCAAUAGACACUGUCUGGAUACAAUGAAAUACACCAUUGAUAGAACCACUAGAGAUAGCAUCCCUGCAUGUGAUAAGGCCAAAGAUUACUUGGCAGCUGUGGGAAGAACCUUUAAGAAGGUAGAUAAGGCAGAAAAGGGUAACUAUCUGAGGCUGCUUGCUAAUACCCAGUAUGAUGGUGUUUUCUGGGGUCAGAGAACACAUCCUUAAGAUGACUAGUUACCAUAAGAAGCUGAAGGACAUGGAUGUCACUUUGCCUGAUGACUACCUGGUCUUCCAAAUCCUUGAAUCUCUUCCACCACAAUUUGGCAAUUUGAGAAGCCAAUACAAUACUCAGAGAGACACUUGGAAUAUCACUGAGUUGACUGCUUAUGUGGUUCAGGAAGAGGAAUCAUUGAAGAAGGGGAAAUCUCACACUGUCAUGGUGGCAACUACUCAAGAGAGUGGAAGUGUGAAGAAAGGCUCUUCAAAGGGCAGCAAUAAGUUUUUUAAGAAGAAAAAGUUUGGCAAGAAAACUUCACGUGGUACUUCUUCUACCACUUCUGGUUCCACUUCUGAGAGCUUUAAGGGAAAGUGCCACUUUUGUAAGAAACCUGGGCACAAGAGAGCUGACUGCAGGGGAUUCAAAGCAUGGUUGGAAAAGAAAGGUAUUCCUGUAGCCUUUGUAGGCUUUGAAUCUAAUCUUAUUGAUGUUCCUUCUGAUACUUGGUGGUUGGAUACUGGUGCAACCAUUAAUAUAACGAAUUCCUUACAGGAAUUCAGAAGCAGGAGGGAGCCCAAUGAAGGGGAGUUGAUAGUUCACAUGGGCAAUGGAGUGACAGCCAAAGUUGAAAGCAUAGGAGUUGUCAGACUACAUCUAGCCACAGGCCAUGUUUUGGAUCUAUUAGAUACAGCUUAUAUUCCUUCUAUUAGGAGAAACUUGAUAUCUGUAUCUAUUUUGGAUAGAUGUGGCUAUACUUUUCAUUUUGGUGAUAGAAAAGUUUACUUAUUCCGCAAUUCAGAGUUAGUUGGUUCUGGCACUCUAUAUGAUGGCUUGUAUAUGAUUGAUUUAUUUUCUCGUGCUGUUGAAUCAUCAUCCAAUGCUCAUGUUAUGCAUGUUGUUAGCUCUAAUCGUGUUAGGGUUGAUGAAAAUUCCUCUAUGUUGUGGCAUAAACGGUUAGGUCACAUUUCUAAACAGAGGAUGAGAGGCUUAUUAAAGAUAUUCUACAUAAGUUGGAUUUCUCUGAUUUUGGCACUUGUGUUGAUUGUGUCAAAGGCAAACUUACUGCCAAAACCAGAAAAGAGAGAACUCAGAGGAGUCAACAGGUGCUGGAGUUGGUACAUACAGACAUUUGUGGGCCAUUUACUCCUAUUGCCAUUGGAGGUUAUAAGUACUUCAUCACGUUCAACGAUGACUUUUCUCGUUAUGGUCAUGUUGAACUUCUUGCUGAAAAGUCUAAAUCCUUAUCUGUGUUUCAAGCCUUUAAGGCUAAUGUUGAGCUCCAAAAGGGCAAGCAAAUUAAAGCAGUAAGGUCAGACAGAGGUGGUGAGUACUAUGGGCGAUAUGAUGAAACUGGGCGUAAUCCUGGACCUUUUGCUAAAUUUCUUCAGGAAUGUGGAAUAGAAGCCCAGUAUACAAUGCUCGGGACUCCUGAACAUAAUGGAAUUGCAGAAAGGAGAAAUCGUACCCUUCUUGACAUGGUGCGGUGUAUGCUGAGUAACUCCACCUUACCAGAUUUUCUGUGGGGUGAAGCCUUAAGAACUGCAGCUUACAUUUUGAAUCAGGUACCUAGUAAAUCGGUGCCCAAAAGUCCUUAGUUGUGGUCAGGAAAGAGACCGAGUCUUCGUCAUUUUCAUGUAUGGGAUGCAGAGCAGAAGUGAGGCCCUAUAAUCCACAAUCAAGGAAACUUGAUCCGAAAACAAUUAGUGGUCAUUUUAUUGGCUAUUGUAUCGGCUCAAGGGUUUCUAGAUUUUAUUGACCUUCCCACACUACUAGAAUCAUUGAGUCUGAUCGUGCCAUUUAUUUUGAGGAUGAUCACAAUGGUGGGAGUUCUGAGCCUCGCAGUCUGACAUUGAGAGAAGAACGUGUGGUUUUGCCUAUUCCAUCUUUUCCGACUUCUGCGAUGGGAUUACCACAUAUUGAUGAUUCUUCUGUUGAUCCUAAACUUCAUCAUAAUAUGGAGCCUAUGAUUGUAGAGGAUGAUGGUACUGAUGUGCCAUUGAGGAGAUCAGAGAGGAUCAGGAGACCUGCAAUUUCUGAUGAUUAUGUUGUUUACUUGCAGGAGCAUGAUUUUGAUGCUGACUCUUCAUCUGAUCCUAUUACCUUUCAAGAGGCCAUCAGUUGUUCAGAAUCAUCAUCUUGGAUACAUGCGAUGCAUGAUGAGAUGGCAUCUAUGUAUCAUAAUGAGGUUUGGGAUUUAGUUGAGUUACCAGAUGGAUGCAGACCAAUUGGUUGCAAAUGGGUUUUCAAAACCAAAAGAGAUGCCAGAGGUCAGGUAGAGAGGUAUAAGGCCAGGCUUUGUGGCUAAGGGUUUCAGUCAAAGAGAAGGCAUUGAUUACACUGAAACCUACUCUCCUGUUUCUACCAAGACUCUUUUCGUAUUAUCAUGGCAUUGGUAGCUCAUUUCAAUUUAGAAUUGCAUCAGAUGGAUGUGAAGACAGCUUUUCUUAAUGGGAGCUUGUCUGAAGAUGUAUACAUGGUGCAACCUGAUGGUUUUGUUGAGUCUGGUAUAGAAAACAUGGUGUGUAAGCUUAAAAGGUCCAUUUAUGGACUUAAGCAAGCAUCCAGACAGUGGUAUUUGAAAUUUCACGAUAUUGUCACCUCUUAUGGGUUCCAGGAGAAUGCCGUUGAUCAGUGUAUAUACUUGAGAGUCAGUGGGAGCAAGUAUAUCAUUUUGGUGCUUUAUGUGGAUGAUAUCUUGCUCGCUGCUAAUGACAGUAAUUUGUUACUUGAGACAAAGCAAAUGUUGUCAUGCAGCUUUGAUAUGAAGGAUCUUGGUGAAGCCCAUUAUGUAUUAGGGAUAGAGAUUCUUCAUGAUAGAUCUAGAGGAAUUCUAGGUUUGUCUCAAAAGACUUACAUUGAUCGCAUUUUGAAAAGGUUCAAUUUGCAGUCUUGUGCUCCUGGGAAAGCUCCAAUUUCGAAAGGUGACAAAAUUUCCAAGUCUCAAUGUCCCGAUAAUGAUGUAGACAAAGCUAGAAUACAAACAGUCCCGUAUGCAUCCGUUGUGGGUAGCUUGAUGUAUGCUCAAGUCUGUACUCGCCCUGAUAUUGCUUUCCAGUGGGAGUACUUGGAAGAUACCUGAGCAAUCCUGGAUUUGAACACUGGAAGGCUGCAAAGAAAGUACUCAGAUAUUUGCGAGCCACUAAAGAUUUUGUAUUGACAUAUCAGCAAUCUGACUUUUGAAUAUAGUUGGAUAUUCUGAUGCUGAUUUCGCAGGGUGCUUGGAAGACAAGAAAUCCACAUCUGGUUACAUCUUUAUGAUGGCAGAGGAGCUAUAUCGGAAAGUGUCAAGCAGACACUUAUAGCUUCUUCAACAAUGGAAGCAGAAUAUGUAGCAUGCUUUGAGGCUACACGUCAUGCUUUAUGGAUGCAAAAUUUUAUCACAGGGCUAGAUUGUAUAGUGGCCGUACCGAGGCCAUUAAAGAUAUACUGUGAUAAUUCUGCUGCUGUUUCUUUUUUCACAAUACAGGGAGUUCCUCACGUUCCAAGCACAUUGAUAUUAAAUACUUGUUUGUGAGAGAGAAAAUUGCUCUAUCUUGUGUAUCAGUAGAGUAUAUCCCUACAGAACUCAUGUUAGCCGAUCCACUUAUUAAAGCUUUAGCUCCAAAAGUAUUAGGGAGCAUGUAACGCAUAUGGAUUAUUUGAAUCCACUUAUAUAUGCUGAGUCAGUGGGAGUUCUGGUUGUAUUAUGAGUUGCAACUUAAAUGAGCUUAUGUAUUACUCAUUUUGUUAUCAUGCAUGCAUGUUGUUAUGUGAUAUUGAUAUGCCAUAUAUUGUGUACACAUUUGGCUGCGUAUGGCAUUAUGUAUAGAAUGAGGAUACGAUGGUCCGAGACAUUUUGCUCAGUCUCAAUAUGGACAUUAAAGACUGAAGCAUUAUGAUUUUCUUCAGUGUGCUUUCUUGAGACAUUUUGAUUUAGUCUCAUUAUGAUUAAAAAGGAAGCUCGCUUCUCGAGACAUUUUGCUAUAGUCUCAUUAUGGUUAUAAAGAAGCGAUGGUCUAGGAGACAUAUUGUUUUCGUCUCAUUUUGCUAGACAUCUGGACUUUAUGGAAAUGAGCAUGUUGAUCACAUUGUCAUGUUAUUUCCAUAAUUAUACUUGUAUACUACUACAUGGUCACGUGUUUAUAAGUGUCUUGUUAUAUGGAGCAUCCUGUCGGUGCACAUAUGAUUUGAUAUUUAUGGCACAUUUGGACUUGUUUAUGUUCUGGGUGAUUGCUUGUAUUUGACCUUUUGUUAUAGUCACAUAUUGAUUAAUUCGGUUGUUUUCAAAAUAUUAUUUUAUUUUAAAUUUAUCAUUGGAGUGAUUUCUGUCGUCCAAGUGGAGAUUGUUAGAUUUAUUCUCAUAUUAUGUGGACUGACAUAAAUCAUUCUAAUUGUUUUCUAUAUUUUACCGAAUUAAUACGUGACUAUUGUCAAAUAUAUGGAGCAAUUUUGACAUACCUUGUACAGUAGUAUAUUAUGGACAAGUAUAUCCUUAAUUGUGUUAUUUUCGCCCAUAAUGGGAUGGGCAAUUUUGUACUAACACAUGAGGGGUCCCUGCGCUCAACCUGUAUUUAAGUAACUUCAGCCCAUUGGAAGUUAACUGUUCAAGAAAUCUGUGGCAUGAGUGCAGUGCAUCUCUCUCUCCCGUUUGUCUCCCGUGUGUGUGCACAGUAAAUUUUGAAGCAAGCCGAUCCUUGAGCUAAGGAAAAGAAAGCGGAAUUCAGAAGCUAAACCGAAGCAGCAGCAACUCUGUUGAAGCUCCAUAACAAGCUGCAAGCUUGGAUUCAUGGGAGAUCGUGGUAAAUUUCGAAAUUUACUACAAUAUGUGUUUAAUUUGGAAAUGCACGAUUAAAGGGCAUAAAGUAUGUUUUUGUUUCAUCAAUUGGUAUCAGAGCCCAUGGUUAUGCGUUUCCUUGUAAACCAUAGUUGUUUUGUUGAAGAAAUCUCACUCAUGGAAUUUUUUUUUUUUUCGGAUUUUUCGAAUCUUCGAAUUUGGACAUAUUUCCUCAAACGGUUGUUAAAUAAUGCAUGAGUGAUNUAUUCUAUAUGACAUGUUAUCAUGGCAUGUAAUCAUCCAAAACAUAACAUAUAGAAAAAAUAAUUAAAUAAUCUUAAUUCAUGGCUUUCCUAAUAAUGAAAAAUACAUUAACCCUAAGCCUAAUCUUCAUUGGGCUUCUUGUCAAUAUCCAUCUUCCAUAGCUUGUCUUUGUUGAUGGACUAGGGGAAAUUGAGCUUUUAAAUUUAUAAUUGGUCCAAUUUUAAUUUGGAAAGAAAAUAAAUAAUUAAAAUUAAAAUUUAUUAAAAUAAAACUUUUGGACCAAAAAUAAAUUUAAUAUAUUCAAUUUUAUCUAUGCAUUUUAAUCCAUUAAGCCCAAUUGAAAUUGGGCCUAAAACUAGGAUUCAUUAAGCCCAAAACUAUUUUUGGAUUUAAACGCAAAAAAUUAAAAAUGUUUCUGCCCAACUGAAAAAAUAUGAAACUAUAGGGACCUCCACGAUAAAAACCAUGAAACCCUAAAAUCACAUUUUUCUUUUCCUCCUCUUCCCUAGCCGCCACCAGCACAAAAACCCAGCCGUUGUUUACUGUUUCCACACCGGACAGCCGUCAUCAACGCCGGAAAGACGCCAACCAAAACGCUCCGCGCCUUCAGCCCACGUUCACGCUGUUGCUUGGGUGCUGCAGCUGCUGCUCGCGCGCUGCGGUUGCUGCUUGUGCAGCGCGCGCUGCAGCUGCUGCGUGUGUAGCUCGCGCUGCUAGCAGCGUGGCUGCUGGCCGCUGCGCGUGCAGCGCGCGCUGCUGGCAGCAUGUGCUACUGGCCGCGCGCUGCUCGCACAGCAGCUUGUGCUGCUGGCCGCUCGCUGCUGCGUGUGCUGGUUCGUUGCUGCAGUUUCCGGCCUCGAUUGUUUGCGCUCGUUUUCCAGUGAUGAUGCUUCGGUGAUUUACAAAUUUUCAACGCAAAUUUUUGCUUACAAAAUUUCAAUUACAGUAAAAUAAAUCAAGAGAGAAUUAUGGUGAUAAAAAACCACCCCUCUUGUUACAGAUCCAAACGAAAAAUACAAUAGAAAAUCUAACAAUGAAUUAACUGCGUUUACUUUUGGAUUGGAGUGGGAAUCCUGAGGAAUGGGAAUCCUUGGAUUAGGAGUGUGGAGUGGGAGUGGGAGUAGGGGUUUACUUAGACUAAAUGAAAGUAUGGAUUGUCAAUUAGAAUUCCAAUUAUUUGUUUACUUUGUCUUGGAUUGGGAAGUAAAAUUGUUUUAAAUUACAAUUUUAUCCUUAUGUACAGAAUUAUAAUUUGUAAUUAAAAAUUAAUAAAAAAUAUAUUUGGAAAAUAAAAAUAAAUAUUUUUAUUAUAUUAUAAAUUAUUAAUAAUUUACUAAUAUUCUUAAUUAUGUAAAUCAUAAUUUUUUAUUAAUUUUAAUUUAAAUUAUGUGAAUAAAAAUUAUUAAUAAUAGCAACACAAAUGGAAUAUUAUUAUUGAUAAUAUAGUACAAAAUUAAUAUUUUUAGAAUAAAUAUUUAUAUUAUUAAAUAAAUAAAUAAUUAAUUAAUAUUUAUUAAAAUUAAUGUUUUUAUAUUAUUAAUUUAAAUAUAAUAUUAUUUAUUUUUAUUUUAUUAAUUUUAAUAAAAUAAAUAUGAUAUAAUUAUUAUUUUUAAUAAAUAUGAUAUUAUUUAUUUUAUGAAAUAUUAUUUAUUUUAUUAAAUAUUAUUUAUUUUAUUAAUAUUAUUUAUUUAUUUUAAUUUUAUAAGGAUAAAAUGGGAAGAGGGGGGAGUGGAUUCCCACUCCCACCUCCCCCAAUGGGAGUGGGAAUCCCACUCCCCACUCCAAAUUUAGGUGGGACCCACGGAUUCCCACUCCCACUCUCCCUAUUUUAAAGUAAGUAAACACUGGAGUGGGAGGGAAUCCACACUCCACACUCCCACUCCAGAAAGUAAACACUACCUUAAGACAAACCAUAAACAUGCUUUAUUCAUAUAUUAAACAAAUAAUAUAUAUCUGAAUAAAUUGUGCCACUCUAAUACAUAAAUUUCAAGAUUAAUUUCAUACGAAAAUUCUUAUUUAUUAAUAUGAGAUGGCUCUGAUACCAAUUGUUAGGGAAAAAUUAGGUUUUUAAAUUUUUAUAAAACCUUUUGAAGAUCGCUCUCAUAUAAUAUAUUAAGAAUUUGUAUUCUAGAAAUCGUACCUUGAAAAUCUGAGUUUGCUUUUUCCGCUGAAGUUGAUUUAGGCUCCUAGAUCACGAUCUGCCACCACCACUCCUGUUAGAUCACGAUCCGUCACCACCACGCUUGUUAGAUCACGAACUGUCUCCAAUGAUCUUCCAGGUUAUGACUCAGGUUCGAUCUGCACUUGACGUGUGGGCGCCUUUAUCACUACCAAAGCAACUAGCACGAGAAAAUUUUUCUCUCAAACAAUAGAGAAAAAAAUCUUAUUCUCCGAUUUGUAUAAAAUGGUUUCUCUUAUUCUUUAGAGAAAAUAAGCCUUUUAUAUCACCCUUUAGUGAAAACCUUAGGCUCCAAAUAAUGCCCUAAAUAAAACUCACGUUACUUUCUUUUUCAAUAGGGGACCCACCUUGUAAAAUAACAUAAGGCCCCUUAUACAAAGCUAAUUAAAUGGAGCCUCCCACUAAAUGAUAUAUUUAGCUUUUGAACCCAAAUAGCUAGUUAUCUUACUUAUUAGUCCAGUAGUGGUGCAGUCAAUUAAAUGAGCUAACCCGGGGAUCAUUUGGGAACAUACAAUAGUGGCUACAAUAAUUAGGCCUGUAAUUAAACUAGCCCAAAUAUUUAAUUCCAAAUCUACUCCACUAAAAGAUUGGAACUGACUUCCAUAAUUGUAUGCUCGAAUAAUAAUUCGUCCCAAGCCACAUUGAUUUCUUUACUGCACAAUCCUUUGUACCACAUCGUUAAUUUAAAUUGACAUCUCAACUGUCCAAUCAAUUUAAUAACAUCUUAUUCCUUGAUCCUUACUGGUUUUCUCUAAUGAUCAUUUUCAACAUACUAAAUAUGUUGACACACUCUGGCCAGAGAAUUCUAUGAUCAAGUGCCGAAAACCCAUCAAGAGAUGUGUUGUACAAAUUCUAUAUUGUUAAUCCAUAACUCCAAUAUAUAAAGUACUAGAUGUUUACUGAGAAAAUGACUAGAUCAUUUACCAAAUUUCUUGCGCAUAUAUACGUAUGUAUACAAGAAAUGGGAAUCAAUGAUUAUAAGACCUUGCAAUGAGACAAUAAUACAUCAUCAAAUCUAAAAAUACACAAGAAAUUCGGACAUAUAUAUAACAAAAGACCUCUCAUUGAGUCAUACAUAUUGAGAAUAAAAUGUCAAAAUGCAUACAAAGAGCUUAUACAGAAAAUGAAUUUACACAUAUUUAGAAUAAAUUGUCUUUGAACUUUUGAUGGUCAAAUAAAGGAAAACAGACAGGAUAUAACACACACUAUCAUAGAUGUAGCGACACGGUGAAGUAAAAUCACAUGAAGAUGGAAACGGAAACCCUUCACAAUAUAAAAUUUGAAUAGAGGGGGGAAAAAAAGGCUUCAUUUGGAAUGUUGCACAGAAGAAAGAGUGACUUGAAUCUCCAUCAGUAUCCAGACAUUCUACAAACACAGUGCUGAGAAUUUUAACAAGAAUAACAGACAAAAUAUUGUGCUUCUAUACUUGUCACAAAACUAGACCAAAUUAGUUCCCUUUUUGGUUUGUGAAAAACUUGAUAUUUUUGAAAAUUCUAUCCAAUGCUUUUAAACAAUAUUUCCAUAAUAAUAGUUGUUCAUAGCUAACCUUUGAUGGUUUAAGCAUUUGUUGUAGCAUGACGGGCUGAUUAGAUUAUUAUUUUUUUUUAUCCGAUGAAUUGAUAUUCAGCUGUUCUUAAUUAUGUGUUAAUAGGCAAGAGCAUUUUCUUAAGUACUUUCGUUGCCUUCCAAGUUUCCAAUGAACAAACAGAGCACAAACAAAUUUAACGAAACAAACAGAAGCAUUUUCUUCAGUGUGCUUUCUUGAGACAUUUUGAUUUAGUCUCAUUAUGAUUAAAAAGGAAGCUCGCUUCUCGAGACAUUUUGCUAUAGUCUCAUUAUGGUUAUAAAGAAGCGAUGGUCUAGGAGACAUAUUGUUUUCGUCUCAUUUUGCUAGACAUCUGGACUUUAUGGAAAUGAGCAUGUUGAUCACAUUGUCAUGUUAUUUCCAUAAUUAUACUUGUAUACUACUACAUGGUCACGUGUUUAUAAGUGUCUUGUUAUAUGGAGCAUCCUGUCGGUGCACAUAUGAUUUGAUAUUUAUGGCACAUUUUGGACUUGUUUAUGUUCUGGGUGAUUGCUUUGUAUUUGACCUUUUGUUAUAGUCACAUAUUGAUUAAUUCGGUUGUUUUCAAAAUAUUAUUUUAUUUUAAAUUUAUCAUUGGAGUGAUUUCUGUCGUCCAAGUGGGAGAUUGUUAGAUUUAUUUCUCAUAUUAUGUGGACUGACAUAAAUCAUUCUAAUUGUUUUCUAUAUUUUACCGAAUUAAUACGUGACUAUUGUCAAAUAUUAUGGAGCAAUUUGACAUACCUUGUACAGUAGUAUAUUAUGGACAAGUAUAUCCUUAAUUGUGUUAUUUUCGCCCAUAAUGGGAUGGGCAAUUUUGUACUAACACAUGAGGGGUCCCUGCGCUCAACCACUGUAUUUAAGUAACUUCAGCCCAUUGGAAGUUAACUGUUCAAGAAAUCUGUGGCAUGAGUGCAGUGCAUCUCUCUCUCCCGUUUGUCUCCCGUGUGUGUGCACAGUAAAUUUUGAAGCAAGCCGAUCCUUGAGCUAAGGAAAAGAAAGCGGAAUUCAGAAGCUAAACCGAAGCAGCAGCAACUCUGUUGAAGCUCCAUAACAAGCUGCAAGCUUGGAUUCAUGGGAGAUCGUGGUAAAUUUCGAAAUUUACUACAAUAUGUGUUUAAUUUGGAAAUGCACGAUUAAAGGGCAUAAAGUAUGUUUUUGUUUCAUCAAUUGGUAUCAGAGCCCAUGGUUAUGCGUUUCCUUGUAAACCAUAGUUGUUUUGUUUGAAGAAAUCUCACUCAUGGAAUUUUUUUUUUUAUUUUCGGAUUUUUCGAAUUCUUCGAAUUUGGACAUAUUUCCUCAAACGGUUGUUAAAUAAUGCAUGAGUGAUGAUUUUGGAGCAAAGAUAUAAUUUUUUUCGUGUUUUUUGGUGGCCAAAAUCGGGUUGGUAUGGAUGUGGAUGCUGUAAAUGUACUGUACAAUACUGUAGCAACAGCCCGAGGUUGAAGAUGAUGGGACAAUUUCAUUUGGAUCCCUAAAUUUUGUGAAUUGUCACUAUGGCCCAAAAUCUUUGCAAACUUUUCGAAAAGGUCCUUGACCGAGGGUCAACUAUGUAAAAGAUAAGUUGGUCCCUUGAAUUUUGGGAAAUUAUAGUAUGGCCCAACAGUUUAUUUUAUUUUAUUUACAGUUUGGGCCAAAAGUUUUAAUAGUUAAAACAGUAAACAUAAUUCUGAAAAUUUUUCAUUUUAGUCCAAAAUCCUUUCAAUUUUGGCGAUUUUUCAGAAUUUUUAAAUUUUAAAAUAAUCCAUCAGUUAUUGAAUCUUAUGGGCAUAUCAUUUAUAUAUUUUAUUGAGGCAUGUAGAUAUUUUAUUUGAUUUAAUAUCUUGUUAAUUUCAUUUGACAAAAUUUAUUUAGCCUCAAUUUUGUUAAUAUACGAAAUAUAUAUAUGAUGCAAAACUACAAUUUAGAGUGAUUGUGUAUCUACUUAUCGUAGGACCAAUCAUGAUAAAUUAUUUGGUGGUUUGCAAUUGAUUGUCCAUUUACAAUUAUGAAUUAUGGAUUAUGUGAUGGAUUGUUAUUGUUUUGACCAAGAUCCAUACGGGUGAUGAUACUGCCCUGUCGGCAAAUCACUACUUGGUACUUGGUAGGAUGCUUGGGAAGAUAAAGAGAUUUGUUGAGUAUUUUCUACUGAGUGGCUUAAUUACCCUGUCGGUAAUAGGUCAAUGUUGGUGUUAUAUUCAACUUGUCUGCUUUAUCUUUAGGUUAGUGCAUUCCUAUAUUGUUAAAGGAUGCCUAACAUAUUGUGUUGCUAUUGGAGAAACUUAGAAUGAGGAGCAAUUGAUUAUAGCAUGAUUUUAAUUUUUGCAUGCUUGAUAAUUCUUUUGUUAUUGCUUCCUCAGCUCUAGAUAUUCUCUCCUUUCUCCAAGUAGCCUCCCUCAAGAAUUUAACUGGGACAAAUUUUGAGGACUGGCGUGAGUCCAUUUUGUUUUAUUUGUCUACACUGAAUAGAGACUUGGCAUUAAGAGUUGAUGAACCAGCCAAGCCCACAGAUAAGAGCACUGCUGCUGAAAAAGCAGAGUGGGCAGCUUGGGAUGAAUCCAAUAGACACUGUCUGGAUACAAUGAAAUACACCAUUGAUAGAACCACUAGAGAUAGCAUCCCUGCAUGUGAUAAGGCCAAAGAUUACUUGGCAGCUGUGGGAAGAACCUUUAAGAAGGUAGAUAAGGCAGAAAAGGGUAACUAUCUGAGGCUGCUUGCUAAUACCCAGUAUGAUGGUGUUUCUGGGGUCAGAGAACACAUCCUUAAGAUGACUAGUUACCAUAAGAAGCUGAAGGACAUGGAUGUCACUUUGCCUGAUGACUACCUGGUCUUCCAAAUCCUUGAAUCUCUUCCACCACAAUUUGGCAAUUUGAGAAGCCAAUACAAUACUCAGAGAGACACUUGGAAUAUCACUGAGUUGACUGCUUAUGUGGUUCAGGAAGAGGAAUCAUUGAAGAAGGGGAAAUCUCACACUGUCAUGGUGGCAACUACUCAAGAGAGUGGAAGUGUGAAGAAAGGCUCUUCAAAGGGCAGCAAUAAGUUUUUUAAGAAGAAAAAGUUUGGCAAGAAAACUUCACGUGGUACUUCUUCUACCACUUCUGGUUCCACUUCUGAGAGCUUUAAGGGAAAGUGCCACUUUUGUAAGAAACCUGGGCACAAGAGAGCUGACUGCAGGGGAUUCAAAGCAUGGUUGGAAAAGAAAGGUAUUCCUGUAGCCUUUGUAGGCUUUGAAUCUAAUCUUAUUGAUGUUCCUUCUGAUACUUGGUGGUUGGAUACUGGUGCAACCAUUAAUAUAACGAAUUCCUUACAGGAAUUCAGAAGCAGGAGGGAGCCCAAUGAAGGGGAGUUGAUAGUUCACAUGGGCAAUGGAGUGACAGCCAAAGUUGAAAGCAUAGGAGUUGUCAGACUACAUCUAGCCACAGGCCAUGUUUUGGAUCUAUUAGAUACAGCUUAUAUUCCUUCUAUUAGGAGAAACUUGAUAUCUGUAUCUAUUUUGGAUAGAUGUGGCUAUACUUUUCAUUUUGGUGAUAGAAAAGUUUACUUAUUCCGCAAUUCAGAGUUAGUUGGUUCUGGCACUCUAUAUGAUGGCUUGUAUAUGAUUGAUUUAUUUUCUCGUGCUGUUGAAUCAUCAUCCAAUGCUCAUGUUAUGCAUGUUGUUAGCUCUAAUCGUGUUAGGGUUGAUGAAAAUUCCUCUAUGUUGUGGCAUAAACGGUUAGGUCACAUUUCUAAACAGAGGAUGGAGAGGCUUAUUAAAGAUAGCAUUCUACAUAAGUUGGAUUUCUCUGAUUUUGGCACUUGUGUUGAUUGUGUCAAAGGCAAACUUACUGCCAAAACCAGAAAAGAGAGAACUCAGAGGAGUCAACAGGUGCUGGAGUUGGUACAUACAGACAUUUGUGGGCCAUUUACUCCUAUUGCCAUUGGAGGUUAUAAGUACUUCAUCACGUUCAACGAUGACUUUUCUCGUUAUGGUCAUGUUGAACUUCUUGCUGAAAAGUCUAAAUCCUUAUCUGUGUUUCAAGCCUUUAAGGCUAAUGUUGAGCUCCAAAAGGGCAAGCAAAUUAAAGCAGUAAGGUCAGACAGAGGUGGUGAGUACUAUGGGCGAUAUGAUGAAACUGGGCGUAAUCCUGGACCUUUUGCUAAAUUUCUUCAGGAAUGUGGAAUAGAAGCCCAGUAUACAAUGCUCGGGACUCCUGAACAUAAUGGAAUUGCAGAAAGGAGAAAUCGUACCCUUCUUGACAUGGUGCGGUGUAUGCUGAGUAACUCCACCUUACCAGAUUUUCUGUGGGGUGAAGCCUUAAGAACUGCAGCUUACAUUUUGAAUCAGGUACCUAGUAAAUCGGUGCCCAAAAGUCCUUAUGAGUUGUGGUCAGGAAAGAGACCGAGUCUUCGUCAUUUUCAUGUAUGGGGAUGCAGAGCAGAAGUGAGGCCCUAUAAUCCACAAUCAAGGAAACUUGAUCCGAAAACAAUUAGUGGUCAUUUUAUUGGCUAUUGUAUCGGCUCAAGGGGUUCUAGAUUUUAUUGACCUUCCCACACUACUAGAAUCAUUGAGUCUGAUCGUGCCAUUUAUUUUGAGGAUGAUCACAAUGGUGGGAGUUCUGAGCCUCGCAGUCUGACAUUGAGAGAAGAACGUGUGGUUUUGCCUAUUCCAUCUUUUCCGACUUCUGCGAUGGGAUUACCACAUAUUGAUGAUUCUUCUGUUGAUCCUAAACUUCAUCAUAAUAUGGAGCCUAUGAUUGUAGAGGAUGAUGGUACUGAUGUGCCAUUGAGGAGAUCAGAGAGGAUCAGGAGACCUGCAAUUUCUGAUGAUUAUGUUGUUUACUUGCAGGAGCAUGAUUUUGAUGCUGACUCUUCAUCUGAUCCUAUUACCUUUCAAGAGGCCAUCAGUUGUUCAGAAUCAUCAUCUUGGAUACAUGCGAUGCAUGAUGAGAUGGCAUCUAUGUAUCAUAAUGAGGUUUGGGAUUUAGUUGAGUUACCAGAUGGAUGCAGACCAAUUGGUUGCAAAUGGGUUUUCAAAACCAAAAGAGAUGCCAGAGGUCAGGUAGAGAGGUAUAAGGCCAGGCUUGUGGCUAAGGGUUUCAGUCAAAGAGAAGGCAUUGAUUACACUGAAACCUACUCUCCUGUUUCUACCAAAGACUCUUUUCGUAUUAUCAUGGCAUUGGUAGCUCAUUUCAAUUUAGAAUUGCAUCAGAUGGAUGUGAAGACAGCUUUUCUUAAUGGGAGCUUGUCUGAAGAUGUAUACAUGGUGCAACCUGAUGGUUUUGUUGAGUCUGGUAUAGAAAACAUGGUGUGUAAGCUUAAAAGGUCCAUUUAUGGACUUAAGCAAGCAUCCAGACAGUGGUAUUUGAAAUUUCACGAUAUUGUCACCUCUUAUGGGUUCCAGGAGAAUGCCGUUGAUCAGUGUAUAUACUUGAGAGUCAGUGGGAGCAAGUAUAUCAUUUUGGUGCUUUAUGUGGAUGAUAUCUUGCUCGCUGCUAAUGACAGUAAUUUGUUACUUGAGACAAAGCAAAUGUUGUCAUGCAGCUUUGAUAUGAAGGAUCUUGGUGAAGCCCAUUAUGUAUUAGGGAUAGAGAUUCUUCAUGAUAGAUCUAGAGGAAUUCUAGGUUUGUCUCAAAAGACUUACAUUGAUCGCAUUUUGAAAAGGUUCAAUUUGCAGUCUUGUGCUCCUGGGAAAGCUCCAAUUUCGAAAGGUGACAAAAUUUCCAAGUCUCAAUGUCCCGAUAAUGAUGUAGACAAAGCUAGAAUACAAACAGUCCCGUAUGCAUCCGUUGUGGGUAGCUUGAUGUAUGCUCAAGUCUGUACUCGCCCUGAUAUUGCUUUUCCAGUGGGAGUACUUGGAAGAUACCUGAGCAAUCCUGGAUUUGAACACUGGAAGGCUGCAAAGAAAGUACUCAGAUAUUUGCGAGCCACUAAAGAUUUUGUAUUGACAUAUCAGCAAUCUGACUAUUUGAAUAUAGUUGGAUAUUCUGAUGCUGAUUUCGCAGGGUGCUUGGAAGACAAGAAAUCCACAUCUGGUUACAUCUUUAUGAUGGCAGGAGGAGCUAUAUCAUGGAAAAGUGUCAAGCAGACACUUAUAGCUUCUUCAACAAUGGAAGCAGAAUAUGUAGCAUGCUUUGAGGCUACACGUCAUGCUUUAUGGAUGCAAAAUUUUAUCACAGGGCUAGAUUGUAUAGUGGCCGUACCGAGGCCAUUAAAGAUAUACUGUGAUAAUUCUGCUGCUGUUUCUUUUUCUCACAAUACAGGGAGUUCCUCACGUUCCAAGCACAUUGAUAUUAAAUACUUGUUUGUGAGAGAGAAAAUUGCUCUAUCUUGUGUAUCAGUAGAGUAUAUCCCUACAGAACUCAUGUUAGCCGAUCCACUUAUUAAAGCUUUAGCUCCAAAAGUAUUUAGGGAGCAUGUAACGCAUAUGGGAUUAUUUGAAUCCACUUAUAUAUGCUGAGUCAGUGGGAGUUCUGGUUUGUAUUAUGAGUUGCAACUUAAAUGAGCUUAUGUAUUACUCAUUUUGUUAUCAUGCAUGCAUGUUGUUAUGUGAUAUUGAUAUGCCAUAUAUUGUGUACACAUUUGGCUGCGUAUGGCAUUAUGUAUAGAAUGAGGAUACGAUGGUCCGAGACAUUUUGCUCAGUCUCAAUAUGGACAUUAAAGACUGAAGCAUUAUGAUUUUCUUCAGUGUGCUUUCUUGAGACAUUUUGAUUUAGUCUCAUUAUGAUUAAAAAGGAAGCUCGCUUCUCGAGACAUUUUGCUAUAGUCUCAUUAUGGUUAUAAAGAAGCGAUGGUCUAGGAGACAUAUUGUUUUCGUCUCAUUUUGCUAGACAUCUGGACUUUAUGGAAAUGAGCAUGUUGAUCACAUUGUCAUGUUAUUUCCAUAAUUAUACUUGUAUACUACUACAUGGUCACGUGUUUAUAAGUGUCUUGUUAUAUGGAGCAUCCUGUCGGUGCACAUAUGAUUUGAUAUUUAUGGCACAUUUUGGACUUGUUUAUGUUCUGGGUGAUUGCUUGUAUUUGACCUUUUGUUAUAGUCACAUAUUGAUUAAUUCGGUUGUUUUCAAAAUAUUAUUUUAUUUUAAAUUUAUCAUUGGAGUGAUUUCUGUCGUCCAAGUGGGAGAUUGUUAGAUUUAUUUCUCAUAUUAUGUGGACUGACAUAAAUCAUUCUAAUUGUUUUCUAUAUUUUACCGAAUUAAUACGUGACUAUUGUCAAAUAUUAUGGAGCAAUUUUGACAUACCUUGUACAGUAGUAUAUUAUGGACAAGUAUAUCCUUAAUUGUGUUAUUUUCGCCCAUAAUGGGAUGGGCAAUUUUGUACUAACACAUGAGGGGUCCCUGCGCUCAACCACUGUAUUUAAGUAACUUCAGCCCAUUGGAAGUUAACUGUUCAAGAAAUCUGUGGCAUGAGUGCAGUGCAUCUCUCUCUCCCGUUUGUCUCCCGUGUGUGUGCACAGUAAAUUUUGAAGCAAGCCGAUCCUUGAGCUAAGGAAAAGAAAGCGGAAUUCAGAAGCUAAACCGAAGCAGCAGCAACUCUGUUGAAGCUCCAUAACAAGCUGCAAGCUUGGAUUCAUGGGAGAUCGUGGUAAAUUUCGAAAUUUACUACAAUAUGUGUUUAAUUUGGAAAUGCACGAUUAAAGGGCAUAAAGUAUGUUUUUGUUUCAUCAAUUGGUAUCAGAGCCCAUGGUUAUGCGUUUCCUUGUAAACCAUAGUUGUUUUGUUGAAGAAAUCUCACUCAUGGAAUUUUUUUUUUUAUUUUCGGAUUUUUCGAAUUCUUCGAAUUUGGACAUAUUUCCUCAAACGGUUGUUAAAUAAUGCAUGAGUGAUGAUUUUGGAGCAAAGAUAUAAUUUUUUCGUGUUUUUUGGUGGCCAAAAUCGGGUUGGUAUGGAUGUGGAUGCUGUAAAUGUACUGUACAAUACUGUAGCAACAGCCCGAGGUUGAAGAUGAUGGGACAAUUUCAUUUGGAUCCCUAAAUUUUGUGAAUUGUCACUAUGGCCCAAAAUCUUUGCAAACUUUUCGAAAAGGUCCUUGACCGAGGGUCAACUAUGUAAAAGAUAAGUUGGUCCCUUGAAUUUUGGGAAAUUAUAGUAUGGCCCAACAGUUUAUUUUAUUUUAUUUACAGUUUGGGCCAAAAGUUUUAAUAGUUAAAACAGUAAACAUAAUUCUGAAAAUUUUUCAUUUUAGUCCAAAAUCCUUUCAAUUUUGGCGAUUUUUCAGAAUUUUAAAUUUUAAAAUAAUCCAUCAGUUAUUGAAUCUUAUGGGCAUAUCAUUUAUAUAUUUUAUUGAGGCAUGUAGAUAUUUUAUUUGAUUUAAUAUCUUGUUAAUUUCAUUUGACAAAAUUUAUUUAGCCUCAAUUUUGUUAAUAUACGAAAUAUAUAUAUGAUGCAAAACUACAAUUUAGAGUGAUUGUGUAUCUACUUAUCGUAGGACCAAUCAUGAUAAAUUAUUUGGUGGUUUGCAAUUGAUUGUCCAUUUACAAUUAUGAAUUAUGGAUUAUGUGAUGGAUUGUUAUUGUUUUGACCAAGAUCCAUACGGGUGAUGAUACUGCCCUGUCGGCAAAUCACUACUUGGUACUUGGUAGGAUGCUUGGGAAGAUAAAGAGAUUUGUUGAGUAUUUUCUACUGAGUGGCUUAAUUACCCUGUCGGUAAUAGGUCAAUGUUGGUGUUAUAUUCAACUUGUCUGCUUUAUCUUUAGGUUAGUGCAUUCCUAUAUUGUUAAAGGAUGCCUAACAUAUUGUGUUGCUAUUGGAGAAACUUAGAAUGAGGAGCAAUUGAUUAUAGCAUGAUUUUAAUUUUUGCAUGCUUGAUAAUUCUUUUGUUAUUGCUUCCUCAGCUCUAGAUAUUCUCUCCUUUCUCCAAGUAGCCUCCCUCAAGAAUUUAACUGGGACAAAUUUUGAGGACUGGCGUGAGUCCAUUUUGUUUUAUUUGUCUACACUGAAUAGAGACUUGGCAUUAAGAGUUGAUGAACCAGCCAAGCCCACAGAUAAGAGCACUGCUGCUGAAAAAGCAGAGUGGGCAGCUUGGGAUGAAUCCAAUAGACACUGUCUGGAUACAAUGAAAUACACCAUUGAUAGAACCACUAGAGAUAGCAUCCCUGCAUGUGAUAAGGCCAAAGAUUACUUGGCAGCUGUGGGAAGAACCUUUAAGAAGGUAGAUAAGGCAGAAAAGGGUAACUAUCUGAGGCUGCUUGCUAAUACCCAGUAUGAUGGUGUUUCUGGGGUCAGAGAACACAUCCUUAAGAUGACUAGUUACCAUAAGAAGCUGAAGGACAUGGAUGUCACUUUGCCUGAUGACUACCUGGUCUUCCAAAUCCUUGAAUCUCUUCCACCACAAUUUGGCAAUUUGAGAAGCCAAUACAAUACUCAGAGAGACACUUGGAAUAUCACUGAGUUGACUGCUUAUGUGGUUCAGGAAGAGGAAUCAUUGAAGAAGGGGAAAUCUCACACUGUCAUGGUGGCAACUACUCAAGAGAGUGGAAGUGUGAAGAAAGGCUCUUCAAAGGGCAGCAAUAAGUUUUUUAAGAAGAAAAAGUUUGGCAAGAAAACUUCACGUGGUACUUCUUCUACCACUUCUGGUUCCACUUCUGAGAGCUUUAAGGGAAAGUGCCACUUUUGUAAGAAACCUGGGCACAAGAGAGCUGACUGCAGGGGAUUCAAAGCAUGGUUGGAAAAGAAAGGUAUUCCUGUAGCCUUUGUAGGCUUUGAAUCUAAUCUUAUUGAUGUUCCUUCUGAUACUUGGUGGUUGGAUACUGGUGCAACCAUUAAUAUAACGAAUUCCUUACAGGAAUUCAGAAGCAGGAGGGAGCCCAAUGAAGGGGAGUUGAUAGUUCACAUGGGCAAUGGAGUGACAGCCAAAGUUGAAAGCAUAGGAGUUGUCAGACUACAUCUAGCCACAGGCCAUGUUUUGGAUCUAUUAGAUACAGCUUAUAUUCCUUCUAUUAGGAGAAACUUGAUAUCUGUAUCUAUUUUGGAUAGAUGUGGCUAUACUUUUCAUUUUGGUGAUAGAAAAGUUUACUUAUUCCGCAAUUCAGAGUUAGUUGGUUCUGGCACUCUAUAUGAUGGCUUGUAUAUGAUUGAUUUAUUUUCUCGUGCUGUUGAAUCAUCAUCCAAUGCUCAUGUUAUGCAUGUUGUUAGCUCUAAUCGUGUUAGGGUUGAUGAAAAUUCCUCUAUGUUGUGGCAUAAACGGUUAGGUCACAUUUCUAAACAGAGGAUGGAGAGGCUUAUUAAAGAUAGCAUUCUACAUAAGUUGGAUUUCUCUGAUUUUGGCACUUGUGUUGAUUGUGUCAAAGGCAAACUUACUGCCAAAACCAGAAAAGAGAGAACUCAGAGGAGUCAACAGGUGCUGGAGUUGGUACAUACAGACAUUUGUGGGCCAUUUACUCCUAUUGCCAUUGGAGGUUAUAAGUACUUCAUCACGUUCAACGAUGACUUUUCUCGUUAUGGUCAUGUUGAACUUCUUGCUGAAAAGUCUAAAUCCUUAUCUGUGUUUCAAGCCUUUAAGGCUAAUGUUGAGCUCCAAAAGGGCAAGCAAAUUAAAGCAGUAAGGUCAGACAGAGGUGGUGAGUACUAUGGGCGAUAUGAUGAAACUGGGCGUAAUCCUGGACCUUUUGCUAAAUUUCUUCAGGAAUGUGGAAUAGAAGCCCAGUAUACAAUGCUCGGGACUCCUGAACAUAAUGGAAUUGCAGAAAGGAGAAAUCGUACCCUUCUUGACAUGGUGCGGUGUAUGCUGAGUAACUCCACCUUACCAGAUUUUCUGUGGGGUGAAGCCUUAAGAACUGCAGCUUACAUUUUGAAUCAGGUACCUAGUAAAUCGGUGCCCAAAAGUCCUUAUGAGUUGUGGUCAGGAAAGAGACCGAGUCUUCGUCAUUUUCAUGUAUGGGGAUGCAGAGCAGAAGUGAGGCCCUAUAAUCCACAAUCAAGGAAACUUGAUCCGAAAACAAUUAGUGGUCAUUUUAUUGGCUAUUGUAUCGGCUCAAGGGGUUCUAGAUUUUAUUGACCUUCCCACACUACUAGAAUCAUUGAGUCUGAUCGUGCCAUUUAUUUUGAGGAUGAUCACAAUGGUGGGAGUUCUGAGCCUCGCAGUCUGACAUUGAGAGAAGAACGUGUGGUUUUGCCUAUUCCAUCUUUUCCGACUUCUGCGAUGGGAUUACCACAUAUUGAUGAUUCUUCUGUUGAUCCUAAACUUCAUCAUAAUAUGGAGCCUAUGAUUGUAGAGGAUGAUGGUACUGAUGUGCCAUUGAGGAGAUCAGAGAGGAUCAGGAGACCUGCAAUUUCUGAUGAUUAUGUUGUUUACUUGCAGGAGCAUGAUUUUGAUGCUGACUCUUCAUCUGAUCCUAUUACCUUUCAAGAGGCCAUCAGUUGUUCAGAAUCAUCAUCUUGGAUACAUGCGAUGCAUGAUGAGAUGGCAUCUAUGUAUCAUAAUGAGGUUUGGGAUUUAGUUGAGUUACCAGAUGGAUGCAGACCAAUUGGUUGCAAAUGGGUUUUCAAAACCAAAAGAGAUGCCAGAGGUCAGGUAGAGAGGUAUAAGGCCAGGCUUGUGGCUAAGGGUUUCAGUCAAAGAGAAGGCAUUGAUUACACUGAAACCUACUCUCCUGUUUCUACCAAAGACUCUUUUCGUAUUAUCAUGGCAUUGGUAGCUCAUUUCAAUUUAGAAUUGCAUCAGAUGGAUGUGAAGACAGCUUUUCUUAAUGGGAGCUUGUCUGAAGAUGUAUACAUGGUGCAACCUGAUGGUUUUGUUGAGUCUGGUAUAGAAAACAUGGUGUGUAAGCUUAAAAGGUCCAUUUAUGGACUUAAGCAAGCAUCCAGACAGUGGUAUUUGAAAUUUCACGAUAUUGUCACCUCUUAUGGGUUCCAGGAGAAUGCCGUUGAUCAGUGUAUAUACUUGAGAGUCAGUGGGAGCAAGUAUAUCAUUUUGGUGCUUUAUGUGGAUGAUAUCUUGCUCGCUGCUAAUGACAGUAAUUUGUUACUUGAGACAAAGCAAAUGUUGUCAUGCAGCUUUGAUAUGAAGGAUCUUGGUGAAGCCCAUUAUGUAUUAGGGAUAGAGAUUCUUCAUGAUAGAUCUAGAGGAAUUCUAGGUUUGUCUCAAAAGACUUACAUUGAUCGCAUUUUGAAAAGGUUCAAUUUGCAGUCUUGUGCUCCUGGGAAAGCUCCAAUUUCGAAAGGUGACAAAAUUUCCAAGUCUCAAUGUCCCGAUAAUGAUGUAGACAAAGCUAGAAUACAAACAGUCCCGUAUGCAUCCGUUGUGGGUAGCUUGAUGUAUGCUCAAGUCUGUACUCGCCCUGAUAUUGCUUUUCCAGUGGGAGUACUUGGAAGAUACCUGAGCAAUCCUGGAUUUGAACACUGGAAGGCUGCAAAGAAAGUACUCAGAUAUUUGCGAGCCACUAAAGAUUUUGUAUUGACAUAUCAGCAAUCUGACUAUUUGAAUAUAGUUGGAUAUUCUGAUGCUGAUUUCGCAGGGUGCUUGGAAGACAAGAAAUCCACAUCUGGUUACAUCUUUAUGAUGGCAGGAGGAGCUAUAUCAUGGAAAAGUGUCAAGCAGACACUUAUAGCUUCUUCAACAAUGGAAGCAGAAUAUGUAGCAUGCUUUGAGGCUACACGUCAUGCUUUAUGGAUGCAAAAUUUUAUCACAGGGCUAGAUUGUAUAGUGGCCGUACCGAGGCCAUUAAAGAUAUACUGUGAUAAUUCUGCUGCUGUUUCUUUUUCUCACAAUACAGGGAGUUCCUCACGUUCCAAGCACAUUGAUAUUAAAUACUUGUUUGUGAGAGAGAAAAUUGCUCUAUCUUGUGUAUCAGUAGAGUAUAUCCCUACAGAACUCAUGUUAGCCGAUCCACUUAUUAAAGCUUUAGCUCCAAAAGUAUUUAGGGAGCAUGUAACGCAUAUGGGAUUAUUUGAAUCCACUUAUAUAUGCUGAGUCAGUGGGAGUUCUGGUUUGUAUUAUGAGUUGCAACUUAAAUGAGCUUAUGUAUUACUCAUUUUGUUAUCAUGCAUGCAUGUUGUUAUGUGAUAUUGAUAUGCCAUAUAUUGUGUACACAUUUGGCUGCGUAUGGCAUUAUGUAUAGAAUGAGGAUACGAUGGUCCGAGACAUUUUGCUCAGUCUCAAUAUGGACAUUAAAGACUGAAGCAUUAUGAUUUUCUUCAGUGUGCUUUCUUGAGACAUUUUGAUUUAGUCUCAUUAUGAUUAAAAAGGAAGCUCGCUUCUCGAGACAUUUUGCUAUAGUCUCAUUAUGGUUAUAAAGAAGCGAUGGUCUAGGAGACAUAUUGUUUUCGUCUCAUUUUGCUAGACAUCUGGACUUUAUGGAAAUGAGCAUGUUGAUCACAUUGUCAUGUUAUUUCCAUAAUUAUACUUGUAUACUACUACAUGGUCACGUGUUUAUAAGUGUCUUGUUAUAUGGAGCAUCCUGUCGGUGCACAUAUGAUUUGAUAUUUAUGGCACAUUUUGGACUUGUUUAUGUUCUGGGUGAUUGCUUGUAUUUGACCUUUUGUUAUAGUCACAUAUUGAUUAAUUCGGUUGUUUUCAAAAUAUUAUUUUAUUUUAAAUUUAUCAUUGGAGUGAUUUCUGUCGUCCAAGUGGGAGAUUGUUAGAUUUAUUUCUCAUAUUAUGUGGACUGACAUAAAUCAUUCUAAUUGUUUUCUAUAUUUUACCGAAUUAAUACGUGACUAUUGUCAAAUAUUAUGGAGCAAUUUUGACAUACCUUGUACAGUAGUAUAUUAUGGACAAGUAUAUCCUUAAUUGUGUUAUUUUCGCCCAUAAUGGGAUGGGCAAUUUUGUACUAACACAUGAGGGGUCCCUGCGCUCAACCACUGUAUUUAAGUAACUUCAGCCCAUUGGAAGUUAACUGUUCAAGAAAUCUGUGGCAUGAGUGCAGUGCAUCUCUCUCUCCCGUUUGUCUCCCGUGUGUGUGCACAGUAAAUUUUGAAGCAAGCCGAUCCUUGAGCUAAGGAAAAGAAAGCGGAAUUCAGAAGCUAAACCGAAGCAGCAGCAACUCUGUUGAAGCUCCAUAACAAGCUGCAAGCUUGGAUUCAUGGGAGAUCGUGGUAAAUUUCGAAAUUUACUACAAUAUGUGUUUAAUUUGGAAAUGCACGAUUAAAGGGCAUAAAGUGUGUUUUUGUUUCAUCAGGGAACUCUCAAAACAAAAUACUCAAAUUAAAUUAAAUUAGACCAAAAGACGCUCAAUGACGCAAAAUCUGCCCAUAAAAGCCUGAACGAAUCAUGAAAAGUGCAUUCCAUAUUGACAGUAAACCAAGUGACCCAUUCUAAACAAUUGAGAUGAAAUUGUGAAACAACCCACGAGAUCAAAUAAAUAAAAUAAGAAUUAAUUACCAGCUGGGACUUUCUUCUUCAAAUUCGUAACUCCAAGUCAUAAGAAGCCAAUGAAAUUAGUCGUAAUCCACAGAGUAUGACGACGACCCCGCCAACAGCUGAAAAUAAAAUUCUUAUUCAUCAAUUUAAACUAACUUUAUAACAAAUAUCUUAUCGAUAUUUUAUUUAAAAAGAAAAAGCAAAUUUUGUAAAAUUUUUCCAUGGGAGAUAGAGAGUAACACGUAUAUCCGUACCUUCUCAGCAUGUAAUUGUUGUAUGGUCGUGUUAAGAUCAUUACUAGCCCAACGCCGUUGAUUCGAUGUCUCUCCAUACCAGACGUUUACUCUUGGAGGCGUGCUUGAUUCUCCUCUAGUGAAAAUCUUCAAUUUGGGACAACCAAUCACAGAUAGAUCUUGCAAAGAUGGGAAUUUGAAGGUGUAAUUGGCAGAGCAGAAACUUGUGAGGCUGUCUAAAUCACGCAGUUCCAACCUCUUCAAUUUGCGGAAAACAAUCUCUUCUUUUUCAACCCCGUCUUUGUCAUUUAUUACCACCUCUGUCAUUGCUCUGCAUCCGUAUACACAAAGUGAUACGAGUCGCACUAGAGUUUUUGCUGUGGAGGAUGUUACUAAGUGUAUCAAUUUCUUGCAAUCGAAAGCUACAAGUUUUGUUAGGUUCCCAAAAGAUACCGAUGAUGUUGGCAAUAGAAUUAACAGACUUUGACAAUGAUAUACUCUUAGAAUUUCAAGAUACUGAAAAAUGGGGCCAAAUUUGGAGUCUUGUUUGCACAGCUGCUUCAGAUGAUAGUGCCGGUACAGCUCUAAUUCUUUUAUCAUUGCCAACUUCCCCACAUGUUUCUCUAAGCAUCCUUCCAUCGAAAAUACCUCUUCGUGGAAUGAAAAAUAACACAGUACGAGCAUUUCGAGAUUGUGAAAUCUCUCCAGUACAUUCCAGAUUGGAAAACAAGCUGAGUCAUCAGCAGCAAUCCCUAGAUCUCUAAGACUGCCAAAAAGGUGUUGUGGGAAAUCGGCCUGCAAAAUCAUCUUCACGUCUUUUCCGCAUAGUGAUAGUUCCGUCAAGUUGGGUAAGAUCUGAUCAUCAUCAAUCAUAAUAACUAAUAAGGUCAAUUGAUGUUUUCUCAAAUGAUUUUGAGUAAUCCAAUCAUAAGCAGUGAGUUUAUAGUAUUUGUUUUAUAUUAUAUUUUAAAAAAAAUUGUAUUAUUGAUAAAAUUUAUUAAAUGAUUUUUUAUAUGUUAAUUUUAGAGGUAAAAAAGAAAUUAGGGAAAAAAGGUUGAUUUAUACUGACUCGAAAUUAUUUUAUUGCACAAUAAUAAAUUACUAAUUUAUUUUGUAAGUUCUUCUAUAUGGAAAGACUCAAGAUUCUUUUACAAAUGCUAUACCUAAAAAAGUUUAUAUAAUCAUUAAUCUACCACAUUGAUCCCUUAGUCUAGACUAGCAAAGAUUAUUGUAUAAUAAAAGUUUUCAAAUUUAUUGAGCAUUAAUUUAUCAAAGUUAAAAAUAAGCUAUAGAUAAAAAAUCUAGAAAAUGGCUUCAUACCUUUUCCAACGGCAAUAGGGGCUGUUGUGCAGGAAUACCAAGUUGAUCAUUCCCAUUAUUCUGCGAUAAAUCUGCCGCGAAUAUCUUUAAUCUGUCACAACGAUACACUAAAAGAAUUUCUAGGGCGGGCCAUUCCGAAGUAUGCAUUCCAGGGUACAAACAUCUAAGUUUUGGUAGAUCAUGGAGUAUCAAAGUGGUGAGCUGUGGAAAGACAAAAUAAGGGAUCACUUGAUCUGCUCUGUUUUCAGAAAUGAUCUCCUGUAAAUCCUCACAGGAGCGUAUUUCUAGGCGUUGGAGCUGCUUAAGGCUUCCGAUCAUAGACGCUGAAAAUAUGUAUUUUAAUUUGUGACAACCCCACACAAUCAAUCGUGUUAAACUUUGAAAGUGAGGAAACACUGCAGCUGGAAUUUGAUUGUAGUGCCAAAUCUUGUCGACAUUAAUUUCAGAUAUCUCCAAAGCCUCCAAGUUAGGCAACGCAACCUAAAAAGAUAAGAAUUUCUUGUUGAAAAUUUCUCUUUGAUUACAAAUUAAUGCAAGUCAGAAUCAAUUUCCAACUGACAGCUGAGUAUGCAUUCUAAUUCAUACUACUUGUUAAGAGCUCAAUUAGUGAGUGCGUGAGAUUAUUUUUUUCCCCAUUGUUUUCAUUUUCUUUCAAUUCUCUAAAUGAUUUAAUUAUUUUCCACGUUUGACAUAAGAGAACGCAUGAUAGAAUAAACUCUGUUAUAUAUAUAUAUGAAUAAAAUGUUAGCCUACGCACCUUCUCAUUGAAAAGCAAAGUUGAAAUAUCCAAAGUGAUUUCGCUGGAGCAAUACAUAGUCGUCGAUUCCUCUUGCGACACUUGUCUGUUCGGUGAUGCUGAAGGAGUCUCCACCUCACGGCAAAAACUUGUAACCUCUGGAAGAUUCCCCAGACUCAAAGAUCUUAAUUGAGCAAACUCUAUCUUCUCAAUUGCAUUAUCAACUUCUUUCCCAAUUGCAAAAAUCUCUUUCAUCUUGCUGCAAUUAAUAACUGCAAUUCUCUCAAGUCUUGGAAGGCAUUUUGUAGUAGAGAGCCAAAAGAUAUUACUCAACUUAUCACAAUUAUAUACUUCUAUGUUUUUUGAGUUCGUUGAAAGACUCUACUUUGAGCCGAUCAAUACAUAUCCUCUCCAUGUUGAUCAAAUUGUGAAGGGCAAGUGACUCCAAAAGAGGAAAGGCAUCACAAGCGACCAUCUCCCUUGAAUCGACGAUACAAAAGAAGUCAGGAUUAUUUUGAACCCAGAGGACCUUCAAUUGUGAAAAGCCCUCCGUGUCCAAAUUGAAAAGAACAUUCUCGAUGCCUUGCAGCUUGUCCAACCGUAAGUAUUGAACGUUAUUGAUGCCUUGCAAUUUCAUGGAGCAAAUGUCCAUAAAAUCAAGCUUGAGCUUCAAUGCUCUUGAAAUCUUGCGAUUACUGUCGAUCAAAAAGUGCAGCUGACUUUUAAACCAAUGUUGUCCAAAAAGCAUGGGAUGCAUGAAUAACCCAUUUCCAAUAUGUAUUUUGAACCUUUCGAGCUUUCUGGCCAAAAGCCUUCUGGUAACAUACUCUCAUUUUUAACAUCAAUUUCUAGAGUAGUUAGCCGAGGUAAAUGCAUCAAUUCGUCAAGGCUAGCAUUACUUCUUUUGCUGUUGGCUCUUUCAACCUCCCAUUCAAUGAAGCAAUUACCAUAUACAAUUCUUCUAAUCGGAUUAAGCUUGAUAUGACAUUUGGGGCAAUAACUUUCAGACGGAAACAGUGUUAAAUCUAACAGCCUUAGCUUAGUCAGUUGACCCAGUGCUUUAGGCAACUCUACAAUAUCAGAUUGCAAAAAGCUAAGGAUUUCUAGAUUUUCCAACUUUCCAAUAAUGGCUAUGUCUAUGCCUCCGAAAAUGCUUUGAUUAAGACAAAGUGUCUGAAGAUUUACUAGAAGACCAAUUGAAGAUGGCAAUGACAAUAACCGCAUUCUAGUCAAAUCCAAAACCCGAAGCUUUUUCGUCCUUUUGAAGAAGUUCUCGGGAAUAUUAGGCACAGCAAAAGAGUUCUUGGGAGACCAUGAAUAGAAGUUCAAGUUGUAGAGAUUCCGACCCUUCAGGAAUGUCAUUAACAAUACUAUCUUUUAAAAGAAAUUGCAAAAUAUUUUUUAAUUCAUCUGCAUUUUGGCCAUUUCAAUCAUCCUCAUUUUCACCACAAAUGCAUUCAUGUCACGAAAUGCAAUUGAAAUGGCAACAUCGCGAACAACAUCGUGCAUAGAAAUGUAUUUACUGCCACCAUCCUCAAGCAACAAACAAGAGUCUCUUAGUUGAUGGACCCAUGCAUGUAAUUUGUUAUGUGCAUCUUCUAGCUUAUGGACACUUUUAAAUACACCCAAGCCCAUGCUGUAUUUGAACAAAUCCAUAAUUGGUGCUGGCGUAAUAAGACUACACAGUAAAAAAGUUUUCUUGAGUUGCUCACCUCUUAAGUACUUGUAACUCAGCUCAAUUGUUGAGUAUGCCUCUGCUGGUACUCCUUCGUCGAAGCUUGCCUCUGAAGGCGUUUUGGAGUUCUUGCAAGGCAUUCUUCCACACAGGCAGCUCUUUUUUUCUCAGUGCCUUUGCUACUGUGGUUAGGGCAAUAGGCAAACCUCCGCAUGCCUUGGCUACACUUGUUGCUGUAGAUUUUAACUCACGAUUUUCAACAUAAUCACCAGCCAUUAUCUUGAACAAUCUCCAGGCUUCUUGUUCAUUUAAAAUGCCAAUCGAGAAGUUUUUUUCAGAUCCCAUCCUUAACAGCACAUCAAGAUCUCUUGUUGUGAAUAAUAAUUUACAUCCUCUGUGCUCAACUCCAAAAGGAAUGCCAAUAGUCCCCAAAUCAAGAGGAUUCCAGAUGUUAUCGAGAAUCACAAGGAUCUUCUUCUCAUUCUUCAAUCUUUUCAUAUAGUCUACUAGCUCUUCUAGACUCAGCUUCCUCGGACAACUCUAGGCCUAACGUUUCCGCAAUUUCCUCUUGGAUCUUUCUUAUGUCUGGACAUUGGGUAACCUCCGAAAAAACCACCAUAUCGUAAAGCUUGUCUUCAAUGGCUCGCCUUGCAAACUCCUUCACCAGUGUCGUCUUUCCAAUGCCGCCCAUGCCGUACACCCCAAUGAUGCUGACAUCAACAUCGAUCAAAUGCAUUUUGUAUGGCCUUCAAAGUAGAAAGUCUUGAUUCGAAGGCUUCGUAGCCUUUGUGAGACUUGAGCCAUAUAUCCUCCGGGAAUGGUACGGUAGAAAUUCCAUCAACAAAUCUCCCAGCUUCUUCUCGGAGUUUAACAAUGGCCUUCACCUUUGUUUCUGCUUUCUUGCUAAGCUGAUAGCGGGUCUUCAAAUUAGGACACAAGCCCAUGAGACAUCGUUUAUUUGUUGUCUUCUCAUCAUCAAUGAAUUUGGCUGCCUGCUCAAUGAUGAUGUUCGCACUAACCAGCCACUUCUCAACCUUCUCUUCAAUAUUUUCCCCUUUUCUUUCAGCCUCAGAAACCCUGUGCUGAAUGCUUCUCCUUUCAUCCUUGAGCUUGUCUAUUUCUGCCUUGAGUUUCUCAACGUUGGCUUUAUAGUUACGCAAAUAACCAAGUCGGCGUUCUGUUGAGGAGCCAAGCAUUUCACAAAUUCUAAAACAAUAGUAACAAUGCUUUCCACCAUCCUGGAUCCCUUUUCUUUUUUUUCGAAGUUUCUGACAAGAAAAUAAACAAUGAGCGAAACACAGAGAGAGUGAGGAGAAAAAGAAAAAGAAACGCAAAGAUGGACAGUUUAUCUGGUUGUGGAAGCGGAGAAAUGAAGAAAUCGUAAUAGCUGUUAUGGAUCUGCUGAGAAGAUGGAAACAAGGAAAAGGUUUCUAGUUCAACAACUGGAUUGCGAGCGGAGAGACUAAUUAACAAAGACUGGAGAUUACAACAAAGCAGAUGCCAAGAGAAAAGUUGAUCCAGUGAAAUUCAAGAAGUUGACAGCAAAAGGGAGCAAAGAUUAAUAACAAAACAGCAGUGACUACAAUGAACAAAAGCAUAUGCGUUUCUUGAUUGAGAAUGAGUGCAAAGAAUGAUCCUUAAUCAAUAAAAUAUCUAACAAUAUCUUCACCGAAAGUUUGAGACAUGUGAUCCUUAUUCCACUUCGUCAAUUACACUCCAGACCAAUGCUGCCGUCAUUAUCGAACGGUCGAUAUCCAACACUUGCACGAAGAUUCCAAGAAGUUGCGUGGCUGCCGACUUUUAGAUGCAAAGCCUCAUUGUGUCGAUGUUACACGAAAGAGAGCAGUCCGGGUAAUUGCCAAAACUUAGAACUAAACAGUAGCUUAGUCAGAAAAUCAAACGCCCAGUACCGGUAAAAUGACCGAUAAAAUAUAAAAAAAACAAAAAUUUUAAAGUUUUACUUCAUUGCUUUUUUAAUCUUAUUACUAUUUCUCCUUGCACUUCUAAAGAAACCAAAGCUUUAAAAGAAAUCAGCCAAAUCACGAAGAUUGAAAACUAAAUCUAUGGUUUUAGAUUUUUAUUUUAUUUUUUUAGAUAAUAGAUAUUGUUGAGUAAUGAAAAGUACCAGCUCAGCUAUCCCCGCUUCCCUCACCUUGGGGCGAAUCCCCAGAUGAAUGGCACAAGCAGAUUCCUGGUAAUACAUCCUGUACGGGGCAUAUGCCAACUAGAAACGAGUACCGACCAGAUGUACAUACCGACCAAGUACUCAUUAUUCAAAGAAAGAGGACACGAACUCAACAAACUCACGACAAUUUUGUUAUGCCCCCAAACCGUUGGGGAGAACAUGACGCCCCACGUUUACCCACGAUUCGGUGGUUGGAGACCCAUGAAGGUUUGUCAUCACCCGAAAAUGAGGGGCAUGAAUAAGACUCAGAAAACAGGGGAUGAUUGCCUAUAAAAGGCCAAGAAAUCGAUGAAAAAUGGGAGACACAAAUUGAGAGUAAAGGGGAAACUCUGUCAAAUUAUAAUCAGAAAUUCAUAUAUCCAAAUCCUUGAUACAUUUGGUAUUGAGAAUAUUGCAACUAAUAUGUACAACACAAAUCAUUCACUUUUCUCGUAAACACCUUGUACUAACUUAAGUAUCGAAGGGUUUAUGCCCAAAAAACCAUCGGCGUCUCUGAUUUGUUUCUGUGAACGCAGGCCUGGAAGGAAGAAGACGGGUGAUUUGGGUCCCAGAAGCUCGGGAAAUUGCUGAAGCUAAUGGAUCGCAGCCUCUGUUCCUUUGCCAAUACAAGCGUUGGUGAACCAAUCUGGUCGGUCCAAAGGCGACUAGAUUUCAGCAUCAACAGAUAUUAUUUUGAUGAAUUUUUUAAUAUUAGAAUAAUGUUAGGAAUUCCAAUAAUAAAAUUCUAACUUGAGACCCAAUUGUUAUGUGUUAUUUUUUUAUUGAAUAAUGAAUUUCACAACUAAUAAAAUUUAUAUUUCCAUCAUCUAAUAAAUGACUACCAUAUCAGUUGGGACUCAAUUAUUAGGAUCCUUAACAUUGCUCUUAGUAUUAAAUUGGACAUCUUAGCUAAAUCAGAUUAAAAAUCAAAUUAGUUUUUAAGCUUUUAUUCAACAUCUCUUUUUUUUUUUUUGUCUAUUGGAAGUGAACGAAAUAAAAAUACAACAGGGUCAACGACUGGGCAAUUGGUAGUCAAGUAGAAGCAAAUCAAGGCUAAAUGGGAAAGAGAAAUGAUAUUUGUGCAAAAUAAGGAGAAAAUCAGUGUAACAGAAGAGAAUCAAAGUGCUUUUGAGAUAAAAAAUUGAAACAAGAAAAGGGUCGCUUGAUCCAAUGAAAAUGCAAAGAGCUGAUGGCAAAAGGGAACAAAGUUAAAUAAGAAAACAGCUAGCGCUAGCAGCGACCACAAUAAACAGAAAAUUUGAGAUGGAUUUACAAUAUUUCUGCCUUUCUUUAUGCUUUAAAAAAUAUUGCUCUAUCAAAAAAAAUAUUGAACAUUUUUAUUAUUGGAGUCACAAAUGACCUACACAAUAUAGCAAGUGACUAGGAAUAAAUAAGAAUAUAUAACUCUCUCUAAUUCUCACUCUGGCUUUUAAUUGUCACUCAAAACCCAGAAUUCAUCCUUAAAGUGUAGGCAAAUCAAGGAUGACACCGUUUGGUUGUCAUACGUGCCUUUUAGUUUUCGGAUGACAUGGCGUACACUUCUUCUGUAAACCCAACAAGACAUGUCGUACUCUUUUGUUUUGAGAUUCUAUUUCAAACUUUUCAUGCUAUGAAUGAAAGAUAAACUCCAAUCAUCAAAAUAUUUAGUGUUUGUUUGGUAAUGUAAUGUCAUAGUUGUGAAUUGAAAUUAUUUCUAUAAAAUAAAAGGAUUUGGGUCAUUGUUUGUUAUUUUCUGACAACAUUUAUUAAAUAUUAAAAAAUAAAUUUAUAUUUAUUAGGUAUUAAAAAUAAAUAAACAAACAAAAAUAAAAGUAAAAGUUUAUACAUUACGUAAAAUAAUGACAAUAUCAAUAUUUCGCACUCUAUAAUUGAGUGAUGUGUUGUCCAACUGGCAUACAUUGGUCCCAAACGGAGACUUAAAUAUCAAAGUCCAAAGUUAUUAUGAUGAUGACUUAUAAUCGCCAAACUUGACAUACGGGUAAUCAUGCAUUAUAAGGUGCUAAUUUCUUCCGAUCGGAACCUUAUUUUUCAUUUACAAAUAAAUAAAUGAUGUGACUUCACGGUUGGCGGGGUCCUUUGUGUCAUUUGGGCAUUUCACUAAAUGAUUGAUUGUAGCAGGAAGAUUCCUGGAAGUUGCCAUUUGCCAAUGCUACUAACAUUUUCAAACUUGGAAAACCCUUCAAUCAAUCUUUUAGUGGUAGGCUCUGGUAACUUGGUUUGAUUAUGACGUAUAAUUAUUUGAUAAUAAAGUUAGAGGAUGUAUUAAUAUAAAAUUUGUUUAUUGGUGUUGAAGUUAAUUAUCUCAUUAAUAAUAGUAUAAAAAGUUAAUUACUAAGAAACACAUAGCAAUAGUUAAUUGGUGUCAUAUUAUUGGGAUUCUGGGAUAUAAUUUUAUAUCAUAACUUUGUAAGUGUAUACUUACUCAUCAAACUAAUAAAAUUAUUUAAAAAUUUCAGUUGGAAAAAAUAAAUUAUAUUAUUUUCAUUUCAAAUAAUCUAUAAGUUAACUCAAAACAUAAUCAAGCUGAGAAUUAAAAUAAUGCUACUGUAUGAGAGGAUUUUUAUUUUUUCCCGAAGUUUCACUAGGAAAUUAUUGAUACAUAGCUUUAUUCGGAUCAUCUCAGUUCAAACGACAAAUAAUUGAAAGACUAAGCUAAAUAGACCAGCCAACAACUUUGUACAAGAGAGUUCAAAAAUUAAGGUCAUGGUAUUAAGGUGUUCUAUCUUGAAAAGUAUAGAGUAGUAAUAAAAUAAAAACUAAUAGUUUUUGGUAAGAUAUGACAUUUAAAUAAUAAUUUUCACAAAAAUACAAGGAAUAUUUAUAAAUUACUUUUAUAGUGAGGGGACCCUCACUCUGUUAAAGUGAAAAUAUCAAUAAUAUACAAAAGACAUAUAUUUUAACACAUUAAAAAUUGUAUUUUUUUAUCUAUUGGUGUAUUGAAAUAUGUGUUAUUUAGUUUGUUAGUGAUAUCAUUACUUUGUUAAAAUGAGAAUGUCGUUACUAGAGAAUCAUUAUGUAUACAUAUAUAAAGUGCUUCUGUCCAAGACCUAGACUUUAUUAAAAUUUGAGAAAGCAAAUAUAUUUUAUAUGGUAUAAUAGUGUAAUAACAUCACACUAUUAUAUCAUAUAGAGUAAUAGUUUUUCGAACUUUAAUAAAAUUCAAGAUUAUAGAAUGAAUGAUUUUUAUAUAUUAUAAAUUUUUUUAUCAUAAAUGGAGGACAAAAUUAACAUAUUUUCAAAUUAUAAUAAGCAUUUAUCAAAUAAUUUAACAUUGCAAUUUCUCCUAACUAGUAUAGUAAAUAAUACGACCUAGGAGAUACAUUCAAAGCAUUUCAUAAGUUAGUUGUUAAUAAUAAAUUAUAUAUGCAGCUCCAAUCAUCAUUGUACGGUGAGUAAUUUCCAGUUAUAAAUAGAUAUUACUCCCUUCCCAGCAAUUUUUGAUGACUUAAUUUAGUGGGAUCAAAAUCAACAUUGAAUUUUUGACCAGCUGCCAACAACUUGUGAGCAGUUCACAGUGGGUACUGCACAUGAUGCCUGUUUCUCCUUUUGCAUCUAUUUUUGUUGUUAACAUUAAUUUCAAUAGCAGCUCGUUAAUCCCAUUUGUUGAUUUGGGACUAGAUAAGAAUUUAUCUUGGAACUCCAAUUCUCCAAUUAUUUUAGUUGACAAUAUAUUUAACAUUAUUAAUUGCAUAUUAUUUAAUUAUCAGUAUAUAAUAUUCUUUAAUUUUCUAAUUUUAUAGGAUUAGACACAAAAUUGAUUAUGCCUUUUGAAAUUUAAGGGUUAUGUCAAUUGAAUAGAAAACUUGGAGGUAAACUUGUGGAUGUUUUUGUUGAUUAUCAAUUUAUGCAUGAAUUUUUGUACGUUUACUUUGGUUUAUAAUUAUUACUUUUAAACAUUUUUAUUGGUUUGAUUUAGGGUCAAUUUGGUAAUCCUGUAGCUUUAAAAUAAUUACAAUUAGCUAUGCUGUAGAAAUGAUCAAUCGUCAAGAGAAUCAGCUGAGCAUUUAGUAAAAUUUAUUUUUAAAAGUACUUUUAGUUUUAAAAGCGUUGUAUGAAUAAAACUGUUACACUAAAAAAUUAAAUGUAUUGCCCACUUGGGUAAAUAAAGCUAUAUAUUACAACUGUUACACUAAAAUUAAAUGUAUCUUAAACCCAAACUUCUUCUUCUUCUUUUUUGACUAACAAAAUUAAAAACAAUAGUGAACACAUUCUUUAAUAAACAAUAAGUAAUAAAUAAAAUCGUGUUAAAUUUCUUAAAAACUUUCUUUCACGGUUUGCUAAAUAUUUUUAUUAGUAUUUUAAAUAAAUAAAAAUAGUUGAUUUUAAUUUUUUUAAAUAAACUUAUUAGGUUUCAUGUAAAGAUGUUUUUGUUAUUUUAAAAAGUGUAGAAAGUACUCCUAAAAAAAAGCGUAGAAAGUAAAACUUAAUUUUUUAAAUUUAUUAGCUGAGUGCAUAAAUAAUUGAGUGUUCAUAAUGAUUUUUAAAGUAUAGAUAGUCGGACCCUAAUAUUUUUAAUAAAUGGAAAUUUUGCUAAUAUGUUAAUGAGAAUUAAAAAGAUAAUUAAGGGAGGCAAUCGAGACAUUCAGGAUAGUUAGGAUGGGACAUGAUUGUGAGCGGUUAGAUAUUGGUCCUAAUUUUGAUCACAAAUAUAUAAACAGGACGAGUUUAUCUCUACUUACAUUCCAUUUGAUAAUUAAGAUGAGAGUGGAAUUGUCAAAUCCCAAAUCAUCCCGGACCACUGCCACCAAGGGUACUCUCACUAAUAAUAUCUAAAGAAAAAUCUACAUCUAUUUCAUACUUUUUUUAAUGGAAAGAGCCCUCAUGGGGCUUGAAAUGGUAUCCUAAAUAAUAUUGAGAAUAUCAGGUCAUGAUUGGGUUUGUGACAAACAAAUACUACAUAGUUGGGAUACGUAGUUAUAAUGUCCCAAUUUAUGUAGUAUCUAUCAUUUAGCGCACAUAUAAAAUAUUAAUCAGCUUAAUUAAUUUAUAAAAUUUAAAUCUAAUUAAUAAGUGAUACAUAAAUGCCAAGUGCAAUACUGUAUAUGCAAAUCAUGUUUGUGGAUCAUUACAAAAUUGGCUCUUGAAAACAAGCAAGAAAGCUUAAUUAAGAACUUAAAACAAAAGAAUUAGAUUGAGAACAGUCAAGCCUUAUUUUUUCAAGGAUGGAGCUUAUAAAUCUUCAAGUACCAACAUACGCUUGGCCCAAUUGUUGUUAUUAAAAUUUCAAUAUACAUAUAUAAGUAUGAUAUAGCAAAAAUUUGAUGGUACAUAUGUCGGAAUAUACUAGUUCAUGGGUGCAUUUGAUUAUUGUUUCCAUAAAUUUGAACCAGGAAGGACGACACGAUAAAAAUUUGAUUUAUGGUAUGGUUGAUUUCAUAGCUCAUGCACUCAUUUCUUAAGAUAAUCAAAUUUUCUCUGACAUCUUUUUCAACUGUCGAAAUAUCAAUUAUGAUCAAUCAAAACGAUUUCAAAACCUUUCAACGAGACAUAUUUCUAAUACAAUAUUGUGAAAAUUACACUAAAAAAUAAUUUAUUAUAUAUUAUUAUCCAACGAGCACACAAAAAUGAUUUCGUACAAAUCUAAAAUACUAAGCAAUUUUCAAAUAGAAUUUACCAUGUACUACAAGAAAAUAGGGUAUAUGUGACCCCUACUGUGAAUGCAAAAGCAGCCAUUACGCAUAACCCCGAGUUGCUUUUGUUACCCUUUAUGUGACGGCCACACUGCUGUCACAUAUGUUACGACCGCGUGACGGUGAAGAGCCGUUCGGUAUACUAAUAUUUUAGAAUUUUAAAUUUAUUUCCAGUUAGAAAACUAUUCGCUGGACUCCGUGUUGCUGGCCACCAUCGUAAACAUAACUGGUUGCCAGCGAACGGCGUAAAACGCCGGCCAUCUUCUUCUUCAACGUAUUCUCCCUUCAUCUUUGAGGUAAGCUUGUGAUUAUGAGUUUCUUCUCUUACUUAGCUUGUAAUUAUAGAUUUUGAUUUUUUUUAAUUCGUAUUGUAGCCGUUAUUGUCAAUUUUUGUCCCGCCAGCAAUAUUUUUUUAUUCCUACAAGUUGAAACCCCUGUGUUCUUGUUCCAUUGGUGAGUUUGCUCACUCAAAUUAAUUUUGUUCUGCGGAAUUUACAAAGUUCAAAUGGAUUCAUUUGAAUUACUAUUGAAUUUAGCUUUAAUUCCAACAUCCAUUCUAAUGUUUUGCAAUUAGAUUUAAUUUAAUUUUAUGUUUAAAGCUUCUACAAUGAAUAGCGGAGCUUGGGUUUUAGUUUCAUUUUCUGGAUAACUUGUUUUUAGUUUAUCUUGUAUGCUCACCAAAUGCUUGUUAUAUUGUCUGAUAAGUUAUAUACAUUGCUGAUUCUACAUUAAUAAUGUUACGUUGUAUUUUCAGAAAUUAUAAUACAAAAGUUUUUUGCAAUGGCGUGCAUCUACAAACUGAAUUGACUUGUAGAAUAAGAGCUCGGAGUAGUGUUAUGUUCUUGAAUAAUUGAAAGUUCAUAUUGUGUAAGAGCAUUGUAGAUGUAAAGCAUCAUUACCAUUUCUACAAAGUGCUUUCAUUCUGUUCAUAUGCUCUUCUUGAACUUUGAAAGGUGCCUCGUUCAAGUCCUAGCUAUAACUACUAGCUUUGAUUAAUUAAGUUCCUAUACUAGCUGAAACAGAUUUAUUUAAUUAAUUAAUUGUGUAUGUACUAAUUAUAUUGAAAGUAUAUGAAUUUUUUUUUUAACAUGAAUGACUUCUAAAUGACUUAAAAACCUAAAGGGAUGUGUGAAACAAUGCUCAUUUCAUUUGAAUGAGCCCAUUAAUACUUUUAUGUCUAUGAUUUUCAAUAUUGGCUAAAGCAUUUCAGUUAAGUGGUUUACCUAACAGAGAAAAAAAUUUAAUAGAAAACUUCAGAGUUUCUAACAGAAAUAUAGUUCACUAUGCAGAUAUAGUUAUUUUACGGUAUACAAAUCAAGUUGUCCUAAUCUCAAUGUCCUAUGACCGAUUUUAUUUUAUAUAGUCAUUAAUUUUUUUCCUUGGUUUUUUGUGUUUAUGAGUAUGAAAUAGUGGGAUUUGGUGUACCUUAGCAUCUUUUGAAAAUUCUCUUUCAGUGUGGCCAACAGAAAUAUACAUAUAAUCAAGUUCUUAAUCGUGUAUAUUAGUUUUGGGUAUGAAUGUUCUAUUCUAGUUCGAGGCAAAGCUUCUUCGUUUUUGGUCUUCAGAUUUCCAGUAGGUUAAGUUAAUCAACUAUCAUAACUGGCUAGCUAGUUAUUGUCUGCCUUGGCGCCAUUACCAGGCCAUUAUAUUGCAUAGCAUAAGGAAUAGUGAUUAGGGGAUUAUUAGUGAUUUGUUGAGCUUAUUAUCGACCAAACAAACAUAUUCGCCUUUGCCCACAACUUAGUUUGAUUAGUUAUUAGACCAUAAAGAGCCUUGAUCUAUUCAUUGGCUUUAUUAUUUUUAUUUGGUUUUUCUUUCAACAAUAUUGUUGAUUUCUUAUAAAAAUAUUCAUUGGUUUUUAAACACCUAAUCAUUGGCUAUAUGAAGCUAAUUAAAACUGAGGCUUUGGAUCAAUUUCUUCUAACAAGAUACAAAUGAGCAUUAACCUAUCUCCUAUGAGUAAAUUUUUUUAAUAUCCUUGAUUUGUAAGGAUCUGGAGGCCUGAAAUCCUCUAGAUUUUUUUUAACACUGUCAAUGUUCUUUUAUUUCUGAGAAGGAAAUAAAAGGUUUUAUCUUUCAUACCCAAAUAGUAAGCUGGCCUUGUCUUAACAUGGCCUCCGAGGACUUGCAAGAUUCAUAGUGCCCCCACCCCAAAAAAAUAAAAAUAAAAAAACACAAAUAGGAAGAUUUUGCAAGAUUCACCACCAGGUUUUUUUUAAUUUGUUAAUUGUGUGUACGUGCUAGUUAUAUGUUGAAAGAAUAGGAAAGAAGUAUUUCAACAUGAAUGACUUAAAACUUAUUGCUCAGUAAACAUAAUCUGCAUGUAUUUAUCGUUUGUAUUUUUUAUGGUUUUGCUAAAGAAAUGAUAUGUGAAAUAAUGCUACAUUUGCAUCAGGAAUAAAUUGAAGAGAUUUAUGAUAUUUAUGUGUUAUUCAAAUUUCAGAUUCAAUUUUAAACUUUUGAUACGUGCAUUGAAAGCUUAGACUUGUUUAAGAAAUUAUUAAUAGACACAUGUUUUUAUUAGUGUCAUCUUUGGAUGAUAGUGAGGAUCAUAUGUCUAUUAAUAAUUCUUGAAUUGUCCAGGCUUGGACAGUUUGGGAAUGCAUAGUUCACUCUGGUAGCUAGUAGCUGAAGUUUUUUCCCACGUAAAAAUGGGUUUUUCAGUAGCUGCUCCUCGUGUUCUCUGGGUACGUACUAGGUGAAUGGGUGUCAUGUGUUGUUUUGGCAUAACGCAUAAACACUUAUAUAGCUAUGUCGUGUGCUUGGAGAAUUAUAGGGAGAUGGUGCCGAAAUUUUUAUAAACGUGGAAGAAAACUUUAGGUACUUGAGAUUGAAGAAACUUAUGCAUUCUUGAGUGGGAUAUGUAGGAUUACUUACCUUUUGUAAAUAUGAAGGGAAUGUUGGAUAUAUUGGGGAUAGUGUAGGAGCUGAGUUGGAUGAAUGUAAUUGGUGAUGAUUUUUGCUGAGCUGACCUUGGUUUUGAGCUUGUAAUUUUGUUUGUAAAUGGAGUGCUAUCUCCAAUGUUGGUUUAUAAAUAUGUUUCAGGACUUGCUGACCUAAUUUUUUGUUUCUAGGUUACAGGCUUUAUAUAUCUGUAAUUGAUGGCGAAGUGAAGUUCCCAGAACUUGGCGAGGAUGUUUCUUUACAGAAGGUAUUGGAAACUGUUUUUUACAUUAAUUAUUGUUGUAUAUAUACUUUGAUUUUCACAUCUUUUUCUCUGAUUCUUGUGGCUUUGCUUGCUUUCAUAUAUGUAAAUUCUAAUGAAAAUUAACCAUAAAAUUGUUUAAAAUGAUCUUUUUAUUAUAUUGCAAAACUGUGCACACACGAAAAUAUAUUGUUUAGUAGUAGAAAUGAAGAACUAAAAUGAUUUACUUAACUAAUUUUUGUAGCGCAUUAAAAGGAGAUAGUCAUGGACAUGUGUUGGGUUGGUUUGCCAAAUAGAUAUCCAAGUCAUAUACUGAUGGGGAUGAAAAAUUUAUAGAUUUUGCAUUUGAGAAUGUUGUUGGUGGUACAAGAAUUUAAUGUCCUUUUAAGAAGUGUUGUAAUCUAUAUUUCGUUAUAAAGGAAAGUGGCUGAUGAUGAUAUGGUUGGAAUGAUACAAUGCAUCACGUAAUCAAAUGUUCAAGUUACACGGAGCAUUGUUAUGGACUAUCAGUGACUUUCUAGCAUUGCCAACUUGUCUGGGUGGAGUAUUAAAGGUAAAUAAGCAUGUCUUGUUUGCCAACAAAACACUAGAUCUAAUUGGUUGAUACAUAGUAGAAAAUUUUGUCACGUGGGUCACCGUCGAUUUUUACCAACAAAUCAUAGGUUUCGAAAAUAUAGUGUCUUUUGAUAAAACUAGAGAGUAGGGACCAGCACAUUCUCGGUUGUCUGGAUCUGAAGUGAAAAAGCAGUUUAAUAUACUUACUGAGUAUAAGAUUGAAGACUUGAAAAUAGGAGAAUGAAUAAAAUGAGAGAAAUGAUAAGAUUACUUGGAAGAAGAAAAGCAUAUUUUAUGAACUACCGUGUUGGGAGUUCAAUUUGAUUCAUCAUAUCUUGAUCUCAUGGGCUGUUUUGAUUUUUGUUAUGAACUCAGAUCAAAAGUUUAAUGUGAUCAAAAUUUCUUAAAAAUAGUGAAAACGACUCCUAAUAAUAUGGAAGAUGGCUAUAAAAAGAUAAAAGGAAAGGCUUAAAAAGAAAAGCCAUGCCUGUCCAAAAAAAAAAAAAUCAACAAAAAUCAAAACGGUGCGUUUGAGAGUGUAUAAAAUACAUUUAGAGUGGGAGUUGUGUUGUUGCUUGAAGGCAGAAAGAUAUUUGUCGACGAAGCCAAAACCAAAGAUGAAGCCCAUAAAGCUCAAACUCCACCGGAGCAAAUUCAGGACAAUUACGAGGGUUAUGUUUGACAUAGUCAAGGAAGACGGUCCUCUCACCGUUGCCGAAACUUGGGAACGCGUCAAGGUGUGUGUAUCUGUUAAAUUGAAUUUCAACCGUUUGAUCUGUAAUUAUAAUUAAUCCAAUCGAUCUGACAGUGAUCACUGACCAUAAUACUAGUAGUUGUUUUACAUUUUCAGCAGGCUAGAGCGGGUGGAUUGACGGGCAAAAGCUCAGGCUCGUCUGCAAUCACAUGGGCCCUCAUAAGCAAAUCCUGUACACAACUUGGUUCACUAAACCCAACAACUUGAAGCAGCCAAAAUCAGGGAAUGAUCCUUCUCCGUCACAACCCUAGCUGCCUUAACCUUGUAGUGACACGGUGAAGAUGGAAGCCCCUCAGCAUGUAAACUUUUCAACAGCGACAGAGCUCUUAUUCCAGAGGCUGCACAGAAGAGCGACCUGGAAUCCUCUUCAAAACUUUCAAAUUUUUAUCAAGUAAAGCUUUCAAAAUUUCUCAACAAACUGAUUAUUUGGUGUGGUUGCCACAUUUUGUGCAACUGCUAUUCGUCUUCAAGUACAAAUUCCUUGCCUUCUAAGUUAGGGAACAUAGAUGUGGAGCAAACAGGGAAAUAGAUGUGGAGCAAACAGGGAAACAGCAAUGAUGGCAAUUAACAAACUAAUAGCAGUAUUACAUUUGAUUCUUUAGCCCAAUUUUGUUCCUUCUGUCAGCCAUUCUUCAAAAGUUUUUGAAAAUUAGAUGUGAAGCAAAAAAAAAACAAAUUUAGACAACAGAAGCCCUGUGCUCAACAUCAUAUAUAUACCUUGAAUACCUAAUAUACUAAAUUUCACAUAUAAAAUACUAGAGAUUUCAAACAGUACCAGCAAUAGAAUAAUGACAACGACAACAAUAACAGAAAAUUACAAGAUUGCUGACAAAAUUUAUGUGAUUUACUGUGCCUUUAUGCAUGCAAAAUGAAACUGAAGAUAAAAAAUUUAGGGAAAAGGACACAGAGACCCCCAACGUUUGAAUAAGGGACACAAAAUCCCUUAAUGUUUCAAAAAAGACACUCAGACCCCCAUUUGUUAACAUUAAAUUAUAAUUUUACCAUUGUACCCUUAUAGCAUAUUAAAAAAUAAUUAUUCAUUAUCCAAUUUAUUUCUAUAUUAUUAAUAAAAUUACGAAUAUAACUUCAUUACUCAAUUUUUCCAUUUAAUUUUUAUCAAAUUUUAUCUUCAAACUAAAUAAAUUUAAUCCAUUGCUCAAAAAUAAAAAUAAAUUAAAUUGAUUAUUAAUAUAAUAAAAAUAACAAUUCUCCAUAUGUUAUUUCUUAUAAUUUCUUAUAUAUAAAUUAAAUUGAUAAUUUCUUAAAAAUAACAAUUCUCCAUAUAUAAAUUAAAUUUAUUUUAAUUUAAUAUAUGUUAUUUUUAUAUUAAAUAUAUGUUAUUUUUAUUAUAUUAGUAAUCAAUUUAAUUUAUUUUUAUUCUUGAGUAAUGGAUUAAAUUUAUUUAGUUUGAAGAGAAAAUUUGACAAAAAUUAAAUGGAAAAAUUGGAUAAUGAAGUUAUAUUCGUAAUUUUAUUAAUAAUAUAGGAAUAAAUUGAACAAUGAACAAUUAUUUUUUAAUAUGCUAUGAGGGUAUAAUGGUAAAAAUUAUAAUUUACUGUUAACAAAUGGGGGUCUCAGUGUUUUUUUUGAAACAUUAGGGGGUUUUGUGUCCCUUAUUCAAACGUUGGGGGUCUCUGUGUCCUUUUCCCAAAAAUUUAUAAACUAGAAAUUUAUAAUAAUCUAACUUAUUCUCGUUACUAUUAAAAAAUAAGUAAACAUAUCAAUAACAAUAUAGUUUAUUAUGAUUAUAAUUCAUUCAAUUAAAAUAAAUAAUUUAUUCUUAUUUCUAUUCUCUAUUCUAAUUUCAGUAAAUUUUGAUUUUAGUUUAUUUUAAUUAUUGAUUAGUUGUAAACUUAACUGGAAAUUUAUUGCAUAUAUUACGAGAAGCAGUACACACCAAUGGUAAAUUGAUACAUCGUUUUUGAGCUUAAGAUAGUCAAAUGAAAGAAACACAACGUAGGGUUCAUGAAACACUUUCAAAGCUGCUGAUGACUUAAAGUGAAUAACCUCAGCAUGUAAACUUAACUUCAAAGGACGGAGCACAAGUUUCACAGAAAAACAGCUCUUAUUUCUGAUGCUGCGAACACAGAGGAGUGACCUCAAUCUUCUUCAUCACUUGGGAAUUCUGCAAUUAUAGAGCACGACAUUGAGCAUGAACUAGAAAAAAUAUUUAUUUUCUACAAUUUUCAUAUAACCUCACUAACCAAGAUUAAUUUUGUGGUAAUGUAUUGGGUCAUUAAUUCAUAUGUUUUUACUGUCAUCACUUUAGAAAAAACUAAUUUCUCAAUGUGAAAUGGCCCAUAAAAGGUAUUCUCAUUUAAAAACUAAAUUUGACAAACCCUCGAUUAAAGCAGGGGAGAGAAAAGAAAAAAAAAAGAUCUGAAGGCUUUCCACAUGAAAAUGUUGUCACUUUGGAUGAUAUUUUCAAGGGAUUUCAUUCUAAAAAUAAAAUACCUGGGACCUUAUUCUUCAAAUUGACAGCUCGCCCAGUACUAAACGCGUAUGAGAUCAGUACUGGGACAAGUAACGAGACGACCCCUCCAACAGCUGAAAAUAAAAUUCGCAUUCAUCAAUUUAAAUUGAAAUUCAUAUUAUGAAAUUAAAACUAAUGAUUAAUGAAUUUUCAAGGAAUUUAAUAAGAUUCUCAUAUAUAAACGUGAUAAAAAAUUCACUCAUCAAUAACAAAUAUUCUAACAUUUUGUUGAUGUAAUUGUUGUAUGGUUGUGUUAAGGUCAUUAUUAGACCAACGCAGUUUGUCAUCACUCAUUCCGUACCAGACGUUUACUCUCGGAGGCGUGAUUGAUUCUCCUUUGGUGAAAUCUUCAUCUUCGGACAACCAAUCACAGUAAGAUAUUCCAAAGAUGGGAAUUUGAAGGCGUAAUUGCCAGAGGAGAAGCUUGUGAGACUAUCUAAAUCAAACAGGGACAACGUAGUCAGUUUGCUGAAAACAAUCUCUUCUUUUAAAUAUGCUGUUUCAUUUCAAGACUGGCAAAAUUCAUUGUGUAAUCAAAGUUUUCAAUGAUCCAACUAAUAUAUAUAUAUAUGUAUGUAUAUUCCUUCUCUAGUGCAGACAUUCUCAUUUUUUUUUUUCAUGUGGACCAGUUUUUAGAUCCCCUGGUUUAAAAGAGUUAGUUUUUAACUCUUUAAAACCGCAUGGCUUCAUAAUUUAUUUAAAAACUAACUCUCUUAAACCGCACGGUUUAAAAGCGUGUCCACAUUAAAAAAAAAUACGGACCCCCACACCUGAGAAUGAUUAUAUAUAUAUAUAUAUAUAUAUAUAGACACACGCUCUUAAACCGUGGGAUUUGAAAGCUUCUCCGCAUGAAGAAAGUAAAAAAUAAGGGCAUUCCCACUAGAAACAAACUCCAUAUAGGUAUUUAUUAAACCUCCUGAUCUGUGAGUGAGGAACAACAAAUAUAAUUGAUAAAAAAAAUCUAAAAUUUGGUUUCAUACCUUCUUGAACGAGAACAGGGGUUGUUGUGCCGGAAUACCAAAUUGAUCAUUCUCGUUAUUCUGGGACAACGUUAUUUUAUCACAAUUACAGGCCUCCAAUGUUUUUUAGUGCUGGCCAUUCUGAAGUAUGCAUUCCAGGGUAUAAACAUCCGAGUUCUGGUAGACCUUCGAGAUUCAGAGUGGUCACUUGUGGAAAGACAAAAUAUGGGGUCACUUGAUCUGCUCUGUCUUUGGAGAUGAUCUCUUGUAAACCCAUACAUAUCCGUAUCUCCAGGUGUUGGAGGUGCUCAAGGCUUUGGAUCAUAGAAGCUGAAAAUAUGUAUUUUAAUUUGUCACAGCCCCACACUAUCAAUCGUGUCAAACUUUGAAAGCCGCAAGUUGAUUGUCAUGCAAAAUCUCGUCGACAUUAAUAGCAUUCAGCUCCAAAGCCUCCAAAUUUGGCAACACUACCUGAAGAUAAUUUUCUCUUUAGAUCCAAUAUCCGUAUGGAAAGCACUUGUUUUGACACAAUAUCCAUAUAAGAAGCACUUAAUUAAGAGCUUAAUUAGCGAGUGUAUGAGACUUUUUUUUUUUCAAAUGCCAGUGCAUGAUAGAACUAAAAAAAAAAAAGAAGCAUUAGCCUACGUACCUUCUCGUUGAAAGCAGAGUUGACGUUUCCGAACUGAUCUCGUUGGAACUGGCUGUCAAUUCCUCUUGCGACUCUUGUCUGUUUGGUGAUGUGGAAGAAGUCUUCACUUCACCGCAAAACCUUGUAACCUUUGGAAGCUUUCCCAGACUCAAAGAUCUUAAUUGACCAAACUCUAUCUUCCCAUCAACAUCAACAUCAGCUUCUCCUCCAGUUGCAAAAAUCUCUUCCAUGCUGCUGCAAUUGAUAACUGCAAUCCUCUCCAGUCUUGGAAGGCAUUUUGUACUACUAGAGAGCCAGAAGAUAUUACUCAACUCAUCACAAUUUUCUACUUUUAUGGUUUUGAGUUCAUUGAAGGACUCUAUUUUGAGUCGAUCAAUACAUAUCCUCUCCAUAUUGAUCAAAUUUUGAAGAGUAUGGGACUCCAAAAGAGGAAAGGCGACACAUGGUUCUCUCUCCAUUGAAUCGACGAUACACAGGAAGUCUGGAUUAUUUUGAACAUGGAGAUGCUUCAAUUGUGAAAAGCCCUCAGUGUCCAAUUCUAAAACAACAUUCUUGAUUCCUUGCAACUUAUCCAAACAUAAGUAUUCAACGUUAUUGAUGCGCUGCAACUUCUCGGAGCAAAUGGCCAUAGAAUCAAGCUUGAGCUUCAAUGUUCUUAAACUCUCAUGAUUACUGAUCAUAAAGUGCUGCCGACUUUCAAACCAAUCAUUCUCAAUAACCAGGGUAGAGUCGAAUGAUGCAUCUCCUAUUGAUAUAUCAAACCUUUCCAGCUUUUUGGAAAAAAAGCCAUCCGGUAAAAUGCUAUCAUUUUUAACAUCUAUCUAAGGUGGUCAAUCGCCUCAUAUGCAUCAAUUCGUCGAGGGUGGCAUUACUUCUUUCACUAUUGGCCUUUUCAACUUCCCAUUCAAUAGGGGAAUUACCCAUAUACAGUUCUUCCAAUCGAGUGAAGCUUGAUAAGACGUUGGGCACAAUAAAUUUUAGUUGCAAACAAUCUGUUAAAUCUAACAGCCUUAACUUAGUCAGUUGACCUAGUUCGCCAGGCAACCGUACAAUAUCAGAAUUUAAAAAGCUAAGGAUUUCUAGAUUCUUCAACUUUCCAAUUAUGGCUAUGUCUCCCAACAUGCUUUGAUCUAGACAGAGUGUUUGAAGAUUUGCUAGAAGACCGAUUGAAGAUGGCAAUGAAAAUAAUCGCAUUCGUGUCAAAUCUACAACUCGAAGCUUUUUCAGCCCUUUGAAAAUGUUGUCAGGAAUAUUGACCUCAACAAAAGUGUUUUGGGAAAUAUGUAAAAAUUCAAGUUGCAGACAUUCAAAUUCCUCAGAAACUUCAUGAAUGCUACUAUUUAGUAAAGAGAUUGCAUAGCAUUUUUUAAGUGCAUCCUCAUCUGGCCACUCCCACACAGCCUCAUUUCUCACCAAUAAAGCAUGUUGGUCUCGAUUUAAACUUUAACUCAAUUUGAAAAACUGAGCAAGUAUGCGUUACAGGAAAUCAAAAAAGCUCCACAUACCCAGAUCAUGAUCUCACGUUGAAUCCAGGUGGGAGAUAUAUUUAUGAUCAAGCCCAACAUCGAAGGGGCAAAAAAAAAAAAAAAAAAAAAAAUCUACCAGACAUAUGAUCAUAUUGACCACGAGCUUCAUACGCCGUGGAUUUAUUAACAAAAGUGGGAAUUAAUUAAUCAUGAGCAUGUGUUCUAGUUAAGUCAAAAGAGAGACUUAAUUAAGAACGCAUAUAUAAUUCAUAAUCAGCACAUAAAAAGAUCACUAGUGCUUGCCCCUCCUGCCCUUGCCGUGCUUGCCGUGCUUGCCCCUGCCCUUGCUCUUUCCAUGCUGGUAGUAGCCGCCGUGCUUGCCGUGUGUGUAUGCACCGUGAGCUCCAGGAUAUGCGUUAUUAUCUGCAACAAAAUAAGAAAUUAAAUCAUAAGCUUAUAAUUAGCUCGCUCGCUAAGAGUGAUUAAAAUAAUACCGUGCGGAACGGAUGGGCCAGGAUAUCCCGUUGGUGUGUAACCACUGGCGAGUGCUGCUCCUGUAGGCGGGUAGCCGGCACCGGCUGGGCAGCAUGAUCAGCACCUUCCAUGAUUUUGAUGAUCACCUAAUAAAUAAUAACUUGGUCCAAAAUAAACAACAAUAAAUAAUUGUGAUUAAUAAAAAGUAAUAUAUUCUCUAAUUAAAACAUUAAUGAUCAUUGGAGAGCAAGCGAGAAAUACUUACUGAAUGCGAUGGGACAGACAACAUCAUGCAUAGAGAAUUGUUCAUCUUCAACGAAUUUGGCUGCCCGGUCAAUGAUGCCGUUAGCACUAACCAGCCACUUCUCAACCUUCUCUUCAAUCUCUUCCCCUUUUUCUUUUGCCUCUGAAACUCUGCGCCGAAUGCUCGUACGUUCAACCUUCAACUUCUCCAUUUCCGUCUUGAGAUUCUCAAGGUUGGCAUUGUAGUUCCGCUUGCGCAAAUAAACAAGUUGGCGUUCUGUUGGAGGAGCCAAGCAUUUUACAAGUUCCAAAACGAGAGUAACAAUGAUUUCCAGCAUCUUGAAUCCUGACAACAAUGUAGAAGUGAAGAAGGCCAAAGGACAGUCAAAACAGAGAGACAGCGUUACGACAAGCAGUUAUGGAGCUAAAAAUAAAUAACAAACAAACAGAAGCAAAGUGUUUUUCGAAUGAGAAGAAGGAAGCAAGAAAAACUUAAAACUAGUAUAAUAAAUUUAUACUAAAACUAGUAUAGUAAAACAAGAAGUCAAGAACCAGCAACUUUUACACACAAAAUAAAACCUUAAAACUAGUAUAAUAAAUUUAUCAUCAAGUUGCAGCCUUCUUAUUCAACAAUUACAGCAUUAUCUUGAGCUCUGUGUUUCUUUUUUUAAAAAUUAUUCAAAAAAAUCUGCAUUUGUUUUUCAACGAUAAAAAUUAUAUUUUUGUCUCAUAUAAUAUAAAAUUAAAAAAAAAACAAACAUAUAUUAAAGGUCUGUUUGGGAUUAUUUUUAGAGGCUCAAAAGUAAUUUUAAAAAGUUAAAUGCUAAUUUUGGUAUUUAAUAAAAUUUUUAGAAGUCACCUUUGGUAAAAUCAUCAAUCCUACAACAAAUUUUGAAAGCAAAUAGUUUUUCAAAUUUUUAUUUUGAUAAUUAAUUUUAUACUUAAUAUAAUUCCAUAUACAUCCCUACAUAUAUUAAUUAUCCUUAUUAAUUAGAAAAUAAAAUUAUUAACUUUAAAGAUAUUAUCAACAAUUACAUUGAGAUAACAAACUAAAAAAUAAAAUUAAUAAUAUAAAAUAUUUAUUUUAGUAAUCAAUUAUUAUACUUACAAGAUAAAAAAUAUUUUAUUUAAAUGUUUAUAAAUGUACAAAUAAAUUUUAUUUAAUAUUAUAUUCAAUUUAGUCAUUUACAUUGUCAAUAGGACUUCUAAAAAUAAAUUUUCCUAAAUGUUUAACUAAUUCUCUUCAUAGUGAUUAUUUCCAAACAUAACUACCAAAAAUUACUAUAAUAGAUACAACAUUACCAAAAAAAUAUUGAGAUAGAUUUUAAUUAGGUAAUUGACUUAAUUAUGAAUCAAUUUAUUAUUUCCAUAUGUGUUAUCAAAACCAGCUCAAUAAUGAGAUCACUCUUUUUCUUAAAUAAAAAUAUUUGUGCCAAACAAUUGUUGCAAAAUUUCAAAUAUAAAUUACAAACAACAAAAUUUUUCUAAAAUCAUAACAAUAAUUUAUGUUGUGAAUACAUGUAACUAAACCACAUUGAAAUUUUAUUGUUAGUAAAAUUGUUUUUCACGCAAAUGCAGUGACGGAUUCAGUUUCAUGUUUCACCCUCAAUAACUUAAUUUUCAUAUCUAACAAAUCAUCCAUAUUAUUAACAAUAUCAUCACCAAACAUAAUCUACCUAAACAUAAACUAAACAUAACACAUACAUAUAACUAUAUACAUACCGAAUCAGGAAAACAAUGAAAGCUACACGUAUCCGGCUCUACAAUUCCUUCUUGAUACCCUUGUGCUUCUGAAAUAAUCAACCAAUUAUAAAAAUUAGCUUAGGCGCAACUUUACCCCUUUUUUGGAAAACUUAACGAUAAAUAAAGUAUACAAAUCUCUAAAUUAACUUCGUCCCCAUGAAAUUCAGCAUAAAUAGAAAUAGAAUUAUAGAAACCUUACUACCUUUUAUGAGAAAUCCAACUUAUAUAUUUGAGACCUCUCUCUCUAAACACGCGCUUCCUCUCUCUGUACACUUUCCACCUUUGAAUUUUCCUUCACUAAGUCUACCUAAAUGAAUUUAGCAUUCUUCCAGUUUCUUUAGCAUUUUUUCUCCGUGAAAAUAGGUGAAAAAGAGAAAGUGGUUUGAUUAUUUUAAUGUAUGACAGAUCUGGUUUCCAUCUCUGUAAUUUAAGUUUGUCAAACGAGAUAAUCAACUCUUUGUCGAGUCAGUCAAAUAUAAAAGACAAAUUACUAAACCAAGCAGAGCCCAAAAAAAAAAUAUUUCCAAUUAAAUAAUCAUCAAGUCUUUUUCAAUUAAAUUAGGGAGUGCAGAACAACUGUCGAGAGAUAAUCAUUGUUUAUGGAGCCAUAUUAUAUUUUCGAUUAAAAUAGUUGCGCGUGAACAAUUGGCAGAAUUCGUAUAAAUUGUUGUCAGGUCUAUUAUAAUUAACAAGCGGAAUGGCCAAUGGAUGAAGAACCACUGUAAUUUCGUUUAUGAAUUCAAAAUGCUAAAGAAACUGGACAUCAACGCUAAAUGUCAGCCUGCGGCCCUUGCCUCAGUGUCUUUCAGGCGUUACUCUGGGUAGUUGAUAUACUGACCGUCCCUUUAUCAAUUAAUAAUCGAAAUAGGUUAAAAAUAUGAAUGGAUUGAAUGGUAUGACUUGGAAUUAAAAUAUGGAAUGACGAUUAGAUUAAUUAAUUUAUUUAAAUUGAGAAAUUAGAAUCAUAAUAAAUUAUAUUGUUAUUGAUGUAUUUGUUUUAUCUUAAAAUUGCGAUGAGUUGUUACAAAUUACUAAUAUGCCUUUGAUUUUGUAUUAUGAUAAUUAUUAUUUAUUAUAACAUUUGUCAUAUAAUAAUAAUAAUAAUAACAACAACAACAAUUAAUAUUGAAAAAUUUUUAUUGUUAAUAAUAAAUAGGCAAUUAUCCACCGAUCAUGUGAUCUUUUGGACGUUUUAAAAAAUAUACAAACACUUUUUUCUUUGCAGAAAUCCACCUGAAAUUUACAAGUGUUUCAAUUGUUCACUGUUCAUCUAAAUUUUGUUAGAAUUUUCUUGACGUUGUAAGGAUAAAAUUGUUAUUUUUACCUUGACUUCCAAAGAGGAUGUCUUUCAAACAUGAUGAAAAUAAAAAAAAAGGAUAAAAAAUUAUCUGUAAACUAUCUGAUCUUUUAGCCAUUAUACAAAAUAUUAAAAAAAUAUACGAACAUUUUUUAUUUUUUUCAACAAUCCAUCUGAUAGUUAUGAAGUGCAUUAGUGCUCCACUACUAUCAUAACCCUUUAAAAAUAUCGCUUAAACACGAGAACCUAUUGCCUAAAAUUAUUUUUCAAGAAAUGUAACUACAGAUUUGGUUUUGAUCUUCAUGACUUUUAAGUGUACAAGAACAAGAUGAACGAACCUUUGUCGAGUUGAUGAAUUAAGAUAAAUCAAUUACAAAUCGAGAACAAACUUACGGGUGACAUUUUAGUAUUAAGCAAACUAUAAUUGAUCAUCCAAUGAUAGGCUUAUUUUCAAUUAAAUUAGAGUAAAGAUAGACAUUCCAAAUUUUUCUCUCAAAUUUAAUCUAGAUAAUGUGUUAUUAAUUGAGUGCUUGGUAAUUCUUUCAAGAUCUAAGUGAAUUAAUUAUAUUAUCUCUCCAACCAAUUGAUGAAUAUUAUAUUAUUUGAGAUAAUUUUUUUUUAUCUCAAAUCCCAGCAAAGAAAACAGAACAAACGGAGCAAAAAUAUUUUUAGAAACCUAAAAUAACAAAAAAAAACUUUUUCUUGUUUUUCUUAUUUUCCACUGUUAAACUUCAAAAUGAACAACUUUAUUCUACCAUCUCUCAAAUAAUAAUAAUAACAACAAUGUCAUCAUCAUCAAUAAUAAUAAUAAUAUAUUAACUUUGUAGGAUGGAGCUCUCGCAAAUCUUCAAGACACAAAAUGUGCUUGACCCCAUUGUUGUUAUUAUAAUUUCAAAAUCAUCUGUAUUAUAUAAUAUUAGGGAAUAUGACAUAGCAAAAUUGAUGGUACAUAUGUUGCAAUAUACUUGUUCAUGUGGCGACACAUUGAAGUAAAGCACAAGCAAAACAACGAAAAAUGUAACGGGAGAGCUCUCAUUAUGUAGAUUUUCAAUAGAAGUAAUGCAAAUUUCACAAGGAAUGGCCUUAUUUCGAAUGCUGCACCUGAGGAAUGACUUGAAUCUUCUUUAGAACUCAAGCAUUCUGUAAUCAUAGGGUAUAACAUUUCAACAAAAAUAUUAUAUAGGUCGUUCCUUUAUAUAUUUUCUGGGUACACAUACAGAAAUAUUAUUUUAGGUACAUUUCUCACAAUAAAGCCUGCCCAAUCUAGCAUUUUCGUAGUUGGGUUUCUUAUUUACAUGUUUUUUCCAUUGGUUAAUUAUCACAAACCUCCACUGAGAUUUAGCAUGUUUUUAGUUUGAUAGAUUGUAUUCGCGUAUUCUCAAAUACCUUUUAGUUUACCACUUCGUAUAAAUUAAGUUGGUGAGGAUAAAAUCAUAAAAGUACACAUUAAUGAUAAAAAAAUUCAAGUAAACUUGAAAUUUUCAAGGGGUAAUUUUUCGGGACCUCCCCUGAGGUUCGGUGUAUUAAAAGUCUCAUAGAAAGUAUUCAUGUAAUUAUAAGAACCUCCCCUGACGUUAGUACACAGUUAACUUGACUGUUAGUGGACUGAUAAAAAGUCAAAAAUGCCAUUGGCUACAAAAAUGAGUGCAACAAUUUGGAGUUAAAUAGUAAACACCACAUUGGAGCACUAAAAAGUCUAUAAUAAUCAUGGAAAAAAAUCAUUGACAUUUACAUAAUAUAAAAAAAAAAAGUAAAAUAUAAAUUAAGAAAAUCAACAAAAUUGUCAACGUAUAGAAUAUUUACAGCAGCAGUGGCUAUAAAUACAACCGUCGUCAAAUUAAAAUAUCACCAUUAGUAAACUACUUCAAUAAGACAAUAAACCAUGAUUCACUCUUCAAAGCAUUCAAAAUACACAACCCGCACAAUAGAAUCACAUACGCACACCUGCUAAUGAAAUAUAAGAACAAACAGGAAAUUGAACUGACAUGGCUAAGAUACUCCUUCCCCAUAGCUAUUAGAAAGAUAAUGAGCGAUUUAUGAAUCAUGAUGCUUGCUUUACUUUCUGGCAGUGUUAGCUUCAAAUUCAAUGAUAGUAAAUGAACAAUGGUUCAUUCAUUAUGAAAGUAAGUGUAAAGCUAGGAAUUUAUAAUAUUCAGAUGUUGGAAUUGGAAAAAUAUUCCUUAAUCGUUUCAAUUGAAGCCAAGGAAGAAAAGAAAUGAGUCUUCUUUUUUCAGGAGACAAGCCAUAUGAAGAAGGCAGACCAGAGCAUAAGAACGAAUGCUACUGCCACAGUAAAAGCCUGGAUCAAUGGGUAAUGGUACCUGCCAUGUCAAUUUCAAGACAAACAAAAAUCAAUUAUCAUCCCCAGACCACAACACCACCAAACCAACCUUUUGAAUCUAAAAUAACAAGUUAAUAAAUCAAAGAUUUCAAUUCAUUUAAGUUUGAAAUCAACUAAAAUAGAAAAAAAAAACCCAAUUUCUUUUUUGUUCAAUAUAACUCAUUCAGCAUCUUCUUCAACACAUUUUUUAUCAUUCUUCAUCAUCCACAACAAUAAAAAGAAAAAAAAAAACAUUGAGUCCAACAUGCAAGUUUUUUUUUUGGAAAACUAACCGUUUUUAGGUUCCAAUUUCUAGUAGUCUUAAACAGUAGCCGCCGACGAAAUUCGCUUGGCGACACCCUUUUGCCACCAUUGCAGCUUGUCAUGUUCAUACUCAGCUUAAAAUUACUUGAAGGCAGCAGGGAUUUUAUAGUUACAAAAGUUUCUUCAGAGCUUUUCAAGCUUGAAAAUGGCUGAGAGUUUCAUUUCAUGAGAGAGAAAAUGGAGUUUUCAUUCAUCUUAGAUAAAUUGAAGAUAAUUUGCAUUGUGGUAAUAAAUUGAUUGUCAGUGCCUAAAUUUGGGUCAUUCGACACAACUUGGAAUUUUUUUUAUUUUUUCUUUGAUUUUUAUUAUGAAACUACUAAUUUACCCUCAUAUACUAACAUAUAUGAAAUGGCAUACUAACGUCAGUUAUGUCAAGCAGCUCCCUGUAAUUACGUGAAUAUUUUUCAUGAGACUGUCAAUACACAAAAUCUCAGGGGAAAUCCCUAAACAUUACCUAAUUUUUAAGUUGUGUUCUGAAAUUGGUCUCAACUUUGUAAUGUGUAAUGCCCACAAAAAAAGAAAAGGAAAAAUGGUCAUCUCUUUCCUCCAUUCGAACUGAAGCCAUGAAACGCAAUAUCCCUUUCAUCUUCUCUCUAAUGCUUUGAUUAAAAAACUUGCUUACGAACGGGAGACCAUGACACUGAAUCCGAAGACAGAAAUACCUGAGAUGACUGAUUCACGCCGGCGAUGUGGAAGAAUACCGACCAGUGACUUUCGCCGUCGACCCACAAACAAUCCCAGUGUUUUCGAGCCGCGAAUGAGGUAUGAAUAAGAUUAUUUCCGUGCGUGUCAGUUUUGUAAGGAGAUUUGAUUAAAAAAAGAAUAAUGGGUCUCGAAAAUUUUUGAGUAUUUCUGUUGCUUAAAUUUUUUCCAUCGAUUAAUGUUAGUUGUAGGUGAAUGAUUGUUGCAAACGCAUGUUCGCUUGUGAUUGAUUGAAAAUGACUUGUUAUUUGUUAUGCUGCCAUGUGACUCAUUGAAAAUGCCUCUGAAAUUUUUUUAUUUGUUUAAGGUACUGAUUCUGAUUAUUGAACAGGGAUUCAUGCUAGUUUUUAUUAAAUUAAAGAUGAGAUUAUUUUUUAAGAGAUCUACCAAACCUUCUCUACUAUAGAUUUGGCUUCUGACAUACCUGGUUCGCUGGAGAUAAUUGUUUAUAUAGUCAUUGCUGCUCGUAUUAAUCAGGAACAUUGAUUAGCAAUGUACUGGAAUAGAGAUUGGUAUAAUUUUGGAAAAUUAGUCGUAGAUGCAACCUGAUUAUGGUCUCAAAUAGUGUGAUCUGUCAAUUCCGUUUGCUCUAGCCUAACAACCUUGAAUCUGAGCUAUGCCACUAUACAAAGUCCUGACCUAAUCAAGCUUGUUAGCCAAUGUCCAAAAUUGCAGUGUCUUUAGAUAAGCCCUGUCUUACUUGUUUGAGUUAUAAAUGAAAAUUGAAGUGUCUUUGGAUAAUCACGCUGAAUGUUCAAGUUAUUGAAGAGAAGGGACCCCAGAUUCAAGGCCGGAGCUCCCUGUUGAGAAGCUUUACAUAUAUGGGAUUGUCGCUGGGCGGAGGAUCGAUAUGCCCGGUUUUGUUUGGAAUAGGGAUGAAGAUUUUGCAUUGAGGCUUUCUUGAUAGAUCAUUCUGCAAAUCAAGCUCCAUGUACCUAUCUUCAGACUCUUGGAUAUGUAUAAAGCAGGUGCAUGCUCUAUAUGUUACUCAUUGUAUCACGAUUAUUUUUCUAUUGCUUAAAAUAAUUGCAGUCCUUGAUGUAGUUGGAGACAACUUAUGGAGGGUAUACAGAGGCUCGAGAGUUUGAUUGCCAUUCAUUUGACACUUGGCUGAGCUACAGCAUACCAACUAGUGAUUAAUAAAGAGAAGGUAUGAAGGUCCUGUUGCUGGUGGUAUUAUCAAUCAGAAUUGUUAUUUUACUUAGUCAUAGUUACCAUGUAUAAGAUUCGUAGACUUUUUGCAUGUUUAUGCAUUCGCAUCAUCUUUUUGUUAAGCUAGAGAUGGUUGAUUUGUGUACUCAUUUGUAUCACUUGUAGCCCUUGAGGAAUAAAAUUUAAAAUUUUGUUGCAUCUCCUGUACUAAAUACUAAUUUUGUUUGCUUUAUGUAUGGGAAAUGGUUCAUUAUCUUAUUUCUUUGAUGUGUAUAGUGUUACACUGUCUAAAGUUGAAAAGUAUUUCUAUCACUUGUGUAAAAAACAAACAAUUUUUUUUUCACUCUUCUUAUAUUGAAUAAAAGAAGGACACCAAGAUCUUCACCAAGAUUGAACGAAAUUUGAUGCAGAAAGCAUAGCAAUUAGGCCAGUGCAAAAUAGCUUCCUUCUGAUUCUCUGAUAUUUGACUUAAAUCUUUUGUUUGUUUCAUUCAUCAAAGUCAUUUUGGAAAGUAGCAGGCGUGAUUUGAUAUUUUCAUUGUAUUCACAUCCGUUGGCACCAAAACAAACAUGCUGGUACUAACCAACAAUUUUUUAUUUUUAGUGUACAAAUUAUUAUUUUUAAGACAAAUAAGCUGGUACUAACCAACAAUAUUUAUUUUCAGUAUACAAAUUAUUAUUUUUUUUUCUAAAUUAGGGGUAUUAAGAAAAGGUAUGCUAGCACCAGGGGAGGUAUUUGAAAAUAUACAAAUACAAUCUAUCAAACUGAGAAUACACCGAACCGGCAGGUUUCUGAUAAAUCCUUUUUUUCUUUUUCCUCCAUUCACUAUAGGUUCAAUUUAGACGCUGUUGACCAAACAGAAGGUUUGGGUUGGUAAACGCACUGGUGUUAAUGCCAACAACCCAAGGGGCUUCAUGGUCCUCUGGGCCGAAAUAGCGUAAUUAUUAAUUCUCCUCCAGUGAAAAUCUUCAUCUUGGGACAAAUAAUUACGAAUUGACAUUAUAGCUGUGGAAAUUUGGAGGUGUAAUAACCGGAAAAGUAAAAAUCUUAAGAGACUUUUUAAAUAAAAAAGAUACAACACCUUCAAUUUGCUAAAAGUAAUGGUAUCAUUUCUUGUACGGAUAAUGGAUGAUUAGAUUUUGUUUUUGUUAUCCGACGAAGGAUAUUCAGUUGUUCUUUAUGUGUUCACAGGCAAGAGCAUGAGCAUAUUCAUGGUUUCAUAUAUGCUUCUUGCAUUUUCUAAUUAAGUACUCUCUUUCCUUGCCUUCUUAGUUUUGAAAGAAAGAUGUGAAGCAAAGCAAACCAGUGAAAUAUACAGAGAAACAGAACCAUCAGAGGAAAAACUAAAUAACAGAACCACAAUUGAACCAAACAAAAUCAAAUAAACCGAGGCAACGGAUACCCUGAAUCAGGCAUCCCUUUUUCUCGAAAGAAAAUAUGUUUGCAUGGGUGGGAACCUAAUAAUUACUCAAGAGUUGGAGUUGGAAAGAUUUGGUAUUCAUAUCUUCACAAUUCAUAAGCUUUAAUGCAGAAUCGACAGCUUUAUAUUAAUUUAUUCAACCAAAAACGAUAAAGUAGGAAAACCACAAUAAUCCACCAACUUUUGCUACUUUUAGGAAUAAUUUUUAGUCAACUUUCAAAAAGUGAGAUGACGAUCUUUGAGUUGAUAAAUCUUGGCCUGCUGCUUAGUACCCUUCCAACAUAUAAAGUACUAGAUGUUUAGCUGAGAAAAUGACGAGAUCAUUUAUCAAAUUUCUUGCGCAUAUAUACAUAUAUAUACAAGAAAUAAGAAUCAGAGUGAUUAUAAGACCUUGCAAUGAGGCAAUAAUACAUCAUCAAAUCUAAAAAUACACAAGAAAUUCGUGACGUAUAUAACAAUAGACCUCUCAUUGAGUCAUACAUAUUGAGAAUAAAAUGUCAAAAUGCAUACAAAGAGCUUAUACAGAAAAUGAAUUUACACACAUUUAGAAUAAACUGUCUUUGAACUUCCGAUGGNNNNNNNNNNNNNNNNNNNNNNNNNNNNNNNNNNNNNNNNNNNNNNNNNNNNNNNNNNNNNNNNNNNNNNNNNNNNNNNNNNNNNNNNNNNNNNNNNNNNNNNNNNNNNNNNNNNNNNNNNNNNNNNNNNNNNNNNNNNNNNNNNNNNNNNNNNNNNNNNNNNNNNNNNNNNNNNNNNNNNNNNNNNNNNNNNNNNNNNNNNNNNNNNNNNNNNNNNNNNNNNNNNNNNNNNNNNNNNNNNNNNNNNNNNNNNNNNNNNNNNNNNNNNNNNNNNNNNNNNNNNNNNNNNNNNNNNNNNNNNNNNNNNNNNNNNNNNNNNNNNNNNNNNNNNNNNNNNNNNNNNNNNNNNNNNNNNNNNNNNNNNNNNNNNNNNNNNNNNNNNNNNNNNNNNNNNNNNNNNNNNNNNNNNNNNNNNNNNNNNNNNNNNNNNNNNNNNNNNNNNNNNNNNNNNNNNNNNNNNNNNNNNNNNNNNNNNNNNNNNNNNNNNNNNNNNNNNNNNNNNNNNNNNNNNNNNNNNNNNNNNNNNNNNNNNNNNNNNNNNNNNNNNNNNNNNNNNNNNNNNNNNNNNNNNNNNNNNNNNNNNNNNNNNNNNNNNNNNNNNNNNNNNNNNNNNNNNNNNNNNNNNNNNNNNNNNNNNNNNNNNNNNNNNNNNNNNNNNNNNNNNNNNNNNNNNNNNNNNNNNNNNNNNNNNNNNNNNNNNNNNNNNNNNNNNNNNNNNNNNNNNNNNNNNNNNNNNNNNNNNNNNNNNNNNNNNNNNNNNNNNNNNNNNNNNNNNNNNNNNNNNNNNNNNNNNNNNNNNNNNNNNNNNNNNNNNNNNNNNNNNNNNNNNNNNNNNNNNNNNNNNNNNNNNNNNNNNNNNNNNNNNNNNNNNNNNNNNNNNNNNNNNNNNNNNNNNNNNNNNNNNNNNNNNNNNNNNNNNNNNNNNNNNNNNNNNNNNNNNNNNNNNNNNNNNNNNNNNNNNNNNNNNNNNNNNNNNNNNNNNNNNNNNNNNNNNNNNNNNNNNNNNNNNNNNNNNNNNNNNNNNNNNNNNNNNNNNNNNNNNNNNNNNNNNNNNNNNNNNNNNNNNNNNNNNNNNNNNNNNNNNNNNNNNNNNNNNNNNNNNNNNNNNNNNNNNNNNNNNNNNNNNNNNNNNNNNNNNNNNNNNNNNNNNNNNNNNNNNNNNNNNNNNNNNNNNNNNNNNNNNNNNNNNNNNNNNNNNNNNNNNNNNNNNNNNNNNNNNNNNNNNNNNNNNNNNNNNNNNNNNNNNNNNNNNNNNNNNNNNNNNNNNNNNNNNNNNNNNNNNNNNNNNNNNNNNNNNNNNNNNNNNNNNNNNNNNNNNNNNNNNNNNNNNNNNNNNNNNNNNNNNNNNNNNNNNNNNNNNNNNNNNNNNNNNNNNNNNNNNNNNNNNNNNNNNNNNNNNNNNNNNNNNNNNNNNNNNNNNNNNNNNNNNNNNNNNNNNNNNNNNNNNNNNNNNNNNNNNNNNNNNNNNNNNNNNNNNNNNNNNNNNNNNNNNNNNNNNNNNNNNNNNNNNNNNNNNNNNNNNNNNNNNNNNNNNNNNNNNNNNNNNNNNNNNNNNNNNNNNNNNNNNNNNNNNNNNNNNNNNNNNNNNNNNNNNNNNNNNNNNNNNNNNNNNNNNNNNNNNNNNNNNNNNNNNNNNNNNNNNNNNNNNNNNNNNNNNNNNNNNNNNNNNNNNNNNNNNNNNNNNNNNNNNNNNNNNNNNNNNNNNNNNNNNNNNNNNNNNNNNNNNNNNNNNNNNNNNNNNNNNNNNNACAAUUUUGUUAUGCCCCAAACCGUUGGGAGAAACAUGACGCCCCACGUUUACCCACGAUUCGGUGGUUGGAGACCCAUGAAGGUUUGUCAUCACCCGAAAAUGAGGGGCAUGAAUAAGACUCAGAAAACAGGGAUGAUUGCCUAUAAAAGGCCAAGAAAUCGAUGAAAAAUGGGAGACACAAAUUGAGAGUAAAGGGGAAACUCUGUCAAAUUAUAAUCAGAAAUUCAUAUAUCCAAAUCCUUGAUACAUUUGGUAUUGAGAAUAUUGCAACUAAUAUGUACAACACAAAUCAUUCACUUUUCUCGUAAACACCUUGUACUAACUUAAGUAUCGAAGGGUUUAUGCCCAAAAAACCAUCGGCGUCUCUGAUUUGUUUCUGUGAACGCAGGCCUGGAAGGAAGAAGACGGGUGAUUUGGGUCCAGAAGCUCGGGAAAUUGCUGAAGCUAAUGGAUCGCAGCCUCUGUUCCUUUGCCAAUACAAGCGUUGGUGAACCAAUCUGGUCGGUCCAAAGGCGACUAGAUUUCAGCAUCAACAGAUAUUAUUUUGAUGAAUUUUUUAAUAUUAGAAUAAUGUUAGGAAUUCCAAUAAUAAAAUUCUAACUUGAGACCCAAUUGUUAUGUGUUAUUUUUUAUUGAAUAAUGAAUUUCACAACUAAUAAAAUUUAUAUUUCCAUCAUCUAAUAAAUGACUACCAUAUCAGUUGGGACUCAAUUAUUAGGAUCCUUAACAUUGCUCUUAGUAUUAAAUUGGACAUCUUAGCUAAAUCAGAUUAAAAAUCAAAUUAGUUUUUAGGCUUUUAUUCAACAUCUCUUUUUUUUUUUUUUUUGUCUAUUGGAAGUGAACGAAUAAAAAUACAACAGGGUCAACGACUGGGCAAUUGGUAGUCAAGUAGAAGCAAAUCAAGGCUAAAUGGGAAAGAGAAAUGAUAUUUGUGCAAAAUAAGGAGAAAAUCAGUGUAACAGAAGAGAAUCAAAGUGCUUUUGAGAUAAAAAAUUGAAACAAGAAAAGGGUCGCUUGAUCCAAUGAAAAUGCAAAGAGCUGAUGGCAAAAGGGAACAAAGUUAAAUAAGAAAACAGCUAGCGCUAGCAGCGACCACAAUAAACAGAAAAUUUGAGAUGGAUUUACAAUAUUUCUGCCUUUCUUUAUGCUUUAAAAAUAUUGCUCUAUCAAAAAAAAAAUAUUGAACAUUUUUAUUAUUGGAGUCACAAAUGACCUACACAAUAUAGCAAGUGACUAGGAAUAAUAAGAAUAUAUAACUCUCUCUAAUUCUCACUCUGGCUUUUAAUUGUCACUCAAAACCCAGAAUUCAUCCUUAAAGUGUAGGCAAAUCAAGGAUGACACCGUUUGGUUGUCAUACGUGCCUUUUAGUUUUCGGAUGACAUGGCGUACACUUCUUCUGUAAACCCAACAAGACAUGUCGUACUCUUUUGUUUUGAGAUUCUAUUUCAAACUUUUCAUGCUAUGAAUGAAAGAUAAACUCCAAUCAUCAAAAUAUUUAGUGUUUGGUAAUGUAAUGUCAUAGUUGUGAAUUGAAAUUAUUUCUAUAAAAAUAAAGGAUUUGGGUCAUUGUUUGUUAUUUUCUGACAACAUUUAUUAAAUAUUAAAAAUAAAUUUAUAUUUAUUAGGUAUUAAAAAUAAAUAAACAAACAAAAAUAAAAGUAAAAGUUUAUACAUUACGUAAAAAUAAUGACAAUAUCAAUAUUUCGCACUCUAUAAUGAGUGAUGUGUGUCCAACUGGCAUACAUUGUCCCAAACGGAGACUUAAAUAUCAAAGUCCAAAGUUAUUAUGAUGAUGACUUAUAAUCGCCAAACUUGACAUACGGGUAAUCAUGCAUUAUAAGGUGCUAAUUUCUUCCGAUCGGAACCUUAUUUUCAUUUACAAAUAAAUAAAUGAUGUGACUUCACGGUUGGCGGGGUCCUUUGUGUCAUUUGGGCAUUUCACUAAAUGAUUGAUUGUAGCAGGAAGAUUCCUGGAAGUUGCCAUUUGCCAAUGCUACUAACAUUUUCAAACUUGGAAAACCCUUCAAUCAAUCUUUAGUGGAGGCUCUGGUAACUUGGUUUGAUUAUGACGUUAAUAUUUGAUAAUAAAGUUAGAGGAUGUAUUAAUAUAAAAUUUGUUUAUUGGUGUUGAAGUUAAUUAUCUCAUUAAUUAUAGUAUAAAAAGUUAAUUACUAAGAAACACAUAGCAAUAGUUAAUGGUGUCAUAUUAUUGGGAUUCUGGGAUACAAUUUAUAUCAUAACUUGUAAGUGUAUACUUACUCAUCAAACUAAUAAAAUUAUUUAAAAAUUUCAGUUGGAAAAAUAAAUUAUAUUAUUUUCAUUUCAAAUAAUCUAUAAGUUAACUCAAAACAUAAUCAAGCUGAGAAUUAAAAUAAUGCUACUGUAUGAGAGGAUUUUUAUUUUUUCCCGGAAGUUUCACUAGGAAAUUAUUGAUACAUAGCUUAUUCGGAUCAUUCUCAGUUCAAACGACAAAUAAUUGAAAGACUAAGCUAAAUAGACCAGCCAACAACUUUGUACAAGAGAGUUCAAAAAUUAAGGUCAUGGUAUUAAGGUGUUCUAUCUUGAAAAGUAUAGAGUAGUAAUAAAAUAAAAACUAAUAUUUUUGGUAAGAUAUGACAUUUAAAUAAUAAUUUCACAAAAUACAAAGGAAUAUUUAUAAAUUACUUUUAUAGUGAGGGGACCUCACUCUGUUAAAGUGAAAAUAUCAAUAAUAUACAAAAGACAUAUAUUUUAACACAUUAAAAAUUGUAUUUUUUUUAUCUAUUGUUAUUGAAAUAUGUGUUAUUUAGUUUGUUAGUGAUAUCAUUACUUUGUUAAAAUGAGAAUGUCGUUACUAGAGAAUCAUUAUGUAUACAUAUAUAAAGUGCUUCUGUCCAAGAACUAGACUUUAUUAAAAUUUGAGAAAGCAAAUAUAUUUUAUAUGGUAUAAUAGUGUAAUAACAUCACACUAUUAUAUCAUAUAGAGUAAUAGUUUUUCGAACUUUAAUAAAAUUCAAGAUUAUAGAAUGAAUGAUUUUUAUAUAUUAUAAAUUUUUUUAUCAUAAAUGGAGGACAAAAUUAACAUAUUUCAAAUUAUAAUAAGCAUUUAUCAAAUAAUUUAACAUUGCAAUUUCUCCUAACUAGUAUAGUAAAUAAUACGACCUAGGAGAUACAUUCAAAGCAUUUCAUAAGUUAGUUGUUUAAUAAUAAAUUAUAUAUGCAGCUCCAAUCAUCAUUGUACGGUGAGUAAUUUCCAGUUAUAAAUAGAUAUUACUCCCUUCCCAGCAAUUUUUGAUGACUUAAUUUAGUGGAUCAAAAUCACAUUGAAUUUUUGACCAGCUGCACAACUUGUGAGCAGUUCACAGUGGGUACUGCACAUGAUGCCUGUUUCUCCUUUUGCAUCUAUUUUGUUGUUAACAUUAAUUUCAAUAGCAGCUCGUUAAUCCCAUUUGUUGAUUUGGGACUAGAUAAGAAUUUAUCUUGGAACUCCAAUUCUCCAAUUAUUUUAGUUGACAAUAUAUUUAACAUUAUUAAUUGCAUAUUAUUUAAUUAUCAGUAUAUAAUAUUCUUUAAUUUUCUAAUUUUAUAGGAUUAGACACAAAAUUGAUUAUGCCUUUUGAAAUUUAAGGGUUAUGUCAAUUGAAUAGAAAACUUGGAGGUAAACUUGUGGAUGUUUUGUUGAUUAUCAAUUUAUGCAUGAAUUUUUGUACGUUUACUUUGGUUUAUAAUUAUUACUUUUAAACAUUUUUAUUGGUUUGAUUUAGGGUCAAUUUGGUAAUCCUGUAGCUUUUAAAAUAAUUACAAUUAGCUAUGCUGUAGAAAAUUGAUCAAUCGUCAAGAGAAUCAGCUGAGCAUUUAGUAAAAUUUAUUUUUUAAAAGUACUUUUAGUUUUAAAAGCGUUGUAUGAAUAAAACUGUUACACUAAAAAUUAAAUGUAUUGCCACUUGGGUAAAUAAAGCUAUAUAUUACAACUGUUACACUAAAAAUUAAAUGUAUCUUAAACCCAAACUUCUUCUUCUUCUUUUUUUGACUAACAAAAUUAAAAACAAUAGUGAACACAUUCUUUAAUAAACAAUAAGUAAUAAAUAAAAUCGUGUUAAAUUUCUUAAAAACUUUCUUUCACGGUUUGCUAAAUAUUUUUAUUAGUAUUUUAAAUAAAUAAAAUAGUUGAUUUAAUUUUUUAAAUAAACUUAUUAGGUUCAUGUAAAGAUGUUUUUGUUAUUUUAAAAAGUGUAGAAAGUACUCCUAAAAAAAAGCGUAGAAAGUAAAACUUAAUUUUUUAAAUUUAUUAGCUGAGUGCAUAAAUAAUUGAGUGUUCAUAAUGAUUUUAAAGUAUAGAUAGUCGGACCCUAAUAUUUUUAAUAAAUGGAAAUUUUGCUAAUAUGUUAAUGAGAAUUAAAAAGAUAAUUAAGGGAGGCAAUCGAGACAUUCAGGAUAGUUAGGAUGGGACAUGAUUGUGAGCGGUUAGAUAUUGGUCCUAAUUUUGAUCACAAAUAUAUAAACAGGACGAGUUUAUCUCUACUUACAUUCCAUUUGAUAAUUUAAGAUGAGAGUGGAAUUGUCAAAUCCCAAUCAUCCCGGACCACUGCCACAAGGGGUACUCUCACUAAUAAUAUCUAAAGAAAAAUCUACAUCUAUUUCAUACUUUUUUUUAAUGGAAAGAGCCCUCAUGGGGCUUGAAUGGUAUCCUAAAUAAUAUUGAGAAUAUCAGGUCAUGAUUGGGUUUGUGACAAACAAAUACUACAUAGUUGGGAUACGUAGUUAUAAUGUCCCAAUUUAUGUAGUAUCUAUCAUUUAGCGCACAUAUAAAAUAUUAAUCAGCUUAAUUAAUUUAUAAAAUUUAAAUCUAAUUAAUAAGUGAUACAUAAUGCCAAGUGCAAUACUGUAUAUGCAAAUCAUGUUUGUGGAUCAUUACAAAAUUGGCUCUUGAAAACAAGCAAGAAAGCUUAAUUAAGAACUUAAAACAAAAGAAUUAGAUUGAGAACAGUCAAGCCUUAUUUUUUCAAGGAUGGAGCUUAUAAAUCUUCAAGUACCAACAUACGCUUGGCCCAAUUGUUGUUAUUAAAAUUUCAAUAUACAUAUAUAAGUAUGAUAUAGCAAAAAUUUGAUGGUACAUAUGUCGGAAUAUACUAGUUCAUGGGUGCAUUUGAUUAUUGUUUCCAUAAUUUUGAACCAGGAAGGACGACACGAUUAAAAUUUGAUUUUAUGGUAUGGUUGAUUUCAUAGCUCAUGCACUCAUUUCUUAAGAUAAUCAAAUUUUCUCUGACAUCUUUUUCAACUGUCGAAAUAUCAAUUAUGAUCAAUCAAAACGAUUUCAAAACCUUUCAACGAGACAUAUUUCUAAUACAAUAUUGUGAAAAUUACACUAAAAAAUUAAUUUAUUAUAUAUUAUUAUCCAACGAGCACACAAAAUGAUUUCGUACAAAUCUAAAAUACUAAGCAAUUUUCAAAUAGAAUUUACCAUGUACUACAAGAAAAUAGGGUAUAUGUGACCCCUACUGUGAAUGCAAAAGCAGCCAUUACGCAUAACCCCGAGUUGCUUUUGUUACCCUUUAUGUGACGGCCACACUGCUGUCACAUAUGUUACGAACCGCGUGACGGUGAAGAGCCGUUCGGUUAUACUAAUAUUUUAGAAUUUUAAAUUUAUUUCCAGUUAGAAAACUAUUCGCUGGACUCCGUGUUGCUGGCCACCAUCGUAAACAUAACUGGUUGCCAGCGAACGGCGUAAAACGCCGGCCAUCUUCUUCUUCAACGUAUUCUCCCUUCAUCUUUUGAGGUAAGCUUGUGAUUAUGAGUUUCUUCUCUUACUUAGCUUGUAAUUAUAGAUUUUGAUUUUUUUUAAUUCGUAUUGUAGCCGUUAUUGUCAAUUUUUGUCCCGCCAGCAAUAUUUUUUUAUUCCUACAAGUUGAACCCCUGUGUUCUUGUUCCAUUGGUGAGUUUGCUCACUCAAAUUAAUUUUGUUCUGCGGAAUUUACAAAGUUCAAAUGGAUUCAUUUGAAUUACUAUUGAAUUUAGCUUUAAUUCCAACAUCCAUUCUAAUGUUUUGCAAUUAGAUUUAAUUUAAUUUUAUGUUUAAAGCUUCUACAAUGAAUAGCGGAGCUUGGGUUUUAGUUUCAUUUUCUGGAUAACUUGUUUUAGUUUAUCUUGUAUGCUCACCAAAUGCUUGUUAUAUUGUCUGAUAAGUUAUAUACAUUGCUGAUUCUACAUUAAUAAUGUUACGUUGUAUUUUCAGAAAUUAUAAUACAAAAGUUUUUGCAAUGGCGUGCAUCUACAAACUGAAUUGACUUGUAGAAUAAGAGCUCGGAGUAGUGUUAUGUUCUUGAAUAAUUGAAAGUUCAUAUUGUGUAAGAGCAUGUAGAUGUAAAGCAUCAUUACCAUUUCUACAAAGUGCUUUCAUUCUGUUCAUAUGCUCUUCUUGAACUUUGAAAGGUGCCUCGUUCAAGUCCUAGCUAUAACUACUAGCUUUGAUUAAUUAAGUUCCUAUACUAGCUGAAACAGAUUUAUUUAAUUAAUUAAUUGUGUAUGUACUAAUUAUAUUGAAAGUAUAUGAAUUUUUUUUUAACAUGAAUGACUUCUAAAUGACUUAAAAACCUAAAGGAUGUGUGAAACAAUGCUCAUUUCAUUUGAAUGAGCCCAUUAAUACUUUUAUGUCUAUGAUUUUCAAUAUUGGCUAAAGCAUUUCAGUUAAGUGGUUUACCUAACAGAGAAAAAAAUUUAAUAGAAAACUUCAGAGUUCUAACAGAAAUAUAGUUCACUAUGCAGAUAUAGUUAUUUUACGGUAUACAAAUCAAGUUGUCCUAAUCUCAAUGUCCUAUGACCGAUUUUAUUUUAUAUAGUCAUUAAUUUUUUCCUUGGUUUUUUGUGUUUAUGAGUAUGAAAUAGUGGGAUUUGGUGUACCUUAGCAUCUUUUGAAAAUUCUCUUUCAGUGUGGCCAACAGAAAUAUACAUAUAAUCAAGUUUCUUAAUCGUGUAUAUUAGUUUUGGGUAUGAAUGUUCCUAUUCUAGUUCGAGGCAAAGCUUCUUCGUUUUGGUCUUCAGAUUUCCAGUAGGUUAAGUUAAUCAACUAUCAUAACUGGCUAGCUAGUUAUUGUCUGCCUUGGCGCCAUUACCCAGGCCAUUAUAUUGCAUAGCAUAAGGAAUAGUGAUUAGGGGAUUAUUAGUGAUUUGUUGAGCUUAUUAUCGACCAAACAAACAUAUUCGCCUUUGCCCACAACUUAGUUUGAUUAGUUAUUAGACCAUAAAGAGCCUUGAUCUAUUCAUUGGCUUUAUUAUUUUUAUUUGGUUUUUCUUUCAACAAUAUUGUUGAUUUCUUAUAAAAAUAUUCAUUGGUUUUUAAAACACCUAAUCAUUGGCUAUAUGAAGCUAAUUAAAACUGAGGCUUUGGAUCAAUUUCUUCUAACAAGAUACAAAUGAGCAUUAACCUAUCUCCUAUGAGUAAAUUUUUUUAAUAUCCUUGAUUUGUAAGGAUCUGGAGGCCUGAAAUCCUCUAGAUUUUUUUUAACACUGUCAAUGUUCUUUUUAUUCUGAGAAGGAAAUAAAAGGUUUUAUCUUUCAUACCCAAAUAGUAAGCUGGCCUUGUCUUAACAUGGCCUCCGAGGACUUGCAAGAUUCAUAGUGCCCCCCACCCCAAAAAAUAAAAAAUAAAAAACACAAAUAGGAAGAUUUUGCAAGAUUCACCACCAGGUUUUUUUUUAAUUUGUUAAUUGUGUGUACGUGCUAGUUAUAUGUUGAAAGAAUAGGAAGAAGUAUUUCAACAUGAAUGACUUAAAACUUAUUGCUCAGUAAACAUAAUCUGCAUGUAUUUAUCGUUUGUAUUUUUUAUGGUUUUGCUAAAGAAAUGAUAUGUGAAAUAAUGCUACAUUGCAUCAGGAAUAAAUUGAAGAGAUUUAUGAUAUUUAUGUGUUAUUCAAAUUUCAGAUUCAAUUUUAAACUUUUGAUACGUGCAUUGAAAGCUUAGACUUGUUUAAGAAAUUAUUAAUAGACACAUGUUUUUAUUAGUGUCAUCUUUGGAUGAUAGUGAGGAUCAUAUGUCUAUUAAUAAUUCUUGAAUUGUCCAGGCUUGGACAGUUUGGGAAUGCAUAGUUCACUCUGGUAGCUAGUAGCUGAAGUUUUUUCCCACGUAAAAAUGGGUUUUUCAGUAGCUGCUCCUCGUGUUCUCUGGGUACGUACUAGGUGAAUGGGUGUCAUGUGUUGUUUUGGCAUAACGCAUAAACACUUAUAUAGCUAUGUCGUGUGCUUGGAGAAUUAUAGGGAGAUGGUGCCGAAAUUUUUAUAAACGUGGAAGAAAACUUUAGGUACUUGAGAUUGAAGAAACUUAUGCAUUCUUGAGUGGGAUAUGUAGGAUUACUUACCUUUUGUAAAUAUGAAGGGAAUGUUGGAUAUAUUGGGGAUAGUGUAGGAGCUGAGUUGGAUGAAUGUAAUUGGUGAUGAUUUUGCUGAGCUGACCUUGGUUUUGAGCUUGUAAUUUGUUGUAAAUGGAGUGCUAUCUCCAAUGUUGGUUUAUAAAUAUGUUUCAGGACUUGCUGACCUAAUUUUUUGUUUCUAGGUUACAGGCUUUAUAUAUCUGUAAUUGAUGGCGAAGUGAAGUUCCCAGAACUUGGCGAGGAUGUUUCUUUACAGAAGGUAUUGGAAACUGUUUUUUACAUUAAUUAUUGUUGUAUAUAUACUUUGAUUUUCACAUCUUUUUCUCUGAUUCUUGUGGCUUUGCUUGCUUUCAUAUAUGUAAAUUCUAAUGAAAUUAACCAUAAAAUUGUAAAAUGAUCUUUUUAUUAUAUUGCAAAACUGUGCACACACGAAAAUAUAUUGUUUAGUAGUAGAAAUGAAGAACUAAAAUGAUUUACUUAACUAAUUUUUGUAGCGCAUUAAAAGGAGAUAGUCAUGGACAUGUGUUGGGUUGGUUUGCCAAAUAGAUAUCCAAGUCAUAUACUGAUGGGGAUGAAAAAUUUAUAGAUUUUGCAUUUGAGAAUGUUGUUGGUGGUACAAGAAUUUAAUGUCCUUUUAAGAAGUGUUGUAAUCUAUAUUUCGUUAUAAGGAAAGUGGCUGAUGAUGAUAUGGUUGGAAUGAUACAAUGCAUCACGUAAUCAAAUGUUCAAGUUACACGGAGCAUUGUUAUGGACUAUCAGUGACUUUCUAGCAUUGCCAACUUGUCUGGGUGGAGUAUUAAAGGUAAAUAAGCAUGUCUUGUUUGCCAACAAAACACUAGAUCUAAUUGGUUGAUACAUAGUAGAAAAUUUUGUCACGUGGGUCACCGUCGAUUUUUACCAACAAAUCAUAGGUUUCGAAAAUAUAGUGUCUUUUGAUAAAACUAGAGAGUAGGGACCAGCACAUUCUCGGUUGUCUGGAUCUGAAGUGAAAAAGCAGUUUAAUAUACUUACUGAGUAUAAGAUUGAAGACUUGAAAAUAGGAGAAUGAAUAAAAUGAGAGAAAUGAUAAGAUUACUUGGAAGAAGAAAAGCAUAUUUUAUGAACUACCGUGUUGGGAGUUCAAUUUGAUUCAUCAUAAUCUUGAUCUCAUGGGCUGUUUUGAUUUUUGUUAUGAACUCAGAUCAAAAGUUUAAUGUGAUCAAAAUUUCUUAAAAAUAGUGAAAAACGACUCCUAAUAAUAUGGAAGAUGGCUAUAAAAGAUAAAAGGAAAGGCUUAAAAAGAAAAGCCAUGCCUGUCCAAAAAAAAAAAAAAAUCAACAAAAAUCAAAACGGUGCGUUUGAGAGUGUAUAAAAUACAUUUAGAGUGGGAGUUGUGUUGUUGCUUGAAGGCAGAAAGAUAUUUGUCGACGAAGCCAAAACCAAAGAUGAAGCCCAUAAAGCUCAAAACUCCACCGGAGCAAAUUCAGACAAUUACGAGGGUUAUGUUUGACAUAGUCAAGGAAGACGGUCCUCUCACCGUUGCCGAAACUUGGGAACGCGUCAAGGUGUGUGUAUCUGUUAAAUUGAAUUUCAACCGUUUGAUCUGUAAUUAUAAUUAAUCCAAUCGAUCUGACAGUGAUCACUGACCAUAAUACUAGUAGUUGUUUUACAUUUUCAGCAGGCUAGAGCGGGUGGAUUGACGGGCAAAAGCUCAGGCUCGUCUGCAAUCACAUGGGCCCUCAUAAGCAAAUCCUGUACACAACUUGGUUCACUAAACCCAACAACUUGAAGCAGCCAAAAUCAGGGAAUGAUCCUUCUCCGUCACAACCCUAGCUGCCUUAACCUUGUAGUGACACGGUGAAGAUGGAAGCCCCUCAGCAUGUAAACUUUUCAACAGCGACAGAGCUCUUAUUCCAGAGGCUGCACAGAAGAGCGACCUGAAUCCUCUUCAAAACUUUCAAAUUUUUAUCAAGUAAAGCUUUCAAAAUUUCUCAACAAACUGAUUAUUUGGUGUGGUUGCCACAUUUUGUGCAACUGCUAUUCGUCUUCAAGUACAAAUUCCUUGCCUUCUAAGUUAGGGAACAUAGAUGUGGAGCAAACAGGGAAAUAGAUGUGGAGCAAACAGGGAAACAGCAAUGAUGGCAAUUAACAAACUAAUAGCAGUAUUACAUUUGAUUCUUUAGCCCAAUUUUGUUCCUUCUGUCAGCCAUUCUUCAAAAGUUUUUGAAAAUUAGAUGUGAAGCAAAAAAAAAACAAAUUUAGACAACAGAAGCCCUGUGCUCAACAUCAUAUAUAUACCUUGAAUACCUAAUAUACUAAAUUUCACAUAUAAAAUACUAGAGAUUUCAAACAGUACCAGCAAUAGAAUAAUGACAACGACAACAAUAACAGAAAAUUACAAGAUUGCUGACAAAAUUUAUGUGAUUUACUGUGCCUUUAUGCAUGCAAAAUGAAACUGAAGAUAAAAAAUUUAGGGAAAAGGACACAGAGACCCCCAACGUUUGAAUAAGGGACACAAAAUCCCUUAAUGUUUCAAAAAAGACACUCAGACCCCCAUUUGUUAACAUUAAAUUAUAAUUUUACCAUUGUACCCUUAUAGCAUAUUAAAAAAUAAUUAUUCAUUAUCCAAUUUAUUUCUAUAUUAUUAAUAAAAUUACGAAUAUAACUUCAUUACUCAAUUUUUCCAUUUAAUUUUUAUCAAAUUUUAUCUUCAAACUAAAUAAAUUUAAUCCAUUGCUCAAAAAUAAAAAUAAAUUAAAUUGAUUAUUAAUAUAAUAAAAAUAACAAUUCUCCAUAUGUUAUUUCUUAUAAUUUCUUAUAUAUAAAUUAAAUUGAUAAUUUCUUAAAAAUAACAAUUCUCCAUAUAUAAAUUAAAUUUAUUUUAAUUUAAUAUAUGUUAUUUUUAUAUUAAAUAUAUGUUAUUUUUAUUAUAUUAGUAAUCAAUUUAAUUUAUUUUUAUUCUUGAGUAAUGGAUUAAAUUUAUUUAGUUUGAAGAGAAAAUUUGACAAAAAUUAAAUGGAAAAAUUGGAUAAUGAAGUUAUAUUCGUAAUUUUAUUAAUAAUAUAGGAAUAAAUUGAACAAUGAACAAUUAUUUUUUAAUAUGCUAUGAGGGUAUAAUGGUAAAAUUAUAAUUUACUGUUAACAAAUGGGGGUCUCAGUGUUUUUUUUGAAACAUUAGGGGGUUUUGUGUCCCUUAUUCAAACGUUGGGGGUCUCUGUGUCCUUUUCCCAAAAAUUUAUAAACUAGAAAUUUAUAAUAAUCUAACUUAUUCUCGUUACUAUUAAAAAAUAAGUAAACAUAUCAAUAACAAUAUAGUUUAUUAUGAUUAUAAUUCAUUCAAUUAAAAUAAAUAAUUUAUUCUUAUUUCUAUUCUCUAUUCUAAUUUCAGUAAAUUUUGAUUUUAGUUUAUUUUAAUUAUUGAUUAGUUGUAAACUUAACUGGAAAUUUAUUGCAUAUAUUACGAGAAGCAGUACACACCAAUGGUAAAUUGAUACAUCGUUUUUGAGCUUAAGAUAGUCAAAUGAAAGAAACACAACGUAGGGUUCAUGAAACACUUUCAAAGCUGCUGAUGACUUAAAGUGAAUAACCUCAGCAUGUAAACUUAACUUCAAAGGACGGAGCACAAGUUUCACAGAAAAACAGCUCUUAUUUCUGAUGCUGCGAACACAGAGGAGUGACCUCAAUCUUCUUCAUCACUUGGGAAUUCUGCAAUUAUAGAGCACGACAUUGAGCAUGAACUAGAAAAAAUAUUUAUUUUCUACAAUUUUCAUAUAACCUCACUAACCAAGAUUAAUUUUGUGGUAAUGUAUUGGGUCAUUAAUUCAUAUGUUUUUACUGUCAUCACUUUAGAAAAAACUAAUUUCUCAAUGUGAAAUGGCCCAUAAAAGGUAUUCUCAUUUAAAAACUAAAUUUGACAAACCCCUCGAUUAAAGCAGGGGAGAGAAAAGAAAAAAAAAAAGAUCUGAAGGCUUUCCACAUGAAAAUGUUGUCACUUUGGAUGAUAUUUUCAAGGGAUUUCAUUCUAAAAAUAAAAUACCUGGGACCUUAUUCUUCAAAUUGACAGCUCGCCCAGUACUAAACGCGUAUGAGAUCAGUACUGGGACAAGUAACGAGACGACCCCUCCAACAGCUGAAAAUAAAAUUCGCAUUCAUCAAUUUAAAUUGAAAUUCAUAUUAUGAAAUUAAAACUAAUGAUUAAUGAAUUUUCAAGGAAUUUAAUAAGAUUCUCAUAUAUAAACGUGAUAAAAAAUUCACUCAUCAAUAACAAAUAUUCUAACAUUUUGUUGAUGUAAUUGUUGUAUGGUUGUGUUAAGGUCAUUAUUAGACCAACGCAGUUUGUCAUCACUCAUUCCGUACCAGACGUUUACUCUCGGAGGCGUGAUUGAUUCUCCUUUGGUGAAAUCUUCAUCUUCGGACAACCAAUCACAGUAAGAUAUUCCAAAGAUGGGAAUUUGAAGGCGUAAUUGCCAGAGGAGAAGCUUGUGAGACUAUCUAAAUCAAACAGGGACAACGUAGUCAGUUUGCUGAAAACAAUCUCUUCUUUUAAAUAUGCUGUUUCAUUUCAAGACUGGCAAAAUUCAUUGUGUAAUCAAAGUUUUCAAUGAUCCAACUAAUAUAUAUAUAUAUGUAUGUAUAUUCCUUCUCUAGUGCAGACAUUCUCAUUUUUUUUUUUCAUGUGGACCAGUUUUUAGAUCCCCUGGUUUAAAAGAGUUAGUUUUUAACUCUUUAAAACCGCAUGGCUUCAUAAUUUAUUUAAAAACUAACUCUCUUAAACCGCACGGUUUAAAAGCGUGUCCACAUUAAAAAAAAAUACGGACCCCCACACCUGAGAAUGAUUAUAUAUAUAUAUAUAUAUAUAUAUAGACACACGCUCUUAAACCGUGGGAUUUGAAAGCUUCUCCGCAUGAAGAAAGUAAAAAAUAAGGGCAUUCCCACUAGAAACAAACUCCAUAUAGGUAUUUAUUAAACCUCCUGAUCUGUGAGUGAGGAACAACAAAUAUAAUUGAUAAAAAAAAUCUAAAAUUUGGUUUCAUACCUUCUUGAACGAGAACAGGGGUUGUUGUGCCGGAAUACCAAAUUGAUCAUUCUCGUUAUUCUGGGACAACGUUAUUUUAUCACAAUUACAGGCCUCCAAUGUUUUUUAGUGCUGGCCAUUCUGAAGUAUGCAUUCCAGGGUAUAAACAUCCGAGUUCUGGUAGACCUUCGAGAUUCAGAGUGGUCACUUGUGGAAAGACAAAAUAUGGGGUCACUUGAUCUGCUCUGUCUUUGGAGAUGAUCUCUUGUAAACCCAUACAUAUCCGUAUCUCCAGGUGUUGGAGGUGCUCAAGGCUUUGGAUCAUAGAAGCUGAAAAUAUGUAUUUUAAUUUGUCACAGCCCCACACUAUCAAUCGUGUCAAACUUUGAAAGCCGCAAGUUGAUUGUCAUGCAAAAUCUCGUCGACAUUAAUAGCAUUCAGCUCCAAAGCCUCCAAAUUUGGCAACACUACCUGAAGAUAAUUUUCUCUUUAGAUCCAAUAUCCGUAUGGAAAGCACUUGUUUUGACACAAUAUCCAUAUAAGAAGCACUUAAUUAAGAGCUUAAUUAGCGAGUGUAUGAGACUUUUUUUUUUUCAAAUGCCAGUGCAUGAUAGAACUAAAAAAAAAAAAGAAGCAUUAGCCUACGUACCUUCUCGUUGAAAAGCAGAGUUGACGUUUCCGAACUGAUCUCGUUGGAACUGGCUGUCAAUUCCUCUUGCGACUCUUGUCUGUUUGGUGAUGUGGAAGAAGUCUUCACUUCACCGCAAAACCUUGUAACCUUUGGAAGCUUUCCCAGACUCAAAGAUCUUAAUUGACCAAACUCUAUCUUCCCAUCAACAUCAACAUCAGCUUCUCCUCCAGUUGCAAAAAUCUCUUCCAUGCUGCUGCAAUUGAUAACUGCAAUCCUCUCCAGUCUUGGAAGGCAUUUUGUACUACUAGAGAGCCAGAAGAUAUUACUCAACUCAUCACAAUUUUCUACUUUUAUGGUUUUGAGUUCAUUGAAGGACUCUAUUUUGAGUCGAUCAAUACAUAUCCUCUCCAUAUUGAUCAAAUUUUGAAGAGUAUGGGACUCCAAAAGAGGAAAGGCGACACAUGGUUCUCUCUCCAUUGAAUCGACGAUACACAGGAAGUCUGGAUUAUUUUGAACAUGGAGAUGCUUCAAUUGUGAAAAGCCCUCAGUGUCCAAUUCUAAAACAACAUUCUUGAUUCCUUGCAACUUAUCCAAACAUAAGUAUUCAACGUUAUUGAUGCGCUGCAACUUCUCGGAGCAAAUGGCCAUAGAAUCAAGCUUGAGCUUCAAUGUUCUUAAACUCUCAUGAUUACUGAUCAUAAAGUGCUGCCGACUUUCAAACCAAUCAUUCUCAAUAACCAGGGUAGAGUCGAAUGAUGCAUCUCCUAUUGAUAUAUCAAACCUUUCCAGCUUUUUGGAAAAAAAGCCAUCCGGUAAAAUGCUAUCAUUUUUAACAUCUAUCUAAGGUGGUCAAUCGCCUCAUAUGCAUCAAUUCGUCGAGGGUGGCAUUACUUCUUUCACUAUUGGCCUUUUCAACUUCCCAUUCAAUAGGGGAAUUACCCAUAUACAGUUCUUCCAAUCGAGUGAAGCUUGAUAAGACGUUGGGCACAAUAAAUUUUAGUUGCAAACAAUCUGUUAAAUCUAACAGCCUUAACUUAGUCAGUUGACCUAGUUCGCCAGGCAACCGUACAAUAUCAGAAUUUAAAAAGCUAAGGAUUUCUAGAUUCUUCAACUUUCCAAUUAUGGCUAUGUCUCCCAACAUGCUUUGAUCUAGACAGAGUGUUUGAAGAUUUGCUAGAAGACCGAUUGAAGAUGGCAAUGAAAAUAAUCGCAUUCGUGUCAAAUCUACAACUCGAAGCUUUUUCAGCCCUUUGAAAAUGUUGUCAGGAAUAUUGACCUCAACAAAAGUGUUUUGGGAAAUAUGUAAAAAUUCAAGUUGCAGACAUUCAAAUUCCUCAGAAACUUCAUGAAUGCUACUAUUUAGUAAAGAGAUUGCAUAGCAUUUUUUAAGUGCAUCCUCAUCUGGCCACUCCCACACAGCCUCAUUUCUCACCAAUAAAGCAUGUUGGUCUCGAUUUAAACUUUAACUCAAUUUGAAAAACUGAGCAAGUAUGCGUUACAGGAAAUCAAAAAAGCUCCACAUACCCAGAUCAUGAUCUCACGUUGAAUCCAGGUGGGAGAUAUAUUUAUGAUCAAGCCCAACAUCGAAGGGGGCAAAAAAAAAAAAAAAAAAAAAAAAAUCUACCAGACAUAUGAUCAUAUUGACCACGAGCUUCAUACGCCGUGGAUUUAUUAACAAAAGUGGGAAUUAAUUAAUCAUGAGCAUGUGUUCUAGUUAAGUCAAAAGAGAGACUUAAUUAAGAACGCAUAUAUAAUUCAUAAUCAGCACAUAAAAAGAUCACUAGUGCUUGCCCCUCCUGCCCUUGCCGUGCUUGCCGUGCUUGCCCCUGCCCUUGCUCUUUCCAUGCUGGUAGUAGCCGCCGUGCUUGCCGUGUGUGUAUGCACCGUGAGCUCCAGGAUAUGCGUUAUUAUCUGCAACAAAAUAAGAAAUUAAAUCAUAAGCUUAUAAUUAGCUCGCUCGCUAAGAGUGAUUAAAAUAAUACCGUGCGGAACGGAUGGGCCAGGAUAUCCCGUUGGUGUGUAACCACUGGCGAGUGCUGCUCCUGUAGGCGGGUAGCCGGCACCGGCUGGGGCAGCAUGAUCAGCACCUUCCAUGAUUUUGAUGAUCACCUAAUAAAUAAUAACUUGGUCCAAAAUAAACAACAAUAAAUAAUUGUGAUUAAUAAAAAGUAAUAUAUUCUCUAAUUAAAACAUUAAUGAUCAUUGGAGAGCAAGCGAGAAAUACUUACUGAAUGCGAUGGGACAGACAACAUCAUGCAUAGAGAAUUGUUCAUCUUCAACGAAUUUGGCUGCCCGGUCAAUGAUGCCGUUAGCACUAACCAGCCACUUCUCAACCUUCUCUUCAAUCUCUUCCCCUUUUUCUUUUGCCUCUGAAACUCUGCGCCGAAUGCUCGUACGUUCAACCUUCAACUUCUCCAUUUCCGUCUUGAGAUUCUCAAGGUUGGCAUUGUAGUUCCGCUUGCGCAAAUAAACAAGUUGGCGUUCUGUUGGAGGAGCCAAGCAUUUUACAAGUUCCAAAACGAGAGUAACAAUGAUUUCCAGCAUCUUGAAUCCUGACAACAAUGUAGAAGUGAAGAAGGCCAAAGGACAGUCAAAACAGAGAGACAGCGUUACGACAAGCAGUUAUGGAGCUAAAAAUAAAUAACAAACAAACAGAAGCAAAGUGUUUUUCGAAUGAGAAGAAGGAAGCAAGAAAAACUUAAAACUAGUAUAAUAAAUUUAUACUAAAACUAGUAUAGUAAAACAAGAAGUCAAGAACCAGCAACUUUUACACACAAAAUAAAACCUUAAAACUAGUAUAAUAAAUUUAUCAUCAAGUUGCAGCCUUCUUAUUCAACAAUUACAGCAUUAUCUUGAGCUCUGUGUUUCUUUUUUUAAAAAUUAUUCAAAAAAAUCUGCAUUUGUUUUUCAACGAUAAAAAUUAUAUUUUUGUCUCAUAUAAUAUAAAAUUAAAAAAAAAACAAACAUAUAUUAAAGGUCUGUUUGGGAUUAUUUUUAGAGGCUCAAAAGUAAUUUUAAAAAGUUAAAUGCUAAUUUUGGUAUUUAAUAAAAUUUUUAGAAGUCACCUUUGGUAAAAUCAUCAAUCCUACAACAAAUUUUGAAAGCAAAUAGUUUUUCAAAUUUUUAUUUUGAUAAUUAAUUUUAUACUUAAUAUAAUUCCAUAUACAUCCCUACAUAUAUUAAUUAUCCUUAUUAAUUAGAAAAUAAAAUUAUUAACUUUAAAGAUAUUAUCAACAAUUACAUUGAGAUAACAAACUAAAAAUAAAAUUAAUAAUAUAAAAUAUUUAUUUUAGUAAUCAAUUAUUAUACUUACAAGAUAAAAAAUAUUUUAUUUAAAUGUUUAUAAAUGUACAAAUAAAUUUUAUUUAAUAUUAUAUUCAAUUUAGUCAUUUACAUUGUCAAUAGGACUUCUAAAAAUAAAUUUUCCUAAAUGUUUAACUAAUUCUCUUCAUAGUGAUUAUUUCCAAACAUAACUACCAAAAAUUACUAUAAUAGAUACAACAUUACCAAAAAAAUAUUGAGAUAGAUUUUAAUUAGGUAAUUGACUUAAUUAUGAAUCAAUUUAUUAUUUCCAUAUGUGUUAUCAAAACCAGCUCAAUAAUGAGAUCACUCUUUUUCUUAAAUAAAAAUAUUUGUGCCAAACAAUUGUUGCAAAAUUUCAAAUAUAAAUUACAAACAACAAAAUUUUCUAAAAUCAUAACAAUAAUUUAUGUUGUGAAUACAUGUAACUAAACCACAUUGAAAUUUUAUUGUUAGUAAAAUUGUUUUUCACGCAAAUGCAGUGACGGAUUCAGUUUCAUGUUUCACCCUCAAUAACUUAAUUUUCAUAUCUAACAAAUCAUCCAUAUUAUUAACAAUAUCAUCACCAAACAUAAUCUACCUAAACAUAAACUAAACAUAACACAUACAUAUAACUAUAUACAUACCGAAUCAGGAAAACAAUGAAAGCUACACGUAUCCGGCUCUACAAUUCCUUCUUGAUACCCUUGUGCUUCUAAAAUAAUCAACCAAUUAUAAAAAUUAGCUUAGGUGCAACUUUACCCCUUUUUUUGGGAAACUUAACUAUAAAUAAAGUAUACAAAUCUCUAAAUUAACUUCGUCCCCAUGAAAUUCGGCAUAAAUAGAAAUAGAAUUAUAGAAACCUUACUACCUUUUAUGAGAAAUCCAACUUAUAUAUUUGAGACCUCUCUCUCUAAGCACGCGCUUCCUCUCUCUGCACACUUUCCACCUUUAAAUUCUCCUUCACUAAGUUUACCUAAAAGAAUUUAGCGUUCUCCCAGUUUCUUUCGCAUUUUUCUCCGUGAAAAUUGGUGAAAAAGAGAAAGUGAUUUGAUUAUUUUAAUGUGCGACAGAUAUGGUUUCCAUCUCUGUAAUAUAAGUGUAUCAAAACGAGGUGAACAACUCUUUGUCGAGUCAGUCAAAUAUAAAAGACAAAUUACGAAACCAAGCAGAGCCAAAAAAAAAAAAAAAAAUUUCCAAUUAAAUAAUCAUCAAGUCUUUUUCAAUUAAAAUCGGAGGUGCAGAACAACUGUCAGGAGAUAAUCAUUGUUUAUGGAGCCAUAUUAUAUUUUCGAUUAAAAUAGUUGCGCGUGAACAAUUGGCAGAAUUCGUAUAAAUUGUUUUAAGGUCUAUUAUAAUUAACAUUUAACAAGUGGAAUGGCCAAUGGAUGAAGAACCACUAUAAUUAGGGGGGUUUUGUGUCCCUUAUUCAAACGUUGGGGGUCUCUGUGUCUUUUUCCCAUAAAUUUAAAAUGCUAAAGAAACUGGGGAAAUUUACAAAAAUAACCAUAAAAUUUUUGUUAUUUUUACAAUUAACCCUCUCAACUUUUUUCUAUCAACAUUAGCCAAACACGUGCUUUUCUCCCCAAAUUACCCUUCUUUACAAACCAAAAGCAACAUUCUUUCUCCCCUUUCGUCAAACAAAGGCAGCUUCCACUCUUGAAUCAUCAACCAACGACAACGGCAAAAGGCAACGAUAAAAAGUGAAAUCCGAUCAUAAUUUAUUCGGAUCCAACACUAAUCGGCAUCACAUAGUGGUAUGAGUUAUUUUCUUGCUCGUGAGUUUGCCUGUCGCACCAAAAGCCAGAUUCAUUAUAAUUAACUAUUAAUUUGAUAGGGCUGAAAUAAUUUAUUUUUUUAUAAUUUCAGGCUUAAUGGAUUCAGUUGUACUUGAAUUGUGUUACGAUGGUUGUUGGGAGACAUUAGAGGAUGGGCGUAUGGAGUAUGUCAAUGGUAAAAAUAGAGCUUUUUUGGUUGGAAAAAAUUGUCUUUUUGAUCAGUUAUUGGCAAGAGUAUACGAUGUGUUACAAAUUAAUCCUAAUGAAUAUAGUAUCACAAUGAAGACAACUUUGAGGUCUAGUAACACAUUAUAUCGUGUAUGUGCACUGCCCAUGGAUAUAUUUGAUGAUGAAAUGGUGAGGGUUGUGUUACAUAUGGCAUCCGACGUAGCUAAUUUUGGAUGCAUUCCUAUAUUUGUUACCACAUCACCUCGAGUUCCGAGUGGAGGUAUUGAGCCACAUGUCGAUACAGAAACUUCGUUUAGAGCAAAUAUGUCUAGCCUCGAUAAUGAAGAAGAGGUGUUGCCAAGGACAAUAUCACUGCAGCAAUAUUACUCUCCAAUCCACGACAAUUAUGACAACAUUGAUGAUGACGGCGUUACGUUACAGGAUGUUGGAGCAACGGUAUUUCCAAUAACGACGUCGUUGGAGCAACGGUAUUCUCCGUAUCACAAUAAUGAUUUUCGGGACAAUGAUGAUUUUCAUGAUGAGACAGAGGGGGAUAAUGUUUGUGCAGAACCUUCUAAUAAUAUGAGGGGCACUCAUUUCAAUAAUGAUGGUGAUGAUGGAGGAGCCGGUCCUUCGAAUGUUCCGUCGUUUCAGCAUGAGGAUGAGUGUGAAGACAAUACUCCUGCGAAUAAUAGAGGCAAUAGACCUAUUCUAGCAAUGGUUCGAUCGAGAAGGAGAAUUGACCCUCUCACAAGUCUUGCUCCAACUUUGCCUUCGAACAUGGUUGCUCCAAGUUUUGUUAGCAGUUGUGACUCAGAUGAUAUCAGUGUCGGUAAGCUAUUUGCUGAGAAGAAUGAGUUUAUAUUACAACUACGCAAGGUUGCCUUUCAGGAUAAGUUUGAUUUCAAGAUUGCACGGUCUACUACGACACGUUUCGAGGCUCACUGUAGUUCAGAAUCAUGUAAAUGGCGUAUUCGAGCAACUAGAUGUUCGAACGAGGAAAAUGUUCCUUGGGUGGUGCGGAGAAUUGAUAAUGUACACACUUGUCAUAAUGAGGUGUUGGUUGCUGGAUGUCAUCAAGUCAGGAGCCGGGUUGUCAGUCAUAUUAUCGCAGAUAAAUAUAUUCAAGUCAAGAGAAUUUAUACUCCGAAUGACAUAAGAGCAUAUAUGCAACAAGAAUACGGUGUUCAGUUAACAUACCAGCAGGCAUAUCGGGCAAGAGAAGUUGGUCUUGAAAUAGUUCGAGGCAACCCUGCAGAGUCAUACAACUUGCUCCCUAAAUACUCUCGCGUACUAACUGCAGCGAAUGAGGAUACAGUCACUCACAUCGAGCUGGUGCGACAGCCGCGCCUGUUACACCAAAAAAUUGGUGCGACAGGCGCGCGCUGUCGCACUUGAUCUGGUGCGACAGUGGGGCACGCAUGGGCGCGCGCGCGCGCCCUGCCCCCCUCCCUCUCCACCCCCAAAAUUAAGCCACAACACUUUAAAAUCGAAAAACAAUACUCCCAAACACCACCAACCACCACAAACACCACCACUACCACCAUUAUUCUCAAGCUAUAACUAUUAUUAUUCUAAAAUCUCAUUUUAAAUUAAUGAAAAUAAGAAAAAUGACUAACCUAGGUUUUGUUGAAGGUUGUAGAUCGUAGAUCGGAUGCCGGUGAGAGAUGGAGCCACCGCCGACGAGGGUUGAUGUUGCCGCCGAUGAUGGGAGUUGGAUCGGUUUGGGAGAGAUGAGUGAAAGGGAGUGUUGGGGAAGAGAUGAGGGAGGGGUAUUUUGGUCUCAAAAGUUGUUUAAUGGCUAAUGUUGAUAGAAAUAUUUUUGGGGGGUUAAGAUGAAAAAAAUCAAAACUUUUAUGGUUAUUGUUGUAAAUUUCCCAAGAAACUGACAUCAACGCUAAACGUGAAUCUGCAGCCCUUGCCUCAGUGUCUUUCAGGCGUUACUCGGGGUAGUUGAUAUACUGACGAGCCCUUUAUCAAUUAAUAAUCGAAAUAGAUUAAAAUAUGAAUGGAUUAGAAUAGAAUGAGUUGGAAUUAAAAUACGAAAUCACAAUCAGAUUAAUUUAUUUUUUUAAAUUGAGGAAUUAGAAUUGGAAUAAAUUAUAUAGUUAUUGAUGUGUUUAUUUUAUUUUAAAAUUACAAGAGUUGUUGUAAAUUACUAAUAUGCCCUUAAUUUUUUAUUAUAAUUAUAAUUAUUUAUUACUACAUUUGUCAUAUUAUUAAUAUUAUAAUAAUAAUGAUGAUAAUAAUAAUAAUAAUGAUUGUAACAAUUAAUAUUGAAAAAAAUUUAUUGUUAAUAAUAGUAAAUAAAAUAAGAAUAAAUAGGCAAUUAUUCACUGACCACGUGAUCUUUCGGACUCUUUCAAAAAUACACAAAUACUUUUUUCUUUGCAGAAAUCCUCCUGAAGUUUACAAAGUGUUUCAAUUGUUCACUGUCAUCUUAACUCUAUUAGAAUCUUGUUGAUGUUGUCAGGAUAAAAUUGUCAUUUUACCUAAACAUCCAAAAGGAAGUAUAAGAUGAAGCUCAACUUGGAGAAGUGUGCUUUCGGGGUUGGAUUCGGCAAAUUCCUUGGGUUCAUGGUGAGUGAUAACUCUAUGAAAUGAGAGUUAUCAUGAAAUUUUUAAGUUUAAAUCAAGACUACUCAGAGAGUAAUUGAUAUGUUUUAGUGCACUUUAAUGAUAGUUUGCAUUACAUUCAUUUUAAUUUAAGUUUAAUAAAGUUUAUGUGAUUUCUGAAUAAUUGUAUGCUUAGAACAUAUGUUUAAUUGUAGGUCAAUGGAAACUUGAAUUUCAUGGAAAAGAUGCUUUUGCAAUGGACUUAUAAAGAGGACAAACGAGCAUGGCUAUAGUAGAAUUGGAGCAAGUUUGGAACAGUGGAGUUGCUGUAGCCAUUACUGUAGCAACCAUUGAUGUAGCAAUCCUCGAGCAUUGCGAUCUGCAGUUUCCUAAUCUGAAGAAAAAGUGGCAUAAGAGAGAGAGCCAUCAAUUAAGAUCAAAAACAGAAAAGAACCAAGGAAGUAACAGAAUUCCUGAGCAGAAUUCAAGGCUGAGCCAGUUGAAGAAAUUUGCAGAGUCAAUUGGAAUUCACUCUUUCUCAUUCUUUUCUUAUUUACUUGUUAUUUAUUGAUUAUGAAGAUGUACUAAAUGGCUAGAAUUUGGUUGUUUAAUCUCCUUUCACAAAUUAUGAACUAAAUUCAUUUGUGGUUGAGUAUUAAACUAUCUUGAUGGUUAAUUGACUAAAUAUAGGUGUUGCUAUAUGUUUGCUACAACAUUUUGCUUUAAUAACAUUUAUUUACAUUCAUUAUUUCGGUUGACCACCCAUUUAAUGAUACAAGUUAAGAAAGAGCUGUAAAAAGGGUCUAUCUUAUUGAAACAUAUUAGAGUAAUACUUGGUCUUAAAUUGGGUUUCCUAGAUUGAGUUUAACUUGAGACCAAAAAGGGUUGUACUUAAUUUAAGAUUAGUAAUGAACUAGAUAUAGGGAUUUGCCUUGUAGGGUAAAAAGAACAUAAAUGUGUAAUACUAUAUCUUACGUUGACAUAGUAACUGGUCACUGUUAGGUUGUAUAAAGAUAUAAAACAUUCGAACAUGCUACCGUUGAGGAUAAAGAUGGUUUCUGCCCAGUGCUGUAGCAGAUGCUGCAGCAACUGAGCUUGACAUGAAUAACACAGUCAACACCAUCAAGAGAGUUUAAUCACUCAACUACUCUAUUCUAAUUAAAUUUAAUUUCAUGUUUAAUGUAAAAAAUUUAUUUAUUACAUUUUUAAUUAUUGUGAUUUUAUUUUACCUAGUCAUUUAGUUGUAUUAGUUGCAUUGAUUUAAUUGAUAACAUAGGUUGCUCUGUGAAAUUACUGUAGCAAGUCUAAUAGCAUCAAUCCCUAUGGAGACGAUCUUGGAUACUUAUCCUUAUAUUACUUAUUGUGUACACUUGUGCAUUGACACUAAUAGCAAUGGAGUUAAAAUUAGCAACAAAUUUUUUGUGCUAUUGCUGGGGUUUGAUUGUUUACUUUUCAGUUGUGAAAUCAAUUUUGACGGUGCUAAUCUUUGAUUUUAUUUUGAAUUGUUUACUUUGUUAACAGAUCACUCUUGCAUGUGAAAAUACAAACUUGUUGAAUUUCAAUUUGAUCCAGAGAUUGAAAGAACUACAAGGAGAUUGAGAAGAGAGCAAAGAAAUUCAAAAGCUGCUGUAGCAAUAGAUGACUUGCAAAACUUAGGAAACUUAGACCCUCACGGACCAAUAUAACCUGUUAAUGCUCAAGAAAGUCAGAAUGGGAAAAUUAAUCAGAGACCAUCAGGGAAUAACAAUAUUAGCUACAUGGAAAAUGAUAGAGACAGGGCCAUUAGAGAUUAUGCUUUGUUAGCCCCUUAAGUUAUACAUCCUGACAUUGUCAGACCUGAGGUAAAAGAUGCCAAUUUUGAACUCAAACCAGUGAUAUUUCAAUUAUUACAAACAGUGAGGUAAUUUAAUGGAUUACCAUCAAGAGGUGAGUGAUGCUUUUAAAAUUAUUGGAGCAUCACAAGAUGCAUUGAGACUCAGAUUCUUUCCUUACUCCCUAAGAGACCGAGCAAGAGUAUGGUUGAACUCUUUACCACCAGACUCCAUUACAACAUGGAAUGACUUAGCUGAUAAGUUUAUGAUGAAGUACUUCACACCAACCAAAAAUACAAAAUUAUGUAAUGAGAUUACUUCUUUUCGUCAACUAGAAGAUGAAAACUUAUAUGAGGCUUGGGAAAGAUUCAAUGAGUUAUUCAGGAGAUGUCUUCAUCAUGGCAUUCCUUACUGCAUACAAUUUGAAACCUUCUAUAAUGGGUUGAACCCAAGCACUAGAUUGAUGGUCGAUACUUCAACAAAUGGGGCUUUGUUAUCUAAAUCUUACAAUGAAGCCUAUGAAAUUUUAGAGAGAAUUGCUAAUAACAAUUAUCAGUGGCCAUCACCUAGACAAAUUGUAUCAAGAGGAGCAGCAGGUAUACAUAAUGUGGAUGCAUUUACAGCAUUAUCAGCCCAAGUAACAUCAUUGACCAAUAUGGUGAAAGCUAUGACUACUGCUCUAUCGAAUGACAAUCAAGUUGCCGAUGUUUCUUGUCUGUAUUGUAGAGAGGGGCAUUUAUUUGAUAAUUGCCUAAGGAAGUCAACGUCAGUCAAUUAUGUGGGCAACUCCAAUAGAUAGAACCAGAACAAUCCAUAUUCCAGUACCUACAAUCCUAGAUAGAGGCAGCACCCAGUGGACAGAACAGACCUACUCAGCCAGUUGAUUUUCAUCAGCAAAAUCAAGGGUAAAAAAACACCAGCAAUGAUCAAUUCAGUUCUUUGGAGACCCUAAUUAAGGAGUACAAUGUGAAUAAUGAAGUAAUUGUCCAAAGUCAGGCUGUACCAUUGAGAAAUUUAGAAAAUUAAAUUGGACAGCUUGCCACAUUAUUAAGUAACAGACCUUAGGGGAGUUUACCCAGCAACACAGAAGAUCCAAGGAGAGAAGGUAAGGAAUAUUGAAAGGUGAUCAAAUAUUGCACAAACUAGAAGCCUCAGGUCGGCUGGUGAAAUGGGCAAUAGAGUUGAGUAAAUUCUAUAUAAGCUACAAACCCCGAGCAACAAUCAAAGCCCAUGCAAUGGUGAACUUCGUGGAAGAAUUUACAGAAUCACAUGUGGAACCUAGCCACAUUGAUAUUGCUAUAGGCAACAACAAAGGUCAAAUCUGGCAGAUGACAGUGGAUGGAUCUUCAGGUGAGCAAAGUACUAGAGCGGGGUGGUCCUGGAGAGUCCAGAUGGAGAGGAAAUCUCUUACGCUGUUAGACUGGAGUUCAAGGCCACAAAAAAUCAGGCUGAAUAUGAGGCUCUAAUUGCAGGGCUAGAGUUAGCUAAGGCGGUGCAGGCAAAUAAGGUGAAAAUUCGGACAGAUUCACAGCUAGUCGCCAACCAUAUUAGUGAAAUGUUCUAACCUAAAGACGAAAAGAUGGGGCAAUACCUGAGGAGGGUCAGGCAGAUGAUCAAAAAGUUCGAGUCGAUGGAUAUUGUGCAAAUUCCAAGGAGUGAAAACUAUCGAGCUAAUAUCCUAGUUGGAAUGGCUGCUACAGCGGACUAAAAAAUGCCAAAAUCAGUCCCUAUGGAAGUCAAGUCCUCCCCCCAGCAUUGUGUAAAGUCUGGAGAUGAUGCAGAUAGAGCAAAAAGGCUCAUGGAUAGACCCAAUAAUCUCAUAUAUACUGGAUAGAGUGUUACCAGCAGAUAAAACGCAAGCAUGAAAAAUCAAGGGCCAGCGUCUAGGUGUACACUAAUUGAUGGGGUGUUAUACCGACGAGGGUACACCUUGUCGCUCUGCGGUGUCUGGACAAAGACGACGCGAACUACGUUAUAAUGGAAGUACAUGAAGGGGUUUGUGAAAAUGAAUCUAGAGUUAGAUCUCUUGCCUACAAAGCCUUAAGACAAGGUACUUAUGGCCGACGAUAUACUAAGAUGCUCAAGAGAAAACCAGGAGUUACAGAAGUUGCCAGAACUUUGCUAGUUUCCCUACACAGCAAUAAAAAAUACUUACUACUAUGACUUCACCAUGGCCGUUUACUCAAUAGGGAAUCAACCUAAUCGAGUCUUUGCCAAAAUGAUGAAGAGCAGUUACACAUGCUAUCGUGGCAAUAGAUUAUUUCACAAAAUGGGUCAAGGUAAAAGCACUCAGAAGAAUCACAGAGAAUGAUAUAACUGAUUUCAUGUGGAGAAACCUUGUCAACCGGUAUGGAAUCCCAUACGCCUUGAUAGCGGACAACAACUAACAAUUUGACAAUCACAACUUUAGGGAGUUUUGUCAGAACUUUGACAUAGAGCUAAGUUCUGCUCCCCUGCCCACCCUUAGUCCAAUGGACAGGUGAAAGUGGCCAACAAGGUUAACAAAAAAACUCCUGAAGACCAAACUAUGAGAGAAGAAGUGUGCAUGGGUUGAUGAGCUUCUAGGAGUGUUGUAGGUAUAUAGGACUUCUCAUAAAACCGCCACCGAUGAGACACCCUUUGCUGUAGCCUUUGGGCAUAAAGCAGUCUUGCAUGCAGAGAUAGGGGUAACCACGCACCAAACUGAGCACUUUGAUGAGAGUGAGAAAGGUGAAUCAGAGUACCAAAGAUUCGACCCAUGGUGUGUAUCCGGAUCAAGAGCCUACAAGCUUGCUCUCGCGAAUGGACAUGAGCUGAAACAACCAUGGAACGUAACACAUCUAAAAAAAUACUUCCAAUAAGGCCCAUUGGUAGCGAGUUAGAGUUAUUUCUGUUCAUUUCUGUUGUUGUUUAAACUUUAUGAUCAGUCAAUUUCAUGUAUGUCGUAUGCCAUGAUUAAUAAAGUUUGGAGGAAGUUCAUUCAAUUAAUUUAAAGAAAAAAAAAGUUCGUAAGGUAAAUAAAUGCCUCAAAGUCUCAAAGCCUGCUCGAUGGUGAGACCAGAAGCCAGAUUUUCCAGACUCUGCUCUACCGAACGAUGACGAGCAGACAAUCAAAUAUUUCAAAAAGUUUCUAAGGCAGACAAAAGCUUCAAAGUCUCAAAGCCUACUCGAUGGCGAGACUAGAGGCCAAGUUUGCCAAACUCUGCUCGACCGAAUGAUGGCGAGCAGACGAUCAAAUAUUCCAAAAAAUUUCCUAAGGGAAAUAAAGGCUUCAAAGUCUCAAAUCCUACUCGAUAGCAAGAUUAGAAACCAAGUCUGCGAGACUUUGCUCGAGCAGGCUACAAGAAAAACCAAGUUAUUCGUUAAUAAUCUAGUGACAAUGACAACUAGCCUCAAAACUUGGCAUACAACGUUUACAAAAGAAAAUUAUGGUACAUUCACGAGGAUGAAGGAUCUAUAAGUAGAGCAGCUUUUGUUGGAUUUUCAAGCAGUAGAGAAUGAGGGGUCUGGCCAAUUCUGCCCGAGGGAGUGCUUGCUUCGAUCGGGGUUUUGCCUUUCAAGACCGGCAAUGAUGCAUCGACAGAAGUGCCUGAGCCCUUCGUUAAAUUGUCAUCAACUUCCUUUUCCAAGUUCUCAAUCUGAGUCUGGUGUGAAGCACAAAGUGAUUCCAACUAAGACUCGUAGGAAGCUUUUUAUGUCUCCAAAUUCUUAUUGACCUUGCUCAGCUACUCCUCAAGGGUGAUCACAUUGGCCUGUGCAAGAGAUGUCUGCUCCACUAAUUUCAAGUUCUCGAGGGUGAGGUCUCUUGCUUUCUUCUCAGUAGCAUCAACUUCGUUUUUAGUUGAUUGAAUAUUAUACUUCAUCUUGUGGUCAUAACGGCCAACUUUCACCUUGUAGUAGGUAGUCAUGCAACAUAGGUGGAAAACACUGAAUUGCAUAGCCCUAACUAGCUCACGAGGGUAAUGCCGUCAAAGUCCUCUAAAUCGUUUUUUUUCACGAGCCUAGAAAACUCACUUAUGUAAGGGCCAUAUGCUCUGGUCGAUCCUCAGGCAAUUGCGGUUCGGAUCUUGGUGGAGGAGGAGUGGUAACAAGACCAGUGCCGCUCGCAGCUCCACCAACUUCACCUGCCUUAGGACGGGGAGGAGGAUGUGGCAGCAUCUUCAGAGGGGAAGCUUUCCCUACAAUAUUGACCCACUUCUCAAGGGAGCAUAGUUGCUGCAACCCCCCUUUACACCACGAAAGCGAGGGCGUUUUCUGUUCAAAGCCCCAAUCACAGCAUCCUCUAUAGCAAUUCACCUUCGAUGCGGUAUUAGACACUCCAGGAACUUGCAACAUAGGCAGAGACUCUGUUAGAAAUUACUCAAUCACUUGAUCAGCUGGUGGUGUAAAACAACUUAAAUAAGCAGGCAACCUGGAACUAAGAAACGGAUGGGGACAUGGACAUUCUCAUCAUCAGUCGGCCACUUGACCCUAAGGACCCCCAGCAAAAAAGAAACUGCUUUUCUAAUUCUCACCACCUGUUAGGAGGCCAGUUAUAGGUUUCCUAGUCUUGGUACUUGACAUAAAAUAGUACCAACUAACAUCUUUAAGGCUACUCUUUAAUUGGUAUAAGUGUUUAACCUCAUCAAUUAUAGGCUCACUCUGACCACAUCUGUCCCAAAGUACGAGUACACCAGAAAGUACCCUCUAUCCAUUAGGGUUAAGCUGACCAUGAGCUAAGUGUAAUCUACCAAGCAUCUGGACGAAGUAAAGCGGCAAAGGAAGCCUCAUCCCUUGUUUAAAACUCUCUAAAAAUAUAGCAACAUACCCCCUGGAAGGUCGAUUAGGGGUAUCUUUUUUCUUAAGAACCCUAAGGUUUAUGUCAUCAGAAAUCUUGUAAGUAUUUUGGAGGGGUUUAAAGUCAUCUACUGUGGUCCUACAAGUCAUGAGGUCAAUAGGGUAGUUUUCGGCCGGAGUCCUACCACCUAAUUUCCUCCUCUUUGCUGGUCUUACUACCUUUAGUGAGGAUGCUUCACCAAACUCUUCAUCUGGGUACCCGCUUAGGGUCUCCUCUGAGCUAGAAGAUUCGUCAUUGUUACUUUUGCUAGAUGAGGUAGAAACCUCAGGAGACAUCCUCCUAGCACUACUUCUAACACUAGAAUGGCCUACAAGCUCUAAGGGGAUCCUAGGGUCGAAAAUGGGCUCUGUGAGCAAACCAGGUAGGAAAUCCAGUUCGUCAUCAUCAAUCUCAAUUUCUUUUUCCUUGCCUUUUGACAUUUUCUAAGCGAUAUCCAAGAAGAUACAACUAAAUCCCUCUUAACCCUAGAAAAAAAUGACAAAUAUCUAAGACAAGAGAGAAGAAGACCGUACCUAAAGCAGCGGCACCUCAAAAUCAAAAUGGAGGAAGUGACUUGAUAUUCGAUGGAGGAAAUAGCUGAGUCACCAAAGGGCGAAAGAAAAGCCGGAAAAAAACUUUCUUGUGAAGAUUAGGGUUCCCCAAGAGACACGGAGACCCCUAAUUUAUUACCAUUUAACGACACGCACUCCGAGGGUUCUUAACAGGCAGUUAAAAAUUUAAAUGAACGAGUGGAUUCCUGCCACAUCACCUGCUUUUAAUUAUGACGUGACUCUUUGGAUAAACAGCUAAUAGUAGCUUAAAGGAUCAAGUGGAUAAGGUGACCAGUCCUCAUUUCAAUGCCAAGAAGCCAAAGUGUGUUUUGAGCAAGAUAAGACUACCAAGUUUCUAGUGUUGAUCCAUUGCAUUAUCAGCACCAGAAACUGAGGGACUAGUAUUUGAGGCGUAUAACGACGCGACCAGCUACACUCGAGCGAGGAUUUCCUUUUUGUGGGCGAUGGGCUAUAUAGUGUCCGUGAGCAGAAGUGCUCUAUUCGACACCGAGGAGUUUUCUGCUAAACACCGAGGAUAUCUCCUGAUGGGGCCAAGGUCGGAAGACCCAGUCUAUGGCAGUUGUUAGAACAUGUGUCGCUCUCCGAGAAUCCAGGCACGAGGCCUAUUCAGCCACGAUCACAACGCCCGAGCAUCCAUGACCGGGAACUAAGGUAGAGUGGCAAACGUGGGUCAUGGUGACUAAAUUCUCAGGAGGGCUAUAAAAGGGGCUUGCAAAGAAGGUAAAGGGUUUAGACAUUUUUAAACUAAAAAUUAACCUAAGAGAAUUGGGGGGUGCAUCUUUAUUGGCGAGAAUUGGGAAAAUUUUUGAGAUUUUUCCAGUGUUUGAGAAAUUAUUACAGAGCCACGAGAUUAGUGGCAGGGUUUUUUCACAAUAAGCCCAGAUUGCUGACUUGAGCGUCGGAGGGUUUACGUCGGGAAAACCCUCAGCGUUCUUUGACCAAUUUCUGUGUGUACAGGAAUUCACAGAGGAGGAACGGUGAGCCUCAUAGUUCUGCUUAUCAAACAGGAGCAGAGUAAAGUUAUCCCCUACCACUACAAAUUUAAGUGUUGAAGAGAGAUCAUGGUCUCGAACGAGCAGAUGCAAAAUCCCGUAUCAAUAAUAACAACAACAACAACAACAACAUCAUCAAUAAUAAUAAUAAUAAUAAUAAUAUAUUAACUUUGUAGGAUGGAGCUCUCGCAAAUCUUCAAGACACAAAAUGUGUUUGACCCCAUUGUUGUUAUUAUAAUUUCAAAAUCAUUUGUAUAUAUAAUAUUAGGGAAUAUGACAUAGAAAAAUUGAUGGUACAUAUGUUGCAAUAUUCUUGUUCAUGUGGCGGCACACUGAAGUAAAGCAUAAGCAGAGCAACAACAAAUGUAAUGAGAGAGCUCUCAUUAUGUAGAUUUUCAAUAGAAGUAAUGCAUAUUUCACAAAGGCAAUGGCCUUAUUUUGAAUGCUGCACCUGAGGGUUGACUUGAAUCUUCUAUAGAACUCAGGCAUUCUGUAAUCAUAGAGUAUAGCAUUUCAACAAAAAUAUUAUACAGGUCGUUCCUUUAUAUAUUUUCUGGGUACACAUACAGAAAUAUUAUUUUGGGUACAUUUCUUGCAGUAAAACCUGCCCAGUCUAGCGUUCUCGUAAGUUGGGUUUCUCAUUUGCAUGUUUUUUCCAUUGGUUAAUUAUCACAAACCUCCACUAACAUUUAGCAUAUUCUUAGUUUAAUAGAUUAUAUUGGCGUAUUCUCAAAUAUAAAUUAAGCUGGUGAGGAUAAAAUCGUAAAAGCACCAUUAAUGAUAAAAAGAAACCAAGUAAACUUGAAAUUUUCAAGUUGUGUUUUGAAAUUGGUCUCAACUUUGUAAAUGUCCAUUGGGUAAAGAAGUAAAGAACAGAAGCAAGCUGUUCCCAGCACACAUAAGCAAGCUUUACGCAGCACAAAUUAACACCCACAAAAAAUGAAAAGGAAAAAUGGUCAUCUCUUUCCUCCAUUCGAAUUGAAGCCAUGAAACACAACAUCCCUUUCAUCUUCUCUCUAAUGCUUUGAUUAGAAAACUUGCUUACAAACGGGAGACCAUGACACUGAAUCCUGAGACGGCAAUACCAGAGACGACUGAUUUACGCCAACGGUGUGGAAGAAUACCAACCAGUGACUUUCGCUGUCGACCCACAAACAAUCCCAGUGUUUUCUAGCUGCGAAUGAGGUAUGAAUCAGAUUAUUUCCGUGCAUUUCAAUUUUGUCAGCUGACAUUAGGAGAUUUGGUUAAAAAAAAAAGAAUAAUGGGUCUCGAAAAUUUUUUGAGAGUGUUUUUGUUGCUUACAUUAUUUUCCAUCGAUUAAUGUUAGUUGUAGGUGAAUGAUUGUUGCAAAUGCAUGUUCGCUUGUGAUUGAUUGAAAAUGGCUUGUGAUUUGUUAUGCUGCCGUGUGACUGAUUAAAAAUGGCUCUGAAAAUUUUUCAUUUGUUUAAGGUACUGCUGUUGAUUAUUGAACCAGGAUUCAUGCUAGUUUUUGUUAAAUUGAAGAUGAGAUUACUUUUUAAGAGAUCUGCAAAACCUUCUCUACUAUAGAUUUGGCUUCUGGCAUACCUGGUUGGCUGGAGAUAAUUGUUUAUAUAGUCAUUGCUGCCCAUAUUAAUCAGGAAUAUUGAUUAGCAAUGUACUGGAUUAGUGAUUGGUAUAAUUUUGGAAAAUCAGUCGUAGAUGCAACCUGGUUAUGGUCUCAAAUAGUGUGAUCUGUCAAUUCCGUUUGCUCUGGCCUAACAACCUUGAAUCUGAGCUAUGCCACUAUACAAUGUCCUGACCCAAUCAAGCUUGUUAGCCAACGUCCAAAAUUGCAAUGUCUUUAGAUAAGUCCCGUCUUAUUUGUUUGAGUUAUAAAUGAAAAUUGCAGUGUCUUUGGAUAAUCACGCUGAUGUUCACGUUAUUGACGAGAGGAACCUCCAGAUUCAAGGCCGGAGCUCCUUGUUGAGAAACUUUGCAUAUAUAGGAUUGUUGCCGAGUGGAGGAUCGAUAUGACUGGUCUUGUUUAGAAUAGGGAUGGAGAUUUUGCAUUAAGGCUUUCUUAACAGAUCAUUCUGCAAAUCAAGGUCCAUGUACAUCUCUUUAAACUCUUUGAUAUGUAUAAAGCAGGUGCAUGCUCUAUAUGUUACUUAUUGUAUCACAAUUAUUUUUCUAUUGCUUAAUAUAAUUGCAGUCCUUGAUGAAGUUGAAGACAACUUAUGGAGGGUAUACAAAGGCUCAAGAGCUUGAUCGCCAUUCAUUUUACACUUGGCUGAGCUACAGCAUACCAACUAGUGAUUAAUAAAGAGAAGGUAUGAAGGUCCUGUUGCUGGUGGUAUUAUCAAUCAGAAUUGUUAUUUUACUUAGUCAUAGUUACCAUGUAUAAGAUUCGUAGACUUUUUGCAUGCUUAUGCAUUCGCAUCAUCUUUUUGUUAAGCUAGAAAUGGUUGAUUUGUGUACUCAUUUGUAUCACUUGUAGCCCUUCAGGAAUAAAAUUUAAAAUUCUGUUGCAUCUCAUGUACUAAAUACUAAUUUUGUUGGCUUUAUGUAUGGGAAAUGGUUCAUUAUCUUAUUUCUUUGAUGCGUAUAGUGUGACAAUGUCUAAAGGUGAAAAGUAUUUAUAUCACUUGUGUAACACUGUCUAAAGUCAAAAAGUGUUUCUAUCACUUGUGUGAAAAACAACCUACUUUUUUUUCACUCUUCUUAUAUUGAAUAAAAGACAGACGCCAAGAUUGAACGAAAUUUGAUGCAGAAAGCAUAGCAAUUAGGCCAGUGCAAAACAACUUCCUUCUGAUUCUCUGAUAUUUGACUUAAAUCUUUUGUCUGUUUCAUUCAUCAAAGUCAUUUUGGAAAGUAGCAGGGGUGAUGUGAUAUUUUCAUUGUAUUCACAUCCCUGGCACCAAAAACAAACAUGCUGGUACUAACCAACAAUUUUUUAUUUUCAGUAUACAAAUUUUUUUUUUUCUAAAUUAGGGGUAUUAAGAAAAGGUAUACUAGCACCAGAGGAGGUAUUUGAGAAUACACAAAUACAAUCUAUCAAAUUGAGAAUACGCCAAAUCUCAGGAGUGGUUUUUGAUAAAUCCUUUUUUUCUUUUUCCUCCAUUCACUAUAGGUUCAAUUUAGGGUGGUUGUUAAGUUAUAUCAUUGUGUAAUAUAGAUCAAUUCAACAGUUGUUAUCAGUAACACAAAAGUAUAACGAACAAAAACUAAUUGUGUGUUACUGAUAGUAACUAUUAAAUUGAUGUAUGUUACAUAAUUAUGUAACUUAACAAGUUCUUCAAUUUAGACACGGUUGACCAAACUGAAGGUUUAGGUUGGUAAACGCACUAGUUUUAAUGUCAACAACCCAAGGGGCUUCAUGGUCCUCUGGGUCGAAAUCGCGUAAUUAUUAAUUCUCCAACACUGAAAGUCUUUAUCAUCUUGGGACAAAUAAUUACAAAUUGACAUUAUAGCCGUGGAAAUUUGGAGGUGUAAUAACCGGAAAAAUAAAAAUCUCAAGAGACUUUUUAAAUAAAAAAGAUAACACCUUCAAUUUGCUAAAAGUAAUGGUAUCAUUUCUUGUAUGGAUAAUGGAUGAUUAGAUUUUGUUUUUGGUUAUCUGACGAAGGAUAUUCAGUUGUUCUUUAUGUGUUCAUAGGCAAGAGCAUGAGCAUAUGCAUGAUUUGAUAUAUGGUUCUUGCAUUUUCUAAUUAAGUGCUCUUUUUCCUUGCCUUCUUAGUUUUGAAAGAAAGAUGUGAAGCAAAGCAAACCCAGUGAAAUGUACAGAGAAACAGAACCAUCAGAGGAAAAACUAAAUAACAGAACUACAAUUGAACCAAACAAAAUCAAAUAAACGGACGCAACAGAUGCCCUGAACCUAGUAAUUACUCAAGAGUUGAGGAGUUGGAAUGAUUUGGUAUUCAUAUCUUCACAAAUCAUAUGCUUUAAUGCAGAAUCGACAGCUUUAUAUUAUUUUAUUCAAAAAACGAUAAAGCAGGAAAACCACAAUAAUCCACCAACUUUUGAUACUUGUAGGAAUUUUUUUUAGUCAAAUUAAGUUUCAUGAUGAAACAAGUGGCUCGUCCACACACUUGCACUUGCUUGAAUAUUUGUGCCGACAUUUUCAUAUGUGAUGGUACUUCUUAGCCAGUAGAUAUGUUGAAGUACUACAAAACAGAGUAUUUGAUGAAGUUUUGCUACAUUCGUAUCCCCUUUUUUUGUUGCAUAACUAAAUUCUUUAUAAACACAAAUUAGAAAGAUACAAAUAAUACAGUAGCUUGAAUUUAUAUGCUUUUAUGGUUAUUUGAUAAUCUAGUGCUGAUCAUAUGUGAUGAUAAACUUAGCUAGUAGUUUUAUAUUUGUUUUCGCAGUUUCCUUAGCGUUCACAUUUUGAUGAGUAAAUUAAGGAUUUCCAGAUGAAGUACAUAAUUAGAUGAAUGCUAAGGAACUGAAGUUUAAUUAAUUGAAAACAAAAAUAAUAAUGAACGUAAUUACGAAAAUGAACAAUGCAGAAGUAGUCCCUAUAGUAUUUCUAAAUUUUCUCUUGGGAUUUCUUAGUAUUCCUCAAUAUUUUAAAAAAAUGACAUGACGAUCUUUGAGUGGACAAAUCUUGGCCUGCUGCUUAGUACCCUUCCAACAUAUAAAGUACUAGAUGUUUUACUGAGAAAAUGACAAGAUCAUUUAUCAAAUUUCUUGCGCAUAUAUACGUAUGUAUAAGAGAAAUGAGAAUCAGUGAUUAUAAGACCUUGCAAUGAGACAAUAAUACAUCAUCAAAUCUAAAAAUACACAAGAAAUUCGGGACAUAUAUAUAACAAAAGACCUCUCAUUGAGUCAUACAUAUUGAGAAUGAAAUGUCAAAAUGCAGACAAAGAGCUUAUACAGAAAAUGAAUAAACUGUCUUUGAACUUCUGAUGGUCAAACAAAGGAAACAGGCAGGAUAUAACACACACUAUCAUAGAUGUAGCGACACGAUGAAGUAAAUCACAUGAAGAUGGAAAGGGGAACCCCUCACAGCAUAAAAUUUGAAUAGAGAGGGGAAAAAGGCUUCAUUUCAAAUGUUGCACAGAAGAAGAGUGACUUGAAUCUCCAUCAGUAUCCAGACAUUCUGCAAACACAGUGCUGAGAAUUUUAACAAGAAUAACAGACAAAAUAUUGUGCUUCUAUACUUGUCACAAAACUAGACCAAAUUAGUCCCCUUUUUGGUUUGUGAAAACUUGAUAUUUUUGAAAAUUCUAUCCAAUGCUUUCAAACAAUAUUUCCAUAAUAUAGUUGUUCAUAGCUAACCUUUGAUGGUGUAAGGAUUUGUUGUAGGCAUAAUGGGCUAAUUAUAUAUAUAUAUAUAUAUAUUUUACCCCCUGAAUGAUAUUCAGCUUCUUAAUUAUGUGUUCAUAGGCAAGAGCAUUUUCUUAAGUACUUUCGUUGCCUUCCAAGUUUCCAAUGAACAAACAGAGCACAAACAAAUUUAACGGAACAGUAACGAUGACAAUAAAUAAUUGGCAAGGAAAGAAAGAAAAAAGUUUGCAUGAUUUCAAGGAAUUAUAAAAUCUGAACACUUUCAACAUGCAAGUGUUGCCCCUUUUGAUGAAAUUUCAUCAUAAAAUGCUUGCAAAGAAUUAUAAAAUUUUAGAGAACAAGCGAACUCUCAAACAAAAUACUCAAAUUAAAUUAAAUUAGACCAAAAGACACUCAAUGACGCAAAAUCUGCCAUUCUAAAUAAUUGAGAUGAAAUUGUGAAACAACCCACGAGAUCAAAUAAAUAAAAUAAGAAUUAAUUACCAGCUUUGACUUUCUUCUCCAAAUUCGCAACUCGAAGACAUAAGAAGCCAAUGAAAUUAGUCGUAACCCAUAAAGUACGACGACGACCCCGCCAAUAGCUGAAAAUAAAAUACUUAUUCAUCAAUUUAAACUAACUUUAUAACAAAUAUCUUAUCGAUAUUUUAUUUAAAAAAAGCAAAUUUGUAGAAUUUUUCCAUGGGAGGUAGAGAGUAAUAUGUAUAUCCGUACCUUUUCAGUAUGUAAUUGUUGUAUGGUUGUGUUAAGAUCAUUAUUUGCCCAACGCCGUUGAUCCUCUGACUCUCCAUACGAGACGUUUACUCUCGGAGGCGUGUUUGAUUCUCCUGAAGUGAAAGUCUUCAUCUUGGGACAACCAAUCACUUCCAGAUAUUCCAGAGAUGGGAAUUUGAAGGUGUAAUUGGCAGAGCAGAAACUUGUGAGACUGUCUAAAUCACACAGAAUCAACGCCUUCAAUUUGCUGAAAACAAUCUCUUCUAUGUCAACUCCUUCUUUGUCAUUUAUUACCACCUCUGUCAUUGCUCUGCAUCCAUAUACUUGCACUGUUACGAGUCGCACCAGAGUUUUUGCUGUGGAGGAUGUUACUAAGUGUAUCAAUUCCUUGCAACCGACAGCUACCAGUUUUGCUAGGUUCCGAAAAGAUACCGAUGAUGAUGGCAAUAGACUUAACAGAUUUUGACAAUGAUAUACUUUUAGAAUUUCAAGAUAUUGAAAAAUGGAGUCAAGUUUGGAGUCUUGUUUACAUAGCUGCUUCAGAUGAUUAAGGUGGCCCAGCUCUAUACAUUUUAUCAUUGCCAACUUCCUCAAACGGUUCUCUAAGCAUCCUUCCGUUGAAAAUACCUCUUCGUAUGAACAAUGAUACAGUAAGAGUAAUUCGAGAUUGUGAAAUCUCUCAAGUACAUUCCUGAUUGGAAAACAAGCCGAGUCAUCAUAAGUUAUGUCUAGUUUUUUAAGACUGCCAAAAAGGUGUUGUGGGAAAUCGGCGUCCAAAAUCAUCUUCACAUCUUUUCCGCUUAACGCCAGUGACUCCAAGUUGGGUAAGAUCUGAUCAUCGUCAAUCACGUAGUAACUAAUCAGGUCAGUUGAUGUUCUCUCCAAUAAUUUUACCUUAGAGUACUUGUUGUAGAUUAUAUAUAUUUUACCAAAAAAAAAAAAGAAAAGAAAGGAAAAAUUGAAUUAGUGAUAAAAUUCAUUCUAGGAUUUUUGUAUGUUAAUUUGAGAGAUAAGAGAGAAAUUAGAAAAAAAAAAGGAUGAUUUAUACUGGCAUAAAAAUAUUUUAUUGCACAAUAAUAAAUUAUUAAUUUAUAUUGUAAGUGAUUAUAUAUGAGAAAACUGAGGAUUCUUUUUUAAUGCUAUACCUAAAAUAAUUCAUCUAACUAUUAAUUUAGUACAUUGAUCCCUUAGUCCAGACUAGCAAAAAUAUUAAUUUUGUACUAAAAGUUUUCAAUUUAUUGAGUAUUAAUUUAUUGAUGUUUAGUUAUAUUUUACAAAGUCAAAAGUCGCUAAUGAUCUAAUUGAUAAGAAAUCUAGAAAGCGGCUUCAUACCUUUUUGAACAAGAAUAGGGGCCGUUGUGCAGGAAUACCAAGUUGAUCAUCCUCAUUAUUCUGUGAUGAAUCUGCAGCGAAUGUCUUCAAUUUGUCACAACCAGACACCACUAAAAUUUUUAGUGCAGGCCAUUCCGAAGUAUGCAUUCCAUGGUAUAAACAUUUAAGUUCCGGUAGCUCUUGGAGUAUAAGAGUGGUCACCCGUUGAAAGACAAAAUGAGGGGUCACAUGAUCUACUCUGUCUUCCGAAAUGAUCUCUUGCAAACCCCUACAAUUCACUAUCUCUACUUGUUGGAGAUGCUCAAAGCUUUGAAUCAUAGAAACUAAAAAUAUGUAUUUUAAUUUGUUACAGUGGCACACAAUCAAUCGUGUUAAACUUUGAAAGCGAGGAAGCAUGACCGGACGAUGAUUGUAAUGCCAAAUCUUGUCGACAUUAAUUUCAGAUAUCUCCAAAGCCUCCAAAUUAGGCAACCCUACCUAAAAAAAUAUUAAUUUCUUGUUAGAUCCAACACCCAUAUGAGAAGGACUUAUUGAAAUUUUCUUCUUUGAUUACAGAUUAAUAAUUCAAGUCAAAAUCAAUUUCCAACUGACAGCUGAGUAUGCAUUCUAAUUCGUAUUACUUGUUAAGAGCUCAAUUAGUGAGUGCGUGAGAUUCUUUUUAUCCUUUUUUUUUCACUUUCUUUCAAUUCUUUAAAUGAUUUAAUUAUUUUCCACGUAUGACAUCAAAAGAGAAUGCACAAUAGCAUAAAGAAAGUGUUAGCCUACGCACCUUGCCGUUGAAAAGCAGUGUUUCCAAAUUGAUUUCGUUGGAGCAAGAACUUGUCAAUUCCUCUUGCAGCCCUUGUCUGUUUGGUGAUGCUGAAGGAGUCUUCAAAUUACGGAAAAAAGUUGUAACCUCUGGAAGAUUUCCCAAACUCAAAGAUCUUAAUUGAGCCAACUCUAUCUUCUCAGCAGCAUUAUUGUUGUCAACAUCAGCAUCUCCCCCAGUAGCAAAAAUCUCUUUCAUCUUGCUGCAAUUAAUAACUGCAAUUCUCUCAAGUCUUGGAAGGCAUUUUGCAGUGGAGAGCCAGAAGAUAUUACUCAACUCAUUACAAUUUUCUACUUUUAUUGUUUUGAGUUUAUUGAAAGACUCUACUUUGAGUCGAUCAAUGCAUAUCCUCUCCAUGUUGAUCAAAUUGUGAAGAGUCAGUGACUCCAAAAGAGGAAAGGCAUCACAAGCGACCAUCUCCAUUGAGUCGACAAUACAAAAGAAGUCAGGAUUAUUUUGAACCCAGAGAAGCUUCAAUUGUGGAAAGCCCUUUGUGUCCAAAUCGAAAAGAACAUUUUUGACACCUUGUAGCUUGUCCAACCAUACGUAUUCAACGUUAUUGAUGGCCUGCAAUUUCAUGGAGCAAAUGUCCGUAAAAUCAGGCUUGAGCUUCAAUUCUCUUAAACGCUCAUGAUUAUGGUUGAUCAAAAAGUGCGACCGACUGCGAAACCAAUCUUUUGUAACAGGCAAGGAAGCCAUGAAUGACUCAUUUCCAAUAGAUAUUUUGAACCUUUCGAGCUUUCUGGCCAAAAAGCCUUCCUGUAAAAUACUGUCAUUUUUAACAUCAAUUUCUAGAGUGGUUAGCCAAGGUAAAAGCAUCAAUUCAUCAAGGCUUGCAUUACUUCUUUCAGUGUUGGCUCUUUCAACCUCCCAUUCAACGGAGCAAUUACCCAUACACAAUUCUUCUAAUCGGAUUAAGCUCGAUAUGACAUUUGGGGCAAUAACUUUUAGAUGGAAACAGUCUCUUAAAUCUAACAGCCUUAGCUUAGUCACUUGCCCUAGUGCUUUUGGUAACUCUACAAUAUCAGACCACACAAAGCUAAGGAUUUCUAGAUUUUCCAACUUUCCAAUAAUGGCUAUGUCCAUGUCUCCCAAAAUGCUUUGAUCAAGACAAAGCGUCGGAAGAUUUACUAGAAGAUCAAUUGAAGAUGGCAAUGACAAUAACCGCAUUCUAGUCAAAUCCAAAACCCGAAGCUUUUUUGUCCUUUCGAAGAAGUUCUCAGGAACAUUAGGCGCAACAAAAGAGUUCUUGGGAGACAUGAAUAAAAAUUCCAAGUUGUGGAGAUUCCAACACUUCGGGAAUGUCAUUAAUAAUACUAUCUUUAAAAAAAUUGCAGGAUAUUUUUUUAAUGCAUCUGCAUCUGGCCAUUUCCACACAUCCUCAUUUCUCACCGCAAAUGCAAUUUUGUCACGACGUGCAAUUGAAAUGGCAACAUCGCGAACAACAUCAUGCAUGGAAAAGAAUUUACUGCCACCAUCCUCAAGCAACAAACAAGAGUCUCUUAGUUGAUGGACCCAUGCAUGUAAUUUGUUAUGUGCAUCUUCUAGCUUAUAGACACUUUCAAAUGCACCCAAGCCCACGCUAUAUUUGAACAAGUCCAUAAUUGAAGUUGGUGUAAUUAGACUACACAGUAAAAAAGUUUUCUUGAGUUGCUCACCUCUUAAAUACUUGUAACUUAGCUCAAUUGUUGAGUAUGCCUCUACUGGUACUCCUUCAUCGAAGCUUGCCUCUGAAGGCGUUUGGAGUUCUUGUAAGACGUUCUUCCACACAGGCAGCUCUUUGUUUCUCAGUGCCUUUGCUACUGUGGUUAGGGCAAUAGGCAAACCUCCACAUGCCUUGGCUACAUUUGUUGCUGUAGAUUUUAACUCACGAUUUUCAACAUAAUUACCAGCCAUUAUCUUGAACAACCUCCAAGCUUCUUGCUCAUUUAGAAUGCCAAUCAAGAAGUUUUUUUCAGAUCCCAUACUUAACAAAACAUUACGAUCCCUUGAUGUUAAUAAUAACUUGCAUCCUCUAUGAUCAACGCCAAAAGGAAUUCCGACUGUCUCUAAAUCAAGAUAUUUCCAGAUGUUAUCCAGAAUCACAAGGAUCAUCUUCUCUUUCUUCAAUCGUUCAUAAAGUCUACUAGCUCUUCUAGAUUCAGCCUCCUCGGACAACUCCAGACCUAGUUUCUCUGCAAUUUCCCCUUGAAUCUUUUUUAUGUCUGGAGUUUGGGAAACCUCUGAAAAAACCACCUGAUCAAAGAGUUUCUCUUCACUGGCUUGCCUUGCAAACUCCUUCACCAGUGUUGUCUUUCCAAUGCCGCCCUUUCCGUAUACCCCAACGAUGCUGACAUUGACAUCAGUCAAUGCAUCUUGUAUAGACUUCAGAGUAGAAAGUCUUAAUUUAAAGGCCUCGUAACCUUUGUUAGACUUUAGCCAUACCUCCUCCGCAAUGGUACGGUAGAAAAUUCUAUCAUCAAAUCUCCUAGCUUCUUCUUUGAGUUCAACAAGGGCCUUCACCUCUGUUUCUGCUUUCUUGCUAAGCUGAUAGCGGGUCUUCAAAUUAGGACACAAGCCCUUGAAACAUCGCUUACUUGUUGUCUCCCCAUCUUCAAUGAAUUUGGCUGCCUGCUCAAUGGUGUUGUUCGCACUAACCAGCCAGUUCUCAACCUUCUCUUCAAUCUUUUCUCCUUUUCUUUCAGCCUCAGAAACUCUGUGCUGAAUGCUCUUACUUUCAUCCUUGAGCUUGUCUAUUUCUGCCUUGAGAUUCUCAAAGUUGGCUUUAUAGUUUCGCAAAUAACCAAGUUGGCGUUCUGUUGGAGGAGCGAAGCAUUUCACAACUUCUAACAGAACAGUAACAAUGCUUUCCACCAUCUUCGAUCCUCUUUUUUUCAAAGUUCCGAAAUGAAAAUAAACGACGAGCGAAAAACAGAGAGAAAGAGAGGCAAAAAAAAAAAAAAAAAAAGAAAAAGAAAAAAAAGAAAAUGAAACAACAAAGAUGACAAGUGUAUCUGUUUGUGGAAGCGGAGAAAUCAAAGAAAGCUUAAAAACUGUUGUGAAUCUGGUGAGAAGAUGGAAACAAGGAAAAGGUUUCUAGUUCAAAACUGAUUGAAUUGAUAUAAGGAAUGAUUUAGAUAAUAGAGGAAAAUUGAAUCAGUCAAAAUAACUUAAGUAUUGACCAGAAGAAAGAUGCAAACAAUAUUAGAGACAACAACCGCGCUAUUGACUGGUAAUAGAGAUGGAGAAAAAGAAAAUAUCUUCACACGGUGGAAGUACAAAGGGUAGAUAUGGAACCAAACAGAGACAACAACAGGCCACAACUAGAUUGGGAAUGGAGAGAAACAAAUUAACAAAGACUGGAGAUUACAACAGAACAGAUGCCAAGAGAAAAGGGUUUCUUCAUCCAGUGAAAUUCAAGAGAGUUGACAGCAAAAGGGAGCACAUGUGUUUCUUGAUUGAGAACGAGUGCAAAGGAUGACUUUUUAAUGAGGUUCUGAAGCUGACGAAUAACGAUUUGCUAAAAUUUUGAGAAAGUUAUAUAUUCCGUAACUUCAACAAGUGAAGAAUAAAAGAAUAAUAGUUCGUCAUCUUCACAAUGAAGAUCAUGGACGAGAUUAAAAGCUAAAACUAGUCCAUUUGAAAAGCCAAAGUUCAAGUUCCUUGGCUAAGUUCAGAAGUGAAGCAAAGAAUAAAUAAAUAAAGAUCAAGGGAUGGGAAUAAAGUCACCCCCAGACAGUUGCAGAAAGAUUAUUAUUUGGUAAGCGUAGUUGAUUAUUAGUACAAAACAGAGUAGGUGAAACACAUCCUUUCUAUUUAGACUGAUCAGCAUCUAAAAUUUUAUGAAUUAUGAGUUGCAUUUUAUUUUGUACAUUCUGUUAACACAUUUUAAUUUAGCCAAUUUUGCAAUAAAUGUUAUUGAUGUAUUAAAUUGCAACAACAAAACACAAUUAUUGGUAUUAAAGAAUGAAAAAAAAUAAAAAUAGAAAAUGAAUUGAAUUCCACUCAUCGUCAUCUUGGGAAAUCAAGUCAAAAAAUAAAAAUCCAUAUGCUUUUGUUAAAGUUAAAAGCUACAUAAAUAAUAUCACAGAAGCUUCUGCUAAGGUUCAUGUGAAGUCACAGCUUUGAUACUUGUACUACAAGGAGCACGGAGAAACCAUAAACUUCAGUUUAGGUAUGUACAUUGCUUGUCUUUCAAACUUGAAUUGAUAAGGGGGAAAAAAAUAAUACUAAAGCAAACAGAAGGAUCAUUUAGUUGACAAAAUUAUUAUUAUUUUGAAAUUCGGGUCAUUCAGUUACUUUCAUUUCAGUUUCACUUCUGAUUCAAUUUAACCAGUUAACGUUGACAAAAAUAAAAUGCAAAUAUAAGGCUAAGGCUGCUAAUUUGAUGAACUAAUUAUCUCAGGAACCAAAGCAUCUAUAAGCAUGCAUGGGUGGCAACACCAUAAUUACUCAAGACUGGAGGAGUAAAAAGAUUGAAGAUGAUAAACAUUAAAUUUUAGGAAAAUCAUUCACAAAUAUGCUUUUAUAAAAGUAUUGUUGGUAAAGUUCGAGAAAUGCAUACAUGUCAAAUUUCCAUUUCUUGUGAGCAUUUCACCAAAUAGCUGAUAUGCAUUAAUAACUCCUAUCCUAUACUAUUGGCCAGUAGGUUGUUGCUGCUUCCCCAUUUUUAAUGAUGCGAACGUCUCAUACUUAGAAAUAAGGGCGGAGCCUGGAGAUUGAUGUAUAAGAUAAUCUUUUGAAUAAAAAUAAAAACAAUUACAGAUUUCAAAUGUGAGAAAAAUAAAAUUGCGUUAUAAAAUUAAUCCCACUAAGAAAGUCGUCUACGAAAUUGCCACAUUAAAAGAAAUUUUUUCCAUAAAUUAAAAUAAAAUUAAAUGAAAACUAUUUUUCAGUAAAGUCAAUUGCCCACGCUAGGCUAAGGCGUUUGUUUAUUUGUUUGUUUGUUUUUAUAAUCUGAAUAGGUAUAAAUUUUUCGUAAGCAUGAAUGAGCUGAGUACAAAUAUAUGAAUGAUAUAUUUAUUUUUCUUUUUCUUAAUACCCAAAUAUAAGUGACAUCUUAUUUAUCUUAAAUAUGGUUAUUUGAUAUUUAUAUUUUUACAAAUAAAAAUAAAAAAAGUAGUUAGAUUUUAUAGUUUAAGAAAUAAAUAUAUUUUAUAAAAAUAUUUUUAGAAUAUAUAUUUAAUUCUUAUUUAGACUUUUUUCUAUUCAAUAAAAGUCACAAAAGGUACUUUUUCUAUUCAAAUGUAAAUGCUUAAAAAUCAGAUAUAAGUUACAAAAAAAAUAAAUUUUAGAAAAAGUCAUAAAUUAAUAAAAUUUCAUAUAUUUAACUCCCAAUGCAGAUCCACCCCUAUCAGUGUGAGGAAAUUGACUGGUGAAGUAGGUUCACAGCUAAAAUGAAAUUGGAAGAAAAUGAAGAACAAGCACAUAGAGGACACCAAAAAUUACAUGGUUCGACUUUUAGCCUACGUCUACGGGUAAAGACAAAAGGAUAAAACUUUACUGGUGAAAUGAGGAUUACUAGUAUUAUAAUAUUUUGUUUCACUUCCCAGAACCCCAAUCCACUCAAUCUCUUAAAAUACUAAUCACUCAAGAGCAUUAAAACUCUUAGUCUCUCACUCUAGAAUUGAAGAAGAAAAGAAUGAAAUGCGGGGGUGAACCCCUCAUUUAUAGUUAAAAAUUUGGGCACUAUUUAUAUUUUUAUAUAUUUUUUUAAAUUAAAAGUUUGAACUUGACAUUCAAACUUUGAAUAUCAAAAGGUAUUGGUCACUCUUCUAGAAAAGUGACAUUGACUUUGACAUUCUCCCACUUAGAAAUUUGAUUGAGAAUCAAUCAAUCUCCACACCAUCCUUUCUGCUUCGCCGCUAUCAUGUUGCUUAUGUCUCUACUAGGCCAUAAAAUGAUCUACUCCAAACAAAUUUAUCAGCAUUGAUAGGCUUGGGCAAAACAUUUGUUAAGUUCUCCUUGGUAUCCACUCUUGUAUCUUUCACUACUUCACGAAGAAGUGAUAUUGUACUCCUAUAUUCUUUGUCCUAAAAUAAAAGGUUGGAUUCCUUGCAUUCUAACUAUCACAAACCAUAAAAAUUUUAUGCCCAAGCUCCUUCAGUAACCUUUGUAUCCAAAUAGCCCUUCCAAGCUUGUGUAGCUGCUAUGUAAUCUGCUUCUAUUGUUGAUAAAGCCACAAUGGUCUGCAAUUUUGAAAUCCAACUAACAAUUUCGCCUUCUGGUGUAAAUACUUAGCCAGUAGUGGGUUUCCUUUUAUUAAGAUUUUCUGCAAAAUCUGAAUGCACAAAGCCCUUGACAGUAAAUUCUAAUCCUUCGUAGCAUAAUGCAACAUCUGAUGUUCCUCUGAUAUUUCUCAGAAUCCUCUUAAUAGUCUUCCAAUGUUCUUUGCAAGGAUUCGCUAUGUAUCGACUAACUGCUCCCACUACUUGUACAAAUCAUAGCGAACCUUAAAUUUUCCACUGCUGAUGCAUACAGUUCUCAAGACAUCUCUUCUUCUCUACUUCAUUACUAUAUGAAUACUUAAGAAUAACUUGAAAUUAAUAGGAGGCGGGGUAGAAAGCCAAAUCUUCUUGCUAUUACUAUCUCGGUGAAUUUGCAUCCCUAAAAUCUUGUUUGUUGGUUCUAAGUCUUUUAUUUCAAACUCCCUAGUUAACUGUGCCUUCAGUUCUUGGACUCGAUCUUUGUUGGGGCUUGCUACCAAUAUGUCAUCCACAUACCACAGUAGAAUGAUGAAAUCAUUAUUAUCAAACUUGUUGUAAUAUGUACAAUAGUCUGAACUGAUUCUAUUGUAUCCAAGGUUUAUGAUGAAGGGAUCAAUUCUCUUAUAUCAACAUCUCGGUGCAUGUUUGAGAUCGUAUAGAGAUUUGUUCAACUUGCAAACCAAGUGUCCCUUUUUAGUAAAACCUUCUAGUUAGAGCAUAUAAAUCUUUCCUUCAAGUUCUCCAUGAAGAAAUGAAAAUUUCACAUCUAACUGCUCCAAAUAUAGGUCAAAUGUAGCACACAUCGACAAGAACACUCUAACUGUCCUGGGUCAAAUCACUGGAGAAAAUAUCUCAUUGAAGUUAAUACAUUCUUUCACCACCAAUCUUUCACGAUACCGCUCCACUAGGUUAUUACCAUCAUGUUUGAUCUUGUGAACCCAUUUGCAACCAAUGGUUUUUUUUUUAUAUGGUAGUAGUACGAGUUCCUAUGUCAUAAUCUUGUGUAGAGCCUUAAUUUCUUCCUGCACUGCUAUCAUUUACAAAGUAACAUCUAAGCUGUUUAAAAUUUCAUAGAAAGUUGAUGGCUUUCCAUUCUCUAUUAAAAGACAGUAUGCAAAAUUGAUAUCUGUGACAUAAUCCAAAUGCCACACAUACAGUUAUCUAUCACGAGUUGACCAACAAACUUUUAGGGCCUCAGACUCGAUUGGUUCUUGUUCUCAUACUUUAGUGCUGCUUCAAAAAAAUCUGAAUCUUCAUUUUCCAGAUUAUUUUCAAACAUAUAUUAGCACAAUCUCUAAAUUUUAAUAGUGCUAUCAUCCAUAUCUCUCUUUUGCAUUUGAUCUUCUACAAAGAUAAUAUCUCUGCUAAUAACGAUUUUGUGGGCAUUGAGGUCCCACAGAUAAUACCCUUUCACUCCAUCAAUAUAUCCUAAGAAGAUACAUCUCUUGGAUUUUGGAUCCAUCUUUAAUCUCACUUGGGUAUCGUAUAUCACGUAAAAGGACAUCAAAAUGCCUGAGAUGAGAGUAAUCAGUUGGCUUUCCUGUCCAUUUUUCCAUUGGAAUCUUCAACCCGAUUGCCUUGAAUGAUGACCCACUUACCACAUAAUAAGUAGUUUUUGCUACUUCCGCCUAGAAUGAGUUGGUAGACCAGCAGUUCUCAACAUAAUUCUUAUUUUUUCUAUAAGAGUCAUGUUCUUUCACUCCACUACUCUAUUUUAUUGAGGAGUGUAUGCCACUGUGAACUAUCUCUAGAUACUUUCUUACUUACAUAUGCAAGAAACAUGCUAUAUGUAUACUCUCCACCAUUGUCUGUCCUCAGGCACUUGAUCCCUUGCCCUGAUUUAAGUUCAAUCUAUGCUUUGAAUUCUUUGAACAAUGGAAAUACAUUUGACCUUUUCUUGAUUAGAUACACUAAAUAUCUCCUAGAAUAAUCAUCAAUAAAAGUCACCAAAUACUUUGCACCUCUCAUAGAUAUAUCAAUUGAUUCCCAAACAUUAGAAUGAAUCAAGUCUAAAAUACAUUUACUUUUGAAAGUGGAUCUGCUAAACUUUCAUCUAUGUUGCUUCAUUGUUUCGACAUGUGGCUAAGCUUAAGAUGCCACAUCAUCGCUGAAUUUUCUCUAUUUGAUGUGACACACACAAAAGCUUUCUGUAGUGUUUCCAUUUAAUUAUGAAUAGAUUAGCACCGAUCUUUUCCACCUUCAUUAAUGCAAGUGUGCCUUUGACUAUCUUUAUGAUCCCAUUUUCUACAUGAGUUUUGUGCACAAGGCUAUCUAUUUGUCCUAAAGACAAGAGAUAUUUUUCAAGUUUUUGACAUGUCUUACCUUCUCAAUUGUGCGAACCGUACCAUUAAACAUAUUUAUUUUGACAGUACCAAUAUCAAUGAUCUCAAAGGCAUGAUUAUCGCCUAUGUAUACAGAUUCUCUUGAAAUAGGUUCAUAUUUGUGAAAUCAUUCUCUUGGAGAGAUCAUGUGCCAGGCAACUAUUAAGUCUAUAAGCCAGACGUCAUAUAGUGGUUUUCUGCCUUCUGAAGCAGUUGUUGCCUUACUGUAGAGAAUUUUGCCAUCAUACGAGGUACUUACUACAUACCCUUGAGCAUUUGAUGACUCAGGAUCUUUACCCUCUCUUCUCUUCUAGUUGUUCCAAUACUCUUCCUUGACAUACUCUUUCUUGCCACAGUUGUUGCAUUCAACAUUCUUAUUACUUCUUGAUUUCGAUCUACUGUGAUUGUGGCUCUCACUAGGGCCACGUUCCAUGGAUCUUCCUUUCAUCAUCAAUAGUGUUUCUACUUGCUGCGAACUUGUCUGUCUAUCUUUUUUAUUUUUUGCUACUCUCCUCAUUUAAUACGGAGGCUGCCAUAUUGUCAAAGACUAACUUGUCUGCUCGAUUGUUAUUAGUUAGAUUAAUGACGAAUUGAUCAUACGAAUCUGGUAAACCUUGAAGUAAAAGCUCUACAUGAUCAUUUUCCUCUAUUUUAUGACCCAAUGUUGUAAGUUAUGAAAAUAAAGUCUUUAAAGUGUUGAUAUGGUCGAUCACUGAUGUAGAUUCCGUCAUUCGAAGAGUAUAAAGCCUCCUCUUUAAAAAGAUUUUAUUUUGUAGUGAUUUGACCUCGUAUAGUCUUGUGAGAGUAAACCAUAUUUCCUUUGCUCUCUUUUACUCUACUACAUUGAAUAAUACCUUAUUUGAAAGUGGUAUGUGUAGAUUUGCAAUGGCAUUAUUGUCUAUCUCAUUCCACUUGUCAUCAUCAGUUAUCUUUGUGAGCCUCUCUUCAAUUGCUGCCAAGCAAUUACUCUUCCUCAAUACAACCUUCAUCUUCAUUUUUCAUGACGAAAAAUUAUUUUUGUUGAACUUCUAAAUUUUGUAUUUUUCUGCCAUCACUGUUCACCACGAGCUACCUUUGCUAAGAUUGAUUCCUACCAUUUCACAUGAGCAGUAACUGUAUAUAUGAAUAAAGUGUUGUAUACAGAAACAAUAUCAUAGACAUGAACAGUACAAUAUAUGUAAACAGUAUCUCGACCCCAAAAAAUACAACCCGACUCUAAUACCACUAUUAGAAAAUUAAUUGGUGAAGUAGGGCCGCGACUAAAAUAAAAUUGGAAGAAAAUGAAGAACAAGCACACUGAGGACACCAUAAAUUAUUUGGUUCGACUUUUAACUUAUGCCCAUAGGUAAGGACAAAAGGAUAAAACUUUACUAGUGAAAUGAAGAUUAUAAGUAUUUUAGUAUUUUGUUUCACUUCUCAAAACCUUAAUACACCCAAUCUCUCCAAACACUAGUCACUCAAGAGUAUAAAACUCUUAAUCUCUCAUUAUAGAACUAAAGAAGAAAAUAAUAGAAUGAAUGAAAUGAGGGGGUGAACCCCUCUAUUUAUAGCUAAAAAUUUGGGCACUUUUUAUAUUUAUUAUUAUUUCAAAAUUUAAAGUUUGAACUUGAUAUUCAAACUUUGAAUAUCAAAAGAUACGGGUUGUUCUUCUAGAAGAACCGCACCAACAUUGACUCUUAGGCAGACCUUUAGAGCUUUAAAUAAAGAAAAAGCUUUUAAAAAUGCCAUGUGUACUUGAUUAUACAAUAAUCUCCACCACAUAGAAUGAUUUGAUAAAAGAAAUUUUUAAUUUUUAAUUUUACUUUUAUCAGGCACGGUGUAUUUCCCCUUGGGCUCAUAUGUAAGGAUGUCAAUAAGAUGGGAAGGAGAGGGGAUUGAUUUCCCCAUACUCAUCUUUAAUACUCUGUGUAUCUCUUUGUACUCUAGACAGUUCCUUCAAAAUUACUUGAAACGAGGGGAUGGAUGUUUCUAAAUAAUACAAAGGGAUCUCUUAUGGCAUCCGAUCUCUGAUUAUUUAAUUUCUUUUUUUUUUCUUAAUUUAAUCAUCUUAAAGUAAAAAUAUAAAAUCAUAUUAACACAAAAAAUAUCAAAUUAACUAAAGUGAUUAAAAUCAUUUCCAUCAAAUUAAGUCAAUGUCAUCAAAUUAGAAGAUAAUCUUUGAACUAAUUAAGCAAAAGUAAAUCUUCAAAGUUGAACUCAUCCAUAAAUGUCAUAUAGUAUAAACCAUCAAUUAAAUUAUCUUUGUCAAUUUUAAAGUGUUUAUAUUUACUUUAUAUUGGCUGUUAUUUAUAUUAUUUUUAUAAAUGUAUUAUGAUAUUUUUUAUUUACAUCACACUAUUACAAUUGAAAUUUUAAAUGUAUUUACUAUAAAUUUGAAAAAAAUGAAUUAAAAAUAGAAACUAAAGAUAGAAAUAAAAAAAUGUGGAGCCAAAUAAAAUAUUAGGGCAAACACUAAGUUAUAAUUCAAGUAACUUACACCCACACAUAUUAAUUUAUCACAGCCUUGUCUCCACAUAGAAAAAUUAGAUCUAAAAUUAUCAAACUCCCGAAUGAGGAAGAUCCCUCGGGGCCAUCGUCCCUGUGGAAAUUUCUGCAUCCCUGCAGUCUACAACGCCUAAUAAUGAAUUGAACGGUUGAAAUCCCUCUAAAUUUUUUAUAAUUUCUAAUCGCCCCUCCAUAUUUGAUUGAACAUCAAAACUAUGGAGUCCAAAUUUAUAACUUUGAUUUAUCUUCCAUUCCAUAGUUUUCAAGUUCUCUCUCUCUCUCUCUCUCUCUCUCUCUUUUAACCCUUUUUACUGCAACCACCAUCAAAGCCUAGUAGUUAAUAUGUAUGCUGCUUUGCUUUCAAAAUCGGACACUACUGGUAUUUAUGGUUUUUAUUCUUUAUUUGACACAAAAUUUGGCGAUAUCUCCGAGGAAAAACACUACUGGUGUAUUCAAUUUUAUCCGGUAAUGAUUAAAUUGAUUAUUACAUGAACCGUAACUUCGCCGAGCCCAAAAUACAUAUUAAGUUAUAAAGCGUUCGCACUCAUUAUUUUUCGCAAAAAGUUUCGCCCAAAAUACAUAUAUUUUUUUAAUUUUUUCUGUGAAAAAAACUACUGUUAUAUUCAAUUUUAUCAUUAAAGUUGUUAGUUACAUGAACCUUAAAUUAACACAAACCGUAACUUAGCCAAGCCCAUAAUACAUAUUUCAUAUUUGUAUGAAAUUUAAAGUUUUUCCACUUAUUAUUUUUCGCUAAAAGUUUCUAAAUUGUAUUGUAGUUUGAACUUGCCCAUCAUUCAAUUUUUUAACUCCACAAUUAUUUGACCUUACCAAGCUUGAAAAUAUCCUUCCAUACAUAUUUAAUUUUCUCCAAGUAUGAUGAAGAUUUAAUCAAGAGCCUCCGGGAUCUUAAAGUGCAAGAAAGGUCCGGAAAAUUUUUAAAACCCCACUGUUUAAAGUUUUUUUGGACUUUCUUGCACUUUAAAAUCUUGGAUUGAUAUAUAUAUAUAUAAUCAUUAUUAGGUGCUAGUGUUCUCAUUUUUUUUUUUAAUGCAAACACCCUUUUAAGCCGUAGGGUUUAAUAACAUUAAAAACUAACUUUCAACUAGCUCUCUUAAAUUGUACGGCUUAAAAGCAUGUUAGCAUGAAAAAAUGAACGUGUCUGUACCAAAAAAGGACUAUAUAUAUUAUUUACUUUAUAUAGACAUACGUGCGCGCGCUCGCAUAUAUAUAUAUAUAUCAUUUUAAUAUAUUCCAUUACUUUAAUAAUCAAUUUAAAAUAGUUUGUGAUAUUUCCAGCUAUUUAUUUAUCUACUUUUAGUUAGUUAUUUACACCGAAUGAAGUGAUAGGGUCCAACUUUUAGUAUCCUUCUCAGCUGUUUGGGGUUAGUAAAUACUAAUUAGCUUAUUCGUCCCGAACAGCCGCGUAAAUGCUGUUAGAUUUCGGAGAGAUGCUGAGGAUGGUACAAGAUUUAUCAAAUUGUGGCGACAUUUUUAUACCUUUAGAAUUUCAAGAUUUUGAAGAAAUAAAUGGAAUCUGUUUUCCAUAAGUGAUCCACUAUCUAUCAGGAGGAAUUCUAAAAUACAUUACAGAUUAAUGAUUUUUCAUAAUAAAUAAACAUAUGUUAUAAUAUUAUUUAUUUAUCAUAUGACUGAUAUAAUACUUCUGAUAUAUUUUGAAAUUUUUAAUUCACCAAAGUUCAUUUUUAGCUUUUAAGGUUUUUAUGUGUGAGCCUCUCAGCAUGUUCCCCAACCUCCUCACGUGAAAAUAUUUCUAUGUACGGUUACAAGCUUUUCCAGAUUGUGAGUAUUCCGAAGCAAUCCAACUUGAAAAACAGCUGGUUCGUAGAAAACGACAGUUUACGAAGCUGGCCCUGCUGCCAUACAUAUGAUGAUGAAGACCAUUUUGCUUUAUGUCAAUUCCUCCAAGUUGAAAUCUUUCUCGGUCUGGGACACUUCCAACACAUAAAGUACUACUAGGCUAGAUGAUUUUAAAAAAUGUCAAGGUCCUUUAUCAAAUUUCAUUUGCAUUCAAGACCAACCCCCUUUGAUGAAAAUCAAUAAUUAAAGACUUUCCAAUGAGAAAUUAUUACGUCUUCAAAUCUCAAAAAACGCCAGAAUAUUAAUUCGCUACAUAUAAUCAAGAUAUCUCAUUGAGACGCAUUAAUAAAAAAUGUCAAAAUGCAUAGAAAGAGCAGACACACGGAUGAUGAAUUUACUCAUCUUUAUUAGUAUUUGAAUUUGAGAGACAGAAUGAAGUACAUGUCAAGAAUAUCAUAAAGAUGGAAACCGGAAGUCCUCCGCACAUAAACUUUGAAGAAACUGGAAAACGACUUUAUUCCAGAUAAUGCACACCAGAGUGACCAAAAUUCUCUUCAGUAACUAUGGAGAAAAUAUUAUUUUGCAUGCAUUUCACGUAACUGGAUCAAACUACUCCCCUGUUGGUUUGUCAGACCACAUUUUUAUGGUGCAAUAUAAACCAUCUUUUCAAAACACUUCGACAAUGUGAGAAACAAAUGAUUUUUAUAUAGUUGUUCAUAGCUAACUUUUGAUGGUUUAAUGAUCUGUAGAUUUUGUUUUAUGCUGUUCAAGGAAUGAUAUCCAAUUGUUCCUAAGAGUUCAUAGGCAGGGGCAUAUAUGCAUGAUUUGAUAUAAUUCUUGCAAUUUCUAAGUACUUGCUCUUUUCAUCCCUUCUAAGUUUUGAAAGAAAGGUCGAAAUAAACAGAGAAACAGGACAAACAGAAGAAGACUGAAUUAACAGAUCAACAAAGAUGGCAACUAACAAAUGGAAAAGUUCUCUUGUAAUCAAACUAUAGCAAACAGACAAUACCAUUGCCAUAUAUCUUAAUCAGUAGAUUGAUUCUCAACAUAUAUGUUAGGAUACAUUUGGUUGUUUAAUAGUUCGAAAUAAAGAGGAUGAGAUGGUUUCCACAUAAAAGUGCUGGGCCUUUCAAUGACAUUUUCAAGGAAUUAUAAAAUUCAAAAUAAAAAAAAAAAUAGCACAUUAUAAAGCCACACCGUCAAAAAAAUAAAUAAAUAAAUAAGUGAAGACCUUUAAUGAUAUAAAAAUAAAUAAAUAGAUAAGUCACUAAGACCUUUAAUGAUAUAAAAUAAGCAUAUAAAUCUCAUAACAAAACAUUAAAACUCAUUCUAAAAGUAAAAAUAAACUAGUGGUGUAUUCCAAACAAUUUAGAUGAAGCAAUAAAACAAGCCAAGAAAUCAAAUAAAAUGAAAUGAAAUUGAAUUAACCGGGACUUUGUUUUUCAAAUUCACAACUCGCUUGUAAUUAAAGUAAAAUGCCAAUGCCAUUAGGACACAUACAUCGUUGAAUAAGAUGAGGACCCCUCCAACAGCUGAAAGUAAAAUUUUCAUUCAUUAGUUUCAAUUAAAAUUAAAGCACACAGAGAUUUGCAGGGAAGCAAGAGAUUUAAUAAAUUUAACAGCAGCAAUUUAAUUUGACAGGACUUCCAUACAGUAAUGAAGUUAAAAACUAAUGAUUAACGAAUUUAGUUUGGUCCCAAAGCUGUUGAUCAUCUCUCUCUCCAUAGUAGAAGUUUACUCUCAGAGGCGCGUUUAAUUCUCCUUUAGUGAAAAUCUUCAUCUUGGGACAACCAAUUAUAGAUUCCUUGAAGGUGUAAUUGGCAGAGCAGAAACUUCUGAGACUGUCAGCAGAAACUUGUGAGACUACCCAAAUCAUACAGAUACAAAAUCUUCAAUUUGGUGAAAACAAUCUCUUCUUCAAAAUUUGCUGCUCCAUCUUCGUCAUUUAUCACCACCUCUCUCAUUGCUCUGCAUCCAUACACCAACAUUGAUAAGAGUCGCUGUAGAGUUUGGAGUGACAGAUUCGAUAAUGAUCAACUCCAAAUACUCGCCAAGAUCGCAAAUCAAACAACCAAGAUGCAAAAAGAAUCAAUCCAGAACAAAUCACAGAGAAACUUAAGAACCGAAAAGAAUUAAAGAAUUAGCAGCAAAGACAAAAGAUAUAACAGAUUUUGACAAUAAUGUACAUUUAGAAUUUCAAGGCAUUGAAUAAAGGAGUCCAAUUUGGAGUCUUGUUUCCACAAUUGCUUCAGAUGAUUAAAUUUGUGCAGAUCUAAAUGUUUUAUCAUUGUAAACUUCCUCACAUGUUUCUUCAAGUAUCCUCCAUUCGAAAAUACCUCUUCGCAUGAACAACGACGCCGUAUGAGAGUUUCCAGAUUAUGAAAUCUCUCAAGUAAAUCAAGUGGAAAACAAGUUGAGUCAUCAUCCACUGUUUGUAGUAGUUUAAGACUGCCAAAAAGGUGUCGUGGGAAAUCGCUCUGCAAAGUCAUCCUCGAGUCUUUUCCACUUAAUGCCAGUUGGGUAAGCUCUGAUCAUCAUCAAUCACGUAAUAACUUAUUAAGUCAAUUCAUAUUCUCUCAAAUAACUUUUAAUAAUCCAAUCAUACACAGUGACUUUAAUAUAAAUGCAUAAUAUUUUACAAAAAAGAAGAAAAAAUCGAAUUAGAGGUAAAAGUUAUUCUACGAUUUUAUUUUUUAUAUAUAUCUUGCAUGCUAUUCCCAAAAGCAAUCCCAAACGACCCUUAAAGCAAUUUUACAAAAGCGGCCCGUACAUGUAUUGCCAACUUUGUUAGGAAUGGCAAUGGAAAGGGGAGGGGAAGAGACUGAUCUCCCCGUACCCAUUCCCGAUAUUCUGCAUAUAUCCAUGUCCUCUUCCCAUUCCCGACAAAAUUACUUUAGGGAAUCCCCCUCCCCUCCCCAAAUAAUAAUAGGGGAUCCUUAAAGGUCCUCGAUUGUCGAAUAACUGAUACGUUUUUAGUUUUAAAUUUUAAUUUAAUCAUAUUAAAAUAAAAAAUAAAAAUAAAGUUUGACGAUAUAUCUUACAUUAACAUUAAUCUAUUACAAAAGUCACAUUACAAAGUAUAAAUCACCAUAAUAAUUAUCUUCGGCAAUCUUCAAAAUCAUAUAAUAAAAAAAAAAGAAAUUACUUUUAUAUCAACAAUGAGAUAAAUGAAAUGAAUAUAGAUACUUAAUCAAUAUUUCUAAUAAAAGUAUUUACCUCUUGUGUCUCCUACUCUUCUUGUUCUUCCUCGAGGAAUGUGACAAAUUGAGAGAUAGCCUCAGAUUUCAAAUUUAAAACAACAAAAAUAAUAUAAGUAAUGUAAAUUCUAAGUGAAAAUAUUAAUAAUUAUAUAAUAUAAUUACAAUGUAAAAUAAACUCAUACUGCCAUUGUAAGCUUGUAGUCAACUUUGACAACAUAUUAAAGCCUCCAAUGUGCUUGAAUAAAGCGUGUUACAGUACUCUAACACUGGUGCUAAAAGCUAAUUCAAAAGCAACAUUUGUAAUUAGAAUUGCCAAAAUAUCUCUAGCAAUUCAUAUACCCUCCUUAUGUUACUAACCACGUGACGGUAGAGAGCCAAUUGGCAUACUAUUAUUUUGACGGUAGAGUUAUAAAUUUGUUUCUAAAUAGAAAACUAUUUGCUGAAGUCAAUAUUUUCAAAACCAAAGUCCCAAAUUCUCUCUCGUGCGUGCCUGGCCAUCCUAAACCUUACUGGUAGCCGGAGAAUGGCGUAAAACGGCGGCGAUCUUCUUCUUCAUCUUAUUAUCUCUCUCAUCGUUUCAGGUAAGCUUGUGAUUAUGAGUUUCUUCUCUUUCUUAGCUUGUAAUUAUAGGUUUUGAUUUCUUUAAUUCGUAUUGUAACCAUUAAUGUCAAUUUUUGUCCCGCCGGCAAUAUUUCUUGUUCCUAGAAGUUGAAGCCCUUCUGUUCUUGUUCCAUUGGUGACUUUGCUCACUCAAAUUAAUUUUGUUCUGCGGAAUUUACAAAGUUCAAAUGGAUUCAUUUGGAUUACUAUUGAAUUUAGCUUUCAUUUCAACAUUCAUUCUAAUGUUUUACAAUCAUGUAUUUAGAUUUACUUUAAUUUUAUGUUUAAAGCUUCUACAAUGAAUAGCGGAGCUUGGGUUUUAGUUUCAUUUUCUAAUUAACUUCUUUUAGUUUAUCUUAUAUGCUCGCCAAGUGCUUGUUAUAUUGUCUGAUAAGUUAUAUAACAUUGCUGAUUCUAUAUUAGUAAUGUCAUGUUCCAUUUACGGAAAUUAUAGCACAAAAGUUUUUACAAUGGCUUGCAUCUACAAACUGAAUUGACUUGUAGAGUAAGAGCUUGGAUUAGUGUUAUGUUCUUGAAUAAAUGAAAGUUCAUAUUGUGUAAGAGCAUGUAGAUGUAAAGCAUCACUACCAUUUCUACAAAAUGCUUUCAUUCUGUUCAGAUGCUCCUCUUGAACUUUGAAAGGUGCCUCAUUCAAGUCCUAGCUAUAACUAAUAGCUCUGAUUGCUUAAGUUCCUGUGCUAGCUGAAACAGAUUUAUUUAAUUAAUUAAUUGUGUAUGUACUAAUUAUAUUGAAAGUAUAUGAAGAAAUUGUUUAACAUGAAUGACUUCUAAAUGACUUAAAAGCCUAAAGGAUAUGUCAAAUAAUGCUCAUUUCACUUGAACGAGCCUAAUACUUUUAUGUCUAUGAUUGUCAAUCUUGCUUAAGUGUUUCAGUUAAGUGGUUUACCUAACAGGGGAAAAAAUUUAAUGGAAAACUUUAGAGUUCGAACAGAAAUAUAGUUGACUGCAGAUAUAGUUAUUUUACGGUACAUAAAUCAUAUUGUCCUAUACUCAAUGUCCUACGACCUAUUUUAUUUUAUAUGGUCAUUCAUUUUUGCGAUGGUUUUUUGUGCUUAUGAGUAUGGAAAUAGUGGGAUUUGGUGUGGCAAACAAAAAUAUACAUAUAAUCAAGUUUCUUAAUCAUGUAUAUUGGUUUUGGGUAUGAAUGUUUUCCUAUUCUAGUUCUAGACAAAGUUUCUUCAUUUUGGUCUUCAGAUUUCCAGUAGGUUAAGUUAAGCAACUAUCAUAACUAGCUAGCUAGUUAUUGCCUGCCUUGUCGCCAUUACCGACGCCAUUACAUUGCAUGGCAUAAGGAAUAGUAACUAGGUGAUUAUUGGUGAUUCCUUGAGUUUAUUAUUGGCCAAACAAACAUAUUCGCCUUUACCCACAACUUAGUUUGAUUAGUUAUUAGAUAAUAAAGAGCCUUAAUCUAUGCAUUGCUUUAUUAUUUUUAUUUGGUUUUUCUUUCAACAAUAUUGUUGAUUUCUUAUAAAAAAUAUUCAUUGGUUUUUAAACACCUAAUCAUUGGCUAUAAUGAAGCUAAUUAAAACGGAGGCUUUGGAUCAAUUUCUGUUAACAACAUACAAAUGAGCAUAACCACCCCCCCCCCCCCCCCCCCAACCACCACCAAAAAAAAAAAAAACCAAAUAGGAAGACUUUGCAAGAUUCACAACCAGGUUACAUUUAAUUUAUUAAUUGUGUGUACGUACUAGUUAUUUGUUGAUAGAAUAGGAAGAAGUAUUUUAAUAUGAAUGGCUUAAAACUUAUUGCUCAGUAAACAUAAUGUGCAUCAGUGCUAGAAAAUGUAUUUAUUGUUUGUAAUUUUUUAUGGUUUUGCUUAAGAAAUGAAAUGUGAAAAAAUGCUACAUUUUAUUAGGAAUAAAUUGAAGAGAUUUAUGAUUUUUAUGUGUUAUUCAAGUUUCAGAUUCAAUUUUAAACUUUUGAUACAUGCAUUGAAAGCUUAAACUCCUUUAAGAAAUUAUUAAUAGACACAUGUUUUAUUAGUGUCAUCUUUUGGAUGAUAGUGAGGAUCUUAUGUCUAUUAAUAAUUCUUGAAUUAUCUAGGCUUGGACAGUUUGGUAAUGCAUAGAUUUCUAUGGCAGCUAGUGCCUGAAAUUUUUUUCCCACGUAAAAAUGGGUUUUUCCGCAGCUGCUCCUCAUGUUCUCUGGGUGCAUACUAGACAAAUGGGUGUCAUGUGUUGUUUUGGCAUAACACAUAAACACUCAUAUAUCUAUGUCGUGUACUUGAAGAACUAUAGGGAGAUGCUUCCGAAGUUUCUAUAAACGUAGAGGAAAACUUUAGAUACUUAAGAUUGAAGAAACUUAUGCAUUCUUGAGUGGGAUAUAUAGGACCACUUACCUUUUGUAAAUAUGAAGGGAAUGUUGGAUAUAUUGAUGGGAGUGGAGGAGCUGAGUGGGAUGAAUGUAAUCGGUUAUGAUUUUGCUGAGUUGACUUGGUUUUGAGUCUUGUAAUUUUGUUUAUAAAUGGAGUACUAUCUCCAAUGUUGGUUUAUAAAUAUGUUUCAGCUGGCUGACCUAAUUUUUUGUUUCUAGGUAACAGGCUUUAUAUAUCUGUAAUUGAUAGCCAAGUGAAGUUCUCAGCAGUGGGUGAGGAUAUUUCUUUACAGAAGGUAUUGCAAACUGUUUUUUAGAUUAAUUAUUAUUGUAUAUAUACUUUAAUUUUCACAUCUUUUUCUCUGAUUCUUGUGGCUUUGCUUGCUUCCAUAUAUAUAAAACCAUAAAAUUGUAUAAUAAUUUUUUUAUUAUAUUGCGAAACUGCGCACACAUGAAAAUAUCUUGUUUAGUAGUAGAAAUGAAGAAUUAAAGUGAUUUAUUUAACUAAUUUUUCUAGUGCAUUAAAAGGAGAUAGUCAUGGACCAGAGUUGGGUUGGUUUGCCAAAUAGAUAUCCAAUUCAUAUACUGAUGGGGUCAAAAAAUUUAUAGAUUUUGCAUUUGAGAAUGUUGUUGGUGAUAAAAGAAUUUAUUGCCCUUUAGAAGUGUCGUAAUAUCGAUAUUUCAUUAUAAGGAAAGUAGCAAGAGACCAUAUCAUUAUAAAUGGCUAUUGGUUAAAGUAUUAAAACUGGAUAUUGGAGGGUGAGCCAUCUUCAUCUUUGAAAUCUAACUAAGAAACAGGUUAGUCAUGACUCGGGUAGUGAUGCUAGUAUGCUUGGAAUGAUGCAUAAUGCAUCACGUAAUCAAAUGUUCAAGUCACACGCAGCAUUGUUAUGGACUAUCUCCGACUUUCUAGCAUAUGCCAACUUGUUUGGGUGGAGUAUUAAAGGUAAAUAAGCAUUUCUUGUUUGCCAACAAAACACUAGAUCUAAUUGGUUGAUACAUAGUAGAAAAUUGUCACGUGGGUCACCGUCGAUUUUUACCAACAAAUCAUAGGUUCCGAAAAUAUAGUGCCAUCUGAUAAAACUAGAGAGUGGGGACAAGCACCUUCUCGGUUGUCUGGAGCCGAGGUGAAAAACCAGUUCAGUAAUGUACUUAAGAUUGAAGACUUGAAAAGAGGAGAAAAGAGGAGAAUGAAUAAAAUGAAAGAAAUGAUAAGAUUACUUGGAAGAAGAAAAGCAUUUUUUAUGAACUAACGUAUUGGGAGUUCAAUUUGAUUCAUCAUAAUCUCGAUGUCAUGCACCGUUUUGAUUUUUGUUAUGAACUCAGAUCAAAAGUUUAAUGUGAUCAAAAUUUCUUAAAAAUAGUGAAAACGACUCCUCCUAAUAAUAUGGAAGAUGGCUAUAAAAGAUAAUUUCUUAAAAGUUUAAUGUGAUCAAAAUUGCUUGUGAACGCAAGGGUUUUAGUUACACUGUCAACGCUGUCAAUGUAGUGAUACAAUGAAGAUGAAGUAAAGCAUUAGUAGAAUAAUGAAGUUGACCAGUAACACAGUAAAGCAAAUUUUAUUCCAGAGCAUGAAAACUUUUAAACAGUAACACAGCUCUUAUUCCAGAGGCUGCACGCGAGUGACCUGAAUCUUCUUCAGAACUUUCAAAUUUUAUCAAGCAAAGCUUUCAAAAUCCUUUGCCUUCCUAAGUUAGGAAAGAUAGAUGUGGAGCAAACUAUUUUUUUUAGAUAUUUUCACUUUGGGCUGUCAGCCCGAGGAAGUAGGGGGGUCUGAGUUAUUCAACUGAAAAUGUCGGCCAAGUUCUUGUGUUAGUUUUAGUAUAUUGUGUACAAAUGAUACACUAACUUGAAUUUAUAUGCUUUUAUGACUAUUUGAUAAUCAAAUGGGUAAAUGACACGAAUAACUUUGAGUUUAAAAAUCUGGCCCUGAUGCCUGGUAGCCCUCCAACCUAUGAAGCACUAGAUGUUUUAAUGAUAAAACGACAAGACCAUUUAUCAAAUUUCUUGUGGAUAUAAAUACAUACACAUAGACGAGACCAACCUCCUCAAAUGAGAAUCAGAGUGAUUACAAGACCUUUCAAUGAGACAAUAAUACACCAUCAAAUCUCAAAAUACAAUAGAAAUUCAUGACAUAUAUAUAAUAAAAGACCACUCAUUGAGUCAUAUAUAUUGAGAAUAAAUUUUUUUUAAUACAUACAAAGAGCUUAGCUAGAAUGAAAUGUCUUUGGACUUGCGAUGAAAACAAAGGAAACAGACAUGUUGCAACUCACACUAUCACAGAUGUAGCGACACAAUGCAGUGAAUCACAAGAAGAUCACGAAGAUGGAAACGGGAACCCCUCAGAAUGUAAACUUUGAAUAGAGGAAAAAAGGAAAACGACCUUAUUCACAGAGGACGAGUGACUUAAAUCUUCAUCAGUAUCCAAACAUUCUGCAAUCAUAGAGUAGAGAAAUUUUAACAGGAACAGCAGAGAAAAUAUUAUGAAUAUGCACUGAUUACGUUUUUUUUUUUAAUUUUUUUAAUCCGAUUAAUGAUAUUCAGCUGUUCUUUAAUUAUGUGUUCAUAGGGAAGAACAUUUUCUAAGUACUUUCCUUGCCUUCUAACUUUCCAAGGAAAUAUAGGUGUGAAGAAAAGCAAACCCAAUGAACAAACAGAGCACAAAGUAAAAUAAAAGAACAGCAAUGAUGACGAUAAAUAAUUGGCAAAGAAAGAAAGGAAAAAGUAUGCACGUUUUCAAGGAUUUAUAAAAUACGAAGGCUUUUAAUGGAAUUUUAUCAUAAAAACGUAUGCAAGGAGUUAUAAAAUUUUAGAAGACGAGGGGAGCUCGCAAAAAAAAAAAAAAAAGACUCAAAUUAAACUAGACUAAAAAGACAUUCAAUUAUGCAAAAUCUGUCCAUAAAAGUCUGAAAGGAUCAUUAAAAUUGCAUUGCAAAUUUAACAGUAAACCGAGGGAUCCAUUCUAAAUAAUUCAGAUGAAAUUGCGAAACAAGCCAUGGGAUUAAAUAAAUGAAAUAAAAAUUAAUUACCAGUUGAGACUUUCUUCUAAAAAUUCGCAACUCCAAGUCAUAAGAAGCCUAUGAAAUUAGUCGUACUGCGUAGAGUAUGACGACGACACCGCCAACAGCUGAAAGUAAAAUUCUUAUUCAUCAAUUUAAACUUUUACUUUAUAAAAAAUAUCUUAUCUAUAUUGUAUUUAAGAAAGCAAAUUUUGUAAAAAUUUAUCAUGGGAGAUAGAGAGUAAUAUGUAUAGACGUACCUUCUCAGCAUGUAAUUGUUGUAUGGUUGUGUUUAGAUCAUUAUUAGCCCAGCGCCGUUGAUCCGCUGUCUCUCCAUAGCAGACGUUUACUCUUAGAGGCAUGAUUGAUUCUCCUGUAGUGAAAAUCUUCAUCUUGGGACAACCAAUCACACACAAAUCUUGCAAAGAUGGGAAUUUGAAGGUGUAAUUGGCAGAGCAGAAACUUGUGAGGCUAUCUAAAUCACGCAGUUCCAACGUCUUCAAUUUGCGGAAAACAAUCUCUUCUUUUUCAACUCCUUCUUUGUCAUUUAUUACCACCUCUGUCAUUGCUCUGCAUUCACGCAUACGCACUGUGACGAGUUGCACUAGAGUUUUUGCUGUGGAGGAUGUUACCAAGUGUAUCAAUUCCUUGCAACCGAAAGCUACAAUUUCGGUUAGGUUCCGAAAAGAUACCGAUGAUGAUGGCAAUAGAAUUAACAGACUUUGACAAUCAUAUACUUUUAGAAUUUCAAGAUACUGAAAAAUGGGGCCAAGUUUGGAGUCUUGUUUGCACAGCUGCUCAAGAUGAUAGUGCUGGUGCAGCUGUAAUUCUUUUAUCAUUGCCAACUUCCCCACAUGUUUCUCUAAGCAUCCUUCCAUCGAAAAUACCUCUUCGUGGAAUGAAAAAUUACACAGUAUGAGUAUUUCGAGACUGUGAAAUCUCUCAAGUACAUUCCAGAUUGGAAAACAAGCUGAGUCAUCGCCACCAAUAUUUAGUUGUUUAAGACUGCCAAAAAGGUGUUGGGGGAAAUCGGCCUGCAAAAUCAUCUUCACGUCUUUUCCAUUUAAUGUUAGGUCCUUCAAGUUGGGUAAGAUCUGAUCAUCAUCAAUCAUAAUAAUUAUUAAGGUCAAUUGAUGUUCUCUCAAAUGAUUUUAAGUAAUCCAAUCACACGCAGUGACUUUAUAGUAUUUGUUUUAUAUUAUAUUUUACACAAAAAAAUGAAUUAUUGAAAAAAAUUAUUAAAUGAUUUUUUAUAUGUUAAUUUUAGAGGUAAAAAAGAAAUUAAGGAAAAAAUUUUGAUUUAUACUGGCUGGAAAUUAUUUUAUUGCACAAUAAUAAAUUACUAAUUUAUUUUGUAAGUUCUUAUAUAUGGAAAGACUAAGUAUCUCCAAAAGGCUCUAUAAAUUUUACUCUUUCAAAUUUCUAUUUGCUUACCUAUGUGGCAAAUAGAAAAGUGAAAAAAUAUGUUAUUCUCCAAAAGACUCUUCAAAUAGAAAUGAAUUAAUAUUAUUUUAAUUAAAUAACUAUUUUUAAAAAAUAAAAAGUCAAUAGUAAUUAAAACACCUCUCUCUCUUUCUCCAACAAAAAGUAAUAAAAUAUAAAUUGAAGAGGGGGAAUGCAACUCUCCAAAUUUGAAGAGAGAUGAUCAUUUCUUAUUUGAAGAAUCUUAAUUGGAGUAUCUUUUGGAACUUUAAAUGCUGAUGUGGCUCUUCAAAUAAGUAAUAAAAUCUUAUUUAAAGAGUCUUUUGGUGAUGCUCUAAGGAUUCUUUUAUAAAUGCUAUACCUAAAAAAGUUCAUAUAAUUAUUAAUCUAUCAAUAAAUCCCUUAGUCUAGACUAGCAAAGAUUAUUGUAUAAUAAAAGUUUUCAAUUUAUUGAGUAUUAAUUUAUUGAUGCUUUGUCAUAUUUUUUAAAGUUCAAACUAAGCUAUUGAUAGAAAUCUAGAAAAUGGCUUCAUACAUUUUCCAACGGCAAUAGGGCCUGUUGUGCAGGAGUAUCAAGUUCAUCAUUCUCAAAAAAAAAAAAAAGAUUGAAUUAUUGAUAAAAUUUAUUAAAUGAUUUUUUAUAUGUUAAUUUUAGAGGUAAAAAAGAAAUUAGGGAAAAAAUGUUGAUUUAUACAGGCUCGAAAUUAUUUUAUUGCACAAUAAUAAAUUACUAAUUUAUUUUGUAAGUUCUUCUAUAUGGAAAGACUGAGGAUUCUUUUACAAAUGCUAUACCUAAAACAAUUCAUAUAAUUAUUAAUCUACCACAUUGAUCCCUUAGUCUAGACUAACAAAGAUUAUUGUAUAAUAAAAGUUUUUAAUUUAUUGAGUAUUAAUUUAUCGAUACUUUGUCAUAUUUUUCAAAGUUAAAAAUAAGCUAUUGAUAAAAAAUCUAGAAAAUGGCUUCAUACCUUUUCCAACGGCAAGGGGGGCAGUUGUGCAGGAAUACCAAGUUGAUCAUUCUCAUUAUUCUGCGAUAAAUCUGCAGCGAAUAUCUUUAAUUUGUCACAACCAUACACAUAAAGAAUUUCUAGCGCGGGCCAUUCCGAAGUAUGCAUUCCAGGGUACAAACAUCUAAGUUUUGGUAGAUCUUGGAGUCUCAGAGUGGUGAGCGGUGGAAAGACAAAAUGAGGGAUCACUUGAUCUGCUCUGUUUUCAGAAAUGAUCUCCUGUAAAUCCUUACAGAAGCGUAUAUCUAGGUGUUGGAGCUGCUUAAGGCUUCCGAUCAUAGACGCUGAAAAUAUGUAUUUUAAUUUAUGACAACGAUGCACAGUCAAUCGUGUUAAAUUUUGAAAGCGAGGAAACAUGACCGGAAGAUUAUUGUAGUGCCAAAUCUUGUCGACAUUAAUUUCAUAUAUCUCCAAAGCCUCCAAGUUAGGCAACGCAACCUAAAAAAAUAAGAAUUUCUCGUUAGAUCCAAUAUCCAUAUGGGAAGCACUUGUUGAAAUUUUCUUCUUUGAUUACAAAUUAAUGCAAGUCUGAAUCAAUUUCCAACUGACAGCUGAGUAUGCAUUCUAAUUCAUACUACUUGUUAAGAGCUCAAUUAGUGAGCGCGUGAGAUUCUUUUUAUCCUUUUUUCCAUUUUCUUUCAAAUCUUUAAAUGAUUUAAUUACGAAAAAUUAAAUGAUUAAGCCCAUUUUAGUUGACCAAUUUUCUUAAUUAUAUGAAUAAAAUCUGUUAUAUAUGAAGAAAAUGUUAGCCUACGCACCUUCUCGUUGAAAAGCAGAGUUGAAGUAUCCAAAGUGAUUUCGCUGGAGCUAUACGUAGUCGUCGAUUCCUCCUGCGACGCUGGUCUGUUUGGUGAUGCUGAAGGAGUCUUUACUUCACGGCAGAAAUUUGUAACCUCUGGAAGAUUCCCCAGACUCAAAUAUCUUAAUUGAGCAAACUCUAUCUUCUCAAUUGCAUUAUCAACUUCUUCCCCAAUUGCAAAAAUCUCUUUCAUCUUGCUGCAAUUAAUAACUGCAAUUCUCUCAAGUCUUGGAAGGCAUUUUGUAGUAGAGAGCCAAAAGAUAUUACUCAAUUUAUCACAACUAUAUGCUUCUAUGGUUUUGAGUUUGUUGAAAGACUCUACUUUGAGCCGAUCAAUACAUAUCCUCUCCAUGUUGAUCAAGUUGUGAAGGAUAAGUGACUCCAAAGGAGGAAAGGCAUCACAAGCGACCAUCUCCCUGGAAUCGACGAUACAAAAGAUGUCAGGAUUAUUUUGAACCCAGAGAAGCUUCAAUUGUGAAAAGCCCUCCGUGUCCAAAUUGAAAAGAACACUCUCGAUGCCUUGCAGCUUGUCCAACCAUAAGCAUUCAACGUUAUUGAUGCCCUGCAAUUUCAUGGAGCAAAUGUCCAUAAAAUCAAGCUUGAGCUUCAAUGCUCUUAAACUCUUGCGAUCUCUGUCGAUCACAAAGUGCUGCCAACUUUUAAACCAUCUGUGUCUAAAAAGCAUGGGAUGUGUGAAUAACCCAUUUCCAAUAUGUAUUUGGAACCUUUCGAGCUUUCUGGCCAAAAAGCCUUCUGGUAAAAUACUAUCAUUUUUAACAUCAAUUUCUAGAGUGGUUAGCCGAGGUAAAUGCAUCAAUUCAUCAAGGCUAGCAUUACUUCUUUUGCUGUUGGCUCUUUCAACCUCCCAUUCAAUGGAGCAAUUACCCAUAUACAAUUCUUCUAAUCGGAUUAAGCUUGAUAUGACAUUUGGGGCAAUAACUUUCAGACGGAAACAGUCUGUUAAAUCUAACAACCUUAGCUUAGUCAGUUGACCGAGUGCUUUAGGCAACUCUACAAUAUCAGAUUCCAAAAAGCUGAUGAUUUCUAGAUUUUCCAACUUUCCAAUAAUGGCUAUGUCUAUGCCUCCCAAAAUGCUUUGAUUAAGACAGAGUGUCUGAAGAUUUACUAGAAGACCAAUUGAAGAUGGCAAUGACAAUAACCGCAUUCUAGUCAAAUCCAAAACCCGAAGCUUUUUCGUCCUUUUGAAGAAGUUCUCAGGAAUAUUAGGCACAGCAAAAGAGUUCUUGGGAGACAUGAGUAGAAGUUCAAGUUGUAGAGAUUCGGACCCUUCAAGAAUGUCAUUAAUAAUACUAUCUUUUAAAGAAAUUGCAAGAUAUUUUUUUAAUUCAUCUGCAUUUGGCCAUUUCCAAUCAUCCUCAUUUCUCACCACAAAUCCAAUUUUGUCACGACAUGCAAUUGAAAUGGCAACAUCGCGAACAACGUCGUGCAUAGAAAAGUAUUUACUGCCACCAUCCUCAAGCAACAAACAAGAGUCUCUUAGUUGAUGGACCCAUGCAUCUAAUUUGUUAUGUGCAUCUUCUAGCUUGUGGACACUUUUAAAUACACCCCAGCCCAUGCUAUAUUUGAACAAGUCCAUAAUUGGUGCUGGCGUAAUAAGACUACACAGUAAAAAAGUUUUCUUGAGUUGCUCACCUCUUAAGUACUUGUAACUCAGCUCAAUUGUUGAGUAUGCCUCUGCUGGUACUCCUUCGUCGAAGCUCGCCUCUGAAGGCGUUCGGAGUUCUUGCAAGGCAUUCUUCCACACAGGCAGCUCUUUUUUUCUCAGUGCCUUUGCUACUGUGAUUAGGGCAAUAGGCAAACCUCCGCAUGCCUUGGCUACACUUGUUGCUGUAGAUUUUAACUCACGAUUUUCAACAUAAUCACCAGCCAUUAUCUUGAACAAACUCCAGGCUUCUUGUUCAUUUAAAAUGCCAAUCGAGAAGUUUUUUUCAGAUCCCAUCCUUAACAGCACAUCAAGAUCUCUUGUUGUGAAUAAUAAUUUACAUCCUCUGUGCUCAACUCCAAAAGGAACUCCAAUAGUCCCCAAAUCAAGAGGUUUCCAGAUGUUAUCCAGAAUCACAAGGAUCUUCUUCUCAUUCUUCAAUCUUUCAUAUAGUCUACUAGCUCUUCUAGACUCAGCUUCCUCGGACAACUGUAGGCCUAACGUUACCGCAAUUUCCUCUUGGAUCUUUUUUAUGUCUGGACUUUGGGUAACCUCCGAAAAAGCCACCAUAUCGUAAAGCUUGUCUUCAAUGGCUCGCCUUGCAAACUCCCGCACCAGUGUCGUCUUUCCAAUGCCGCCCAUGCCGUAGACGCCAAUGAUGCUGACAUCAACAUCGAUCAAUGCAUUUUGUAUGGCCUUCAAAGUAGAAAGUCUUGAUUCGAAGGCCUCGUAGCCUUUGUGAGACUUGAGCCAAAUCUCCUCCGGAAUGGUACGGUAGGAAAUUCUAUCAUCAAAUCUCCCAGCUUCUUCUCGGAGUUUAAAAAGGGCCUCCUUCUCUGUUUCUGCUUUCUUUCCAUGCUGAUAGCGAGUAAUCCAAUUAGGAAACAGCCCCAUGAGACAUCGUUCAUUUGCUUUCUCUUCGUCUUGAAUGAAUUUGGCUGCCUCCUCAAUGCUCUUGUUCGCAUUAACCAGCCAUUUCUCAACCUUCUCUUCAAUCUUUUCACUUUUUCUUUCAGCCUCAGAAACUCUGCGCUGAAUGCUUUCUCUUUCAUCCUUGAGCCCAUCGAGUUCUUCCUUGAGAUUCUCAAAGUUGGCAGCGGAGUUAUACCAAUAACUAAAUUCGCGUUGUGCGUGAGGAGACAAGCAGUUUACAAUGCUUUUCAAAAUGUCCAUUGUUUUUUUGGGUUGGGGGGGGGGGGGGGGGGGGGGGGGGGGGGGGGGGGGGGAGGGGGGGGAAGGGAACGAAAUAGAAAUAGAACAGGGUCAUCGACCGCGCAAUUGAUAAUCAAGUAGAAGCAAAACAAGGCAAAAUUGGAAAAAGAAAUGAUAUUUGUACAAAACAAGGGGAAAAUCAGUGUAACAGAAGAGAAUCAAAGUGUUUUUGAGAUCAGAAAAUUGAAUCAAGAAAAGGGUUGCUUGAUCCAAUGAAAUGCAAACAGCUGGUGGCAAAAGGGAACGAAGCUAAAUAAGAAAACGGCUAGCACGAGCAGUGACCACGAUAAAUAGAAGCAAAGUGUGUAUGAGAUCAAAAGACGAAAAUCAGGAGAGGUUUUCUUGACUGAGAAUUGAAGGCAAAGAGUAGGAGCUGACGAAUACGGGGAUCAAGAGGGAAAAACUGCUUGCUCGUAAAACUACUUUCAAGCGAAUCUGAUAAAAUUAUUUCAAUACUCAUGGGCGACUCCUUUUUAAACUGCAGAAGGAAAAAAAAAAAAAAAAAAAGAGUUCUGAAUUUCAAUAUAUUAAUUUUUAUCCUAAUUUAUGUUGAGAUUCGUAAUCUCGUCUCAAUGAUUAAUUAGUAGAUAUUCUUUCUAACAAAUAUGUGUUGAAUAGAUAUAUUUCUUGACUAUUAGUAAGUUAGAUAUAUUUUGGCAUAGGAAUGAAAGUACCAAGUUGUGUCAUAUUAGAAUAAAAAUUUGAGCUAAAAAUAUUUUUCUAUGACCUUUUAAUUAUUUGUCAGCAAAUAAUUAAGUCAUAUAAAAAAAUUAAUAAUCUGAAUUAGUCUUUAAGUAUUAUAAAUAUUAUUUUUAUUUUUAAUUAUAAUAUCAUUAUUUAAAAAUAAUUGCUUGACUUAUAUUAGUAACAUUACGAUUGUCAUAAAACAUGUGAUCCUGAUCCAAUAUCCAUUAUUUGUGAUCCUUAAUCAAUAAAAUAUCUAACAAUAUCUUCACCUAAAGUUUGAGACAUGUGAUCCUUAUUCCACUGCGUCAAUUACACUCCAGACCAAUGCUGCCGUCAUUAUCGAACGGUCGAUAUCCAACACUUGCACGAAGAUUCCAAGAAGUUGCGUGGCUGCCGACUUUUAGAUGCAAAGCCUCAUUGUGUCGAUGUUACACAAAAGAGAGCAAGUCCGGGUAAUUGCCGAAACUUAGAACUAAACAGUAGCUUAGUCAGAAAAUCAAACGCCAGUAACCGUUAAAAUGACCGAUAAAAAUAUAAAGAAACCAAAGCUUUAAAAGAAAUCAGCCAAAUCACGAAGAUUGAAGAGUAAAUCUAUGGUUUUAGAUUUUUAUUUUAUUUUUUUAGAUAAUAGAUAUUAUUUUGAUGAAUUUUUAAUAUUAGAAUAAUGUUAGGAAUUUCGAUAGUAGAUUUCUAACUUGAGAUCCAAUUGUUAUGUAUCAUUUUUUUAUUGGAUAAUGAAUUUCAUAACUAGUAAAAUUAAUAUUUCGAUCAUCUAAUAAAUGACUAUCAUAUCAGUUGAGACUCAAUUAUUGGGAUCCUUAACAUUGCUCUUACUAUUAAAUUGGACAUCUUAGCUAAAUCAAAUUAGAUUUUAGGCUUUUAUCCAACAUCUCUUUUUUUUUUUUUUUGGUCUAUUUGAAGUGAACGAAAUAAAAAUACAACAGGUUCAACGACUGGGCAAUUGAUAGUCAAGUAGAAACAAAUCAAGGCUAAAUGGGAAAGAGAAAUGAUAUUUGUGCAAAACAAGGAGAAAAUCAGUGUAACUGAAGAGAAUCAAAGUGCUUUUGAGAUAAAAAAAAAUUGAAGCAAGAAAAGGGUCGCUUGAUUGAAUGAAAAUGCUAAGAGCUGAUGGCAAAAGAGAACAAUGUUAAAUAAGAAAACAGCUAGCUCUAGCAGCGACCACAAUAAACAGAAAAGUUGAGAUGGAUUUACAAUAUUUCUGUCUUUCUUCAUGCUUUAACAAAUAUUGCUCUAUAAAAAAAAAUAUUGAGCGUUUUUAUUAUUGGAAUCACAAAAGACCUACACAAUAUAGCAAGUGACUAGGAAUAAAUAAGAAUAUAUAACUCUCUCUCUCAUUCUCACUCUAGCUUUUAAUUGUCACUCAAAACCCAUAAUUCUUCCUUAAAGUGUAAGCAAAUAAGAGAUGACAGCGUCUGGUUGUCAUACGCGCCUUUUAGUUUUCGGAUGACAUGGGGUACACUUCUUCUGUAAACCGAACACGACAUGUCGUACUCUUUGUUUUGAGAUCAUAUUUCAAACUCUUCAUGCUAUGAAUGAAAGAUAAACUACAAUCAUCAAAAUAUUUAGUGUUUAUUUGGUAAUGUAAUGUCAUAGUUGUUGUGAAUUGAAAUUAUUUAUGUAAGAUAAAAGGAUUUGGGUCAUCGUUUGUUAUUCUCUGGCAAUAUUGUUUGGCCGUGACUACUUGAAAUUAUUUCUGUAAGAUAAAAGGAUUUGGGUCAUUGUUUGUUAUUCUCUGGCAAUAUUGUCUGGCCGUGACUAUUUGUUAAAUAUUUAAAAAAUAAAUUUAUAUUUAUUAAGUAUAAAAAAAAUAAACAAACAAAAAUAAAAGGAAAAGUUUAUACAUUACAUAAAAUAAUAAGAACAAUAUCAAUAUUUCACACUCUAUAAUUGAGUGAUGUGUUGUCCAACUGCCAUACUGAUAAACAGUGAACUCGAAACUCAAGUACUACAAGUCGUUUAGAGGAUUCAGUCUCGGAUGACUUGUCACUUGUAGAAGUUCCUGAAGCCAGAACCGACAUAAUCUUAGUCAUCUGUUCUAUCUUUAGUAGUACACGUGGUUUGCACAUGUGUUGAAGCUAACUCUUGCUUGGAUCAAGAAACGACGUCUCUGAGUGCAGUUUCUUAAUCACACUUAAAUCAGCGUGUGACAAGCACGUGAGGCAGAGCUUCUUGGAUAGAUUUGGCGGGAAUGGUAGUUGGCGUAACAACCCAGAAACAGAGGAUAAAAAGGUGCAGGCUUUGUCAUCGUCUUCACAUGAUUUGGGAAACACUGAGAGUAGAGAGAAGAUAGAGAGAGAAAGGGGUUUACAAGUUCUUGUUCUCUGUAAAUCAAUUCCUAUUCUUGUAUUGUUUUGUGAACGAAAUAGUGAAAGACUGUUGCUUUGUUUCCAGUGGAUGUAAGCACCACUUCUUGGUGCUGAACCACUUAUGCUUGGUGUCUUGUUUGUGAUCUUGAAAACUUUGAUUCGUGUGUGUAUUUGUUGCUGAAUAGUCUGUGUUAAUCAUUCUUAAAACCAUCGAUACAGAACUAAGUGUCUUGGGGAGAAUUUGGUUAAUCUUAUCAAAGCCAAAUUCACAACACAUACAUUGGUCCCAAACAGAGACUUAAAUAUUAAAGUCCAAAGUUAUUGUGAUGAUGACUUAUAAUCGCCAAACUUGACAUAGGGGUAAUCAUGCAUUAUAAGGUGCUGAUUUCUUCCGAUCAGAACCUUAUUUUUCAUUUACAAAUAAAUAAAUGAUGUGACUUCACGGUUGGCGGGGUCCUUUGUGUCAUUUGGGCAUUUCACUAAAUGAUUGAUUGCAGCAGGAAGAUUCCUGGAAGUUGCCAUUUGCCAAUGCUACUAACAUUUUCAAACUUGGAAAACCCUUCAAUCAAUCUUUUAGUGGUAGGCUCUGGUAGCUUGGUUUGAUUAUGACAUAUGAUUAUUUGAUAAUAAAGCUAGAGGAUGUAUUAAUAUAAAAUUUGUUUAUUGGUGUUGAAGUUAAUUAUCUCAUUAAUAAUGGUAUAAAAAGUUAAUUACUAAGAAACACAUAGCAGUAUUCUGGGAUAUAAUUUUAUAUCAUAACUUUGUAAGUGUAUAAUUACGCAUUAAAUUAACAAAAUUAUUUUAAAAUAUUUCGUUAGAAAAAAUAAAUUAUAUUCUUUUUAUUUCAAAUAAUCUAUAAGUUAACUCAAAACAUAAUCAAGUUGAGAAUUAAAAUAAUGCUACUGUAUGAGAGGAUUUUUAUUUUUUCCCGAAGUUUCACUAGGAAAUUAUUGAUAUAUAGCUUUAUUCGGAUCAUCUGAGUUCAAACGACAAAUAAUUGAAAGACUAAAGUAAAUAGACCAGCCAACAACUUUGUACAGCAGAGUUCAAAAAUUAAGGUCAUGGUAUUGAGGUGUUUUGUCUUGAAAAGUACGGCAUAAUGAUAAAAUAAAAACUAUUAGUCUUUGGUAAGAUAUAACUUUUAAAUAAUAAUUUUCACAAAAAUACAAAGAAUAUUUUAUAAAGUACUUCUAUAGUGAGGAGACCCUCACUUUGUUAAAGUGAAAAUAUCAAUAAUAUACAAGAAACAUAUAUUCUAACAUAUUGAGAACUGUAUCUUUUUAAUCUAUUAGUGUAUUGAAAUAUGUGUUAUUUAGUUUGUUAGUGAUAUCAUCACUUUGUUAAAAUACGGAUGUCAGAACCAUUAUAUUUUAAAGUUUUACUUCAUUGCUUUAUUAAUCUUAUUACUAUUUCUCCUUUGCACUUCUAAAGAAACCAAUUAACCAAAGCUUUAAAAGAAAUCAGCCAAAUCACGAAGAUUGAAGAGUAAAUCUAUGGUUUUAGAUUUUUAUUUUAUUUUUUAGAUAAUAGAUAUUAUUUUGAUGAAUUUUUAAUAUUAGAAUAAUGUUAGAAAUUUCAAUAGUAGAAUUCUAACUUAGGACCCAAUUGUUAUGUGUCAUUAUUUUAUUAGAUAAUGAAUUUCAUAACUAGUAAAAUUAAUAUUUCGAUCAUCUAAUAAAUGACUAUCAUAUCAGUUGAGACUCAAUUAUUGGGAUCCUUAACAUUGCUCUUAGUAUUAAAUUGGACAUCUUAGCUAAAUCAGAUUAAAAAUCAAAUUAGAUUUUUUGCUUUUAUCCAACAUCUCUUUUUUUUUUUGGGGUCUAUUUGAAGUGAACGAAAUAAAAAUACAACAGGGUCAACGACUGGGUAAUUGAUAGUCAAGUAGAAGCAAAUCAAGGCUAAAUGGGAAAGAGAAAUGAUAUUUGUACAAAAUAAGGAGAAAAUCAAUGUAACAGAAUUACAGAAGAGAAUCAAAGUGCUUUUGAGAUCAGAAAUUGAAGCAAGAAAAGGGUCGCUUGAUCCAAUAAAAAUGCAAAGAGCUGAUGGCAAAAGGGAACAAAGUUAAAUAAGAAAAUAGCUAGCGCUAGCAGCGACCACAAUAAACAUAAAAAGUUGAGAUGGAUUUACAAUAUUUCUGUCUUUCUUCAUGCUUUAACAAAUAUUGCUCUAUAAAAAAAAUAUUGAGCAUUUUUAUUAUUGGAGUCACAAAAGACCUACACAAUAUAGCAAGUGACUAGGAAUAAGAAUAUAUAACUCUCUCUCUAAUUCUCACUCUAGCUUUUAAUUGUCACUCAAAACCCAGAAUUUAUCCUUAAAGUGUAAGCAAAUCAAAGAUGACAGCGUUUGGUUGUCAUACGUGCCUUUUAGUUUCUGGAUGACAUGGCGCACACUUCUUCUGGAAACCCAACACUACAUGUCGUACUCUUUUGUUUUGAGAUCGUAUUUCAAACUCUUCAUGCUAUGAAUGAAAGAUAAUCUACAAUCAUCAAAAUAUUUAGUGUUUAUUUGGUAAUGUAACGUCAUAGUUGUUGUGAAUUGAAGUUAUUUCUGUAAGAUAAAAGGAUUUGGGUCAUCGUUUGUUAUUAUCUGGCAAUAUUGUCUGGCCGUGACUAUUUGUUAAAUAUUAAAAAAAUAAAUUUAUAUUUAUUAAGUAUAAAAAAUAAAUAAACAAACAAAAAUAAAAGGAAAAGUUUAUACAUUACGUAAAAUAAUAAGAACAACAUCAAUAUUUCAUACUCUAUGAUUGAGUGAUGUGUUGUCCAACUGCCAUACAUUGGUCCCAAAUGGAGACUUAAAUAUCAAAGUCCAAAGUUAUUGUGAUGAUGACUUAUAAUCGCCAAACUUGACAUACGAGUAAUCAUGCAUUAUAAGGUGCUGAUUUCUUCCGAUCGGAACCUUAUUUUUCAUUUACAAAUAAAUAAAUGAUGUGACUUCAUGGUUGGCGGGGUCCUUUGUGUCAUUUGGGCAUUUCACUAAAUGAUUGAUUGUAGUAGGAAGAUUCCUGGAAGUUGCCAUUUGCCAAUGCUACUAACAUUUUCAAACUUGGAAAACCCUUCAAUCAAUCUUUUAGUGGUAGGCUCUGGUAGCUUGGUUUGAUUAUGACAUAUGAUUAUUUGAUAAUAAAGCUAGAGGAUGUAUUAAUAUAAAAUUUGUUUAUUGGUGUUGAAGUUAAUUAUCUCAUUAAUAAUGGUAUAAAAAGUUAAUUACUAAGAAACAAAUAGCAGUAGUUAAUUGGUGUCAUAUUAUUGGGAUUCUGGGAUAUAAUUUUAUAUCAUAACUUUGUAAGUGUAUACUUACUCAUCAAACUAAUAAAAUUAUUUAAAAAUUUCAGUUGGAAAAAAUAAAUUAUAUUAUUUUCAUUUCAAAUAAUCUAUAAGUUAACUCAAAACAUAAUCAAGCUGAGAAUUAAAAUAAUGCUACUGUAUGAGAGGAUUUUUAUUUUUUCCCGAAGUUUCACUAGGAAAUUAUUGACACAUAGCUUUAUUCGGAUCAUCUCAGUUCAAACGACAAAUAAUUGAAAGACUAAGCUAAAUAGACUAGCCAACAACUUUGCACAAGAGAGUUCAAAAAUUAAGGUCAUGGUAUUAAGGUGUUCUAUCUUGAAAAGUAUAGCGUAGUAAUAAAAUAAAAACUAAUAGUCUUUGGUAAGAUAUAACAUUUAAAUAAUAAUUUUCACAAAAAUACAAAGAAUAUUUAUAAAGUACUUCUAUAGUGAGGACACCCUCACUUUGUUAAAGUGAAAAUAUCAAUAAUAUACAAAAGACAUAUAUUUUAACACAUUAAAAAUUGUAUUUUUUUUUAUCUAUUGGUGUAUUGAAAUAUGUGUUAUUUAGUUUGUUAAUGAUAUCAUUACUUUGUUAAAAUGAGAAUGUCGUUACUAGAGAAUCAUUAUAUAUACAUAUAUAAAGUGCCUCUGUCCAAGACCUAGACUUUAUUAACAUUUAAGAAAGCAAAUAUAUUUUAUAUGGUAUAAUAGUGUAAUAACAUCACACAAUUAUAUCAUAUAGAGUAAUAGUUUUUCGAACUUUAAUAAAGUUCAAGAUUAUAGAAUGAAUGAUUUUUAUAUAUUAUAAAUUUUUUUAUCAUAAAUGGAGGACAAAAUUAACAUAUUUUCAAAUUAUAAUAAGUAUUUAUCAAAUAAUUUAACAUUGCAAUUUCUCCUAACUAGUAUAGUAAAUAAUACGACCUAGGAGAUACAUUCAAAGCAUUUCAUAAGUUAGUUGUUAAUAAUAAAUGAUAUAUGCAGCUCCAAUCAUCAUUGUACGGUGAGUAAUUUCCAGUUAUAAAUAGAUAUUACUCCCUUCCCAGCAAUUUUUGAUGACUUAAUUUAGUGGGAUCAAAAUCAACAUUGAAUUUUUGACCAGCUGCCAACAACUUGUGAGCAGUUCACAGUGGGUACUGCACAUGAUGCCUGUUUCUCCUUUUGCAUCUAUUUUUGUUGUUAACAUUAAUUUCAAUAGCAGCUCGUUAAUCCCAAUUGUUGAUUUGGGACUAGAUAAGAAUUUAUCUUGGAACUCCAAUUCUCCCAAUUAUUUUAGUUGACAAUAUAUUUAACAUUAUUAAUUGCAUAUUAUUUAAUUAUCAGUAUAUAAUAUUCUUUAAUUUUCUAAUUUUAUAGGAUUAGACACAAAAUUGAUUAUGCCUUUUGAAAUUUAAGGGUUAUGUCAAUUGAAUAGAAAACUUGGAGGUAAACUUGUGGAUGUUUUUGUUGAUUAUCAAUUUAUGCAUGAAUUUUUGUACGUUUACUUUGGUUUAUAAUUAUUACUUUUAAAUAUUUUUGUUGGUUUGAUUUAGGGUCAAUUUGGUAAUCCUGUAGCUUUUAAAAUAAUUACAAUUAGUUAUGCUGUAGAAAUUGAUCAAUCGUCAAGAGAAUCAGCUGAACAUUUAGUAAAAUUUAUUUUUAAAAGUACUUUUAGUUUUAAAAGCGUUGUAUGAAUAAAACUGUUACACUAAAAAUUAAAUGUAUUGCCCACAUGGGUAAAUAAAGCUAUAUAUUACAACUGUUACACUAAAAAUUAAAUGUAUCUUAAACCCAAACUUCUUCUUCCUUUUUUUUUUUACUAACAAAAUUAAAAACAAUAGUGAACACAUUCUUUAAUAAACAAUAAGUAAUAAAUAAAAUCGUGUUAAAUUUCUUAAAAACUUUCUUUCACGGUUUGCUAAAUAUUUUUAUUAGUAUUUUAAAUAAAUAAAAAUAGUUGAUUUAAUUUUUUUAAAUAAACUUAUUAGGUUCAUGUAAAGAUGUUUUUGUUAUUUUAAAAAGUGUAGAAAGUACUCCUAAAAAAAAGCGUAGAAAGUAAAACUUAAUUUUUUAAAUUUAUUUGCUGAGUGCAUAAAUAAUUGAGUGUUCAUAAUGAUUUUUAAAGUAUAGAUAGUCGGACCCUAAUUUUUUAAUAUAUGAAAAUUUUGCUAAUAUGUUAAUGAGAAUUAAAAAGAUAAUUAAGGGAGGCAAUCGAGACAUUCAGGAUAGUUAGGAUGGGACAUGAUUGUGAGUGGUUUGAUAUUGGUCCUAAUUUUGAUCACAAAUAUAUAAACAGGACGAGUUUAUCUCUACUGACAUUCCAUUUGAUAAUUAAGAUGAGAGCGGAAUUGUCAAAUCUCAAAUCAUCCUGAACCAUUGCCAUCAAAGGUACUCUCACUAAUAAUAUCUAAAGAAAAAUCUACAUCUAUUUCAUACUUUUUUUUUUUAAACGGAAAGAGCCUUCAUGGGGCUUGAAAUGUUAUCCCAAAUAGUAUUAAGAAUAUCAAGCCAUGAUUGGGUUUGAGACAAACAAAUAUUACAUAGUUAGGAUACGUAGUUAUAGUGUCCCAAUUUAUGUAGUAUCUAUCAUUUAGUGCACAUAUAAAAUAUUAAUCAGCUUAAUUAAUUUAUAAAAUUUAAAUCUAAUUAAUAAGUGAUACAUAAAAGCCAAGUGCAAUAUUGUAUAUGCAAAACAUGUUUGUGGAUCAUUACAAAACUUGCUCUUGAAAACAAGCAAGAAAGCUUAAUUAAGAACUUAAAACAAAAAGAAUUAGAUUGAAAACAGUCAAGCUUUAUUUUUUCAAGGAUGGAGCUUAUAAAUCUUCAAGUACCAACAUAUGCUUGGCCCAAUUGUUGUUAUUAAAAUUUCAAUAUACAUAUAUAAGUAUGAUAUAGCAAAAAUUUGAUGGUACAUAUCUCGGAAUAUACUAGUUCAUGGAUGCAUUUGAUUAUUGUUUCCAUAAAUUUGAACCGGGAAGGAUGACAUGAUAAAAUUUGAUUUUAUGGUAUGGUUGAUUUCAGAUCUCAUGCCCUCAUUUCUUAAGAUAAUCAAAUUUUCUCUGGCAUCUUUUGCAACUGUGGAAAUAUCAAUUAUGAUCAAUCAAAACGAUUUCAAAACCUUUUAACGAGACAUAUUUAUAAUACAAUAUUGUGAAAAUUACAACAAAAAAUUAAUUUAUUAAAUAAUAUAUUAUUAUCCAACGAGCACACAAAAAUGAAUUCGUACAAAUCUAAAAUACUUAGCAAUUUUCAAAUAGAAUUUACCAUGUACUACAAGAAAAUAGGGUAUAUGUGACCCCUAAUGUGAAUGCAAAUUUGCAAAAGCAGCCAUUACGCAUGCCACUAACUUCUAACUUUGCAACCUCGAGUUGCUUACUUGCUUUUGUUACCCUUUAUGUGACGGCCACACUGCUGUCACAUAUGUUACUAACCACGUGACGGUAAAGAGCCGUUCGGUAUAGCACUAUUUUAGAAAUUUAAAUUUAUUUCCAGUUAGAAAACUAUUCGCUGGAAUAGCCACCAUCGUAAACCUAACUGGUUGCCGGCGAACGGCGUAAAACACCGGGCAUCUUCUUCUUCAUCGUAUUCUCCCUUCAUCUUUUGAGGUAAGCUUGUGAUUAUGAGUUUCUUCUCUGACUUAGCUUGUAAUUAUAGAUUUUGAUUUUUUUUUUUAAAUUCGUAUUGUAGCCAUUAUUGUCAAUUUUUGUCCCGCCAGCAAUAUUUUUUUAUUCCUACAAGUUGAAGCCCCUGUGUUCUUGUUCCAUUGGUGAGUUUGCUCACUCAAAUUAAUUUUGUUCUGCGGAAUUUACAAAGUUCAAAUGGAUUCAUUUGAAUUACUAUUGAAUUUAGCUUUAAUUCCAACAUCCAUUCUAAUGUUUUGCUAUUAGAUUUAGUUUAAUUUUAUGUUUAAAGCAUCUACAAUGAAUAGCGGAGCUUGGGUUUUAGUUUCAUUUUCUGGAUAACUUGUUUUAGUUUAUCUUGUAUGCUCACCAAGUGCUUGUUAUAUUGUCUGAUAAGUUAUAUACAUUGCUGAUUCUAUAUUAAUAAUGUUACGUUCUAUUUUCAGAAAUUAUAAUACAAAAGUUUUUACAAUGGCGUGCAUCUACAAACUGAAUUGACUUGUAGAAUAAGAGCUUGCAGUAAAUGAAAGUUCAUAUUGUGUAAGAGCAUGGAGAUGUAAAGCAUCAUUACCAUAUCUACAAAGUGCUUUCAUUAUGGUCAGAUGCUCUUCUUGAACUUUGAAAGGUGCCUCGUUCAAGUCCUAGCUAUAACUACUAGCUUUGAUUAAUUAAGUUCCAAUACUAGCUGAAACAGAUUUAUUUAAUUAAUUAAUUGUGUAUAUACUAAUUAUAUUGAAAGUAUAUGAAACUUUUUUUUUUUUUAAACAUGAAUGACUUCUAAAUGACUUAAAAACCUAAAGGAUGUGUGAAAUAAUGCUCAUUUCACUUGAAUGAGCCUAUUAAUACUUUCUAUGAUUGUCAAUAUUGGCUUAAGCAUUUCAGUUAAGUGGUUUACCUAACAGAGAAAAAAAUUUAAUAGAAAACUUCAGAGUUCUAACAGAAAUAUAGUUCACUCUGCAGAUAUAGUUAUUUUACGGUAUACAAAUUAAGUUGUCCUAAUCUCAAUGUCCUGUGACCGAUUUUAUUUUAUAUAGUCAUUAAUUUUUGCCAUGGUUUUUUGUGUUUAUGAGUAUGAAAUAGUGGGAUUUGGUGUACCUUAGCAUCUUUUGAAAAUUCUCUUUAAGUAUGGCCAACAGAAAUAUACAUAUAAUCAAGUUUCUUAAUUGUGUAUAUUAGUUUUGGGUACGAAUGUUCCUAUUCUAGUUCUAGACAAAGCUUCUUUGUUUUGGUCUUCAGAUUUCCAGUAGGUUAAGUUAAUCAACUAUCAUAACUGGCUAGCUACUUAUUGUCUGCCUUGGCGCCAUUACCCAGGCCAUUAUAUUGCAUAGCAUAAGGAAUAGUGAUUAGGUGAUUAUUAGUGAUUUGUUGAGCUUAUUAUUGACCAAACAAACAUAUUCGCCUUUGCCCACAACCUAGUUUGAUUAGUUUUAGACCACAAAGAGCCUUGAUCUAUUCAUUGGCUUUAUUAUUUUUAUUUGGUUUUUCUUUCAACAAUAUUUUUGAUUUCUUAUAAAAAUAUUCAUUGGUUUUUAAACACCUAGUCAUUGGCUAUAUGAAGCAAAUUAAAACUGAGGCUUUGGAUCAAUUUCUUCUAACAAGAUACAAAUGAGCAUAACCUUUCUCCUCUAAGUAAUUUUUUUUAAUAUCCUUGAUUUGUAAGGAUCUGGAGGCCUGAAAUCCUCUAGAUUUUUUUUAACACUGUCAAUGUCCUUUUUAUUCUGAAAAGGAAAUAAAAGGUUUUAUCUUUCAUACCCUAAUAGUAGGCUGGCCUUGUCUUAACAUGGCUUCUUGAGGAUUUGCAAGAUUCAUAGUUCCCCCAACACACGCCCCCCAAAAAAAAAGAAGAAAAAGAAAGAAAAAAGAAAAAAGGAAGAUUUUGCAAGAUUCACCACCAGUUUUUUUUUUUAAUUUAUUAAUUGUGUGUACGUACUAGUUAUAUGUUGAAAGAAUAGGCAGAAGUAUUUCAACAUGAAUGACAUAAAACUUAUUGCUCAGUAAACAUAAUCUGCAUCAGUGGGAAAAUGUAUUUAUCGUUUGUAUUUUUUAUGGUUUUGCUUAAGAAAUGAUAUGUGAAAUAAUGCUACAUUGUAUCAGGAAUAAAUUGAAGAGAUUUAUGAUAUUUAUGUGUUAUUCAAAUUUCAGAUUCAAUUUUAAACUUUUGAUACGUGCAUUGAAAGCUUAGACUUGUUUAAGAAAUUAUUAAUAGACACAUGUUGUAUUAGUGUCAUCUUUGGAUGAUAGUGAGGAUCAUAUGUCUAUUAAUAAUUCUUGAAUUGUCCAGGCUUGGACAGUUUGGGAAUGCAUAGUUCUCUCUGGUAGCUAGUAGCUGAAGUUUUCUUCCCACGUAAAAAUGGCUUUUUCGGUAGCUGCUCCUCGUGUUCUCUGGGUACGUACUAGGUGAAUGGGUGUCAUGUGUUGUUUUGGCAUAACGCAUAAACACUUAUAUAGCUUUGUCGUGAGCUUGGAGAAUUAUAGGGAGAUGGUGCUGAAAUUUUUAUAAACGUAGAAGAAAACUUUAGGUACUUGAGAUUGAAAAAACAUAUGCAUUCUUGAGUGGGAUAUGUAGGAUUUAUCACUUACCUUUGGUAAAUAUGAAGGGAAUGUUGACUCCUUGAAAUAUGCCCAAACCCAUGGAGUAUCUAAAUAAGUCUGAAAACCAAACACUGUUACCUACUAGACGACAAAGCAGAAAAAUUUUCUUGACUCGCUCACCUUUUAAAUAAUUGAAACUCAGCUCAAUACUUGAAUAAGUUUCUGCAGGCACAUCUUCGAAGUUUACCAUUGAAGGCGUUCGGAGCUCUCGCAAGGCAUUCUUCCAUUCAUGGAGACUCUAGUUUCUCAGUGCCCUCAACGCAAUGGGCAAACCUCCAUAUGCCUUAACUACAUUAAUUGCUGUAGACUUGAACUUACAAUUUUCAACAUCAUCACCAUUCAUUAUCUUAAACAAUCUCCAGGCUUCUUGUUCAGUUAGAUUGCCAAUCAAAAAGUUAUCUUUGGAGUCCAUACUUAAAAGCACAUUAUUAUCUCUUGCUGUCAGCAAUAGUCUACAUCCUUUAUGAUUAUUUCCAAAAGGAAUUCCAACCGUCUCCAAAUCAAGAUGUUUCCAGAUAUUAUCUAGAAUCACAAGAAUCUUAUUCUCACUCUUCAAUCGUUCAUACAGCCUACUAGCUCUUCUAUAUUCAGCUUCAUCGGACAACUCCAGACCUAACUUCUCUGCAAUUUCCCCUUGAAUCUUUUUUAUCUCUGGAGUUUAUGAAACCUCUGAUAAAACCACCCCAUAAAACAGCUUUUUUCCCUGGCUUGCCUAGCAAACUCUUUCACCAGUGUGGUCUUUCCAAUGCCGCCUAUGCCGUACACCCCAAUAAUGCUGACAUUCGCCUCCGUCAAUGCAUUUUUAAUAGACUGCAAAGUAGAAAGUCUUGAUUCGAAGGCCUCGUAACCACUGCUAGACUUAAGCCAUAUCUCCUCCGGAAUGGUACGGUGGGAAACAGUAUCAAACUUCUUAACUUCUUCUCCAAGUUCAAUAAUGGCCUUCACCUCCGUCUCUGCUUUCUUGCUAAGCUGAUAGCGACUCUUCCAAUGAGGACUCAAGCCCUUGACACAGCGCUUAUUCGUUGACUCCUCAUCUUCAAUGAAUUUGGCUGCCCGGUCAAUGAUGCCGUUCGCACUUCGCAGUAACCAGCCACUUUUCAACCUUCUCUUCAAUCUCUUCCCCUUUUUCUUUCGCCUCUGAAACCCUGCGCUGAAUGCUCGUAUGUUCAACCUUCAACUUCUCCAUUUCCGCCUUGAUAUUCUCAAAGUUGGCAUUGUAGUUCCAAAUAAACAAGUUGGCGUGCAGUUGGAGGAGCCAAGCAUUUUACAAGUUCCAAGACGAUAGUCACAAUGAUUUCCAGCAUCUCGAAUCCUGACAAAAACGUAGAAGCGAAGAAAGCCAAAGGAAAGUAAAAACAAAGAGACAGCGAUAGGACAAGCAAUUGUGUUUUUCAGAUGAGAUGAAGGAAACAAGAAAAGGGUUUCUAUCACGACGUAAAGAGCUAAAAGAGCUGAUGGGUACAGAAUAAGAAAUGAGACUGAGGAGUGAGCAAAGCUAAAUAAUAACAGAACAAGAACAAUGACGAAUAGAAGAAACAGUAGCAAAGAGCCGUUUAGAUGAUUAGAAUGAAACUAAGCGACUGGAAAUAGUAGAUGGUAGACUAAAGAGAAAGUGAUUGAUUAUUUUAGGAGGCCAAUUAACGUAAUGACAGAUCCGGUUUCGAUGUUUGUAAUUUGAGUAUGAGGUAAAUCGAUUCUUUGUCGAGCCAGUCAAAUACAAAGGCAAAUUAGUAAAACACGAGCCAGCAACUUUUACUCACACAAAAGCCAAUAAUAUAUUGAGAUCACGCAACAUUGCAAUAAAGUUAUCAUCAAGUUGUAGCCUUCUUAUUCAAUCAAUUAUGGCAUUAUCUCUAGCUCUGUAUUUUUCAAAAAAAAAAUUAUUAUUCAAAAGAUGUCUGUCAUUAAUUUUUCAAUGAUUAAAAUUAUAAUUUUUGUUUAAUAUAUAUAACGUAAAAUUUUAAAAGAAUCAGACAUGCAUUAGGGUUAAAAUAAAAAAUAUGGAGGUAGCUUUUAACUAGGUAAUUGGCUCAACUAUGGAUCAGUGUGAGAUCACUAUUUUUCUUAUUAAAAAAAAUUCCAGCCAAACAAUUGUCGCAAAAUCUUAAUAUAAAUUACAAAAAAAGACAAUAUUUUCUAAAAUCAUAGCAAUAAUUUAUAUUUUGAAUACCUGUAAAUAAACCACUUAGAAAGCUUUCGAAACACGAAUAUUGUUGUCGUUUUUAAAGACUUGACAUUUUGGGUAAUCUGAAUUAACAAUGCACAUCACUUGUUUGUCACAAUGUCCAAAUAAAUAAUUUUAAAAAAAAGUUAUUUUCAUUCUUUCUUUUCAGGUAUCCUAAUUCCUUUUGCAGUUUGAUUCCUCUUUUCCUGAAUUUCACACAGCGCACCCACAUUUUUUGACCAUGUGCACCUCCCCCUAUUUCUAUUAAAAAAUCAACUAAUCUAACUGUUUAGGCUGUUAUAAAUUUAAAAGACUAUACUACCCUUAUUUUGAAUGAAUUGGGUAUAUAAGUACUAAAAUACCCUUACAACUAAUAAAAUUUAAAUCAAAAAGUAAAAAUUUAUUAUAAUAUUUUUAAAUUUAUAUGUAUACGAUUUUUUCCCGGAUUACAAACCCAAGAUUAUAAACCUAGUAAAUUACAAAAUCAGAGGCAAAGCAUGAUUCCAAUGUGAAAGAAAAAAAUCAAACACACAUUCAUCAGUACAUUACAAAAUAAAUCCGAUAAUCCCACCAAAACAAAUAAAACCCAAUAGAAAGAAACCCUAAACUAAUGAUACCAAAAUCCCUGAGAGCAAAUUUCAUUGUAAAAUUCUAUUACAAAAUAAAUUCAUACUAAGAAAAUUCAAUAAAAAGAAACCCAAUAAUCAAAAAUCUUAAAACUAAAGAUAUCAAACCCAAAAUUAAAUUAUAGAGGUGGCGAAAGAAAAAGGGUUUUUUUAAUUAUAUAUAUUAUUUUAAUCUUGUGUUAAUUACCAUUCUACCCUUCUUUCCGUUAACAUUAGAUUUGAAAGAAAUGAGGGUGGUGGACAUGGUCUGUAGAUUGGGGGCACAAUGCAAAAUGUCAAAACAAUUGGGGCUAAUGCUAAAUUACACAUUAUUUAAAUUAAAUUAUCCUAAUUGUAUUUUUAUUAAUUAAUUAACAAUUAGUUUCAUUACUAUGAUAGUUUUGUCACUAUGUUUGUUACCAUCUCUCAAAAAAAAAAAAAAUUACUUUUACAUGUCGAAUUGUGUAACAACGAUUUAAUGAAAAAUUAGAAAACAGCACGACAUCUCGUGGCUUAACAUGGUCAUCAUGAAUAUCCCUUAUUAUUAAAAAAUGAACAAACAAACUCUUUUUUAAUACAUGUAGUCCUUUUUUUUAUAUUUCAAAAUAGUUAAACAGAUCCUGAAUUUGUGUGUUCCUCAAUAAAUUUUCAUGAUCAUUUUUUAAAAUAAGGGAUUUUUGUGAUUAUUUUGCCACGUCCAAGGAUGCCGCUGUUCUUGUCACCAAAAAUUAUUCUCAUAAGAGUCAUGAUUAAUUGGACGUCAGCAAUGAGGGCAUGUAAUGAAAAAAAUUUGUUUUGCAUGGGAUCCAAUAAUUUUAAUUACAAUGGUGGUGACAGACCCAGCUGGAAAAUCAACUGAUUUUAGAAUUCUGUUGAAAAUUCUUUAAAUGAUCACUAUAUCUCUAGUUCGAUUAUAUCCUUAAGCUCAUUGAUUCUUUUGUAUUGAUUUUGUUACUUCUUUUCUAAGAAAUAUUAUAAGAACUGCUCAGGCUGUAAGAUUGAUAAGCUUAAAGAGUCGGAACGAGGCUUACCAGUUCGUAAGCUUUUAAUUAUUUGGAUUGCUGUGCUUGCAACUGGUAAAUUUUUCAACUUCAACUCGAUAUAAUGAUUUUGGAGAGAACCAUUUACAGUGAUUUUCAAUUCUUUUGUGAUUUUUUUUUUCAGUUCUGCCAGUCUCAUCUCUCUUUCCCUUCCUUUAUUUUAUGGUGAGUGGAUUAUUAUUGCCUUCAGCGCAGUGGUUAUUAGUGAGAAAAUUUAUAUUUUCCUAUCAAGCUUGGUGAUUUUCUGAGAAAUAUAAGAAAAGACAAGUUUUAUAUGUCAAAUAAUUCAUUGCUUUUUCACAGCAGUCAUUUAUGAUUUCUUUUCAGAUUAGGGAUUUUCACAUUGCAAAAAGGGAGGAAGAUAUUGGAUUCUAUGCUGGUUACGUGGGUGAGUUAUUCUAUGUUUUUUUUUAUCGUAUUUAAUAAAUGACACACAGUAUGGAGUCCGUCUUGGGUACGAAUGUCCACACCUUAUAAAGUGCUGACUCACGCCUUUACAACUCUGGGAAGACAUUCUACCGAGACUUUACAUCACUGUAAACGCACUGUACAAGAGCUUUACAAUACGGACCCGCGUCUUUACAACUUUAAAGGGCCAAGUCUAUGCUUUAAAAAGUACAUAUGUUCGCACCUGGAAACGAUUUACAUAUGUAUGUAUAUAUGUAUAUAUGUAUGUAUGUGUGUGUAUAUAUAUGUAUGUAUGUAUGUGUGUGUGUGUGUGUGUAUGUAUGUACGACCAAUAAAACAGUUCAAAUUCCUCGAGAAGUUAUCCUAACAAGCAUCUUAAUACCUUGAUGAAAUUGAAGGGUCUUAAUACAUGCUUGGCAGAGCUCUAACAUCUGUUUUGUGGGGAAUGGUGGCUGACCGCUGUGGUCGAAAGCCUGUAAUAAUAAUAGGAAGCAUCACAGUGUUAGUGACUUCUAUUUUCAUAUGAUCAAGCUUGAAAUUGAUGAUACUUCGGCAAUUUCUGGAUUUCUUGUCUGUCUUAAAAUGCUCACAGGGUUAUUUUUAACACUCUUUUUGGGCUUAGUGUGAAUUUCUGGAUGGCCAUAGCUACAAGGUUUCUCCUUGGGGCUUUGAAUGGUUUACUUGGACCAAUAAAGGUAUUGAUUGGGGGUAUUUGUUGAUAAUUCCAAUUUAAUUCCUGCAAAUAUUUGUGCUCAAACUUCUCUUACACCACGAGGCAUAUGCAUGUGAAAUAUUGCGCGAUCAGCACCAAACUUAUUACGAAACCAAAAAUGUUACUUGUUUUCUGUACUUGCUUUCGCAUGCAUCACCCCCACAAAACUGCUUGACGAUUGUCCUCAUUUUGAACUUACUAUAGGUUUCAUUCUCCUUGUUUUUCAACUUACUCUGUACCCUUACGUCGAGAGGAUUAUUGGGCCAAUAAUCAUAACACGAAUUGCAGGGGGUAAUAUUUUGAACACCUCAUGCGGCAUUUGGACCAUUUGAUAGUUUGUUUCAAACAUAUCUGUUUAUAAAAUACUUUUCUUCAUGGUUUUGGUCCCAUAACUUUCUAUGUAUGUACAGGUUUUAUCGAUACCGCUUUUGACAAGUUACACUUACAUAGCAAUGCUAUCUGGGUUCAGCCUUGCCUUUUUGAUAAACUGUGCUUCUGUGAUGAAGAAUGUUUUAUCUGUAAGUGGAUAUCCUAAUCAUUGAUCCAUAUACUAAGGUUAUAUUAUCCAUCAGCAAGUAUGUAUAAAAUUAUUUUGUCUUUUUUAUUAGAAUUUUUGUAAUUCUUUUUUACUUUUCCUGAAUUGUAGCAUCAGGUGUCUAUAAUAACUGGAUCGUUCCUUCUGCAAAUCAGAGCAGUGGUAAAUAUAUUUUCUUUUGUUUGUUUAGUACAUUUCCAUGCUUUCAGCUUUUUCAAAUUUUGUAUGUGCCAAAGUUUAAAUUAAUUGGUUGGUUUAUGGUAUAAUAACAGGUAUGAUAAUUUACUAAUGAAAUUUCUCACUAGUUUGUGAAUUACUUGGUGCUAAUUAGCUUAAUCAGCUGCUUAAACUAAAGUGCAGGUAACCAGAUGAUUUUUUUCAUUCUGAAUUCGGUGGAGGCACUUGGAGUAAUAUUGACAUUCAAACCGUUUCUAACUCAACGUGCCCCGUGAGUGGAGAAAAGAUGCAUCUGUUGAAAUAUUCAAAUAUAUAUCAAGCAAAUUAAAGCUUUCAAAAUCUUUCAACAAUUUGAUUGUUUGAUGUGGUUGCCACUUGCCAUAUUUUGUGUUACUUUUCUAAAGGCUUAAAUAUGAAAAUGGUUGUUGGUGCUCACGCCAAUUGAUUGCUGGUAACAUUAAUUGUGCAGUACUUGUCAGAACUACCACAAUUUAUCUUCACAAUGAUGCUAGCUAGAAAGAAAAUUUCAUGUUAAGUAAAAUAUUGAAGCCAUAAAGAGUCUUAUUCCAGAGCCUCAUUAAGUACUAAGUUUUCUGCCAUGCUUUCAAAGUUUACAAAUUCGAAGCUUGGGGAUUCUGUAACAAUGGAGGAUAAAAAUUAUAUAAGAAUAUUUUUUGUACAAUUUUCAUACGACCAGACAGAAGCGAGCAUAAUUUUUUGAUCAUAACUCAGAUCAAAAGACCUUCAAUGAUGUAUAAUAUGCACAUAAAGCUAGCUCAGAACCAGACAUUAAAACUUAUGAUGAAAGGGAAACAUAGAUGUUGAGAUUGAAAACAUAGAGAAAUUUUUUUAAAAAAUCUGAAAUUUUAUUAAUAGAAGUUUGAAUAACAAAAUUAGGGUAUUGGACCCUUUUUAUACAAAUUCUAAAUAUUAUGUAUUUAUCAAAAUAGGCAAACUUGAAAUAUUAUUACAUAAUAACGUUCUCCUAACUGAAAUAAAAAAAAUAAAACAAAUCAUACUUAAAAUCUUAUAUUUAGAGAAAAAAUAUAAAAAUAUUGAAAAUAAUAAGAAAAAUAAGAAAAUAACUUAAACUUUGUAAAAUAACUACGAAAUAAACAGAAUUUCUUGCCGAAUAGAUACCCGCUCAAGUUAUGAUCUAGGAGUGAUAUCCUACUCAUCCUAUGCAACCAUCAGCUGCAUCAACUUCAUUCCAAAAUUAACAAAUAAACCAACUGACGCAUUGCAAAUAAUAAGAUGAAACGAUAAAAUAAACCUAGAGAUCAAACAACACAAGGUAAUAUAUUAAAAAGCCUAUGGGAUCAAAACACAUCGUACUAUGUCGAGAGAGAUGACGACUCCUCCAACAGCAGAAAAUAAAUUCUUUCAUUCAUUAAUUUAAAGUAAAUUUGGUGCUCCAUCUUCUUCUCCGUCACCUAUUACCACCUCUGUCAUUGCCCUGCAUCCAGCUACCUUCAUUGAUACGAGCCGCACUAGACUUUCUGCUGUAGUGGACGGAUGUUACAAUUCCUUGCAAUGGAAAAUCAACAGUUCUGUUAGAUUCCCAAAAGAUAUAGAUGAUCAUGGGAAUAGACUUAAAUGCUUGUAAAAUAGUCGUAGAAUGUCAAGAUAUUUAAAAUGGAGUCCAGUUUGGAGUUGCUUCAAUGAUUAAGUCUGGACAGGAUUAACCAUUUUAUCAGUGCCUACUUCCCCACUUGUUUUUAGCAGUAUCCGGCUUGAUUUAAGAAUCUCUUUGUAUGAACUAUAUUACCCAAAAAAAAAAAAAAUCUUAUUUCAAAUGAUGCACAGGAGAAGAGUUACUUGAAUCUUCAUCAGUAUCCAGACAUUCUACAAUCACAGAGUAAAGAGUUCUAGCAGGAAAAACUGAGAAAACAACGUACUUCUAUAGUUUUUCACAAUAUUUCCAACGUUUUCAAACAAUAUUUCCACAAUAUAGUUUUUCAUAGCGAAGAGUUUUGCUUUGGUGGUCUAAGGAUUUGUUCUAGGCAUAAUGCUCUGAUUAGAUUUUGUUUAUUUUUAAUUUUUUAUCCGAUGAAUGAUUUUCAGCUGGUCUUAAUUAUGUGUUCAUAGGGAAGAGCAUUUGGAAAGAUCAUCAAAAAAAAAAAAAAAAAAAGUUUCCAAAGAAAGAUAGGUGUGAAGCAAACCAAACUAAAUGAACAAACUAAAAUAACAGAACAGCAAUGAUGUUUUCAAGGAAUUAUAAAAUAUGAAGGCUUUUAAUGAAAUUUUAUCAUACAAAGUAUGCAAGGAAUUAUAAAAUUUUAGAAAACAAGGGGAACUCUCAAAAAAAGAAAAAAAGAAAAAAAUACUCAAAUUAAACUAGACUAGAAGACAUUCAAUGAUGCAAAAUCUGUCCACAAAAGUCUGAACGAAUCAUUAAAAUUGCAUUCCAAAUUUAACAGUAAGCCGAUUGACCCAUUCUAAAUAAUUCAUAUGAAAUUGCGAAACAAGCCAUGAGAUCAAAUAAAUGAAAUAAAAAAUAAUUACCAGCUGAGGCUUUCUUCUAAAAUUCACAACUCCCAAGUCAUAAGAAGCCUAUGAAAUUAGUACUGGGUAGAGAUCGCCGACUGCACCGCCAACAGCUGAAAAUAAAAUUCUUAUUCAUCAAUUUAAACUUUUACUUUAUAACAAAUAUCUUAUCUAUAUUUUAUUAAAAAAAAAAAUUGUAAAAUGUUUCCAUGGGAGAUAGAGAGUACUAUGUAUAUCCGUACCUUUUCAGCAUGUAAUUGUUGUAUGGUUGUGUUUAGAUCAUUAUUGGUCCAAAGCAAUCGAUCCUCUGUCUCUCCAUAGCAGACGUUUACUCUUGGAGGCGUGAUUGAUUCUCCUGUAGUGAAAAUCUUCAUCUUGGGACAACCAAUCACCCACAAAUCUUGCAAAGAUGGGAAUUUGAAGGUGUAGUUGGCAGAGCUGAAACUUGUGAAGCUAUCUAAAUCAAACAGUUCCAACGUCUUCAAUUUGCUAAAAACAAUCUCUUCUUUUUCAACUCCAUCUUUGUCAUUUAUUACCACCUCUGUCAUUGCUCUGCAUCCACAUACUUGCACUUUGACGAGUUGCACUAGAGUUUUUGCUGUGGAGGAUGUUACCAAGUGUAUCAAUCCCUUGCAACCGAAAGCCACCAGAGCUGUUAGGUUCUGAAAAGAUACCGAUGAUGAUGGCAAUAGAAUUAACAGACUUUGACAAUGAUGUACUUUUAGAAUUUCAAGAUACUGAAAAAUGGGGCCAAGUUUGGAGUCUUGUUUGCACAGCUGCUUCAGAUGAUAGUGCCGGUUCAGCUGUAAUUUUUUUAUCAUUGCCAACUUCCCCACAUGUUUCUCUAAGCUUCCUUCCUCCGAAAAUACCUCUUCGUUGAAUGAAAAAAAACACAGUAUGAGCAUUUCCAGAUUGUGAAAUCUCUCCAGUACGUUCCAGACUGGAAAACAAGCUGAGUCAUCUCCAGCAAUCUCUAGUUGUUUAAGACUGCCAAAAAGGUGUUGUGGGAAAUCGGCCUGCAAAAUCAUCUUCACAUCUUUUCCACUUAGUGAUAGUUCCUUCAAGUUGGGUACGAUCUGAUCAUCAUCAAUCAUAAUAACUAAUGAGGUCAAUUGAUGAUCUACGGUCACACGCAGUGACUUUAUAGUAUUUGUUUUAUAUUAUAUUUUUUUAAAAAAAUUGAAUUAUUGAUAAAAUUUAUUUUAUAUGUUAAUUUUAGAGGUAAAAAAGAAAUUAGGGAAAAAAGGUUGAUUUAUACUGGCUCGAAAUUAUUUUAUUGCACAAUAAUAAAUUACUAAUUUAUUUUGUAAGUUCUUCUAUAUGGAAAGACUAAGGAUUCUUUUAUAAAUGCUAUACCUAAAACAGUUCAUAUAAUUAUUAAUCUACCACAUUGAUCUCUUAGGUAAUGUUUAUAUAAUUAUGGCAAGGCAUGAUUAAAUUGAUCAUUUGUUUGGUAACAACUUUAUUAAUCGGGUUCUGGCAGAUUUUCUUGGUCACAAAAGCGUCAAGAUGCUGGUUUCCUCCCAGGUAUGAUGAUAUACUAAUGAAAAUUCCCACUAGUUUGUGAGUUGCUUUGUGCUAAUUAGCUUAAUUAGCUGCUUAAAUUAAAGUGCAGAUAACCAGGUGAUUUUUUUCAUUCUGAAUUUGGUGGAGGCACUUGGAGUAAUAUUGACAUUCAAACCGUUUCUAACUCAACGUGCCCCGUGAGUAGAAAAGAUGCUCUGUUGAAAUAUUCAAAUAUCUAUCAAGCAAAUUAAAGCUUUCUAAAUCUAUCAACAAUUUGAUUAUUUGAUGUGGUUGCCACUUGCCAUAUUUUGUGCUACUGUUCUAAAGGCUUAAAUAUGAACAUGGUUUUUGGUGCCCACGCCAAUUGAUUGCUGGUAACAUUAAUUUAUCUUCACAAUGAUGCUAUCUACAAAGAAAUUUUCAUAUCAAGUAAAAUAUUGAAGCCACAAAGAGUCUUAUUCCGGAGCCUUAUUAAGUACUAUGUUUUCUGCCAUGCUUUCAAAGUUUACACAUUCGAAGCUUGGGGAUUCUGUAAUAAUAGAGGACAAAAAUUUUAUAAGAAUAUUAUUUUGUACAAUUUUCAUACAACUGACAAAAGCAAGCAUAAUUUUUUUAUCUUAACUCAGACCAAAAGACCUUCAAUGAUGUAAAAUAUGCACAUAAAGCUAGCUCAGAACCAGACAAUAGAACUUAUGAUGAAACGGAAACAUAAACGUUGAGAUUAAAAACAUCGAGAAACACCCUUUCAAAAAAAAAAAAAAAAAAUCGAGAAACACAGCUUUUGAAAAGUCUGAAAUUUUAUUAAUAGAAGUCUGAAUAACAAAAUUAAGGUUUUGAACCCUUUUUAUACUAAUCCUAAAUAUUACGAAUUUAUUAAAAUAAGCAAACCUGAAAUAUUAUUACAUAAUAAGGUUCUCCUAACUGGAAUAAGAAAAAUAAAAUAAAUCGUAUUUAAAAUCUUAUAUCUAAAAAUAAAAUAUAUAAAAAUCUUGAAAAUAAUAUGGAAAAAUAAGAAAAUAUCUUAAACUUGUAAAAUAACUAUGAAAUAAACAAAAUUUCUGGUUGGACCAUGAGGCCAAUAGGGUGUCAUAGUAUUAGAUUAAUGGUAUAUUAUACGCCCUAGAUAGAUACUAUAGCUCAAUUUAUGAUCUCGGAGUGAUAUCCUACUCAUCCUAUGCAACCAUCGUCUGCAUCAACUUCAUUCCAAAAUAAACAAUAAACGAAUUGACGCAUUGCAAAUAAUUUAGAUGAAACGAUAAAAUAAACCUAGAGAUCAAAUAAAAUGAAAUGAAAAUGAUAGUUACCUCGGACUUUCUUCUUCAAAUUUCGCAGCACUAUGUAAUAAAUUAAAAAGCCUAUGGCAUCAGAACAUAUCGUACUGCGUCAAGAGAGACGACGACUCCUCCAACAGCUGAAAAUAAAUUCUCUCAUUCGUUAAUUUAAAGUAAAAUUUGUAAAUUUAGGUACUUGCUGAAGAAACGUGUUUUCAUUUCUUAAAUAAAGCAUUAUACAUUGAGAGUUAUUUAUAGAUGCAGAGGCUACAUUUUUUCAAAGAUUACAUAUGUGAAUACGGAAGGAAAUGUGUCAAUCCGUUCGGCGCGAAUCAUCCGUUCGGCGCGAAUCUUGUCUUUGACAAGUGCAGAUUACCCCUUUGACAAGUGCAGAUUCUGUCUUUGAAAGCUUCAUUCAAUGUCGUUUUAUUUGAUUUUCAACACUCCCCCUCAAGCUGGUGCAUAGAUGUCUUUCAUACCCAACUUGUCUAGGAAUUUUGUAAAUGCCCUGCUUGAAAUGGCCUUCGUUAAAAUAUCUGCAAGUUGAUCUUCUGAUCGAAUUUUCGGCAGUUCUAAGAUUUUUUCAUCUAAUUUCUCCUUGAUGAAAAAUCUAUCUACCUCCACAUGUUUUGUUCGAUCGUGUUGAACUGGGUUAUGAGCAAUAUCUCGUGCAGCUUUGUUGUCACAGUAUAGUUGUAUUGGUUGUUGUGAUGGAUAGCCCAUAUCGUUUAAGAUAAAACUUAUCCAUAGCCCUUCACAUAUCCCAAGGGCCAUGCCUCGAUAUUCUGCUUCAGCGCUCGAACGGGCAACGACAUGUUGUUUCUUGCUUCUCCAUGUGAUAAGGUUUCCUCCCACAAAGGUAAAGUAUCCUGAAGUAGAGCGUCUAUCACUAACUGACACGGCCCAAUCUGCAUCAGUAUAAACUUCUAUGUUGCUGUAAUCUUCAUUUUUGGAAAGUAAGAUUCCUUUUCCUGGAUUUGUCUUCAGGUACCUCAGGAUCCGCAUUACUGCUUUCAUGUGUUGUUCUCCGGGAUUAUGCAUAAACUGGCUUACAACACUCAAUGCAUAAGCAAGAUCUGGCCUUGUGUGGGACAAGUACAUCAAUCUUCCAAUCAGCCUUUGAUAUCUUCCUUUGUCUACUGGAACUUGGUCUGAAGUAAUACAAAACUUCAGUCCUUCUUCUAUUGGGGUGUCAAUAGGCUGACAAGCUGUCAUUCCCGUUUCGUGCAAUAGAUCUAAGGCAUAUUUCCUUUGAGACAGAAAGAUUCCUCCCUUAGAUCGAGAAACCUCAAUUCCAAGAAAGUAUUUUAAGGCACCUAAAUCCUUCAUCUCAAACUCUCUUGACAAGUACUUAUGAAGAGCCUCUGUUUCUUCCUCGUCGUUGCCUGUAACUACCAUAUCAUCCACAUAGACAAUAAGGGCAGUGAUUUUACCUUGUCGUUUUUUAAUGAAUAAGGUAUGAUCUGAAUUGCUUUGGUUAUAUCCAAAACGAACCAUAGCCUUUGUGAAUUUCCCGAACCAUGCUCUUGGGGAUUGCUUCAACCCAUACAAUGAUUUCUUCAAUUUGCAUACUUUCUGAUUGAGUCGUUCUGGUCCACUGCAUCCUGGUGGCAGAUCCAUAUAAAUUUCUUCAGACAGGUCUCCAUGGAGGAAAGCAUUCUUUACAUCGAACUGUUGCACUGGCCAAUCCAAGUUGACUGCUAAUGAUAAUAAGAUACGAAUAGUAUUAAUUUUUGCUACCGGUGCAAACGUAUCAGUAUAAUCAAUCUCGUAGGUUUGGGUGUAACCCUUAGCUACGAGUCUUGCUUUGUAUCGUUCAAUAGAGCCAUCUGCUUUGUAUUUUAUAGUGUAGAUCCAUCGACAACCCACUAGUUUCUUUCCUGGUGGAAGAUCAACUAGUUCCCAUGUUUGAUUUUUCUGAAGAGAUCUCAUUUCAUCAUUCAUAGCCGCUUUCCACUUUGGAUCUUUUAAAGCUUCCUGCACACUGUUAGGAAUAGAUACAGCAGAUAAUUGAUUCACAAAUGACUGAUUUGAUUCUGACAAGCAAUGGUUAGACACAAAAUGACUUAUAGGGUAUUUGACUAUACUAGAGAAGUCAGGCUCAUAUGUGGGUUUAGGGAUACCUCUAUUUUGACGCUGGGGAAGAAUUCUUCUGAUUGGACUUGUGGUAGGAACAUCCUCUGCAGACGAUUGGUUAGGUAUUUCUUCAUGUGACUCAUUCUCGAUUGCAGUUGUGUCUGAGUUAUUGUGCUCCCCAAAUGUGUCUUCACAUAUCUUAGCCUGCGAAUUAUCACCAUUUGCUUUUCCAGUAUCUUGAAGGUUUACUAUCUCAAUGGAAGAUUGACUUUCUUCAGGUGGAAGAUAUGUAAGAGUAUGAAUUUCCUCUUCAUUAUACUCCCCCUGAAAUUCAGACUCUGACAAGUAGUACAUGAUAUCUUCAUGAAAAACGACAUCCAUGGUGAUGUAUAUUUUUCUUGAUGGUGGAUGAUAGCAUCGGUAUCCCUUUUGAUGUAAGGCAUACCCUACAAACACACAACGUAGUGCUCGAGGAGAUAAUUUUUCUUGUUGCGGCAAAUGAACGAAGGCAACACAGCCAAACACAUGUGGGGGCAGAUUCGGCACAUUUGGUGACAUAAUUGCAUCAUUCAGAACUUGGAAAGAAGUCUGGAAUCCAAGGGAGCUUGAAGGUGUUCGAUUGAUCAAGUAUGUUGCGGAUGCCAGUGCUUCUCCCCAAUAAGAUAAUGGCAUGUGGGCUUGGAUUAGUGAUGCUCGAACAACUUCUAGUAAAUGUCUGUUUUUUCGUUCAGCAACGCCAUUUUGUUGGGGUGUCCCCACACAAGUGGUUUGAUGGACAGAUCCUUGUGAUUUCAAAAACUGUUGAAUUGCUGUGCUCAUAUACUCGCCUCCAUUAUCAGUAUGUAGAACUCGAAUUUGUGUCUGAAAUUGAGUUGUCACCAUCUUAUGAAAUCUUUGAAAUAAAGAGUUUACUUCGUCUUUCGAUUUCAUCAGAAAAAUCCAUGUCAUUCUGCUACAAUCAUCAAUAAAUGUAACAAACCAACGAGCACCUCCAAUUGUAGAAACUUUAGAUGGCCCCCAUACAUCAGAAUGUACUACCAUAAAAGGAACUGGAUUUUUAUUUAAGGACAAUGGAAAAGUAGUUCGAUGGCUUUUUGAAAGUUCACAAACAUCACAUUUAAAGUUACAAACAUCAAAUUUCAGAAACAAACUAGGAAAUAAUUUUUUUAAGUAACCAAAUGACACAUGCCCUAAACGUCUAUGCCAUAACCAAAUUUCUGAUUUCCCUUUUUUUAUGGAACUAUCUGCGACUAGUGCAGGGCUUAGCUUUCCAGUGUUUGUUGAUGACAUCUCCAAGUAGUACAAGUUGCCUCGUCUAAUACCAUAACCAAUCGUUUGCUUCGUUUGGAUGUCCUUAAACACACAAUGAUCAGGCCAAAAAAUUACAACACAUGAUAAGUAAGUGGUUAAUUGAGACACAGAUAAAAGAUUAUAAUCUAAAGAUGGAACAAUUAACACAGCGUCUAAAUUUAAUUCAUUUGUGAGUCGUAAAGAUCCUUCCCCAAUAACUGAGGUUGUGGUUCCAUUUGCAGUGGAAAUAUGUUUUUGUGAAGAUGGUUUCAAUUGAGAAACUUGUCGAGAAUCAAAAGUCAUAUGAUCAGUUGCCCCAGAAUCAGUUAUCCAUGUACUAUUAAUAACAGGUGUAAGAGUUUUAAGGGCCUUACCUGGACUGACAGAGGUUGCGAUUUGCACUGAAGAUUCUUUUUUAAGAUCUGUAGUGGAUGUGGAUUCAGCUACUGCAGUUUUUGAUCCAUGCUUGGUGUUCUUCUUUCGAGUAUCCCACCAGUCAGGAUAUCCAAUGAUUUCAAAACAUUGUUCUUUCGUAUGACCCUUCUUUCUACAAUGAGUGCAAUGGAGUGAUGACUUGUCAACAAACUUCCUUUGAGGUUGCUGUCGUGCUAUCAUAGCAGACGUUUCUGAGUCGACCUUCUUGUUUAGUUUGCUUUGCCAUAUAUCUUCUCUUCGGAUCAGAGAAUAACAUUCUUCUAAGUCUGGAAUAAUGUCUUUUCGUAGAAUUUCUCCACGAACUUGGUCAAAUUCUUCAUCUAGCCCAGCAAGAAAAAUGUGCACUCUCAAUCUUUCAACAGACCUUCUGUAUAUUACAACAUCUUCUGGAUCCUUCAUGACCACUUUAUCUCGGUGAUCAAGUUCUCGAAAUAUUUCGACCAAUUCUCCAUAGAAUUUAGAGAGUGGUUGUCCAUUUUGCUUGGUAGAGAAUGCCUUUUGGUUUAGAGUGAAAACUUGUAAUUCAUCGCUUCCAUCAUAGAAGGCUUUUGAUAAUGCAUCACAGAUUUCGUAGGCUGUAGAAAUUCGUAAAUAUUGCUUCAUGAUCUCCGGAGACAUGGAUAUGAGUAACAAUCUUUUUACUUUUUGGUUCUCACUAUACCAUUUCUCAUAUUCCUUUUAAGAUUCCUCAAAUGGCUUUGUGCUGCUACGAAUAUAUGAGAGUUUUUCUCUUUCUGCAAGAUGCAUUUCCAUUAUUUGAGACCAAACAUCGUAGUUUGUCUCAGUGAGGAUAAUUCCAGCAUUAAAUACUCCAUCAGAUUGAACAGAUUGAAUGACAACAGGACUAGAUUCAGUUGGAGUUUUCUCCAUUUUUUUUGUUUUUGUUUUUUUUUUCUUUUUCUUUUUUCUCUUUUUUUUCUUUUUUUUUGUUUUCUUUUUUUUUUUGUUUUUUUUCCCGUCUAGAUUGAAAGAAGAAAAAAAAAAUAACCUUUUUAGGUAACAAAACGACAGGUCGUUUAGCCACUGCUUACCAAACCGACAUGUCGGUUAUGGUGGAAUAUAAACGACAUGUCGUUUUACUCCUGCUGCACUUCUGGAAACUAAGCGUCACGUCGUUUUAUCUCUAAUUUAGAAAAGACAUAUCGGUUUUAAUAUAACACAAAACGACACGUCGGUUUUUGACUGCUGCACUUCUGAGAUAAAAAUGACAUGUCGGCUGACGUCUUCUUCAACCUCUGGAGCGCGUGAGGGCGCGUGAAUGAUGACAGAGGUGCGUGGUUGACUGGCCGUGGCUUCGGUUGGCGCGUGGGAGCGCGUGGGAAUGUGUUUAAAUGCGAAAGUUUUACAGUUUCCUCACUAAAAACUGAGAAAUUUUAUGGUGUUCUUGGUUUUGGACGAACACACUCUCGGAAAAUUGAUGGGAUUGUUGAUAAAUUUGUAAACUCAAGUUUUUUACGUAUUGGUGGCUUGUUUCUUGAUCGGCAUGGAUAUCUGUAAUGGUAGGAAUGGGUUUAAGAAAGAAAAUGGUGGGAAAAAUGGUUGUGGGAGGAAUUUGGUUUCCUCUGUUUUUGUUACAAACAGAGCAACGGAACUUGAAGAAACUUGAGCGUAUUCAUGGCUCUGAUACCAUGAAGAAACGUGUUUUCAUUUCUUAAAUAAAGCAUUAUACAUUGAGAGUUAUUUAUAGAUGCAGAGGCUACAUUUUUUCAAAGAUUACAUAUGUGAAUACGGAAGGAAAUGUGUCAAUCCGUUCGGCGCGAAUCUUGUCUUUGACAAGUGCAGAUUAACCCUUUGACAAGUGCAGAUUCUGUCUUUAAAAGCUUCAUUCAAUGUUGUUUUAUUUGAUUCUCAACACUUGCACAUAGAGAUUUGCAAGGGGAGCGAGAGAUUCAAUAGCAGCAAUUUAAUUUGACGGGACUUUCAUUGAAUAAUGAAAUUAAAAACUAACGAUUAUUGAAUUUUUUAUAUUCUCUUAACUCUUGUGGAAAUGUCAGCUCUAAAUAGGACAGCUUCAAGAAUCUUUAUCUGAAAGUGUAAUUGGCAGAGCAGAAACUUGUGACACUAUCUAAAUCACAAAGACUCAACGUCUUCAAUUUGCUGAAAACAAUCUCUCGUUUUGAAUUUACAUUUGGAGCUCCAUCUUCUUCUUCGUCACCUAUUACCAUAUCUGUCAUUGCCCUGCAUCCAGCCACCUUCACUGAUACGAGCCGCACUAGACUUUUAGCUGCAGUGGAUUUUACAAUUCUUUGCAAUGGAAAACCACCAGUUCUGUUAGAUUCCCACAAGAUAUAGAUGAUCAUGGCAAUAGACUUAAAAGAUUUUUACAUGCAGUAAUAUACUCUUAAGUGGUGUUUGGUUGGGAGGAGAGAAUAGAAGAAAGGAAAGUAAUUUAAAUGCUCUUUUUAUUUCCAUUAUUUGGUUUGACAAAAUAGAUAAGAAUUUAAUUUCCAUUAGAAUUUGAAUUCCACACCAAGUAGUGAAAAAUUUAAAUUCCUCUUAUGUUAAAAACUAAAGUUUCCAAAAUUAUCCUUCAAAUUUUUAACUUGUUUAAUGUCAUUAAUAAUUAUUAUUUAUAAUUUUAUUUUAUUGAUUUAAUAUUAUAAAUAGACCUCCACCGGUAAGUCGCCGGACCACUGUCGGACUUCACCGGACCACCGCUGAACUUUCGCCAGACCAUUGCCGAACUUCCACCGGAAAGUCGCCGGACUUCCACCGGAAUAUAGUUUUUCAUAGCGAAGAGCUUUACUUUGAUGGCUUAAGGAUUUGUUCUAGGCAUACUGCUGUGAUUAGAUUUCGUUUAUUUUUAACUUUUUUUAAUCUUUUAUCCGAUGAAUGAUUUUCAGCUGUUCUUAAUUAUUUGUUCAUAGGGAAGAGCAUUUUCUAAGUACUUCCUUGCCUUCUAAGUUUCCGAAGAAAGAUAGGUGUGAAGCAAAGCAAACCAAACCAAAUGAACAAACAGAGCACAAACUAAAAUAACAGAACAGCAAUGAUGACAAUAAAUAAUUGGCAAAAAAAGAAAAGAAAAAAGCAUGCACAUUUUCAAGGAAAUAUAAAAUAUAAAGCUUUUAAUGAAAUUUUAUCAUAAAAAGUAUGCAAGUAUUUAACAAGAUGUUUGGAACGAUAGAAAAUGAAAGAAAAUUGAUUAAGAAGAUUCUGGAACAAUCAUAAUUCUUAUUGAUGAAACUGAUCAAAAUCGUACAUUGUGAACGAGCUCAGCACUAUUUAUAGUUACACACAUGCUGAUUAGAAAGUGUAGAGCUCAAAACUGCAAUAUUAACAAACUAAUUAACCUUCCAAUCAUAUUAAGCCAGCUGGACAGUUAGUUACAACCAAUCAGUACAAAUAACAACCUAAUCCAGCUUGGCAACUUUGUUACACAUCAUCAGCCAGCUCAGCUUAGCAAACUUACACUCUUAACAGCAAGGAAUUAUAAAAUUUUAGAAAACAAGGGGAACCCUAAAAAAAAAACUCAAAUUAAACUAGGCUAAAAGACAUUCAAUGAUGCAAAAUCUGUCCAUAAAAUUCUGAACGAAUCAUUAAAAUAGCAUUCCAAAUUUAACAGUAAACCGAGUGACCCAUUCUAAAUAAUUCAGAUGAAAUUGUGAAACAAGCCAUGAGAUCAAAUAAAUGAAAUAAAAAUUCGCAACUCCAAGUCAUAAGAAGCCUAUGAAAUUAGUCGUAAUGCGUAGACAACGACGACGGCACCGCCAACAGCUGAAAAUAAGAUUCUUAUUCAUCAAUUUAAACUUUUACUUUAUAACAAACAUCUUAUCUAUAUUUUAUUUAAAAAAAGCAAAUUUUGUAAAAUUUUUCCAUGGGAGAUAGAGAGUAAUAUGUAUAUACGUACCUUCUCAGCAUGUAAUUGUUGUAUGGUUGUGUUCAGAUCAUUAUUAGCCCAGCGCCGUUGAUCCGCUGUCUCUCCAUAGCAGACGUUUACUCUUGGAGGCGUGAUUGAUUCUCCUGUAGUGAAAAUCUUCAUCUUGGGACAACCAAUCACCCACAAAUCUUGCAAAGAUGGGAAUUUGAAGGUGUAGUUGGCAGAGCUGAAACUUGUGAAGCUAUCUAAAUCAAACAGUUCCAACGUCUUCAAUUUGCUAAAAACAAUCUCUUCUUUUUCAACUCCAUCUUUGUCAUUUAUUACCACCUCUGUCAUUGCUCUGCAUCCACAUACUUGCACUUUGACGAGUUGCACUAGAGUUUUUGCUGUGGAGGAUGUUACCAAGUGUAUCAAUCCCUUGCAACCGAAAGCCACCAGAGCUGUUAGGUUCUGAAAAGAUACCGAUGAUGAUGGCAAUAGAAUUAACAGACUUUGACAAUGAUGUACUUUUAGAAUUUCAAGAUACUGAAAAAUGGGGCCAAGUUUGGAGUCUUGUUUGCACAGGUGCUUCAGAUGAUAGUGCCGUUUUAGCUCUAAUGUUUUUAUCAUUGCCAACUUCCCCACAUGUUUCUCUAAGCUUCCUUCCUCCGAAAAUACCUCUUCGUUGAAUGAAAAAAAACACAGUAUGAGCAUUUCCAGAUUGUGAAAUCUCUCCAGUACGUUCCAGACUGGAAAACAAGCUGAGUCAUCUCCAGCAAUCUCUAGUUGUUUAAGACUGCCAAAAAGGUGUUGUGGGAAAUCGGCCUGCAAAAUCAUCUUCACAUCUUUUCCACUUAGUGAUAGUUCCUUCAAGUUGGGUACGAUCUGAUCAUCAUCAAUCAUAAUAACUAAUGAGGUCAAUUGAUGAUCUACGGUCACAUGCAGUGACUUUAUAGUAUUUGUUUUAUAUUAUAUUUUAAAAAAAAUUGAAUUAUUGAUAAAAUUUAUUUUAUAUGUUAAUUUUAGAGGUAAAAAAGAAAUUAGGGAAAAAAGGUUGAUUUAUACUGACUCGAAAUUAUUUUAUUGCACAAUAAUAAAUUACUAAUUUAUUUAGUAAGUUCUUCUAUAUGGAAAGAUUAAGGAUUCUUUUAUAAAUGCUAUACCUAAAACAGUUCAUAUAAUUAUUAAUCUACCACAUUGAUCCCUUAGUCUAGACUAGCAAAGAUUAUUGUAUAAUAAAAAUUUUUAAUUUAUUGAGUAUUAAUUUAUCGAUGCUUUGUCAUAUUUUUCAAAGUUAAAAAUAAGCUAUUGAUAAAAAAUCUAGAAAAUGACUUCAUACCUUUUCCAACGGCAAUAGGAGCUGUUGUGCAGGAAUACCAAGUUGAUCAUUCUCAUUAUUCUGCGAUAAAUCAGCGAAUAUCUUUAAUUUGUCACAACGAUACACUAAAAGACUUUCUAGCGCGGGCCAUUCCAAAGUAUGCAUUCCAGGGUACAAACAUCUAAGUUUUGGUAGAUGUUGGAGUCUCAGAGUGGUGAGCUGUGGAAAGACAAAAUAAGGGAUCACUUGAUCUGCUCUGUUUUCAGAAAUGAUCUCCUGUAAAUCCUCACAGAAGCGUAUAUCUAGGUGUUGGAGCUGCUUAAGGCUUCCGAUCAUAGACGCUGAAAAUAGGUAUUUUAAUUUGUGACAAUGCCGCACAGUCAAUCGUGUUAAAUUUUGAAAGCGAGGAAACAUGACCGGAAGAUGAUUGUAGUGCCAAAUCUUGUCGACAUUAAUUUCAGAUAUCUCCAAAGCCUCCAAGUUAGGCAACGCAACCUAAAAAAAAGAAGAAUUUCUCGUUACAUCCAAUAUGCAUAUGAGAAGCACUUGUUGAAAUUUUCGUCUUCGAUUACAAAUUAAUGCAAGUCAAAACCAAUUUCUAACUGACAGAUAAGUAUGCAUUCUAAUUCAUACUACUUGUUAAGAGCUCAAUUAGUGAGCGCGUGAGAUUCUUUUUAUCCUUUUUUUUCCAUUUUCUUUCAAUUCUUUAAAUGAUUUAAUUAUUUUCCACGUAUGACAACAAAACAGAACGCAUGAUAGAAUAAAGUCUGUUAUAUAUAUAUAUAUAUAUAAAGAAAAUGUUAGCCUACGCACCUUCUCGUUGAAAAGCAGAGUUGAAGUAUCCAAAGUGAUUUCGCUGGAGCUAUACGUAGUCGUCGAUUCCUCUUGCGACGCUGGUCUGUUUGGUGAUGCUGAAGGAGUCUUUACUUCACGGCAAAAACUUGUAACCUCUGGAAGAUUCCCCAGACUCAAAGAUCUUAAUUGAGCAAACUCUAUCUUCUCAAUUGCAUUAUCAACUUCUUCCCCAAUUGCAAAAAUCUCUUUCAUCUUGCUGCAAUUAAUAACUGCAAUUCUCUCAAGUCUUGGAAGGCAUUUUGUUGUAGAGAGCCAAAAGAUAUUACUCAAUUUUUCACAAUUAUAUGUUUGUAUGAUUUUGAGUUCGUUGAAGGACUCUACUUUGAGCCGAUCAAUACAUAUCCUCUCCAUGUUGAUCAAAUUGUGAAGGCCAAGUGACUCCAAAAGAGGAAAGGCAUCACAAGCGACCAUCGCCCUUGAAUCGACGAUGCAAAAGAAGUCAGGAUUAUUUUGAACCCAGACAAGCUUCAAUUGUGAAAAGCCCUCCGUGUCCAAAUUGAAAAGAACGUUCUUGAUCCCUCGCAGCUUGUCCAACAAUAAGUAUUCAACGUUAUUGACGCCCUGCAAUUUCAUGGAGCAAAUGUCCGUAAAAGCAAGCUUGAGCUUCAAUGCUCUUAAACUCUUGCGAUCACUGUCGAUCAAAAAGUGCUGCCAACUUUCAAACCAAUUUUGUCCAGCAAUCAUGGGAUGUGUGAAUAACACAUUUCCAAUAUUUAUUUUGAACCUUUCGAGCUUUCUGGCCAAAAAGCCUUCUGGUAACAUACUCUCAUUUUUAACAUCAAUUUCUAGAGUGGUUAGCCGAGGUAAAUGCAUCAAUUCAUCAAGGCUAGCAUUACUUCUUUUGCUGUUGGCUCUUUCAACCUCCCAUUCAAUGGAGCAAUUACCCAUAUACAAUUCUUCUAAUCGGAUUAAGCUUGAUAUGACAUUUGGGGCAAUAACUUUCAGACGGAAACAGUCUGUUAAAUCUAACAGCCUUAGCUUAGUCAGUUGACCCAGUGCUUUAGGCAACUCUACAAUAUCAGACCGCACGAAGCUGAGGAUUUCUAGGUUUUCCAACUUUCCAAUAAUGGCUACGUCUAUGCCUCUGAAAAUGCUUUGAUCAAGACAAAGUGUCUGAAGAUUUACUAGAAGACCAAUUGAAGAUGGCAAUGACAAUAACCGCAUUCUAGUCAAAUCCAAAACCCGAAGCUUUUUCGUCCUUUUGAAGAAGUUCUCAGGAAUAUUAGGCACAGCAAAAGAGUUCUUGGGAGACAUGAGUAGAAGUUCAAGUUGUAGAGAUUCGGACCCUUCAGGAAUGUCAUUAAUAACACUAUCUUUUAAAGAAAUUGCAAGAUAUUUUUUUAAUUCAUCUGCAUUUGGCCAUUUCCAAUCAUCCUCAUUUCUCACCACAAAUCCAAUUUUGUCACGACAUGCAAUUGAAAUGGCAACAUCGCGAACAACGUCGUGCAUAGAAAAGUAUUUACUGCCACCAUCCUCAAGCAACAAACAAGAGUCUCUUAGUUGAUGGACCCAUGCAUCUAAUUUGUUAUGUGCAUCUUCUAGCUUGUGGACACUUUUAAAUACACCCCAGAGCAUGCUAUAUUUGAACAAGUCCAUAAUUGGUGCUGGCGUAAUAAGACUACACAGUAAAAAAGUUUUCUUGAGUUGCUCACCUCUUAAGUACUUGUAACUCAGCUCAAUUGUUGAGUAUGCCUCUGCUGGUACUCCUUCGUCGAAGCUUGCCUCUGAAGGCGUUUGGAGUUCUUGCAAGACAUUCUUCCACACAGGCAGCUCUUUUUUUCUCAGUGCCUUUGCUACUGUGGUUAGGGCAAUAGGCAAACCUCCGCAUGCCUUGGCUACACUUGUUGCUGUAGAUUUUAACUCACGAUUUUCCACAUAAUCACCUGCCAUUAUCUUGAACAAUUUCCAGGCUUCUUGUUCAUUUAAAAUGCCAAUCGAGAAGUUUUUUUCAGAUUCCAUCCUUAACAGCACAUCAAGAUCUCUUGUUGUGAAUAAUAAUUUGCAUCCUCUGUGCUCAACUCCAAAAGGAAUUCCAAUAGUCCCCAAAUCAAGAGGUUUCCAGAUGUUAUCCAGAAUCACAAGGAUCUUCUUCUCAUUCUUCAAUCUUUCAUAUAGUCUACUAGCUCUUCUAGACUCAGCUUCCUCGGACAACUGUAGGCCUAACGUUACCGCAAUUUCCUCUUGGAUCUUUUUUAUGUCUGGACUUUGGGUAACCUCCGAAAAAGCCACCAUAUCGUAAAGCUUGUCUUCAAUUGCUCGCCUUGCAAACUCCCGCACCAGUGUCGUCUUUCCAAUGCCGCCCAUGCCGUAGACGCCAAUGAUGCUGACAUCAACAUCGAUCAAUGCAUUUUGUAUGGCCUUCAAAGUAGAAAGUCUUGAUUCGAAGGCCUCGUAGCCUUUGUGAGACUUGAGCCAAAUCUCCUCCGGAAUGGUACGGUAGGAAAUUCUAUCAUCAAAUCUCCCAGCUUCUUCUCGGAGUUUAAAAAGGGCCUCCUUCUCUGUUUCUGCUUUCUUUCCAUGCUGAUAGCGAGUAAUCCAAUUAGGAAACAGCCCCAUGAGACAUCGUUCAUUUGCUUUCUCUUCGUCUUGAAUGAAUUUGGCUGCCUCCUCAAUGCUCUUGUUCGCAUUAACCAGCCAUUUCUCAACCUUCUCUUCAAUCUUUUCACUUUUUCUUUCAGCCUCAGAAACUCUGCGCUGAAUGCUUUCUCUUUCAUCCUUGAGCCCAUCGAGUUCUUCCUUGAGAUUCUCAAAGUUGGCAGCGGAGUUAUACCAAUAACUAAAUUCGCGUUGUGCGUGAGGAGACAAGCAGUUUACAAUGCUUUUCAAAAUGUCCAUUUUUUUUUUUUGGUUGGGGGGGGGGGGGGGGACGAAAUAGAAAUAGAACAGGGUCAACGACCGCGCAAUUGAUAAUCAAGUAGAAGCAAAACUAGGCAAAAUUGGAAAAAUAAAUUAUAUUUGUACAAAACAAGGGGAAAAUCAGUGUAACAGAAGAGAAUCAAAGUGUUUUUGAGAUCAGAAAAUUGAACCAAGAAAAGGGUUGCUUGAUCCAAUGAAAAAGCAAAGAGCUGAUGGCAAAAGGGAACAAAGAUAAAUAAGAAAACGGCUAGUACGAGCAGCGACCACGAUGAACAGAAGCAAAGUGUUUAUGAGAUCAAAAGACGAAAAUCAGGAGAGGUUUUCUUGACUGAGAAUUGAAGGCAAAGAGUAGGAGCUGACGAAUACGGGGAUCAAGAGGGAAAAACUGCUUGCUCGUAAAACUACUUUCAAGCGAAUCUGAUAAAAUUAUUUCAAUACUCAUGGGCGACUCCUUUUUAAACUGCAGAAGGAAAAAAAAAAAAAAAAGAGUUCUGAAUUUCAAUAUAUUAAUUUUUAUCCUAAUUUAUGUUGAGAUUCGUAAUCUCGUCUCAAUGAUUAAUUAGUAGAUAAUCUUUCUAACAAAUAUGUGUUGAAUAGAUAUAUUUCUUGACUAUUAGUAAGUUAGAUAUAUUUUAGCAUAGGAAUGAAAGUACCAAGUUGUGUCAUAUUAGAAUAAAAAUGUGAGCUAAAAAUAAUUUUCUAUGACCUUUUAAUUAUUUGUCAGCAAAUAAUUAAGUCAUAUAAAAAAAUUAAUAAUCUGAAUUAGUCUUUAAGUAUUAUAAAUAUUUUUUUUUAUUUUUAAUUAUAAUAUCAUUAUUUAAAAAUAAUUGCUUGACUUAUAUUAGUAACAUUACGAUUGUCAUAAAACAUGUGAUCCUCAUCCAAUAUCCAUUAUUUGUGAUCCUUAAUCAAUAAAAUAUCUAACAAUAUCUUCACCUAAAGUUUGAGACAUGUGAUCCUUAUUCCACUGCGUCAAAACAAGGAGAAAAUCAGUGUAACUGAAGAGAAUCAAAGUGCUUUUGAGAUCAGAAAUUGAAGCAAGAAAAGGGUCGCUUGAUCCAAUGAAAAUGCUAAGAGCUGAUGGUAAAAGGGAACAAAGUUAAAUAAGAAAACAGCUAGUGCUAGCAUCGACCACAAUAAACAGAAAAUUUGAGAUGGAUUUACAAUAUUUCUGCCUUUCUUUAUGCUUUAACAAAUAUUGCUCUAUCAAAAAAAAUAUUUAGCAUUUUAUUAUUGGAGUCACAAAAGACCUACACAAUAUAGCAAGUGCUAGGAAUAAAUAAGAAUAUAUAACUCUCUCUCUAAUUCUCACUCUAGCUUUUAAUUGUCACUCAAAACCCAGAAUUCAUCCUUAAAGUGUAAGCAAAUCAGAGAUGACAGCGUCUGGUUGUCAUACGUGCCUUUUAGUUUUCGGAUGACAUGGCGUACACUUCUUCUGUAAAUCGAACAUGACAUGUCGUACUCUUUGUUUUGAGAUCAUAUUUCAAACUCUUCAUGCUAUGAAUGAAAGAUAAACUACAAUCAUCAAAAUAUUUAGUGUUUAUUUGGUAAUGUAACAUCAUAGUUGUUGUGAAUUGAAAUUAUUUAUGUAAGAUAAAAGGAUUUGGGUCAUCGUUUGUUAUUCUCUAGCAAUAUUGUUUGGCCGUGACUAUUUGUUAAAUAUUAAAAAAAUAAAUUUAUAUUUAUUAAGUACAAAAAAUAAAUAAACAAACAAAAAUAAAAGGAAAAGUUUAUGCAUUACAUAAAAUAAUAAGAACAAUAUCAAUAUUUCACACUCUAUAAUUGACUGAUGAGUUGUCCAACUACCAUACAUUGGUCCCAGAGACUUAAAUAUUAAAGUCCAAAGUUAUUGUGAUGAUGACUUAUAAUUGCCAAACUUGACAUACGGGUAAUCAUGCAUUAUAUAAGGUGCUGAUUUCUUCCGAUCGGAACUUUAUUUUUCAUUUACAAAUAAAUAAAUGAUGUGACUUAACGGGUGGCGGGGUCCUUUGUGCCAUUUGUGUAUUUCACUGAAUAGUUGAUUCAACUUGAUUGCAGCAGAAAGAUUCCUGGAAGUUGCCAUUUGCCAAUGCUACUAACAUUUUCAAACUUGGAAAACCCUUCAAUCAAUCUUUUAGUGGUAGGCUCUGGUAGCUUGCUUUGAUUAUGACAUAUGAUUAUUUGAUAAUAAAGCUAGAGGAUGUAUUAAUAUAAAAUUUGUUUAUUGGUGUUGAAGUUAAUUAUCUCAUUAAUAAUAAUAUAAAAAGUUAAUUACUAAGAAACACAUAGCAGUAUUCUAGGAUAUAAUUUUAUAUCAUAACUUUGUAAGUGUAUAAUUCCUCAUUAAAUUAACAAAAUUAUUUUAAAAUAUUUAGUUAGAAAAAAUAAAAUAUUUUACAAUACCUCCCUUCAGAUUGCACAAAUUACAUAAAAAAAAAAAAUUGCUUUAUGUAUAAAACUUUCAAACAAAUUGGGCCAAAAUCUAACUUUACCAAGUUUAGAGUAAUUUUGGGCUCUACAUUCCAUUUCCGACAAACGAAUUUUCUUUAUCACCAAGGUAUGAUACUUUUCAUAUUUAUCCAACGGCUCGUCAAUGACAAUACCUUUGUAAAAAGUACUUAUUUUCAAUAGUAUAUUGUGGAAAUGUCUGGUCGGUAAUACAACUAUUUCUUAUAGUGUAAAAAUGAUACACUAAGCGUUCACAUUUUGAUGAGUAAAUUAAGGAUUUCAAGAUGAAGUACAUAAUUAGAUUAAUGCUAAGAAACUGAAGUUUGAUCGAUUGAAAACGAAAAUAAUAAUAAAGGUAAUUAAGAAAAUGAACAAUAUAUGCAGAAGCGGCUCCUUAUUAGGACUUCUAGAUUUUCUCUUGGGCUUUCCUUAUUAUUGUUAAAAAAUGACACGAAGAACUUUGAGUUUAAAAAUCUGGCCCUGAUGCCUGGUAGCCCUCCAACAUAUGAAGCACCAGAUGUUUUGAUGAGAAUAUGACAAGACCAUUUAUCAAAUUUCUUGUGGAUAUAAAUACGUACACAUGGACGAGACCAACCUCCUCAAAUGAGAAUCAGAGUGAUUACAAGACCUUGCAAUGAGACAAUGAUACACCUUCAAAUGUCAAAAUACAAUAGAAAUUCACGACAUAUAUAUAAUAAAAGACCUCUCAUUGAGUCAUAUAUAUUGAGAAUAAAAAUGUUAUAAUACAUACACAAAGCUUAGCUAGAAUAAAAUGUCUUUGAACUUGCGAUGAUCAAAUAAAGAAAACAGACAGGUUGUAACUCACACUAUCACAAGAAGAUCACGAAGAUGGAAAUAGGAACCCGACAGAAUGGAAAUUUUGAAUAGAGGAAAAAAGAAAAACGACCUUAUUCACAUAAGAAGAGUGACUCAAAUCUUCUUCAGUAUCCAGACAUUCUGCAAUCAUAGAGUAGAGAAAUUUUAACAGGAACAGCAGAGAAAAUAUUAUGAAUAUGCUAUAGACCAAUAUACUUGUUCAUAGCUAACGUUUGAUGGUUUAAAGAUUUGUUCUAGGAAUAAUGGGCUGAUUACUUUUUUUUUAUUUUAAUUUUUUUUUAAUCCAAUGAAUGAUAUUCAGCUGUUAAUUAUGUGUUCAUAGGGAAGAACAUUUUCUAAGUACUUUCCUUGCCUUCUAACUUUCCGAAAAGCAAACCCAAUGAACAAACAGAGCACAAACUAAAAUAAAAGAACAGCAAUGAUGACAAUAAAUAAUUGGCAAAGAAAAAAGGAAAAAGUAUGCACGUUUUCAAGGAAUUAUAAAAUAUGAAGGCUUUUAAUGAAAUUUUAUCAUAAAAAGUAUGCAAGGAAUUAUAAAAAUUUAGAAUUUUUGGAAUUUUUAAUGCACCAAAGUUCAUUUUUAGCUUUUAAGGUUUUUAUGUGUGAGCCUCUCAGCAUGUUCCCCAACCUCCUCACGUGAAAAUAUUUCUAUGCACGGUUACAAGCUUUUCCAGAUUGUGAGUAUUCCGAAGCAAUCCAACUUGAAAAACAGCUGGUUCGUAGAAAAUGACAGUUUACGAAGCUGGCCCUGCUGCCAUACAUAUGAUGAUGAAGACCAUUUUGCUUUAUGUCAAUUCCUCCAAGUUGAAAUCUUUCUCGGUCUGGGACACUUCCAACACAUAAUGUACUACUAGGCCAGAUGAUUUUAAAAAAUGUCAAGGUCCUUUAUCAAAUUUCAUUUGCAUUCAAGACCAAUCCCCUUUGAUGAAAAUCAAUAAUUAAAGGCUUUCCAAUGAGAAAUUAUUACGUCUUCAAAUCUCAAAAAACGCCAGAAUAUUAAUUCGCUACAUAUAAUCAAGAUAUCUCAUUGAGACGCAUUAAUAAAAAAUGUCAAAAUGCAUAGAAAGAGCAGACACACGGAUGAUGAAUUUACUCAUCUUUAUUAGUAUUUGAACUUGAGAGACAGAAUGAAGUACAUGUCAAGAAUAUCAUAAAGAUGGAAACCGGAAGUCCUCCGCACAUAAACUUUGAAGAAACUGGAAAACGACUUUAUUCCAGAUAAUGCACACCAGAGUGACCAAAAUUCUCUUCAGUAACUAUAGAGAAAAUAUUAUUUUGCAUGCAUUUCACGUAACUGGAUCAAACUACUCUCCUGUUGGUUUAUCAGACCACAUUUUUAUGGUGCAAUAUAAACCAUCUUUUCAAAACGCUUUUACCAUGUGAGAAAUAUACGCAUUAAAUUUCAUAAACUAAAAACUCCAAUUGUCAAAAAAAAAAAAAAGGGUGAGAAACUCAGUAGAAUUUACAACUUCUCAGACUCACGAAAAGGUGAGAAACAAAUGAUUUUUAUAUAGUUGUUCAUAGCUAACUUUUGAUGGUUUAAUGAUCUGUAGAUUUUGUUUUAUGCUAUUCAAGGAAUGAUAUCCAAUUGUUCCUAAGAGUUCAUAGGCAGGGGCAUAUAUGCAUGAUUUGAUAUAAUUCUUGCAAUUUCUAAGUACUUGCUCUUUCCAUCCCUUCUAAGUUUUGAAAGAAAGGUCGAAAUAAACAGAGAAACAGGACAAACAGAAGAAGACUGAAUUAACAGAUCAACAAAGAUGGCAACUAACAAAUGGAAAGUUCUCUUGUAAUCAAACUAUAGCAAACAGAUGACACCAUUACAAUAUAUCUUAAUGAGUAGAUUGAUUCUAAACAUAUAUGUUAGGAUACAUUUGGUUGUUUAAUAGUUUGAAAUAAGGAGGAUGGGAUGGUUUCCACAUAAAAGUGCUGUCCCUUUCAAUGACAUUUUCAAAGAAUUAUAAAAUUCAAAAUAAAAAAAAAAUUAGCAAAUUAUAAAGCCACACCGUCAAAAAAAUAAAUAAAUAGAUAAGUUAAGACCUUUAAUGAUAUAAAAAUAAAUAAAUAGAGAAGUCACUAGGACCUUUAAUGAUAUAAAAUAAGCAUAUAAAUCUCAGAACAAAACAUUAAAAUUCAUUCUAAAAAUAAACUAGUGGUGUAUUCCAAACAAUUUAGAUGAAGCGAUAAAACAAGCCAAGAGAUCGAAUAAAAUGAAAUGAAAUUGAAUUAACUGGGACUUUGUUUUCCAAAUUCACAACUCGCUUGUAAUUAAAGUAAAAUGCCAAUGCCAUUAGGACAUAUACAUCAUUGAAUAAGAUGAGGACCCCUCCAACAGCUGAAAGUAAAAUUUUCAUUCAUUAGUUUCAAUUAAAAGUAAAGCACACAGAGAUUUGCAGGGAAGCAAGAGAUUUAAUAAAUUUAACAGCAGCAAUUUAAUUUGACAGGACUUCCAUACAGUAAUGAAGUUAAAAACUAAUGAUUAACGAAUUUAGUUUGGUCCCAAAGCUGUUGAUCAUCUCUCUCUCCAUAGUAGAAGUUUACUCUCAGAGGCGCGUUUAAUUCUCCUUUAGUGAAAAUCUUCAUCUUGGGACAACCAAUUAUAGAUAAAUCUUCCAAAGAUGGGAAUUUGAAGGUGUAAUUGGCAGAGCAUACAAAAUCUUCAAUUUGGCGAAAACAACUCUUCUUUUAAAUUUGCUGCUCCAUCUUCGUCAUUUAUCACCACCUCUCUCAUUUCUCUGCAUCCACAUACCACCAUUGAUAAUAGUCGCUCUAGACUUUUUGCUGUGGAGGAGGUUGCUAAGCUCAUCAAAUUCCUUGCAACGAAGAACUAGAAGUUCUUUUAGGUUCCCAAAAGAUACCGAUGAUGAUGGCCAUAGAUAUAACAGAUUUUGACAAUAAUGUACAUUUAGAAUUUCAAGGCAUUGAACAAAGGAGUCCAAUUUGGAGUCUUGUUUCCACAAUUGCUUCAGAUGAUUAAAUUUGUGCAGAUCUAAAUGUUUUAUCAUUGUAAACUUCCUCACAUGUUUCUUCAAGUAUCCUCCAUUCGAAAAUACAUCUUCGCAUGAACAACGACGCCGUAUGAGAGUUUCCAGAUUAUGAAAUCUCUCAAGUAAAUCAAGUGGAAAACAAGUUGAGUCAUCAUCCACUGUUUGUAGUAGUUUAAGACUCCCAAAAAGGUGUUGUGGGAAAUCGCUCUGCAAAGUCAUCCUCGAGUCUUUUCCACUUAAUGCCCGUUCCUCCUAAGUUGGGUAAGCUCUGAUCAUCAUCAAUCACGUAAUAACUUAUUAAGUCAAUUCAUAUUCUCUCAAAUGACUUUUAAUAAUCCAAUCAUACACAGUGACUUUAAUAUAAAUGCAUAAUAUUUUACAAAAAAGAAGAAAAAAUCGAAUUAGAGGUAAAAGUUAUUCUACGAUUUUAUUUUUUAUAUAUAUCUUGCAUGCUAUUCCCAAAAGCAAUCCCAAACGGCCCUUAAAGCAAUUUUACAAAAGUGGCCGGUACAUAUAUUGCCAACUUUGUUAGGAAUGGCAAUGGGAAGGGGAGGGGAAGAGACCGACCUCCCCGUACCCAUUCCCGAUAUUCUGCAUAUAUCCCCAUCCUCUCCCCAUUCCAGACAAAAUUGCUUUAGGGAAUCCCUCUCCCCUCCCCAAAUAAUAAUAGGGGAUCCCUGAAGGUCCUCGAUCCUCGAAUAACUAAUACGUUUUUAGUUUUAAAUUUUAAUUUAAUCAUAUUAAAAUAAAAAAUUUAAAUAAAAAUAAAGUUUGACGAUAUAUCUUACAUUAACAUUAAUCUAUUAAAAAAGUCACAUUACAAAGUAUAAAUCACCAUAAUAAUUAUCUUCGGCAAUCUUCAAAAUCAUAUAAUAAAAAAAAAGAAAUUACUUUUAUAUCAACAAUAAGAUAAAUGAAAUGAAUAUAGAUACUUAAUCAAUAUUUCUAAUAAAAGUAUUCACCUCAUGCGUCUCCUACUCUUCUUGUUCUUCCUCGAGGAAUGUGACAAAUUGAGAGAUAGCCUUAGAUUUCAAGUUUAAAACAAUAAAAAUAAUAUAAGUAAUGUAAAUUCUAAGUGAAAAUAUUAAUAAUUAUAUAAUAUAAUUACAAUGUAAAAUAAACUCAUACUACCAUUGUAAGCUUGUAGUCAACUUUGACAACUUAUUAAAGCCUCCAAUGUGCUUGAAUAAAGCGUGUUACGAUACUCUACCACAGGUGCUAAAAGCUAAUUCAGAAGCAACAUUUGUAAUUAGAAUUGCCAAAAUAUCUCUAGCAAUUCGUGCCAAUAUAGGAUAUCUAUAGACAUUUGUUUUACACCAACUCAAAAUAUUAAAAUCUUUCAUCCGUGGCAUAACUUUUUCAUCCAAAUAUUAAUGUAGUCAAUUAGGCCUAAAGUUUAAUAAUAUAAUUAUUUUAAUUUUUUUAUUUAUACUAAUAUUUAAUAUUUUAUUAUUUAUAUUUUAUUAUUUAUUUACAAAUAAUUUUAAAAAAAUUAAAAUUAAAAUUAAAAAAUUGGAAGGGGAUAGGGAUUCCGCUGCAUCCCCGUCCUUUUUUUGAAUAAGAAAUUGGGUAAAAAAACUAUUUCCGUCGCUUUUCUAAAUAAAAAAUUAAGUAAAAAAUUAUGUACCCUCCUGAAUUGGGAAAAUCUCGAGGGUCAUGUCCCCGCGGGAAUAUCUGCCAUUCCAAAACUUUGUAACAGCCACUUGCUUUUGUGACCGUUUAUGUGACGGCUAGACUGCUCUCACUUAUGUUACUAACCACGUGACGGUAGAGAGCCAAUUGGCAUACUAUUAUUUUGACGGUAGAGUUAUAAAUUUGUUUCUAAAUAGAAAACUAUUUGCUGGAGUCAAUAUUUUGAAGACCAAAGUCCCAAAUUCUCUCUCGUGCCUGGCCAGCAUCCUAAACCUUACUGGUAGCCGGAGAAUGGCGUAAAACGGCGGCGAUCUUCUUCUUCAUCUUAUUCUCUCUCUCAUCGUUUCAGGUAAGCUUGUGAUUAUGAGUUUCUUCGCUUUCUUAGCUUGUAAUUAUAGGUUUUGAUUUCUUUAAUUCGUUUUGUAGCCAUUAAUGUCAAUUUUUGUCCCACCGGCAAUGUUUUUUGUUCCUAGAAGUUGAAGCCCUUCUGUUCUUGUGCCAUUGGUGAGUUUGCUCACUCAAAUUAAUUUUGUUCUGCGGAGUUUACAAAGUUCAAAUGGACUCAUUUGGAUUACUAUUGAAUUUAGCUUUAAUUCCAACAUCCAUUCUAAUGUUUUGCCAUUAGAUUUACUUUAAUUUUAUCUUUAAAGCUUCUACAAUGAAUAGCGGAGCUUGGGUUUUAGUUUCAAUUUCUAAUUAACUUGUUUUAGUUUAUCUUAUAUGCUCGCCAAGUGCUUGUUAUAUUGUCUGAUAAGUUAUAUAACAUUGCUGAUUCUAUAUUAGUAAUGUCAUGUUCCAUUUUCGGAAAUUAUAACACAAAAGUUUUUACAAUGGCUUGCAUCUACAAACUGAAUUGACUUGUAGAGUAAGAGCUUGGAUUAGUGUUAUGUUCUUGAAUAAAUGAAAGUUCAUAUUGUGUAAGAGCAUGUAGAUGUAAAGCAUCACUACCAUUUCUACAAACUGCUUUCAUUCUGUUCAGAUGCUCCUCUUGAACUUUGAAAGGUGCCUCAUUCAAGUCCUAGCUGUAACUACUAGCUCUGAUUGCUUAAGUUCCUGUGCUAGCUGAAACAGAUUUAUUUAAUUAAUUAAUUGUGUAUGUACUAAUUAUAUUGAACGUAUAUGAAGAAAUUGUUUAACAUGAAUGACUUCUAAAUGACUUAAAAGCCUAAAGGAUAUGUGAAAUAAUGCUCAUUUCACUUGAACGAGCCUAUUAAUACUUGUAUGUCUGAUGGUUGUCGAAGCCAACAAAAAUAAAUUCAUACUCUAAAUAAAUUGUGUAUAGUGAUUGAGCAAGGUCAUGUCCACAGAGAUCGGUAAUUAUUUAAAUCCUUUUGAAACGUAAAACGUAAAAUGGGGGAAUUGUUGACAAUAAUAAAAAUCAAAUUAAAAUAACAAGAAUGCAAAUUAAAGUUGUAAUUCAAAUUAGAGAAAGCUCUGGUUGAAGGAAUUAAUUCAGCUUGAUUCGACUACUGAUCAUUGAUUCAAAUAUAGAUUAUUAUUACUUAUGAAUAGACCGGUUAUAGCUACUGAGACCCUCUAAUAGCCAAUCUCUCCUUAACUAGUCGAUAACCAAGGUACGACUGUUGGUUAUUUCCCUAAUCAAUAGACAACCCUAGAUACGAUCAUAGGAUUUAAUCAAUUGACAGCCUGAAAAACCAGAGAGACCCAAAUCCUAAUCAACACAUACGAUGAUUCAUUUAAAUUAGAUUGUUUAUUCUCACAACACAACUCUCUGCUAUGUUAUUUGUCACAAACAUUAAAUUCUUCAUACGAUGAAUCCUUUAAUUGACAAUAGAUUAAGUUGAUAAUUAAAUAGUGGCCAAUUACCUAAUUAACAAACAUAAUCAUGAAAAUAAUUCAGAGAAUAAACAAAUACCCAAAAAGUAAUAAAACAAUUAAAGCAUAAAAUAGAUCUCACAAUAGUGAUGAAUCAAAGCUUCAUUAUCCUUCAACCAGAAAAAUAUAUUUAGUUCUUCAUAGAGAGAAGAGAAAAGUUUAGAUCUAGGGUUUCUUUCUCUUCUCUUCAAAAGUCCCAUUUUUCACAAUAGAUUCCUCUCUUAAAUACUCUCUCUCUCUUCUCCUCUAGAAUUCUAUUUAAAAUAAAAUACUAAUAUAUGAAAUAUUAAAUUCGUAAUUACAAAAAUAACCAAAAAUACAAAACACGUUAAACUAAAAACUGUAGGUCCGUAGUUGCAGCACGCGCCCACGCGUUAUCAACAAAGUUCUUCUGACGCUCAUAAUUUCUCCAAGAAAGCAAUCAUCUUUAAACAUCAUCUUAUAGCUCAAUUUUAUCACAAAUCAAUAGAAUUGCACCUACAAAAGUAAAACACAAGUAAAUUAUCAUUAUUAAGUGCAAAACAUCAAUAUUAAGGGAAGUAAACAAUGCAAAACUAGUGCAUAAAUUGCACUCUAACAAAUUCCCCCACACAAAGAUGAUGCUUGUCCUCAAGCAUAUAACUCAAGACUAAUCCCAAAUCUCCACUCAAUUCUCAUCUCAACUCAUCCAAAAACAAUUUUAAGCAAGUAUACCUCAAGAAAUUAAGUCGAUCAACAUUCGAGAGACAAGGAUUUUAAAGCAUAGAAUCUCAUAAGAUAGAAUAAGAACAUUCAACCACCAAGAAGAUCCAUUCAAAAUUCAAGUGCAACAAGAUUUAAUAGCCCUCUCAUUGACCUCACUCCAUGCACUCAAAGUGUUUAGGGUGUCAUUUAUUCACUCAAAUCAAAUCAAAGAAUGUUAUUACCAUAAACUUGCUUAUAUAUCACAUCUCAAUCCACAAAACAUGAAUUAAAUGCAAAAAUCUAAGGGUCUUAAAAGGUUGUAACGGGGUUAAAUGGGUUAAAUGAAAAAGAAAAGUUUAUGAAAGAAAAAGAGAUCAAAAUGAGAAGAAUGAACUCAUUGAACGAACUUUAUGAUAUCGAAACGCUUAUUUCUACACAAGUCACCAAGAAUGUAAACAUUUUUUUUUCUUUUUCUUUUUUUUUUUCAAUUUUUUUUUUCGAUUUUUCUUUUUCUUUUUCUUUUUUUUUUUGAAUCAAACAAAAGAAACGAACCUUGCACAAUUUAAUUCAGGCAUAAUGCUUGUUGAUCUAAUUGAGAAACUUUAAUACAAGGUAGAAAAAGCAACAAAAUAUAUACAAAAUAUAUCCACACAAUGAGUCCAAAAAUCUCCUUAAAUUGAGGCUCAAAAAGAAGAAAAAUGGUUAAGUAGACGGAGAGAAUUAGAUGGGUAAUGGUUAAGGCUCAAACAAAGAUAGUAAAUCAAGGUCUUCGGGUAGAGAAAAAAAAAUGCGAGAAUAGAAAAAUGGUAAAUGGUUUGCCCUUAUCAUUUUAAUGCAAAAAAUCCGUAAUGUGGCUUCAACAUGCAUAACAAAGCAAGUUCUAGAAUAAACAAACUAAGAUUGAUAUUCACAUAACAAAAAUAAUAGAGCAAAGUGGUUGCUCAUAGGCUCAAAUCCUCACAAAGUUGGUAAAUUUGCCAUCAAAUCAUGUGCACUCUUCAAAUGAAUCAACCAUCAAUAGUGGUGUAGAAUGAGAAGAAGGUAUGAUUGAGAUAUGAAAGGAAAGGUAAAAAGGAUAAUAAGCGAGAAAGAUGUAUGUAGUAAAAAAAAUGAAUGAUAAAAUGUGAGUGAUGAAAGAGUAUGAUAGAAUAAAAAUAUAUGUAAAUAAUUUGAGGUAGAUGGGAAAAGAGUAGUGAGAGAGAAAGGAAAAGAAAAUUAAUAAUAUAUGAAGCAUACUAACUCCAAAAUCAUUUAAGGAUGAGUAGAGUGAAAAUAAUAAUUCCAAACAUCAAUAAUGUAAAAAAAUCCCUCCCCCACACCAAGAACUUACAUUGUCCUCAAUGUAAGAUAAUCAAAGCUCACAUAAAAAUUAAAGCGUAAGGAUAAAAGAUUAAAGACAAAAAAAAAAAAAAACUUCCCUGAAUUAUGAGCUUUGAUCCACAUAACGUCUAUGGGCUUGGCAGAAAUGGUGGGGUAAAUCCCACACUCUCGAAGUAUGCGGCCAAAUUCUGCUCCAUCUUGUUCAGCUUGUGCUCCAUUUUCUCUAACUGAAUGCUCAAAGGUGGUGCGGAUGUAGAAGGAAUAGUUGGCGGGGCAGCAGUGUCGUCGUCAAACUCGUCAUCAGAGGUAGCACCACUCCUAGCAUAAAGCUUCUUCGGAGGUUGAGUGGGUCCUGGUUCAGUAAAAUGAAAUCUCCCCUCCUUGAAUUCGACCAUACCUGUUCUUUCAAACACAGACAUAUCCAAAAAUUCCUUUUUGCAAGCAGGAUGCAAAUCAUUAUUGUCAGGAUCAAGCACACAUAGGUUUAUAGCUAACAGAGUAAUGUAUGGACCAAGAAAUAAAGUUCUAUACCGUUUAAGCACACUUUGAAAUUGAUCCGCUAACCAAAAACCUAAAUUAGGCCUCACAUCAUUUAACAUGCACCAGAUAAAAUAACAUUCAGUUUUAGAGAAAACUCCUGAGUGAUCUUUCUUACCGAAAAAAUUAUAUGCUAAGAAUCGAUGCACACAUUUCAAAACAGGAUCACGUAAGAAAGAACUCUUUGAUUUACUCGGGUCAUAGGCAUUGUGAUCAAUAGAUAAAUUACGCCAAAGACCAUAAGGCUCAAAAUUUUCGCUAAAGUCACAAGUUGUUCCUAAAUAUGCAUCACUAGAAGAAUAAUCAUCAUCAAUGAAUCCUAAAGCUAGGUUAAAAUCCGUGAUAGAGUGUAAAAAAUUUCGUCCCAUUAACCUAAACUUAAUGACAUCCGGGGUAUGCAAAGUAAAAUCAUUCGGCAUAUUAAAUUGAAAAGUAGCAUAAAACUUCCUAAUCAACUCAACAUAACCCAAACAAUCAACAUCAACAAACUUAUGUGACCCAAUCUUAUCUAUCAAAGAAUCAAAAUUAUCCUUAACAUUCAAUUUUUCAAGAGUCGGGUAAUGAAUAUACUUAGCUGGAAGUAUUUUGCGCGUGGAAAUAUCUUUGUACCUCUCUUUCUCUUGUUGAGUCGCGAAUGCGAGGCACUCUUUGAGAUUGGAUUCCGCAAGUGGCAAAACACUCAUGCCUUUUCCAUGUUUCGAUCUUUGUCUCACGGCUUGGCGUGAAUAUGAAAUUGUGUUCCAUGGAACCGUAGUGGGAGCGGCAAUCUUAGAUUUCUUUGCGACGAGUGUCUUUUUAGAUGACUUGGAAGUAGAUGCUUUCCUCUUCGGCAUUGUUACAAUAAUUGCACUCACGGAUUUCGAUUUACCUGGCUGGAAUACAGGGCGUAGGUUGGAUCUGCGUUGCGUUGCUGCUUGGCUGGAGCUUGCUGCGCAGGUUGGGGCUGGUUGCGCGCUGCUGCUGGUUGUGUUGCGCGCUGCUGCUGGUUGUGUUGCGUGAUGCUGCGCGCUGCGGGUGGAAUUGGUUGCGCGCUGCUGGGGCUGGAUUCGGGUUGCGCGCGGGGGCUGGGGAUGCUGGUGCGCGCUGCGGGUGGGACUAAUGCGCUGCGCUGAGGCUAAUUCGCGUUGCUGGGGCUGCGUUGUGGGAUGCUGGUGCUGUGUUGCGUUGCGCGCGGCUGCUGCUGCUGCAUGGCUGCGGCUGCUGCUGCUGCGGGUGAAAACGAUAAUCAACAGUGAAUUUUUAUUUUAUUUUUUUGAAUUAGGGAUUUAUGAACAGUGAUUUGUGAUUUUUGUUUUUUUUUUGUUUUUUUUAAAUAAAAAAAAUAUGUAUAUAUAAAAGAAAGAAAAGAAGGAAAAAAAAUAAUAUUUUUUUUUUUGUGAUGAAUCACUUUGAGACACUAAAAAUUUCAGAAGUACUUUUCUAAUAAGCACGUGGGCACGCCUUAAAACCAUUUUAUUUUAAAAAUCACAGAAGUACUUAUUAGUUAAGACGUGGGCACGCCUUAUCAAAAAUUUUCUUCUGACCAAAAUAAGCAAACACAUUAAAAAAAAAUGAAUCAAAAUUAAAAGAAGAUAUAACAAAAACCAAAAUAAAUAAAUCAUUUGGGUUGCCUCCCAAAAAGCGUCUUUGUUUUAUGUCUUUGGCUAGACACAUUUAUGCAUCAAUCUCCAUAAUUGGGACUCUCGAGAGCCACAUCCUCCACAAUAUUCACAAAAAAACCUUCAUAAAAAGGUUUUAAGCGAUGACCAUUAACCUUAAAAAUUUUGUCAGAGGUCGGACUUCGAAUCUCAACUGCACCAUGAGGGAAAACAUUAGUAACAAUAAAAGGUCCAACCCAGCAAGAACGUAAUUUACCCGGAAAAAGUUUAAGCUUAGAAUGAAAAAGAAGAACUUUUUGACCAACAGAGAACUCCUUUCUCAAAAUCAUUCUAUCAUGAAAUGUCUUCGUUUUUUCCUUGUAAAUAACUUCCUGCACUAUAGGGUUAAUAACAUCCACAGAAAAUACCGAAUGUUCCUCACUAGGAUAUUUCAUGGCAUCAUUCAUAUUGAAUUCUAUAACCUCUCCAUCAAACUCCAUAGUGAGAGUCCCUUUAUGUACAUCCAUUUUAGUCCUAGCAGUCUUAAGAAAAGGUCUUCCUAGCAAAAUUGGGACAAAAUUGGAGGAGUUAUCCUCUUCCAUAUCAAGUGCAUAAAAAUCAGCAGGAAAAACCAACUCAUUAACUUGUACUAAGACAUCUUCUAAUACCCCAUCAGGAUAUGCAUUAGACCUAUCAACUAGUUGAAUUAUCACGCCAGUUUCUUUUAAUGGACCAACAUUCAAAGAUGAAUAAAUGGAACGAGGCAUGACAUUAAUAGAAGCUCCUAGAUCUAACAAAGCCUUUUCAAUUCUAACACUACCAAUUUUACAAGGGAUAGUAAACAUACCUGGAUCCUUGCACUUAGAGGUAGUUUCUUUUGGAGAACUGCUGAAACAUUCUCCCCCAUGUGAACUUUUUCAUCUCCUCUUAAUUUUCUCUUAGAGGUGCACAGUUCCUUAAGGACUUUAGCAUAUCGAGGUAUUUGUUUUAUAGCAUCUAAUAAAGGAAUAUUUACCUCAACCUUGCGAAAUGUCUCAAGGAUGUCUUUCUCUUGUUCCUCCUUCUUGGAUAUUGCAAACCGGCUUGGAAAAGGAGGAGGUAUCACAAUAGGUAGGGGUUUCGCUCUGGUGGGUUGCGCAUCUUGAGAUUUAGGCAUCAAUUCAUUCUUCUCAAGCUCAUCUUCUACAUGCUUUGUCACUUUCUUACUAGGCUCUUGCAACUCCUUCCCACUUCUAAGGAUGACAGCACUAACGUUUUUCUUUGGAUUCACCUCAGAUUGUGAAGGCAAUCUCCCUAAUACUUGAGACUCCAGAAGGCUCACUGUAGUCGCCAAUUGACUCAUUUGGUUCUCCAAAUUCUGAAUGCUUGUUGUAGUUGCCUGCUGAAAUUGUUGAGUGUUAGUCGCAAGUGAUUUAACAAUUUCUUCAAGAGAUAUACCUGACUUAGAGUUUGAUUGUGGAGGUGCUGGUUGUCUUGGUGGAUACUAUUGUGGGAAUCCUGACGGCCUAACUCCAUAGCUGAAGUUGGGGUGAUCCUUCCAUCCCGGAUUGUAUGUUUAUGCAUAAGGAUCAUACCUCCUCUGAGGCAUGCCUGGAAAUCCUCCAACUGCAUUGGUUUGUUCAACGGGUUCUUCUUGAAGUGUAGGACACAUAUCAGUUGAAUGACCCAUAUUGUAACAAAUGCCACAAGUCUUCACCUGUUGCACAUUACCUACAACAAACUUUUCCACAAGAGAAGUAAGUUUAUCUAAACUUUGUCCAAUAGAAGAAAUAUUUACCUCAUUUACCUUCCUUGAAGUGAGAUCUUGCCUGCUGCCAAAUUGUUGUGCGUUGGCAGCCAUAUUUGAUAUCAGCUCCUUUGCUUGAGUAGGGGUCUUGUUCACCAACACGCCUCCACUAGCAGCAUCUAUCAUACUCCUAUCCAUCAAUGACAGUCCUUCGUAAAAAUAUUGAAUAAGAUGUUGAUCAGAAAUCUGAUGCUGAGGACAGCUGGCACACAAUUGUUUGAAUCGCUCCCAAUACUCAUACAAAGUCUCCCCAGGAAGUUGUCUGAUCCCACAAAUGUCUUUUCUGAUGUUAGCAGCUCUUGAAGCAGGAAAGUAAUUCUCGAGGAAUUGCUUGUUCAAACCAUUCCACGUUGUAAUUGAUCCAGGAGGCAAGUAGUACAACCAGUCUUUAGCUAGUCCAUCUAAAGAGAAAGGAAAAACACGCAGCUUAAUCUGCUCUUCAGUCACGCCUUGUGGUCUCAUACUUGAACACACAACAUGAAACUCCUUAAGAUGUUUAUGAGGAUCUGCACCUGCAAAACCAUGAAACUUGGGUAAUAAAUGAAUAAGACCAGACUUUAAUUCAAAAUUUACCUCCAAGUCUACAUAUUGAAUGCAGAGUGGUUGUUGACUCAAGUCUGGUUCAGCUAACUCUCUAAGAGUUCUUUCUACAGGUGCAGGUCUAUCUAUCAUUUGUUCUUCUGAAUCGCUAGAUGAUUCAACUAAAUCAGGCACUGUAUCUAUUUCAGAAAGCAAAGGCGACGAGGAUCGUUACUUAGCUCGCUUCGUCUGCUGUCUCAGCUGGCGAGCUGUCUUCUCAAUUUCAGGAUCAAACGAAAGUGUACCUGUACGAGAAGAACGAACCAUACACCAAGUAAAACGUAAAAAGGAUUAAAUAAAUGACACCAAUCCCCGACAACGGCGCCAAAAUUUGAUGGUUGUCGAAGCCAACAAAAAUAAAUUCCUACUCUAAAUAAAUUGUGUAUAGUGAUUGAGCAGGGUCGUGUCCACAGAGAUCGGUAUUUAAAUCCUUUUGAAACGUAAAACGUAAAAUGGAAGAAUUGUUGAUAAUAAUAAAAAUCAAAUUAAAAUAACAAGAAUGAAAAUUAAAGUUGUAAUUCAAAUUAGAGAAAGCUCUGGUUGAAGGAAUUAAGUCAGCUUGAUUCGACUACUGAUCAUUGAUUCAAAUAUAGAUUAUUAUUACUUAUGAAUAGACCGGUUAUAGCUACUGAGACCCUCUAAUAGCCAAUCUCACCUUAACUAGUCGAUAACCAAGGUACGACCGUUGGUUAUUUCCCUAAUCAAUAGACAACCCUAGAUACGAUCAUAGGAUUUAAUCAAUUGACAGCCUGAAAAACCAGAGAGACCCAAAUUCUAAUCAACACAUACGAUGAUUAAUUUAAAUUAGAUUGUUUAUUAUCACAACACAACUCUCUGCUAUGUUAUUUGUCACAAACAUUAAAUUUUUCAUACGAUGAAUCCUUUAAUUGACAAUAGAUUAAGUUGAUAAUUAAAUAGUGGCCAAUUACCUAAUUAACAAACAUAAUCAUGAAAAUAAUUCAGAGAAUAAACAAAUACCCAAAAAGCAAUAAAACAAUUAAAGCAUAAAAUAGAUCUCACAGAAGUGAUGAAUCAAAGCUUCAUUAUCCUUCAACCAGAAAAAUAGGUUUAGUUCUUCAUAGAGAGAAGAGAAAAGUUUAGAUCUAGGGUUUCUUUCUCUUCUCUCCAAAAGUCCCCUUUUUCACAAUAGAUUCCUCUCUUAAAUACUCUCUCUCUCUUCUCCUCUAGAAUUCUAUUUAAAAUAAAAUACUAAUAUCUGAAAUAUUAAAUUCGUAAUUACAAAAAUAACCAAAAAUACAAAACACGUUAAACUAAAAACUGUAGGUCCGUAGUUGACAGCACGCGCCCACGCCUUAUCAACAAAGUUCUUCUGACGCUCAUAAUUUCUCCAAGAGAACAAUCAUCUUUAAACAUCAUCUUAUAGCUCAAUUUUAUCACAAAUCAAUAGAAUUGCAUCUACAAAAGUAAAACACAAGUAAAUCAUCAUUAUUAAGUGCAAAACAUCGAUAUUAAGGGAAGUAAACAAUGCAAAACUAGUGCAUAAAUUGCACUCUAACAAUGUCUAUGAUUGUCAAUCUUGCUUUAAGUGUUUCAGUUAAGUGGUUUACCUAACAGGGAAAAAAAUUUAAUGGAAAACUUUAGAGUUCUAACAGAAAUAUAGUUGACUGCAGAUAUAGCUAUUUUGCAGUACAUAAAUUAUGUUGUCCUAUUCUCAAUGUCCUACGACCUAUUUUAUUUUAUAUGGUCAUUCAUUUUUGCGAUGGUUUUUUGUGCUUAUGAGUAUGGAAAUAGUGGGAUUUGGUGUGGCAAACAAAAAUAUACAUAUAAUCAAGUUUCUUAAUCAUGUAUAUUGGUUUUGGGUAUGAAUGUUUUCCUAUUCUAGUUCUAGGCAAAGUUUCUUCAUUUUGGUCUUCAGAUUUCCAGUAGGUUAAGUUAAGCAACUAUCAUAACUAGCUAGCUAGUUAUUGCCUGCCUUGUCGCCAUUACAUUGCAUGGCAUAAGGAAUAGUAACUAGGUGAUUAUUGGUGAUUCGUUGAGUUUAUUAUUGGCCAAACUAACAUAUUCGCCUUUACCCACAACUUAGUUUGAUUAGAUAUUAGAUAAUAAAGAGCCUUAAUCUAUGCAUUGCUUUAUUAUUUUUAUUUGGUUUUUCUUUCAACAAUAUUGUUGAUUUCUUAUAAAAAAUAUUCAUUGGUUUUUAAACACCUAAUCAUUGGCUAUGAUGAAGCUAAUUAAAACGAAGGCUUUGGAUCAAUUUCUUCUAACAACAUACAAAUGAGCAUAACCACCCCCUCCCCCCGAACCCAAAAAAAAAAAAAAAAAAAGGAAGACUUUGCAAGAUUCACAACCAGGUUACAUUUAAUUUAUUAAUUGUGUGUACGUACUAGUUAUUUGUUGAUAGAAUAGGAAGAAGUAUUUUAAUAUGAAUGACUUAAAACUUGUUGCUCAGUAAACAUAAUGUGCAUCAGUGCUAGAAAAUGUAUUUAUUGUUUGUAAUUUUUUAUGGUUUUGCUUAAGAAAUGAAAUGUGAAAAAAUGCUACAUUGUAUUAGGAAUAAAUUGAAGAGAUUUAUGAUUUUUAUGUGUUAUUCAAGUUUCAGAUUCAAUUUUAAACUUUUGAUACAUGCAUUGAAAGCUUAAACUCCUUUAAGAAAUUAUUAAUAGACACAUGUUUUAUUAGUGUCAUCUUUUGGAUGAUAGUGAGGAUCUUAUGUCUAUUAAUAAUUCUUGAAUUAUCUAGGCUUGGACAGUUUGGUAAUGCAUAGUUUUCUAUGGUAGCUAGUGCCUGAAAUUUUUUUCCCACGUAAAAAUGGGUUUUUCAGCAGCUGCUCCUCAUGUUCUCUGGGUGCAUACUAGACAAAUGGGUGUCAUGUGUUGUUUUGGCAUAACACAUAAACACUCAUAUAUCUAUGUCGCGUACUUGAAGAACUAUAGGGAGAUGCUUCCGAAGUUUCUAUAAACGUAGAGGAAAACUUUAGAUACUUAAGAUUGAAGAAACUUAUGCAUUCUUGAGUGGGAUAUAUAGGACCACUUACCUUUUGUAAAUAUGAAGGGAAUGUUGGAUAUAUUGAUGGGAGUGGAGGAGCUGAGUGGGAUGAAUGUAAUCGGUUAUGAUUUUGCUGAGUCGACUUGGUUUUGAGUCUUGUAAUUUUGUUUAUAAAUGGAGUACUAUCUCCAAUGUUGGUUUAUAAAUAUGUUUCAGCUGGCUGACCUAAUUUUUUGUUUCUAGGUAACAGGCUUUAUAUAUCUGUAAUUGAUAGCCAAGUGAAGUUCUCAGCAGUGGGUAACAGGCUUUACAGAAGAAUACUAUAAAUAAUUCUUGAAUUAUCUAUGCUUAUUGACCAUAGAUCAAAACAAUCUCUUCCUUUUCAACCCCAUCUCUGUCAUUGCUCUGCAUCCGUAUACAUAAAGUGAUAUGAGUCGCACUAGAGUUUUUGCUGUGGAGGAUGUUACUAAGUGUAUCAAUUUCUUGCAACCGAAAGCUACAAGUUUUGUUAGGUUCCCAAAAGAUACCGAUGAUGAUGGCAAUAGAAUUAACAGACUUUGACAAUAAUAUACUCUUAGAAUUUCAAGAUACUGAAAAAUGGGGGCAAGUUUGGAGUCUUGUUUGCACAGCUGCCUCAGAUGAUAGUGCCGGUGCAGCUUUAAUUCUUUUAUCAUUGCCAACUUCCCCACAUGUUUCUCUCAGCAUCCUUCCUUCGAAAAUUCCUCUUCGUUGAAUGAAAAAUAAACCAGUGCGAGUAUUUCGAGAUUGUGAAAUCUCUCCAGUACGUUCCAGAUUGGAAAACAAGCUGAGUCAUCUCCGGCAAUCUCUAGUUGUUUAAGACUGCCAAAAAGGUGUUGUGGGAAAUCGGCCUGCAAAAUCAUCUUCACAUCUUUUCCACUUAGUGAUAGUUCCUUCAAGUUGGGUACGAUCUGAUCAUCAUCAAUCAUAAUAACUAAUGAGGUCAAUUGAUGUUCUUUCAAAUGAUUUUGAGUAAUCCAAUCACGCAGUGACUUUAUAGUAUUUAUUUUAUAUUAAUUUUACCCCUAAAAAAAUUGAAUUAGUGAUAAAAUUCAUUAUAUGAUUUUUUUAUAUGUUAGUUUUAGAGGUAAUAAAGAAAUUAGGGAAAAAAACGAAAUUAUUUUAUUGCACGAUAGUAGACUCUUGCUUCUCAGUGCCUUUGCCACUGUAGUCAAGGCAAUGGGCAAACCUCCACACAACCUGGCGACGUCUGUUGCUGUAGAUUCCAACUCACGAUUUUCAACAUCAUCACCGGCCAUCAUCUUAAACAAUCUCCAGGCUUCUUCUUCAUUUAAAUUGUUAAUCAAGAAGUUGUCUUUAGAUCCCAUUUUUAAGAGGACGCCACGAUCUCUUGCUGUCAGCAGUAGUUUGCAGCCUUUAUGAUCUUCUCCAAAAGGAAUUCCAACUGUCUCCAAGUCAAGGUGCUUCCAGAUGUUAUCUAAAACCACAAGGAUCUUCUUCUCAUUUCUCAAUCGCUCAAAUAGUUUACAUGCUCUUCUAGAUUCAACUUCCUCGUGCAACUCCAGGCCCAACUUCUCGGCAAUUUCCUGUUGAAUCCUUUUUAUGUCUGGAAUUUGGGAAACCUCUGAAAAGACCACCAUAUCAAAGAGCUCGUCUUCCAUAGCUUGCCUGGCGACCUUCUUCACCAGUGUCGUCUUUCCAAUGCCGCCCAUGCCGUACACCCCAAUGAUGCUGACACUAACAUCGAUCAAUGCGUUUUUUACAACUGACUUCAUCAACAAAGCUUUUGUGAAUAUGCGUUACAUUACAACUGCGAUAUCCUUUCACUGUAUAUUCAUACAGUGGCAGGCCAUGUGACGUUGUGACCCAUGUGCUAGCUUUCACUAUUCAUAUUAUUUUUUUACACGGUGUUUAACAAAAUCUUCACGUAAAGAUUUCAGACGCGUGAUCCUAAUUCAGUAUGCAUUAUUUAUUUAUAAAAUGAAAAUAAAAAGAUAAAAGGAUGUGACUUAACUUGCUAUCAGUGCGGAUCCAGGACUUAAUAUUAUUUCGGGUUAAAUUUUAUAUUUUAAAAUUUAUAUUUUGAAGUGAACAUAAAAAUUUAUAAGUAGAAAGAAGUAUAUUAAAUGAGGGGAGAUAUGGAGAGCUUUAUCCCUAUGAAUAUGUAUUAUAAACGAAAAUAAUUGUAAGAAAAGAGUAGAAACCAAAAGGCAAUUCAAAUAUCAAAACAUUAUUUUUCAAUUAUGGAAUCCGAUAUUGCAACCUAUAAUAACAUGUAAUUAUAUAAGGAUUAAUAAAUCAAUUAAGAAUUUCAAACUAAAUUAGAUCAGUACAUGUGAUUAAAAUUAAUUAAAGAUUACAAGUAAAACUUUUUUGUUUGAAGUCAAGUACUAAAUUACCAAGCUUAAAUAAAUUUAAAAAAUUAAAAUUCAUUCAUUCUUUCGAAUUAUAAAAGUAUUAUUAAUAAAAAAUUUAGUAAUAAACUAAAUUCAAUUCAACAAAAAGUUAUUUGGAUAUCGUUGUUUCAUUGCCAGUGCACUAACUUUCUUUAUAGAAGUAGAUGUUGAUGAUUCUUCUAUUAAAGUUCCUCAAAAUACCUAAAUUUUAUUUUCUAACUUCUUCUCGUAGUUAAUGUAACUAAUAAAUAGAAUCUAAAAAAUCACAUAAAAUGUUUAUGAAAAUGUUGAUAAUUGUUACUAUUUAUUGUUUUCGUAAGUACUUUUAAUGCUAGUGACGAUGUUAUAUUACAUUGAUUUAUAUUUUUUUUCAAUUAGAAGUUUUUUAAAAUAAAUUAAAGCGAUAAUAAUACUUUAGCUCCUAAUGUUUUCAAUCUAUCCACUAAGUAUAUAAUUUAAUCAUUUUAUAAAAUAAGUCACUAAUUUCAAUUGGAAAUAAUACAAUUUAAUUAGGGAUAUAUUUGAAUAUAAAAUAAUAGCCCAAUUGUUAUACUAAAUUGAUGAAAAUAUAAGGGUAAUUGAGUUAGGGAAAUAUUUGAAUAUAAAGUAAAAACUCUAUUGUUAAACUAAAUUGAUGAAAACAUAAGGAUACUUGAGUUAGGGACAUAUAUGAAAACAAAAUAAAAACUCUAUUUUUAUAAAAAAAUUAUAAGAAAACAAGGUGUAUAAAUGAUUUUUUCUGUGCUAGACCAAGCUACAACCCAGUCUAGCCCAACUGUAGGUCCGCCACUACUUGCUAUUUACAUACAGACAUGUAGCCCUUAUUCUAAUAUCUAUAGGAAAAGACACUUAUACUCCAAGAUUUGAAGAAAUGGUCACGUAGAUCUCUAAGUUUUCAGUAACCAAAAUUUCUUUUUGACUAUAAUACUUUUUGUACAUAGUAAAUAAAAAAUGACUUUAAGAUUUUUUUUAAUAAAUAUAAAUAUAACUUAAAUAGUUUAAUCUGUCUAAUAGACUAAUAAUAUUAGAAUAUUUUUAAUAUAUAAAAUAUUUUUUAAAUAAAAACAUUAUAUUUAUUUUAAUAAUAUAUUUUUAUUUAUCAUAAAAAUAUCAAAUAAAUCAUUGGGGUUAAAUAGAAUUUAAAAUUAAUAAAACACAUCUCAUUAAUAAAAUAUAUCUCAUGUAGUAAUAAUAUUGAAAUUAUUUUAUAUAAUAUUUAAAAAAUUUAUAAAAUUUAUAAAAUUUAUAAAAUUUAUUUUAAUAUUAUGUUCUUAUUUAUUAUAAAAUUUAGUCUAAUAUAAUAUAAGAUUGUUAAGUAUAUAAAUAUUUUCCUAAAUUGAAGUUGUUUUAAAAUGUUAAUAUUUUAUGUUUAUUUCAAUAUUAUAUUUCUAUUUAUUAUAAAACAUAGGAGUCAAUUUUUUUGAGUUAAUAGAGUCAAAUGUAUUAUAGUCGAAAGAGGUAUUGGUAUUCCUUAUUAAAAAUUUAGGGGUCUACAUGACUAUUUGCCAAACCUUAGGUGUAACGUCCUUUUCUCCAAAAUUGAUUCUCUAUAGGUAUUUCAUGAAGGAAAAUGAUAUUUACAAUGAAUCAAACCCCGGACUAGUUAAAAUGCAUUAUUUCAGCUUAAAUAAUGGUAAAUAUUUGUUCAGUCUCUAUAUUUUGAAUUAAGUACCGUUUAGUCCCUCAAGACACCUUUGUCAGUAAGCACAAUAUAAUCCUACCCUUACUUUUUCUUUGAUUUUAUAAUAACAUGCUUGCAACAAUAUUCUUAGAUAUGUUAAUGUAAAGAAAAAUUUAAAUUUAUCAAAUCAGCCUUAAAAGUAAAAUACAAAUUAGUUGUUAUUAUUAUUAAUAAAAUAAUAAAAUAAUAAAAUAAUAAAAUAAUAAUAACAAUAAUUAACAUUAAUUAAAAUAAUAAAGUUAAUAUAUUAUAUAACAAAAAAAACAAUAUUUACAUUUAUCAAAUUUUCAUGUGUUUAAAAAAAAUUAUGUGAUAUUACAUUAUUAUCUUUACACAAUCAAUCAUUUUUAUGAUCAAGUUAGGCUAAUGGAUCAAGCUUUAAAAAAUUUAAAACAAUAGGAGUUAUAUAAAUAAAUAUUUAAAAAAUUUUGUUUUAUGAUAUUAUAAUAAACAGUAAAGAUUUAAGUCUUAAUAACCAAUUGAACACAUCUCAACCGUUGACAGUAGCGGCUCGACCUCUAGGCAACUUAAGCGGUUGUCUAGAGCCCCGCUUUACAUUAAGGUCCUAUGAAAUGAUUAUUUUGUAUAUAAAAGGGAAAAGUGAAUUUAAAAGUCAUUACUAUGCAUUUAAUUUGUUAUUAUUUUGUAAUUAUCUUUUUCUAAAUAAACUAUCAAAUUCCUAUAAAGUUUAUUUAAUGUAGUACUUAGUAGUUUUAAUUCCUACAAAACCGAUAAAUUAAUAGUUUCAAUCCUACAAAUUCUCUAUUUAAUUGUUAGAAUUAAUAUGUUAUAAUUAAAAAGUUUUAUAUUCAUUUUAAACCUCUAUAAAAGCCCCACAUUUUAUUACUUAUCUAUUAAAUUUUUCCUCUAAUAAUCAAGACACGAUAUGUUGUUAGUGUUUGAGAGAAAGAAAGACAGAGAUGGAAAAAAUCAUGCUUCCUCUACUUUCCACUCAAGAAGAAAAAAAAAAAUCUAAUAAUUUUCUCUAUACUCUAUGGCUAUUGGUCAUUACUUAAAUCCUCAAAUAAUUAAUAUAAAUAUAAAGUUAAUUCAUGAUUUCAUCUCAAAUUCCAGAUUUUAUCUUUUUAUUAUUCUCUUAAUUAGUUGUGUUAUUUACUUGUUCUUAUUUUUUUUCAAUAUAUUCUUUUAUUCAUCUACUUUUUUUUGUAUGCUUGUUUUAUCUAUUUUGAAAUAAAAUUAUAUCGAAAAACUUUAGAAAAUAGAAAAAUUAGUUUAAUCUAGAAAAGGAGUAGUAAAAAAGAUGUAAUUUGAGUUGAAGAACAAUAAGUGAAAAUAUUAUAAUUGAAUUAAAAUUUAAUAGAUAACCCUAAUUUUUUUAUAAGAACUAAUUAAAAUCAUUUGCCUAGGGCCCCAAAUAUGGUUGAGUCGGCCCUGACCGUUGAACACUUUAGCUAUUAGAUUCAUCAGUUGAAUUAGAAAAAUAUAAAAUUUGGGGUACCGUGCAACUGUUGCAAGGUAGGCGGACACGUUAUAUUUAAUAUAGAAUAAAUAAACUAAAUAUGUGUAAAGAAUAUAGGUUAUUAACCUUGCAAUACUUCAAAAAAUUAUAAAAUAAAAAAGGUGAAAUUUCAAAAUAAGGAACUGUAAAAAGUAUUAGGUUCUAAAAUUUUAUUAUUUUAAUAUUACAAAACUUUACUUUUUUAUAACAUUUUUGUUUUUAAUAUUAGUUGACAUGUUAGUUUAUUUGUAUAUAAAAUAUGUUAAUUUACCUAUAAAAUACUAAUAUUACUCUUGAAAUUUAAGGAAGCCAUUUUAAUUUUUUAAAAUUUUAAAUGUAGCCCAACAAAGUCAUAGAAAUAUAAAUAAAGAAUAGCAUAAAAGGAAGUUAGUUUAAUUUUUUGAAGAAUACUUCAAAAGCAUUUGAGUUUUAUGUUUCUUGAGAAUUAUACCUUUUUGUUUUUUAGAUAUUUGAGCUUGUGAAUCUUGUUGUAAUGAUAAUUUAUUAUUUAUUCUUGAUUAAAAAUAAUUGAAUAGUAAAUUUAUUGGUUUCUAAUUACUCUUUUAAAUGUAGGGCGAUUGCUUAAUUUUUAUUAUGUUACCCUAAAUUUUUUGAUGAUGGCUAAUCAACCACUGCAAAAGACUCUACCAUGAUUAUUUUUACUUUCUCUACAUCCCUCUAGACCAUCAUCACUCAAAGAAUUAAGAGUCCAUUUGGCAUACUGUAUUAUAUUAUACUGUAUUGCAUUAUUUAAUAUAGGUAUAUUGUAUUAUGUUAUAUUACAUUAGUACUAAAUUAUAAUAAUAUUUGUACAACAUUUGGUAAUUGGUAUUACAUUGUACUGCAUUAAUUUUAUAUUAAUAUUAUACUAACAUUAUUUAAAUUUAUUAUUAAUUAUAUUAAAUUAUUAUUUUUAUAUAAAUAUAAUAUGAUAUAAUAAAAUAAUAUGAUAGUAUAAUUUAAUUUUAUAUUUUUAUUUAUUAUUAUAAUAAAUAAAAAUAUAAUAAAAAUAUAUUUAAUGCUUAAUUAAGGUAAAAUAAUAAUAAUAACAAUAGUAUUACUUUAAACAAAAAAAUCUAUAAAGUUUAAAGAUGAUGAUGAUGAUGUUGACGACAUUAAUAAUAACAUAACAAUUAAAAUAAUAAAACAAAUAAAUUUUAAUGAUAUUAAUAUUAAUAAAAUAAUAAUAACAAUAAUUAAAAUAAUAAAAUUAAUAUAUUUUAAUAAUAGUAAUAAAAAUAAUAUUAAUGACAGUAAUAAAAUUAAUAAAUAAUAAUAAUGACUUAAUUAAAAAUAAUCAUAAUAAUUAAAAUAAUAAAUUUUGAUGAUAAUAAUAAUAAUAUUAUUAUUAUUCUUAUUAAUAUAAUAAUAAUGACAUUAAUAAAUAAUACUAAUAAUAACAGUCAAAUGUUUUUGAAAAACCAUUUUAUCCCAAAAAAAGGGACUUAUAUAUAAAAUUUUGUAACUUCUAAUGUCUAUUCAAUUUUUUCAUAAAAUAUAAGGUAGUGCAGUGUAAUUAAUAAAAAAGACAAAAUUCGGUGGUAUGCUGCAAUUGUUGCAACAUAGUUUCAUCUUUAUUUGUGAUCCUAAAGUUUGAGAUAUGUGAUCCUUAUUCUAUUGUGUCAAUUAUAGUCCAGUCCAAUGCCGCCAUCAUUAUCGAACAGUCGAUAUCCAACACUUGCACGAAGAUUCCAAGAAGUUGUGUGGCUGCCGACUUUUAAAUGCUAAGCCUUAUUGUGUCGAAGAUACACAAAACAGAGCAGUCCAGGUAAUUGCCAAAACUUAGAACUAAACAGUAGCUUAGUCAGAAAAUCAAACAAGUACCAAUAAAAUGACUGAUAAAAAUAUAAAGAAAUCAGUCAAAUCACGAAGAUUGAAGAGUAAAUCAAUGGUUUUAGAUUUUUAUUUUUUUUUUUAGAUAAUAGAUAUUAUUUUGAUGAAUUUUUUAAUAUUAGAAUAAUGUUAGGAAUUCCAAUAGUAGAAUUCUAGCUUAAGACCCAAUUAUUAUGUGUCAUUUUUUUAUUGGAUAAUGAAUUUCAUAACUAAUAAAAUUAAUAUUUCGAUCAUUUAAUAAAUGACUACCAUAUUAGUUGAGACUCAAUUAUUAGGAUCAUUAACAUUGCUCUUAGUAUUAAAUUGGACAUCUUAUCCAAAUCAGAUUAAAAAUCAAAUUAGAUUUUAAGCUUUUAUUCAACAUCUCCUUUUUUUUUUUUUUUUUUGGUCUAUUUGAAGUGAACAAAAUAAAAAUACAUUAGGGUCAACGACUGGGCAAUUGAUAGUCAAGUAUUUUGUUGUUUUUGCUACCUUGAAUUAAAUUUUCUCAAUUAGAUCAACAAGCAUUAAGCUUGAAUUAAAUUAUGCAAGGUUCAUUUCUUUUGUUUGAUGCAAAAAAAGAAAAAAAAGAAAAAAAAAUGUUUACAUUCUUGGCGACUUGAGUAGAAAUAAGCGUUUUGAUAUCAUAAGGUUCAUUCAAUGAGUUCAUUCUUCCCAUUUUGAUCUCUUUUUCUUUCAUAGACAUUUCUUUUUCAUUUAACCCCAUUACAACAUUUCUAAGACCCUUAGAUUUUUGCAUUUAAUUCAUGUUUUAUGGAUUGAGAUGUGAUAUAUGAGCAAGCUCAUGAUAAUAGCAUUCUUUGAUUUGAUUUGAGUGCAUAAAUGAUACCUUAAACACUUUGAGUACAUGGAGUGAAGUUAAUGAGAGGGCUAUUAAAUCUUGUUGCACUUGAAUUUUGAAUGGAUAUUUGAUAACUCUAGGAAAUGAGAGUUAUUACAUCAAUUCUAGACUUGAAUCAAGGUCACUUAGAGAACAAAUAAAGUGUUUUUAUUACAUUUUGGGUACCUUUUUGCAUAAACAUUCAUUUUAGUUGAGUCUAAUAAAUUUUGCUUGAAUCAUAGUAAUUUGUGCUAAAAACAGGUUUUAAAUUGUAGGUUUUAAAUUCGUGAGAGGAUGUUGAGGCAUUAGAAGAGCAAGAGGAGGAAGGAAGUUGGCCACAAAAGAAGUAAAGCACAAUCGGGAAUAAAACAGUAUUGUAGCAGCUGUUAGAGCAACCAGUGCUAUAACAAUCUUGGAGCAAUGCGGGAGAAAACUUAGGCGCGAGUCAGCCACAAAAUCGUGAUCUGCAUGUUUCCUAAUUCAAGCAUAUGCACGCUCAUAGGCUUUGGUUUAACCUAAUUUGCAAUAUAAAAAAGAGGCGUGCAGCACAUAGAAAGGCGGCAAGGAAUUAUCAUAAAAAAUAAUUACAAAGGCAAGAAGAAGGAGAUCAAGAUUAAAGAGUGCUAUUCGGAAACAAAAGGAGAGAGCCGUGCAGAAUUAUUUGCCUUUCAUCGUGCUCAACUUAUAUUUUCUCUUUUUCCUUGAAUUGUUGGGAUGUAUUCCGAGUUCAACAUAUUUGUGUUUAUUUUUCUCAUCCAGAUUAUGAACUAAAUUUACUUGUGGUUGAGUGAAAAAUAAUCCAAUGGGUUCUUGACUAUUCUUUUAUGUUGUUAUGGUAAUGUUGUAGCAUUAUACUCUAGUAGUUUUUAUGAAUACAACUGUUGUUUCGGUUCACCACCCAUUUAAUAGUUUCAGUUAAGAUAGAGCAGCAAAAGGGCAUGUCUUAGCGGACAUUAUUAGAGUAUUACUUGUUCUUAAGUCGAGUUUCCUGGAAUAUGUUAUCUUGAAUCCCAUAAGGGCAAUACUUGAAGUUAAGAUUUGUGACACUCUAGACAUAGGUGUUCACCUUGUAGGGUAGAGAGAUUAAAGGUUAUAAUGCCAUACCAUAAAUAUAUGAGCAACUGGUCAUUGUUAGUAGAUUUAAAAGUAUGAAAUUUCCAACAUGCGAUAGCUGCGGAUGCAGAUUUAUUCUACCCAUUGCUGCAGCACUUAUUGAAACAAUUGGUGCUAAUUUGGUAAACAACAGUCACCCCAUUAGGAGAGUUUGAUCAUUCAACUACUAUAUUUUCAAUUGAAUCUUAGACACAUUUAACUUAGUUUACUUCAUUACAGUAUUGUUUUAUUUUCAUCUCUCAUAAUUAUUAGUUACAGCAGAAUUAUUUGACAAUUGUUUGUUUCGAUCUUUAAUUGAUUUGCACUAUUGUGAUUGUUUUAGCAUUUUGAGUAACAGCAAUCCCUGUGGAGACGAUCUUGAAUACUCAUCACUUUAUUACUUGUUGUGUAUACUUGCACAUUGGCAUUGAUAAUAAUUGCUUAUAGAAAUUAACCAACAAGUUUUUGGCGCCGUUGCUGGGGAUUGAUUGUUUAUUUUUGAAGUGUGAAGUAAAUCUUGAUAGCGCCAAAUCUGAUUUGAUUUAUUCUAUUUAUUGGCAGAUCGGUACAUGCAUGUGUAAAGACAAAUCUGUGGUAUUCUAAUUCGAUCCUGAGAUUGAAAGGACUGUCAGGAGAUUACGAAGAGAACAAAGGAAUUCAGAAAUUGCUUCAAGCAUGAAUAAUUUACAAGAUGCAGGAAAUUUGAAUCCUCACGGGCCCUUACAACCAGUGAACAUUCAAGAAGAGCAGAAUGACCAUGCUAACGGGAGACAGCCAGGCAAUAACAAUAUUAUUUACAUGGCUGAUGACAGAGACAGAGCUAUAAGAGACUAUGUUGUGCUAACUCCUCAAGUUAUAUAUCCUGGCAUCAUCAGACCUGAAGUAGACGCUGCCAAUUUUGAGUUGAAGCCAGUGAUGUUUCAAAUGUUGCAAACUGUUGGGCAUUUUAUUGGAUUACCAAAUGAAGAUCCUCAUCUCCAUCUUAAAUUGUUCUUGGAAGUAAGUGAUGCUUUCAAGAUUGCUGAAGCAACACAAGAUGCCUUAAGGCUGCGGCUUUUCCCUUAUUCCUUAAGAGAUCGAGCAAGAGUAUGGUUAAAUUCGUUACCAUCUGAUUCCAUCACUACAUGGAAUGAAUUGGCUGAUAAAUUCUUAAUGAAAUAUUUCCCACCGACAAAAAAAUGCGAAGUUGAGGAAUGAGAUUACUUCCUUCCAUCAACUUGAAGAUGAAAGUUUGUACGAGGCUUGGGAAAGAUUCAAGGAAUUGCUCAGAAGGUGUCCUCAUCAUGGUAUCCCUUGUUGCAUUCAAUUGGAAACUUUUUACAAUGGGUUGAAUCCAAGUACAAGGUUAAUGGUGGAUGCUUCAGCAAAUGGAGCUCUGUUAUCCAAAUCUUACACUGAAGCCUAUGAAAUUCUGGAAAGAAUUGCCAACAAUAAUUACCAGUGGCCUUCAGCCAGGCAACCAGCAGCAAGAGGAUCAGCAGGGGUACAUAACAUUGAAACAAUUACAGCUUUAUCAGCUCAAGUAACCUCAUUGACUAACAUGGUAAAAGCCAUGACAGCUGCUCCAGCAACAGUAAAGCAAGUUACUGAACUUUCUUGUGUCUACUGUGGUGAAGAACAUGAUUUUGAUAAUUGUCUUGGAAAUCCAGCCUCAGUAAACUAUGUGGGUAACUUCAAUCGACAACCUCAGAACAACCCAUAUUCAAAUACUUACAACCCAAGCUGGAAACAACACCCAAAUUUCUCAUGGAGCAGUCAAAAUCGAAAUGCUCCAGCAUUGAAUGGACUAAGUACAAACACACAACCACUUAGUUUUCAUUAGCAAAGUCAAGGGCAAAAGCAUAUUAGUCAGGAUCCAAUCACUUCACUAGAAACACUGAUUAAGGAGUAUAUUGCAAAGAAUGAAGCAAUUGUGCAAAGUCAAGCUGUAUCUUUAAGAAACCUUGAGAACCAAAUGGGACAACUAGCUACAGCAAUGAGCAGCAGAACUCAAGGAAGCCAACCUAGCAACACAGAAGACCCUAGGAGAGAGGGCAAAAAAGAAGUUACAACACCAGUAGUUACAACUUGCACAAAAUCAAACAAACAAAGUUUAAUAUCCCCUGAAGUUACCCAGCAGUUUAGACAUCCACCACCUUUCCUACAAAGGUUCCAGAAGCAAAAAUAAGACAAGCAGUUCAGCAAAUUCCUGGAAGUGCUGAAAUAAUUGCACAUAAACAUACAUUUUGUGGAAGAUUUGGAGCAAACGCCAAAUUAUGUUAAAUUUCUAAAAGAUAUCUUGGCACGAAAAAGAAGGCUGGGAGAGUUUGAAACUGUUGCUUUAACACAAGAAAGCAGUCAUAUGCUCCAGAGCAAAAUUCCCACAAAAUUGAAAGAUCCAGGGAGUUUUACAAUACCUUGUUCUAUAGGAACUAGAUAUGCUGGCAGAGCACUUUGUGACUUGGGAGCUAGUAUUAAUCUGAUGCCAUUAUCUGUAUUUAAGCAACUGGGAGUAAGGGAGUGCAGACCAACAACAGUCACUCUGCAAUUAGCUGACAGAUCUCAUGCAUACCCUGAAGGAAAGAUAGAGGAUGUAUUGGUGAAGGUUGACAAAUUCAUCUUUCCAGUGGAUUUCAUUGUGUUGGACUUUGAAGCCGACAAAGAGGUACCCAUUAUACUUGGAAGACCUUUUCUAGCAACUGGAAAAACUCUGAUAGAUGUGCAGAAAGGAGAGCUCACCAUGAGAGUGAAUGAUCAGCAAGUCACAUUUAAUGUGCUAGAGGCAAUGAGAAACCCUAGAAGAUUGUAAUUUCCUAAGUGUAGUGGAUCUUGUUGUAGCAGACAGAAUGGACAGAUGCUGCAGUAAUAUACUUGACAAAGUCACCACCUUUGAGGAUGUUGAAGAGGAAGAUGUUGCAGCAAUCCAAACAGAUUGGAUGGACAAACAACAAUCUGAUAGGUACAACAGGUUUAUUGAACACCUGAAUCUUUUAGACAUGGAAGUAAAAACAACUUUACCAUCUAUUGAAUCACCUCAUAAUUUUGAGUUAAAAUUGUUACCUUCACAUUUAAAGUAUGCUUAUCUUGGUCAAAACAACACACUCCCUGUAAUCAUUUCUUCUACUUUGGAUGCAGGUCAAGAACAUAGUUUAGUAGAUUUGCUGGGAAAAUACAGAAGAGCAAUUGGAUGGACCAUGGCAGAUAUAAGGGGGAUAAGCCCAUCCAUCUGUAUGCAUAAAAUCCUAUUAGAGGAUUGUUCCAGCAAUUCGGUGGAACACCAGAGAAGGCUGAAUCCUAUUAUGAAAGAAGUGGUGAAGAAGGAAAUCAUCAAAUGGCUAGAUGCUGGAAUCAUAUACCCAAUAUCAGACAGUUCAUGGGUAAGCCCAGUUCAGUGUGUUCCAAAGAAAAGAGGGAUAAUAGUAAUGGCUAAUGAGAAUAAUGAACUUAUUCCUACAAGGACAGUGACUGGAUGAAGAGUGUGUAUGGAUUACAAGAAGCUUAACAAAGCCACAAGGAAAGACCAUUUCCCACUUCCAUUCAUAGAUCAGAUGUUGGACAGACUUACUGGAAAACAGUACUACUGUUUCUUAGAUGGGUAUUCAGGCUACAACCAGAUUGCUAUAGUUCCAGAGGAUCAAGAGAAGACUACAUUUACUUGUCCUUAUGGAACAUUUGCCUUCAGAAGAAUGCCAUUUGGGCUAUGCAAUGCUCCAGCAACUUUUCAGAUAUGCAUGAUGUCUAUAUUUUCUAAUAUGGUAGAGCAAACUUUGGAAGUUUUCAUGGAUGACUUCUCAGUUUUUGGAGAAACAUACAAUGAUUGUUUACACAACUUGGAAGAAGUUCUUAAAAGAUGUGAGAUGACCAACUUAGUACUCAAUUGGGAAAAGUGCCAUUUCAUGGUGCAAGAAGGAAUAGUGCUGGGUCACAAGAUAUCCAAGGAUGGUAUUGAGGUAAACAAAGCCAAGUUAGAGGUAAUAGAUAAACUGCCACCUCCAACUUCAGCAAAGGGUGUUAGGAGUUUUUUGGGUCAUGCUGGAUUCUACAGAAGAUUCAUUAAGAAUUUCUCCAAUGUAGCUAAACCUCUGUGUUCAUUGCUGGAGCAUAACAAACCAUUUCACUUUGAUACAGAGUGCCUUAAGGCAUUUGGAGAAUUAAAGAAAGCUCUUAUCAUUGCUCCAGUAGUUAUAUCUCCAUAGUGGACUUUACCAUUUGAAUUGAUGUGUGAUGCUAGUGAUCAUUCUGUGGGGGCAGUAUUAGGGCAAAGAAAGGAUAAGGUUUUUCAUUCCAUAUACUAUGCAAGCAAAACGUUCACUCCAACUCAGAUCAAUUACACAACUACAGAGAAAGAGUUGCUAGUAGUAGUUUUACUUUUGACAAAUUCAGAGCUUACCUGGUGGGUACCAAAGUAACUGUUUACACAAACCAUGCAGCCAUCAAAUAUUUAAUUUCAAAGAAGGAUGCCAAACCAAGAUUAAUCAGAUGGAUCUUAUUGCUUCAAGAAUUUGAUCUGGAAAUUAAAGAUAGAAAGGGGACUAAGAAUCAAGUGGCAGACCACUUGUCACGGUUGGAAUCAGACACUAGUACAUUGACAAGGAAGGACAUCACCGAAACUUUUUCUGAUGAACAGUUGUUGGUAAUACAGCAAGCACAGAUGCUGCAGCAGUCAGAAUCUCCAUGGUAUGCAGACUUUGCUAACUACUUAGUAAGUGGGUUGCUACCACCUGAGCUGAAGUUUUAAGAGAAAAAUAAAUUUCUUCAUGAUGUUAGAAGUUAUCAGUGGGAUGACUCACAUUUAUAUAAGCUAUGCUCAGAUCAAGUAAUAAGAAGAUGUGUUGCAGCAGAAGAAAUACCUCAUAUACUGGAGUCAUGUCAUGCUGCAGCAUAUGGAGGAUAUUUUGGUGGUCACAGAGCAACUGCCAAAGUUAUGCAAUCAGGUUAUUAUUGGCCCACUAUCUUUAAAGAUGCUUAUGAAUUUGUUAAAUGUUGUGAUAUGUGUCAAAGGACAGGGAACAUAACUAGCAGACAUGAGAUGCCUUUGACUAACAUAUUGGAAGUGGAAGUUUUUUAUGUUUGGGAAAUAGAUUUCAUGGGACCUUUUCCCCCAUCCUUUGGGAACUUAUAUAUCAUUGUUGCUGUAGAUUAUGUCUCCAAGUGGGUAGAAGCUGCAGCAUUACCUACCAAUGAUGCUAAAACAGUGGUGACUUUUCUUCAAAAAAAUGUUUUCUCUAGGUUUGGCACUCCUAGAGCAAUUAUUAGUGAUGAAGGCACACAUUUUUGCAACAAAAUCUUUGCUGCAGCAAUGAUGAAAUAUGGAGUCAGACACAAGAUAGCAACAGCAUAUCACCCACAAUCCAAUGGUCAGGCUGAAGUGUCCAACAGAGAAAUUAAAAAGAUCUUAGAAAAAGUGGUGAACCCAAAAAGGAAGGAUUGGUCUUUACAUUUGCAUGACUCUCUAUGGGCCUACAGAACAACAUACAAAACUCCACUCGACAUGUCUCCUUACCGAAUUGUUUAUGGCAAAGCAUGUCAUUUGCCACUAGAGCUAGAGUACAAAGCCCAUUGGGCAUUAAAGAAAUUAAAUUAGGAUAUGCAUGCUGCAGCAGGGCAAAGGAAACUUCAACUUUGUGAGCUUGAUGAAUUACGGCUGUUUUCAUAUGACAAUGCAAGAAUCUAUAAAGAGAGAACAAAACACUGGCACGACAAGCAUAUUCAACACAGGAAAUUCACCCCUGGUCAAUUAGUGUUACUCCACAAUACAAGACUAAGAUUAUUUCCAGGAAAGCUCAAGUCAAGAUGGUCUGGCCCGUUUAAGUUGUUAAAAUCUUACCUUCAUGGAGCUGUUGAUCUUCUAGAUGAACAAACAGGCCACGAGUUCAAGGUUAAUGGACACAGGGUUAAGCAUUACAUACAUCCAGCAGCAGAAUGUUCAAAGGAGGUGUUACUCCUUAAAGAACCUAGCUAUUGAACAAAGAAGGAAGGUCAUGCUGAAGGACCUUAAAUCAAGCGCUUCAUGGGAGGCAGCCCAUUGAGGAGAUAGCCACUUCAAACCAAGUUUGAUAGCCUUUGGUUUUGUAGACAGCUUUCUCUCUUUGCCAUCUUAUUUAAUUUCUGUUUUUCUAUGAUUAGCCCUUAUUUUCAUCCAUUUACAUUAUUGCAUUCUUUACUUUCACUUUAAUUUGCUAUAUCUAUUUCUUUUAAUAAAUUUUAGACUUAAUGUUAGUAAGUGUGAUAAUUGAAUUUCAUAUUGACAAGUGAGAGUGAAUGGUGGCAGAAUUCAGAGGUGAAUCACGUGUUAGAAGCUUUUAGUGGGGAGUCUGUAUCCGUUGUUAGAAUAAGCGAAUGGGUGCUGCAGCAGCUAAUUUUACCGUUACAGUAAAUUAAAAGCUGGAGCCUUUCACUUACCGUUGGAGAUAAAAUCGUGACAGAUGGAUGCAUGGACAUGGAUAGAAAAUUGAGGAAACCAAUCUAUGAAAUUAAAGCUUUAAUUUCAUUGGCCGAUAAUUUUGGGGAUAUGGACAUUUAAUUCAAAUAUUUUAUUCCCUCAAUUAUCUCUCGUUACCGUAUUUAUCUUCAAAUUAAAGUCCAUUAUAAAAAAGAAUCACUGUGCUUAGUGCUCUACGCCACUAUUCCCCAUCUCCUUCGCAAAGACAACUCUAAAAACUCUUAAACUCUUUUUCUCUUUUUAUUCUCAGGAACAGUAGCUUCAAUUUGUUAUUGCUACAGCAAUGCCGAGAUACAAGAAAAUAGUCAGUCGCCUCAAAGAUCUAUCACGAUUCCAGAGUUACCACGCUGAAGAAAAAUAUGAAGAAUUCAUAGAGCCACGUCGGAUUCUGGAAGAAAAAAGGGUUUCAAUUCCCAGACCAACUCACGGGAAUUGUGCAAACCAUUCAUAAUGCUAUAGCAAAGCGAGGAUGGUUAGAGUUUUGCAACCACCCUCGCGAUCCUGUGUUGCCUGUAGUCAAAGAAUUUUACGCCAAUUUGGUGUUCGUCUUGACGCUAGAGAUGAACAUGUAAAAAAUGAUGGUGCCUGUACGGCACGUACCAUUGAGAGAGUUGCUGGUGAGAGUGCUGGAACAACCACUGAACCAGCUGCUAUCACUGGAGCAAGACGAGCCAUUGGUUUAGAACAGACUAUCCAGGUACUCAGCAAUAGUAUAACUCAAUGUGUGGAAGCUCAACAGAGGGAAAAUGGUCGAUUUUGGAGCUAUCUACAGCACUUGGAUAACCAACUACACCAAUUUGAUCUGUACAUGAAACGCACUCACUGGAACUUCCCUGAUGCACUGCUCCAGCAGUUCCAUUUUGCCAUAAACACCACAGGUGCUCCAGCAGCAGCCAGUGAAGAAGCCACUCCUUCAGAUGAACCAGCAGAGGACGCUGCCACUGAGCUACAAGCAGCAGUCGACUCAGAAGAGGCUGAACCGUCUGAUCCACCUGAGGACGAAGGUGACAAGUCUGAGACUGAUAGCUCACCCUCAGAGGCAGAGGAUAACUCAGAGAAAGAAAGUGAGGAACCAACCAUCCCAAGCUAGCCCAAAACUAGAAAAAAGCAUAUUAUUCAAGAAGAAGAAGAGGAAGACCUUGAAGAGGAGCUGCCUAUUCCAGUCUUUAAGGGUAAGAGGAAGGAUAAGGGUAAAGCAAAAUUGGCAACCCCUCCAGCCUCUGAAGAUGAAAUGGAGCAAGUCGAUGCUGAGUUGGCUGCUGCAGCAGCCAGAGCUAUGCCUACACCUGAGCAAGCCUAGCAACUACUUGCGGUUAUUGCUGCCAUCACCGCUGAGGGCCAGGCAGCUGAUGCAUUGACUCAAAAGCCUCCACAGCAAACUCCUGACCAGCCUAUCCGCACCAGUCCAAGACAAUCCAGCAAAUGAAAAGGCAGUACGUCUACAGGUACUGCUACAACAACCCCAGCCACCACUCCUCUCACCAGCCCCGCAGCGAAAAAGACAAAGACAUUGCCAGCCACUUCCCCAAAAGCUUCACCAAAGGAUAAGCUGCGCAGUGCGUCCAAGAAGCGCUGAUAGCAUCCUGUCAUGUGCUGCAGUCCCCACCACAGGGGAGUACUCUUUCCUUACUAGUGCAUUAAAAAAAAAAAAUUCAAUUUGUGUGUCAUUGUUAUGUUUGCUUGUGAGGACACAGCAACUCUCAAGUUUGGGGCGGGUUGUGUUCCCAAAUGCAUAUGUUUAUGUUUGUAUGCAUGUGUUUAUGUUUGUGUGGUGUGGAGCUCUAUUAUCUAAUAUUUGUGUAUGGAUUUGAAAGCCUAAUGAAGAUAAAUUGAGUGCUAUUCAAUAUAUAUAUGCCAAGUAGAGAUAGUUAUAGAUGAAAGUGAAAUUCUGUCCCGACACUUAGACUUUGGUUGAAUUGUACGAGACUGUUAGAGCAAAGCCAAAAGAAGAGAAAAGAUCUCAAGUUUGGGGGGGGGGGGUAGAAGCAAGUUUGAAUAACUGUGAUAUCUAUGGAAUACAAUUUGUUCCAAUGACUCAAGUUGCUGAGUAACCAUAUCUGAGUAUGUACCCCAUAUGCAGACUUGUGUUCAAAGGUAGCGAGAGUUAUGAGCAAUGCUGCACCAUAUAUAUAUAUAUAUAUAUAUAAAGAAAUCAUCUGUCUAAGGCAUUGAGUAGUUAGGUCUGUUCAUGAGCCCCAUGUUCAGCCUUGAGUAAAAGAUACUUCUAGAUAAGAUUACCUUACAAUUACUGGUGCAGCAACUCUAAUCUGGGCAUGGUUUGAUUAAUUGGGUGUCAUCAUUACAAUUGAUUGACAUUCACAUGAAAGAUAAAUGUUACAGUGAGGAGGUUAAAUAUUUCCUAGUUUGUCAAUCCUAAAAUAAUCACAGUUGAGUAUGUGAAAGUUAUGAUUACCCCAUUUAUGAAUGAAGUGUUCUCACUGUUGAAAUUCAUGCAAUCCCUUGGUGAUGCUAUAGCAUAUCUAGAAUUCAACCGAAAGAGCACACACACACACUAUGGACAGAAAGAAGCUUAAGUCUAGGACUAAUUUACUAUGGUCAUCUUGCUUGAUUGAGAAUAUGAUCUAAAGGUGGAAGAAUCCUUGCAAAGUUGAUAAAAGAGUUAAAUUUGUGUAAAGUGUUAGUAUGUGUCAUUACUUGAGGACAAGUAAUAGUUUAAGUUUGGGGGUGUGAUAACUCUAGGAAAUGAGAGUUAUUACAUCAAUUCUAGACUUGAAUCAAGGUCACUUAGAGAACAAAUAAGGUGUUUUUAUUACAUUUUGGGUACCUUUUGCAUAAACAUUCAUUUUAGUUGAGUUUAAUAAGUUUUGCUUGAAUCAUAGUAAUUUGUGCUAAAAACAGGUUUUAAAUUGUAGGUUUUAAAUUCGUGAGAGGAUGUUGAGGCAUUAGAAGAGCAAGAGGAGGAAGGAAGUUGGCCACAAAAGAAGUAAAGCACAAUCAGGAAUAAAACAGUGUUGUAGCAGCUGUUAGAGCAACCAGUGCUGUAGCAAUCUGGGAGCAAUGCGGGAGAAAACUUAGGCGCGAGUCAGCCACAAAAUCGUGAUCUGCAUGUUUCCUAAUUCAAGCAUAUGCACGCUCAUGGGCUUUGGUUUAACCUAAUUUACAAUAUAAAAAGGAGGCGUGCACCACAUAGAAAGGCGGCAAGGAAUUAUCAUAAAAAAUAAUUACGAAGGCAAGAAGAAGAAGAUCAAGAUUAAAGAGUGUUAUUCGGAAACAAAAGGAGAGAGUCGUGCAGAAUUAAUAGUUUCAGUUAAGAUAGAGCAGCAAAAGGGCAUGUCUUAGCGGACAUUAUUAGAGUAUUACUUGUUCUUAAGUCGAGUUUCCUGGAUUAGGUUAUCUUGAAUCCCAUAAGGGCAAUACUUGAAGUUAAGAUUUGUGACACUUUAGACAUAGGUGUUCACCUUGUAGGGUAGAGAGAUUAAAGGUUAUAAUGCCAUACCAUAAAUAUAUGAGCAACUGGUCAUUGUUAGUAGAUUUAAAGGUAUGAGAUUUCCAACAUGCGAUAGCUGCGGAUGCAGAUUUAUUCUACCCAUUGCUGCAGCACUUAUUGAAACAACUGGUGCUAAUUUGGUAAACAACAGUCACCCCAUUAGGAGAGUUUGAUCAUUCAACUACUAUAUUCUCAAUUGAAUCUUAGACACAUUUAACUUAGUUUACUUCAUUACAGUAUUGUUUUAUUUUCAUCUCUCAUAAUUAUUAGUUACAGUAGAAUUAUUCGAUAAUUGUUUAUUUCGGUCUUUAAUUGAUUUGCACUAUUGUGAUUGCUUUAGCAUUUUGAGUAACAUCAAUCCCCGUGGAGACGAUCUUGAAUAGUCAUCACUUUAUUACUUGUUGUGUAUACUUGCACAUUGGCAUUGAUAAUAAUUGCUUACAGAAAUUAACCAACAAUAUUCUUGGUGGUUGAUUUUGUUUUUUUAUACUAGCUUAUGAGAUCCUAUGCUUUAAAAUUCUUGUCUCUCGAAUGUUGAUUGAUUUAAAUUCUUGAGGUAUGCUUGCUUAAGAUUAUUUUUGGAUGAGUUGAGAUGAGAAUUGAGUGGAGAUUUGGGAUUAGUCUUGAGUUAUAUGCUUGAGGACAAGCAUUAUCUUGGUGUGGGGGAAUUUGUUAGAGUACAAUUUAUGCACUAGUUUUGCAUUGUUUACCUCCUUUAAUAUCGAUGUUUUGCACUUAAUAAUAGUGAUUUACUUGUGUUUUAUUUUUGUAGGUGCAAUUCGAUUGAUUGGUGCUAAAAUUGAGCUACAAGAUGAUGUUAGAGGAUGAUUGUUUUCCUGGAGAAAUUAUGAGCUUCAGAAGAACUUUGUUGAUAAGGCGUGGGCGCGUGCUGUCAACUAAGGACCUGCAGUUUUUAUUUUAACGUGUUUUGUCUCUUUGUUUAUUUUUGUAAUUUUGAAUUUAAUAUUUAGAUAAUAUUUUAGAUAUUAGUAUUUUAUUUUUGGAAAAACUCUAUAAGAGAAAGGAGACGUGAAAAACAAAGGAGGAUGAGAUUUUUAAAAAAAGAAAAAGAAACCCUAGAUCUAAAUUUUUCUCUUCUCUCUAUGAAGAACUAACCUAUUAUUCUGGUUGAAGGUUAAUAAAGCUUUGAUUCGUCAUUACUGGGAGAUCUUUCUUAUGCUUUAAUUGUUUUAUUACUUUUUGGGUAUUUGUUUAUUCUCUAAAUUAUGGUUAUGAUUAUGUUUGUUAAUUAGAUAAUUGGCCACUAUUUAAUUAUCAACUUAAUCUAUUGUCAAUUAAAAGAUUCAUCGUAUGAAGAUUUUAAUGUUUGUGACAAAUAGCAUAGCAAUGCGUUGUGUUAUGAGAAUAAACAAUCUAAUUUAAAUGAACCAUCGUAUGCGUUUGUUGAUUAGGAUUUGGGUCUCUUUGGUUUUUCAGGUUGUCAAUUGAUUAAACCCUAUGAUCGUAUCUAGGGUUGUCUAUUGAUUAGGGAAAUAACCAAUGGUCGUACCUUGGUUAUCGACUAGUUAAUGAGAGAUUAACUAUUAGAGGGUCUCAGUAGCUAUAAUCGGUCUAUUCAUAAGUAGUAAUGAUUUAUAUUUGAAUCAAUGAUCAGUAGUCGAAUCAAGCUGAGUUAAUUCCUUCAACUAGAGCUUUUCUCAAUUUGAAUUACACAUUUAAUUUGCAUUCUUGUUAUUUUAAUUUGAUUUUUAUUAUUGUCAAAAAUCCCCCCAUUUUGUAUUUUACAUUUUAAAAGGAUUCAAAUAAUUACCGAUCUCUGUGGACACGACCCUGCUCAAUCACUAUACACAAUUUAUUUAGAGUAGGUAUUUAGUUUUGCUGGCUUCGACAACCAUUAAUAUUAAAAAAUAAAUUUAUAUUUAUCAAGUAUAAAAAAUAAAUAGACAAACAAAAAUAAUAUGUUACCUAAAAUAAUGACAAUAUCAAUAUUUAACACUCUAUAAUUUAGUGAUGUGUUGUCCAACUGCCAUACAUUGGUCCCAAACAGAGCCUUAAAUAUCAAAGUCCAAAGUUAUUGUGAUGAUGACUUAUAAUCGCCAAACUUGACAUACGGGUAAUCAUGCAUUAUAAGGUGCUGAUUUCUUACUAUCAGAACCUUAUUUGUCAUCUAUAAAUAAAUAAAUGAUGUGACUUCACGGUUGGCGGGGUCCUUUGUAUCUCCUUUUGCAUCUACUUUUGUUGUUAACAUUACUUUCAAAAGCAGCUCGUUAUGUAUGCAACAUUUCAAAAUUAAUCUAAAAAAAACAAAAAUUAGUUCAGCUGACUAAAUUUGAAAGCAUGGAUUUGCUGUCGAUUAAAAACCGUUUUGUAGGGAAAAUUUUUGGAUUGCAAUUCUCAUAUAAUACAUAGAAUUAUCAUAAUUUAUAAAUUUUAUUUUCGCUUUUCUGUGGUAGUAAGUCAGACUCCUUAGUGACAAUUUAAUUUGAAAAAAUAAAAUCAUAAAUAAGAAUUAUUCGAUAAGAAUUAAAAUAAUUGAUAAAUAUUUGAGACGUGCAAUUUUGGAAGAUUCGAUUUCUAAUAGGAGGGGAAUUUAAAUUUUACAGCCUUUGGUGAGGAAUCCAAAAUGCACAAUUUGAUGAAAAUUAAAUUUCAAUAGAAAUUGAAUUCCCAUAUAUUAGUGAAAACCAAACAACAGAAAAGUGAAAUGAAUUUGAAUUUAUUUCCUUCCUCUCUUCUCCCUCCAACUAAAUACCAUUGAAAUCCAAAGGUAUGGGAUUUGUUUCGGAGUUUAAGAUUGAAAUUAAUCCCAAUUGUUGAUUUGGGACUAGAUAAGAAUUUAUCUUGGAACUCCAAUUCUCCCAAUUAUUUUAGUUGACAAUAUGUUUAACAUUAUUUUUUUAACAUUAUUAAUUGCAUAUUAUUUAAUUGUCAGUAUAUAAUAUUCUUUAAUUUUCUAAUUUAUAGGAUUAGACGCAAAAUUGAUUAUGGCUUUUGAAAUUUAAGUGUUAUGUCAAUUGAAUAGAAAACAUGGAGUAAAAAUUUUGGAUGCUUUUGUUGAUUAUCAAUUUAUGCAUGAAUUUUUGUACAUUUACUUUGGUUUAUUAUUAUUACUUUUAAACAUUUUUAUUAGUUUGGUUUAGGGUCAGUUUGGUAAUCCUGUAGCUUUUACAAUAAUUACAAUUAGCUAUGCUGUAGAAAUUGAUCAAUCGUGAGGAGAAUCAGCUGAACAUUUAGUAAAAUUUAUUUUUAAAAGUACUUUUAGUUUUAAAAACAGUCGUAUGUAUUUCUUAAAUCUUAUUGUUAAACUGGUGCAAGAAUAUAAAUGAUGAAUUGGACAUAAUGCGAAAUAAAAUUUAUUUACAAACAUGUAUAUAAAAUAUUUUUAUUAUGUACAUAUAAUUAUUGAUAACUAAAAUAAAUAUUUUAUAUUAUUAAAUUUUAUUCUCUAUUUUGUUAUCUCAAUAUAAUUGGUAAUAAUAAUAAUCUUUUUAAAGUUAAUGAUUUUAUUUCUUAAUUAAUAAAGAUAAUUUUGGAUUUUUAUUAUAUAAUGAGAAUAUAUAUAUAGAAUUGGAUUAAGUAUAGAAGUGAUUCUCAAAACCAGAUUUUGAAAAACUAUUCAUUCCCUACUUUUCAAAAUCUAAUGUAUGAUGAAAUGAUUUUGCCAAAACUAAUUACUAAAAAAAUUUAUAAAACACUAAGAAUUAACUUUUACUUUUUAAAAUCACUUUUAAGCUUCCCAAAAACAAUCCUAAGGGCCUUUAUUUGGGUGGUGUUGGAACUUGUAACUUUUGGAUCUUUUAGCUUUUAUUGGUUUGACACAACUGUUACACUAAAAAUUAAAUGCAUCUUAAACCCCAAACUUCUUCUUCUUCUUUUUUGAUUGCACAAAAUUAAAAACAAUAGUGAACACAUUCUUUAAUAAACAAUAAGUAAUAACUAAAAUUGCGUUAAAGAAUUUAGUUGAUAUAUAAAUUGAUUUCAAUGUUGUAUAUGCUAAAUUUCUUAAAAGUUUUCUUUCACAAUCUGCUGCAUAGUUUUAUUAGUAUUUUGAAUAAAUAAAAAUAAUUGAUUUAUAUUUUUUUAAAGAAACUUAUUAGGUUCAUGUAAAGAUGUUUUUUUUUUUAUUUUAAAAAAGUGUACAAAGUAAAACUUAAUUUUUUAAAUUUAUUAGAUGAGUGCAUAUAAUAUUUGAGUGUUCAUAGUAAUUUUUAAAGCAUAGAUAGUCGGGCCCUAAUAUUUUUAAUAUACGGAAAUUUUGCUAAUAUGUUAAUGAGAAUUAAAAUGAUAAUUAAGGGAGGCAUUCGAGACAGUCAGGAUAGUUAGGAUGGGACAUCAUUGUGAGCGGUUUGAGAUUGGUCCUAAUUUUGAUCACAAAUAUAUAAACUGGAUGAGUGUAUCCAUACUUACAUUCCAUUUGAUAAUUAAGAUAAAUGUGGAAUUGUCAAAUCCCAAAUCAUCCCAGACCAUUGCCACCAAAGGUACUCUCACUAAUAAUAUCUAAAGAAUAAUCUACAUCUAUUUCAUACUUUUUUUUUAACGGAAAGAGCCCUCAUGUGGCUUGAAAUGUUAUCCUAAAUAAUAUUCAGAAUAUCAUACCAUGAUUGGGUUUGUGACAAACAAAUAUUACAUAGUUGGAAUACGUAGUUACUAGUGUCCCAAUUUAUGCAGUAUCUAUCAUUUAGUGCACAUAUAAAGUAUUAAUCAGCUUAAUUAAUUUAUAAAAUUUAAAUCUAAUUAAUAAGUGACACAUAAAUGCCAAGUGCAAUAUAUGCAAAUCAUGUUUGUCGAUCAUUACAAAACUGGCUCUUGAAAACAAGCAAGAAAGCUUAAUUAAGAACUUAAAACAAAAAGAAUUAGAUCGAGAACAGUCAAGCCUUAUUUUUUCAAGGAUGGAGCUUAUAAAUCUUCAAGUACCAACAUAUGCUUGCCCCAGUUGUUGUUAUUAAAAUUUUAAUAUAUAUAUACACACACACACACACACACACACACAUAAAAAAGUAUGACAUAGCAAAAAUUUGAUGGUACAUAUGUCGGAAUAUACUAGUUCAUGGAUGCAUUUGAUUAUUGUUUCCAUAAAUUUGAACCAAGAAGGAUGACUCGAUAAAAAUUGAUUUUACGGUAUGGUUGAUUUCAAUCUCAUGCACUCAUUUCUUAAGAUAAUCAAAUUUUCUCUGGCAUCUUUUGCAACUGUGGAAAUAUCAAUUAUGAUCAAUCAAAAGGAUUUCAAAAACUUUCAACGAGACAUAUUUAUAAUACAAUAUUGUGAAAAUUACACCAAAAAUUUUAUUUAUUAUAUAUUAUUAUCCAACCAGCACACAAAAAUGAAUUCGUACAAAUCUAAAAUACUUAGCAAUUUUCAAAUAGAAUUUACCAUGUACUACAAGAAAAUAGGGUAUAUGUGACCCCUAAUGUGAAAAUAGGGUAUAUGUGACCCCUAAUAGAAUUUGUUGAACCUAGACCAGACUUAAUAUCCAAUCAAGAAUCUCCAGGAUCUAGCUGAACUCUCUAAUCAAGAUCUAAAGAAUGGUUAAUCAAUUCACAGAAAAGAAUCACCCAGAAACAGUAUGCAAAGAACAACAAAUAUAAGUGGUUCGGCUGAAAGAGCCUACAUCCACUGAAGAACAGACCAACAGCUUUUCACCAUUAACAAAGAACAAGUUACAAGUUUAGAGAUGAAGUUACAAGCAAUACAUUCCCUGAUUUUCCAGUCCUUAAGACUACUUAUACUAGCUUAAAGGCCCUCACAAAGACCCCCUGUCAACCAGCUGUAAUCUAGGUUUGUUAGCUAACAAACCCAGAAUUCUCCCGCCUAUUGUAACUGACUUUAACAGCUUCCAGGACACGUGUUGAAUUCUUACAAACAGCAAGCCCCAAAACGACAUUCUUUCAUGCCGUUCAGAGUAAGUGGAAGCACGUGACAUUUACGUGCUUCACUUAAAGCUUUGGGUGACGACCAAAGUUUGUCAUACAGGCUUGUAUCCUUUACAGCUGACAUGUCGUAUACCAACAUGACCACAAACUGACAUGACGGUUGAUCUUCUGGAAAUCAGUUUAAAGCUCAUACUUUAACAUUCUCCACCUUGAGCUUGAAACUCUCAUGACCUGCUCAUCUUCUCUCCCACCAUCUGUAUUUUAAUUAUCACAGAUGCCAGCCAAAUCCAAACAGAAUUUGAAUUUAGCCCCUGAAAUAGCUUUAGUUAACAUAUCUGCAACAUUGUCAUCUGUAUGGAUUUUCUGAAGCAUCACAGUUGCUUUUGAGACUUCCAGCCUGAUGAAGUGCACCUUAAUGUCAAUGUGUUUGGUUCUUUUAUGGUGAGUUUGAUUCUUACUUAGACAUAUAGCACUUUGGCUAUCACAAUGUAUCACCACAGACCUCUGAUUGACUCCAAGCUCCUUCAACAUACCCUUCAGCCAUAUUGCCUCUUUUAUGGCUUCAGCAUCUUUUAUGGCUUCAGCAGCAGCUGUGUACUUUGCUUCAGUUGUGGACAAAGCCACAACACUUUGUAGUUGUGAUUUCCAGUUUAUUGUGCAGUUGUUGAAUGUGAACAGAUACCCAGUUAGAGACCUUCUUCUAUCCAAGUCUCCUGCAUAAUCAGCAUCCACAUAUCCUACAAUUAAACUGUCAUCUCUUCUCUGUCCCCCAUAUAUCAGACCAUGCCCAGAAGUUCCCCUUAGAUACCUGAGUAUCCACUUUACAGCCUUCCAAUGUUCUUUUUCAGGAUUGGACAUAUACCUACUAACCACACUGACUGCAUGUGCUAUGUCAGGUCUGGUGAGUACCAUAGCAUACAUUAAGCAGCCUACAGAACUUGCAUAAGGAAUUUUCAUCAUUUUAGACUUGUCAGCAUUAGCUUUUGGGCACUGCUGCUCUGAUAAUCUGAAGUGGGCUGGUAAUGGUGUUUGCACUGGUUUGGCAGUAGCCAUGUCAAACUUAUCAAGUACUCUCCUGAUGUAUUCCUCAUGUGUAAGAAACAAGGUGCCAGAUUUCCAAUCUCUGAUUAGUUGCAUUCCAAGUAUUUUCUUAGUUGGUCCCAGAUCCUUCAUCUCAAAUUCACCUUUGAGUUGUUGUUUCAGAACUUUAUUUGUUCCAUGCUCUUACUAGCAAUAAGCAUGUCAUCCACAUAUAGAAUCAGAUAAACCAUUUCCCCUGAUAUCUCUUUGUAAUAAACACAGCAAUCUAGAUUACAUAUUUGAAAACAAAUUUUCAUCAUAAAGCUGUCAAACCUGAGAUACCAUUGUCUUGGAGACUGCUUGAGGCCAUAAAGUGAUUUCUUCAGAAGGCAUACCCAAUCACCAUUUGACUAGUCUUCAAAGCCUUCAGGUUGAGACAUUAUUAUUUGUUCUUCAAGCUCACCAUGUAAAAAUGCAGUCUUAACAUCCAUCUGUUCAAGAUGCAUGCUAUGAACUGCAACCAGUGCUAGGAUCAUUCUUAUUGAGGUAUGCCUAACUACAGGUGAGUAGACUUCUGUAAAAUCUAUCCCUUCCUUCUGUGUGUAGCCUUUGGCAACCAGCCUAGCCUUAUAUCUCAUGGAUUCAAUCCCUGGUAUACCCUGCUCGACCUUGUAAACCCAUUUGCAGCCUACUACCCUUUUGUUUUCUGGUCUUUUUACAAGCUCCCAAGAGUUAUUCUUGUGUAAUGACUCCAUUUCAUCCUUCAUAGCUUUUAUCCACUUGUCUGCAUCUUUUCCUGAAACAGCUUCUCUGAAGGUUUUAGGUUCAUCAUUGUCUAGUUCAUGGGCUGCUGUUAGAGCAUAUGCUAUCAAAUCUGGAUAUGCAAACCUCUUAGGUGUUUUGAUAAUUCUCCUUUGUCUGUCUCUUGCCAGCUGAUAGUCUUGAAUAUCUGUAUAAGUUCCAGAAGUUUCACUAAUAUCUUUAGUUUCUUCUCUCUCCAUGUCUUCAGCUUCAUCAUGGUAGUUCAGAGUUGAUUUACCUUUCAACUCCAUCUUCAAAUGUUGUCCCUGUGAGUCCACUCCUCCUUCUGGUUUAGCAGGAUCUUUUUUAUGUCUUUUCAUCAGCAUCUCUGACUCAUUGAAGACUACAUCUCGGCUAACUAUACACUUUGGUGGCCUCAUUUCAGUGCACCAGAGCUUAUAACCUUUGACACCUUCAGGAUACCCUAGGAAUACACAUUUCAGUGCUCUUGGCUCCAGCUUCCCUUGCUUGACAUGUGCAUAAUCUGGACAACUAAAAAUCUUUAGAUUUGUAUAAUUUGUUGUUCUUCCUGACCACAUCUCUACUGGUGUCUUGAAGUUUAAGGCACUGGAUGGGCUUCUAUUCACUAGAUAAUAUGUUGUCAUCAAAGUUUCAGCCCACAAUGUUUGAGGAAGCUUUGAAUGAAUCAGUAAACAUAUGACCUUAUCCAUCAAAGUCUUGUUCAUUCUUUCUGCUAACCCAUUUUGCUGUGGGGUGUAAUUCACUGUUUUGUGUCUUGCUAUGCCAUUGAGUUUAUAGAAAUCAUCAAACUGUUGAUUGCAGAAUUCAAGCCCAUUAUCAGUCCUCAGUCUCUUAAUCUUCCUACUACUCUGAGUUUCUACCAAUGCUUUCCAUUGUUUAAACCUCUCAAAGACUUCAUCCUUGCCUUUCAAGACAUAAACCCAUACCAUUCUCGAGUAAUCAUCUAUAAAGAAGAGAAAGUAUUUUGCUCCACCUAGAGAGACAGUAUGUGAUGGCCCCUACAGAUCUGAAUGGAUGUAAUCUAGGGUCCCUUUUGUGUUAUGCACUGCAGUUUUGAAACUAGUUCUUGAGGAUUUGCCUAGGACACAUACCUCACAGAACUCCAGAGACCCCAACUUAUCAUCCCCUAAGACUCCCUGUUUUUCUAAAAUUUUUAGCCCCUUCUCACUCAUAUGUCAUAACCUUAGAUGCCAUAUGAGAGUUUUAUCCAAACCCAGACUUGCUGAAAUACUGACAUCUCCAGUUACAGUAGUGCCUUGAAGCACAUAUAAGCCAUUUUGCUUAUUCCCUUUCAUUAUCACUAUAGACCCUCUAACAACCUUCAUUACUCCAGAUUCAACUUUAAUGGAGCAUCCAACCUGAUCUAGAGUGCCUAGAGAUAUUAAAUUCCUCUUUAAAUCAGGAAUAUGCCUUACCUCUCUUAGCUCCCUAAUCAUCCCAUCAAACAUCUUAAAUCUAAUGGUUCCUAACCCAACAACCUUACACAUUGUGUUAUUCCCCAUUAGAACCUCACCUCCAUUAAAAGAAUUAUAAGUAGUAAAAAGAUUUUGAUCAGGGCACAUGUGAUAUGAACAUCCAGAAUCAUGAAUCCACUUACUGUUUGUCUGAGUUUCAGAAGCCAAAAGUACACCAGCUGAGUCAUAGCCCUCAUCCUCGGAUGCAACAGCAGCAUCACCAUUAUUUCCAUGCCCUUCCUUACCCUUGUUCUUUCUGUCUGGACAGUCCCUCUUGAAAUUCCCUUCUUUAUGGUAGUGAAAGCAUUUCAUAUUUUUAUUCUUGGACUUUGACUUGUCUCUUUUCUUCCCUUUGUUGUAUUCUCUCUUUUCAGGUCUUCAUCUUGCCAUCAGACCUUCCCCAGCUUUUGUUUCUGACCUCUUUGUGACUUCUUUAUAACUGAGAGAAUCCUUUACAUCAGCCAUCGAUAUUGACUGCCUUCCAUAGAGCAGUGUAUCUACAAAGUGUUCAUAGGAUGGUGGGAGAGAUGAUAAUAAGAUUAUUGCCUUGUCUUCAUCCUCUAGACUCACAUUUAUAUCUUCAAGAUCCAGGAUGAUCCUGUUAAAGCUAUCAAUGUGAGUUGCCAAAGAACUUCCUUCCUCCAUUUGCAAAGUAUAUGGCCUCUUUUUGGUACAAAGUCUUUUGGUUAGAGACUUCUUGGUAUAUAGGUCUUCAAGCUUUUUCCAGAGGCCUGCAGCAGUAGUUUGAUCUCCCACUUCCCUAAGAACUCCAUCUCCCAGACUCAAGAUUAGAGUGUUAUGAUCUUUAUCCAAAGCAUCUAGCAUUUCUUCAUCAAAAAGCUUGCUGGGUUUCUUUUCAGAUCUUGGAUCACCCAAAGUAUCCUCCAGCCCCUGAUGAACCAACAGAGCUCUCAUCUUGAGCCGCCAUAGAUGGAAGUCAUUUUCUCCAGUGAAUUUUUCUACCUCAAACUUAGAGGUUCUCAUUUCUUGGAUCAAAGAUCAGAGAUAAGGCUCUGAUACCAAUUUGUUGAACCUAGACCAGACUUAAUAUCCAAUCAAGAAUCUCCAGGAUCUAGUUGAACUCUCUAAUCAAGAUCUAAAGAAUGGUUAAUCAAUUCACAGAAAAAAAUCACCCAGAAAUAGUAUGCAAAGAACAACAAAUAUAAGUGGUUCGGCUGAAAGAGCCUACAUCCACUGAAGAACAGAGCAACAGCUUUUCACCAUUAACAAAGAACAAGUUACAAGUUUAGAGACGAAGUUACAAGCAAUACAUUCCCUGAUUUUCCAGUCCUUAAGACUACUUAUACUAGCUUAAAGGCCCUCACAAAGACCCCCUGUCAACCAGCUGUAAUCUAGGUUUGUUAGCUAACAAACCCAGAAUUCUCCUGCCUAUUGUAACUGACUUUAACAGCUUCCAGGACACGUGUUGAAUUCUUACAAACAGCAAGCCCCAAAACGACAUUCUUUCAUGCCGUUCAGAGUAAGUGGAAGCACGUGACAUUUACGUGCUUCACUUAAAGCUUUGGCUGACGACCAAAGUUUAUCAUACAGGCUUGUAUCCUUUACAGCUGACAUGUCGUAUACCAACAUGACCACAAACUAACAUGACGGUUGAUCUUCUGGAAAUCAGUUGAAAGCUCAUACUUUAACAUAUAUCACUAACUUCUAACUUUGUAACCCCGAGUUGCUUUUGUUACCCUUUAUGUGACUGCCACACUGCUGUCACAUAUGUUAUUAACCACGUGACGGUAAAGAGCCGUUCGGUAUACUACUAUUUUACAAUUUUAAAUUUAUUUCCAGUUAGAAAACUAUUCGCUGGACUCCGUGUUACAUAUGCCACCAUCGUAAACCUAACUGGUUGCCGGCGAACGGCGUAAAACACCGGCCAUCUUCUUCUUCAUCGUAUUCUCCCUUCAUCUUUUGUUCGUAUUAUAGCCGUUAUUGUCAAUUUUUGUCCCGCCAGCAAUAUUUUUUUAUUCCUACAAGUUGAAGCACCCGUGCUCUUGUUCCAUUGAUGAGUUUGCUCACUCAAAUUAAUUUUGUUCUGUAGAAUUUACAAAGUUCAAAUGGAUUCAUUUGAAUUUAGCUUUAAUUAUGUAUGUCAAUUAUGUAUUUAGAUUAUGAAUUUAGCCGUUAUUGUCAAUUAUGUAUUUAGAUUUACUUUAAUUUUAUGCUUAAAGCUUCUACAUUGCUGAUUCUAUAUUAAUAAUGUUAUGUUCUAUUUUCAGAAAUUAUAAUACAAAAGUUUUUACAAUGUUGUGCAUCUACAAACUGAAUUGACUUGUAGAAUAAGAGCUUGGAGUAGUGUUAUGUUCUUGAAUAAAUGAAUGUUCAUAUUGUGUAAGAGCAUGUAGAUGUAAAGCAUCAUUACCAUAUCUACAAAGUGCUUUCAUUCUGUUCAGAUGCUCUUCUUGAACUUUGAAAGGUGCCUCGUUCAAGUCCUAGCUAUAACUACUAGUUUUGAUUAAUUAAGUUCCUGUACUAGCUGAAACAGAUUUAUUUAAUUAAUUAAUUGUGUAUGUACUAAUUAUAUUGAAAGUAUAUGAAUUUUUUUUUUAAAACAUGAAUGACUUCUAAAUGACUUAAAAACCUAAAGGAUGUGUGAAAUAAUGCUCAUUUCACUUGAAUGAACCCAUUAAUACUUUUAUGUCUAUGAUUGUCAAUAUUGGCUUAAGCAUUUCAGCUAAGUGGUUUACCUAACAGAGAAAAAAAUUUAAUAGAAAACUUCAGAGUUCUAACAGAAAUAUAGUUCACUAUGCAGAUAUAGUUAUUUUACGGUAUACAAAUCAAGUUGUCCUAAUCUCAAUGUCCUAUGACCGAUUUUAUUUUAUAUAGUCAUUAAUUUUUGCCAUGGUUUUUUGUGUUUAUGAGUAUGAAAUAGUGGGAUUUGGUGUACCUUAGCAUCUUUUGAAAAUUCUCUUUAUGUGUGGCCAACAGAAUAUAAUCAAGUUUCUUAAUCGUGUAUAUUAGUUUUGGGUAUGAAUGUUCCUAUUCUAGUUCUAGGCAAAGCUUCUUCAUUUUGGUCUUCAGAUUUCCAGUAGGUUAAGUUAAUCAACUAUCACAACUGACUAGCUAGUUAUUGUCUGCCUUGGCGCCAUUACCCAGGCCAUUAUAUUGCAUAGCAUAAGGAAUAGUGAUUAGGUGAUUAUUAGUGAUUUGUUGAGCUUAUUAUUGACCAAACAAACAUAUUCGCCUUUGCCCACAACUUAGUUUGAUUAGUUAUUAGACCUUAAAGAGCCUUGAUCUAUUCAUUGGCUUUAUUAUUUUUAUUUGGUUUUUCUUUCAACAAUAUUGUUGAUUUCUUAUAAAAAUAUUCAUUGGUUUUUAAACACCUAAUCAUUGGCUAUAUGAAGCUAAUUAAAACUGAGGCUUUGGAUCAAUUUCUUCUAACAGGAUACAAAUGAGCAUAACCUAUCUCCUCUAAGUAAAUUUUUUUAAUAUCCUUGAUUUGUAAGGAUCUGGAGGCCUGAAAUCCUCUAGAUUUUUUUUAACACUGUCAAUGUUCUUUUUAUUCUGAAAAGGAAAUAAAAGGUUUUAUCUUUCAUACCCUAAUAGUAAGCUGACCUUGUCUUACCCGAGGAUUUGCAAGAUUCAUAGUGCCCCCCCCCCCCCCCCCCCAAAAAAAAAAAAAACACAAAUAGGAAGAUUUUGCAAGAUUCACCACCAGGUUUUUUUUCAUUUAUUAAUUGUGUGUACGUACUAGUUAUAUGUUGAAAGAAUAGGAAGAAGUAUUUCAACAUGAAUGAAUGACUUAAAACUUAUUGCUCAGUAAACAUAAUCUGCAUCAGUGCGAAAAUGUAUUUAUCGGUUGUAUUUUUUAUGGUUUUGCUUAAGAAAUGAUAUGUGAAAUAAUGCUACAUUGUAUCAGGAAUAAAUUGAAGAGAUUUAUGAUAUUUAUGUGUUAUUCAAAUUUCAGAUUCAAUUUUAAAUACGUGCAUUGAAAGCUUAGACUUGUUUAAGAAAUUAUUAAUAGACACAUGUUUUAUUAGUGUCAUCUUUGGAUGAUAGUGAGGUUCAUAUGUCUAUUAAUAAUUCUUGAAUUGUCCAGGCUUGGGCAGUUUGGGAAUGCAUAGUUCUCUCUGGUAGCUAGUAGCUGAAGUUUUUUUCGCAAGUAAAAAUGGGUUUUUCGGUAGCUGCUCCUCGUGUUCUCUGGGUACGUACUAGGUGAAUGGGUGUCAUGUGUUGUUUUGGCAUAACGCAUAAACACUUAUAUAGCUAUGUUGUGUGCUUCGAGAAUUAUAGGGAGAUGGUGCCGAAAUUUUUAUAAACGUAGAAGAAAACUUUAGGUACUUGAGAUUGAAGAAACUUAUGCAUUCUUGAGUGGGAUAUGUAGGAUUACUUACCUUUUGUAAAUAUGAAGGGAAUGUUGGAUAUAUUGAGGAUAGUGUAGGAGCUGAGUUGGAUGAAUGUAAUUGGUCAUGAUUUUGCUGAGCUGACCUUGGUUUUGAGCUUGUAAUUUUGUUUGUAAAUGGAGUGCUAUCUCCAAUGUUGGUUUAUAAAAAUGUUUCAGGACUUGCUGACCUAAUUUUUUUUUUCCUAGGUUACAGGCUUUAUAUAUCUGUAAUUGAUAGCCAAGUGAAGUUCUCAGCACUUGGCGAGGAUAUUUCUUUACAGAAGGUAUUGGAAACUGUUUUUUACAUUAAUUAUUGUUGUAUAUAUACUUUGAUUUUCACAUCUUUUUCUCUGAUUCUUGUGGCUUUGCUUGCUUUCAUAUAUGUAAAUUCUAAUGAAAUUAACCAUAAAAUUGUAAAAUGAUCUUUUUAUUAUAUUGCAAAACCGUGCACACACGAAAAUAUCUUGUUUAGUAGUAGAAAUGAAGAACUAAAAUGAUUUACUUAACUAAUUUUUGUAGCGCAUUAAAAGGAGAUAGUCAUGGACAAGUGUUGGGCUGGUUUGCCAAAUAGAUAUCCAAGUCAUAUACUGAUGGGGUUGAAAAUUUUAUAGAUUUUGCAUUUGAGAAUGUUGUUGAUGAUGAUAUGAUUGGAAUGAUACACUGCAUCACGUAAUCAAAUGUUCAAGUUACACGCAGCAUUGUUAUGGAUUAUCAGUCACUUUCUAGUAUUGCCAACUUGUCUGGGUGGAGUAUUAAAGGUAAAUAAGCAUGUCUUGUUUGCCAACAAAACACUAGAUCUAAUUGGUUGAUACAUAGUAGAAAAUUUUGUCACGUGGGUCACCGUCGAUUUUUACCAACAAAUCAUAGGUUUCGAAAAUAUAGUUUCUUUUGAUAAAACUAGAGAGUAGGGACAAGCACCUUCUUGGUUGUCUGGAACUGAAGUGAAAAAGCAGUUUAAUAUACUUACUGAGUAUAAGAUUGAAGACUUGAAAAGAGAAAUGAUAAGAUUACUUGGAAGAAGAACAGCAUUUUUUUAUGAACUACCGUAUUCAUCAUGAUCUUGUUGUCAUGCACUGCUUUGAUUUUUGUUAUGAACUCAGAUCAAAAGUUUAAUGUGAUCAAAAUUUCUUAAAAAUAGUGAAAACGACUCCUCCUAAUAAUAUGGAAGAUGGCUAUAAAAGAUAAAAGGAAAGGCUUAAAAAGAAAAGCCAUGCCUGUCAAAAAAAAAUAAAAAAAUUGGCAGCGUCAAAUUUAUAACAAAAAUCAAAACGGUUUUGAGAGUGUAUUAAAAUACAUUUAGAGUGGGAGCUGUGUUGUUUUUUGAAGGUAGAAUGAUUGUGAGAUAUUUGUCGACGAAGCCAAAACCAAAGAUGAAGCCCAUAGAGCUCAAAACUCCACCGGAGCAAAUUCAGACAAUUACGAGGGUUAUGUUUGACAUAGUCAAGGAACACAGUCCUCUCACCGUUGCCGAAACUUGGGAAUGCGUCAAGGUGUGUGUAUCUGUUAAAUUGAAUUUCAACCCGUUUGAUCUGUAAUUAUAAUUAAUCCAAUCGAUCUGACAGUGAUCACUAGUAGUUGUUUUACAUUUUCAGCAAGCUGGAGCGAGUGGAUUGACGGCCAAAAGCCACAUGAAGAUUGUGUUGAGAUGGAUGAGGGACAGACAAAAGCUCAGGUUCGUCUGCAAUCACGUGGGCCCUCAUAAGCAAAUCCUGUACACAACUUGGUUCACCAAACCCGACAACUUGAAGCAGCCAAAAUCAGGGAAUGAUGCUUCUAUGUCACAACCCUAGAAAUUUCAAACACGGUGAAGAUGAAGUAAAGCAUAAGUAGAACAAUGAAGAUGGUAGCCCCUCAGCAUGUAAACUUUUCAACAGUAACACAGCUCUUAUUCCAGAGGCUGCACAGAAGAGCGACCUGAGUCCCCUUCAAAACUUUCAAAUUUUUAUCAAGUAAAGCUUUCAAAUUUCUCAACAAAUUGAUUAUUUGUGUGGUUGCCACAUUUUGUGCAACUGCCAUUCGUGUUCAAGUUCAAAUUCCUUGCCUAGUAAGUUAGGGAAGAGAGAUGUGAAGCAAACAGGGAAACAGAACAAACCGGCCAAAUUUAAAAUGACAGAACAGUAAUGAUGGCAAUUAACAAACUAAUAGCAAUAUUACAUUUGAUUCUUUAGCCCAAUUGUUCCUUCUGUCAGCAUUCUUCAAAAGUUUUUGAAAAUUAGAUGUGAAGCAAACAAAAUAAAACAAAUUUAGACAACAGAAGCCCUGUAUUCAGCAUCAUAUAUAUACCUUGAAUACCUAAUAUAAUAAAUUUCACAUCUAAAAUACUAGAAAUUUCAAACAGUACCAGCAAUAGAAUAAUGACAACGACAACAAUAACAGAAAAUUACAAGAUUGCUGAUAAAAUUUCAUUUGCAUGGAUGUAUAACAAAAAUUCUGUGAUUUAAUGUGCGUUCAUGCAUGCAAGUCCUAACGUUCCUGUGAUCACAAAAUGAAACUGAAGAUAAAUCAGAACAACUACCAAACCUCUGACUGAAAGUUCAAAAGAAUUUAUAUUCAAAAUGUCAAAAUAUACUGGAAAUUUAUUGCACAUAUUACAAGAAGCAGUACACACCAAUGGUAAAUUGAUACAUCGUUUUUGAACUUAACAAAGUCAAAUGAAAGAAACACGACGGAGGGUUAAUGUAAAAGUGAAUACCCUCAGCAUGUAAACUUAACUUCAAAGGACGGAGCACAAGUUUCACAGAAAAGUAGCUCUUAUUCCUGAUGCUGCAAACACACAGGAGUGACCUCAAUCUUCUUCAUAACUUGGGAAUUCUGCAAUUAUAGAGCACGACAUUGAGCAUGAACUAGAAAAAAUAUUUAUUUUGUACAAUUUUCAUAUAACUUGACUAACCAAGAUUAAUUUCGUGGUAAUGUAUUGAGUCAUUAAUUCAUAUGUUUUUAAAUAUUUUUAAAAAACUAAUUUCUCAAUUUGAAAUGGCCCAUAAAAAUUAUUCUCAUAUAAAAACUAAAUUUGACAGACCCCUCGAUUAAAGCAGGGGAAAAGGCUUUCCACAUGAAAAUGUUGUUUGUCACUUUGAAUGAUAUUUUGAAGGGAUUUCAUUCUAAAAAUAAAAUACCUGGGACCUCAUUCUUCAAAAUUGACAACUCGCCAGGUAUUAAAAGCGUAUGAGAUCAGUACUGCGACGAGUAAGAAGACGACCCCUCCAACAGCUGAAAACAAAAUUCGCAUUCAUCAAUUUAAAUUAAAAUUCAUAUUAUGAAACUAAAACUAAUGAUUAGUGAAUUUUCGAGGAAUUUAAUAAGAUUCUCAGAUAUAAACGUGAUAACAAAUUCACUCAUCAAUAACAAAUAAUCUAACAGUUAUCCGUACCUUUUCUUGAUGUAAUUGUUGUAUGGUUGUGUUAAGGUCAUUAUUAGACCAACGCAGGUUGUCCUCUCUCUGCCCGUACCGGACGUUUACUCUGACAUGGGUACUUAAUUCUCCUGAAGUGAAAAUCUUCAUCUUGGGACAACCAAUCACAGCAAGAUAUUCCAAAGAUGGGAAUUUGAAGGCGUAAUUGCCAGAGGAGAAGCUUGUGAGACUAUCUAAAUCAAACAGGGACAACGUAGUCAGUUUGCUGAAAACAAUCUCUUCUUUUAAAUUUGCUGUUUCAUCUUCGUCACUUAUUACGACUUCUGUGAUUGCUCUGCAUCCAAAUACACCCAAUGAUACGAGUCGCUCUAGACUUUUUGCUGUGGAGGAUGUUAGUAAGUUCAUCAAUUUCUUGCAAGCACAAGCUUGCAGGCGUGUGAGAUUCUGAAAAGAUACCGAUGAUGAUGGCAAUAGACUUAACAGAUUUUGACAGUAAUAUGCUCUUAGAAUUUCAAGAUGUUGAAAAAUCAAGUCCGGCUGUUUGGAAUCGUGUUUCCACAGUUGCUGCAGAUGAUUAAGUCUGGUCAGGUGUAACAUUUUUAUCAGUGCCAGCUUCCUCGCAUGUGUCUCCAAAUAUCCUUCAUUUGAAAAUACCACUUCGUACGAACAAUCCGACAGGUGGAGAAAUUCCAGAUUGUGAAACCUCUCAAGUAAACCAAGUGGAAAGCAAGCUAAGUCAUCAUCCCCAACCUGUAGUCGUUUGAGACUGCCAAAGAGGUGUUGUGGGAAAUCGCCUUGCAAAAUCAUCGUGAUGUCUUUUCCACUUAAUGCCAGUUCCUCCAAGUUGGGUAAGAUCUGAUCAUCAUCAAGCACAAAUUAUUAACUUAGCACAUUGAUCCCUAAUUCGAGACUGGCAAAAUUCAUUGUUAUAUACACACACAUAUAUAUAUAGUAUUUAUUAAAAUUUCUGGUCUGUGAGUAAGAAACAACAAAGACAACUGACAAAAAAUCUAAAAGUUGGUUUCAUACCUUCUUGAACGAGAAUAGGGGCUGUUGUGCCGGAACACCAAAUUGAUCAUUCUCGUUAUUCUGGGAUAACGUCAUUUUAUCACAAUUACACGCCUCCAAUAUUUUUAGUGCUGGCCAUUCCGAUGUAUGCAUUCCAGGGUAUAAACAUCUAAGUUCUGGUAGACCUUCGAGUUUCAGAGUGGUCACCCGUGGAAAGACAAAAUAAGCGGUCACUUGAUCUGUUCUGUUUUCAGAAAUGAUUUCUUGUAAACUCUUACAUAACCGUAUCUCCAGGUGUUGGAGUUGCUCAAGGCUUUGGAUCGUAGAAGCUGAAAAUAUGUAUUUUAAUUUGUCACAGCCCCACACUAUCAAUCGUGUCAAACUUCGAAGGCAAGGAACCAUGGCCGGAAGUUGAUUGUAAUGCCAAAUCUCGUCGACAUUAAUAGCAUUCAGCUCCAAAGCCUCCAAAUUUGGCAACACUACCUAAAGAUAAUUUUGUCGUUAGAUCCAAUAUCCAUAUAAGAAGUGCUUAUUGAGAGCUUAAUUAGUGAGUGUAUGAGAUUUUUUUUUUUUGCAUUUUCUUUUUCUAAAUGAUUUAAUUUUUUUUCACUUAUGGCAUCAAAUGCAAGUUCAUGAUAGAAUAAAAAAAAAAAUGCAAUAUCCAUAUGAAAAGGACUUGUGUGGUCCAGUUUGGGAUUAUGGAUGCUGAUUAAAUAAGUUGCUCCUGCUGUACGGAUGCAAUAAGUAGUUGAUUAAAAAAGCAGUUAGCUGUUUGGUAAACUGUGUUGUUGCAGUUGCUGUGAGUUUGAAAAGCAAUGUACAUGCGUUUGGUAAAUUUUAUUACAAACGUGUUAUUUUAUCAUAUAAUGACCAAAAUAUAUAUAAGUUUAAAUUUCCGUUUAUUUUUUUUAAGCAUGUUUAAUAAUCUUUAGAUAUGUCAUUUUCUUUUUAAAAUACGUAAAAUUAUAUUAAGUGAAAAAACUUAAUAAUUUGUUACAUAAAAUAUGAUAAAAAUUUAUACUAGUAUAUGAUCCAAAUAAAAUAAAAAAAGUAAUAUGCAUUACUUUCACAUUAAACUUGUUGCAAUAAACACCAUGACUAUAGAAAAUAUAAAUAGAUUGAAUGUUAAAAGCUAUGGUUAUAAAAUUGAUUUUAAAAGUUAUGAUUAAUUUUCAUGUGAAAUUGUUUAUAGUUCAAAAAAAAUUUACAUAAUUACAUGCAAGUCUUUUUUAAUCUUAUUAUAGAAAAUACAAGUAUAAUAUAAAAAAUAUGAACUUACUAAAUCAAAACUUUGAUAUUAGAGAGAAUAUAUAGUAGUUGUGGUGGUAAUAUGAUAUCUAAUAACUUAUAUAUUAGAGUGUAUGGAAAUAUAUGACAUAAUUAUUUUUGUUAAAAUAUUAAUUAAGGUUAUAAUAGAAACUUUAAAAAGAUGUGAUAGCUUAUUUAAUAAGCUGCUUAUGAAAAGUAACUCCCUAUCUGCUUUUAAAAGUUAAUGUCAAAAUAGAGAAAAUUAUAAAAUAAACAGUUUUUACAAAAUUUAACAAAUACUAUUUUUGUCACAGAUUAUGAAAUAGACAGUUUAUUGAGUUUUAACCUCAAUUCCAAACAGGGGCCACAAUAUCCACAUGACAAGCACUUAUUGAGAGCUUAAUUUGUGAAUAUAUGAGAUUUUUUUUUCUUUUUCUAAAUGAUUUAAUUUUUUUGCACAUAUGGCAUCAAAUGCGAGUGCAUGAUAGAAUAAAGGAAAAAAAAAAAAAAAGAAUGCAUUACCCUACGCACCUUCUCGUUGAAAAGCAGAGUUGAAGUAUCCGAACUGAUCUCGUUGGAACUAGCUAUCAAUUCCUCUUGCGACUCUUGUCUGUUUGGUGAUGUGGAAGGAGUCUUCACUUCACGGCAAAACCUUGUAACCUUUGGAAGCGUUCCCAGACUCAAAGAUCUUAGUUGACCAAACUCUAUCGUCUCAUCAACAUCGACAUCAGCUUCUCCUCCAGUUGCAAAAAUCUCUUCCAUGCUGCUGCAAUUGAGAACUGCAAUCCUCUCAAGUCUUGGAAGGCAUUUUGUACUACUAGAGAGCCAGAAGAUAUUACUCAUCUCAUCACAAUUUUCCACUUUUAUGGUUUGGAGUUCAUUGAAGGACUCUAUUGUGAGUCGAUCAAUACAUAUCCUCUCCAUAUUGAUCAAAUUGUGAAGAGUAAGGGACUCCAAAAGAGGAAAGGCGACACAAGGUUCUCUCUCCAUUGAAUCGGCAAUACACAGGAAGUCUGGAUUAUUUUGAACAUGGAGAUGCUUCAAUUGUGAAAAGCCCUCAGUGUCCAAUUCGAAAACAACAUUCUUGAUUCCUUGCAACUUAUCUAAACAUAAGUAUUCAACGUUAUUGAUGCCCUGCAACUUCUCGGAGCAAAUGGCCAUAGAAUCAAGCUUGAGCUUCAAUGUUCUUAAACUCUCAUGAUUACUGAUUGUUAGAGCAGCUCAUUAUGCUGAACAGAAGAAGGUGAAGACUAAGAUGAAGAAAAUACAGAGCAAGUUACAGGGCAAGUGUGUCAGCAGUGCCAGCUCAGCUAACAGCUCAGCAGAUUAGUUAAAGAUGGUUGUAAGCAUGAUGUGCAUUGUACUGAAGUUAGUUAGCUUUGAUUACAGUUAGUCUUUGGAUUAGUUAAAUGAAGUUACCGUGAUUGCAUUGUAUAUAAACAGGUGAUGCUUUGUAAUCAAAAGUUAAGCAAAAUAAAAAUCAAAGUUUGUUAAGGAAAUAUCUCCAGAAUUAUCAAUUCAUUUUCUUAGUAACCAAACAACUUUAUUUCAUUUUUCUUUCAUGGUAUCAGAGCAAGGUUAAUGGCUAGUUCCAGUAGCACAACAUCAAAUCCAAAUCAAAUGAAUAUAAAUCAAUCAUCACAUAUCUCCUUUUCGUUCAGCACUCCAGUCAAAUUGGAUCGAUCAAAUUUCAUGAUUUGGCGAAAGCAAGUUCUUACUACAAUAAGAGGAAAUCGUCUUGAAGAUUUUAUUUCUGGAAAUCAAAUCAUACCAGAACAAUACAUUUCUAAUACAGUAGCUGAUGGAUCAGUACAGAGAAUCACGAAUCCAGCUUACAUCAACUGGCGAGCUCAGGAUCAAACUUUGCUUGGCUGGAUUUUGUCAUCCAUAAGUGAAGGUAUCUUAAAUACUGUUCUUAAUUGCGAAAAUUCAUUUGAAGCAUGGAGAUCAAUUGAAAAACAAUUUGGAGUACAAUCUGAGGCUAGAGUAUUGCAAUUGAGGUAUGAAAUGAAUGUCCUUAGAAAAGAGAAUAUGUCUGUUGAGGAGUACUGUUUAAAAGUAAAAGCUGUUGCUGAUAAGCUUGCUUGUGCUGGUAGCCCUGUGUCUGAGAAAGAUCUGCUAAUGCAAAUUUUGAAUGGCCUAGGACCUGGAUUUCUAGAUCUUGCUUCAAUAAUUACUGCUAAUAGAAUGUCGUAUGAUGAUGCUUAUGCAUUACUCUUAACACAUGAGGCAAGAAUGGAACAAAAUCAUAAUACUAAAGAUCUUUUUAGUGCAAACUAUGGGAUGAUGAAUGCUAACUACUCUCAGUUUAGAGGAAAUAAUAAGAGAGGUGGUUAUAGUGGAUAUCAAGGGCAAUUUAAUGCUGGAAAUAGGAAUCAAAAUGGAGGAAGAGGAAUGUUUUUCAAUUCAUUCUCAAGAGGUUUUCCAGCUGGUGGAUAUACUGGUAAUGCUGGUGGCAGAGGACAGCAAAUGAAUGCAUAUGCUUAUAAACCUGUGCUUAACAACAGGCAUAAUUUCAAUAUGAAUCAUGGCUCAACUUCAAUGUCCAAUGGAAAUGGAUCUGAUGAUAAUGUGCUUAUCUGUCAAAUCUGUCAUAAAGCUGGACAUGCAGCUGAUGUUUGUUGGCACAGACACUUUGAUGGCUAUGCUCCUCAACCCAGACAAUUUGGAAGGGGCAGAGGGCAUAAGUCUGCUUAUAUGGCUAACUUUGAUCCACAAAUUGGCUUUACUUCACAAUUUGAAGAUUCGUUUGCUACAGAAUAUCCUGGUUAUCAUGGGUACCAUCCACCUGAUAUGAAUGCAUCAGUUGCAUCAGUAAGUCAUCACUCAUCUGAUAUGCAUUCUGUACCUGGAGCAGCUUAUAUUGCAAAUUUUGAAGGACCAGCUGAUGAAGGGUGGUAUCUUGAUAGUGGAGCUACGCAUCACAUCACUAACAACAUGGCCAAUAUGCAUAUCAGAGAUCAAUUCAGUGGAGCAGAUCAGCUCAUUAUUGGAAAUGGACAAGGUUUGCCCAUAACUCAUGUUGGUGAUGCAUCCUUUCUCUUUAAAAGUUCCAAUUCUACACACAAACACUCACCUAUAGUACUUAAAGAUAUUCUGUUGGUGCCUUCCAUUACCAAAAAUUUGUUAAGUAUCUCGAAGCUUACCACUGAUAACAACUUGUCUGUUGAAUUUCUUGGAAAUGUUUGUUUUGUGAAGGAUUCUCUGAGGGGACAGGUACUUCUGCAGGGUCUUGCUGAGAAAGGGUUAUACAGGCUGUUAUUGAAAUCAUCAUCAUCCUCUCAGUUAUCAUCAUCUUUUCUUUCUCACAUGUGUUCCAAUAAACCUUUGUCUAUGCUUUCUUGUUGUUGUUUCAAUUCUGUUCCUUCUGGAGUUGUUACAGAAUCUCAGAAAUCAUGUAAUCAAACUGAUGAUUCAUCUUGUAAAACUUCAGUUAAUAAAGCUAUUUUGCUUCAUAGAAAGUUUGGUCAUCCCAAUCAUCAAAUAUUAACUCAUAUACUCAAAACAGCAAAAUCUAUUCAUUUACCUGCAUAUCAAAAGCAACAAAUGCAUCAGCACAUCUGUGAGGCCUGUCAAAUGGGCAAAACACAUAAACUUCAUUUUCCUAUUACUGAAACCAAAACCUCCAAAACUCUAGAACUUAUACACACUGAUUUAUGGGGUCCUUCUCCCAUUAUUUCUAGAGAUGGUUAUCAGUAUUAUAUAAGUUUUGUAGAUGACUACAGCAGGUAUACAUGGAUUUAUCAUUUGAAGCUAAAGUCUGAGGCAUUAGAAGUCUUUAAGCUCUUUAAACUGCAGGUUGAAAAUCAGUUUAGCACAACCAUUAAGAUGAUGCAAUCUGAUUGGUGGGGAGAGUAUAGACCAUUCACUGAGUUUUUAAGCCAAUUUGGUAUCAUCUUUAGACAUCCUUGUCCUUAUACUCAUCAUCAAAAUGGGUUAGUUGAAAGGAAGCAUAGACAUAUUGUUGAAUUGGGUCUGACUCUCUUAGCUCAAGCUCAACUUCCCUUUAAGUUCUGGUGGGAUGCAUUUCAUACUGCUGUAUAUCACAUCAACAGACUUCCAUCUCCUGUUUUGCACCUUUUAACCCCAUAUGAAAAGACAUUCAAACACAAACCUGAUUAUGAUUUUCUCAGAUGUUUUGGGUGUUCUUGUUAUCCUUACUUGAGAGAUUACAAUAAACAUAAAUUUGCCUACCAUUCUAGUAAGUGCAUAUUCAUUGGUUACAGUCCUUCACAUAAGGGCUACAAAUGUUUACACCCUUCAGGUCGAGUCUAUGUGGCAAGACAUGUUACCUUUGAUGAAUCAGUUUUUCCUUAUGCCACUGAGUUUGUUUUUCAUAGUCAUGCUAAAACUGAUUCUCAAAUUUCUCAUUCCCAUACACCACAGCAAAUCCAUCAUAUCUCUUCUUUGCCUGUCAAUAACAGCACUGGUAAUCUGAACUCUGUAAGAUCUGGAAGCAGCAGUUCAAGUCACUCAGAUCAUCUAGAACAGACAGCAACUGAUCAGAAUUCACAACAAGCUACCAUAAAUGACAGGUCACCUUUUCAUACAUGUCCAACAAUUGUUGAAUCUAUACAAAAUAUUCCAGAACCUCCACAUCACUCUUUGCCUAUACAAAGUCACCAUCCUAGCAACACCUCUUUCUAUCCAUAUACACAACCAAAUACACAUCAGAUGAUAACCAGAAGUAAAGCAGGGAUUUUCAAACCCAAAAUUUAUACUGCUGUGCUUACUCACAAGGAACCAGAUACUGUGCAAGAAGCAUUAAAUGAUUCAAAGUGGCUACAAGCUAUGAGGGAGGAAUAUGAUGCCUUGAUUAAGAAUAAUACAUGGACAUUGGUUCCAAGACAAGCUGAUCAGCAUGUGGUUGGAAAUAAAUGGGUGUAUAGAAUCAAAUAUAAUACAGAUGGAAGUAUAGCUAAGUAUAAAGCUAGACUUGUUGCAAAGGGUUUUCAGCAAGUGGCAGGGAUUAACUAUUUUGAGACAUUUAGUCCAGUUGUGAAGUCAGCUACAGUUAGAGUAAUACUUAGCUUGGCAGUGAUGAAUCAGUGGAGAAUAAGGCAAGUGGAUGUCAAUAAUGCCUUUUUGAAUGGAGAGCUAACAGAAGAAGUUUUCAUGUCUCAACCUGAUGGCUUUAUUGAUGCUCAGAGAUCUGAUUUUGUAUGCAAAUUACACAAGUCUCUGUAUGGGCUCAAGCAAGCUCCUAGAGCCUGGUAUGACAAGCUUAAAGGAUGCUUAAUAAGCUGGGGUUUCACUACUACUAGUUCUGACACCUCAUUGUUUGUUAGGAAGAUCAAGACAUCUAUGAUCAUAGUUCUUAUAUAUGUUGAUGACAUACUGAUCACAGGUCCAAACACUGAGGAGCUGGAAGGUUUCAUAACUGAAUUCAGCAAAACUUUUGCUCUAAAGGAUCUGGGAGUGUUAUCUUAUUUCCUUGGAAUUGAGGUAUUAUAUGAUGCAGAUUGUAUGUACUUGUCACAGAGAAAGUAUAUCAGAGAUUUGUUAUCGAAGGUAGAAAUGACUGAAUGUAAGGGCAUUGAUACACCCAUGAGUACUGGCUCUAAACUGCAAAAGAUAGUUCAGGGGGAACUUGGAUACUAUCUUGAAGAUCCAACUCAUUAUAGAAGCAUAGUUGGAGGAAUGCAGUACCUGAUACUUACCAGACCUGAGAUUGCGUUUGCUGUAAACAAGCUCAGUCAGUAUGUAGCUGCACCAACACUACAACAUCUAAUGGCAUGCAAGAGAGUUCUAAGAUAUCUGAAGGCAACUCAAGAUUAUGGUUUAAAAUUUUUCAGAGAAGGAAGCUUAACACUCACUAGUUUUACUGAUGCAGAUUGGGCAUGUGACUUAGAUGAUAGGAAAUCAGUUGGUGCUUAUUGCAUUUAUUUAGGCAAUAAUUUGAUAUCCUGGUCUUCUAAGAAACAAUCAGUGAUAACCAGAUCAAGUGCCGAGAGUGAGUAUAGAGCUUUGGCAUCAGUGAGUGCAGAGCUGACAUGGUUACAAUCCUUAUUUUCUGAGUUGGGAUUAAGUUGCAUAGAAAAGCCAAUCAUAUGGUGUGACAACAUUAGUGCCACUGAACUAGCAAAGAAUCUUGUGUAUCAUUCAAGAACAAAGCAUAUCGAAAUUGAUAUGCACUUCAUUAGGAAUAAGGUUCUUGCUGGUGAGUUGAUUAUUCACUAUGUACCAAGUGAAGAACAGAUUGCAGACAUAAUGACCAAGCCUCUCUCAUUUGUAAGGUUUAACUACUUGAGGUCCAAACUCAAUGUCCAUCUUUGUCCUCUGAGUUUGAGGGGGGCUGUUAGAGCAGCUCAUUAUGCUGAACAGAAGAAGGUGAAGACUAAGAUGAAGAAAAUACAGAGCAAGUUACAGGGCAAGUGUGUCAGCAGUGCCAGCUCAGCUAACAGCUCAGCAGAUUAGUUAAAGAUGGUUGUAAGCAUGAUGUGCAUUGUACUGAAGUUAGUUAGCUUUGAUUACAGUUAGUCUUUGGAUUAGUUAAAUGAAGUUACCGUGAUUGCAUUGUAUAUAAACAGGUGAUGCUUUGUAAUCAAAAGUUAAGCAAAAUAAAAAUCAAAGUUUGUUAAGGAAAUAUCUCCAGAAUUAUCAAUUCAUUUUCUUAGUAACCAAACAACUUUAUUUCAUUUUUCUUUCACUGAUCAUAAAGUGCUGCCGACAUUCAAACCAGUCGUUCCCAAUAACCUUGGUAGAGUCGAAUGAUGCAUCUCCUAUUGAUAUAUCAAACCUUUCCAGCUUUUUGGAAAAAAAGCCAUCCGGUAAAAUGCUAUCGUUUUUAACAUCUAUUUCUAAAGUGGUCAAUCGCCUCAAAUGCAUCAAUUCGUCGAGGGUGGCAUUACUUCUUUCACUAUUGGCUUUUUCAACUUCCCAUUCAACAGGGGAAUUACCCAUAUACAGUUCUUCCAAUCGAGUGAAGCUUGAUAAGAUGUUGGGCAAAAUAAAUUUUAGUUGCAAACAAUCUCUUAAAUCUAGCAGCCUUAACUUAGUCAGUUGACCUAGUUCGUAAGGCAACCGUACAAUAUCAGACCUUAAAAAGCUAAGGAUUUCUAGAUUCUUCAACUUCCCAAUUAUGGCUAUGUCUCCCAACAUGCUUUGUACUAGACACAGUGUUUGAAGAUUUGCUAGAAGAUCGAUUGAAGAUGGCAAUGAAAAUAAUCGCAUUCCUGUCAAAUCCACAACUCGAAGCUUUUUCAUCCCUUUGAAAAAGUUCUCAGGGAUAUUGAGCUCGACAAAAGAGUCUUUGGGAUGAAUAAGUAAAAAUUCAAGUUGCGGACAUUCCAAUUCCUUAGAAACUUCAUGAAUGCUACUAUACAGUAAAGAGAUUGCAGAGCAUUUUUUAAGUGCAUCCUCAUCUGGCCACUCCCACACAACCUCACUUCUCACCAAGAAAACAUGUUGUUCUCGACAUGCAAUUGAAAUGGCAACAUCGCAGACAACAUCAUGCAUAGAAAAUUGUUCAUUACUAUCACCCUCAAGCAAAAAACAACAAUCUCUAAGUUCAUGGAGCAAUGCAUAUAAUUUGUUUCGUGCAUCUACCAUCCUGUUGACUCCUUGAAAUAUGCCCAAACCCAUAGAGUACCUAAACAAGUCUAGAAACCAAAAACUGUUACCUAUUAGACUACAGAGAAGAAAAUUUUUCUUGAGUUGCUCACCUUUUAAAUACUUGAAACUCAGCUCAAUACUUGAAUAAGUCUCUGCAGGCACACCUUCGAAGUUUACCAUUGAAGGCGUUUGGAGUUCUCGCAAGGCAUUCUUCCAUUCAUGCAGAGUCUUGUUUCUCAGUGCCCUUGCCACUGUAGUCAAGGCAAUGGGCAAACCUCCACAUGCCUGGGCUACAUUAAUUGCUAUAGACUUGAACUUACAAUUGUCAACAUCAUCACCAAUCAUUAUCUUAAACAAUCUCCAAGCUUCUUCUUCAUUUAGAUUGCCAAUCAAAAAGUUAUCUUUGGAGCCCAUACUUAAUAGUACAUUAUUAUCUCUUGCUGUGAGCAAUAGUCUACAUCCUUUAUGAUCAUUUCCAAAAGGAAUUCCAAUCGUCUCCAAAUCAAGAUGUUUCCAGAUAUUAUCUAGAAUCACAAGAAUCUUAUUCUCAUUCUUCAAUCGUUCAUACAGCCUGCUGGCUCUUCUAUAUUCAGCUUCAUCGGACAACUCCAGACCUAACUUCUCUGCAAUUUCCCCUUGUAUCUUUUUUAUGUCUGGAGUUUGUGAAACCUCUGAAAAAACCACACGAUCAAACAGCUUCUUUUCCCUGGCUUGCCUAGCAAACUCCUUCACCAGUGUCGUCUUUCCAAUGCCGCCCAUGCCGUACACCCCAAUAAUGCUGACGUUCACAUCAGUCAACACAUUUUGUAUAGACUUCAAAGUAGAAACUCUUGAUUCGAAGGCCUCGUAACCUUUGUUAGACUUAAGCCAUAUCUCCUCCGGAAUGGCACGGUGGGAAACGAUAUCAAACUUCUUAACUUCUUCUCCAAGUUCAACAAGGGCCUUCACCUCUGUCUCUGCUUUCUUGCUAAGCUGAUAGCGGGUCUUCAAAUUAGGACACAAGCCCUUGAGACAGCGCUUAUUUGUUGACUCUUCAUCUUCAACGAAUUUGGCUGCCCGGUCAAUGAUGCCGUUAGCACUAACCAGCCACUUCUCAACCUUCUCUUCAAUCUCUUCCCCUUUUUCUUUCGCCUCUGAAACUCUGCGCUGAAUGCUCGUACGUUCAACCUUCAACUUCUCCAUUUCCGCCUUGAGAUUCUCAAGGUUGGCAUUGUAGUUCCGCUUGCGCAAAUAAACAAGUUGGCGUUCUGUUGGAGGAGCCAAGCAUUUUACAAGUUCCAAAAUGAGAGUAACAAUGAUUUCCAGCAUCUUGAAUCCUGACAACAAUGUAGAAAUGAAGAAGGCCAAAGGACAGUAAGAACAGAGAGACAACGAUACGACAAGCAGUUAUGGAGCUAAAAAUAAAUAACAAACAAACAGAAGCAAAGUGUUUUUCGAAUGAGAAGAAGGAAGCAAGAAAAGGGUUUCUAUUUAGAUUAAGAAUGAAUGUAAAGAAGUGACAAAGAUGUCACAUAAUGUAAUUAAGUACUGAAUCCAAAUCCUAUCCUAAAUGGUUAGAUAAAAAUAAGGGAAUGAAAAGAGUAAUGGUAGAUUAAUUUAUGAGGCCAAUUAACGAAACGACAGAUCUGGUUUCCAUGUUUGUAAUUUAAGUGUAUGAGUACGAGGUGAACCAACUCUUUGUCGAGUCAAGCAAUUAGAAGGAGAAAUUACUAAAACAAGAACCAGCAACUUUUACUCACACAAGAGCUAAUAAUGUAUUGAGAUUGUGCAGAGUAAUACAAAACCUUAAAACUAGUAUAAUAAAUUUGUCAUCAAGUUUUAGCCUUCUUCUUCAACCAAUUACAGCACUAUCUUGAGCUCUGAGUUUCUUUUUUUAAAAUUUUUCAAAAGAUCUUUGUCAUUAGUUUUUCAAUGAUAAAAAUUAUAUUUUUAUCUCAUAAAAUAUAAAAUUUUAAAAAAAUCAAACAUAUAUUAUAGGUUUGUUUGAGAUUAUUUUUAAAGGCUCAAAAGUCACUUUUUAAAGUUAAAUGUUAAUUUUGGUAUUUGGUAAAAUUUUUAGAAAUCACCUUUGGUAAAAUCACUUAUCCCACAACAAAUUUCGGAAAGCAAAAAAGGAAUAGUUUGUCAAAAUCUAAUUUUGAUAACCAGUUUUAUACUUAAUAUAAUUCUAUAUACAACCUUAUAUAUAUUAUAAAAAAAAAAUAUCCUUAUUAUUUAGGAAAUAAAAUUAUUAAUUUUAAAGAUAUUUUAACAAUUACAUUGAGAUAACAAAAUAAAAAUAAAAUUAAUAAUAUAAAAUAUCUAUUUCUGUUAUCAAUUAUUAUAUAUACAAGAUAAAAAAAAUAUGUUAUAUACAUGUUUAUAAAUGUAUAAAUAAAUUUUAUCUAACAUUAUGUUCAAUUAAGUCAUUUACAUUAAUAGCACUUUUACAAGUAAAUUUUCCUAAAUGUUUAACUGAUUAUCUUCACAGUGAUUAUUUCCACAACAUAACUACCAGAAAUUAUUGUAAAAGAUACAACAUUACCAAAAAAAUAUUGAGGUACAUUUUAAUUAAGUAAUUGACUUAAUUAUGAAUCAAUUUAUUAUUUUCAUCUGUGUUAUCUAAACCAGCUCAUUAAUGAGAUCACUCUUUUUCUUAAAUAAAAUAUUCCUGCCAAACAAUUGUUGCAAAAUUUCAAAUAUAAAUUACAAACAGCAAAAUUUUCUAAAGUCAUAACAAUUAUUUAUGUUUUGAAGGGUCCAGCUAGCUUGCAACCGUGAUUUGGUACCCCAUUUUUUGUCUUUUUGUGAUCCAACCAUUAGAUCCAACCCAAAAGUUGUAAAAGCUAUUCCAACGGCAAGGAUGCAAUUACUUAGUUAUUAACGCUGAAGCCCCUCUUGUUUCAUAAAAAAAAGAAAAGGUUAAAUUUCAAGAUUUUGACACAUAAGUCCAUCAAAAUAUUUUAUGAUUUUUAUAUGAGUCCAGGUAAUUUAAUAAAUGAAUAUAUUUAGAUAUACAAAAAUAUGGAUGGAUUAUUUUAACUUGCUAAAAUACUCCCCACAUCCAUUUAUUUAAAAUAUCAAUUACAAAAAAUCCCAUUUUUUAGUAUAAUUUUUUUAAAAAUAAAAUACCCAUUUAAUGUUUUACCAUUUAAGAUAGUGUUACUUAUAAGGAUAAAUAAUUAUUUUAACUAAAUAAAUGAAACUUAACUUUUAUUUCUAUAAAUUUGCUCAACAUCAUAUAACCUUAUAAUUGUUAGCAUAAGAUAUAAAUUUAGUCUAAAAAAUUUAUUCAAAGGGUCCCCUUAGGGCAAAAAAUUAAUUAUCAUAUGAUAAUUUGGUUGGCACAAACUCUAUUAUUCUUAAUUUACUUAUCCAUGCCAAACACUAUAUUGGAAUUAAAUUUUAGUAAAAUAAACAUAUGUCAACAUCUUUAACCGCAUUCAACUGACCCUAAUUGUUUAGAUUUUGUUAUAGAGAGCAAGAUAUAGUUCUUUUCUUAUUAUAGUAGUAAAAAUAAAUAAAAAUAAACACAAUAGAUUUCUUUUAAGAGAAUGCAAGCAUUAUUUUUAUGAGAUUUUGUGUUCAAGAAAUUAAUCUAAUUAUGUGGUUAGAAGACUCUCUAUUUUGUGAUAUUUUAGAAGAAUUAUAUGUUGGAUAAAUGAAUAAAUUAAGAUCAAAGCAAAACAAAAAUGAUUGAGAAGAAAACCGAGAGAGAAUAAUUUUUUAAAUUUUAAAAUUUUCAUUUUUUAAUUGGGGUUUAUUUUGUAAAAUUAUUGCAAUUUAUAGUUUUUAAUAUUACCAAAAACAGUAGAGAUUGCUAAAGAAAAUGCCAAACAAAUUUUUUAGAAUUAUAAAAUUAUUAUAUUUUAAUUAGGGCUUGUUGUGUAAAAUUUUUAAAAUUUAUAGUUUUUAUUAUUUACCAAAAACAAUGAGGAUUGUUAAAGAAAAUGUCAAAAUUGGGUGUUUGGUAUAACGGAGGCAAAGUAGUUUCGUCCUGUUUUGAAUACAUGUAACUAAACCACAUUGAAAGUUGUCAAAACAGGAGGACCUAAUGUUAGUAAAAUUAUUUUUCAAGCAAAUGCAGUGACGAAUUUGGUUUCAUGUUUCACCCUCGAUAACUUAAUUUUCAUAUCUAACAAAUCAUCCAUAUUAUUAACAAUAUCAUCACCAACCAUAAUCUACCUAAACAUAAACUAAACAUAACACAUACAUAUAACUAUAUACAUACCGAAUCAGGAAAACAAUGAGAGCUACACGUAUCCGGCUCCACAAUUCCUUGUUGAUACCCUUGUGCUUCUAAAAUUAUCAACCAAUUAUAAAAAUUAGCUUAGGCGCAACUUUACCCCUUUUUUUUGGAAAACUUAACUAUAAAUAAAGUAUACAAAUCUCUAAAUUAACUUUUUUCCCAUGAAAUUCAGCAUAAAUAGAAAUAGAAUUAUAGAAAUCUUACUUCCUUUUAUGAGAAAUCCAACUUAUAUAUUUGAGACCUCUCUCUCUAAGCACGCGCUUCCUCUCUCUGUAUACUUUCCACCUUUAAAUUCUCCUCAUUAAAUCUGUCUAAAUGAAUUUAGCAGUCUCCCAGUUUCUUUAGCAUUUUUCUCCGUGAAAAUAAGUGAAAAGCGAAAGUGAUUUGAUUAUUUUAAUGUAUGACAGAUCUGGUUUCCCAUCUCCGUAAUUUAAGUGUAUCAAAUUGUCGAGUCAGUCAAAUAUAAAAGACAAAUUACUAAACCAAGCAGAGCCAAAAAAAAAAAAAAAUUCCAAUUAAAUAAUCAUCAAGUCUUUUUCAAUUAAAAUAGGGAGUGCAGAACAACUGUCGAGAGAUAAUCAUUGUUUAUGGAGCCAUAUUAUAUUUUCGAUUAAAAUAUUUGCGCGUGAACAAUUGGCAGAAUUCGUAUAAAUUGUUGUAAGGUCUAUUAUAAUUAACAAGCGGAAUGGCCAAUGGAUGAAGAACCACUGUAAUUUCGUUUAUGAAUUUAAAAUGCUAAAGAAACUGGACAUCAACGCUAAAUGUUAGCCUGCGGUCCUUGCCUCAGUUUCUUUCAGGCGUUACUCUGGGUAGUUGAUAUACUGACCGUCCCUUUAUCAAUUAAUAAUCGAAAUAGGUUAAAAUAUGAAUGGAUUGGAAUGGUAUGACUUGGAAAUGGGAUGACAAUCAGAUUAAUUUAUUCAUUUAAACUGAGAAAUUAGAAUCAAAAUAAAUUAUAUUGUUAUUGAUAUAUUUACUUUAUCUUAAAAUUAUGAUAAGUUGUUACGAGUUAUUAAUAUGCCUUAUUUUUUAUUAUAAUAAUUAUUAUUUAUUAUAACAUUUUUCAUAUAAUAAUAAUAAUAAUAAUAAUAAUAAUUAAUAUUGAAAAAAUUUUAUUGUUAAUAAUAAAGUAUCAUUAGAGUACUAGACAAGCUCACCACGUCUAAGCUAAGUGAAGAAAUAGACUUCAUCAACAAAGCUUUUGUGAAUAUGCGUUACAUUACAACUGCGAUAUCCUUUCACUGUAUAUUCAUACAGUGGCAGGCCAUGUGACAUUGUGACCCAUGUGCUAGCUUUCACUAGUCAUAUUAUUUUUUUACACGGUGUUUAACAAAAUCUUCACGUAAAGAUUUCAGACGCGUGAUCCUAAUUCAAUAUGCAUUAUUUAUUUAUUUAUAAAAUGAAAAUAAAAAGAUAAAAGGAUGUGACUUAACUUGCUAUCAGUGCGGAUCCAGGACUUAAUAUUAUUUCGGGUUAAAUUUUAAAAUUUAUAUUUUGAAGUGAACAUAAAAAUUUAUAAAUAAAAAGAAGUAUAUUAAAUGAGGGGAGACAUGGAGAGCUUUAUCCCUAUGAAUAUGUAUUAUAAACAAAAAUAAUUAUAAGAAAAGAAUAGAAACCAAAAGGCAAUUCAAAUAUCAAAACACUAUUUUUCAAUUAUGAAAUCCGACAUUGCAACCUAAUAACAUGUAAUUAUAUAAGGAUUAAUAAAUCAAUUAAGAAUUUCAAACUAAAUUAGAUCAGUACAUGUAAUUAAAAUUAAUUAAAGAUUUCAAGUAAAACUUUUAUGUUUGAAGUCAAGUACUAAAUUACCAAGCUUAAAUAAAUUUAAAAAAUUAAAAUUCAUUCAUUCUUUCGAAUUAUAAAAGUAUCAUUAGUCAAAAGUUUUAGUAAUAAACUAAACUCAAUUCAACAAAAAGUUAUUUGGAUAUCGUUGUUUCAUUGCCAGUGCACUGACUUUCUUUAUAGAAGUAUAUGUUAAUGAUUCUUCUAUUAAAGCUCUUCAAAAUACCUAAAUUUUAUUUUCUAACUUCUUCUCGUAGUUAAUGUAACUAAUAAAUAGAAUCUGAAAAUUCACAUAAAAUAUUUAUGAAAAUGUUGAUAAUUGUUACUAUAUGUUGUUUUCGUAAGUACUUUUAAUGCUAGUAACGAUGUUAUAUUACAUUGAUUUAUAUUUUUUUCAAUUAGAAGUUUUUUAAAAUAAAUUAAAGCAAUAAUAAUAUUUUAGCUCCCUAAUGUUUUCAAUCUAUCCAAUAAGUAUAUAAUUUAAUCAUUUUAUAAAAUAAGUCACUAAUUUCAAUUGGAAAUAAUACAAUUGAAUUAGGGACAUAUUUGAAUAUAAAAUAAUAGCUCAAUUGUUAUACUAAAUUGAUGAAAAUAUAAGGGUAAUUGAGUUAGGAAAAUAUUUGAAUAUAAAGUAAAAACUUUAUUGUUAAACUAAAUUGAUGAAAACAUAAGAAUACUUGAGUUAGGGACAUAUAUGAAAACAAAAUAACAACUCUAUUAUUAUAAAAAAUUUAUAAGAAAACAAGGUGUAUAAAUGAUUUUUUCUGUUCUAGACCAAGCUACAGCCUAGUCUAGCCAGCUGUAGGUCUCCCACUACUUGCUAUUUACAUACAGACAUGUGGCCCUUAUUCUAAUAUCUAUAGGAAAAGACACCUAUACUCCAAGAUUUGAAGAAAGAUUUGAAGAAAUAGUCACGUAGAUCUCUAAGUUUUCAGUAACCACAAUUUCUCUUUGACUAUAAUAUUUUUUGUACUUAGAAAAAAAAAUGACUUUAGAUUUUUUUAAUAAAUAUAAAUAUAAGUUAAAUAGUUUAAUUUGUCUAAUAGACUAAUAAUAUUAGAAUAUUUUUAAUAUAUAAAAUAAUUUUUAAAUAAAAAAUAUUAUAUUUAUUUUAAUAAUAUAUUUUUAUUUAUCAUAAAAAUAUUAAAUAAAUCUUUGGGGUUAAAUAGAAUUUAAAAUUAAUAAAACACAUCUCAUUAAUAAAAUAUAUCUCAUGUACUAAUAAUAUUGAAAUUAUUUUAAUAUAAAAUUUAUUUUAAAAUAAAAAUAAAUUUAGAAUAUUGAAAAAUUUUAUAAAAUUUAUUUUAAUAUUAUGUUCUUAUUUAUUAUAAAAUUUAGUCUAAUAUAAUGUAAGAUUGUAAAGUAUAAAAAUAUUUUCCUAAAUUGAAGUUGUUUUAAAAUGUUAAUAUUUUAUGUUUAUUUCAAUAUUAUAUUUCUAUUUAUUAUAAAUCAUAGGAGUCAAUUUUUUUCAGUUAAUAGAAUCAAAGGGUAUUAUAGUCAAAAGAGGUAUUGGUAUUCCUUAUUAAAAAUUUAGGCGUCUACAUGACUAUUUCCCAAACCUUAGGGUGUAACUUUCUUUUCUCCAAAAUUUAUGAUUCUCUGUAGGUAUUUCAUGAAGGAAAACGAUAUUUACACUGAAUCAAAUCCCGAACUAAUUAAAAUGCACUAUUUCAGCUUAAAUAAUGGUAAAUAUUUGUUUAGUCUCUAUAUUUUGAAUUAAGUACCGUUUAGUCCCUCAAGACACCUUUUUCAGUAAGCACAAUAUAAUCCUACCCUUACUUUUUCUUUGAUUCUAUAAUAACAUGCUUGCAACAAUAUUUUUAGAUAUGUUAAUGUAAAGAAAAAUUUAAAUUUAUCAAAUCAGCCUUAAAAGAAAAAUACAAAUUAGUUGUUAUUAUUAUUAAUAAAAUAAUAAAAUAAUAAAAUAAUAAUAACAAUAAUUAACAUUAAUUAAAAUAAUAAAGUUAAUAUAUUAUAUAAAAAAUAAUAUUUACAUUUAUCAAUUUUUCAUGUGUUCAAAAUUUUUUAUGUGAUAUUACAUUAUUAUCUUUACACCAUCAAUCAUUUUUAUGAUCAAGUUAGGCUAAUGGAUCAAACUUUAAAAAAUUUAAAACAAUAGGAGUUAUAUAAAUAAAUAUUUAAAAAAUUUUGUUUUUAUGAUAUUAUAAUAAACGGUAGAGACUUAAGUGUUAAUAACCAAUUGAACACGUUGAACACUUUAGCUAUUAGAUCUGGCUAAAUUAGAAAAAGACAAAAUUUAGGGUACCGUGCAACUGUUGCAAGGUAGGCGGACCCGUUAUAUUUAAUAUAGAAUAAAUAAACUAAAUAUGUGUAAAGAAUCUAGGUUAGUAACCUUGCAAUACUUCAGAAAAUUAUAAAAUACAAAAGGUGAAAUUUCAAAAUAAGGAAUUGUAAAAAGUGUUAGGUUCUAAAAUUUUAUUAUUUUAAUAUUACAAAAAUUUACUUUUUUAUUACAUUUUUAUUUUUAAUAUUAGUUGACAUUUUAGUUUAUUUGUAUAUAAUAUAUGUUAAUUUACCUAUAAAAUACUAAUAUUACUCUUGAAAUUUAAAGAAGUCAUUUUAAUUUUUAAAAAUUUUAAAUGUAGCCCAACAAAGUCAUAGAAAUAUAAAUAAAGAAUAACAUAAAAGGAAGUUAAUUUAAUUUUUUUAAGAAUAUUUCAAAAGCAUUUGAGUUUUAUGUUUCUUGAGAAUUAUACCAUUUUUUUUUAGAUAUUUGAGCUUGUGAAACUUGUUGUAAUGAUAAUUUAUUAUUUAUUCUUGAUUAAAAAUAAUUGAAUAGUAAAUUUAUUGGCUUCUAAUUACUCUUUUAAAUGUAGGGUGGUUGCUUAAUUUUUAUUAUGUUUCCUUAAACUUUUUGAUGAUGGCUAAUCAACCAUUGCAAAAGACUCUACCUGAUUAUUGUUUCCUUAAACUUUUUGAUGAUGGCUAAUCAACCAUUGCAAAAGACUCUAGCAUGAUUAUUUUUACUUUCUCUACAUCCCUCUAGACCAUCAUCACUCAAAGAAUUAAGGGUUCACUUGGCAUACUGUAUUAUACUAUACUGUAUUGCAUUAUUUAAUAUGGGUAUAUUGUAUUAUGUUAUAUUACAUUAGUAAUAAAUUAUAAUAAUAUUUGUACAACAUUUGGUAAUUGGUAUUACAUUGUACUGCAUUAAUUUUAUAUUAAUAUUAAACUAACAUUAUUUAAAUUUAUUAUUAAUUAUAUUAAAUUAUUAUUUUUAUAUUAAUUAUUUUUAUAUAAAUAUAAUAUGAUAUAAUAAAAUAAUAUGAUAGUAUAAUUUACUUUUAUGUUUUUAUUUAUUAUAAUAAAAAUAAAAAUAUAUUUAAUGCUCAAUUAAGGUAAAAUAAUAAUAAUAACAAUAGUAUUACUUAAAAAAAAAUCUAUAAAGUUUAAUGAUGAUCAUGAUGUUGACGACAUUAAUAAUAACAUAACAAUUAAAAUAAUAAAACUAAUAAAUUUUAAUAAUGUUAAUAUUAAUAAAAUAAUAAUAACAAUAAUUAACAUUAAUUAAAAUAAUAAAGUUAAUAUAUUUUAAUAAUAGUAAUAAAAUUAAUAUUAAUGACAGUAAUAAAAUUAAUAAAUAAUAAUAUGACUUAAUUAAAAUAAUUAUAACAAUUAAAAUCAUAAAUUUUAACAAUAAUAAUAAUAAUAAUAAUAUUAUUAUUAUUAAUAUAAUAAUAAUGACAUUAAUAAAUAAUACUAAUAAUAACAUUCAAAUUUUUUUUAAAGCUAUUUUAUCCCAAAAAAGGGACUUAUAUAUAAAAUUUUGUAAAUUCUAGUGUCUAUUCAAAAUUUUCAUAAAAUAUAAGAUAGUGCAGUGUAAUUAAUAAAAAAAAGACAAAAUGAUAUGCUGCAACCGUUGCAACAUAUUUUCAUCCUUGUUUGUGAUCCUUAAUCAAUAAAAUAUCUGACAAUAUCUUCGCCAAAAGUUUAAGACAUGUGAUCCUUAUUCCACAGCGUCAAUGAAACUCCAGUCAAAUGCUGCCAUCAUUAUUGAACAGUCGAUAUCCAGCACGUGCACGAAGAUUCCAAGAAGUUGCAUGGCUAUCGACUUUUAGAUGCUAAGCCUCAUUGCGUUGAUGAUACACAAAACAGACGGUCAAGGUAAUUGCCAAAACUUAGAACUAAACAGUAGCUUAGUCAGAAAAUCAAACGCCAGUACCGGUAAAAUGACCGAUAAAAAUAUAAGGACAUAAAAAUUUUAAAGUUUUACUUUAUUGCUUUUUUAAUCUUAUUACUAUUUCUCCUUGCACUUCUAAAGAAACCAAAGCUUUAAAAGAAAUCAGCCAAAUCACAAAGAUUGAAGAGUAAAUCUAUGGUUUUAAAUUUUUAUUUUAUUUUUUUAGAUAAUAGAUAUUAUUUUGAUGAAUUUUUUAAUAUUAGAAUAAUGUUAGGAAUUCUAACAGUAGAAUUCUAACUUGGAACCCAAUUGAUAUGUGUCAUUUUUUCAUUGGAUAAUGAAUUUCAUCACUAGUAAAAUUAAUAUUUGGAUCAUCUAAUAAAUGACUACCAUAUCAAUUGGGACUCAAUUAUUGGGAUCCUUAAAAUUGCUCUUAGUAUUAUAUUGGACAUCUUAGCUAAAUCAAAUUAAAAAUUAAAUUAGAUUUUAGGCUUUAUUCAACAUCUCUUUUUGUCUUUUUUUUGGUCUAUUUGAAGUGAACGAAAUAAAAAUACAAUAGGGUCAACGACUGGGCAAUUGAUAGUCAAGUAGAAGCAAAUCAAGGCUAAAUGGGAAAGAGAAAUUAUAUUAGUGCAAAACAAGGAGAAAAACAGUGUAACAGAAGAGAAUCAAAGUGCUUUUGAGAUCAGAAAUUGAAACAAGAAAAGGGUCGCUUGAUCCAAUGAAAAUGCAAAGAGCUGACGGCAAAAGGGAAUAAAGUUAAAUAAGAAAAUAGCUAGCGCUAGCAGCAACCACAAUAAACAGAAAAUUUGAGAUGGAUUUACAAUAUUUCUGCCUUUCUUCAUGCUUUAACAAAUAUUGCUUUAUAAAAAAAAAGAAAUUGAGCGUUUUUAUUAUUGGAGUCACAAAAGACCUACACAAUAUAGCAAGUGACUGGGAAUAAAUAAAAAUAUAUAACUGAUAAGUGCAUAUUUUCCAUAUAUUUUGUUAUUAAUUUCUCCAUCUUUUUCUUGAUUUGAUCUUAAAUAUUCUAGUUAUUUUAGUUAAUUUUUAAUUAAUUGUAUUAUUUUAUUGAAUAGGGAAUUAAUUGGAGAUUGUGGAUAAAAAGGGCAUGAAGAAAUUCAAAUUGAGAAGGAAUAAGGAUUAAAUUGGAAAAGGAUUUCAAUUAGAAUGGAAAAAGGAUUUCUUUAUUCUUGUUGGAGAAGAAUUCGGUCAACUAGCUUUAUAAAAGGGGAGCUGCUGGAUGAAAAAAAAGGAGGAGAAUAUUCGGCAGCCAAGAGGAUUUGAGGAACUAGCAGCCGAAAGAAGGAAAAGCAAGGGAGAAACCGAAAAGGAAUUGAAGAAAAAGGCAGCUGCUUGAAUUAAUCUCCAUGAUUGGUUUUGUCAAUUCUCUUAUUUCCAAUUCAAUUAUGUUAGGCUAGAUUUUUAUUUGGUUGAGGGUGAAUUCAAAACCCUAAACAUGCUAUGCAAUUAAAUUUAAAUUCUAUCAUUUAAUUUAUUUAAUUGAGAUUGUUUAUGUUCUUCUAUAAUUAAUGUUCAUGGUUUGUUCUUGUUUUAUUUGAGUGGCCAAUUAGAUAGGACUUGAAUAAAUUUUAUUGCUAGAUUAAAAUUCUUGAUCCGUAAUUAUCUUGAUAUUUUAAUUAUUAGUAACAUGUUGGAAUUAGUGAUUUCAAUUAAAGAACAUAACCUAGGUUAAAUAAUCCGAGCUUGUGUGUUUAUUGCCUAGAUCAACCUAAUAUCUUUCUCUGUUUAAUGCUUCCAUUAUCUUAAAUUUAAAGAGCUUGUUUUAAAUUAUUUAAUGGUUAGAGAUUAGGUGAAGAGCUUAUUUUGCCUAACGACACACUAAGGAAAGAUUGAGACUAACAGAGCUUAUUGUUGUCUACGGUUGAUAGUUUUAAUAUAAAUUAAUGAUAGAAUUGAUAUAUUAUGUGCAUGUUUGGUGGUGGCGAAUGAUCCUUUAACCAAAGUUUUCAUCAUUAAUAUUUCUUUCUCCUUUAAUUAGAGUUUUUAUUAAAUUCUUGUUCGUAGUUUUAAUUUCUUUACUUCUUACUAUUUAGUUAAAAAUUCAUAAACCCCCUCUUUUAUUUAUAAUUGGUAAUUUCCUUAGUUAGAUUAAUUUAUAUUAUUAUUACUACUAUUAUUUUAUUUUAAAUCUUGCUUUAGAGUUGAUAAUAAAUAUAACUACAUAGUCUUUGUGGGAUCGAUCCUUACUCGCUCUGUACUAAUUAUUUAUAUUAGUGGUAAGGUUAUAAAUUUGGUGCACCUUAACGACACUACCAAAUUUUUGUAACUCUCUCUCUAAUUCUCACUCUAGCUUUUAAUUGUCACUCAAAACCCAGAAUUCAUCCUUAAAGUGUAAGCAAAUCAGAGAUGACAACGUCUGGCUGUCAUACGUGCCUUUUAGUUUUCGGAUGACAUGGCGUACACUUCUUCUGUAAACCGAACACGACAUGUCGUACUCUUUGUUUUGAGAUCAUAUUUCAAACUCUUCAUGCUAUGAAUGAAAGAUAAACUACAAUCAUAAACAUAUUUAGUGUUUAUUUGGUAAUGUAACGUUAUAGUUGUUGUGAAUUGAAAUUAUUUCUGUAAAAUAAAAGGAAUAUUUAUAAUAGUAUAAAAGGAAUAUUAAUAGAGGAUGUAUUAAUAUAAAAUUUGUUUAUUGGUGUUGAAGUUAAUUAUCUCAUUAAUAAUACUAUAAAAAUUUUAAUUACUAAGAAACACAUAGCAGUAGUUAAUUGGUGUCAUAUUAUUGGGAUUCAGGGAUAUAAUUUUAUAUCAUAACUUUGUAAGUGUAUAAUUACUCAUUAAAUUAAGAAAAUUAUUUAAAAAUAUUUAGUUGGAAAAAAUAAAUUAUAUUCUUUUUAUUUCAAAUAAUCUAUAAGUUAACUCAAAACAUAAUCAAGCUGAGAAUUAAAAUAAUGCUACUAUAUGAGAGGAUUUUUAUUUUUUCCCGAAGUUUCACUAGGAAAUUAUUGAUAUAUAGCUUUAUUCGGAUCAUCUCAGUUCAAACAACAAAUAAUUGAAAGACUAAGCUAAAUAGACCAGCCAACAACUUUGUGCAAGAGAGUUCAAAAAUUAAGGUCAUGGUAUUGAGGUGUUCUGUCUUGAAAAGUACAGCAUAGUGAUAAAAUAAAAACUAUUAAUCUAUGGUAAGGUAUGACUUUUAAAUAAUAAUUUUCACAAAAAUACAAAGAAUAUUUAUAAAGUACUUCUAUAGUGAGGAGAUCCUUACUUUGUUAAAGUAAAAAUAUCAAUAAUAUAAAAAAACAUAUAUUUUAACACAUUAAGAACUGUAUUUUCUUAAUCUAUUGGUGUAUUGAAAUAUGUGUUAUUUAGUUUGUUAGUGACAUCAUCACUUUGUUAAAAUAAAGAUGUCGUCACUAGAGAAUCAUUAUAUAUACAUAUAUAUAAAGUGUUUCUCUCCAAAACCUAGACUUUAUUAAAAUUUAAGAAAGCAAAUAUAUUUUAUAUGGUAUAAUAGUGUAAUAACAUCACACAAUUAUAUCAUAUAGAGUAAUAGUUUUUGGAACUUUAAUAAAGUUCAAGAUUAUAGAAUGAAUGAUUUAUAUAUAUUAUAAUUUUUUUAUCAUAGAGUGGAGGACAAAAUUAACAUAUUUUCUAAAUUAUAAUAAGUAAUUAUCAAAUAAUUUAACAUUGUAUUUCUCCUAACUAGUAUAGUAAAUAUGACCUAGGAGGUACAUUCAAAGCAUUUCAUAAGUUAGUUGUUAAUAAUAAAUGAUACAUGCAGCUCCAAUCAUCAUUGUACGGUGAGUAAUUUCCAGUUAUAAAUAGAUAUUACUCCCUUCUCAGCAAUUUUUUAUGGCUUAAUUUAGUGGGAUCAAAUCAAAAUCAACAUUGAAUAGUCAAAAUAUUAAUGACCAAACAGACCCAGAUAGAAUAAUAUUAAAUGUAGUUAUCUCAAACAAGAUAGAAUAAUAAUUGAUAAGGUAGGUGUAUGAGUGUGUGUGAUGUGUACUCUUUAUGCCAUUGUGUAUAUAUAUAUAUUUGUUUUUUUUUUCUAUUUCGCGUGGUUCCACCAUGCAUAAUUGAAGGGCUUCAAAUUCUUAAACGUUCGGUCACCGAAAUUGAAAUCCCAAUGGAACAAGUAAUUAAGCAUGUUAAUUCAACAAGAUUCACUCCCUUUAUUACUUAAAAGUUAUUUUCGCUUUUGAUAUUGAUACUUAUUUUUACAUUUGCAUGCACUAGGGCAGACGCGAAGCUAAAGGUGGGCUAACCCAGGCAGCAGCCUCGGUUAGCUUUUUGAAAAAAAAUAAUUAAUUAUAAUUUAUAAAUUUAUUUUAUUAAUAUAUAUAAAAAAUAAAAAUAAAUCUAAUAUUUGAUAAUAUUUUUCUUAUUUACAUUGUAUUUUUAUAAUUUUAUGGUUAGAUUUUUAUGUAUAUAGUGUGCUUAAUUUCGUUUAUAUAAAACAAAUUUUUUGAAAAGUAAAUUUCAUUUUUUAAAAAAAUCUAGCCCACCCAAAAAAAUACGCUAGCUUCGCCACUGCACUAGGGACAUAUUAAUCAGGUGGGUUAUAUUACAACCAGAGGAUUUAAAUUUGAUUUAAGAUAUGUGGGGUCUGCUUUUGGAUUUAGAAAAUUUGCCCAUUAAGAGUUGAAACCAAGUGACCUACCGUUAGAUUAGAUUAAUAGUGAUUUCUUGUAGUAAACAUUUGUGAAUUUGAAAUAUGUGAAUUCUAUCCUGGUGAUACAAAACAAGCUUCUUGUACACGAGAACUAUUUGUUUUUAUGAUUUGGAAACCAAUCUAUAAAGAUGAAUUAAGUUGGCAUAAUGGUACAAAGCAACUUUAAUUUUUCAAUAAAUUCAAAAGUUGGCAGGUUGGUUGUGAUUAUUAUCUUUUCUUUUUUACUAUUUAAACUACAAUUAAUUGAAUCCAAAGACUAAAGGGUUGGAUCGAGAAGAAACUAAUUUUAAGUAGACAUUCCGGCGAAAAUCACUCCCAUGAUCGAGACACUCAUGCAAUCAAUACAAAAAAUGGACACAAAAAUUGUCUACUUAAGUUUGGUUGAAUGAUUUUAAAAAUAGUUUUAUUUGUUUCACACUCGAAUUUGUAUUUUGAAAAAGAGUGGGAGUUAAAAAUUGAUUUACACUUUAUCAAUUACUCUAUUUUAAAAAGAAAUAAAUAUUAAAAAAAUAAAAACAUUAAUUUCUUGUUUGUUUGUACUUACCAUUGUAGGAUAAAUAAAGUGGUUGACAAAAAUUAGAUAUCUUAAAAAUAAAUUCUAAAUUUAUAACUAAUGUAUAAUGAUUUCAAUUCACAUGUUUCAAUCCCAAAUAAAUUCUCCUUUGGUUAUUUGAAUCUUAGCACGGUAAGAUUUCAUUCUCUUGUAUGCAUUUGUGUAAACUUCUCCCUUUACCUUUAUCAUUUUAUCAACUGUAUUGAUUGCCAAACAACUUUAGGGUUUAGGCAUGAAUCACACAAGGGAAUGAUAUUGUGGCAAUUUUUUCCCCCUUCUUUCUUCUUUUUGAAAAAAAAAAUUAAUUAUAGCUUUGCUUUGAUGGGUAGAAGACUAGAAGACCAAUUAAUUUCUUUUUGUUGCGUGGUGAUAAUAAUGGUGAAAAUUGCUAUGUGCGUGUUGGUGAUUGCAUUGCUAAUCACAUAUUGCUUCCCAUCAUGGAGACAAAGGGGACCCCUCUAUCAAAGCUAGCUGUUGAAAUAUCAUACCCAAAAUCACAUGAAUUCAAAGGUUGAAUGGGAAAACGAUCUUGCUUCUUUGUAUGUUUUAUUUUAUUUAAAGACUUAUUUUUCCCAUAAGAGAUAAGCUUGGAUCUAUCUUUCCUUUUAAUCAUUUUAGCCUCCAACUCCCAUCUUUUUCAAAAGUUUCGUUUAGCCCAUUUUGAAUGGCAAGGUAAGCUUCAAUCAACGCUACAAGUUCUAGUGAUUCCCGUCAAUAUUCGAUUGCAUGUAUGUAGCUUUGAAUGCUCAAAUUUAUUUUAUUUAUUAGUUGUUAUCACUUAUCAUUUUCUUUUUAAUAAUGAGAUUUGGGCAUUUUCUUUUUAAUAAUGAGAUUUGGGUCCCUAGAUGGUGAUUAGCCAACAGUCUAGUUAUGAGAAAUUAAUGUCUUAAUUACAAUGACAAAAAAAGGCAAGUGGGGAUCUCAUUUGCCAUUAGGUAACACAACAUCUUCAGCAUUGGAGCUUUUCUUCCUUUCUCUCCUUCUUUCUUUCUUUCUCAAAAUAAUUGAAAAUCUAAUGCAAUACAAUUAAAUUGAUCAACGAUCUAAUUUAAUCAAUACAUUAUAUUAAGAUAUUUAAAAUAAAAUCGGUUCAAAUGGAAUGAGAAAUUCUACUCACAAAAUAACAACAUUUAUUCCCGAAUUCAAAUAACCUUGGAUUCCAAAUGCAUUCAAGACUAGCCAGGCUGCAUAUCCAAGAAGAAAACAAAAUCAAAACUUUAGCCACAAACAUAUACGUGUGUGUGUAUGUGUGUGUGUAUAUAUGUGUGUGUGUGUCUGUGUAUAUAGAGAGAGAGAGAGUUCUUUCACUAGGUUCAUUUGCGUGAAACUUUUUGAUCAUUUAGGUUUAAGACUAUAUCAUAUAUCCUAUUGCAUGAACAUUGAUUAAUAUGAAUGAGUCAAACCCACUAAGCUUGUAACAAAAUCUUUUCAUAGUUACUAGAGAAUAUUUAUAUUUUUUUCAAACAUUAAUAAAAUUAUUGAAUUGCUUUAUUUAUAGUAUGUAUACAAUUAAUAGUGUAUGGAUUUUUUUAUCUAUUGGUAUAUUGAAAUAUGUGUUAUUUAGUUUGUUAGUGAUAUCAUCACUUUGUUAAAAUGAGAAUGUCCUUACUAGAGAAUCAUUAUAUAUACAUAUAUAAAGUGCUUGUGCUUCUAUCCAAGACCUAGAUUUUAUUAAAAUUUAAUAAAGCAAAUAUAUUUUAUAUGGUAUAAUAGUGUAAUAACAUCACACUAUUAUAUCAUAUAGAGUAAUAGUUUUUCGAUUUUUUUAAAGUUCAAGAUUAUAGAAUGAAUGAUUUAUAUAAAUUAUAAUUUUUUUAUCAUAAAUGGAGGCGAAAAUUAACAUAUUUUCAAAUUAUAAUAAGUAUUUAUCAAAUAAUUUAACAUUGUAAUUUCUCCUAACUAGUAUAGUAAAUAAUAUGACCUAGGAGGUACAUUCAAAGCAUUUCAUAAGUUAGUUGUUAAUAAUAAAUGAUAUAUGCAGCUCCAAUUAAUCAUCAUUGUACGGUGAGUAAUUUCCAGUUAUAAAUAGAUAUUACUCCCUUCCCAGCAAUUUUUGAUGGCUUAAUUUUGUGGGAUCAAAAUCAACAUUGAAUGUCAAAAUAUUAAUGGCCAAACAGACCAGCUGCCAACAACUUAUUCCAAUGUGAGUAGUUCACAGUGGGUACUGCACAUGAUGCUUGUUUCUCCUUUUGCAUCUAUUUUUGUUGUUAACAUUAAUUUCAAUAGCAGCUCUUUAAUCCCAAUUGUUGAUUUGGGACUAGAUAAGAAUUUAUCUUGGAACUCCAAUUCUCCCAAUUAUUUUAGUUGACAAUAUGUUUAACAUUAUUUUUUUAACAUUAUUAAUUACAUAUUAUUUAAUUAUCAGUAUAUAAUAUUCUUUAAUUUUCUAAUUUUAUAGGAUUAGACACAAAAUUGAUUAUGCCUUUUGAAAUUUAAGGGUUAUGUCAAUUGAAUAGAAAACUUGGAGUUAAACUUGUGGAUGUUUUUGUUGAUUAUCAAUUUAUGCAUGAAUUUUUGUACGUUUAUUUGGCUUAUUAUUAUUACUUUUAAACAUUUUUAUUGGUUUGAUUUAGGGUCAGUUUGGUAAUUCUAUAGCUUUUAAAAUAAUUACAGUUAGCUAUGCUGUAGAAAUUGAUCAAUCGUCAAGAGAAUCAGCUGAACAUUUAGUAAAAUUUAUUUUUAAAAGUACUUUUAGUUUUAAAAGCGUCGCAUGUGUUUCGUAAGUUAUAUACAUUGCUGAUUCUAUAUUAAUAAUGUUAUGUUCUAUUUUCAGAAAUUAUAAUACAAAAGUUUUUACAAUGGCGUGCAUCUACAAACUGAAUUGACUUGUAGAAUAAGAGCUUGGAGUAGUGUUAUGUUCUUGAAUAAAUGAAAGUUCAUAUGGUGUAAGAGCAUGUAGAUGUAAAGUGUCAUUACCAUUUCUAUAAAGGACUUUCAUUCUGUUCGGAUGCUCCUCUUGAACUCUGAAGGGUGCUUCAUUCAUAACACACAUAAUUUAUGCCAGGGAAGAGAAGAUGCCAAAAAAGUUGAAGGUGAUCAUUCAUAACUUUUCAGAAAGUUGUUGCAAAACAGAAAUCACCCAUCACGAUCGGUCGUACAAGUGUCUGCUACGAGUGCAGCAAAACGUUUGUCACGCUAGUUGUGCUAAAUGGACCUCUCCUGUGUGCCUCUAAAAUCAAUGCAUGUGAUCAUGUCGGUGAUUCAAUGGCUGGUGGGGAUGAGUCCACUCAAAUUCUGAAACUAAUCAGGUGAAAUAUAAACCCUUUUUGUCUCCUUCUUUAAUUGUAUGUUUUACUAUCCAUGUUUUACCCAAAAAAAUUGUAGGUUUACACUUUGCAAUCAAAUUUUGUAGUUGUGCUUUUUUCUUGCUUUUAUCCUAAUAAGCAAAAAAUCUAAUUAAUCCUAAUUAAAGGUGUUUUAAAAUUUAAAUAGAGAAAGUACCAUUGAGAUUUGAGAGAAAAUGAAUCGAUUGAUUUACUUCACAGUAUGAAUACACAGAGAGUUCGCUUGCUUUAUAUGCAGUAAUCUAACCAACUUGUUAACUAAGCUACUAUUCCCAGCAAAUCAAGCUAACCAAUCCCACUACUCAGCUUGUCUACUACAGAUCACAGAACCACUUGGGCUGAGCCGUAAUUCCAUGUCAUCAGUCUGUGCAACAACCUCAUUGAUCACUUGUUGUGCUGACUAUCGAACAACAGUGUGCCUCUUUAACAUAAUAGACUAAGCUCGUAUGCAUAGGAAUGGAUCUUUUAUUAUUGUCAUUAACUAUCUGUCCCUAAGGGUUUGGUUGAGUGAUUUAUUCCUUUAGUUGGCCCUCCCAAUCUUUUGGAUUGUUAUUGUCAUUAAAUAUCGGUCCCUAACUGCGUGAUGUAAGUACUUUCUAGAAGAUAUCUAAAUGGUAAAGCGACAUUACCAUUUCUAUAAAGGACUUUCAUUCUGUUCAGAUGCUCCUCUUGAACUCUGUAAUUCAGAUCCUAGCUAUAACUACUAGCUUUGAUUAAUUAAUUUCCUGUACUAGCUGAAACAGAUUUAUUUAUUUAAAUAAUUGUGUAUGUACUAAUUAUAAUGAAAGUAUAUGAAGAAAUUUUUUAACAUGAAUGACUUCUAAAUGACUUAAAAACCUAAACAAAUAAUGCUCAUUUCACUUGAACGAGCCUAUUAAUACUUGUAUGUCUAUGAUUUUUAAUAUUGGCUUAAGCGUUUCAGUUAAAUGGUUUACAUAAGAGGGAAAAAAAUUUAAUGGAAAACUUUAGAGUUCUAACAGAAAUAUAAUUGACUAUGCAGAUAUAGUUAUUUUAUGGUAUACAAAUCAUGUUGCCUUAAUCUCAAUGUCCUAUGACCUAUUUUAUUUUAUAUAGUCAUUCCUUUUGGCCAUGGCUUUUUGUUUUUAUGAGUACGGAAAUAGUGGGAUUUGGUGUAUCUUAGCAUCUUUGGAAAAUUCUCUUUAAAUGUGGCAAACAAAAAUAUACAUAUAAUCAAGUUUCUUAAUCAACUAUCAUAACUGGCUAGCUAGUUCUUGCCUGCCUUGCUGCCAUUACCCAGGCCAUUACAUUGCAUAGCAUAAGGAAUAGUGAUUAGGUGAUUAUUAGUGACUCGUUGAGCUUAUUAUUGACCAAACAAAUAUAUUUGCCUUUACCCACAACUUAGUUUGAUUAGUUAUUAGACCAUAAAGAGCGUAAAUCUGUUCAUUGGCUUUGUUAUUUUUGUUUGGUUUUUCUUUCAACAAUACUGUUAAUUUCUUAUAAAAAUAUUCAUUGGUUUUUAAACACCUAAUCAUUGGCUAUAAUGAAGCUAAUUGAAACUGAGGCUUUGGAUCAAUUCCUUCUGGCAAGAUACAAAUGAGCAUAACCUAUAUCCUCUAAGUAAAUUUUUCUAAUAUGCUUGAUUUGUUAGUAUCCGGAGGCUUGAAUCCUCUAGAUUUUUUUAACACUGUCAAUGUUCUUUUUACUCUGAAAAGGGAAAAAAAAGGUUAUAUCUUUCAUACCCUAAUAAUAAGUUGUCCUUGACUUAACAUGCCUUCCUGAGGAUUUGCAAGAUUCACAAGCAGCUCAACAACACCCCCCCCCAAAAAAAAGCAAAUACGAAGAUUUUGCAAGAUUCACAACCAGGUUAUAUUUAAUUUAUUAAUUGUGUGCACGUACUAGUUAUAUGUUGAAAGAAUAGGAAAAAGUAUUUUAACAUGAAUGACUUAAAACUUAUUGCUCAGUAAACUUAAUCUGCAUCAGUGCUAGAUAAUGUAUUUAUUGUUUGUAUUUUUUAUGGAUUUGCUUAAGAAAUGAUAUGCGAAAUAAUGCUAUAUUGUAUUAGGAAUAAAUUGAAGAGAUUUAUGAUAUUUAUGUGUUUUUAAAUUUCAGAUUGAAUUUUAAACUUUCAAUACAUGCAUUGAAAGCUUAGAUCGUUUAAGAAAUUAUUAAUAGACACAUGUUUUAUUAGUGUCAUCUUUGGAUGAUAGCGAGGAUCAUAUGUCUAUUAAUAAUUCUUGAAUUGUCUAGGCUUGAACUGUUUGGGAAUGCAUAGUUUUCUACGGUGGCUAGUAGCUGAAGUUUUUUUCCCACGUAAAAAUGGGUUUUUCGCUAGCUACUUCUCAUCUUCUUUGGGUGCAUACUAGAUAACACAUACACACUCAUAUAUCUAUGUCGUGUGCUAGGAGAACUAUUGGGAGAUGCUGCCGAAAUUCCUAUAAACGUAGAAGAAAACUUUAAAGUACUUGAGAUUGAAGAGACUUAUGCAUUCUUGAGAGGGAUAUAUGGGACCACUUACCUUUUGUAAAUAUGAAGGGAGUGUUGGACAUAUUGAUGGGAGUGAAGGAGCUGAGUUGGAUGGAUGUAAUUGGUUAUGGUUUUGCUGAGUUAACUUGGUUUUGACCUAGUAGUUUUGUUUAUAAAUGGAGUACUAUCUCCAAUGUUGGUUUAUAAAUAUGUUUCAGCUGGCUGACCUAAUUUUUUGUUUCUAGGUAACAGGCUUUAUAUCUGUAAUUGAUAGCCAACCGAAGUUCUCAGCUGUGGGUGAGGAUAUUUCUUUACAGAAGGUAUUGGAAACUGUUUUUUACAUUAAUUAUUGUGGUAUUUAUACUUGAAAAUCUUUUUCUCUGAUUCUUGUCGCUUUGCUUGCUUUCAUAUGUAUAAAUUCUAAUGAAAUUAACCAUAAAAUUGUAUAAUGAUUUUUUUUAAUUAUAUUGCAAAACUGUGCACACACGAAAAUAUCUUGGUCAUUAGUAGAAAUGAAGAACUAAAAUGAUUUAUCUAACUAAUUUUUGUAGUGCAUUAAAAGGAGAUGAAAAUGGAGAAGAGUUGGGUUGGUUUGGCAAAUAGAUAUCCAAGUUAUAGAUUUUGUAUUUGAGAAUGUUGUUGGUAAUGCAAGAAUUUAUUAUCCUUGUAAGGAGUGUCGAAUAUUUUGUUUUAAGGGAAGUAUCAAGAGACCAUAUCAUUAUAAAUGGUUUUUGGUUAAAAUAUUAAAACUGGAUAUUGCAUAGUGAGCCAUCUUCAUCUUUGGAAUCUAGCCAAGAAACAAGUUGGUCGUGACUCAGGUGCUGAUGAUGAUAUGAUUGGAAUGAUACAUGAUACAUCACAUAAUCAAAUGUUCAAUUCACACGCAGCAUUGUUAUGGACUAUCAGUGACUUUCUAGCAUAUGCCAACUUGUUUGAGUGGAGUAUUAAAGGUAAAUAAGCAUUUCUUGUUUGCCAACAAAACACUAGAUCUAAUUGGUUGAUACAUAGUCGAAAAUUUUGUCACGUCGGUAAUGUCGAUUUUUACCGACGAAUCAUAGGUUUUGAAAAUAUAGUGCCUUUUGAUAAAAGUAGAGAGUGGGGACAAGCACCUUCUCGGAUGUCUGGAGCUGAAGUGAAAAAGCAGUUGAGUAAUAUACUUACUGAGUUUAAGAUUGAAGACUUGAAAAGAGGAGAAUGAGUAAAAUGAGAGAAAUGAUAAGAUUACUUGGAAGAAGAAAAGCAUAUUUUAUGAACUACCGUGUUGGGAGUCCAAUUUGAUUCAUCAUAAUCUUGAUCUCAUGGGCUGUUUUGAUUUUUGUUAUGAACUCUGAUCAAAAGUUUAAUUUGAUCAAAAUUUCUUAAAAAUAGUGAAAACGACUCCUCCUAAUAACAUGGACGAUGGCUAUAACAGAUAAAAGGAAAGGAUUAAAAAGAAAAGCUAUGCCUGUUAAAAAAAGAAAAAAAAUUGGUGGCGUCAAGUUUAUAACAAAAAUUAAAACGGUGCGUUUGAGAGUGUAUAAAAUACAUUUAGAAUGGGAGCUGUGUUGUUUUUUGAAGGUAGAAUGAUUGUGAGAUAUUUGUCGACGAAGCCGAAAUCAAAGAUGAAGCCCAUAGAGCUCAAAACUCCACCAGAGCAAACUCAAGACAAUUAUUGACAUAGUCAAUGAUUGUAUUUGACAUAGUCAAGGAACAGGGUCCUCUCACUGUUGUCGAAACAUGGGAACGCGUCAAGGUGUGUGCAUCUGAUUGAGUGUGUUUUACAUUCAAUGAUCACUGAUCAUAAUACUAGUAGUUGUUUUACAUUUUCAGCAAGCAGGAGCGAGUGGAUUGACGGGCAAAAGCCACAUGAAGAUUGAGUGUGUUGAGUAAGCAAAUCCUGUGCACAAGUUGGUUCACCAAACCCAACAACUUGAAGCAACCAAAAUCAGGGAAUGAUCCUUCUCCGUGAUGGAAGUAAAGCACCAGUGAUGGAAGCUCCUCAGCAUGUAAACUUUUCAACAGUAGCACAGCUCUUAUUCCAGAGGCUGCACAGAAGAGCGACCUGAAUCCUCUUCAAAACUUUCAAAUUUUUAUCAAGUAAAGCUUUCAAAAUUUCUCAGCAAAUAGAUUAUUCAAAUGAAAGAAACACAAGGGAGUGACCUGAAUCCUCUUCAAAUCAGGAAAUUUAUUGCAUAAAUUACAAGAAGCAGUACACACCAAUGGUAAAUUGAUAAAUCGUUUUUUAACUUAAUAUAGUCAAAUGAAAGAAACACAGCGGAGGGUUAAUAUAACACUUUCAAAGCUGCAUUAGUAAUACGUUAAAGUGAAUACCCUCAGCAUGUAAACUUAACUUCAAAGGACGGAGCACAAGUUUCACAGAAAAGUAGCUCUUAUUCCUGAUGCUGCAAACACAGAGGAGUGUCCUCAAUCUUCUUCAUAACUUGGGAAUUCUGCAAUUAUAGAGCACGACAUUGAGCAUGAACUAUAAAAAAUAUUUAUUUUCUACAAUUUUCAUAUAACCUGACUAACCAAGAUUAAUUUUGUGGUAAUGUAUUGGGUCAUUAAUUCAUAUGUUUUUACUGUCAUCACUUUAGAAAAAACUAAUUUCUCAAUGUGAAAUGGCCCAUAAAAAGUAUUCUCAUUUAAAAACUAAAUUUGACAAACCCCUCGAUUAAAGCAGGGGAGAGAAAAGAAAAAAAAAAGAUCUGAAGGCUUUCCACAUGAAAAUGUUGUCACUUUGGAUGAUAUUUUCAAGGGAUUUCAUUCUAAAAAUAAAAUACCUGGGACCUUAUUCUUCAAAUUGACAGCUAGCCCAGUACUAAACGCGUAUGAGAUCAGUACUGUACUGUGACAAGUAACGAGACGACCCCUCCAACAGCUGAAAAUAUAAUUCGGAUUCAUCAAUUUAAAUUAAAAUUCAUAUUAUGAAAUAAAAACUAAUGAUUAAUGAAUUUUCGAGGAAUUUAAUAAGAUUCUCAUAUAUAAACGUGAUAAAAAAUUCUCUCGUCAAUAACAAAUAUUCUAACAGUUACCCGUACCUUUUCUUGAUGUAAUUGUUGUAUGAUUGUGUUAAGGUCAUUAUUAGACCAACGCCGUUUGUCCUCACUCCUUCCGUACCAGACGUUUACUCUCGGAGGCGUGCUUAAUUCUCCUUUGGUGAAAAUCUUCAUCUUGGGACAACUAAUCACCCACAAAUCUUGCAAAGAUGGGAAUUUGAAGGCGUAAUUGCCAGAGGAGAAGCUUGUGAGGCUGUCUAAAUCAAACAGGGACAACGUACUCAAUUUGCUGAAAACAAUCUCUUCUUCUAUAUUUGCUGUUUCAUCUUCGUCACUUAUUACGACUUCUGUGAUUGCUCUGCAUCCAAAUACACCCAAUGAUACGAGUCGCUCUAGACUUUUUGCUGUGGAGGAUGUUAGUAAGUUCAUCAAUUUCUUGCAAGCAAAAGCUUGCAGGCGUGUGAGAUUCCGAAAAGAUACCGAUGAUGAUGGCAAUAGACUUAACAGAUUUUGACAGUGAAAUGCUCUUAGAGUUUGAAGAUGUUGAAAAAUGAAGUCCGGCUGCUUGGAAUCGUGUUUCCAUAGUUGCUGCAGACGAUUAAGUCUGGUCAGGUCUAACCUUUUUAUCAGUGCCAGCUUCCUCGCAUGUGUCUCCAAAUAUCCUUCAUUUGAAAAUACCACUUCGUAUGAACAAUCCGACAGGAAGAGAAGUUCCAGAUUGUGAAACUUCUCAAGUAAACCAAGUGGAAAGCAAGCUAAGUCAUCAUCCCGAACCCGUAGUCGUUGAAGACUGCCAAAGAGGUGUUGUGGGAAAUCGUCUUGCAAAAUCAUCGUGAUGUCUUUUCCACUUAAUGCCAGUCCCUCCAAGUUGGGUAAGAUCUGAUCAUCAUCAAGCACAAAUUAUUAUCUUAGCACAUUGAUCCCUAAUUCCAGACUGGCAAAAUUCAUUGUGUAAUCAAAGUUUCAAUGAUCUAACUAACAUAUAUAUAUAUAUAUAGGUAUUUAUUAAAAUUCAUUGUGUAAUGCCAAAUCUCGUCGACAUUAAUAGCAUUCAGCUCCAAAGCCUCCAAAUUUGGCAACACUGCCUAAAGAUAAUUUUCUCUUUAGAUCCAAUAUCCAUAUAAGAAGUGCUUAUUGAGAGCUUAAUUAGUGAGUGUAUGAGAUUUUUUUUUUCAUUUUCUUUUUCUAAAUGAUUUUUUUUUUUUUUUUUUUUUUUUUGCACAUAUAGCAUCAAAUGCAAGUGCAUGAUAGAAUAAAAAAAAUGCAAUAUCCAUAUGAAAAACACUUGUGUGGGCCAAUUUGGUAUUACAGUUGCUGAUUAAAUAAAUUGCUUCUGCUGUACGGAUGUAAUAAGUAAUUGAUUAAAAAAGCAGGUAGGUGUUUGGUGAAUUAUGUUGUUUCAGUUGAUAUGAGUUUGAAAAGCAGCGUACAUGCGUUUGGUAAAUUUUAUUUUAAACUUGUUAUUUUAUCAUAUAAUGACCAAAAUAGACAUAAGUUUAAAUUACCUUUUAUUUUUUUGAAGUAUGUUUAAUAAUGUUUAGAUGUGUCAUUUUCUUUUUAAAACACGUAAAUUAUAUUAAGUGAAAAAACUUAAUAAUUUCUUACAUAAAAUACGAUAAAAAUUUAUACUAGUAUAUAAUCCAAAUAAAAUAAAAAAGUAAUAUGUAUUACUUUCAAAUUAAACUUGUUGCAAUAAACACCAUGACUAUAGAAAAAAUAUAAAUAUAUUGAAUGUUAAAAGCUAUGGUUAUGAAAUUGAUUUUUAAAGUUAUGAUUAAUUUUCAUGUAUAGUUCAAAAAAAAUUUAUAUAAUUACAUGCAAGUCUUUUUAAAUUUUAUUAUAGAAAAUACAAGUAUAAAUUGUAUAAUAUAAAAAAAAAUAUGAACUUAUUAGAUCAAAACUUUGAUAUUAGAGAGAAUAUAUAGUAGUUGUGGUGGUAAUAUGAUAUCUGAUGACUUAUAUAUUAGAGUGUAUGGAAAUAUAUGACAUAAUUAUCUUUGUUAAAAUAUUAAUAAGGUUAUGAUAGGAACUUUAAAAAGAUAUGGUAGCUUAUUUAAUAAGCUGCUCAUGAAAAGCAAUCUCUAUCUGCUUUUAAAAGUUACUGUCAAAAUGGAGAAAAUUAUAAAAUAAGAGUUUUUAUAAAAUUUACCAAACACUAUUUUUGUCACAGAUUAUGAAAUAGACAGUUUAUUGAGUUUUAACCUCAAUCCCAAACGGGGUCACAAUGCCACAUGAGAAGCACUUAUUGAGAGCUUAAUUUGUGAUUGCAGUUUUUACAAAAUUUACCAAACACUAUUUUUGUCACAGAUUAUGAAAUAGACAGUUUAUUGAGUUUUAACCUCAAUCCCAAACGGGGUCACAAUAGCCACAUGAGAAGCACUUAUUGAGAGCUUAAUUUUGUGAUUGCAUGAGUUUUUUUUAUUUAUUUUCUUUUUCUAAAUGAUUUAAUUUUUUUGCACAUAUGGCAUCAAAUGCGAGUGCAUUAUAGAAUAAAGGAAAAAAAAAGAAAAAGAAUGCAUUAGCCUACGCACCUUCUCGUUAAAAAGCAGAGUUGAAGUAUCCGAACUGAUCUCGUUGGAACUAGCUGUCAAUACCUCUUGUGACUCUUGUCUGUUUGGUGAUGUGGAAGGAGUCUUCACUUCACGGCAAAACCUUGUAACCUUUGGAAGCUUUCCCUGAGUCAAAGAUCUUAAUUGAUCAAACUCUAUCUUUUCAUCAACAUCAACAUCAGCUUCUCCUCCAGUUGCAAAAAUUUCUUCCAUGCUGCUGCAAUUGAUAACUGCAAUCCUCUCAAGUCUUGGAAGGCAUUUUGUACUACGAGAGAGCCAGAAGAUAUUACUCAACUCAUCACAAUUUUCCACUUUUAUGGUUUUGAGUUCAUUGAAGGACUCUUUUUUGAGUCGAUCAAUACAUAUCCUCUCCAUAUUGGUCAAAUUGUGAAGAGUAAGGGACUCCAAAAGAGGAAAGGCGAUACAAGGUUCCAAUUCUAAAACAACAUUCCUGAUUCCUUGCAACUUAUCCAAACAUAAGUAUUCAACGUUAUUGAUGCCCUGCAACUUCUUGGAGCAAAUGGCCAUAGAAUCAAGCUUGAGCUUCAAUGUUCUUAAACUCUCAUGAUUACUGAUCAUAAAGUGCGGCCGACUUUGAAACCAGUCCUUCCCAAUAACAUUGGUAGAGUCAAAAGAUCCAUCUCCUAUUGAUAUAUCAAACCUUUCCAGCUUUUUGGUAAAAAAGCCAUCUGGUAAAAUGCUAUCAUUUUUAACAUCUAUUUUUAAGGCGGUCAGUCGCUGCAAAUGCAUCAAUUCAUCGAGGCUGGCAUUACUUCUUUCACUAUUGGCUUUUCUCACUUCCCAUUCAAUAGAGCAGUUACCCAUAUACAGUUCUUCCAAUCGAGUGAAGCUUGAUAAGAUAUUGGGCACAAUAAAUUUUAGUUGCAAGCAAUCUGUUAAAUCUAGCAUCCUUAACUUAGUCAGUUGACCUAGUUCGUCAGGCAACAGUACAAUAUCAGACUUUACAAAGCUAAGGAUUUCUAGAUUCUUCAACUUUCCAACUAUGGCUAUGUCUCCCAACAUGCUUUGAUCAAGACACGGUGUUUGAAGAUUUGCUAGAAGACCGAUUGAAGAUGGCAAUGAAAAUAAUCGCACUCUUGUCAAAUCUACGACUCGAAGCUUUUUCAUCCCUUUGAAAAAGUUGUCAGGAAUAUUGACCUCGGAAAAAGUGAUUUGGGGAUCAAUAUAUAAAAAUUCAAGUUGCAGACAUUCAAAUUCCUCAGAGACUUCAUGAAUGCUACUAUUUAAUAAAGAGAUUGCAGAGCAUUUUUUAAGUGCAUCCUCAUCAGGCCACUCCCACACAACCUCAUUUCUCACCAAGAAAACAUGUUGGUCUCGACAUGCAAUUGAUACGGCAACAUCGCAGACAACAUCAUGCAUGGAAAAUUGUUCACUGCUAUCACCCUCAAGCAAUAAACAAGAGUCUCUAAGUUCAUGGACCAAUGCAUAUAAUUUGUUUCGUGCAUCUACCAUCCUGUUGACUCCUUGAAAUAUGCCCAAACCCAUGGAGUAUUUAAACAAGUCUGUAAACCAAAAACUGUUACCUAUUAGACUACAGAGCAGAAAAAUUUUCUUGAGUUGCUCACCUUUUAAAUACUUGAAACUCAGUUCAAUACUUGAAUAAGUCUCUGCAGGCACACCUUCGAAGUUUACCACUGAAGGCGUUUGGAGUUCUCGCAAGGCAUUCUUCCACUCAUGCAGACUCUUGUUUCUCAGUGCCCUCGCUACUGUAGUCAAGGCAAUGGGCAAACCUCCACAUGCCUGGGCUACAUUAAUUGCUGUAGACUUGAACUUACAAUUUUCAACAUCAUCACUAUUCAUUAUCUUCAACAAUCUCCAAGCUUCUUCUUCAUCUAGAUUGCCAAUCAAGAAGUUAUCUUUGGAGCCCAUACUUAAUAGUACAUUAUUGUCUCUUGCUGUCAGCAGUAGUCUACAUCCUUUAUGAUCAUUUCCGAAGGGACUUCCAACCGUCUCCAAAUCAACAUGUUUCCAGAUAUUAUCUAGAAUCACAAGAAUCUUAUUCUCACUCUUCAAUCGUUCAUACAGCUUGCUAGCUCUUCUAUAUUCAGCUUCAUCGGACAACUUCUCUGCAAUUUCCCCUCGAAUCUUUUUUACCUCUGGAGUUUAUGAAACCUCUGAAAAAACCACCCGAUCAAACAGCUUCUUUUCCCUGGCUUGCCUAGCAAACUCCUUCACCAGUGUGGUCUUUCCAAUGCCGCCUAUGCCGUACACCCCAAUAAUGCUGACAUUCGCCUCCGUCAAUGCAUUUUUUAUAGACUGCAAAGUAGAAAGUCUUGAUUCGAAGGCCUCGUAACCAUUGCUAGACUUAAGCCAUAUCUCCUCCCGAAUGGUACGGUGGGAAACAGUAUCAAACUUCUUAACUUCUUCUCCAAGUCAAUAAUGGCCUUCACCUCCGUCUCUGCUUUCUUGCCAAGCUGAUAGCGGGUCUUCAAAUUAGGACACAAGCCCUUGAGACAGCGCUUAUUUGUUGACUCCUCAUCUUCAAUGAAUUUGGCUGCCGGUCAAUGAUGCCGUUCGCACUAACCUGCCACUUUUCAACGUUCUCUUCAAUCUCUUCCCCUUUUUCUUCCGCCUCUGAAACUCUGUGCUGAAUGCUCGUACGUUCAACCUUCAACUUCUCCAUUUCCGCCUUGAUAUUCUCAAAGUUGGCAUUGUAGUUCCGCUUUCGCAAAUGCACAAGUUGGCGUUCAGUUGGAGGAGCCAAGCAUUUUACAAGUUCCAAGACGAUAGUCACAAUGAUUUCCAGCAUCUCGAAUCCUGACAAAAACGUAGAAGCGAAGAAAGCCAAAGGAAAGUAAAAACAAAGAGACAGCGAUAGGACAGGCAGUUCGUGUUUUUCAGAUGAAAUGCAGGAAACAAGAAAACGGUUUCUAUCACGACGUAAAGAGCUAAAAGAGCUGAUGGGUGCAGAAUAAGAAAUGAGACUGAGUGAGCAAAGCUAAAUAAUAACAGAACAAGAACAAUGAUGAAUAGAAGAAACAGUAGCAAAGAGCCGUUUAGAUGAUUAGAAUGAAACUAAGCGACUGGAAAGAGCCGAUGGUAGACUAAAGAGAAAGUGAUUGAUUAUUUUAGGAGGCCAAUUAACGUAAUGACAGAUCCGGUUUCGAUGUUUGUAAUUUGAGUAUGAGGUAAAUCGAUUCUUUGUCGAGCCAGUCAAAUACAAAGGCAAAUUAGUAAAACACGAGCCAGCAACUUUUACUCACACAAAAGCCAAUAAUAUAUUGAGAUCACGCAACAUUGCAAUAAAGUUAUCAUCAAGUUGUAGCCUUCUUAUUCAAUCAAUUAUAGCAUUAUCUCUAGCUCUGUAUUUUUCAAAAAAAAAUUAUUCAAAAGAUGUCUGUCAUUAAUUUUUCAAUGAUUAAAAUUAUAAUUUUUGUUUAAUAUAUAAAACGUAAAAUUUUAAAAGAAUCAGACAUGCAUUAGGGUAAAAAUAAAAAAUAUGGAGGUAGCUUUUAACUAGGUAAUUGGCUCAACUAUGGAUCAGUGUGACAUUUUAGUAUUAAGCAAACGGAACUUUUUUUUAAUUAAAUUAAUCUCAAAGUGAUAGGCUUCUCAUGAAUCAUGUAAUGUUGUCGUUUUUAAAGACUUGACAUUUUGGGGUAAUCAUAAUUAACAAUGCACAUCACUUGUUUGUCACAAUGUCCAAAUAAAUAAUUUUAAAAAAAAAAGUUAUUUUCAUUCUUUCUUUUCAGGUAUCCUAAUUCCUUUUGCAGUUUGAUUCCUCUUUUCCUGAAUUUUGUUCCUUCCAUUAAACUAAUAAUUUAUUUAAGGAUAAUUAAGCAUCAGCCCUCAAUUGUUCAGUAUUUCACACAGUGCACCCACAUCUUUUGACCAUGUGCACCUCCCCCUAUUUCUAUUAAAAAAUCAACUAAUCUAACUAUUUAGGCUGUUAUAAAUUUAAAAGACUAUACUACCCCUAUUUUGAAAUGAAUUGGGUAUAUAAGUACUAAAAUACCCUCACAACUAAUAAAAUUUAAAUCAAAAAGUAAAAAUUUAUUAUAAUAUUUUUAAAAUUAUAUGGAAACAAUUUUUUUUUCCGGAUUACGAACCCAAGAUUAUAACCUAGUAAAUUACAAAAUCAGAGGCAAAGCAUGAUUCCAAUGUGAAAGAAAAAAAAUCAAACAUUCAUCAGUACAUUACAAAAUAAGUCCAAUAAUCCCACUAGAAUAAAUAAAACCCAAUAGAAAGAAACCCUAAACUAAUGAUACCAAAAUCCAUGAGAGCAAAUUUCAUUGUAAAAUUCUAUUACAAAAUAAAUUUAUAUUAAGAAAAUUCGAUAAAAAGAAACCCAAUAAUCAAAAAUCUUAAAACUAAAGAUAUCAAACCCAAAAUUAAAUUAUAGAGGCGGCGAAGGAAAAAGGGUUUUUUUUUUAAUUAUAUAUAUUAUUUUAAUCUUGUGUUAAUUACCAUUCUACCCUUCUUUCCGUUAACAUUAGAUUUGAAAGAAAUGAGGGUGGUGGACAUGGUCGGAAGAUUGGGGGGCACAAUGCAAAAUGUCGAAACAAUUGUGGCUAAUGCUAAAUUACACAUUAUUUAAAUUAAAUUAUCCUAAUUGUAUUUGACUGUGACUGUGACCGGAACCGCUACAAUCACUUAGUAUUUUUAUUAAUUAAUUGACAAUAAUUUCAUCAUUAGACGGUACUAUGAUAGUUUUGUCACUAUGUUUGUUACCAUCUCUCAAAAAAAAAAAAUUACUUUUACAUGACGAAUUGUGUAACAACGAUUUAAUGAAAAAUAAAAAAACAGCACGACAUCUCGUGGCUUAACAUGGUAAUCAUGAAUAUCCCUUAUUUUCAAAUAUAUAUAUAGACCUCUUUUUGUAUUUAAAAAUAGUUACAUAGAUCCUGAAUUUGUGUGUCCGUGGAUAAAUUUUCAUGAUCAUUUUUUAAAAUAAGGGAUUUUUGUGACUAUUUUGUCACGUCCGAGGAUGCCGCCGUUCUUGUCACCAAAAAUUAUUCUCAUAAGAGUAAUGAUUAAUUGGACGUCAGCAAUGAGGGCAUGUAAUGAAAAAAAUUUGUUUUGGAUGGGAUCCAAUAAUUUUAAUUACCAUGGUGGUGACAGACCCAGUUGCAAAAUCAACUGAUUUUACAAUUCUAUUGAAAAUUCUUUAAAUGAUCACUUAUCUAGUUCUACUAUAUCCUUAAGCAUAUUGAUUUUGUUACUUAUUUUCUAGUACUUAUAUUUAGGCAUUGAAAUUGGAUUGCAUAACUAAGACGAUUACUUGAGCUGAAAAUUUUUCAAGUAUGGUGGAGGGGAAAGUGAGAGAGUCGCGGCUGAAGAAGAAAUAUUAUGAGAACUGCUAAGGCUAUAAGGCUGAUAAGCUUAAAGAGUCGGAACGAGGCUUACCAAUUCGCAAGCUUUUAUAAUUUGGAUUGUUGUGCUUGCAACUGGUAAAUUUUUCAACUUCAACUCGAUAUAAUGAUUUUUGAGAGAACCAUUUGUUGAUGCUGAAAUCUGCUCGUCCUUUUCCCGACCAGAUCUUUACACCAACGUUUAUGUAGUCAAUAGUGAGGAUGUCAAUUUCUUCUUGCUUCAACGAUCGCUCUAGUCACUGAAGUUGGAAUUGUCCUUCCUUCUCCCACUGAGCCUGCGUUCACAAAAGUAGAUAAGAGACGCCGGUGGUUUUACCGGCGUAAACCCUCCGAUGCCUAAGUUAGCACAAGGUGUUUACGGGAAAACGGUGCAAUUUGGAUUCGAUAAGUUGCUUAUAAUUGGCUCACAGUUUGUAUUAAAAAUGGUCUGGUUGCAAUUUGGUAGAGUUUUCCCUUCUCUCAAUUUUUAUGUCCCUUUCUUCAUUGAUUUCUUCCUCUUUUAUAGCCGUUGUCCCACGUUUCCGUUCACCCUUCAUCCCCCCUUAUCUCGGGUAGUGGCAGCCCCUCAUGGGACUCCAACCGCCAUAUCGUGGGUAAACGUGGGACACUGUGUCUCCCUCGACGGUUCUGGGCAUAGCGCAACUGUCGUGCUUUCGUGAGAUCGUGUUCCCGCUCUUUGGAGAAUGGGUAUAUGCUCGGUAUAUGUCUCUGGUCGGCCCAUGUUUGUAGAGGGCUCAUUAUCAGUGUUCUGCUCGUAUCAUUUGGCUGAGGUGAUCCAUGCUGGGGUGGGGGUGAUGGCCUGUCUGUGCUGGUGCUCUUAUUUACUCAACACCAGUCCCCCAAUUUCUGAUCUUGCGAGUGAAACGAGUUGAGAGUAGAAAUUGAAGUCUGCUCGUAUCUUAUCGAUCCUGGGAACUACCCAUCUGGUUCUCAUGUUAUUGUGGUGGGUCUGAGGUUCCAUCUCUCGUUUAAGGAGAUAUCGACCUUAAUAUGGGCCUUGACGAAUGUAUCUAGUAUCUACUUGAGCUUACAUCUCGUCGAGCCUUUUAUAACGGUUAGUGACGUGGCGCUUCCCGACUCUUUGUAUUUGAAAUUCGAAACGACGGGCUAUCCAUCCUCGAUAUACGGUGAGUGAGCUGGCAUCCCUAUCACUCAAACGCUUCCAUUUCCCCCUUUUUGUUUCAAAUCCCUAAACUAAAGUCAUCCUCGUUUUGCUUAUUCGCUUCUCCACCGGAAGACAACUCCUUCGAACUUUAUUCACACUUUCCGCGUCUGGGAUCUCCAUUUGCUGGGUCUUUUCUCUGUUACAGCAACGCUUAUCAGUGCCAGUCCAUUCCAGGUAUAGCCUUUAACCUCUUCUCUGGUUGUUGUUGAUUGGGUUUUGUAUUGUGGGUUCUGUGUUUGUCCCUUUUUUGUAUCCAUACUCUUAGAUAUUUUGUGCUUUCCCUUCUUAAACUUCGGUAUGUCCAACCGAAAAGGAAAAAGAAUUAUAGUCGAGAGCGAUGAAGAAAUAGAGGAUUCAUAUCCUCAUUUGUUUGGACCCAAUGAUCUUCUUCACUCCUCUCGCAGUGUAGGUCCCUCCUAUCAUAGGGAUACCCCUGAAUACCCUCGUCCCUUGGCCACUUCACCCUCCCCUGAAUUAGAGCUUGUAGGAAAUAGAGGUGGACCUGCGUCGGGCUCUAGUGAAAAUCAUGGUUCUGGUGGGGUUGGGGUUCCUGAAGAAGUGGGUGAUGGUAAGGGGAGCAGUUCUGAACCAAGCAGACCCCCUCAGAAGAGAAACCUCGGCCAUAGGGUGGAGGCAGAUUCUUACCCUAUUGAUUACAUAGCUUGUGCCACCACCCCAACUGACCAGUUCAAACUUAGGAAUCUUUACAACAUUCCCGAGGAGGUUCUCCUUGUAAUUCCUGGGAAAGACGACGUUCCUAGUCGGCCUCCGAGGGGGUAUGUGACGAUGCACCUGGAGAGUUUCAAACUAGGAGCUCGGCUGCCCCUUCAGCGCUACUUUGCCAAGAUACUGGGUGGUAUGCACCUGGCCCCAUGUUAGCUACACCCAAAUGGGUGGAGGGUUCUCUCAGCUAUGUAUGUGCUAUGGGAGAGGUGCGGAUCAGAGGAACCUUUCCUUGUUGAAGUAAAGCAUCUGUACCAACUGCGGAGUAGCCCAAAGGAAGCGGGUUGUUACUACUUCAUGUCCAGCUCUGCAAAGAGGAAGCCGAUUACCGGGUUUCCUUCUUCAUGUAAAAAUUGGAAGAACAAAUUCUUCUUUACUAGAGGAAAUUGGUGUCUAGCAGCCCGGUCGCUUGGUGGUGAUAUUCACCUUCCAACGCGCUUUGUCACCCCAGGUCGUUUAUUUAUUGCCUAUUUUCUUUCUCCAAUCGUCACUUAUUGGGUUCUUUAACCUUGUUUGCUAUUUCAGAGUCGUGGAGUUUGAUCGAGGGGAUUGAAGAGAGACCUUUGCUCCAGGUAGAGACUGCUUUGGUGAACGCGUCUACCUGCCAAGAUCUUUUGUCGUCAACAAACCUGGUCGGGUGGCGCUCAGUGGACAUAGCUGUCGGAAUGGACAAUAAGAUCCUCAGUGCAAUGACCAGAAAGCGUGGUCGGGCUUCAAGUAGCCCCAGUAACCCUCCUCCCCCUUCGAAGAAAACCAAUGUUGGUCCAUCCAAGGCUUCUGCUCCUGCUCUGCUCCCUCCUCCACCUCGAAAGAAUGGAGGAGAGAAGGUGACUACCAAGAGUCCUGAGGUCAGUAUUCAUUCAGGAGAUCGAUCCUCUCCUCUUCCACCUCGGGAUCAAGGUGACUAUCUAACCCCAUAUCAGAUGGACUAUGGGAAGUCCGUGGGGCCUAAAAUGAUUAAGAACAUCGAGAGCAUUAAUCUUGGUGAAUUGGCUGGUUCUGUCCAGCAGGUCUCCUUCAAGCUGGUUACUUUGGUGUCUUGUUAUAAGAACAGGGCCAUACGUCAUGAGAGGAGGCUUCAGACUAAUAACCAGGACCUGAAGAAGAAAGUUGAGUUUGUCGACCGCUCGAAGGAGAAGCUGCUUGAUCUGCACAAGCAAAUCAUGGACCUGGAGGAGAAAAUGGCCAUGGCUGAGUCCACCUCCAUCAAACUUGAGAAUGAGUUAGGUGAUCUGAAGUCUGAUCUCCAGGCCACUCAGAGUGAGUGGGACACCUUGAAGACGGCUCUUGAGGGAGAAAUCAAAUCUCUGAGUGAGCAGUUGGCCGAGGCGAAAGGCAAAUCUGCUGAUGUGGAUGAUCGGCUGGAUGCAGAGUAUGACUCUGGGGUUGCUUUCUACUAUAAAUGCAUUAUGUCUGUGCUUAAGGAAGAGUAUCCAGAGCUUAAUAUGAGCAAGCUUGAAGCUGGAGUGCAGAGGUAUAUGGCCGAGGUCGAUCAGGGGGACAAGGAGCAGGGUGACCAAGACCAGGUGGAGGCUCCCUUAGGUGGGGUGCAGGAGGAGGAAGCAGGGGAUCGUGCUCCUGAAGUAGGUCAAGGGUCAGUGCUUCCUCCCCCCGAUGCUGCUGAUCCUCUUCCUCUUGAGAUUGCUGAUCUUUCAGUUGCUGAGGUUGCUGAACCUCCUAAUCUUUAGGCUUAUUUUUGUAUGAAUUUUCAUUUUGUUUGCAAACGCUCGGAUGUUUAUAAAUUUUUGGAUGCUUUCUAUCGGCCUUUCUAUCUGGUUUUUUGCUCAUGGAUUGUUUUUGCAAAUUAACUUGACAACUUAUUUGAUUUUGCCUGCUGGCUCUUUGGUGGACCGAGCAGGAAUAUGCGCUUACUUGCCUUAGUAGAAUUUCAUAAAACUGCCUGCUGGUCCUUUCGGCGACCGAGCAGGAAUAAGCACUUGCUUGCCUUAGUAGAACUUCACAAAAUUACCUGCUGGUCUUUUGUUGACCGAGCAGGAAUAGGCACUUGUUUGCCUUAGUAGAAUUUUGUAGAAUUGCUUGCUGGUCUUUCGUUGACCGAGCAGGAAUAGGCACUUGUUUGCCUUAGUAGAAUUUUAUAAGAUGCCUGCUGGUCUUUCGUUGACCGAGCAGGAAUAGGCACUUGUUUGCCUUAGUAGAAUUUUGUAAGAUUGCCUGCUGGUCUUUCGUUGACCGAGCAGGAAUAGGCACUUGUUUGCCUUAGUAGAAUUUUAUAGAAUUGUCUGCUGGUCUUUCGUUGACCGAGCAGGAAUAGGCACUUAUUUGCCUUAGUAGAAUUUUGUAAGAUUGUCUGCUGGUCUUUCGUUGACCGAGCAGGAAUAGGCACUUGUUUGCCUUAGUAUAAUUUAAUGGGCUUGCUAGCAGGGGGAUUUCAUGCUGAAUUCAUCUUUAUUAAAACUUGAAUACAUUACAAAAAUGCGAAAUAUAUGCGUGUGCAACAAGUCAUCAUGCAUUUAAUAGAAAUAAUUUAUCAAAAUAAAGACUUAGUAGAGCACUUUGCUUACUGGAAAUACUUCUUCAUGUGCUCGGCGUUCCACGACCUCUUCACGUCUCGUCCAUUUGAGUACGCUAGCUUGUAAGCUCCUGGUCCAGUCACUCGUAUCACCCUGUACGGGCCUUCCCAUUUCGGGCCAAGAGCUCCAUGGUUAGGAUCCCUAGUGUUUUGGUUCACCUUCCUAAGUACCCAAUCCCUUGCUCGGAACUGCCUCACGCGUACGUUCUUGUUGUAAUAACGCAUGACUCUUUGCUAACACUGGGCCACUUUCUGCGAGGCCCCUUCCCUUUUCUCCUCUAGCAGGUCCAGGCUCAAGCAGAUCUGCUCGUCGUUUUGCUCCUCAUUGAAGUAUUCUGUCCGAUGUGUCCCCACUCCAAUUUCUGCUGGGACUACCGCCUCAUGACCAAAAGUCAAAGCAAACAGAGUUUCCCCUGUGGCGGUUUUGUGAGUUGUCCGGUAAGCCCACAAUACUCCUGGUAGCUCGUCGACUCAAGCUCACUUCUUCUCUCCUAGUUUGAUUUUCAGGAGUUUCUUUAUUACUUUAUUGGCUGCUUCCACAUGUCCGUUUGCCUGGGGGUGUGCGGAGGUGCAGAACUUCAGGUCCACCCCCAAGUUUCGGCAGAAUUCUCUGAAGUUGUUGUUGUCAAAUUGCCUCCCAUUAUCUGUAAUGAUGGCAUAGGGGAUCCCAUAUCUGCAGAUGAUAUUCUUCCAAAUAAAAUCCGUUGUUUUUCUCUCCUUGAUUUGGCUGAGGACUCCCACUUCUACCCACUUGGUGAAGUAGUCUAUUGCCACAAUUGCAUGUGUUGCCGCUCCUCGGCCCUUAGGUAAUAGACCAAUCAGGUCAAUUCCCCAUUGGACAAAAGGCCAUGGGGAUGUCAUGGUGGUCAGCUUUUCUGGGGGUUGUGCAGGAACCUCUGAGAAGCUUUGGAAGAUUUUACAGUUCUUUGCCAUCCUCUUCGCAUCCUGGUGCAUGGUUGGCCAGAAGUAUCCUUGCCGGAGUGCCUUAAAGGCUAAAGUUCUCACUCCCGAGUGAUUGCCACAUAUUCCUUCAUGAAUCUCCCUCAGUACAUAAUCUGCUUCCUCGUCAUCCAAACACCUCAAAAGGGGUAAGGUGAAUCCUCGGCGGUAGAGCACCCCAUCGUGUAGCGUAUACCUUGCUGCUCGGCAUUUUAAUUUCCUUGCUUGCCUCUUGUCCUCUGGUAAAAUGCCAUCACAGAUGUAUAAGAGAAUCGGGUCCAUCUAGGAUUCCUCGGUGCUUAUUCUCAUUACCUCAACUUCCUCCCUUAUAAUUGGCGAGGUCCUCACCUCUAGUGGAACUGACUUAGAUAAUUUCGGAUCUGCAAUUGCAGCCAUUCUCGCUAACAUAUCUGCUCGGUAAUUCUCAUUCCGGGAUAUCUGCUUUACCUCUACCUCUUGGAAAAGCCCAACCAUCUGCUUUGCCUUCUUCAAAUAAAGCCCCAUCUUCUCUUCCCUUGCUUGGAACUGAUCACUGAGCUGAUUACAGACUAAUUGGGAAUCUGCUCGGAUUUCUACCUUUUCUGCUCUUAGUGCGUCCGCAAGUCCGAGCCCAGUGAUAAAGGCUUCAUAUUCAGCUUGGUUGUUCGUGAGCUGAAACUCGAACUUCACUGCAUAAGUUACUUCGGUCCCUUCUGGGCUUCGUAUUACAAUUCCUGCUCCGGACCCUUGUUCACUACAUGACCCAUCAACCUUUACUAGCCACACCCCAUCCGGUUUAUCCUGCUCUAUUGGUUGCUCCUCCCGAAUUUCUUCCCCCGGUUCAGCACGGUCAACCAUAAAAUCGGCCAGGGCUUGGGCUUUGAUUGCUCCUCGAGGCCUAUAGGAUAGGUCAAAUUCGCUCAGCUCCACGGACCAUUUUACUAACCGACCUUAUGCAUCUGGUUUUUGGAGCAUUUGCCGAAGAGGCUGGUCAGUCAUCACAACUAUUGGGUGGGCCUAAAAAUAUGGUCAGAGUUUGCGCGCUGCCGUUAUUAGAGCUAGUGCCCAUUUCUCCAUCGGCGGAUACCUGGUUUCUGCGUCUACUAGGGCCUUGCUUGUGUAGUAUAUGGGGUGUUGCUUUCCUUCUUCUUCUCUGACUAGCACCGAGCUGGUUGCCCAUUUUGAGAUUGCUAAGUACAAAAAUAGUUGGUCACCCUCUCUCGGAGUUGAUAGUAACGGGGCGCGAGCCAGGUAAUCCUUCAACUGUCCAAACGCCUCCUCACAUUCUAAUGUCUACUCCAUCUUUCUCCAUUUUUUUAUGGUUUGGAAGAAAGGGUGGCAUUUAUCUGUGGCCCGCGAGAUAAAUCGGUUCAUUGCUGCUAAUCGCCCUGUAAGACUUUGCACCUCUUUAACUGUUCGUGGGGACCUCAUUUCUGUCACCGCCCGUAUUUUUUCCGGGUUGGCCUCGAUCCCUCGGUGGCUCACCAGGAAUCCCAAGAAUUUGCCCGAACUAACCCCGAAUGCACAUUUGUCUGGGUUCAGCUUCAUUUCGUACUUCCUCAGCAAUUCAAAGGUCUCUUCCAAGUGCUUCACAUGAUCCCUUGGUUCUUUGGACUUUGUGAUCAUAUCAUCCACAUACACCUCCAUAGUGUGACCGAUCAAUGGUUUGAAGAUCUUGUUCACCAACCUUUGAUAGGUAGCUCCUCCAUUUUUUAGACCGAAAGGCAUUACCCUGUAACAAAACAAACCCAUAUUAGUUAUGAAGGUGGUGCUUUCCUCAUCCUACUCGUCCAUGAGUAUCUGGUUGUAUCCGGAAAAGGCAUCCAUGAAGCUGAGCAGACUGUGGCCUGCUGUUGAGUCCACCAAUUGAUCUAUUUUUGGUAGGGAAAAACUGUCCUUCGGGCAUGCCUUAUUGAGGUCCGUGAAAUCCACACACAUUCUCCAUUUCCCGUUGGCCUUCUUUACCAGUACUACAUUGGAAAUCCACUCUGGGUAUUUGGCCUCCCUUAUAAAUCCUGCUUUCAGGAGCUUUUCCACCUCGGCAUUUAUGGCCUCGUACCUUUCCUGGUUAAAGCACCUCCUUUUCUGCCUUACCGGCCUUGCUCCUUUCUUGAUCGCCAAUUUGUGGCAUGCUACCAUGUGAUCAAUUCCUGGCAUGUCCUCAUGAGACCAGGCAAAUGUGUCUGCAUGGGACUGUAAACACCUCACCAGCUCGCCCUUUAUUGUCUCACCCAAACUUGACCUGAUCCUAACCACUCUGUUCGGGUUACUCCUACUUACAAAGACCUCCUCCAGAUUCUCAACAGGUUCCUGGCGGCCCUUUUUAGAAUCCCCUCGGUUAUCUAGAGAGGUAACCUGUAGCGUCUCCUUAGCCGCUGUAGCAUAACAGCUCCUUGCCAUUCUCUGGUCACCUUUUACUACCCCAACAACUCCAUUUACUCUAUACUUCAAUGCCAGAUAAUACGUGGAUAUAACGCAUUGGCUUAUCCUCAUGAACGGUCUCCCCAGUAUCAUUUAGUAAGGGCUUCUUUCUUCUACCACGACAAAGUCCAGCAUCAUCGUUCUUUCAAACGGCUUUGACCUCAUAGUAAUCGGGAGUUCGAUGAUCCCCAUGGGAGUUAACCGUCCCCCUCCAAAUCCCUUCAAAGAUGUAUUCGUCCGUUCCAGUUUCAAGUCUGAAAUUCCCAUAUCAUCUAAGGCCGACUUAAACAAGAUGUCAACCGAGCUGCCCGUGUCCACCAGUAUUCGCCGUAAUUCUGUACCAACCACCCUUGCUUUAAUCACCAGUGCAUCCUCAUGAGGAUAUAAAAUACCUUCUUCGUCGUCAUCUGUCCACAUAAUGGGAACCUACCGCACUUUGCCCUCUUGGCUGCUGGCAAAUUGAAAAGCACCUCUUUGCUGGUCAUGGCGUAUCUCCCAUAGUUCCUCCUUGCUCUGUUCGAAUCCCCGGCCAAUGUUGGCCCUCCUACUAUCACACGGAUAGUCGGUUGUUCAUGUUCCAGGCCCCUCUCAACUCCUUCAUCCCGCGUGUACUGUGAUUCAAUGACGGGGGACACUCCAUCUACAUAUUCAUCCAAGUACCGAUUUCUCACCAGAUCCUCCACCUGAAUCUUUAGGUCACGACAUUGGCUGAUAGUGUGACCAUGAGUAUCGUGGAAUUUGCAGAACUUGCUCUUAUCACGUCGGUGAGCAGGUUUUGUUAUAUGGGCCGGAGGGUAUAGCAGGCCUCGUCCUUCGAUCCUCUCAUACAAUUCUUCCAUGGAGAUUUUUAAUGGGGUGUACUGUCCAUACGCCAAGCUCUGGUCAACAAGUUGGACUACUCGGCUAUCAUGGAUAUCGCCCCGGGCUGAUAUCGUAGGCAACUAAUCUGGUCGUCCAGCCCUGGAGUUAGUUGUGUGUAGUGCUCUGGGAGCAUUGUGAUAAGGGUGGGCAGCCAACUGCCUGAAUUCUCGUUGCCGCUCCAGGAACGAGGGGCGCGGUGGUUGAGCUCGGCUGUGUUGGAGCUGUUGUGGUCUCUGAGCUAUGGGAUAGGGGCGGGACCGAGCUGAUAUUCUGCCCAUUACUGAGGAUUCCCUAGCUCGCUUUCCCGAUCCGCUCCCGUUCGGGGCUCUCCGUUCCUUUCGUCUCAGCUCUUCCAGCUGUUCGCUUUUUAUCCUCGCCGAUUUCUCCUCUUCGAUUUCUAUAUCUCUCCUCGCCUGAUCAUACCCCGCCGAAUAAUUCUGCACCAUGGGACUUAUCAAGUUAUACCACAGUCGGCCUAUUCUCACCCCUUCUUUUAAUCCCCUCAGUGCCUGCAGGUGAUUAAAAGCUCCCAGAUCCAGCACGGCUCGGUGAUAUCGUUUUAUAAAAUCCCGAAGGGAUUCAUGUUCCUCCUCUUUCAUCCCCAUCAGCUCCAUCAUGUCGUCCUCUAGGGCCACUGCUCCUCGAAACUGCUCGGCCAACUCUUGGCACGUCUGCUCGUACCCUUUUAUACUUCCUCGGGGCAGCUUGCGGUACCAUUCUUGGGCUUGUCCCUCUAGUGUCAACGGGAAUACCCUGCACCUCUGAGUUGGUGUCAGCCCCUGCACACCCGUCAUGUCAUUGAAACGUUCAAUAUGCACCAGAGGGUCACUUCGCCCGGAGUAUUUGAGGUCGGGGAAGCGAAAAUCUCUUGGGAUUACAGUACCCAUGAUUUCGGUUGAUAACAGAGACUCUUCAUCUAGCAUUAUCCUCCAGCUCGGGGGCUUUCUCUUGCCCUGAAUCUCCUCUAUCACCUGCGCCAAUCUGCGCACCUCUCCCUCCAAUUCUACAGCACGGUUAGGAUCGCGCGCAGCUAUCUGAUCUCGUUCCUGCUCGGCAUUCUGCAACCUCUGUCUGAGCUCUCCUUCAUUAACACUGGCCCCUCGGUCAUCAAUUUCCAGUACCUGUCCGGGGCGAGGUUGGUCCCUCUCUUCACCCACGCGCUCUCCUGGAACCCGACCAGUACUUCUAUGGGGAUGCACCCUAUUAAGUUGGUCCACCGGCGGAGGGAUUUUCUCGACUCUACGCCUCCGAAGGCUGGGUUCUGCUCCAACUUCAUCUCUCCCCAUGGGGGUUUCACAAUCCCUUCUCCGUUCAUCCCUCAGCUCAUAUAAUAUGGCCGUGAGAGUCUCCAUUUGUUUCUCCAUCCGCUCCAGUCGAUCUUGCAUUGUCCUCUCUUGAGCUUCAUUCGCAAUCUCCCUGAGAGUGAUUGUCUCAACAGUUUCAUUGUCAUCCCUCAAAGCAUCAUUCCUUGACGCAUCCAUAUCCAACCGUUCGCUGCUUCUCCGGUAACUACUAAUUUGGUGGUAGCUUUUUAUUCAACUCCCUACAGACGGCGCCAAAAUGUUGAUGCUGAAAUAUGCUCGCCCUUUGCCCGACUAGAUCUUUACACCAACGUUUAUGUAGUCAAUAGUGAGGAUGUCAAUUUCUUCUUGCUUCAACGAUCGCUCUAGUCACUGAAGUUGGAAUUGUCCUUCCUUCUCCCACUGAGCCUGCGUUCACAAAAGUAGAUCAGAGACACCGGUGGUUUUACCGGCGUAAACCCUCCGAUGCCUAAGUUAGCACAAGGUGUUUACGGGAAAAUGGUGCAAUUUGGAUUCGAUAAGUUGCUUAUAAUUGGCUCACAGUUUGUAUUAAAAAUGGUAUGGUUUCAAUUUGGCAGAGUUUUCCCUUCUCUCAAUUUUUCUGUCCCUUUCUUCAUUGGUUUCUUCCUCUUUUAUAGCCGUUGUCCCACAUUUCCGUUCACCCUUCAUCCCCCCUUAUCUCGGGUAGUGGCAUCCCCUCAUGGGACUCCAACCGCUAUAUCGUGGGUAAACGUGGGACACUGUGUCUCCCUCAAUGGUUCUGGGCAUAGCGCAACUGUCGUGCUUUCAUGAGAUCGUGUUCCCGCUCUUUGGGGAAUGGGUAUCUGCUCGGUAUAUGUCUCUGGUCGGCCCAUGUUUGUAGAGGGCUCAUUAUCAGUGUUCUGCUUGUAUCAUUUGGCUGAGGUGAUCCAUGCCGGGGUGGGGGUGAUGGCCUGUCUGUGCUGGUGCUCUUAUUUACUCAACACCAUUUACAAUGAUUUUGGCCUAUUGUGCUCUUCUAGUUUUGUCCUUAAUUCUUUGGUGAUUUUUUUUUUUUUCAGUUCUGCCGGUCGCAUCUCUCUUUCCCUUCCUUUAUUUUAUGGUGAGUGGACUGUUGUUGCCUUCAGCAGAGUAGUUACUAGUGAGAAAAUUUAUAUUUUUCUAUCAUGCUUGCUGAUUUUCUUAGAAAUAUAAGAAAAGACAAGUUUUAUCUGUCAAACAAUUCAUUGCUUUUUCACAGCAGUAUGUUAUGAUUUCUUUUCAGAUUAGGGAUUUUCACAUUGCAAAAAGGGAGUAAGAUAUUGGAUUCUAUGCUGGUUACGUGGGUGAGUUAUUUUAUGUAUUUUUAUUGUGUUUAAUAAAUGACACAUGGUAUGGAGUCCUUUUUUGGUACAAAUGUGCAGACUCGCGCCUUUACAACUCUGUAAAAACAUUCUAUUGAGGGCUUUACAACACUGUAAAGGCACUGUACAAGGGUUUUACACUGCAGACUUGCGCCUUUAUACUGUAAAGGGCCAAGUCUAUGCUUUAAAAAGUACAGAUGUUCGCACCUCGAAAUAAUUAACAUAUAUGUAUGUAACAUUUCAAAUUCCUCAAGAAGCCAUCCUGACAAACCUCUUAAUACCUUGAUGAAAUUGAAGGGUCUUCAUACAUGCUUGGCAGAGCUUUAACAUCUGUUUUGUGGGGAAUGGUGGCUGACCGCUGCGGUCGAAAGCCUGUAAUAUAAUAGGAUGCAUCACAGUAUUAGUGACCUCCAUUUUCAAAUGAUUAAGCUUGAAAUUGAUGAUACUUUGGCAAUUUCUGGGUUUCUUAUUUGUCUUAAAAUGCUCACAGGGUUUUUUUUUAACACUCUCUUUGGGCUUAGUGUGAAUUUCUGGAUGGCCAUAGCUACAAGGUUUCUCCUUGGGCUUUGAAUGGUUUACUUGGACCAAUAAAGGCGUUGAUUGGGGGUAUUUGUUGAUAAUUCCAAUUUAGUUCCUGAAAAUAUUUGUGCUCAAACUUCUCUUACACCACGAGGCAUAUGCAUGUGAAAUAUUGGGCGAUCAGCACCAAACUUAUUACGAAACUAAAAAUGUUACUUGUUUUCUGUACUUGCUUUCGCAUGCAUCACCCCCACAAAACUGCUUGACGAUUGUCCUCAUUUUGAACUUACUAUAGGUUUCAUUCUCCUUGUUUUUCAACUUACUCUGUACCCUUACAUCGAGAGGAUUAUUGGGCCAAUAAUCAUAACACGAAUUGCAGGGGGUAAUAUUUUGAACACCUCAUGCGGCAUUUGGACCAUUUGAUUGUUUGUUUCAAACAUAUCUGUUUAUAAAAUACUUUUCUUCAUGGUUUUGGUCCCAUAACUUUCUAUGUAUGUACGGGUUUUAUCGAUACCGCUUUUGACAAGUUACACUUACAUAGCAAUGCUAUCUGGGUUCAGCCUUGCCUUUUUGAUAAACUGUGCUUCUGUGAUGAAGAAUGUUUUAUCUGUAAGUGGAUAUCCUAAUCAUUGAUCCAUAUACUAAGGUUAUAUUAUCCAUCAGCAAGUAUGUAUAAAAUUAUUGUCUUUUUUAUUAGAAUUGUUGUAAUUCUUUUUUACUUUUCCUGAAUUGUAGAAUCAGGUGUCUAUAAUAACUGGAUUGUUCCUUGUGCAAAACAGAGCAGUGGUAAAUAUAUUUUCUUUUGUUUGUUUAGUACAUUUCCAUGCUUUCAGCUUUUUCAAAUUUUGUAUGUGCCAAAGUUUAAAUUAAUUGGUUGGUUUAUGGUAUAAUAAGAGGUAUGAUAAAUUUACUAAUGAAAUUUCUCACUAGUUUGUGAAUUACUUGGUGCUAAUUAGCUUAGUUAGCUGCUUAAACUAAAGUGCAGGUAACCAGAUGAUUUUUUCAUUCUGAAUUCGGUGGAGGCACUUGGAGUAAUAUUGACAUUCAAACCAUUUCUAACUCAACGUGCCCCGUGAAAUAUUCAAAUAUAUAUCAAGCAAAUUAAAGCUUUCAAAAUCUUUCAACAGUUUGAUUGUUUGAUGUGGUUGCCACUUGCCAUAUUUUGUGUUACUUUUCUAAAGGCUUAAAUAUGAAAAUGGUUGUUGGUGCUCACGCCAAUUGAUUGCUGGUAACAUUAAUUGUGCAGUACUUGUCAGAACUACCACAAUUUAUCUUCACAAUGAUGCUAGCUAGAAAGAAAAUUUCAUGUUAAGUAAAAUAUUGAAGCCAUAAAGAGUCUUAUUCCAGAGCCUUAUUAAGUACUAAGUUUUCUGCCAUGCUUUCAAAGUUUACAAAUUCGAAGCUUGGGAUUCUGUAACAAUGGAGGAUAAAAAUUAUAUAAGAAUAUUAUUUUGUACAAUUUUCAUACAACCAGACAGAAGCGAGCAUAAUUUUUUUUAUCAUAACUCAGAUCAAAAGACCUUCAAUGAUGUAUAAAAUGAAAUGAAAACGAUAGUUACCUCGAACUUUCUUCUUCAAAUUUCGCAGCACUAUGUAAUAAAUUAAAAAGCCUAUGGCAUCAGAACAUAUCGUACUGCGUCGAGAGAGACGACGACUCCUCCAACAGCUGAAAAUAAAUUCUCUCAUUCGUUAAUUUAAAGUAAAAUUUGUAAAUUUAGGUACUUGCACAUAGAGAUUUGCAAGGGGAGCGAGAGAUUCAAUAGCAGCAAUUUAAUUUGACAGGACUUUCAUUGAAUAAUGAAAUUAAAAACUAACGAUUAUUGAAUUUUUUAUAUUCUCUUAACUCUUGUGGAAAUGUCAGCUCUAAAUAGGACAGCUUCAAGAAUCUUUAUCUGAAAGUGUAAUUGGCAGAGCAGAAACUUGUGACACUAUCUAAAUCACAAAGACUCAACGUCUUCAAUUUGCUGAAAACAAUCUCUCGUUUUGAAUUUACAUUUGGAGCUCCAUCUUCUUCUUCGUCACCUAUUACCAUAUCUGUCAUUGCCCUGCAUCCAGCCACCUUCACUGAUACGAGCCGCACUAGACUUUUAGCUGCAGUGGAUUUUACAAUUCUUUGCAAUGGAAAACCACCAGUUCUGUUAGAUUCCCACAAGAUAUAGAUGAUCAUGGCAAUAGACUUAAAAGAUUUUUACAUGCAGUAAUAUACUCUUAAGUGGUGUUUGGUUGGGAGGAGAGAAUAGAAGAAAGGAAAGUAAUUUAAAUUCUCUUUUUAUUUCCAUUAUUUGGUUUGACAAAAUAUAUAAGAAUUUAAUUUCCAUUAGAAUUUGAAUUCCACACCAAGUAGUGAAAAAUUUAAAUUCCUCUUAUGUUAAAAACUAAAAUUUCCAAAACUAUCCUUCAAAUUUUUAACUUGUUUAAUGUCAUUAAUAAUUAUUAUUUAUAAUUUUAUUUUAUUGAUUUAAUAUUAUAAAUAGACCUCCACCGGUAAGUCGCCGGACCACUGUCGGACUUCGCCGGACCACCGCUGAACUUUCGCCAGACCACUGCCUAACUUCCACCGGAAAGUCGCCGGACCUCCACCGGAAUAUAGUUUUUCAUAGCGAAGAGCUUUGCUUUGAUGGCUUAAGGAUUUGUUCUAGGCAUACUGCUGUGAUUAGAUUUCGUUUAUUUUUAACUUUUUUUAAUCUUUUAUCCGAUGAAUGAUUUUCAGCUGUUCUUAAUUAUUUGUUCAUAGGGAAGAGCAUUUUCUAAGUACUUCCUUGCCUUCUAAGUUUCCGAAGAAAGAUAGGUGUGAAGCAAAGCAAACCAAACCAAAUGAACAAACAGAGCACAAACUAAAAUAACAGAACAGCAAUGAUGACAAUAAAUAAUUGGCAAAAAAAGAAAAGAAAAAAGCAUGCACAUUUUCAAGGAAAUAUAAAAUAUGAAGCUUUUAAUGAAAUUUUAUCAUAAAAAGUAUGCAAGUAUUUAACAAGAUGUUUGGAACGAUAGAAAAUGAAAGAAAAUUGAUUAAGAAGAUUCUGGAACAAUCAUAAUUCUUAUUGAUGAAACUGAUCAAAAUCGUACAUUGUGAACGAGCUCAGCACUAUUUAUAGUUACACACAUGCUGAUUAGAAAGUGUAGAGCUCAAAACUGCAAUAUUAACAAACUAAUUAACCUUCCAAUCAUAUUAAGCCAGCUGGACAGUUAGUUACAACCAAUCAGUACAAAUAACAACCUAAUCCAGCUUGGCAACUUUGUUACACAUCAUCAGCCAGCUCAGCUUAGCAAACUUACACUCUUAACAGCAAGGAAUUAUAAAAUUUUAGAAAACAAGGGGAACCCUAAAAAAAAAACUCAAAUUAAACUAGGCUAAAAGACAUUCAAUGAUGCAAAAUCUGUCCAUAAAAUUCUGAACGAAUCAUUAAAAUAGCAUUCCAAAUUUAACAGUAAACCGAGUGACCCAUUCUAAAUAAUUCAGAUGAAAUUGUGAAACAAGCCAUGAGAUCAAAUAAAUGAAAUAAAAAUUCGCAACUCCAAGUCAUAAGAAGCCUAUGAAAUUAGUCGUAAUGCGUAGACAACGACGACGGCACCGUCAACAGCUGAAAAUAAGAUUCUUAUUCAUCAAUUUAAACUUUUACUUUAUAACAAACAUCUUAUCUAUAUUUUAUUUAAAAAAAGAAAAUUUUGUAAAAUUUUUCCAUGGGAGAUAGAGAGUAAUAUGUAUAUACGUACCUUCUCAGCAUGUAAUUGUUGUAUGGUUGUGUUCAGAUCAUUAUUAGCCCAGCGCCGUUGAUCCGCUGUCUCUCCAUAGCAGACGUUUACUCUUGGAGGCGUGAUUGAUUCUCCUGUAGUGAAAAUCUUCAUCUUGGGACAACCAAUCACCCACAAAUCUUGCAAAGAUGGGAAUUUGAAGGUGUAGUUGGCAGAGCUGAAACUUGUGAAGCUAUCUAAAUCAAACAGUUCCAACGUCUUCAAUUUGCUAAAAACAAUCUCUUCUUUUUCAACUCCAUCUUUGUCAUUUAUUACCACCUCUGUCAUUGCUCUGCAUCCACAUACUUGCACUUUGACGAGUUGCACUAGAGUUUUUGCUGUGGAGGAUGUUACCAAGUGUAUCAAUCCCUUGCAACCGAAAGCCACCAGAGCUGUUAGGUUCUGAAAAGAUACCGAUGAUGAUGGCAAUAGAAUUAACAGACUUUGACAAUGAUGUACUUUUAGAAUUUCAAGAUACUGAAAAAUGGGGCCAAGUUUGGAGUCUUGUUUGCACAGCUGCUUCAGAUGAUAGUGCCGGUUCAGCUGUAAUUUUUUUAUCAUUGCCAACUUCCCCACAUGUUUCUCUAAGCUUCCUUCCUCCGAAAAUACCUCUUCGUUGAAUGAAAAAAAACACAGUAUGAGCAUUUCCAGAUUGUGAAAUCUCUCCAGUACGUUCCAGACUGGAAAACAAGCUGAGUCAUCUCCAGCAAUCUCUAGUUGUUUAAGACUGCCAAAAAGGUGUUGUGGGAAAUCGGCCUGCAAAAUCAUCUUCACAUCUUUUCCACUUAGUGAUAGUUCCUUCAAGUUGGGUACGAUCUGAUCAUCAUCAAUCAUAAUAACUAAUGAGGUCAAUUGAUGAUCUACGGUCACACGCAGUGACUUUAUAGUAUUUGUUUUAUAUUAUAUUUUUAAAAAAAAUUGAACUAUUGAUAAAAUUUAUUUUAUAUGUUAAUUUUAGAGGUAAAAAAGAAAUUAGGGAAAAAAGGUUGAUUUAUACUGGCUCGAAAUUAUUUUAUUGCACAAUAAUAAAUUACUAAUUUAUUUUGUAAGUUCUUCUAUAUGGAAAGACUAAGGAUUCUUUUAUAAAUGCUAUACCUAAAACAGUUCAUAUAAUUAUUAAUCUACCACAUUGAUCCCUUAGUCUAGACUAGCAAAGAUUAUUGUAUAAUAAAAAUUUUUAAUUUAUUGAGCAUUAAUUUAUCGAUGCUUUGUCAUAUUUUUCAAAGUUAAAAAUAAGCUAUUGAUAAAAAAUCUAGAAAAUGACUUCAUACCUUUUCCAACGGCAAUAGGAGCUGUUGUGCAGGAAUACCAAGUUGAUCAUUCUCAUUAUUCUGCGAUAAAUCUCCAGCGAAUAUCUUUAAUUUGUCACAACGAUACACUAAAAGACUUUCUAGCGCGGGCCAUUCCAAAGUAUGCAUUCCAGUGUACAAACAUCUAAGUUUUGGUAGAUGUUGGAGUCUCAGAGUGGUGAGCUGUGGAAAGACAAAAUAAGGGCUCACUUGAUCUGCUCUGUUUUCAGAAAUGAUCUCCUGUAAAUCCUCACAGAAGCGUAUAUCUAGGUGUUGGAGCUGCUUAAGGCUUCCGAUCAUAGACGCUGAAAAUAGGUAUUUUAAUUUGUGACAAUGCCGCACAGUCAAUCGUGUUAAAUUUUGAAAGCGAGGAAACAUGACCGGAAGAUGAUUGUAGUGCCAAAUCUUGUCGACAUUAAUUUCAGAUAUCUCCAAAGCCUCCAAGUUAGGCAACGCAACCUAAAAAAAAGAAGAAUUUCUCGUUACAUCCAAUAUGCAUAUGAGAAGCACUUGUUGAAAUUUUCGUCUUCGAUUACAAAUUAAUGCAAGUCAAAACCAAUUUCUAACUGACAGAUAAGUAUGCAAUCUAAUUCAUAUUACUUGUUAAGAGCUCAAUUAGUGAGCACGUGAGAUUCUUUUUAUCCUUUUUUCCAUUUUCUUUCAAUUCUUUAAAUGAUUUAAUUAUUUUCCACGUAUGACAUCAAAACAGAACGCAUGACAGAAUAAAGUCUGUUAUAUAUAUAUAUAUAUAUAAAGAAAAUGUUAGCCUACGCACCUUCUCGUUGAAAAGCAGAGUUGAAGUAUCCAAAGUGAUUUCGCUGGAGCUAUACGGAGUCGUCGAUUCCUCUUGCGACGCUGGUCUGUUUGGUGAUGCUGAAGGAGUCUUUACUUCACGGCAAAAACUUGUAACCUCUGGAAGAUUCCCCAGACUCAAAGAUCUUAAUUGAGCAAACUCUAUCUUCUCAAUUGCAUUAUCAACUUCUUCCCCAAUUGCAAAAAUCUCUUUCAUCUUGCUGCAAUUAAUAACUGCAAUUCUCUCAAGUCUUGGAAGGCAUUUUGUUGUAGAGAGCCAAAAGAUAUUACUCAAUUUAUCACAAUUAUAUGCUUGUAUGAUUUUGAGUUCGUUGAAGGACUCUACUUUGAGCCGAUCAAUACAUAUCCUCUCCAUGUUGAUCAAAUUGUGAAGGCCAAGUGACUCCAAAAGAGGAAAGGCAUCACAAGCGACCAUCGCCCUUGAAUCGACGAUGCAAAAGAAGUCAGGAUUAUUUUGAACCCAGACAAGCUUCAAUUGUGAAAAGCCCUCCGUGUCCAAAUUGAAAAGAACGUUCUUGAUACCUCGCAGCUUGUCCAACAAUAAGUAUUCAACGUUAUUGACGCCCUGCAAUUUCAUGGAGCAAAUGUCCGUAAAAGCAAGCUUGAGCUUCAAUGCUCUUAAACUCUUGCGAUCACUGUCGAUCAAAAAGUGCUGCCAACUUUCAAACCAAUUUUGUCCAGCAAUCAUGGGAUGUGUGAAUAACCCAUUUCCAAUAUUUAUUUUGAACCUUUCGAGCUUUCUGGCCAAAAAGCCUUCUGGUAACAUACUCUCAUUUUUAACAUCAAUUUCUAGAGUGGUUAGCCGAGGUAAAUGCAUCAAUUCAUCAAGGCUAGCAUUACUUCUUUUGCUGUUGGCUCUUUCAACCUCCCAUUCAAUGGAGCAAUUACCCAUAUACAAUUCUUCUAAUCGGAUUAAGCUUGAUAUGACAUUUGGGGCAAUAACAUUCAGACGGAAACAGUCUGUUAAAUCUAACAGCCUUAGCUUAGUCAGUUGACCCAGUGCUUUAGGCAACUCUACAAUAUCAGACCGCACGAAGCUGAGGAUUUCUAGGUUUUCCAACUUUCCAAUAAUGGCUAUGUCUAUGCCUCUGAAAAUGCUUUGAUCAAGACAAAGUGUCUGAAGAUUUACUAGAAGACCAAUUGAAGAUGGCAAUGACAAUAACCGCAUUCUAGUCAAAUCCAAAACCCGAAGCUUUUUCGUCCUUUUGAAGAAGUUCUCAGGAAUAUUAGGCACAGCAAAAGAGUUCUUGGGAGACAUGAGUAGAAGUUCAAGUUGUAGAGAUUCGGACCCUUCAGGAAUGUCAUUAAUAAUACUAUCUUUUAAAGAAAUUGCAAGAUAUUUUUUUAAUUCAUCUGCAUUUGGCCAUUUCCAAUCAUCCUCAUUUCUCACCACAAAUCCAAUUUUGUCACGACAUGCAAUUGAAAUGGCAACAUCACGAACAACGUCGUGCAUAGAAAAGUAUUUACUGCCACCAUCCUCAAGCAACAAACAAGAGUCUCUUAGUUGAUGGACCCAUGCAUCUAAUUUGUUAUGUGCAUCUUCUAGCUUGUGGACACUUUUAAAUACACCCCAGCCCAUGCUAUAUUUGAACAAGUCCAUAAUUGGUGCUGGCGUAAUAAGACUACACAGUAAAAAAGUUUUCUUGAGUUGCUCACCUCUUAAGUACUUGUAACUCAGCUCAAUUGUUGAGUAUGCCUCUGCUGGUACUCCUUCGUCGAAGCUCGCCUCUGAAGGCGUUCGGAGUUCUUGCAAGGCAUUCUUCCACACAGGCAGCUCUUUUUUCCUCAGUGCCUUUGCUACUGUGGUUAGGGCAAUAGGCAAACCUCCGCAUGCCUUGGCUACACUUGUUGCUGUAGAUUUUAACUCACGAUUUUCAACAUAAUCACCAGCCAUUAUCUUGAACAAUCUCCAGGCUUCUUGUUCAUUUAAAAUGCCAAUCGAGAAGUUUUUUUCAGAUCCCAUCCUUAACAGCACAUCAAGAUCUCUUGUUGUGAAUAAUAAUUUACAUCCUCUGUGCUCAACUCCAAAAGGAACUCCAAUAGUCCCCAAAUCAAGAGGUUUCCAGAUGUUAUCCAGAAUCACAAGGAUCUUCUUCUCAUUCUUCAAUCUUUCAUAUAGUCUACUAGCUCUUCUAGACUCAGCUUCCUCGGACAACUGUAGGCCUAACGUUACCGCAAUUUCCUCUUGGAUCUUUUUUAUGUCUGGACUUUGGGUAACCUCCGAAAAAGCCACCAUAUCGUAAAGCUUGUCUUCAAUGGCUCGCCUUGCAAACUCCCGCACCAGUGUCGUCUUUCCAAUGCCGCCCAUGCCGUAGACGCCAAUGAUGCUGACAUCAACAUCGAUCAAUGCAUUUUGUAUGGCCUUCAAAGUAGAAAGUCUUGAUUCGAAGGCCUCGUAGCCUUUGUGAGACUUGAGCCAAAUCUCCUCCGGAAUGGUACGGUAGGAAAUUCUAUCAUCAAAUCUCCCAGCUUCUUCUCGGAGUUUAAAAAGGGCCUCCUUCUCUGUUUCUGCUUUAUUUCCAUGCUGAUAGCGAGUAAUCCAAUUAGGAAACAGCCCCAUGAGACAUCGUUCAUUUGCUUUCUCUUCGUCUUGAAUGAAUUUGGCUGCCUCCUCAAUGCUCUUGUUCGCAUUAACCAGCCAUUUCUCAACCUUCUCUUCAAUCUUUUCACUUUUUCUUUCAGCCUCAGAAACUCUGCGCUGAAUGCUUUCUCUUUCAUCCUUGAGCCCAUCGAGUUCUUCCUUGAGAUUCUCAAAGUUGGCAGCGGAGUUAUACCAAUAACUAAAUUCGCGUUGUGCGUGAGGAGACAAGCAGUUUACAAUGCUUUUCAAAAUGUCCAUUUUUUUUUUUUGGUUGGGGGGGGGGGGGGGGGACGAAAUAGAAAUAGAACAGGGUCAACGACCGCGCAAUUGAUAAUCAAGUAGAAGCAAAACAAGGCAAAAUUGGAAAAAUAAAUUAUAUUUGUACAAAACAAGGGGAAAAUCAGUGUAACAGAAGAGAAUCAAAGUGUUUUUGAGAUCAGAAAAUUGAACCAAGAAAAGGGUUGCUUGAUCCAAUGAAAAAGCAAAGAGCUGAUGGCAAAAGGGAACAAAGAUAAAUAAGAAAACGGCUAGUACGAGCAGCGACCACGAUGAACAGAAGCAAAGUGUUUAUGAGAUCAAAAGACGAAAAUCAGGAGAGGUUUUCUUGACUGAGAAUUGAAGGCAAAGAGUAGGAGCUGACGAAUACGGGGAUCAAGAGGGAAAAACUGCUUGCUCGUAAAACUACUUUCAAGCGAAUCUGAUAAAAUUAUUUCAAUACUCGUGGGCGACUCCUUUUUAAACUGCAGAAGGAAAAAAAAAAAAAAAGAGUUCUGAAUUUCAAUAUAUUAAUUUUUAUCCUAAUUUAUGUUGAGAUUCGUAAUCUCGUCUCAAUGAUUAAUUAGUAGAUAUUCUUUCUAACAAAUAUGUGUUGAAUAGAUAUAUUUCUUGACUAUUAGUAAGUUAGAUAUAUUUUGGCAUAGGAAUGAAAGUACCAAGUUGUGUCAUAUUAGAAUAAAAAUUUGAGCUAAAAAUAUUUUUCUAUGACCUUUUAAUUAUUUGUCAGCAAAUAAUUAAGUCAUAUAAAAAAAUUAAUAAUCUGAAUUAGUCUUUAAGUAUUAUAAAUAUUAUUUUUAUUUUUAAUUAUAAUAUCAUUAUUUAAAAAUAAUUGCUUGACUUAUAUUAGUAACAUUACGAUUGUCAUAAAACAUGUGAUCCUGAUCCAAUAUCCAUUAUUUGUGAUCCUUAAUCAAUAAAAUAUCUAACAAUAUCUUCACCUAAAGUUUGAGACAUGUGAUCCUUAUUCCACUGCGUCAAUUACACUCCAGACCAAUGCUGCCGUCAUUAUCGAACGGUCGAUAUCCAACACUUGCACGAAGAUUCCAAGAAGUUGCGUGGCUGCCGACUUUUAGAUGCAAAGCCUCAUUGUGUCGAUGUUACACAAAAGAGAGCAAGUCCGGGUAAUUGCCGAAACUUAGAACUAAACAGUAGCUUAGUCAGAAAAUCAAACGCCAGUACCGUUAAAAUGACCGAUAAAAAUAUAAAGAAACCAAAGCUUUAAAAGAAAUCAGCCAAAUCACGAAGAUUGAAGAGUAAAUCUAUGGUUUUAGAUUUUUAUUUUAUUUUUUUAGAUAAUAGAUAUUAUUUUGAUGAAUUUUCAAUAUUAGAAUAAUGUUAGGAAUUUCGAUAGUAGAAUUCUAACUUGAGAUCCAAUUGUUAUGUAUCAUUUUUUUAUUGGAUAAUGAAUUUCAUAACUAGUAAAAUUAAUAUUUCGAUCAUCUAAUAAAUGACUAUCAUAUCAGUUGAGACUCAAUUAUUGGGAUCCUUAACAUUGCUCUUACUAUUAAAUUGGACAUCUUAGCUAAAUCAAAUUAAAAAUCAAAUUAGAUUUUAGGCUUUUAUCCAACAUCUCUUUUUUUUUUUUUGGUCUAUUUGAAGUGAACGAAAUAAAAAUACAACAGGUUCAACGACUGGGCAGUUGAUAGUCAAGUAGAAGCAAAUCAAGGCUAAAUGGGAAAGAGAAAUGAUAUUUGUGCAAAACAAGGAGAAAAUCAGUGUAACUGAAGAGAAUCAAAGUGCUUUUGAGAUAAAAAAAAUUGAAGCAAGAAAAGGGUCGCUUGAUCAAAUGAAAAUGCUAAGAGCUGAUGGCAAAAGAGAACAAUGUUAAAUAAGAAAACAACUAGCUCUAGCAGCGACCACAAUAAACAGAAAAGUUGAGAUGGAUUUACAAUAUUUCUGUCUUUCUUCAUGCUUUAACAAAUAUUGCUCUAUAAAAAAAAAUAUUGAGCGUUUUUAUUAUUGGAAUCACAAAAGACCUACACAAUAUAGCAAGUGACUAGGAAUAAAUAAGAAUAUAUAACUCUCUCUCUAAUUCUCACUCUAGCUUUUAAUUGUCACUCAAAACCCAGAAUUCAUCCUUAAAGUGUAAGCAAAUAAGAGAUGACAGCGUCUGGUUGUCAUACGUGCCUUUUAGUUUUCGGAUGACAUGGGGUACACUUCUUCUGUAAACCGAACACGACAUGUCGUACUCUUUGUUUUGAGAUCAUAUUUCAAACUCUUCAUGCUAUGAAUGAAAGAUAAACUACAAUAAUCAAAAUAUUUAGUGUUUAUUUGGUAAUGUAACGUUAUAGUUGUUGUGAAUUGAAAUUAUUUAUGUAAGAUAAAAGGAUUUGGGUCAUCGUUUGUUAUUCUCUGGCAAUAUUGUCUGGCCGUGACUAUUUGAAAUUAUUUCUAUAAGAUAAAAGGAUUUGGGUCAUUGUUUGUUAUUCUCUGGCAAUAUUGUGUGGCCGUGACUAUUUGUUAAAUAUUUAAAAAAUAAAUUUAUAUUUAUUAAGUAUAAAAAAUAAUAAACAAACAAAAAUAAAAGGAAAAGUUUAUACAUUACAUAAACGAACAAUAUCAAUAUUUCACACUAUAAUUGAGUGAUGUGUUGUCCAACUGCCAUACAUUGGUCCCAAAGAGAGACUUAAAUAUUAAAGUCCAAAGUUAUUGUGAUGAUGACUUAUAAUCGCCAAACUUGACAUAGGGGUAAUCAUGCAUUAUAAGGUGCUGAUUUCUUCUGAUCGAAACCUUAUUUUUCAUUUACAAAUAAAUAAAUGAUGUAACUUCACGGUUGGCGGGGUCCUUUGUGUCAUUUGGGCAUUUCACUAAAUGAUUGAUUGCAGCAGGAUGAUUCCUGGAAGUUGCCAUUUGCCAAUGCUACUAACAUUUUCAAACUUGGAAAACCCUUCAAUCAAUCUUUUAGUGGUAGGCUCUGGUAGCUUGGUUUGAUUAUGACAUAUGAUUAUUUGAUAAUAAAGCUAGAGGAUGUAUUAAUAUAAAAUUUGUUUAUUGGUGUUGAAGUUAAUUAUCUCAUUAAUAAUGGUAUGAAAAGUUAAUUACUAAGAAAAAUUGGUGUCAUAUUAUUGGGAUUCUGGGAUAUAAUUUUAUAUCAUAACUUUGUAAGUGUAUACUUACUCAUCAAACUAAUAAAAUUAUUUAAAAAUUUCAGUUGGAAAAAAUAAAUUAUAUUAUUUUCAUUUCAAAUAAUCUAUAAGUUAACUCAAAACAUAAUCAAGCUGAGAAUUAAAAUAAUGCUACUGUAUGAGAGGAUUUUUAUUUUUUCCCGAAGUUUCACUAGGAAAUUAUUGAUACAUAGCUUUAUUCGGAUCAUCUAAGUUCAAACGACAAAUAAUUGAAAGACUAGCUAAAUAGACCAGCCAACAACUUUGCACAAGAGAGUUCAAAAAUUAAGGUCAUGGUAUUAAGGUGUUCUAUCUUGAAAAGUAUAGCAUAGUAAUAAAAUAAAAACUAAUAGUCUUUGGUAAGAUAUGACAUUUAAAUAAUAAUUUUCACAAAAAUACAAAGAAUAUUUAUAAAGUACUUCUGUAGUAAGGACACCCUCACUUUGUUAAAGUGAAAAUAUCAAUAAUAUACAAAAGACAUAUAUUUUAACACAUUAAAAAUUGUAUUUUUUAUUUAUUUAUUGGUGCAUUGAAAUAUGUGUUAUUUAGUUUGUUAGUGAUAUCAUUACUUUGUUAAAAUGAGAAUGUCGUUACUAGAGAAUCAUUAUAUAUACAUAUAUAAAGUGCUUCUGUCCAAGACCUAGACUUUAUUAAAAUUUAAGAAAGCAAAUAUAUUUUAUAUGGUAUAAUAGUGUAAUAACAUCACACAAUUAUAUCAUAUAGAGUAAUAGUUUUUCGAACUUUAAUAAAGUUCAAGAUUAUAGAAUGAAUGAUUUUUAUAUAUUAUAAAUUUUUUUAUCAUAAAUGGAGGACAAAAUUAACAUAUUUUCAAAUUAUAAUAAGUAUUUAUCAAAUAAUUUAACAUUGCAAUUUCUCCUAACUAGUAUAGUGAAUAAUACGACCUAGGAGAUACAUUCAAAGCAUUUCAUAAGUUAGUUGUUAAUAAUAAAUGAUAUAUGCAGCUCCAAUCAUCAUUGUACGGUGAGUAAUUUCCAGUUAUAAAUAGAUAUUACUCCCUUCCCAGCAAUUUUUGAUGACUUAAUUUAGUGGGAUCAAAAUCAACAUUGAAUUUUUGACCAGCUGCGAACAACUUGUGAGCAGUUCACAGUGGGUACUGCACAUUAUGCCUGUUUCUCCUUUUGCAUCUAUUUUAGUUGUUAACAUUAAUUUCAAUAGCAGCUUGUUAAUCCCAAUUGUUGAUUUGGGACUAGAUAAAAAUUUAACUUGGAACUCCAAUUCUCCCAAUUAUUUUAGUUGACAAUAUGUUUAACAUUAUUUUUUUAACAUUGUUAAUUGCAUAUUAUUUAAUUAUCAGUAUAUAAUAUUCUUUAAUUUUCUAAUUUUAUAGGAUUAGACACAAAAUUGAUUAUGCCUUUUGAAAUUUAAGGGUUAUGUCAAUUGAGUAGAAAACUUGGAGGUAAACUUGUGGAUGUUUUUGUUGAUUAUCAAUUUAUGCAUGAAUUUUUGUACGUUUACUUUGGUUUAUAAUUAUUACUUUUAAACAUUUUUAUUGGUUUGAUUUAGGGUCAAUUUGGUAAUCCUGUAGUUUUUAAAAUAAUUACAAUUAGUUAUAUUGUAGAAAUUGAUCAAUCGUCAAGAGAAUCAGCUGAAUAUUUAGUAAAAUUUAUUUUUAAAAGCACUUUUAGUUUUAAAAGCGUUGUAUGAAUAAAAUUGUUACACUAAAAAUUAAAUGUAUUGCCCACUUGGGUAAAUAAAGCUAUAUAUUACAACUGUUACACUAAAAAUUAAAUGUAUCUUAAACCCAAACUUCUUCUUCUAUUUUUUUGACUAACAAAAUUAAAAACAAUAGUGAACACAUUCUUUAAUAAACAAUAAGUAAUAACUAAAAUCGUGUUAAAUUUCUUAAAAAAUUUCUUUCACGGUUUGCUAAAUAUUUUUAUUAGUAUUUUGAAUAAAUAAAAAUAGUUGAUUUAAUUUUUUUAAAUAAACUUAUUAGGUUCAUGUAAAGAUGUUUUUGUUAUUUUAAAAAGUGUAGAAAGUACUCCUAAAAAAACGUAGAAAGUGAAACUUAAUUUUUUAAAUUUAUUUGCUGAGUGCAUAAAUAAUUGAGUGUUCAUAAUGAUUUUUAAAGUAUAGAUAGUCGGACCCUAAUUUUUUAAUAUAUGGAAAUUUUGCUAAUAUGUUAAUGAGAAUUAAGAAGAUAAUUAAGGGAGGCAAUCGAGACAUUCAGGAUAGUUAGGAUGGGACAUGAUUGUGAGUGGUUUGAUAUUGGUCCUAAUUUUGAUCACAAAUAUAUAAACAGGACGAGUUUAUCUCUACUUACAUUCCAUUUGAUAAUUAAGAUGAGAGCGGAAUUGUCAAAUCUCAAAUCAUCCUGAACCAUUGCCAUCAAAGGUACUCUCACUAAUAAUAUCUAAAGAAAAAUCUACAUCUAUUUCAUACUUUUUUUUUUAAACGGAAAGAGCCCUCAUGGGGCUUGAAAUGUUAUCCUAAAUAGUAUUAAGAAUAUCAAGCCAUGAUUGGGUUUGAGACAAACAAAUAUUACAUAGUUAGGAUACGUAGUUAUAGUGUCCCAAUUUAUGUAGUAUCUAUCAUUUAGUGCACAUAUAAAAUAUUAAUCAGCUUAAUUAAUUUAUAAAAUUUAAAUCUAAUUAAUAAGUGAUACAUAAAAGCCAAGUGCAAUAUUGUAUAUGCAAAUCAUGUUUGUGGAUCAUUACAAAACGGCUCUUGAAAACAAGCAAGAAAGCUUAAUUAAGAACUUAAAACAAAAAGAAUUAGAUUGAAAACAGUCAAGCUUUAUUUUUUCAAGGAUGGAGCUUAUAAAUCUUCAAGUACCAACAUAUGCUUGGCCCAAUUGUUGUUAUUAAAAUUUCAAUAUACAUAUAUAAGUAUGAUAUAGCAAAAAUUUGAUGGUACAUAUCUCGGAAUAUACUAGUUCAUGGAUGCAUUUGAUUAUUGUUUCCAUAAAUUUGAACCGGGAAGGAUGACAUGAUAAAAUUUGAUUUUAUGGUAUGGUUGAUUUCAGAUCUCAUGCCCUCAUUUCUUAAGAUAAUCAAAUUUUCUCUGGCAUCUUUUGCAACUGUGGAAAUAUCAAUUAUGAUCAAUCAAAACGAUUUCAAAACCUUUUAACGAGACAUAUUUAUAAUACAAUAUUGUGAAAAUUACAACAAAAAUUUAAUUUAUUAAAUAAUAUAUUAUUAUCCAACGAGCACACAAAAAUGAAUUCGUACAAAUCUAAAAUACUUAGCAAUUUUCAAAUAGAAUUUACCAUGUACUACAAGAAAAUAGGGUAUAUGUGACCCCUAAUGUGAAGGCAAAUUUGCAAAAGCAGCCAUUACGCAUGCCACUAACUUCUAACUUUGUAACCUCGAGUUGCUUUUGUUACCCUUUAUGUGACGGCCACACUGCUGUCACAUAUGUUACUAACCACGUGACGGUAAAGAGCCGUUCGGUAUAGCACUAUUUUAGAAAUUUAAAUUUAUUUCCAGUUAGAAAACUAUUCGCUGGACUAGCCACCAUCGUAAACCUAACUGGUUGCCGGCGAACGGCGUAAAACACCAGGCAUCUUCUUCUUCAUCGUAUUCUCCCUUCAUCUUUUGAGGUAAGCUUGUGAUUAUGAGUUUCUUCUCUGACUUAGCUUGUAAUUAUAGAUUUUGAUUUUUUUUUUAAAUUCGUAUUGUAGCCAUUAUUGUCAAUUUUUGUCCCGCCAGCAAUAUUUUUUUAUUCCUACAAGUUGAAGCCCCUGUGUUCUUGUUCCAUUGGUGUUGCUCACUCAAAUUAAUUUUGUUCUGCGGAAUUUACAAAGUUCAAAUGGAUUCAUUUGAAUUACUAUUGAAUUUAGCUUUAAUUCCAACAUCCAUUCUAAUGUUUUGCUAUUAGAUUUAGUUUAAUUUUAUGUUUAAAGCAUCUACAAUGAAUAGCGGAGCUUGGGUUUUAGUUUCAUUUUCUGGAUAACUUGUUUUAGUUUAUCUUGUAUGCUCACCAAGUGCUUGUUAUAUUGUCUGAUAAGUUAUAUACAUUGCUGAUUCUAUAUUAAUAAUGUUACGUUCUAUUUUCAGAAAUUAUAAUACAAAAGUUUUUACAAUGGCGUGCAUCUACAAACUGAAUUGACUUGUAGAAUAAGAGCUUGGAGUAAAUAGGAGAUGAACUUGAUGACGUAAACCUCUUAGGAUGAGUUGUUUGAAGUAUUCUCUAAAUUGAUUAAAGAUUUAAAGAAGAUUGAAAUGUGAAAUGUUUCUCUUAGAAAGAAAAAAGUAGAACUUUUAAAUGAGAAUGACACUUUGAAUAAAAAGAUUAAGUGCUUAGAAGUAUUUGUGAAGAAAUUGCAUCUUUUAAAGAAAAAACAAAAUGUUUCAUCCAAGAAUAAAGGUUUACUUGUAAAUGAUUUGAAAAAGAAAAAUGAAAUAUAUUGCUUUAGAAUUUGCUUAGUAUUAGUCAAUUGUGUGAUAAAGGUUACAAAGUUAUUUUUAUGUGAUAAAGGCUAUAGAGUUAUUUUUUAUAAAACAAAAUAUGUUAUUAAAAAUGCAUGUGAUGGAAAAAUUUUAUUUGUUAGAUAAAGAUGUGUUAAUGUAUUCACCAUUGAUAUAGAUAGUGUAUCAACUCAUGAUAAAUGUUUUUUUCACAUUACAUGAUGAUAUUUGAUAUGACAUGGAAGAUUAGGUCAUGCAAGCAUGGAUUUGAUUUCAAAAUUUUUUAAAAACGAUUUGGUUAUAGAUCUUCCAAAAAUUGGUUCUAAAAAAGAUAGAAUUUGUGAAGUUUGCCAAUUUAGAAAACAAAUAAAACAUCCUUUAAAAAUAAAAUUCAUAUUUCUACUUUAAAACCACUUUAACUUUUUCACAUGGAUUUAUUUGAAAAAAGAUAUGUUAUUUCUUGCAUUAGAAGUGAUCAUGGCGGAGAAUUUGAAAAUUAUAAUUUUGAAAAUUUUUACAAUAACUUUGGCAUUGAGCAUCAAUUCUUGUCACCAAGAACUCCCUAAUAAAAUGAAGUAGUUGAGAGAAAGAAUAGGUCUAACCAAGAAAUGGCUAGGACCAUGUUAAAUGAAAAUGCUUUACUAGAAUAUUUUUGGGUUGGAGCCAUCAACAUUAUUUGUUAUGUUUUAAAUCGUGCAUUAAUUAGACCUUACCUCAAUAAAACUCCUUAUGAGCUUUAGAAAAAUAGAAAAACAUUGACUAUUUCAAAGUUUUUGGUUGCAAAUGUUUUCUAUUGAAUACAAAAGACAAUCUUGGUAAAUUUAAUCUAAAAUCUGAUGUUGAUAUUUUUCUUGGGUAUUAAAAUACAAGCAAAACUUAUAGAGUGUAUAAUAAAAGAUCCUUGGUCGCUAAAGAAUCUAUACAUGUUAUGUUUGAUGAAUCUAACUUUUCUUCUAUGAAGAAAAUUGUUGUUGAUGAUGAUGCAUAUGAAGAAUUACAAAAACAAAAAGUCUUUAAAAGACAAACAAGAUGAUUUACCAGGCAAAAAUAAAGAUGAGCAACAAGAAGAACAAGUUAAACAGAUUCAAAAUGAAGGUAGUUCACAAACACUCUCUAAGGAGCUAAGGUAUGUCUCUUCACACCCUAAAGACUUAAUCUUAAGAGAUCCUUCAUGAGGUGUAACUACUAGAUAAUCACUUAGAAAUACAUGUGAACAUACUGUAUUCAUAUCUCAAGUUGAACCAAAAUCCUUUUCAGAUGUGGAAAAUGAUGAAUCUUGGAUUAUAACAAUACAAGAAGAGUUAAAUCAAUUUGAAUGAAACAAUGUAUGGAAACUUGUUCAUAAACCAGAACAUCAAUCUGUAAUAGGCAGUAAAUGGGUAUUUAGGAAUAAAAUUGAUGAAUCUGGUGUGGUUGUAAGGAAUAAAGUUAGAUUAGUAGCUCAAUGAUGCAACCAAGAAAAAGAAAUUGAUUUUGAUGAAACCUUUGCACAUGUAGCUAGAUUAGAAUCCAUUACAUGCUUUUAUCAUUUGCAUAUCAUAAUGAUUUUAUUUUAUAUUAAAUGGAUGCUAAAAGCUCCUUUCUAAAUAGUUGUAUUAAAAAGGAAGCUUAAGUGAAACAACCCCCUCGUUUUAAAAACGAAAAAUGUUUUUGGAUCAUGUUUACAAGUUGUCCAAAGUUUUAUAUAGUUUAAAGUAAGCAUCUAGAGCAUGAUAUGAUAGACUUAGUAAAUUUCUUUUAGAAAAUAAUUUUUCAAUGGGUAAAGCGAAUACUACUCUAUUUAUUAAAUACAAGUGAAAUAUAAGUGUGCAAUCCAAGAAGGGGGGUGAAUUGGAAAUUUAAAAAUUAUCCUAGCAAAUUCACACAACAAGCAAUCUAAUGUCUUAAUAAAAAUUAAAAGCAAUAAGUUCAAGAACAACACAAUAAUUAAAGAGUAAGGGAGAAGAGAAACAAACACACGAAUUUUUACGUGGUUCGGCAAUCCCCGCCUACGUCCACGCCUCCAAGCGAUCCAAGCUUGAGGAUUCCACUAUCCAAGCCUUUCCAAGGCUUCAACGAUUACAAUUGACUUCGAGGUGUCAAUAAACCUUUACAACAAAGAGAUUAUCUCCCAAUCUCUUCACUCAAGUGUCUCACACACUCAAACUCUUAUAAUUGAGAUGAAUAAAUGAAGGUUACAAUGAAACUCACUCAAUGAGUAAAUAUUCAAAAAUGAAGAACAAGAAAAGAUUCAAUGUUUGUAUUUCACAAGUUUGAAGGCUCAAGAUAUCACGUGUGCUUUUUGUUCUUGCUUGUUGGGAGAGCUUGAAAAUGAGUUGGAUUUGAGUUUUUAUAGUUUGAGCUCGAAAACUAGCCGUUACUCACAUUUUGGUCGUAACCGGAUUACCGGUUAUAGACAUCCGGAAUUCCGCUUAAUGUUACCGUUACAGCCACAAAUUUGAAUUUCUGAACAUCCGGAUUUUCGCUUUGUCACAUCCGGAUUUUCGCUUACGCUCAGUAGCUUACUGCCCAACAACCGGAUUUUCGUUUGUCAGGAUCCGGAAUUCCGCUUUUAAUUCGGAUAGAUUCUGCCUAAAAUUCGGACUUCCGUUUGUCAGAAUUCGGAUUUCCGCUUGCUACAGUAACUGCUACAGUGAAUAUUUUCCCAAAUUUAUAGUUUGACCUCAAAACUUUAUAAAAACUAUAGUGUGGCCCAAAACGUUAUGAAAGUUUGUAAAAAGGUCCAAUUUCAGAACUUUAGAAUAAUGCUUUGUCAAUCCCACAACUUUUUGAAAUUAUGACUUUGCCCAAACUUUGUGAAAUUAUAGAAUAGCCCAAAAACAUUUAAAUAGUUUCAAAUAGGUCCAAAUCUGAAAUUUAAAAAACUAUCAAAGAUUUUAUAAUUACUUUCAUUUUAGUCCAAAAUGCUUUAAUUCUAUAACAUCAUUUUCUUAUUAUAAAAGCACAAUUCAUAAAUCUUUGCUUAAUAAAUACAUGUGGUUUGUUAUCAUCAAAAUCAAUAUUUAGCCAUAUAGGCUAACAACAAGGAUCAAGGUAUACUUGUUCAAAUUUAUAUUGAUGAUAUUAUCUUUAGUUCUACUAAUGAGUUUCUGUGUAAAGAAUUUUCAUCUUGCAUGAGUAGAGAAUUUGAGAUGAGCAUGAUGGGAGAAUUGAAGUACUUUCUUGGACUUCAAAUUUAAAAGAAAAAAAAGAAUUCAUUAAUCAAGCCAAGUAUUUCAGAGAUUUACUCAAAAGAUUUUGCAUUCAGGACUAAGGACACUCCAAUGAGUACUAUAAUCAAGCUCGAUAAGGAUAAAAAAAGUAAAGAUGUUGUAUCAAAAGAUAUCGAGGUAUGAUCAUAUCUUUACUUUACUUUCUAUUAGUAGACAUUACUUUAGUGUAUGUUUGUGUGCAUGAUUUCAACCAUAUCUUAAAGAAUCUAAUUUGCUUAUGGUUAAAAGAAUUUUUCAUUAUUUAUGAGGAACAAUUGAUCUUGGUCUAAGGGAACUCAUAUAGAUUAGUAGCUCAAUAAAUUUGUCAAAGAGUCCCAUUCAACAUUCUAGGACCAAACAUAUUGAAAUUAGGCAUUAUUUCUCAUGUGAUCAUGUUCAAAUGAGAGAUAUUGCUUUAGAAUUUGUUUCUAUGGAAAAAUAACUUGCUGAUAUUUUUACAAAGCCUUUUUGUGAAGAAUAGUUUUCAAAGAUUUGGCUUGAGUUUGGAAUGAUGACAUUUUCACAUCAAUAUUUCAUUGCAUGAUAUUGAGACUACAAAUUUGCUUGAUUUUCUAUCUUGAUUGAUUGUAUGAUAAAAACUUGAUUUUAAAGUGUUAUAUGCUUGAAUUUACUUCUUUGAAUGUUUAUCACCAUAUCUUAUGAAUUUACUUCUUUGAAUGUUUAGCUCAAAGCAUACGGUUAAUUGCUUGGUUUCUAAAAAUGAAACGGUUAACCGCUUUCUUCAAGAGGCUAGAUGGCUUCAUGUUUUCAAAUGUUGUUCAUCUUCUUUUUCCCACUUUCAGUUGUUACCCUCUCUCUAUCACUGUCAUCUCUCAUUUCUUUUACUCUCUCUCUAAAAUCUUCCAUUUUUACAUCACUUUUGUGUCAAAUUAAACUUUCCAAAUCAUCUCCCAUCAAUUAAUCUUCACUCAUUCGCUUUUAAAACACAAUCUAAUCAGUCUUCUCUCAAAAUCUUAAAGCCUAAGUCACCAGUUUCAACAUUCUCAAAUUUGAACCAUUAUUUGACCAUUUUCGACCAAAAUAAACCCAUACAUUCCUUAGAUCUUCUCAAAGAAUAUUUUAAUUGAUUCAAAAUCAUCUAUUUCUUUAAAAACUUUGUGAACUCGAAUUUGUGCAAUUUUGGACACAUUUUGAUAAUUUCUUAAUGGCUAGUGGUGAGAAGUCCAAGGGUAAGCAUAUGCCUAAAAUGUAAAAAAAAGAUUCAUAAAGACAUUCUGAAAUUCAUUUCCACCCACUUCCCAAAUCCGCCUCAAUGGAAUGAUUCUAUGAUCGAUUUAUGACAAGGUCAGUCCUCCCAUACUAUAUAUGUUAAUCUUGAUUAAUUAGAAAGUUUGUCAAGUUGUAGCAAAACUCUUAGAACUUUACUUGCUGAAUUGGGUUGGACAAAUGUCUUAAUUCUUAAGGAACAUAUUUGUCCUAAUUUGGUACGAUUAUUUUAUUCGAACAUGCUUAUUUCUACAAAUACUGUCAAUAUGAUUAUUACUAAUGUUGUUGGGAUUCCUAUUAAGUUUACUGUAGAAGAUUUAAACAUGAAUCUCAGGACUAGGAAUGAUAGGUUGCAUUUGUAUACAUCUAGGACUAAAAUUGAUUAUCCCUGGUAUUUAGUUGUAGAUGAUGUUUGAAACAUAGAUGGUCGAAACAUAUGUAGAUGAUCUAAUCUAUCCAUGGAGCUUUUUAACUCCUCUCUUAGAUCACAAGUGUUGCCUUUUCAAAUUUGGAUCCUACAUAGUGUUCUGCAGCUUGUGAUCAGUCCUCGCAAGGGACAUGGUGCUGAGGUUACACGCUUAGAUGUUACUUUAUUAGAUAGCAUCCGUGAGGGUAAAAGCUAAAUGUGCGAAUAUUAUCAUUCAGCACAUGCUUAAUACACUGAGUAUAGGAAACCGAUCCUUUUCAGUCGGUAGUGUCAUUACCCAUACCCUUCAAUAUUUUUGGGUCCCUAUAGCUGAACCAUCUCAUGAUGAACCCAAGGAGUUAGGGGAUGAGGUCAUUGCUAGCUUAGGAUUUGGGUGGGUAGAUGACUAAUAGGUUAAGAAUCAGAACUUGUUGAGCAAACCCACAAAGCUGGCUCUUUUUUAUCAUUGCAUCUUUUACGAUGUGCUUCCCCUUACUGGGUUUUUAAUCUUAGUUCUUCCCUGAGGUCACAAGCUCUACGUUGGCCUUCUAAUGCUCCACCAUCAUCAUCUUCAGCCAUUCCCAAUAACCCAAUCCAGCAAUUGUUGAAUAAAGUGCGUUCCAUAUCCGAGCAGUAAAGCGAGCUUAAGAUAUUGUUCGCAGCAUUCCAGGAUCAUUUUCUUUUUGAGCAGCAGCGUCUCUUUCUUCAACAAUAACAAAUUCUAGACCAUCAACAGCUUAUCUUCAUUGCUCUCAAAUUUUUGCCACCAUCCUUAUUAUCAUGUUUGCUGCCUCAUCAGUGAUUUUCUUUUAUCUCUUUUGCUUCCUUGUUUUAUGCACCGACAUUAUUUAUCAUAUGCAUUUUCGUUUUUAGCAUUAUGGAUACUUUAUGAAUGUUAUUUUACUUAUGCAUGAUAGAUACUUGAGUUGAUAUGGAUUAUCUUUAUGCAUUCUAGUUAUUGAUUGUGGCAUCUUUAUUAAUUAUAUUUAUGUAUUAUCUUUAUUGAUUAUGGAUUAUGUAUAUGGAUACUUGAUUAAUGGUCAUGUGUGGAUUUUCGAUUGAUGAUCUUUGUGGGGGAUAAUUAUUGAUAAUAUUUGUAUAAUAGAGGAGUGAUUUUUCAUGAUGAAGGGGGAGAAGAUAUUGACAUGUAUUUUGAAGUGUUUUGACAUGUUUUUGGCUCAUGGGGGUUGAUUGAGUGUUUGUAGUAUUUUAGUUACUUUCUGAGUCACUCAAGGAGAGUUUACAAAUGUUGUACAAUUAUAUGAAUCAUGUACUUAGAGGGAGUGAGUUUAUACAUUUGGUUAUAUUUUUUGAAUUAUGUCAUAUACUCAGGGGCAAUAGAAAUGUCAAAAUACAUAGGGUGUUUAUCAUUAUAAAAAAAGGAGAGAUUGUUAGGGUAAACGACUAUAUGAUCCUUAAUUUUGAUGUUAACAAACCAUAUAAGGUAAAAUGAUAAAUUUAUUUCUCACAAUUUGACAAGUUCUUGAAGGACAAAAAUCAUUCAAGUGAGAUCAAUUUCAAGUCACUCAUUGGAUAACAGCAAUCAAGGAUGAAUACUAAAGGUACUAGCUUAAGCAAUCUUCAUAGUUAUAUUUCUUGUAAAGCUAAUAUGAUUUAAUGUAUGCAUGAUUUAGUAUUUAAGAGUUCAAGAUAUUUUUCAUACAAUUUUCAAAUUAAAUCAUCAUUUUCUAUAAUAUAAAAGUUUUAAACGUAAAUAAAAAUGAUUUUAUAAAAUUAGUUGUUUUCAAAUUUAUGGACUAAAUUGAAAAGUUUUGAGAACUUUGAAAUCAAUUAGUAAUGUUUUAAAUUCUUGAAGUGGACCUAUUUGUAAAUAUUUCAAAAUUUUUAGGCCAUAGUAUAAUUUUAGAAACUUUUAGUUUAAAUCUAUAAAUUUUGAAACAGCAGCGACUAACCGCUUAACGAGUAGUGGCUAACUGCUUCAGGUCAAAAAACAUAGCUGCUAACCAUUUAAAUCAGGCGACGAUUCGCUUAGGCAAAAAAGUUUUUAAAUUUUAUUUGUAACGGUAACUUGCCACAUCAAUAUAGCGACUAACUUCUUUAUUUUAGCAGCAAUCCGGUAGGUCCUCAGAAAGUCAAAAGCUUUUAUUGUUAAUAAUAGUAGAAAAUAAGAACAAAAAAGGAAAUUAUCCACUAACCAUGUAGUCUUUGGGACUUUUUUAGAAAUACACAGAAACCUUUUUCUUUGUAGAAAUCCACCUAGGGUUUAUUAAUUAUUCACUGUCAUCUUAGCUCGUUAGAAUCUUGUUGAUGUCAUAAGAUUAAAAUUAUCAUUUUACUUGACCACCUAAGAUUAAAGUUAUCCUUUAGAGUUUCUUUCGCUGGGGCUGGUGACCUUAGUGGUUAGAUUUGCUAGAUAUGGUCGUGAGAAACUCGACAAUGGCCGAGGAUUGGCUGGAUUCACGGUGGUUUGGUCAAAAAGAUGACUUGAAUUGGCAUCUAUGGUGCUUCAUUCAUGUUGGAGAUUUCGAUUGCGAUUUGGAUAUCGACAAUGAGAAAGUGGCGUUUGCGGUGGCGUUAGGUGAAGCCCGGGUUUUGGGUUAGCGUUGUGGCGAUUUAUGAUGGUGAUCAUUGGUGGGUUUUUUCAAGUUAUGACUAGUGGAAUCUAACAAGUUUAGUGGUGGUGUUGGUUGACAAUGAAGAUGGUUAGUUUCACGGUGGCAGCUGGUGGAUGCUCCCAGUUUUUAGGUCUAGAUGAUUUAUAGUAGGUACAAGCGGCGAUUGAUGGCAGGAGUGGCUAAGGUUUGGUCAGUAGUGGCUAAUGAGUUUGGUAGAGGGAUUAGCCAAUGGUGAACUAUUAGUGAAAAGUGGCAGUGGCGGUGGGCGGCUGCUAAGGUUUUGUAAUUUUGUAAUAUUUUUUUGUUGGAUAAACAAUGAUGUAUUUGGUGGGGAUGGAUAUGGGUAGCCAGGAAAACUGUGCAAUUGGCAUUGAACCACUCUAAUACAAACUAACAAAUUGGAAUUGCGGAAGUGGAAUUGAUAGGGUAGGAAAUAUUAGCUAUUGUUCUAAUACUGGCUAAGGUAAUGUGGAUAGUUUACGUCCUAAUCGAAACGUGAGUAGAUCUCAUUCUAACAAUGGCUCAAUGAGAUUUUAAUAACGUAUAAAGCGAGAUUAGACGAUGUUCUAAUCCAAAUAACUUUGCAAGAGAGAUUUUAAUAAAUAAUUUUAGAGGGAAUUAUUAAAAAGGGCUUUAUUAGUUGAUCAAUAGUUGAAGUUACAAUAAUAAGAUUUUGAUUUAUAAUAUAAUAAACCUACUCCACUAAGUUAACUUAAAAAGAACAACUAAAUAACAAUUUUAAUAGAAAUAAAAAACUAAGACAUAUACCAUAGUUGACUAUAAUUAAAAUAGAAAAUGAUAAAAUAAUAAAAAUUAUGAAAUCCUAAAAUAAUGUCUACAUCGUAUCCUCACUAAAAUAAAAAUAUAAAAGUAAAGCAAAUUGUGGUAUAACAUACUUUAAAAUAAUAAAAAUAUUUUUAUACUUAUUCACUUACCUGAUGGAUAGCUAGAUAAGUGUUACUUUUCACACAACUAGACCAAUUAGUACCCUUUUUGGUUUGUGAAAACGUGAUUUUUAUGAAUAUGCUAUAGAUGCUUUCAAACGUUUCCACAGUUUACGAAUUUACGCAUUAAACGAAAAUAUCCAAUUAUCAAACAAAAAGGUGAAAAUUCAAUAGAAUCGACAACUUCUCAGACUCACGUAGGUGGUGGUUCAAGUUUCUAAACUACUAUUAUUAUUAACAGUUUUGAAAAGCAAAUAGUAACUUCAUUUCACAGCAUCUGCUUUUGAGAAAGCUCAGAUGUAAUCAAAAUUCCAAAACCACUCUAAAUAUGUUAGGGAUAUGACCAUAAAUAGAAGUUAUAUAUUAUAGGAUAUAUAGUUGUUCAUAGCUAACAUUUGAUGGUUUAAUUAUUUGUUCUAGGGAUUAUGCGCUGAUUAGUGUUUUUUGUUAUCCGAUGAAUGAUAUUCAGUUUUUCUUACAUGUUCAUAGGCAAGAGCAUUUUCUAAGUACUUUCCUUGCCUUCAAAUUUUGAAAGAAAGAUAGAUAUGAUAUGUGAAGCAAGCCCAAUGAAAUAAGCAAAUAAAAUAGAAUAAACGAAGCAAAAAUAUUUCUAGAAACAAGAAAUGACAAAGGAAACACGAAUACAACUUUUUUCCUGUUUUCCUUAUUUUCCACUGUUAAGCUCUACUACAAGAAAAUAGACAAUAGAUGAUAGAAAAUAACUUUCAUAAAAAGUGGUGUAUGACAAAUAGUUCAUCCGUCAUCUAUGUCACUGUCAUUAAUUUAUAACAGAAUAUUUUCCGUCAUGAAUUCUUGAUGGUAGUUUAUAGUCAUAUAUCCGUCACACAAUAUUUUAAUGAGAAAAAAUAAUUAAAUUAAAUUUGAAUUUAUUUAAAUUUUCACUCUAUUUUUUUAAAUUUUUAGCGGGAAAUCAAAUUGUCAUUUGUAAAUUUAUUAUUCAAUUUUGAUGGAAAUUUUUUUAUGACAGACUUUAUGAUGUGUAUUUCCCGUCAUAAAUUUAAUUUUAAAAAAAAUUAUAUUGUGAUUAUAAUUUAUUUGUGAAUUCCUAUUUACAAAUUUAAUUAAUUAAUAUUGUCAAAAAAAAUAAAAAAAUAAUAUUAAUUAACAUCCAUUCAAUCCAACAAAUUAAUUUCAAAAUAAAUAUAUCUAGUAUUCAAUGUCAUUACAACCAAUACAUAAUAAACAUCCCAAAUUAAAAAAUAAGAAUGCCAAAAUAUAAAACAAUAGUUAAAUUCCAUUUAAACUCCAAGAAAAGUAAUUCAAAUUCCGGCCACCGAGCCAAGUUCUCCAACAAAAUUUCCGAAGAUUAAUGGAAAUAUUCCAACAGCAAGACUUCCAGAAGCAAUACCCUCUUCCAGCGGCAAUACAUUGAAUAAUCUGAAAAUUUAUUACAUUGUUUAGAACUACAACACUAAAACAUAAAAGCCAAAUACUAUAUUAAACUCAUAAAAAGCUUAUAAUUUACAGGAGAAACUGAAAGUAUCAAUCAAUUUUGAGGCAACCAAUUUGACAAUUUAAUAUUAAACUCAUAAAAAGCAUUGCCAGUGGUGAGUUUAAAUAUACCUGCAUCUGUGUCCUUGCCAAUUCGAUGGGGUAGCAACUAAUACAUGCUAAUGAACGUGCCGCAGACCCAGCAACUAGGGGGACAUAUUGUACCAACAUUGGAGCAUUGCCAGUAGUGAAAUUUUCCAUCAAAUUGCGAAAACUGUCAUAACAAGGAAGGUAAAUUCCCACCUAAAAAGAGUAAUUAACAGAAAAAAAAAAUAAAAUAAUCAUCAUAAUGCAAAAAAAUUUCAAUGCCACACUGAUGUAUGGGAUGAAAUAUUUGAAGAAACACAAGCAAUUUAUGUACAAGAGAGACUUACUGUUGGCACAGACAACGCUAAACUUGCAUAAGUGCCUCUCCAUAGUCGGGCAAAUCCCUCCUGCACAUGUUUAGCUCUUAUGAAACCUUUGAUAUUAAAGAACAAAAUUUAAGAUUCACCAACAGUAGCACCAAGAAAUCUAUUUAUUGAAGGCACAUUAACUACGCAAUACAAAAUCUCUUUCCAUAAUAUAUGUAAUCACACUGCAAGUAUAAUGCAGUACACUAAAAUGCCAUCAGUUGACUUGUUCUAAAAAAUGUCUAUAAGACAUUCUGUACAAAUCCCAGUUCUUACGGAGUUAUUUUGCCCAUGGAUCAAAUCACUUUAGGACUGAAAAAAUGACGUCAUCUAAAUAGGAAAUUAGGAGUAUUAACAUGUAAUUCCAAUUGAAUUUAGUUUUUCCUCUUCAUAAUUUUCCUGUGAACUAUAACAACUGCUUUCUAGGAUCUCUUUCUUCUUUGGAGAUACAAUAGUUUUACAAAGAUCCAAUAUAAAACUCUUUAGGAUAAAAAUAGUCCAAGGAAAGCUUUUCUCAACAGCAUAAACUAUACACUUUUGGAAAACUUCAAUUCUUUUUAUUAGAUAUAUGUGUAAUUUAUUCAUAAAGUCCUUGUAUCCACUAACCUGGCAUACGACUUUGUAGAAAACAUCUAGUGUUCCUUUAUAUCUAUUACAUUCUGGAGCUGGUUCAGAGCCUGGAACUGCACACGUGCAUGAUGGAGAAUUUCUCAUAUCUGGAAGCAUCUACAGAAACAAUUUGAAAGACAACACUUGUCACAAGAUAAUAUAACAUAGAGCAAUAAGAAUAGUAAUUGUUAAGUGUUAGAAAAUGUAUAUUUAUAAAGGAGAAAAUCGUCAUUUUACAUUUCAAGUCUUACUAACAACCCUUACUUUUAUGUAUUUAAGUCUCUUGUAAUUUAAUUAUGUGUGUUUUAUUUUAAUUAAGUAUUUUAUGUAUUUUAGGGACAUCAAAGUCAUUUCACAAUAAACGAGAGAUCAAAUGGCAAAACGAACAUCACUUUUGAACUCAGGACGGUCGAAAACUUUAGGAGGAGCAUAAAAAGAAAAAUGGUACUGCUCACAUGUACGGUACUAUUCAUAUGUACGGUACUGUCUACGUUACUGUUCACGACAAUGUUUAUAUAUACGGAUCGAUGACGUGGCAUUGACCGCUGAUGUGGCAUUGACUGAUGAGGUGUCAUGAUCCUGUUGAACUAAAAUUCUUAUGUACUAUUGAGAGUAACGUGACAGCAUAUUAGUGGACCAAAAAAACACGCGUACGGUAUAUGCAAUACAUGAGAUUAUUUUCAACCAAACCGCGUUACUGUUCAAACCGUGUCAUUGUUCAAACCGCAUGGUCAAACCGUGUCAUUGUUCAAACGGCGUGGUCAAACCGCGUACUGUUGACUGAUGACGUGGCGCAAUCCUGAGCGUCUAAACUAUUUUUAAUCCGAUAGUCAUGAUUUACUCAAUGUAUCUAUAAAAGGGGGACCUCUUCCCCCUAAUUUGGCAUCUCUGAAUCUAAUUUUGGACUCCAUUUUCUAUAAUUCCUUCUCCAUCUUGUAUUUUCUAUGUAUUUUUAUAAAUUUCCAUUUUGCCCCUAGUUCAAUUAUGAGUAGCUAAUUUUCUUUUAAGUUUGGGUUGAAGGUGAAGUCUCAACAUGUGUCAUGGGCUUUAUUUGGUAAAUUUACUUUAUCUUCCCCUCUAAUUUUUGUGGAUUUUUUGAUUUCUCAUCGAUAAAUAAUAAUAAUUUUGUCUAGAUACCGCUCUGGUUUCACUGGCUCCCUAGUACAAGGUUAUUAUUAUUUGGCACGAUAAGCCCUUAGCACCAUAUUGAUUAGAGUGUGGUUCAUGAAGUGUGGAUUCCCCCCUCAUGAUUUAAUUGACAUUAAUAAGGAAUAUUUAGCCCAUGGUGCAUGUUGAUACGGAUCCAAAUACCCAAGUGUUUCAUUUCAAUAGAUUUAUCUUCAAUUUAUUCUCGCCAUUUUAAUUUAAGUUUUAAAAUAUUCCAAAUCAAUUUCACCAGAAAUCCAACCACCCAUUUACAAAAUUAAUUCUACAUACAAUUAAAAUCCACCUCCUCGUGGGAUCGACACUCGUCACCAUUAGUCUAUUCUACAAUAGAUUCGUGCGCUUGCGAGUUCAAUAAAAUUUGCACAACAGUAAUGUCUAUGCAUAAUGAUCAUAACAGAAAAGAGAAUUCAUCUAUCACAUUUAUCAUUCCAACCCUCUCAAAAUACUAACUAAAGGAAAGGAGGAGACAAAUUUAACAAAAGCAAACCAAGGGGGAAAACCAUAGGAAAGCAAAACAGAUGACAUGCAUUUUUAAAACAUUUGGAUUCAUUCUCUUAACAAGUUAUGUAACACUCAAUACAUUUAGUACCUACAGAAGUUAGACGAUGGCAAGAGCUUAGACCAUAAUAGCAAUUGAUGAAAUUUCAUUACGUAAAAUACCACUCAGUUUUGGUAAGACUGUUAUGUGUGCUCAAUAUAAGUCAUUUUGAUAUCAGUACACGAAGAUUUUUUUUCUUGAUAUGGCUGUUCAUGUAUAGAGAAGAUACCCCACUUUCUCUAAUAUCAAUGCUUCAAGCAUUUUCUUUCCUCAUAAGAUACCAUUUCGGAUAGUGUACAAUGCAAAGUAAAGAAUCCCAAAAGGGCAGUUCAUAUACCAUGUUACUUUCAAAAGAUGCUGUACGACAUAGACCCUCAUAAGGGACGCUAGCAGCCUGGGCUUGCAACCUUGUCUGAAGAUGAAGGCAGGAAAUCUAUUAGCUUUGUAGCUUCAUCAUGAAAUCUCAAAAGAUGAAGCAAUGUGAAGACCAGGAUUUCUGAAAAAAACUGGAGAAGAGAUAGAGGAUCCAUGCAACAAGCAUCACUCAAAUUUAGAAAAUAAUUGGGCGACUUUAGCCCACGUUUAAAAUAUUUAUAAUAAUUAGUAAAAGAAUAGUGAAAAGUAGCUGAAUAAAGAAAAUUUAAUUUUUCCAUCUUUUUGCUUCCUUUUCUUUCAUUCUCUUAAAGAAUCAUAGCUUCUCAAGGACUGAGAAUAAUGACACAACAUUUGGAUUUUAUUCUUGAGAUAAAGAGAAACAAUAAUUAACAUCUAUCCACAAUACCAUUCUCAAAAGUAGAAAAAAUAAUAAUAAUACUAACAAUAAUAAAAAAUAAUGAAAAUGACAAUUAAAGGGAAGAAAAUUUUUGAUAUAACAGACAAAAUUAGCAAUGAAUAAGUUAAAUAAAGAAAAAAUGAAAUGAAAAUUUAGGUGGAGUAGAGUCAUUAUAAAACCUUAGCGACAUCGAGAGGAUUAAUAAUAACGGCAGAAACGAUAGCAGCGCCGUCAGCAGAGAAAGCCCUUUCUGCAAACCCCAAACUGAAAUCUUUUAUGGCUUCUGAAUGUCGUAAAGCUUCCUCUUUAGACGAAGUCUCUGAUGAUACUGAGAUAGACAAAACGCUUCCCUCCAAAUCAACCCUAGUCGCCGCCAACCUGAAACGGAAUUAAGAAGCGAUAGCGAGCUGACUGAGGAGAUCGAAAAUACGCAUCUGAAAAGUAAAAUAAAUUGAACAAAUCUUGAAAAUUUGAACAAACACCCAUAAAUUUGAACAAUUUUUACAAAACAAGAAUCAUCAAAACCUAACUCUAGCAAAAAUUGAAAAUUAAAAACCAAAACAAACAAGAACAUCGAAAUCACACAAGCUAACCCUAAAUAGCGCGAACAAAUAAAAGCUUGAAAUUAUGAAAACACAAUCGAAAUCAUGGCAUAAUGAAUUCACAUAAGCGAUGAGAAACAACAUGCAAAUGAGAAAUUGGACAUGAGGAGCGGCUAAGAGGCUGUUGUUGAAGAAGUGCUUGCUGCACCAGUGCUUCUUGCUGCUGCUGAUGCUGCUUCAACCUCUAGUACUGCAUUUUCCUUCAGAAUCGAAGGAUUUGUAAACUGUUUGGUUCCCAAGAAAAUUUCAUUUUGGUUUCUCGAGAAAAUGAAAGAAAAGAAAUAAACAAAGAAAACGAGAGAGACGAGAGAAGCAACGUUUUAUUUUCUAAGUGUGUAUUCGUUUAACACUUAGGGAAAAAAAAAGGAAGAAAGAAAGUUUAAAGUACCCAAAACGGUACAGUUUUGCUAGCAUUUCUUUUUUUUUUUUUAAUUAUUAAAACGCACCUUUUGUUUUUUAAAUAAAAUAAUAUAUAAAAUUUGAGUCAAAUAUGGUCAAAGUAAUUUUUCUAUCGUAAUUUCUUGAUAGAUUAAAUUUCUAUCACGAUUCUAUCAUAAGUUCAUGAUAAAUGAUAAUCCUAUCAUAAAGCCAUCAUAUAUUCAUGAUAGAAAAUAUUUCUAUUACAAGACCAUCAUUAAUUUAUGAUAGAUUAAAAAUUAUGUCACAAGUUUAUCAUAAUUUUAUGAUAUACUUAGAAUCUGUCAUAAGUUGUUUGUCAUCUAUUAUCAAUUUUCUUGUAGUGUUCAAAAUGAAUAACUUUAUUCUACCAUCUCUCAAAUAAUAAAAACAUCAACAGCACAUCAUCGUCAUCAAUAAUAAUAAUAAUAAUAAUAAUAAUAAUAAUAAUAAUAAUAAUAACAAUAAUAAUUUAACUUUGUAGGAUGGAGCUCUCGCAAAUCUUCAAGACACAAAAUGUGCUUGGCCCCGUUGUUGUUAUUAUAAUUUCAAAAUGACUUGAAUUAUAUAAAAUUUGGGAAUAAGACAUAGCAAAAUUGAUGGUACAUAUGUUGCAAUAUACUUGUUCAUGUAGCGACACAUUAAAGUAAAGCAAAAGCAAAACAACGGAAAAUGUAAUGGGAGGGCUCUCAUUAUGUAGAUUUUCAAUAGAAGUAAUGCAAAUUUCACAAGGGCAAUGGCCUUAUUUUGAAUGUUGCACCUAAGGAAUGACAUGAACCUUCGAUACGUCACAAAUGUAUCAUGAAAGUGUGAUAGAUUUGUGACAUAUAUUUAUAUGUUCAGAGUUUAUAACAUAUUCAUGACUUAUAAUUUAACUAACAUAAAUAAAUGAUAGAUAUAAGUGAUGUUCAAGUUUUGUGGAUUUAUAAUAUCUUAAAAUGAUGACUAUUUAAACGACGUCGUUUUUAUGAAACUUAAAAACAUACCAACACUUCAGCCAAAUAUCGACAAGUGUUGAAUAAACCCCUCUCUCGCCGCAACCUAAAAUCAAUGAACUUUGAGCCAUUCUCAACAACAUUGUGUAGAACCCUAGCCCUAACCCUCACUUCCACCACCGAUAAAGCUAAGAAAGCUUUCCGUAUAUCAGAACCAUGGCGAAUUGCCUUCAGCUCGUAGGACCCAUAAUAAAUCUUGUAUUCCCUCGCUUUCACUUUGCUAAUUUUUUGUAUUAUUCCAUCUCUUUCACUUUAAUAACCCAAAAUCUUUCUCUGUUUCAAUUGAAAGAAGACCCUAGCUUAAAUUAAGCUGAAAUUUACAUAUCAAAGCUCUCGCUCAGCUUCCCUCCUUCAAUUGAAACAAAACGAAGCCAUAAGACCCCAAUAUGCCACGCCCUUUUGUCUCAGGCCAACAUUCAUUUAAACCCUACCUUUCGGUUCAAUGCCAUUUAAUGCGAUUGCAGAUGCCGUUUCAACUCAUUAUUUAGUUAACGCCAUUCAGUUCUUUGCGGUAAGCCUUAUCCCUAAUAACUAAUCAACUGUGGUAGCACGUUGCUGACUGGGGGUGGGAAUACAUUAAUUGAAUAUCUAAUCGGGUGAUGUCAGUGAUUCAUCCCCCUAUUUUCCGUGAAUUGAGAUUUGUGUAUAAUGUUUGUAAGAUUGUUAAAAAUUUCAUGUUCCAGUCGAAUUUCUUGCUCGUGGAAGAUAAAACAAAAGUUUAAUAUAUAUAUAUAUAUAUAUAUAUAUUAUCUUCUUUAUAGUCAGGCUCUGGCUUUGCUGCUAUGCUUAGUGCAGUUUAUGGUUUCAAGAUUAAAUUAGGUUUAUUUGACAACAUCGAUGUCUUACCUAGCUCUGCUUGAAAAUGAAAAUGUUGUACUAGUAAUCAUAGACUUUGUUUAUUCAGUUGAUAUUUUAAUUAUAUGUAUAAGAAUGAAGGUUUAUUUGGGAAAAAAAGAAAUAAAGAAAUAGGCUCUGUUGAAGCUAAUUAAUACUUCAUUCUUUCUAUACGUGCGACCUGUGGUGGAAACAUGAUAUGAAAAUGUGUUACUGGUGAGGUUGCUGCUUGAGAUGA
rnacentral:lncRNA from 1 species